rnacentral:lncRNA from 1 species
CGGUUUCUUCGGUUGAUGAUCAUCAGUAGUAGUAGUAGUAGUACCACCAUUCUGUUUCACAGUUCUGCCAAAUCCCAACUUCCUCAGCAGCACAUUCCAGCUCCCUUUGCUCUUCGUUAUCAUAAGCUUCUCAAUCUCCUGUUUCAUGCUCAUGCACUCUUUCUCAAGCUCCAUCACUCGCUUCUUCAUCUCAGCCUCCACGUUGCUCUGUUCUUGUAGUACUAUCCCAUCAUCAUCAUCAUCUACACCUUCGUCGCCGUUGAUGUUCCUCACCAGCGCAAGGUGGUUAUUACCGUCGAGGUUUUCCGAUAUGUAGAACCACCCGGCAACUGAGGUGCGGAGUCGAAGUUGUUCGAAGUAGAGAACUUGCACUAUCACGCGAAGGGGUAGCCUUUCGUUCUGUGCUGCGUGAGUGCUUGCCUCUAGUGACAGCUUCUGGCAGUUCAUUAGUCUGCAUAGUAGCUCCCUUUCUGAAUCUGUCAGCCAUGGAUGUGCCUGCCAAAACAAAACAGACAUCGUUGAACUAUAGUGCCGCUUUGCCUUGCCGGAUCCAGGAUGGUUGGAGAUCCUGGUCGGAAAUCAAAAUUCGAAAAAUGAAAAUCAAUAAUGAAUAUGGUUUUUGGUCGGUUUCAAUUUUUUAUAAACACAAUGUUGUACAAAUUUGACAAUACCCGGGGUAUGCUCCCUUGGUCCUAGGGCUGCUGAGGAACCGAGCUACUUUAGAAAAAACAAAAAUAUGAUGAAUGAUUUUGUCUAAUGACUAACUACUUAAUUAGGCAAUACGAGUCUAUGUACAUUUUAGAACAUUGUAAUUUUUUUUAAGUUCAUCUGAGAUGUACUUGGGAUUUAACUCGAUUUGUUAACAAUCGCAAACGAGCCGCAUCGAGCUCGAGCUCGUUAAGCCCUCUAAACGAGCCGAGCCAACCUCGAGCUAAUAAUUAUCUUUUGGAGCCGAGCUCGAACUUGGCUCAAGCCAGGAUCAACCCCUCCCAGACUUGAACAUGAAUGUAGUGCAGAACAAGUUUUUACCUUAAGAUAUAUGUCAAUUGCGCGAUAGAUUCCGUCGUCAAUCGGCCGUGCAUAAUCAGGGAUAAGCCCAGCCAGCGACUGAAACUUAGCAAGCUUAAAGUUGACAUCAGGAGCCACCUCCGCCAGAUAAUUAUCAAUCAAAUUAGCCACCAAUGUCACUGGCGUCAACGAACGGGCACCCUGCUGAUCGUUCAACACAUAAUCAUCCGAUGUCGGAACAUCAUCAUCCCGGUCCACAAACAUGAAAUGAUCAAGCAUCCGUUGAACGCAGUCGAUAUCAUAAAGCGUCUCAGCAGAGUAGCCCACAUUCGGUAUCAGAAGAUCUUCCAAAGCCGCUUGGUCCAACUGUGAUCCGAUCCGCUUCUCCAAAUUGUCCUGACACGACGUGCUAGCGUGCAACAGUAUCGCGGUCCGUAAAAGCCGGAGCAAAAACUUGGUUGGUUCAAUACCGUUCUGAUCAGGCAAAAGCUCAACUAUCUCUUCAAGGAGAUUCCUUUGAUCGGACUGUGGAGUUGUUCUGAUGGUGGAGCCCAAUGCAUCUUGCUUCACAUUCUGGAAGCUUGAUUGUCUCCCAAGUAACGGUAAGUACCUCCUGGCGUAGCUCAUAAGCGCUCCAGAUACCCUCUCGGGCUUCAUACCGUUCGAGAUCACUUCCUGAAUCAACCUCUUGUACAGCGGUAACGUUAAGAAAGACAAAUCUUCAUACCACCAAUCAUCACCAGAUGCCAGAUGAUUCGGCUUGGCUGCUGAUGAUGUCCAUAUUCCAUUCCAGCAAAUGUUAUUGUCAGCACUGCGUGCUGACAUCGGCCAGCUGAACAAACUCGGUUCAGCGCAAGCUUUCAUUGCCAGGGAACGGAUGCAUCUCGAAACAAUGUGCAGCUCUUCCGCAAGAGGGAGAACCUCUUCGCACAUCUCGAGAGCUUGGAGAGAGUCUGUCCAGUGGCUAAACACUUCGUUGAGGAAAUUUUCGGUCUGGUAUAUGAGAUUCCCUUCUCCCUUUUCUUCAGUCAUGCCGAGAUAUUCAGCAGCACAUCGCAGACGGACUAUGUUCAAUGCAUCAAGCUCGAUUUGAACACCGUAGCAGAACUUGGCCACCAGCAAAAAGCUGUUGGUUCCACCAGGUAGAUCGUCAAGUUGGACAAUACAAUUCUCAGUACUAGAUUGUUCUGCAAUAAGAUUUCCUAGUACUUUACUUCUGGUGAGCAGUGGAAACUGGGGAAAAGGUUUAGGAACAAGUAAAAUGAACACAAUUGCUCUGGAUAUGAAUCAAGGUGAAAGAAGAAAUACAACAAAAGAGUAAGCUUGCCAAAAUACACAAAUUCAAGUAAGCUUAAGCCAUGUAGUGGAAAUUACCUUGUGGAGAUGGAAGGAUGAUUCCCCAAUUUCAACCACGCAAUCACUUGGAAGCCCCUCAUAUGAACAGAACCUGCACAUAAUAUGAAAUAAACAGCGUAAGAUCAGCAAGGGAGAAGUCCAAGACUAUAAUUUUGAAUCCCAGAAUGCAAAGCAGCUAAUGAAAGUAUAUGCAAUUGAUCAAAAUCACUAUCCGAGUGGCCACAGAGCUCAUAUAGAGUAUCAAAACAAGAGAAGACCAUGGAUUAUCAAACUCUAAUCGAUCAAAAUCGUCAUUUUCCAUCGAUCAAAUUCAAUGAACCACCCGUGACAGUCAAAUUGUGCAAAAUCAAAACAACGCCACAAUCCUUUUGUAUCUAACACUGAGACCCACAUCCUCUUUGCCAAAAAAAAAGAGACCCACAUCCUGAAUUGUUUGAGUAACAAUCGAUGACUCAGCUGUCGUCAUAACCCAAAAGGAAAAAAAGGAAAGAAAAUAGAGAUAAGUACUACCAGGUAUGACCAUCACGGUGGAAGCACUCAGAAUUCGAUCCCAGCUUCAUGCCCGCCAUCUGUAACGUGGGUAAUGUUCAGAAGGUACGUUUGUUCCAAAAGCACCUGGUGCCGUCGGUUAAAACAAACUAAAGCACCGACGACGGCGACUGAGGAAUCAGAUAGCGAGCGAUAAAACGGUAGGAAAUCCGUCCAGGUAUUGUAUGUUAUUAUACAUCCCGGGAAAUUUGGAAAUAUGACUAUGAGCAUAACAAAUUAAAAAUUAAUUAAUAAUUGACAGUAAUGAAAAUUUUGAAGAGUCCCGAGUCAAGUGGGGGAAAUCCAGGGAGAGAAAAAUAUAAUGGAAAAACGGUGGCUGGACUGUUACGAAAAUGGAGACUCUCUGCUAAUUAAGGCAGUGUUUGCUACCGCAUCCAUUUUUCUUUCCUCUUCUGUUACUAUUUAAUUUCUUUCGAUUUCUAUUUAUCUUUAACAAAUUAAGAAACUUCCUGUUGUUAGUCUGGCCAUUUUGUUGUUCAAUGCACUAAGUCGAAUUAUAGGAAAAAUUAUAUAGUAACUAAUUUCAAAAUCCGAUAAUAGGUUGGGUCGGGGCCUAAUGAGGCCUCCAUAUAUCCAAGGUAGUGAAAUCGAUGAUAAUCGAAAUCAGGAGUUAAAUUUGCCGAUUUCACUUGUUUGAGAGAACCAAAACUUAUUUGAGUAGGUCAUAGUACAUAGUUAAGCGAAUCGAACAUAAAUUUGACUGAAUCAAACACAUAUUUGAGUGAACCGAAAUCGAUUUCUCACAUAUAUUUUUGAAUAUGACAUAGAAUAAUUUGAUGAAUUCGAGCUUGGGAUUCCACUUGACAUAUACUUGGAGAUGAAGAUGAUCUUAUAAAUGAUGAAGAUGUACAUAAAGUGACUCACCAUAUCGAAGAAAAGCACGUAAAAUGUGAAAGUUCGAUGUCAAUGAAACUUUUAAAGGGCAAAGAUGAUGUGGACGAAGUUUUUGAUAAAUUUGUUAAAAUUUUUAGAUGGAUUAUCAUGUUAAUUUGAGUUUGGAUAAUAAACUUAAUCAAUAUUUAUAUAAAAAGGGAUAUUUAAGUAUUUACUAUUUUAAAAAUUUGUAAAAUUUUAUAAUUUUAUGAUUCAAUUUUACAAUUAUAAUUUCAUGUCACUUUUGAAUCCCACAUUAAAUAACAAUUUCACUGCGUGUAUCCGCCACUGCUCACUAUUUAACCCGGAGGCUAGGCGAUAUCAACUCAAGAUAAACAUAACCUGAUAGGUAUACGUUGAUCUAAAUUAGCAUGAGAUUAGAAGAAACGCGCAAUUGAUCCGUGCAGACCUAGAUGGGCCAAUAACCCGGCCUACAAGCUCUGGAAGAAAUGACCCGAUAGGUUUCAGAACUUGUAGGCCGGGCUAUUGGCCAUAUAGGCCUGCAAGGACCAAUAAUGCGAGAUAUUGGGCCGUUGAGCUCAAACCAAAUGACACUCUCUCACUCUCUCCCAUUACUGAGAGAGAGACAGUCAGCUGAUAUGCUCACUGCUUCUUCUCCUUUGCAAUUGUAUCGGGCAUUUUAGGCUCCGAAGACUUCAAAGUCUCUCCACUGAAACUCCGUCCUCUGGCCAGACGCCCUUGGUCAACAGAGAUCACCAGGCAGCCAUGGAGGCUUCACUGAGAUCGCCGCCACGAACUGCCGCCUUCUUGAUCUGCGCAUUUCUCUCGCUUCUCAUCGUUUCAUCCUCCGCCGUGCAGGAGAUCCAAAUUCUCAACGCCGAACGUCGAGUAAGCUCGCUGAUUCCCGCUUUCUCUCCUCCGAAAUGUAAUCUUACUUCGAGUCGUUCCUCCGAUUAGUGAUUGGUUCUUCCCGAUCAUUGCUCUUUUUUCAUUAGCUCUCGAUUUAUGAAUUUCUUGUAUAUGUUUGGGUACUGGACUUCGUCGUUCGAUUUCAUCACAUGAAUUUGAAUUAGCCUGCUUCUCAUUUUCUCGCUUGUAAUGAUUGGUGCAGAUUGACUUGAGUUCACAGAUUGCUGUGGUAUUCUUGACUCUAAAGGUAUCGAUUUAUUAUCGAAAUGUCUCCUUGUUUUUGUUCUGAUAAUUGUACAAUCAGCUGGGUGGAAAUGCACUUAAGGUUGGUGGCGAACUCUUUUCAGGUCGAAAAUACAGGAAGUGCAGCUGCUUCUGAAAUCCUUCUUGCAUUUUCUCCCACUGAAUCCGAUCACCUGGCAGUGGUCAAGGCAAAAGUGGCUAGCGGAAAGAAAAGGAAGAAAACAUACGUACAGCUUGAUGUUAGUCCAACAGAGGUACCUGAUGCACCAAGUGGAACUAAGUAUCACAAAGUGUCGUUGGUUAAUCCUCUAAGCCCUGGUGAUACAACCACCCUUGAAAUUCUAUAUAUGUUGACACAUUCCAUGGAACCUUUCCCUGCGGAGAUUAGUCAAUCAGAACCGCAGCUGGUGUACUAUCGUGACAGUGCACUUAUACCGUCACCGUACCAUAUUAAGAAGCAGGCAACUUUUGUCAAAACACCAAGCACAAAUGUUGUAUCAUAUACUAGAGUGGAGCCGACUAACAAAGCUGGUAUAGAACUAAAGUAUGGACCAUAUGAAGAUCGUCCUGCAUACUCGUUCACUCCAGUGUUGGUUCAUUUUGAGAACAACAACCCAUUUGCUGUUGUUGAGGAGCUUGUACGUGAAGUUGAAAUCUCACAUUGGGGAAACGUUCAGAUUACGGAGCACUAUACAUUAGCUCAUGGUGGUGCUAGACUUAAGGGAAUUUUUUCUAGGUAAAGGUUAUUCCUAAAUUUCAGUUUCUGUGUUUUGCAACUUAAUAUCUGUUUCUGAGUAAGUUCCCUAUGUUUUUCAGGGUUGACUAUCAAUCUAGGCAAUCUACUGGCGGUGUAUCUUCAUUCAAAAACUUUCUAGCAAGACUGCCUCCUAGGGUGCACUCUGUAUACUAUCGAGAUCAAAUCGGGAACAUUUCCUCUUCUCGUCUGCGUACAGAUUCUCGCAAGGUAUCUGAUCUCUAGGACUGAAAACCAAAGCCACCAGCCUGUUAGCAUCACCUUUACUUUUAUCUCCAUGUGUACUGACUAAACACUUUGAACAGUCGGAGCUUGAAAUUGAACCACGGUAUCCCCUGUUUGGAGGGUGGAAAUCCACCUUCAUAAUUGGAUAUGGCCUUCCGUUGGAAGAUUUCCUCUUUGAAGCUGCUAAUGGCACGAGAUAUCUCAACUUUACCUUUGGCUGCCCUCUGUCUGGGACCGUUGUAGACAAGUUGAUCGUGAAGGUAGUUUUGUGUGUUUCAUAUUUCUUAAGAAUCACGAUAUUUCGGCGACUUUGUAUUUAUAUUUUUCUCUGGUUUUUUUUUUUGCUGAUGAGUAAAGAUUCUGUUCAGGUUGUGUUGCCAGAAGGAUCCAAAGAUCCUUCCGCUGAAGUUCCCUUUUCAGUGGAGCAACAUCUAGAGGUAAAUGUGAACGAAAUCAGUCCUCAGCCCUGUUCAAGAUAACUUUGAACUGAUGCAUCAAUUGGCACUUCAUAAUAUUCAUCAUAAAUUGGAAUUUUCGGAAUUCCAUUUGUUUAGAUAUUGUUGUAAGGCCUCAUGCAAAGUAAGACCAUAACGACCUUGAAGCAUGUAUCAUAACCAACUAAGAUGGUUUCUGAAUGCGACUAUGUGCAGACUAAGUACUCAUAUCUUGAUGUUGUCGGAAGGCCUGUUAUGGUUAUAGAGAAGAAGAAUGUAGUCCCUGAGCACAAUACCCCCUUUCAGGUAUUUUCUAAUUUGCUUGUAUUCCUUUACAGUAGUACCUUCAUACCUCAGGGCUCAGUCCAUUGGCGCAUGUUUUUUCGAUAUUGAGAUAUGGGGAUGAAAUUAUAACUGUCUUAGCAUUGAAACUGUGUUCAUACAGUGAACAACCCUACGGCCUACAUAUACAUAGUGCACUCUGGAUAAUCAUCUUAGUUUUUGAUUUUUUUGUAAAUGAUCAUUAACCAUGUUUUUUAACUCAUCUCGUGACAGGUGUAUUAUACGUUUAACCCAGUGUUCAUGCUAGCAGAGCCAUUGAUGCUGGUGUCAGUCGUUUUCUUCCUUUUCGUGUCAUCUGUAGCUUACCUACAUAUGGAUCUUUCAAUACGCAAAGGAUAGAAACCCAACCGGCCCUCUCUCCCAAGGUAUUCUGCAUUUCCAACUCGCUACUGACGUAAUCAGUCAUCUUUGUUCUAGUUUCAACUUUGAUAUUGAACUGAAAUUUUGUAGUUGUAUGGAUGUUUAUGUAUCUGGAUGUACUUACGGAUCCUGUACUCUGUAGAAGCCCUCCAACACAUAAUUUGGUUGCUUCUAGUGCCAACGAUCAGGACCACUUGGACUCUCAGGUUACGAUAGAAUACAGCACACUGUUGCCCUAUUCUUGUGUCAGUAAUAGAAUUUUUUUUAUAGUAAUGCAUACGUUGUUGACCAGCCAAGCCGCUCGUGAAUAGCUCGUAAAUCCUACUAAACAACUCAUUCGAAAACUUGGCUUGUUAGCUGGCUCCAUAGUAAUCAAGCUGAGUUCGAGCCAACAUCGACUCUGCUCGUGAGCUCGUUGAGUCAGUCUUGUGGGCCAGCUAGCUUUUGAGCCGGCUCGUUUAGUAAGCAGGCUCAAUUGAGAUUGCUUGUGAACCUGAUCGCUUUGUGAGUCUGUUUGAUUAUCAUCUCGAUAGUUUAGCUUGCCAGCUAGCUUGAUUUUUGUCUUUUGAUGAGCUUCGUUUUAAACCUUUCAAGAUCUACUUACGAGCUGAGCUCAGUUACAAUGGUUAUCGAGAUGAGUGCGUUAUGGCUAUUGAGCUCAGGCCGUUAAUCGUGAUUUUCGAACUGAGUGAGUCCACCAAAAAGCAAACGAGGUUAGCUAGGUCGGCUUGUGCAUAGUACUACGGUGUGGUAAUUUUUCCGUCCUUCAAGUACCAGUCAUACUGUAAAAACUUAAAAAAUUAACAAUAAUUUAGUACUCGAAACCGGAAUGGAAGUAAAGGGCAAGACUCCCCCUAGUUCCGUCCAUGAGUACACAUACGAAACACGCAAUGGCGCAUCGUACGUCUUUAUUACCAAGGGGAAAACAAACAAACACAGAUAUACUAGGAAAGAAAGUACAGAAGACACUUAAAGCUAGUUAAGCUAGCUUUCUCUCGACGCUUCCACUUCUUCAGAACGAAGUGGAGCGGAUGCUGAUCCUGCAACUGGCGGGGCUACUCACGCACUUCCCGGGCAGAGUCUCCGCGAGCCGCUGAGCCGCCUGCACAUCUAAAGCACCCCAGGUCUGCAACCCUCCUUGCUUCAGCUGGCAACUGGCGGGGCUACUCACGCACUUCCCGGGCAGAGUCUCCGCGAGCCGCUGAGCCGACUGCACAUCUAAAGUACCCCAGGUCUGCAACCCUCGUUGCUUCAGCUGCAGCAUGGCCUCCACGGCCCUCUCGAGGCCCAUGCAAGUGCACUCGGAGUCCAUCCGCCUCAGCUGGUUGCAGCACAUGUUGAAAUGCCCCUGCGGGUCUUGUUGGCCCCACGUGGACCAUCCCCGGGUCUCGCGGCCAGCCUCCUGGACCAGGUACUGCUGGCAGUGGUUCAGGUACCCUUGGUCCUGCAGCUGCUGCGUGCAGCUCCCUCUGCCGAUUACGUUUUCGGCCUCUUCGAUGAUCACGGUGGUUCGGACUGAUGAUGCCUCGGACGCCAGUGCCGCCAGGAGGAGGAAUGCGAGUGCUGCUGCAUGCUUCGCCAUUUUCGGAAAAUGUCUGGUGAGUUGGAUUGGGAUUGUGAUGUAUGGAGUAAGAAGGGGAAGAGAGGGUGUUUAUAUAGGGGAGAAGAGGGAUUUGCAUGGCGAGUACGUGGUGGGGAGUUUUCGUUUACACGUUGUUGGUGAGACCAUAUAUACCUACCAAGGAGUUCCCCAUUCUGACGACGUCUCAGAUGGCUGCAUCCAGGGACGGUAUUAUUGCGAAGGCUUCUGAUGACUCAUCAGUUACCUUCGUUAUUAACGGCUCUUUUGUGGGGAUUCUUGUCUGUUAGUUUGUGUAUCUCGAGAGGUGGCAUUAAUACAAGGUAGAACAUUUGUGGAGAUUUACCCUUAACACCACACCAUAGAGGUGCGUUCGUAGCUUAGUUGGUAGCACAGUGUAUUAGUAAUUCAUACCGUUUUUAUUAAAAUUACCAAUCGAACCAAAAAUUAUAUUCGAAUUGUGAAUUUAUUCCAAUAUAAAACCACAUUCUAACCCAACCAAAAUCAUAAUAUUGGUAACAAAUACUCUGCAUUGGUUUAAUAAUGUUUUCGGGUCUAUCUAGAUUAUUCUUUAUAGUUGCAAAUAAUGUAUGUCGAUCAAAAGACUGUGUUAUAACAUUCUCCGUAAAUACCUGGAUAUCGACAUACUUUGUGGUCAUAUAAAUUAUAAGGUAUAAUUGAUUCCAUUUUUUACUCUUUUUUACCUUUUUUGUCUUCCAAAGUCAGACAAGACAGAGAUGUGUCACCAUAAAAGAUUGAAAACAAAAAAACACAAUAAUUGUGUCCAUGUGAUUGUAUGUUUGAUUCAAACUCGACUUCGAAAUUAACAACAUACAACAUAACCAACAACGUUACUCACCUCACACCCUACUUCCUCUACAUUUUUGCUAAGCCUGAUAUUUGUGCCAUGUGUAUAGAUGGACACUUAAAAAUUGGGCAUGCGAGUGGGCUGCAAACUCAGCCCAUUCGUUGGAAAGCCCAUACUCCAUUAUUAGAAUUCAAUUCCCAGUUACAGCAUCAAAAAUUAUUAAGGGGUCGUUUGGUUGGUAUGAUAUUAAAUAUUAAGAUAUUGAAAUAUUUUGAUAUUAAAUGUGUUUCACAUUGAGUAGAAAUUGUUGUUUGAUUUUGAAUUUUAAUAUUGAAAGUACGUUUAUACCCUUACCCAUUACAAAGUGCUAAGCCUACCACUACUUUCUUAAUUUCUGUCCUCCUUAAUUACUUAUGCUCUCAAUUCCUUCCCUCUACAAUCUACAUCCAAUCCCUCAUACCAAUCUGAAUUACCCAUUAAAAAGUGAUAUUGAAGGCUGUUUGAAACUUCACCAUAUUUGAUGAAUAUUGGAUUUAUAUAUUUUAAAAUAUUUACGGUAUAGAAUAACUAGUUAUUUACAAUCAUAAAUAUAAAAUAAUUUUGAAUAAUUAAUUAUUAAAUACUAUAUAACACUCAUACCAAACUAUCCCUAACCAAUUUGGGGAAACAGAAAUAUCUUCAGCUUCUUCACCGUGUUCAACCUCCUGAUUCCGUUGCGACCAUCUCUCAAUCGCCCAGGUUUUUGCUCCGAUCCGUCUUCUUUCUUCAUUUACCUUUAGCCAUACGCUACAUCCAUCGACUGAGUCAGUUCAUAGUCUGUGUAAGGCUUUUGUGCAUGACAACGAUAGAGACAGCAGCCGGCCGCCCGCGGAAGACGGUGGACGGCGGCGUUGUUCCUACUCCCGCCGCUGCUGCUGCAACCAGCAAGGUUGAACAGAGCAAAAUCGGGUCGUUCAAAAGAUGGGGAAGGAGGUAUCCGUUUGUGAGAUAUGGACUCCCCAUGAUUUCCCUCACUGUGAUCGGUGCUCUUGGCCUUGGUCAUCUCUUGCAAGGCAGGUUAGUAAUGAUUUUUUUUUUGUGUGUUUUUAUUGAUAAAGAACUUAACUUUGAGCUUGUGAUCAGUCUUCAGUGCACAUGUGUUCUAAAUUCACCUAUUGGAUACCUUUUUCCCCUAAUCUAGAUCUGUAUUUAUCAAAAUUUCAUGCUAGGGUCUGAAACUGAAUUAGGAUUUGAACUUUUACAAUUAUUGAGUUCAUUGCCGAAUCAUUAUGAUGUUCUGUUAUUCUAAAAUGUGGCAGUUUCUGUAGUUCAGCAAAGAUAUUGCUAAAGUAAAAGACGAUCAAGAAUGGGAGAUCAUUGAGACUAGGAAGGCACUGUCAAGAACGGGGCCUGUCAAUGCUUAUAAACCCAAAAAGAUUUCAAUGGAAGAGGAGCUGCAGGUAUUGUUUUGGCGUGGUUUUAACUGCAUGAUAAGAGUGUAAAAACUGCACAAUGACUUACCCUUUCUUCUGUUUCUCUUUCGUUUCCUGCAGGCUCUGCAGCAGAAAGUGAACAUAGACAACUACGAGUACAAGAAAAUUCCAAAGCCAAAUGAAAGCUGAUGAAGAUGAAAGCUUUUCGAUUCACUGCCGAUGUUACAGUGCAAUGGGACCGGAGAUCCAGACGUUAUCUUUCCUUAGAGUUGUUCAAGCAGAAGGUUAUCAGAGAGCCCUUUGCCCCUACAGUUUUGGUUAACAAUAACGGGAUCGAUGUACUGAUUUCUUUUAUCAGUCUCUAGUUAUCAGUAGUUUGUAUCAGUCGUCAUGUAGAAUUUUCCAUCCCUGUGUUCGUUCCUCAAUUAAAUCAGCCUCAGUUCCUUUUAAGCUAGUUGAACUAAGUUAGAAUGAGGCAGUUGUUUCAGUUUAUAGCGAGAAUUGUAUGUUAGUGGCAACAUAUAAUCAAUUUUGGUCUCUUACUGUAUUUACUUCAAUGUGGAAAGUGAAUAGCCUAAAAUUUAGAUGGUAAUGGAAAAGUUUGCUUUCAAAAUUAUUUUGUCGUGAUUUAAUUUUCUCGUUUGGUCAGAAAAUACUCAAGAUUUCAUUCAAUUUGUCCUAUGUCAAACCAAGUCCUCCAUGUUCUCAGCCUCAACUUGAUUAGGAAAAUCUUUUGCAAUAACAAACACUAAACAGACUGUUCCAAUCCUGGUUUUCAGAACCUUAUUUGAAUAUCCAAUUGGUGAGGCUAACAGUAUAUGGUUUAACCUCCCAAACAGAAAUUGCAGUUGAACUGUGAUUCAAGCAUAAUUAUAUCAAAAUUGCAUUAGCUGUUUGAAUGACUGGUUCAAGCUCAAAUCGUUAAUAUGGUUGUAAAACAAUGGUUCUAAUGCAAAAUAACUAAAUAAAACAGGAACAAAGGGAAUUGAGAGGAUGUAAACUUCAUAUAUCCAGGUGAAAAGCUUCACCUCAACCGUUCUCCACAAUUACAGGCUUUUAUAACCCCCAACAGUUCUUCCUUCCCACCAUAAAAAUGCCCCCCAUUUGCUCCCCCGCCUUCCUAUUUACACCCCCCAACAACAAACAUCAAAAAGAAGUAAUUCAAAACCCUAAACCCCUACUCUCUCUUCCCAUUUUCCUUCUUACCCUCCCAUAUACUUUCUUCACCACUUCCCCUACAGUUUCAGUUAACAACAACGGGAUCGAUGUACUGAUUUCUGUUAUCAGUCUCUAGUUACUUAUCAGUAGUUUGUAUCAGUCGUCAUGUAGAAUUUUCCAUCUGUGUUCGUUCCUCAAUCAAAUCAACCUCAGGAACAUUUAAGCUAGUUGAACUAAGUUUGAAUGAGGCAAUUGUUUCAGUUUAUAGCAAGAAUUGUAUGUUAGUGGCAACAUACAACAUAUAAUUAUUUUUGGCCUCUUACUGCAUUUACUUCAUUGUGGAAAGUGAAUCGCCUGAAAUUUAAACAGCACCGGAAAAGUUCGCUUUCAAAUGACUUUGUCGUGAUCUAAUUUUCUCGCAUGGUCAGAAAAAUACUCAAGAUUUUAUCCAUCAAACCAAGACCUCAAUGCUCUGAGCCUCAACCUGAUUAUAGUUUCCGAGGAAAAUCGUUUGCAAUAACAAACACUGAACAGAUUGUUCCAAUCCUGGUUUAACCGUCUAAACCGAAAUUGCAGUUGAACCGUGAUUCAAACCCAAUUAUAUCAAAAUCGCAUUAGCUGUUUUAAUGACUGGUUCAAGCUCAAAUCGUUAAUAUGGUUGUCAAACACUGGUUCUAAUGCAAAAUAACUAAACAAAACAGGAACAAAAGGAAUUGAGAGGAUGUAAACUUCAUAUAUCCAGGUGAAAAGCUUCACCUCAACCCUUCUCCACAAUUACAGGCUUUUAUAACCCCAAAAGUUCUUCCCUUGCCACCAUAAAAAUGCCCCCCAUUUGCUCCCCCACCUUCCUAUUUACACCCCCCAACAACAAACAUCAAAAAGAAGUAAUUCAAAACCCUAAAGCCUACUCUCUUCCCAUUUUCCUUCUUACCCUCCCAUAUACUUUCUAACCCCCAACAGUUCUUCCUUCCCACCAUAAAAAUGCCCCCCAUUUGCUCCCCCGCCUUCCUAUUUACACCCCCCAACAACAAACAUCAAAAAGAAGUAAUUCAAAACCCUAAACCCCUACUCUCUCUUCCCAUUUUCCUUCUUACCCUCCCAUAUACUUUCUUCACCACUUCCCUCAGUUGUUAUUCAUUUACACAAUUGAGGCAACCAAAAUCCAAAAGUCAAAAAGAGUAAAGGAAUCCCACCGCCUUCUUUUCCCCCCUCUAUCUCCUCCCACUACCAAAGACAUCUUGAAACAAAAUGUGAAACCAUAUUCAGACCAUCACCUUGGCUUUGGUUGGGAACCAAACGAUAGCAACGGCUGGAGAAGUCGCUGGCCGGCAGAUGGACUCCCCACGAACGUUGUCUGAGACCGAGUGAGCAUCUCAGUCAUCGAAGGGGUCUGAUAAGAGUGAACAAGGCUCGAACCGCCCUCGAACCGCCUGUGGUCGAGUCCCCUCUUGCCGUAGCUCUUUGCCACGAAUGCGAGCUCAAACCCGACAGUAUAUAUGCUCUCCCAGAAGACUCGUACACGUUCCUACUUGUCAUCCGAUCCUGCAUUUCCUUUAGCUCCGCGUCCAGUGCAACACAUAACCGGUCCUUCGAUUUAGCUGGCAUGGUUUUCGACAGCUCUUUACGACAAUUCUCAAGGAUGGAAGCUGCCCUGGUUAGGUCUCCUUGCUCCGCUGCAGUUCUCGCUUGUGACAUCGCCUCGGCAGCCUUCAACCUGUUCCGCUGCCUGUCAACUUCGAUCGAUACCGCUUCCUUCCCAGCAGCUGCUUCAGCUCUCUGAAGCAUAACUUCUUCACCUUCCAAAGUGGCCAUCUCUUUGGUCAACGGAUCCUUGUAAAAGCAUUUAACUUUAAGCAAUGAGGUUUGACCAUUUGAAGGCUGCUCUUCUGGAACAUUGAGAGACACAAGAAAAUUCCUUUCUUCAUCUGCAUACAAAUCUCCUACAUCAAUAUAACCGGUGCAUCGAUCAGCAGACACACGACUUUGAUAGCUUCCAGCUUUCAGAGAUCCGAGCUUGAUGUUAGGAUUCACAGAUUCAACUUCCACCUGCAACUCCUGUACCACAACACUCAAAAGCCCUCCAAUACACUGUGCAAAUGCAUCCUGGAUGAUGGCUUCUGUCUCGAUGAAUGAAAAGGUUCCCCCCGAGAUCUCUGAAAUCGAAUGCAUUGAUGAAGCAUCAUGAUCUGCUCCGAAGCCAAAUGAAUGCACCGGAAUCUGGAAAGCAGCACUCUCGCCACCAUCGAUGGAGAGAGGAAGGAGCAACCGGUAAUCCGGUUGAGACUGAUUACCACCACCACCACUAACAGUGUAAGUAUCCUGACCGUCGGAUAGCAAUAUUAUGCUUGCAACAGGAUUCUUUUCCUUCCUCUCUUCCAUUACCUUAGCACCCUUUCUCAAACCUUCAGCUAUAUUGGUCCCACCAUUGGCAAGCAAAGAGUUCACAGCUUGAAGUGCUUGCUGCCUUCCAGCAUCAGACAUUCGUCGCAGUGGAAAGAGGCGCCGAGCUGUUGAUGAGAAGGCAAUAACCGAGAGCCGGUCAUUAGAACCGAGAUUCUGUAUCACAAACCCCAUAGCUCUCUUAAGCAAUGCCAGUUUCGUUCCUGCCAUGCUACCGCUGGUGUCAAGAACAGUGACUAGGUCAACCGGAGCACGAGGACUCCGAGAAAGUUGAGGCUGGUUUUGUCUCAUAAUUGUGGCAGCAGCUUUAAGAUUGACAAGGACAGUGAAGUUCUCAUAAGAGCUGGAAUGUGAUGCUGCUGUAACCUCGGGGUAUACCUUGAUGUCGAUUGAUGUACCAGAAAUGCAACUAGUGCUUCUGCCAGGAAUUCUCGGCUGGAUGUCUAGAGUCUCGUCGUCAUCGAACACACUAGGUUCAACAGCCUGAAGUAAAGGUACAAUGUGCCUCCUACUUGGGUCGCGACGAGGGGGAGGUAAUCGGCGUACCACAUUCAUCAAAGCAUCAUUGUGAGGCCACCCUACAGCGUUGAUGGAGGCUCUCCCGGGUGGAGGGUCUAGGUUUGGAGCCUGCAAAGGGAUCUCUUUCCAUUUUGCUCUGCAAACUGGACAGAUUUGGUUUCCAUGCUUCACAUUGGAAGCAAUGCAAUGGAAAUGGAACGAAUGUGAGCACUCUGCCGUGAAUAGAGCUUGGCCGCCUCCUUCUUUCAUUUUGGUCAGGCAUAUUGAGCAGGUAUGCUGAAAAUCAUUGAUAAAAAGAAAAAGUUCCAAUUAGUACACGAUCGAUCUCCAUCGUAUCAAUUGUGUAGCUUUUGCUUCAUAUUGAUCCUAAAAGUUUCAAUAUUCAACUCAGAAAGAUGGCCAAAACCAACCAGACUCAAAGCCACAAGUGAGGCAAGACAAAGACUGGUGAUCUAAGUAUGAAUAUUAACUCCUGAAAGAGAUAAGUAAUCAAGCUGAGGACUUUUGAAAGGUAACCAAGCAACUAUUUAAAGAUACAGAUGAACCCAUCCACUAUAAGAAAGGGAAAUGAUAACUUGGCUUUUAUCAUGCUUCCCUUUUCCCCAUCUUUGCUUUUCCUUGUUUGAUGAAUUUUCACACCUACAGGGACCUCCAACCAAACCACUCAAACAGUUCAAGACACCAUUUCAAUUCUGCUUUAUUUCCCUCUUACUUACAAGAUAAGGAGUCAAUAUUGAUGCACUACAGCUUUCCUUUAACUGUUCCGGCAAAUGCAAAUGGCCAGAGAAAGGGACCUAGGUCACUAACUCAAAUUGAACUUGACAUCACCCCCAUCCAUAUAAUCACUCAAUAAUUUCAAAUUUGAGAACUGUUCUUCCUUCAAUUUCACCGACUUCAAACAUCAAGAAGAGCAACACAUAUCUAGUUGAUGCUAAGCUUGUUAUAUACACAGAUUAUAUCAACUCCAUACCUCAUUCUUGCUCAAAGAUUAUUAAAUUAACAGUCUUUGCACUUUGAAACCAAAAAUGUGCAAUUUCUAUUGUCAACACCAAGAGAGGAAAACACAAUAGAAGUAAAUUUUGAGCAUCGAAAGUGAUGUUUGAUAAGAAAAUUGGACAAAUAUAUACACACAACUAGACUCCUCAUCCUGGAAUAAUCACUAAAAGAAGAGACUUUCUUCAAUCAACAGCAGAUAUGCAUAGGUACCAUCAUGAGACCUAAAACAUAAAAGGUUUUGAAGAACGCCAGGAGAAGGAACAAUCUCUAUGUCUUCAAAAAAAACUUGGGAUUUUACCAGAAUUAUAACAAUUCAUGUUUCUUUUCUCUCAGCAUCCAAACACAUCUCACAUCAACCAACUAAAGAAAGUAACAUGCAGCUGAAACACUUCAAAACACUUGCAAGUUCAACAAAAGAGGCACGGAAAAUUAUGAAAACAAACCAGCAAAGAAAUAAACCUUAGAGGCUUUGCUUCCACUUCUGAGCAGCUUCAAACCAUGAGAAGAAGGUGUGGGAGUCAUUGGCCUAACAUCCUCCCAGCCGGCAGGGGAAAGGAGGGCAACAUCUGAAACUCUCUCAGCUGGUGCUGGAGGGGAAUCACCACCAUCAAGUGUUCUUGGCACAUACACACAAAGAUUCAUACCCAAAGCCAGUUUUACUUUCCUCCACUUACUCCCCAUUUUUCUCCCACUUGAACAAAAGAUUCAAGAACCCAGAAAACCAAAUUUAAGAAACAGGGGAGGCCAAAGACCAAGAGAAAAAGAACAGAUCUCAAAGCACUUUUCUUUUGGUUUGGAGUCAAGCUGCUUUCUCUCCAAUCCUUGUAAACAACAGUGGUGGUGUUGUUUUCUUUCUUGGAAUGUGAGAGAGAGAGAUGGAGAGAGAAAAGAGGAAGAUAAUGGUGGGUAGCAAAACAAAAGUUGUAGGUUUUAGAGGGUUUUAUAUAACAUAUAAAAUGACCAUGAAAAUGUGAGCUUUGUGAUUAAAGACAGAGGCCAGCCAAAUGACGAAGAAGCAAAAGGGAAAGUGAAAAACUAAAGGGAGGUUGUCAAAGGAGAGAAGAAGCUGUUGAGAUUGAGAAGAGCAACAAGCCAAGGAGAAGAAGGAAGAAGGAAGAAGGAUUUUGAAGCUAUAGCGGUGUUGUUUUUGUUGUUGUCGUUUGGCUUGUGGAGUUGCUGCUGAUGGCGGCCAUUGAGUAGAGAAAAGAUGUGAUUUUUAAGAGAGGGGAUAUCUGAUUUUGACCUUUUGGGGUUUGGAAUUUAUUUGGAUGUUUGCUUUUGGUCAGAGGGUGCUUAAUGGCCAUUACGAUUUUCAUUCAUUCAACUGAGUCGUAAAAAGCAGGAGACGGCAAUAGAGACAGAGCUUCAUGUUUUUCUUUUUUGAAUUGUAGAAGAAGAAAAGUAAAAACUCUUGAUGAAAUUAAUAAUUUUUUUGAUUUUUUUUUAAUAUUGCACGAAGAGAAUUUGUGAGUGAUUUCGAGUCAUAUCAAUUAUCGGUUAAAUGGAUUAAUCGAUUUUUUUGUCGGUGUUCUUUUUGAUUAGUCUGCUGUGAUCAUACUAAAAGACAAACAUGGAUUAACAAUAUGGUUGAUUUGUGUUUGAGCAACUCUAUAAGUACAUUAAGUCUUGAACCACCUAAAUUUAGUACUCACUAGUCCACUCUAAUAAGUCAUUAGUUCUCUUAUAUAUGCUUGAUCAUUUCUCUUAAGGUGAUUAAGCUAUUAUAUUUUCAUUAAUAAACUUUAUGAUAUCUUUUGUUAUGGAGUAUUGACGACUCUGAUCAUAAAAUUACGUAAACCCGUCAUUUCAAUUUUGUUUAUUUUAUUCAUAAAUCUUAGAAGGAGAUUCCUAGUAAAGACUAAAAUUGUGAGUCAUUUUUAAUAAAUAUUUAUAGGAGUAAACAAUAUUAGUGUUGAAUGUAUGAUGAUCAAAACUUAAAAUAAGGAGACAUGGCCUCCAUUACCUUUGCAGCCUUUUUCCAAUAAAAAAGAAGUACAUGUUUAUUGAUUUAGGGUCCAUAGUCCAUCACUAUGUCCAUUAGUUGAUUAUUAACGUUCAUGUCUAGUUUCAGUUUUGGUCACCAGAUUUUUGUUUUCAUCCCAUUGACCCCCCCAAUUAAUUGCUUGUGAUUUGGAGUCCACUCUACGGGCAACCCAGUUAAUUCAACUGUUGAGGGAUGAAAGACCUGUUGAUAAAAACACAUGUUGUUGUUCCGAUCGCUAGCUAUAAAACAUACAACUUCCUUGAAACAGGAUUAGAGUUGUAUUUACGUGUGGACAUUCAGUUAUGGUUAACAAUCGAGUAAGUGACUGAUUUUAAUCAAUUAAUCGUUUAAUGUAAAAUAAGUUGGUUAAUCAAUCGGUUAAGAAUUUGAAAUUAUUUGAAACCAAAAUAACAUUUUAACCACCUUUCAAUUUUAUUUAUAUUUUAUGCUUAUUUUGAUCAGUACUUAAUUAAUCGAUCAUCGCAUGAAUAAUUCAUAACUAUAUUUAUAAUUAACCGAUUAAUUAUGAUCGAUUAUUAACCACAAAAAAACUCCACCUCUAGUUGUAUUUUUAUCUAACUAAUCUAGGACCGUUCUAAAUGUGUUGGGCUAAGGUGGAAUAUUAAAGUUGGAUUAUGUUCACAUGGUUGUGUUGAUUGGUCAGCUUAAAGUGGUUAACGUCGGGCCAUGACGUGAAAUUGGUCAAACUCCGGCUAAAAUUAUUAAUUAAAUGCCAAUUUGACAAUUCCAAUUACGUUAAUGAAAUACGAUUCCAAUUAGUAUAUUUGUAUUUGUAAAUUUAUUUGGAUCGAGGUUUGUGUAGAUAAUUUGAAUUUUUUUUACUUUUGUUUUCUUAUUUUCGUUGGAACACUGAUUCCUUUCGAUAAAAAUUUCAUUUCUAAAAAAUAAAAGAGGUACAUUAAUGGUUAACUCAUUUUGCUUAUUUGUCUAUUUUGUUAACUCACUCNNNNNNNNNNNNNNNNNNNNNNNNNNNNNNNNNNNNNNNNNNNNNNNNNNNNNNNNNNNNNNNNNNNNNNNNAAAAUAAAAUUAAGAGCCGAGUUGAUGUGGAAUCAUCAUGGUCACCAAGAAAAUAUUAAAACCUUAGGUUUUAAAAUCACAUUUUGAGAUUUUCACUACCCAUUUCGAUAUAGUUGUGAAUACCACUAUACAUAUAUUAAUCAUUUAUCCGACCCAACUCAUAAGAGCUAAAAAAUAUCAUACUCCGUUAUAUUGUCGUGCAAUUUCCCUGAUCAAAAUCUUCUUCAUUUCUUUCAGUUUGAGCUAAAAUUUUCCUACGAACCUUAAUCUUUCUUUCUUUUAUUAGCUAAAUUAAAAAAAAAUGUAGAUAAAUUGUGAAUGUGAAUGUCUAACUGAAUCCCCAAUUCAUAUGUAUAAUACGACACUCUACACUUAUAAAAAUUUAAACAGUUUGAUACACAAUAAAUAGUUAAAUAUCCAUGAAACACCUAUCAAACAUCCACACCCUACCCGUUCCCCGCCCCUAGCUACUACUCAUCUUCGAACAUGUACUCGAGUAUGUCAAAAACCAAAGGGUUUUUUUUGACAAAAUUGGAGUGUGAUGAUGAAUGGAACUUGGGGGUGGACUGCACACCUCCACGACUGUGAUGAUGAAGAAUGAUUUUGCAUCACUACCAUCCAAUAUCUCUAGCUAUAUAUAAUAAGUUAAAAAUCUAAUGUUGUUUCUUUCAAGCUUAGCUAUAGAGGGAGGGAAUCAUGGUCCUCUUCCUUGUAAGUAAUUAUCAUAUCCAUGUCUUUUAUUUUUCACCCACCCUGAGAUCAAGGGCGCAAAGCCCGCACGUGCACAUCAUCACACACACACACACACUUUGCUCAUCUCAUGAUCAUCCCCCCCCCCCCCAACACAAAGUCAAUUAUACACUCAUAUGGGUUUGACAUAUUUCUCUAUAAUAAUAUGCCCUUUUGGAAAAAUUUCCAUGUCUUUAGGGUUUCUUAUGUGGGGUUGAUGACUUCAUUCAUAACGGUAGGGAUCAUAAUACUAAGGUCCGAAGGUCGAAGGUUAAGUUUUAGGUUCACGAUAUGUGAGGUUCAUGAGGAAUAUACGGUUUUAUGAGAAAUCUGCAUGUGUUAAUGAUGGAGAUUUACUCAUAUGGAUGUCAUUAAGGCGUGAUAUAUAUGGUAAGAUAAUGAUAUAUCAGAGGCUAGUUUGAUUAAAUGGUUGUGAGUUUGAUUUUUCACGACCUAUAAUCUUAACAUUUGAUUAAAUAUAAGAUAUGAUGGGUAUGUGUAAACUUUAAGUACGUAAGUUGGCUUUCAUAUAAGGAGAAUAUAAAAAAUUGAUACAAAAUUUAUAAUUAACUUUCUUUUAACAAUUUAAAUUACUGAAAUGUAACGAUUCUCUGAAAAAACAAAUCAUCUUAAACAAGUCAAUGAACGAGGUGGACUAUGAAACUGGACAAAUCCAUGGAUCUGAUUCUUGAAACCAAACAAUUAAUUACAGAGGUUCAAAAUGGAAUAUUUCUCACGUAGCGAGUUCCCAUGUGUUUAAGAAUUGCUGCUUUGAGGACAUAAAUUAAUUAAAAAUACGUGGAAACGUGCGGCAGGAACAUAACAUUAGUUGUUGGUAUACGCAAACCAAACCGGACCUGAUCGAUGAAUGCUGCCUCAAUAUUUGGCAUUCAACGGUCAACCAAACUGGCGCAUCUAGAAUCCUUCAAUGUCUUCCACUUUCAAGAGCCACCACACAACACACAACUAUUCCUAUUGCAAAUUUCACCUUCUUGAUUCUAGUUUAUUUGGUGGUAUAAUAUAGGAGGUGGAUAUGGAUCGGAACUCUUACCCUUUAAAUAUUUUGUUAGUUUGAAGAUUGGUUGAUUCGAAAUAUAUAAUUUGGUGGUUAUCCAAUACGAGAGUAAUUACUAGAUGGAGUUGUGUCUUUUCAGAUUCAAGUUAUAUCAACCCUAUAUAUUAAGUAUUUUCAGAUUUAGAAUUCUGCUACACAACAUAUUUAAAAAAUGGAACAUUUUUAGUGAUUUUUUCCUUUAAACCAAUCACCUUUAAAAUAUUUAUUUUCUUUAUUUUUUUUAUUUUAAUUUUUAAAUUCUCUCUCACACUCACAUCUUUCUUUUCCCUUUUAAUUAAUUUUUUCUUUAUAAAAUUUUUAUAGUUUACUCAAAANNNNNNNNNNNNNNNNNNNNNNNNNNNNNNNNNNNNNNNNNNNNNNNNNNNNNNNNNNNNNNNNNNNNNNNNNNNNNNNNNNNNNNNNNNNNNNNNNNNNNNNNNNNNNNNNNNNNNNNNNNNNNNNNNNNNNNNNNNNNNNNNNNNNNNNNNNNNNNNNNNNNNNNNNNNNNNNNNNNNNNNNNNNNNNNNNNNNNNNNNNNNNNNNNNNNNNNNNNNNNNNNNNNNNNNNNNNNNNNNNNNNNNNNNNNNNNNNNNNNNNNNNNNNNNNNNNNNNNNNNNNNNNNNNNNNNNNNNNNNNNNNNNNNNNNNNNNNNNNNNNNNNNNNNNNNNNNNNNNNNNNNNNNNNNNNNNNNNNNNNNNNNNNNNNNNNNNNNNNNNNNNNNNNNNNNNNNNNNNNNNNNNNNNNNNNNNNNNNNNNNNNNNNNNNNNNNNNNNNNNNNNNNNNNNNNNNNNNNNNNNNNNNNNNNNNNNNNNNNNNNNNNNNNNNNNNNNNNNNNNNNNNNNNNNNNNNNNNNNNNNNNNNNNNNNNNNNNNNNNNNNNNNNNNNNNNNNNNNNNNNNNNNNNNNNNNNNNNNNNNNNNNNNNNNNNNNNNNNNNNNNNNNNNNNNNNNNNNNNNNNNNNNNNNNNNNNNNNNNNNNNNNNNNNNNNNNNNNNNNNNNNNNNNNNNNNNNNNNNNNNNNNNNNNNNNNNNNNNNNNNNNNNNNNNNNNNNNNNNNNNNNNNNNNNNNNNNNNNNNNNNNNNNNNNNNNNNNNNNNNNNNNNNNNNNNNNNNNNNNNNNNNNNNNNNNNNNNNNNNNNNNNNNNNNNNNNNNNNNNNNNNNNNNNNNNNNNNNNNNNNNNNNNNNNNNNNNNNNNNNNNNNNNNNNNNNNNNNNNNNNNNNNNNNNNNNNNNNNNNNNNNNNNNNNNNNNNNNNNNNNNNNNNNNNNNNNNNNNNNNNNNNNNNNNNNNNNNNNNNNNNNNNNNNNNNNNNNNNNNNNNNNNNNNNNNNNNNNNNNNNNNNNNNNNNNNNNNNNNNNNNNNNNNNNNNNNNNNNNNNNNNNNNNNNNNNNNNNNNNNNNNNNNNNNNNNNNNNNNNNNNNNNNNNNNNNNNNNNNNNNNNNNNNNNNNNNNNNNNNNNNNNNNNNNNNNNNNNNNNNNNNNNNNNNNNNNNNNNNNNNNNNNNNNNNNNNNNNNNNNNNNNNNNNNNNNNNNNNNNNNNNNNNNNNNNNNNNNNNNNNNNNNNNNNNNNNNNNNNNNNNNNNNNNNNNNNNNNNNNNNNNNNNNNNNNNNNNNNNNNNNNNNNNNNNNNNNNNNNNNNNNNNNNNNNNNNNNNNNNNNNNNNNNNNNNNNNNNNNNNNNNNNNNNNNNNNNNNNNNNNNNNNNNNNNNNNNNNNNNNNNNNNNNNNNNNNNNNNNNNNNNNNNNNNNNNNNNNNNNNNNNNNNNNNNNNNNNNNNNNNNNNNNNNNNNNNNNNNNNNNNNNNNNNNNNNNNNNNNNNNNNNNNNNNNNNNNNNNNNNNNNNNNNNNNNNNNNNNNNNNNNNNNNNNNNNNNNNNNNNNNNNNNNNNNNNNNNNNNNNNNNNNNNNNNNNNNNNNNNNNNNNNNNNNNNNNNNNNNNNNNNNNNNNNNNNNNNNNNNNNNNNNNNNNNNNNNNNNNNNNNNNNNNNNNNNNNNNNNNNNNNNNNNNNNNNNNNNNNNNNNNNNNNNNNNNNNNNNNNNNNNNNNNNNNNNNNNNNNNNNNNNNNNNNNNNNNNNNNNNNNNNNNNNNNNNNNNNNNNNNNNNNNNNNNNNNNNNNNNNNNNNNNNNNNNNNNNNNNNNNNNUUAUACAGAGGAAAAAGACUACCUUUUACCAAAAGGAAAUUAAAAUGCUCCAUCUUUUCUCACAAUGGCUUAAAGUAUUAUUCCCUCUCCCCCACAAAACAACAUCAACUAGGAACAAAUUACACCAUCUCCCCCCAACUAGCUUUCUUUUUCUUCUCUAUCUAUCUUUUGAGAGCACACAUGUCAUACACAGCUUGGCCUCCAUUGUAUAUGUUCAGAUGGAACUAGUGACAAAAAUGGAUGUCAAAAUGAGAGAUCGGAGAUGUAUAUAUAUUGUUCAAUUGCUUUGAAUUUCAUUUGGUCAAAUACAUAAGAUAGAAGAUAAAAGAUAAAUGCUACUCAGAUGUUCAUUUUAUAAGGUAUGUUGGCUUCAAAUUCAGGACAUCUAAAUUAUCAGACAGACAGCUCUAACACAAAAGCAAAUAUUAAUUUUUAUCUCUUCGAGACCUAUAGAAAAUGUCUCAUACAUCUAUGGACUAUCCAACACGAUGUAUCUUAAAUAUGAUCUAAUUUUAGGGCUAGGUUUACUGCUUGACUAUGCUUUUAAAUAGACACUUUUUUUGUUACAUUAUAGAAUUAGAGUUUUUUUAUUCAAUAGUACAUCAACUAAUUCCUAUUAGUUUUAACAUUCUGAAAUUGUUAUGUAAUCUUAAUCUUCUUCAAUAUCUAAAGAAAACAUCUCAUUCGUAUGUGGAUUGAUUAGCCGACAUAACAUCAAUGAACCACUAAUUUGUCAUAACAUCUAAAUAGCCGUUACGAGCUUCAGCUACGACAACAUAUAUGUAUGAAGCUAUGAGUAGUGGUGGUCAUGAUCAUCAUCAUCCAUUACAAAAGAAUCGAUCCCUCUUCACAUAUAAUCAGCACAAUAUCAAAAGGAAUGAAAACCAAACACAUGCAAGAAGGUAGCUAGCUUUUCCUUGUGGGGAGGGGAUUGGAUUCCCUUUUCUCACUACUACCCUCUAAAAAUUUGGCAGACUUUUUUGUCAUGGGGGAACAAGUCAACGAGAAAAGCUCUCAUCACAACUUUUGUUUUGCUUGCUUGUUUGUUUAUUGGGAGAGGGUUUGUUGCAAAGCCAAAGAGCUUAAUUAGCUCAACGAGGAAAGAAUAUUAUUACCACUCUCUCACUCUAUCUCUAGUAAUGGUGCUUCCCACUGAGGUGGUGCAUGGUGGCAUCGAAUUAAUGGCAUUUGUGACAGAACAUUAAUCCAUGCUUUGGUGAGUGUGUGUGUGUCUCUGUGGAAUAUGUCUUGUGCACUUGGGGGGAUAAACCGGUUGUUUCCCACUAUACUCACGGGACUAUUUACUAAUACAUUUAUACUUAAAGUUAAUGAGAUGUAACAGUUCCCGGUAUGGUAUCAGAUUCUGAAAAGAUUAAGAGGUUUUUGUUUGGAAUUUUGGUAGCCUCUACUAUCUGUAUAACGUAACUCAAUUCCUCAGAGAGCUUCUGUUUUACCAUAAUAACUUUUUUAGUCCAAUUUAGCUAUUCUUGAUAGAUUCUCACAAUAAAAGUGGAAUCGGAGAGGAGUUCGAAUGAGGUUCGACUUACUUCACUUUCGAUCAAGAGCAUUGAAUUUAGGUUAGAAGUAAUUGAUCAUGGUGUCUUUUUCAUGAGAGUAUGAUGGUAAACGUGCAUCCACAUAAUAAUGAGAUGUCCUAAAGACUUGAAAAGAGAGUGUCGAGGGAGUAUAAUGUUCCCUUCUUGGGCUUGGAUAGCUAAGCUAUAGCUAAUAAGGUUUGCUGUCGAUCCAUUGAUAGGUGCAUGCAUGGCUUCCUUUGAGAAGUGUGUGCAAUACAAUUGCUAUAAACAUCAAGUGUGUGCAAUACAAUUGCUAUAAACAUCAAGUUCCCCUGUUUCUGGUGGUUAAGUCUGACCACCGACCAUGUGUGACAAGCCUAUAUGUGCUUGGUGUGGCUGCAGUUUGAUUCGUUCUUCACGGUCGAUAUAUCCAAGGGUGGAGAUCUAUCUUCUCGGAUGUUGAGAUAACAAUCCAAGUACUACAUGAUGUAAAUUUGUGACAAACUUUUUUCUAGCUCAACAGAAAGCAUACUAGUAUGAGUUAUUUUUGGAGGGAAUUUAGAAAAUAAAUUAAAUAUAUUAGCAUUUUACCCGGCUUGGCCGGACACAUUGAUUUGUAUCUUUUUAAAAUAUAAUUAUAAGAUUCAAUCUUAAUAAACUAAGGGAACACAAGUGUUUAUAAUCAAUCACCUAAUUUAAUGUUACAAUAUAUACAACAAUGUAUUUUAAUUUACUUAGUUUUAGUGGGGCAAUACCAUAUUAUAGUAAAAGUUGACGUGUCACUAUUGAUUUUUCAAAUAUUUAUAAUAUAUGAUAAAAUAUUAUAUAUAAAUUUUGAUAAACUUUAUUUCAUGCGCUUGCUAUUGCUAACAUGAUGUACUUUUAUUGUUUGUAAAUGGAUCUCGAUGAACUAUAAUUUUUGAUAGGACAUCUCUAUCAUUAAAAAUAGAAAUAGUAAAUUUAUGAAAAUACUAAACCUUUAGUUUAAAUAUAUAACAUUCAAUUAUUUAGCACUUAAAUUCGAUAAUUAAACAUAUAUUUAUAAAAUAAAUUCUGAUGACUUUGUUAUUUUCAUAUUAAUCUGUAUUUUUUNNNNNNNNNNNNNNNNNNNNNNNNNNNNNNNNNNNNNNNNNNNNNNNNNNNNNNNNNNNNNNNNNNNNNNNNNNNNNNNNNNNNNNNNNNNNNNNNNNNNNNNNNNNNNNNNNNNNNNNNNNNNNNNNNNNNNNNNNNNNNNNNNNNNNNNNNNNNNNNNNNNNNNNNNNNNNNNNNNNNNNNNNNNNNNNNNNNNNNNNNNNNNNNNNNNNNNNNNNNUUUUUAAUCUGAAAAUACUUAUUAUAUUAUAUACGGUUGAUACGAGUUUGACCCCAAACACACAACAUCAUAUAAAUGUAGACUUUUAGUCAUAGUGUAAUCCAAACAACUUAUAUCAAAGCCUAAUUGAUAGAAAAUAAGAUCAAUCGUAAAGUACGACUUGUCAUUUAUAAUCUCAAAUCAACCCAACUCAAAUCUCAAAAUCAAACAAUCACCAUAAUCUAUCAAUUGUCUCAAUAGUUCAUACGUUCAUCAUUUAAAUGGUUAAUUUGCAUCCCUUCUCAAUGAUGUCAAAUGAUACCACAUGUAGUUUUUUUUUACAAGUGGCCAGCAGGUUUGACGUGGAGAAAGUCAAAUUUACUCAAUCCAUGCAGCAUCCUUGUUUUGUUUGUUUGUGCGAUAUCAUUCACUUUCUUUUGGAAAAGUAAACAAAACCCCCCCGUAACUUUAGUCGUAAAUGUUCCAACUUUUACCAAACUCUUUUCGCCAGCUUUCACGUUUGCUCAUAAUAAUUACAGUGUGCGUCAUCAUGCAUGCUACCUGGUUACAACGUGUAGUAAUCCUAAUCAGUCGCCUUUUCGAAUUGAGCUUCGCGACAUUUGUUUCGAUCGGGCAUGCGAGUUGUGGAGUCUGAUACGAGGCUUAGGUGGCCAUGGCCCCCUCGAGAUGUUAAGAGACCAGCGAUUUAGUCUUGCAAGCUAACGAAAUUUGAUCGCCGUUGACCGAUCACUAUGGUCUGUUUUUAACUGCCCUGAUCGACUCCUGCCACAGGAAUCUAUUUCAAGUUCAACACAUGAAAUUUUAAAUUUUAAAUUUUUGUAUGUUGAGGCCAAUUUAUUUAAUUUACACUCUGUCCCACCGCAUCUCAACAUGAAUCACUCCACUCUUUGAAUUGAUGAGAUGGUACUUCUCAUUAAUCCUUCCAUUAUACACAACAUCAUCCAGAUUCACUUCCACAUACCCCAGUGAUUCCUGCAACAAUUUCAACCCAUCACAUUCCAACAGCAUUCUCUGAACGAAUGUUCAUAUAUAUGACCCAAAAGAGCGAGGACACAUUACCCUUGAUCUGAAGCUGAAACCUGUUCUUUUGCUCAAGACCUCGAUUCGGAUCUUCUCCCGCAGAGGAGGAUGGUCCAUCAUGAACUGAAACUCCUCGUUCCAACGUGGGUUGCGAGCUUUCCGAAUCAUCUGAAAACACACACACAAAUGUCACAUUACAUGUUGGCUCACAGUAGGUUGAUGUUUUGAAAGCUUGUUGAACAAGUUAACCUUAGUUUUCUUCCUUUCUCCUCUGAAGAGGACCGUAGCAUAGGGAUUGUUGUGGUUGUGUCCUUCUACAUCCUCUGCAGAUUGUACUCGUAUCGAGAGUAAACUCGGUCCAUUUAGUGAAUCGUCAUAAGGCUGGUUUUCCUUCCCACUCGAUCCUUUACUGCUGUGUCCAUCUAGGAUACUGAGUGAACUGUCUUCUUUGAAAGGCACAAGGGUCAACUCAAUCACAAGCUGCCCUCUUUGUUUUCUGUCGCGAGGAUCACAAGCCUCGGUGCUCUUGAGCAAGUCGAGAGUGAGAUGUUUUGGCUCCUGGGGUGUCAUUGUCUUCAAGGGCACGGCUUGCAUUCCCAAUGGGUCAUGGGCACCAACCUAGGUGAAAACCGUCGAAAACCAGAUCGUAUCAAUGCUCGCUCGGAAUGUUAUAAAAACUAAGUAUGAACUUCUCCCAACAACUCGAGUUAUUGGGAUGCAAGAGCUUUCUCACUGUCCAAUUUGACUAAGAGGUCAUCGGAUCGAAUACUGUCAUCCCACAAUAUAACAGUUUCAUAUGCACAAGGGCUUGGUGGACCUCUGCAAAUUUCACUCCCCUUUCAUGGGCUUCUCUCCCAACAACUCAACUUAUUGGGAUGCAACAGUUUUGUAAAACUGAUGCGACAUUUGCUGCUUUUACCUUGUCCCAAUCAAGCACAUGAAGAUGAAGAGCUUGAGAACCAGGAUCCUUAACAACAAGCCUGAAGCUUUCAUUCCAAACAGGAUUCAGAUUCUGCUUCUUGAUUGUGGUCUUCUUAGCAGAUAAUUUGUCUCCACUCAGACUUAGCUUCACGUACGGAUCAGAAGUUCCGACGAUAUCAGCCUUCAUGAGUUUCGUAGCCCGAACUACCUUCACAUUCAGUAUUCCCACCGGUUUCUUUACACCAACUCUGUAAUGUACUCACAAUAGUUUUUGCAUUAAGGAUCUAGCAAAAGGUUCAAACUUCUUCUGGUAAUAAAGCAAAAGGGUUUGAACUGUUUGAUUUUUCACUCACGUUGAAGGAUCAAGGACAGGUAUUUCAAGGAUCCGAGGCCAAAUGUACAUACUUGUUAUCUGCUUUUCGAUCGUUUUCUGCAGGGGUACCGAAAAAGUCCGUUACUCCAAGUGAAACUAGACCUUGUUCUUCACACUUCGAUGGUAAAGUAACAACCAUUUAAGCAUUACCAGCUUAGCACCUGAACAAAUCCAUGAAGACCAGGUAUGGACAUGAUAUCUCCUCCAGAAAUUUCAAGCCCGAAGUCCACCCGAGGCUGCAAAUAUAAGUUCAUCAAUCGAAGAAACAGCUAACCAGUUCGAGUUUGGAACCGGUUUACAACUUACUCUAUCCAGUAAAGACACCACAAUGUUGGCAAAACAUGGGAAAGCUGGCGCAAGAGGCUUCAAGGAUAUCCUUGGUGCUGCAAAUACUUGCAGAUCAACCAACUGCAUGGAAGCAUUGUCCAUUCGUGGUUGAGUAAUGUUAUCUUAUCUUCCAUCAGAACUGGAAAAGUAUCGAUCUUUCGUACCUGAACAGUAAUUGGUAUAGACAUUAAUUUCAACACCAAAGUUAUGUUGGGAUUGCCUGCCCACCUAACUGCUGGUUCCAGAACUAUAUCAUUCUCAUUGGUGUCCAACACUUUAAGACCAUGGACAGUGGGAGGAAGAGUUCCAAGACUGAGAUGCUCAAACUCGAUAGCUUCGAUGCCAUACUUCCCAAUGCACUCUGCGAAGAUCGGCUCACUCGUGGUUUUAAUUGAAGCACAUAUGGCCUGUGUGCAAUGUGCAUGAUCCCAAACUCCAAACUUAGCAGGUUUAUCAGCAAAAAUUCAAUAAGCUAUAUGGCUAGUCAAGUUAUACCAUAUUUCUACUUACCUUAUCAAGAUAUGGCCACAUCGCCAAGACAAACUUGUUGAACCAAUCCACCUGCAAAAAAAUCACAAUAUACCAUAUAUGAUCACCAAAGCAGCAAGCUAAUGGCUUGGAUGGUGAGUUUAGCUUGUAGUAAAAUUCCAAGAAGAUUCUCACUCGUUCAUAGUCAGGAGAUUUCACCCACAAAGGAAUCUCAUGCAGAAUGUUGAGCAAGGUGUCAGAUUCCAGCUCCCCAAGUGGCCUAACCCCUGGUUCCUGUCUCAAAAAACAAGAAAGGAAAGAUGAAUUCUUUGUUUCUUCAAGUCGGCAGAAAACUGUGAGAAGGACCCUAAAUUGUAAGGUAAUGAAUUGAGAACCACACAAAGAGGGGGGAAGAAUAGUAAUCAAACGUAACCUUCAUCUUAAAUGCCAUAGGUUUAAAUAUCAAGCCAGCUAGCUAGUAAUCUUACAUAUCAAACAAUUCAUUCACUAUCACAUUCCUAAGCUGACUUUUCCAAAACUGACAAGUGGAUAACACCAAACCAAGCAAAGAAACGAACUUUCUGCAGAAGAAAAUUCUCCCCAAACCGGAAACCAAUCGCAGAUGACAAAGAACAAGGAGACAGAUGGCGUAUGAUGAUCAAAGCACUGAUAAUCACGGAGAGAUUGAACCUUACCUUGACAUGUUUAGGCUUGGAGUAAACAAAGAGAUAGAAUCCAACAGCCAACCCAACGGCCAAUCCAAAGCCAAACCCAACGAUUCCCAAUACAGUGCUGAAAAAACCCAUCAAUGCUGGAAAACCCAGAAGAAGAAUCAAAGGGGUUGAACAAGAAAGGGAGAUUUUUUUUUGGGCGGGCGGAGUAAUCUAGAGAAGAAUGCUUAGUGGAAGACGAAAUAGUGACGAGUUCAUUUUGAAGAAACCCAGAAAUGAACUGGCUGCAAGCUGUAGCUUCUCUGUAAUAUCACCAGUAGGAGGAAUGAACAUCAGAAAACGGUUUUCUUUUUCUCUUCAUGGAGACAUUUGUUGAUUUCUGGCUGGAGAUUUUGUAGGUCCGAAUUUUCUGAGCAUCUGAUUCUGAUUAUUUGGUUUCAAUAUAAGGAAAAAACAGAGGAAACUGGGCGGCAUUCUCUUUGUUGCUUUCAAUUUUUGCAUAGUGGUUUCUUAAUUACCUUUAUACCCUCAUUUUCCUGUCUGCAACGGCGCCGUAUAAGCAACCAUUUGUCUAGUCUUAAGUCUCCUCUUACCGAACUUCCAUCCGUUGGCCGCGACAGCACCCACUAGGCCACUAAUAUAUAGAGCUAUCAAACGCGUGGGUUGGAUGACUCUGGGUCGGCUAAAUUGGGUUACAUUUUAAUCGAAUUGUGGGCUCAUCGAAUUGCGAGUUUAUUGGGUUUCUGGUUGGACGAUUUUUGGGUCGGCUAAGUCAGGUUACAUUUUAAUCGGAUUGCAGGCUCAUCGAGUUGCGAGCUUAUUGGGUUUCAGGUUCGUCGGGUUCAUGGUUCGCCAGGUUACGGAUUUGACGAUCGCAGGUUUGUCGGGUCAUGGAUUCAUUGAGCCUCGGGUCCAUCGGACCUCGGGGUGGUAGGGUGCAAUCAGUUCAUUUUUAUUUAAUGAUCAUCUCUCUAAGUAACAGAUUAGUCAGGUUGCGAGUCAUGGGUUUGUCAUGUCACGAAUUUAUCAGAUUACAGACCGGGUGUGUUAUCGGUUGUUAACUUUUGAGUGAAAUAGGGACAGACUGAGCUGACCUGGGCAGACUCGAGGAUAACAAACCAUCAUAAUCACAUCUCACAAGAGCUGGUUUCAUACAUGCAAUUGCAAUCUCAUACUUGCAAGCAAAGCCAACAAAGUGUUCAAAGCAUCACAAACUUACACAACCAAUGUGAUAAAAAACCAUGAAGAAACUUUGUUUCAGAAAUCCACACUCCUAUUUUCCUAUCAAUUUACAGAAUACACAUUAUGUACAAAAUGCAUAGUUUUCAAAUACAAGCAUUCCGCCUUGAACCAUACCUAUAUAGAAACUCAAAUAGCAGGUCCCAGAAGGGCAAUCAGGAACUUCCUGUAACUCCCCGAUGUUUCCGAAUGAACCGCAUCGUUCAACUUCUUCUUGUACUUCUUCACGUACUCAGCUUUUAUGUAUUGCAUGUCGAUCUCAGUCCUCGUCACGAUUACCCGUAUAAGUGCUGCAUCGUUCGUGCCUAGACCUUUCAUCGCCUUGUGCAGCACCUUUGCGAAGUACUUUGCAGGAUUCUCAGAACAUAGCAAGACUGUCAAAAGUGCUUGCUUGAAAUAUCCUGAUGUCUCCUUCUUCACAGCCUAAUCCGACCAUAAGAUAGAACAUCUUUAAGCAAUGAUAACAAAACUUCCAGCAAAAGUACUUGUUAAGAUAUGUUUCACCUUCUUCAAGGAGUGUCCGUACAAAUUGUCGUAAGCAGCAUCGACAGCAGCCAAAUGAGCCGAGCUUCGCGAGCUAAAAACGUUGAUGAACGUCUUCUCAUCAGUUCCCAGCCUCUUCUCCCCUGCUUUGUAUAGAGUUCUUGCAUCGUUCUCGGCCGCCGCUUUGUCAACUUCCCAUCCUUCGUAACGUGGAGUGCUCGCAUAUGCAAGCAACAUCUGAAAACAGUAAUCAAUUAGCAUACUCCUCAAAGACCGGGAUGGUAGGAAACAGAAGGACGUUAAUACCCUUUUAUGAUCUCCGGAAGUACGAGACUCGACAUCAUGCUCGAGAUAAACGCCUCGCGUAGUAAUGCUGUUUGAAGACCUGUAUCUGGGACGGAGUUCGGGAACAGAUUACUUCGGUUACAGCAUCCAAAUUAGUCGAUUCGGACAUCAACCCUUGCCUGACAAUCGCAGCAUCACAUCCUGGAGGAUCUUGCAUCCACAUCAUAACUGCAUUCUGAGUCCAAAACGAAUGAAUUGAGCUUUUCAUUCAUAUCACAACAAGCACGAAACAAGUUUCGAUCUUGCGAUUACCUCGAGCUUGCCACUCAGCUCGGAAGACAAUCGCUUGAAGAUGUCCUCGGAGAACAUUGUCCUAUACUCAUAUUGGAUAUAAGCACGGUGUGCUGCAUCUCGAUGAGCCAGAAUAUCUACAACUGCUGAGUUGUCGCAUCCGAAUCCUGUUGCAAGGUAGAAACCAUUCGAAUUGGCCAAAGGAUUCCCAAGAGAUAAUCAAUUAGACUAUUUGCUUGCAUUUGGGUUCAAUUAUCCAUUCACAUUGUUCAGCUCAACAAUCAAUACGACAACAGAUAGAUUCCGUGCUAAUGAUCCAUGCAAUAAACCCCAGGAAUAAUAUAUACAGCUCGAUCGAAUAGUCCAAAAUGGCAAGGUGUUAAACAAAGCAAACGGCAAAUCAAAGGUGGCAAAGAAGGAAACAGAGCAUGAAAUUCAAAAAGGGAUGACAAAAUUAAAAAACAAAUGAUACCCUUGAAAGCCUUGUGGAGAAGAAUGGCGUCGUCUCUGGGAGAAGGAAGCACCGGCGGGAAAUUCAGAGUUGACAUCAGGCUACCCACAAUCAACAAAUCUUUCCCUUGAAAGGUUCUUCACCCCCAAUCCAAUCAAUGGGUUCUUCUUGUUCGUUUUCCGUUGAUUUCUUUCGUUCUUCCCUGAUCUAAGAUUUUUUCGCCUGGUUACCCAAUUUAUUUAUACUGAUCAAUUUUAGCCUGAGGGAGAGCUGUGCGUAUCCAGUGAUCAACGCGUGGCUCUUGCACUGUUCUCUCCUUUAAAAACUAAUUUUUUUGAGAAUGGAGAUGGAGGGGCUAAUAUCCACCAUGGUCGUCAUUUAUUUAGUCUUAACAAAAUGGUCAUCAACAUUUCAAAUGUAACAUACACUACUAAUCCACAUUCCAAGUGUAAUAACAUGAACAUUCCGUCAAUUAUCGGUCAAAAUUUUCCAUUAAAUUGGCAAAUUAUCAUGCCAACUUAUCGUUUAUGUCCUUCAUUUUAUGUCGUGUAUUAUAUCAUAGAUCCACCGAUUCAAUCAAUCUAACUUGACAAUGUUCGAUUGACAACAACCAACUCAAAUAGAUUGAAAUAAGUUGGAUAUGGAAUAAAAUAUUUUAUAUGGUAGGGGGUAUAGAUGUAAAUUAUGGUUGAGUGGUUAAUAGUGAUCUACCAAUUGAACAGAAUGUAAGGAUGGAGAGUCAGGUAAUCAAAAGUGACCAUGUUGUUAUAAUUGAAUAGGUUAGUGGUAUGUAAGUUUCAUUUUAAAGAUUGAUGACCGUAUUGUUCGAACACAAUAGAUUGAUGACUAUAGUGGGUAUUACACCGAGAUGGAGGAUUCGAAGUUUAUUCUUUUGAUAAUUUUAUUAAUGCGUUGAUCUAAGGCAGGAUCUUACUCAACUGAUUCGGAUGCCUUUGGUCCACUUACCAUUGAGAUUGUUGGGCUGGGCUCAAACGUUUGGGCUUAUCUUUUUCAAUCAAUGUGGGCUUUGUAACUCUUACUCCAGUUGGGCUUUUCUUAUGUUUCAUCUUUUUUUCUAAGAGUUGUUUUAAAAAAAACUAUUUGGGAUUUAAUUAAUUUUAAGUGACAUUGUUAACCAUUUUGACUUUGUCUAUCAACCAUAAGUUUAGUUUACUCUAUUAUUUAUUUAUUUAGUGGCUUACCACUUCAUGCAAUCAUCUCCUAGUAGAUGAAGAAAUUUAUUAAUGUUAUCCAUGGUAGUUAUUUAAUUAAACCAAAAAAAUAUCACAUAAGAGUUUAUCUUAACCUUUCGCAAAAGAAAUUUUUCUUUUACCGUUUGUAUUACGCUUUUGAAUUAUACUUCUAGGUAGCUCGAUAAGUGAUCCCAGUAUUAAGUCAUCUUUUCAAAAUAAAGACCUUUUAAAACUACACGUCGAACUUGAACCACAGGUCUAGCAAAUUAUUUGCUAGUUACCUAUCAAAUAUGGCUAUUGUUGUUAAUACUGAAUACUUAAAAUUAUAUUUUUGUAAAACAAAAUAUGAAGGUAUAGUGCAUUAUUUAUUUAUUUGCUCGUUAGCAUGAUAACAACCUCUUAUUUACCACAUAUUUAAUUUAUUAUUGAGUUGAAUAUUUAUAUUGUUAAUUUAAGACUUUUUAACUAUCAAUUUGAGUCAGACCUCUUAUAAAAUAAUAUAAACUUCACCAAAAUAUUGUGAUGAAGUCUUGGAUAAUGGAUCCUUAUCCCCUAAUUUUCCAAUUGUGGUGUGGUUGUUCACUCACAUUUUUUGUUGACCAAGUACUUUGAUUUUUAUUAGGUGGUUCACUUUAUUGAUCCACUUUAAAAUAUUCUUCACUUAAUUUAUUAGCUCACUGUAUACGUAAACGAAAACUUAAAUACAAAUAAAGUAUUACAAGAAAAUUAAAUAAAACACUCCAAAAUUUUUGAUUUCGAGAAUUUUACAUUUACCGUUAUAUCCUAUUUGUGCUACGAAUCCAUUAUUAGUUUAAACAAAAAUCAGUGAAUCGGAUCUCAAAAUCUGUGGACAGAUUGGUUGUUGGUGGGUUAGCAAAUCCUUGGAUGGCCAAGAAAAAAGAGUAGAACUUAGAAAAAUCAAACAACCUUUGGUGGGGCUUGAUUUCAACAAUAUUAGGCUCACCUACCUCCUCUAAUCCAAACCCAAAAACGAAAAAUAAAACUGUGGUUGGUGGUGAAAGCAAGACCUACCCAAGUAGUGAUUAUCCCCUCUUCAACAACUCCAAACUAAUCAAUAAUUGCUUAUCAAUAAUAAUCAAUCAACUAACCUAGUAGCUAAAAGGCUCUGUCCCGUGGUUAAACACAUGAUCAGAAGUUAGCACAAGUAUACCUAUGUAUUUUCGACUAUCAUUCCUUUGUUAAAAUAUUACAGUGGUUGAUCAGAAUCAUUUAUUGACAUGUGGAUUUUCACUUCGGGCCUCUUAUAAAAUCGAGAUGUUUUAUUUGGAAACAGACCAACAUGAUUUAUUAAUGAGCGACCAUGACUAUAAACGCAAGUAACAAAUGAUUAUCGGUCAUGAAUUACGAUGAUAAAUAAAACGUUCUCAUGUGGGUACUAAAAUGGGAGGUCCCAGUGAAGAAAAAAACCAAUCAAUCAAGCAAGAGCCAUAGAAUACUCGGUAACAUGGGAAAUCAGGCAUAUGUCGGAUCUAAGAACCAGAACUUGAUGAUCAUACGUUGGAUUUAGGUGCCAACCUUCUUAAUGAGAUUCCUACCUACGACAAAGCGCAUUUUUUUGCAGUGAUGGAUCCCCACCGGAGUCUACGUAGAUACUUCGAUGGUUGAUAAAAUAAUGACAGCGAUUCAUUUCGUUAUGGGAGAGCGAAAAGAGAAGCGAGGAUGGUGUCGGCGGUGGAUUUAGCGAGUUUCUUUUUCAGGUUACGAUUUAAUUUUUGUUCGAGUUUAGAUUUCCGAUAUUAUAUACUAUUUUUAUUUUUUCAAAUGAAUUACGCAUAUAUUUAUGGCUUAGUAUAUUUUGAAUUUUCGAGAAAUGCUUAUUGCUCAUAUUAUUAAUAUUGCUCCAUCUCAAAACAGAUAUUGUUUAGUACAAACUUUAAAUCAUUAGGAGACGACUCCCCUAAAACGGUGGACGCUUAACCCCUAAGAACGGUGAGCAAGCUCGCCAUAUGAGCCUCCUCUUUGCAAUUUCUCCUAACUCAACACACCACCACGGAAAACGGUAAACUAUUAAGAAUAUGCCGACACUCACAAAUGGUGGCACCAAACUUGGAACAAUCCGGCUUCGAACAUGUUGCUGCUUUUGCCACGAUUUGGUUGUCCGACGCGAAAUAUUACGUGGUCGUACCCCAUGCCCUGCAACCACUCCAUCGUUGUAAGCAUAGCUACUCCUUCACUUCCAUUUUAAAUUAUAUGCAUAUUAAUUCAGUAUAUUAAACCAUUUUAGAUUUGUUGUUAGAUUAAGGAAAAAAGAACCCCACUUGAGUAUCUUUCCCCCUACCAACCCCAGGGCAAUUCAGAGGAACUAAUAAUGGGGGUUGGUCGGUAUGUUUAAUUUCAUAGGAAAAACAACAAAUUAAAUUGAACAUGCGAAUGCACCACCAUAAGUACACUAGUACAGUAGCACAUAAGUAUUUAAUGAAGCGAUGUUAUACACACCGAAUGACAUUGCUUGUCCAAACCUAACUUAUUAAUCAACUGAUAAUUACCUCUUUAAAUAUAAGAAAAAAACUCGAUAUCUCGCAUUCUCUUUAUCAACUUCAUAGAACAUACGUAAGUGAUAUAUGAUGCUACGUGAUUUGCGUCCCUCGCUCUACCUAAUUAGCCAACCAUAUACAUCAGAAUUCGUGGUAAACCUGUAAUUAAACCUGUAAUACUCUCAGCUAUGUCUUUACCUUUGCUAACAAGUAAAGUGUAAACAUAAAAAAAAAUGUACAUAGAAGACAAAUAGACGUAUGAAGGGAACAUGAUGAUUAUAUGGAUGAAUUGUUCAACACAUUCGGUGUUAGGUAAUGGAUAAGAACACUAGUACAUAAAGAAAGACUCAAUUCAUGGAUAAAGAAGCAGUCCACUUCUAUAUUGUUUGCUAUUUACAUCAAAUUUGAAGGAUUUGCUCAGAUUUCAUGUUAGUAUAACUGGUGAAUCGUGUUAAGUUGAAACACAUUUGAUUUUACCGAUAUGGUACUUAUAUCGUUAUCCCAACAAUAUCUUCAAUGUCCUUUUGAAAAACUACCUUCGAAAAACAUAGUUAGAAUCUCCUACUUGUCUAGCUUAUGCAACGGAUCUAAGAGAGUCUUUCCCAAGACUCGACCUAGCCCAUUUCCGAGUCUAGAGUUAUUUCAGAUUUUAUAUAAUUCGAGCUAAUACACUCAAUUGUUUUGGAUCCGUCGCAAUCCGAUGUCUGCUACUGUUAUUUAGAAUCACUCCCCACUCGCAGGCACUUUGAUUGGACCAUUAUUAUUGGAACUUACUUACCACCUUCUCGUGGUUGUGCCGGCGACUAAUAACAAAGCUCUCACCAAACACUUGAUUAGUACAUGUAUAAAACCAAACCCUAAAAUAUCAACGCAACACGACACCAAACCCAAAAGCAAAAUUCUCACCAACCCCCAUCCAUCAUCUCCAGCCAUCCACUUCCUCCCUCUCAUUGGUUCUUAUUUCAACCCCAAUCCAUAUAUAAUUUUAUAAUGGCAAGGCCGUCGUGGGUUGGUGGAGUCACGAAUAUACACAGAUUUUAAGUUCGAAUUCUAACUUUCGACCACAUAAAAAGGCAAAUAAUUAAUUUAGGAUAUGAUAUAAUGGUAAUAAAACUUUCAAAAAGAAAUUAGCUAUAAAAGAUGGCAGGAAUGUGUGUGUUUUUUUCUUUUACUUCCACGUGUCGUCAAACCCAGCCGUCCAAUAUCACCAUGAUCCAACGACUGUGAUCACUUCUCAACUAACCCAUAGCCCCACCAACACCCAACCUUCACCCCCCCCUUUAUUUAAAUCUCCAAAAUUUGGUUCAACAAACCUCAGGAAUCAUUUCUGGGUUACCUACAGAAAAGUUUCCUUUGCAAAGCCUUAAAAUUACUCAAUUGCCCCAUUUCGAAACCAUAAACAAAAAAACAAAAACAAAAGACAAUGGAGCUCUGCAGCAACGAGAACAACAACAAUGGUGGUGGGUUUUCCCUCGCUGACCCGUUGAACUGGGGAAUGGCGGCAGAGUCGAUGAAAGGGAGCCACUUGGAGGAGGUGAAGCGUAUGGUUGAAGAGUCGAGAUCCCCUGUCGUCAAGCUUGCCGGGCAGACUCUGUCCAUUGCCCAAGUCGUCGCAAUUUCCCGCUCCGACGCCUCGGCUGAGCUCGACGAGGAGGCCCGGCCAAGGGUGAAGGCCAGCAGCGACUGGGUGAUGGAGAGCAUGAACAAAGGCACGGACAGUUACGGUGUCACGACCGGGUUCGGAGCUACGUCUCAUCGUAGGACUAAGCAGGGUGGAGCCCUUCAGAGGGAGCUCAUCAGGUACCAAUUUCAAAAAAUUUCACAUAAGAUUUUGUUUCUCCUUACGAGGAUCUUAAACGGCAGUCUAAGUUGGUCCAUCCAUAAUUCCGCUAAUUGUUUACGAUAUAGUUCAACUUAAUGGUGUGUUCAUGAUUUAGUGUCUAGAUUAAUUAGGUGAAGAGUUGGUUUGAAAUUUAGUUGCUCGUUAACCAGAAUCAAUAUUUUUGUUUGUUUCUAUGAAACUUAGGUUUCUAAAUUUAAUUCGAGCAUAUUCUUUUGCAGUAUGGAAAUAAAAUUAUUAUUUAUUCGAAUUAAUGGGUUUUAUUUUAUUUCAUUUAAAAUUUGUUAUUCACGUAAAAUUAUUUUUUAAAACUUCCUGAGAAAAUGUUAUGUAAUAGUUAGCCUUCAAUGGGGAAACAUCAAUUUGAUUAAUUUGAUGAAAAACAUAGCUAGUGAUUUGAAGUAUAUGAUCGAGUUUGUGACACAUCCGGUCCAGUUCACUCUGCAUCAAGUGAUUAGACCCAUCUCCUAGAUCUUGUGCAUAUAUGACACUCUCUUGUGUUACAUUAUUUUGACAAAUUUAUCUUGUUAAAAAAAUUAAUAGAUUAUAUUGAAUUAUUAAGCACUAUAUAUAAUUUUUUUAAUUGAAUAUGAAAAUGUCAGUAUAAAUUUGACCGAUUACUGACAACGAUUUUUGUUGUUAAUAUCUGCUACAACUUUAAGCGAAAGUAUAUAAAAAGUGAAGUGAAGUNNNNNNNNNNNNNNNNNNNNNNNNNNNNNNNNNNNNNNNNNNNNNNNNNNNNNNNNNNNNNNNNNNNNNNNNNNNNNNNNNNNNNNNNNNNNNNNNNNNNNNNNNNNNNNNNNNNNNNNNNNNNNNNNNNNNNNNNNNNNNNNNNNNNNNNNNNNNNNNNNNNNNNNNNNNNNNNNNNNNNNNNNNNNNNNNNNNNNNNNNNNNNNNNNNNNNNNNNNNNNNNNNNNNNNNNNNNNNNNNNNNNNNNNNNNNNNNNNNNNNNNNNNNNNNNNNNNNNNNNNNNNNNNNNNNNNNNNNNNNNNNNNNNNNNNNNNNNNNNNNNNNNNNNNNNNNNNNNNNNNNNNNNNNNNNNNNNNNNNNNNNNNNNNNNNNNNNNNNNNNNNNNNNNNNNNNNNNNNNNNNNNNNNNNNNNNNNNNNNNNNNNNNNNNNNNNNNNNNNNNNNNNNNNNNNNNNNNNNNNNNNNNNNNNNNNNNNNNNNNNNNNNNNNNNNNNNNNNNNNNNNNNNNNNNNNNNNNNNNNNNNNNNNNNNNNNNNNNNNNNNNNNNNNNNNNNNNNNNNNNNNNNNNNNNNNNNNNNNNNNNNNNNNNNNNNNNNNNNNNNNNNNNNNNNNNNNNNNNNNNNNNNNNNNNNNNNNNNNNNNNNNNNNNNNNNNNNNNNNNNNNNNNNNNNNNNNNNNNNNNNNNNNNNNNNNNNNNNNNNNNNNNNNNNNNNNNNNNNNNNNNNNNNNNNNNNNNNNNNNNNNNNNNNNNNNNNNNNNNNNNNNNNNNNNNNNNNNNNNNNNNNNNNNNNNNNNNNNNNNNNNNNNNNNNNNNNNNNNNNNNNNNNNNNNNNNNNNNNNNNNNNNNNNNNNNNNNNNNNNNNNNNNNNNNNNNNNNNNNNNNNNNNNNNNNNNNNNNNNNNNNNNNNNNNNNNNNNNNNNNNNNNNNNNNNNNNNNNNNNNNNNNNNNNNNNNNNNNNNNNNNNNNNNNNNNNNNNNNNNNNNNNNNNNNNNNNNNNNNNNNNNNNNNNNNNNNNNNNNNNNNNNNNNNNNNNNNNNNNNNNNNNNNNNNNNNNNNNNNNNNNNNNNNNNNNNNNNNNNNNNNNNNNNNNNNNNNNNNNNNNNNNNNNNNNNNNNNNNNNNNNNNNNNNNNNNNNNNNNNNNNNNNNNNNNNNNNNNNNNNNNNNNNNNNNNNNNNNNNNNNNNNNNNNNNNNNNNNNNNNNNNNNNNNNNNNNNNNNNNNNNNNNNNNNNNNNNNNNNNNNNNNNNNNNNNNNNNNNNNNNNNNNNNNNNNNNNNNNNNNNNNNNNNNNNNNNNNNNNNNNNNNNNNNNNNNNNNNNNNNNNNNNNNNNNNNNNNNNNNNNNNNNNNNNNNNNNNNNNNNNNNNNNNNNNNNNNNNNNNNNNNNNNNNNNNNNNNNNNNNNNNNNNNNNNNNNNNNNNNNNNNNNNNNNNNUUAAGGCUGAGGUGACUUUGAAGAUUAUGAAUAAGUUGGUGAACACUUAUUCCUCAUGAUGAAUACGACAAGUUUCCAACUAACUAGUUAAACAGUUGUUGAAACAAAGUAGAUACAUCGUUAGACAAUGGUUGAAACGUGCUUAGAUUCCUCGUCGAAUUGUGUACUAAUCGUAGUAGAUCUUUUGAUACGCACCAGGUUCUUGAACGCUGGAAUAUUCGGCAACGGUACAGAGUCAAACCACACGCUGCCAUACUCCGCGACCAGGGCAGCCAUGCUGGUCAGGAUCAACACCUUGCUCCAGGGCUAUUCAGGAAUCCGUUUCGAAAUUCUCGAGGCCAUCACCAAGCUCCUCAACAACAAUGUCACCCCUUGUCUACCUCUCAGGGGCACCAUCACCGCCUCUGGUGACUUGGUCCCUCUAUCCUACAUUGCAGGCCUGUUAACCGGCCGGCCCAACUCUAAAGCUGUCGGCCCCAAGGGCGAGUCCCUCGACGCAACACAAGCCUUCCAGGCCGCUGGGAUCACCGGUGGAUUCUUCGAGUUGCAGCCAAAGGAAGGUCUGGCGAUGGUGAACGGUACUGCAGUCGGUUCAGGAAUGGCCUCGAUGGUCCUUUUCGACGCCAACAUUUUGGCGGUCAUGUCCGAGGUUCUCUCAGCGAUUUUCGCUGAAGUUAUGCAAGGUAAACCCGAGUUCACAGACCACUUGACGCAUAAGCUGAAGCAUCACCCUGGCCAGAUCGAAGCUGCAGCGAUCAUGGAACAUAUCCUGAAGGGCAGCUCUUACGUCAAGGAAGCUGAGAAAUUGCACGAAAUCGAUCCGUUACAGAAGCCGAAACAGGACAGAUAUGCUCUCAGGACGUCUCCUCAAUGGCUCGGCCCGUUGAUCGAAGUGAUCAGGUCGUCGACGAAAAUGAUCGAAAGGGAGAUUAAUUCGGUCAAUGACAAUCCAUUGAUCGACGUCUCGAGAGGGAAGGCGAUCCACGGAGGGAACUUCCAGGGAACCCCGAUCGGUGUCUCGAUGGACAACACUCGUUUGGCCGUUGCUUCGAUUGGGAAGCUCAUGUUUGCACAGUUCUCCGAGCUUGUCAACGACUUCUACAACAACGGUCUGCCAUCCAACUUAACCGGUGGACGAAACCCCAGCUUGGACUAUGGGUUCAAGGGGGCUGAAAUCGCGAUGGCAUCCUACUGCUCCGAGCUUCAGUUCCUGGCAAAUCCAGUUACAAACCAUGUACAGAGCGCUGAACAACACAACCAGGAUGUCAACUCAUUGGGCCUGAUUUCGGCUAGGAAGACUGCCGAAGCUGUGGAGAUACUAAAGCUGAUGUCGACAACUUACUUGGUCGCUCUAUGCCAAGCAGUCGAUUUAAGGUAUAUCGAGGAGAAUCUGAAGCAGACAGUUAAGAACACGAUCAGCCAAGUUGCGAAGAAAGUACUCCUGACCAACGGGGAGCUGCUCCACCCGUCGAGAUUCUGCGAGAAGGAGCUCUUGAAUGUUGCAGAGAGGGAGUACUUGUUUGCAUACGCAGACGAUCCUUGCAGCGCAACCUACCCUCUGAUGCAGAAGCUGAGAGGGGUGCUGGUGGAGCACGCGUUGCUGAACGGUGAGAGCGAGAAAGACUCGAGCACUUCCAUCUUCCAUAAGAUUGCGGUGUUCGAGGAGGAGCUGAAGGCUAUCCUGCCGAAAGAAGUUGAGAAUGCAAGGAGCGAGCUGGAGAAAGGGAAUCCGGCUAUCCCGAACAGGAUCAAGGAAUGCAGGUCGUAUCCGUUGUACAAGUUUGUGAGGGAGGAAGUUGGUACCAGUUUGCUUACGGGUGAGAAGGUUAAGUCACCAGGUGAGGAAUUUGACAAGGUGUUCACUGCUAUGUGUGAAGGGAAGCUCAUUGACCCUUUGUUGGAGUGCCUCAAAGAAUGGAAUGGUGCUCCUCUUCCCAUCUGCUAGAAGAACAAAUAUAAGCAUGAAUUACCCCGAUGUAAUCUUUUUGUAUUUUCCUGCAAACAAACUAUUAUUAUCUGAUGUAAAAGUGAACUGCUUUUUGGUUGUUAUUUCCUUUCUUUACCCAUUAAUGUGUAAACUAUCAGUGUAUCUUCUCUAAUUUUUGUUGGGAAUCCUUUUCUGUGUACUGGUUUCAAGACAAACGGAUGAAAUCUGUAUACGAAAGGAAAUAAUUAAGUCUUCUUGUUGCUUGAAAUUGGGGAUAAGUCAGAUUGAGGUUUCUGAGCGUACCGUAGAUUGAUGAACUGGAGCUCAGAAUUGUAGCUGGAAAAAAUGAAGUAACCAGCUCUGAUUCUGAGCGGAGGCCUUGAAUCUUCUGAAUACUUUUUAGAGCGGUUAAUUGAAAUCUGAGCGCAAUCGGAGAACAGAGAAGGGAUGAACCCUAAUUCCCAAUUUUAAUUAUUAAUCAAACGUGGGUAUUACCGUAUCAGUGCAACGAAGAGAAAACGACACCGGAUACGUUGUCGGUAUCAGGAAAGUUGCCGCCGACAAUAUUUUGUGAGGUCAAAAGCAUAACCAGCCAUCCAAAUUUGGAGUAGGUAAUAUUUCGGUCAUUCAAAUUGUUUGUAACCGAACCCAUAACUCAAGCUAACAGAUUUAACAAACUAACCGUUUUUGACCGCCAACUCAAAUAGUUUCCAGAUCUUUAAUUAACCGACUCAACCAUCCAUCCAAAUGAAUGGACCGAAACAACCCAAACCACCUCCCACCUCUUUCCCAACCCAAAAUCCACUGUGCCGCCAUCAAAACUACAAGCUCUCUGUUUAUGAUCUCCCUAUGCGUUUGAAAUGUCGAGAUACACUUCGAGCAUAUCUAGAAAUCAAUCUAUCACACCGAGAUUCUCUAUAAUUUUUAUAUAUUAUUUCAUCCGAAUCAAUGAAAAAUGAUUAACCGUUUAUUUGGAUAAGUUGGUUCAUGGUGGGAAGGUCUUUGGUUGUUGAGCUUUGACUGCUGCGCCAACCAUAUUUUCGGUUUGAUCCGAGGGUAAGCCAAGCGGGGGUUGGUGAGUAAAGCGACAAAUAAUGACCCGAAACUAACCACACCAAACUCCAAACUUUUAUUUCCCACACUAACCCCAUCACCACAAGGUCGGUAGCUCUGGAGGUACCUUCUGUUUUCCCUAUGUACAAAUUCAGCACUCUUCCUUCAAAAAGUAAUCCCCGGAUACCAUUUUUUUUUCAAAAUGAAAAUUUCACUUAUCGUUGUUGUUAAUUCGACCGCAUACAUGAUUCUUUUCAUGUCACUUAAACUUGAAUUUAUAUUUUUAAUAUCUGAGUUUUAAAUAAUUUUCUCAAAAAUUUAAAUAUAAUAAAAAGGAAUCAAAUAAUCAUCAUUUUUCCUUUUACAAUUUUCCUAAAUCACUUUUUAAUUUCGUAAUCCUUCAUACUACUUCAAUUUCAACAAAUCUUUAUUGUUUGAAGACUUCAAAAGAAAAUUAUUGUACACCUAACUCUCACAUUUUUUACAUUAGACAUUCUAUAAUCUAACAACUCUUUUUUUCUCUUCUCGCUCUUUAACAAUUUAAUUACAAGACAAUAUUCAAAAUGUCCACCAAAACUCUAAUAAUAUAGAAAGGGCCACGUAGGUGAACUAACCGUACUCGAUGACAUGUGGUGACGAGAUAAGAGAAAAAAUAGAUGUAUUUUAAUGUUGAAAAAUAGAUGUAUAUCAGAUACCAAAAUUGCUUUUCUAAAAAAGAGUGUACUGAUUUGGCCAUGGGAUAAAUGUUAGGUACCCAACACCACCGCCAGUCCGCCACCCACCAACCAAAGGAUAAAAAUGGAAAAGAAAAUAGGCGCAAAUUAGUAAUUUAGCCUUUUAAUUAAGGAAAUAUGAGGACUUCCACGUAAAUUAAUAAAAUACCUAAUUACCUACUGCUACCACUGAGUCGCUAAGCCUAUAUAAUUCUUAACCAACCCUCCCCUGUUUUCCGCUUCCUCACUUGCUUCCACACUCUGCUGCAGCUCCCUGUUCUUCAUCAGCUCCAUCGCAUUUGGAUCUCAUCAACACUCUAGAUCUAGAAAAUGGCGUCCGAAGGUAUCUUGCUGGGCAUGGGAAACCCACUCCUCGACAUCUCUGCUGUUGUCGACGACGCCUUCUUGUCCAAGUAUGUCAUCCUAAUCGAUAUCUGAUCUUAUCUCUCUUUCACACUUACCGUUGAUCAUUAUGUUGAGAAAUCAGAUCUGGGAAAUGGGUCCUAAUCAUAAUUGAUAUAUUGUAGUAUUGUUCGUUUUCUGGUGCUGGAUCUACGUUCCUUUCUUAUUUAGAGGGAUUCGAUCUCAUCUUUGUGUCCCUUAAGUUGAUUUAUAACUGGUGGGUGUGAAUUGACGGAUCUACGUUCUCUUCUGAUUGGGGAUUUGGACUUUCCUAUUUCGAAUCUGGGGAAUGAUCAGCUUUCACUGUCCGUCUAGUUGCGGAAAUUUUAUUUUGAUGUUGAGUUUUAUUUUUAUUUUUGAGUAAACUAAAAUGGGGCAACUUAGUUAGAUUGAACUGAUGCUUUCACUGUUUGAUCUUGAGCUAACGCUGAGCUGAUUCAUUUCAUAGGUAUGGCGUCACGUUGAACAAUGCUAUUCUUGCCGAGGACAAGCAUUUGCCCAUGUAAGUUUCGUAUUUCUGUGUUGAAGACUAUCCUUUUUUUAACCUUUGUUCAAUGCUGAACUGAUUCAGCUUGUAAAGUUAUAUGACUUGAUUUACGCUUGGAUUUUGAAGGUAUGAUGAAAUGUCCAGCAAAUACUCUGUCGAGUACAUCGCUGGAGGUAACAUUGAGAUCCCGCAAGUUCUUUCAUGAUUAAGCCACUUGUUCUUUGGAAAAAUUUCUGCAUAUUAAUCCUUUUAUUCGCUCAUUGUAAUUAUAGGUGCCACUCAGAACUCCAUCAGAGUUGCUCAGGUAUGAUGAAUGUCACAUGGCAGUUUUUUAUGUCUUCCAGGAGUCCACCUAUGUUUGUACUGUUGCUGAUUUUCUUUCCACGAUUUUCUGUAUAUUUUGCAGUGGAUGCUCCAAAAACCUGGUGCAACUAGCUACAUGGGUUGCAUUGGGAAAGACAAGUAUGGUGAGGAGAUGAAGAAAAAUGCCACGGACGCUGGCUUGAAUGUAUGUAACGCUUAAUCUCCAGUUUACUCUCUGGUUGGUUUCUCUUCAUCUCACCGUUGAAAUCAUUUUUCAUUUGCCAUGAUAAGGUCCAUUAUUAUGAAGAUGAAGCUGCCCCUACCGGGACAUGUGCUGUCUGUGUUGUUGGUGGUGAGAGGUUAGUGGGUUUCAAUCUUAAGACUGUCUAAUAUGUAACUUGCUUUUCAAAUGCAUUGGUGAAUGUUUGUACUCCUUUGCCUAUAAUGUUGCAAAAUUUAUUACUCUUAGUUUAUUGGCAUUAAAGAGGAUACCGCCUUUUGUUUCAUCUGAUUCCGACUGUUUCAAAACAAGAAUCAACUUUGAUAUCAUUGACUGAUGGUCUUCUGAUUAAUUUAAUCGAUACAUCCAAGUGAUCUGGAGAGUGAUAACUCAUGGUGCAUAUUAUUUUCCUUGCAGACAUCAUCGGGUUUUUUUUUGUUUUUUCUUAGAUUUCUUUCAGGCAAUUGCUUUUGUCUAUGUGUUGUCGUCAGUUAUUCGAUUUGGCUGUAAGUAUGUCUAUUAUAUAUAAAGUAGAACAAUGAACUCCUUGUUAAUACUCCCACAGGUCACUUAUUGCAAAUUUGUCCGCUGCAAACUGUUACAAAAUUGACCAUUUGAAGCAAGCUGAGAACUGGGCUCUAGGUAUGACUUGCACUUCAGACCUUUAAAGUUCUACUUCGUUCUUGAAUGCAUUGUCGUAUCCCUUAUCAUGUUUGAUUUUUUAUUUUGGUUGUAGUUGAGAAGGCCAAAUACUACUACAUCGCUGGAUUUUUCUUGACCGUAUCUCCUGAAUCUAUCCUUCUCGUCGCUGAGCAUGCAGCUGCCAAGAACAAGGUAUGCAUUAUCAGGCUGUACGUUGUAGGUAUUGCUUUUGAUGUUCAUAAUCUAACUAAGUCUAUUGCUGUUCAAAGAUCUUCUCGACCAACCUUUCUGCUCCAUUUAUCUGCGAGUUCUUCAAGGAUGCCCAAAUGAAAGUUCUACCGUAAGUAAUGCGUGUUCAUAGCAUCAAGUUCUUUUCAUGCUCUAGCUUAGGCUCUGACAUGCACUUGUUCUGUAGCUAUGCUGACUACGUGUUUGGCAAUGAGACUGAAGCUAGAACCUUCUCUAAGGUCCAUGGAUGGGAGGUAAUUGCUUCUCGACAUCUUUGUCUGUUUUAACUGGGCAACAAAUUCGAAACCUUUGUGAACACUAAUUUGUUCUUUUUUCUUCUCAGACUGAGAAUGUAGAGGAGAUUGCUGUUAAGAUCUCCGAGUUGCCCAAGGCUUCAGAUGCACGCAAGAGGAUUACUGUUAUCACCCAGGGAGCUGACCCAGUUGUCGUUGCAGAAAACGGGAAGGUGAAGAAUUUCCCAGUCACCUUGUUGCCCAAGGAAAAGAUCGUGGACACCAAUGGAGCUGGUAAGAACCCUUUCAAAUACAACUUUCUGGUUCAUUGAGUAUCUGUGUAGACCUUAUAACACUAUUGCCUUAUCGGUAUCCAGGGGACGCCUUUGUCGGAGGGUUCUUGUCACAGCUGGUGCAGGAGAAGCCAAUUGAAGACUGUGUUAGAGCCGGAAUCUAUGCGGCCAAUGUGAUCAUCCAGAGGUCAGGAUGCACAUACCCAGCGAAGCCAGAGUUUAACUAGAUCCAGAUAAUCAAUGGAAGGCCUCCCCACAAGCACAGCAAUUAUAGUAGUAAUGAAUUUUAUGUCGAGUUCUCUACUCUGCUGAAGCAUUGAUCUGAUUGUUGCGGCUUUUUUUAUUAUAUUAUUGAAAAACUCCUGGAACCUUAGAGGUUUAUGUUUCGUACGCUGUGCCAUUGAUAAAUUGGAGUUAGCUUGGUAUUACAGUUUGUGCUUAGCUGGGGAGGUCUGAGAUGGUUUAAGAUAUGCGAUGGGCAAAAUAAGAUGGAAGUGUUUUGGGUUAGUCAACAAAAUAGAGUUGUUUCGGCCGGAUUGAGUUUUACCCAGUUUGAGCUCGGCUCAUUUGCAAGUUUCAAUGCACUCGAGCUUGAGCCGUUCACAAGGCUAACCAGCUCGAACUUGAGCUUUACUCAUUCCGAAGAAUAGUCGAAUAAAGGCAUCACAUAUUCAUACUAUUCUUAAACUGACAGGACUAUUAAAUUCAUACUAUUCUUAAACUGACAGGACCACUAAAAUCUUAUCAAGUAAUUAGUUGUUGAGAAAUAUUCAAUCAUCAUCAAAUUCUUGGUUUUCUUAGAUGGAUCCCGAGCCUAUUCGUGAGUUCAUGUGGAGCUAGUAAUCGAAUCAUUCGUGAGUUUUCAACUCCCCCAGCUUGCCAGCUACAUGAAUCGAGUUAUAAGCGAGCUGGUUACAAAUUUAUUUCGAAAGAUAGACAAGGCAAGCGGGAUUUGCUCAUAUAAUCAUGUUUAGCUUGUUUAUUAUUGAGCAAGCUUGUUUCAAUCGAACCAAACUUGCACACCGAAGUGCUCUGGCUUCGCCAACAGCCCUAGUCAAGAAUAUAAGGUGUUUUCGAAUUUCGAUAUCCUAGUCGCAUCAGUACCAUAUUGCCAUAUUACCCCUCCAAGCAGUGUGAUAUUCAUAUUACCCAUCCAGCUGCCAUGUGUCAAUCCAUAGUCCGACCACCCCUGCAAAAAGCUCCCACCGACUUCCUCGACAUUGUUGCAAAAUAUCAGACCCCCCUCCACUACUUAUCCCACCAUCCAAGAUUUGCUGAUAACAACAUCCAUCCUCCCCCAUUUUCUCCAAAAGCCAACAACUUUCGAAUCCAUUUCUUCUUCGAGAAACCCCUGCAAUCUUUCACUUCACUGUAUCACCAAUGGCCGCCGCAGCACCGCCGCCGCCACCGUCCCCGACUCCCAACCCACCAACGGGCUUACCGAACUCCGAAAGCAACACCCCAGUCGGCUACCCACUCUUCUCCCGCAUCCGCCUCGCCACCCCAACCGACGUCCCCCACAUCCACAAGAUGAUCCACCAAAUGGCCGUCUUCGAGAAGCUCACCCAUCUCUUCUCCGCCACCGAAUCAAACCUCUCCUCCUCCCUCUUCACCUCCCCUCCUUUCCAAUCCUUCACUGUCUUCCUCUUAGAAAUAUCCCGCUCCCCUUUCCCCAACGCCCCGACUCCUUCCUCUGCUUCCACCACCCACCGCAUCGUCAACCUCGACCUCCCCGUCAUCGACCUGGAGGCGGAGACGUUCAAGACCGGCGAUGAUGUUGUGAUUGCUGGAUUCGUGUUGUUCUUCCCCAAUUACUCCAGCUUCUUGGCGAAGCCCGGGUUUUAUAUUGAAGAUCUGUUCGUGAGGGAGUGUUACAGGAGGAAAGGGUUUGGAAAGAUGCUGCUUUCGGCUGUGGCGAAUCAGGCUGUGAAGAUGGGGUAUGGGAGGGUUGAGUGGGUUGUGCUUGAUUGGAAUGUGAAUGCCAUCAAUUUUUAUGAAGGGAUGGGUGCGAAAGUGUUGCCUGAGUGGCGCAUUUGUAGGCUGACUGGCUCUGAACUUGAAGCCUAUGGCGAUUCUGCUGCUCUGUAGAAGGCUUCUGUUUAGUUAGUGCUGAGUGGUUCUUUCCUUCUAGUGAUCUUCGAUCGCCUUGUAAGAGUUUUUAUGCAAACUAUGUGCUGCUAAUUAUUGAAAUGAAACUUUCUGAUGCUUUCGAGUUCUUAUUCUCUGUAUUUUGGAUGCUUUAUGAAGUUCAGUUCUGCUCCAUUUUAACAUAUUUUCAAAUGGAGUGAAUGAUUGAGCUGUCAUUAGUUGGUUUUUCAAAUUCCUCUUUCACUUGUUAUUUAUUUGACAAUGUACCAGGGGAAACACGUUACAAAACCUGUUAUUUAGUUAUGAAGUUAACAGUUCUGCUGCAUAUUUAGCUAAUUUUUGCAAAUGGAGUGAAUGAUUGAGCUUUCAUUCGUUUGGUACUUCAAUUUAUUCUUUCACCUGUUAUUUAUGUGACAAUGUACCAGGGAAAACAAGUAACAAGUUAUAAAAACCUGUUAUUUAGUUGGAUACAUACUAAUAAUGAUAAGCUGGUAUUCUGAUGUCUGUAUAUCAGAGUUCUUUUGUUAGGUCCCACUAGUAUGGAGCUGUGGUCAAUGGCCUUAUUGGGUUUCUAGUGAACCCGAAGAGAAGGUACAUAAAACAGUAGACGUCAGCUCUCUUUUACUGUGGUAAAGGAGGCUGCAAGUGGUUGCCUGUACAAAGAUCAUGAUGUUUGUCUGUGACUGAGGUUCUAGCAAAUGAUAUGAUCAGACAUGGUUCUUAAUGGCCUUACUGUAUCCACUCUGUUCAUCAUAGUACUUUGACCACAACAUAACACCGCCAUACUUGUUAGAUUCCUUGAUUUUAGGCAAUACCUUGUUGAUCAGAUCAUGAGCAGGGAUAAAACCACUGCCUGCUGCACCUUCUGCGGCAGGGAGCCCCAAGAACACCUUUUUAGUGGGAAUGGACUCAGUCCAUUGAUGCCAAGCAUCUACGAGUCCCUCGAUGCUCCCAUCAGAGUAUUGGCAAGGAGGGUUGUUGUAGAAUUGCACCCAAAGGUAGUCAAAAAGGCCCGUGGUGAGUGCGCUUCCAACCCAUGCAUCCGGGAAUAUACAUUGUGGUGCUGCAGUUACAUAUACUUUCUUUUGACCAUUUUCGUGAUGUUUCAGGAACCUCGCGAGAUCGCUCCAGUGGUCGGUACUCCCUCCUUCAAUGUCAAAAUCAAUCCCGUCGAGAACUGCCUCGCCGAGUGGCCUUGAUGAGGAAUGCCCGCCUAAAAAAUUGUCCCACAGGUAAGUUGCAACUUUUCUUGCAUCGUCUGUACUUGUAAGAUAGUAACUGCCAACUCCACCUCCAAUGGAGAGCAAGACCUUGACACCUUUCUCUUGACACGACUUUAUCUCGGAGCUUAGUCCUUCACAGCCUCCAGAUGUCGGAUUGCAAUGCCCGGCGAGGUUGAUCGUUGGUGUUUGGCUGUUGCCAAAUGUUGGCAGGAAAGCUAUUAUCACAUAUCUGUAGUCUCCAGUUGCACAGGUCUCUCCCAGGCUCGCUUCGUUUCCGUUUUGUCCCCAGUAGAUCGCUAUGCUUCCAGCUUCUGAACUCUUGAGCAUUGACAGCAAGAGCCACAGUACUGAGAUUGCUGCUCUGGAAAAAGCUAACAUCUUGCUCGGAAGAAACGCUCGCUUUCUAUUGUAUGAUUUCUAUCUCUCUCGUUUAUAUGUAUUGCUGCUGAGACAUAUUCCUUUUAUAGUGUAGUAUUUUUACUGCAACUUAUGAGUGGGACAAUUCAAUGAUCAAAGUUGCUUUUCUUUCCUUAUAUAAAACUAUCUUCUCGAGGAUGAAAGGAUGUGGGAACUUGUUUCUUACAUUUUGUCGCAGGUCUAGUUAUUCUGUUGCAUAUGAUGUCCAUAAGGAAUGGUAUAAUCAGAAGAAACACGUGUGUGAAUCAGAGUUGAUCUAACUUCCUUGGUAAAGUCGACCAAUUUGUUCCUUCUGGUUUUAUUUGUGUCCACUUAGAUGAAAAAUCUAAUCUUUGGAGUCUUCCCUUGGAAAGGAGUCUUAAGAGUGUGUUAUUGCCAACUUCUUACGCUUCCUUGGUGAUUAAUUUAUGUCACUGUGUUGAAACCAUACGACUCAAAAGCUGAGAUUUUUUGUCGUUAUAGAUAGUUCUGUUCAUCAGCAAGUCUCUUUUGCAGGUUUUGAUAUGCGGUUUGAUACUUCAUUUGUAAUCUGAUUGGAUAUGGGUAUGAAAAUUAGGCAGACCAAGGGAUCAUAUAACAGUAAAAGAACUUUUUUGUACAUAAGUUGCAUUCAGGCAAGUGCAUUCUCACAAACUAUUCACAUACAAAUAUAGAAAAGGGAGUGCAUAUUUGUGGCCUGAUGCCACAUAAUUUUAGACAGAGUUCUUGAUGGAUUUGCUGUAACCAGUUUCGUCAUCGUAGAACUUCGACCACAGCAUAACACCACCGUACUUGUCACUAUCCUUGAUUGCAGGAAGGAUCUGAGAUUCGAGAUCAGCCGCAGGGAUGAAACCGCUCCCAGCUGCAUCCGGUGCAGCAGGCAACCCGAGGAAGAUCUUCCUAGCCGGAAUUCCAUUCCAUUGCUUCCACGCAUCUUCGAGGUUGCUGGUGCUUCCGGGAGAGUACUGGCAAGGAGGAUUGUUGUAGAACUGAACCCAAACAUAGUCAAAGAGUCCGGUCUGAAGUGCAUUCCCUAUCCAUGCAUCGGGAAACGGGCACUGAGGAGCCGCACUCAGUAAAAUUUUCUCGUUGUGAGAUUUUAGAGACCUGGCUAGAUCGUCCCAGUACAUGUUCGUUCCUCCUUCGAUGUCGAAGUCAAUCCCGUCAAGCACAGCAGGACCGAGUGGCCUCGACGAAGAGUGUCCGCCCAAGAAGUUGUCCCAAAGGUAAGUUGCAACGUUUUCCGCGUCUUGGGUGGAUGCAAGAUCGUAGCCUCCAGCUCCUCCACCGAUCGAAAGCAGCACCUUGAUCCCCUUAGCUUGACACGCCUUGAUGUCGGAGCUCAGACCGGCACAACCGCUGUUAGUUGGAUCACAGUGGCCUGCUAGGUUGAUUUGUGGUGGCUGUCCAUUGCCAAAUGAUGACAGGAAAGCUAUGUUCACGUAGUGAUAGUUCCUUGUGGCGCAAGUUUCAGCUAGGGUGCCUUCUUGCCCGUUCUGUCCCCAGUAGAUUGAUAUUCCGCCAGCUUCGGAACCGGCCAUCAGCCCUGCCAGAAGGAUUGAUGACAAGAGGAUUGACAUUGCCAUGGCUGCCCUGAAUGCCAUUCUAGUCACUUAGUUUUCCUGAGGUUUUUUGCCUUUUGUUUGGGGAUGCUUCUGGGUUGCAAGCUACGUUUCUGUGUUUGUUUAUAGGCAGCAGAGCUUGAAAGAUCCCUUGUGAGUUCAUCUGUUGGAUGAUUCUCAUUACUGCGUGGAGUAGCAGUACCUUUGUUUAGAGAUGAAUGAAUGAAUGGAAUUGAAUCAACGUUGCUGCUGUUGCUGCUAACUAAUAAGAUAAGGGUCAUGCAUGAGCUCAAAGAAUUUCAACGAAAGGGGACAGAUAAAAAUUGAGAUGACAACUUUACUGGUUUUGCAUUAUGAUCUCAAAUACUUUUUAUGUAACAAUUUGGUGAGUGUGAAAUAUAUCUUUCCACAGCUUGGUUUAUCUUUUUUUUUUUCGGACGAAUGGGCAAUAAUCGUCAAUCUUGCAGAAAAGUGUCACAUGGUUUAACAUUAACAAGUUAAAAUGGGAAGUAUAGUCCCACAUGUGGGGCUACAAGGGCCAACAGGAGGAUGAAUCGACUCAUUUUCAAACUUUCCUAACAUGAAAAACCAAAUUACACUAGCGACGACACAAAAACACAAACAACACGACAUUAAGUAACGUAAAUGCAAACACAAGACAGCAGAGUUCAAGCUUCACAUGGAAAAAAGAGUGGGGAGCUGGGUCGCUGCUUUAGUCUGCCGAAUGACCGAUCCUUCGCAGUGGUCAUCACUGCUUAUUCCAGCGGGCAGGCCAUCGAUGGUUGACUUGUAUGUAGGCCAAUUAUUCCUCCAUCAGUGAGCUUCUUCGGUGACUUUGAUGGUUUGGGGUGGACAGCCUCAUUCAUAUCCCAUCAUAUCUGGAUGUUUGCCUUGGCACCGCCUUUCUUAUCGUCCUGGAUUUGCAUCUCCUCCGUUUCUGACCGUGUAACAUCGUCCCCAUAUAUUAGCGGUUUGUGUUGGUCUUCGAUGUUCGCUCCUAUACACACACUGAGAUCCUGGAUGUUCCACAGGAUUGUAGACUUCCAAGCUCCAGGUCCGCUCGAGCUCAAAGCACAACUUGGUUUGGUUUUUGGUUAAUUUGGAUUUGGGUAUGAAUUUAAAUUUUACCGAAAAAGAUAAAGAAAAUCGCUAAUGGCAAAAGGUAAAAAAUCAAGCACCUAAGACUUUUUCAUAUCCGUUCAUUUCAAAAUAUUUGAACGGCCUGCAACAGAUUUAAUUUUAACACUAGGUAGUACGUCCGCGUUGCACUGCGGAAGUAAUAAAACCAUAUCAGCCUGUGCGUGUAAUCACAUUGUAAAACUAAUAGAAUUAAUUAAUGGAGAAAUCAGAAUACCAGAUCAAAUCCUAUAAUAAACAAAAUUUGGAUUCUUUGUAUCACAUCAUUCUCAACUCAAAUUUUUCCAUCCCAGAAAUCUUAGAUGUAUUUUCGAUCCGAAAACUACAAAGGGCGAUAAAAGAAAAGAGAUAUUACUUCUAGGACAAUCUAGACAUAAGGCAUGCUCGCAAGGGAUCUGCAGAAGAGGAACACAGUAGCAGAACCAACCCUGACCAAGGCAUGCCAGAGAAAUUCAAAUGCAUGCAACAAAGUCAUAGAAGACCAACAGUGGAAAAAUUGAAUCCGAUAGCACAUUUUGAAACUUUAAUUAAAGAAUUGGUGAAUAGCUGCAAAACCUAGCACGCUAUAAGAAGAAUUUCAUCACCCAAAGUCGGCUUGUUGUAAGAUAAGAUGUAAAGAAGCACGAAAUCAGGCCAUGAAACCAAGACCCAACAUAUCAAUGAAUAUGGACACAUCUCCAUGCAUGAGUAUAAAAGUAACUCAAAACAUGCUUAAGGUUGCAUCGAUAAAGAACUAAAAGAACUUCCACAAGUAAACAUCCCAACCCUAAGAAAUUUAAAUUCUAAUUUCUACCGUUAAGUAACUCUUUUAGGAUUUGUGUAAUGGUCCUUUUUUUGCUGCUCACCUCUCAAAUGUUGAUAAUGUCUAUAAUUGCAGGAUGAAAUUGUAUCAGAAGCUGCUGCUACUGAUGAACCUGAAGUAAUUGAGGAUGAUCAAUCUCACCAGUCUACCGACGAAUCAUUGUCCCAGCCCCUUCAACCAGAGCUGCAGGUGAGUGACAAUCAACUCUCUUAGCUAAUUAGCAUUCUCCUGCCCACGUUUGACCAUUUCGUUUGUUGUCUGCGAGCUCUUUAGCUUGUUCAGGUCGAUAACCCUGUUAAGGCAAAUGGAAACUCCAGCAGUUCCUUCUCACCAUCAACUGUGCAGUCAACCACUCGCAAGUUGAUUGCGGAACUUUCAACCAUGUAGCAGUCACAACUUACCAUCUGACUCGAAUCCAGGCCAUGGUUCGGACUUGCUUCAACUGAAAAUGAGCAACUUUAUGGCAUGUUCGAUAUGUCACUUGAGUCCCUCUGCCAGACCAAAUCUCUUGAAGAAGUAGACAACAUUGCUCACGAGAUUCUUGUGAUGGCAGCUGAUCGUCCUCGCCAGAAGUCUGUUCUCGAAGACCUUAUCUCGCCCCUGGCAGAGUUUAAGGAGACAACAACUCUCAAAACUUGCCUCGUUAUUGAAACGUCUAAAGGUCAGAUGACCGAGGAUUUGGAGGAGAGGUUGGCUUACAGGAAAGGGCAACUGACAUCUUUGUAGGCAGAGGUAUCUAAACUUGGGGAAGAAGGCUCGAAGCUGGAUGUCGAAAUUCAGCAAUUAACUGCUCGGAGGGCCAAAAUUCUCGAACGCGAGAAUUCUACUAUGGUCGAACUGGAGAAGGCUAACCAAGAGGCUUCCAUGGAACUGGAUGAACUGAAGAAGGAAAAUGACGAGAUGAAUCAAGCAGGCAAAAAGCGGAUGAGUGCCAUGGAGGAACUAGUUCAGGCUAAUGCAAGUUGGAAACUUUUCAAGAAUUUAGGAUGGAAAUAGUAUUAGUAGUAGGUUUAUGUCUUUGAUGGAUCCAUCGUUGAAGUCGUAACUAACUUCUGAACUCUCUUUGAUCAGUGUUUCUGGUAUGAUCUUUUGGAUACAGCAAUAGCAGAAUGGACCAUCUGGGUUAUUUCAUUUGGUCAAUACAUAGGCUAAAAUUCUUCCCGACACUAUAUAUCGCAAACAUCACGAUCUAUGUUUAUUUCUGCUGACAAGCUUCGCACUGAGGCUGAACCCAAAGUUGUAAGCUUUUCCUCUUCGAUCGAGCUCGGACUUAUACAAUACAUCAGGCUUACACUGCAGUUCAAACGUCUCACUAGUUUCCUACCCACAGUUACUGAAACCGAACAGCCGAAGCUGCAAAAUAUGAACAUACUUUUGUUACAUGCUAAGAUGUUCCAAUCCCAACUGAUAGCUCGCUCAUGCAGAAGAGACUACUAAUUAACUUAAACUAAUUGCCUUCACGGAGAUUCCUUUUCAGAUCCUUAUUCUCCUCGUUGAGAUGAUCGAUCCUCGACUGGAGAAUGUUGGCCAUGGCGUUAGCCCUCAUCAGUUCCAGCUUCAGAGUCUCUCUAUCGACCGAGACUUUGUGGACCUCGCUCUGCAGGUCGUUGAUGAGCUUCAUACACCCAGAAGGGACCAGAGACUCGAGGCUAGCCGGACUACUGGAUGUGGGUUUCUUCGGGGAAGGUGUACGUUCCUUAGGCUCCAUCAGAGAGAACUCCAGCAGUGCAGAGAUGGCUGUGGUUGUUGCAGCAGUUGCGGUCAGCAUCGUAUCUGUUGUGGUUGUGGUGGAUGAGCAGAGGUCCUGGGGUGUCCGGGUUGUUGACUUCUCGGAGCCGUUGGAAUCGUAAUCAUGGCCAUGCUUUCUUCUUUUGUAUUGGAUCAGCGGGAAUUGAGCUUCUGUGUUGAGAACACACAUCGGAGCAUCCAGCUCCUCCAUCUCUUCCACGGUUUCAUUCUUGCACAGGGAUAAGAGAUCUCGGGUCACCUUCGGAACUUCGUUCACAUCGAAUGGUUCUUUGCUAAUUGAGUACUUGUCCUGCACGGCAAAACCCAAUCAUUCUCAGAUAGCCAACUUAGAAAAAGAUCAGUUCUUUUUCCAAUUGCCACACAUUCUUAACAAAAUCUCCAUUGCACUCGAAACAAAAUAAGAAGAUUCAUUCAUCAAUCAUCAUGCCAACCAAUUUAUCAUAAAGCAAGAAGUUUGACGAACCUGCUCAACACGGUUCAUCUCAGUAUAAGCUUCAUUGCAAGCUACACGUUCAUCUGCCACAUCUUCUCCGGGGACAAGGACUGGCUUACUAUCAUCAUCCCACUCUUCCUCCAUAAAAGGAGCAUAUCGGUUUCCGUUUGGGGGUCCAAUAUUGUUCUUGUGAAACACUCUACAUAGCACAAAUGAAUCUCCCUACACCCACAACAAAAGAUUCGAUCUCGUCAAAAAAUGGCCAAAAUGAAACCUACAUUUUCAAUUGCUAAGCACUUCUCAAAAUCUCACCUGAAGAUUGCCGAGUCUCUCCAACUCCUCGUCAACUAAGCCGUACUUCCUAUCCAAUGCACCAUAGAAGUACCACUCUUGGUCUCUGGUUUUCAACCUCGACUUGUCUGAAACUCCACACAAGAUUUAAACCCAGAGUAAUCAGUGAGCAAAAGCAUACACAGAAUCAAGCAAUUCAGACUCAUUUUAACCAAAACAAUGAACACAAUUUGGGAAAACAUAGAAAUCUACACCAAGAUUGGACCUUGAGAGCACGUAAUUGCGCACCCAAAUCAAAUUAUCCAAACACUAAAAAUCCAAUACAACUAACUAACAAGAGAAACUAAAAAAACGCACCGGCGAGUUCCCAGGGCUCGUUUCGAUAGAUAUCGACUUCACCGAUGGCAUUGAAGCGGACGGGCUUGCUCCCAACCUUACGCCUCAAGUAAUAGCUAACCAGCUCCUCAUCAGUUGGAUGGAAUCGAAAACCGGGGGCCAAAGCGGUGGUACUGGAAGCUGCUGGCUGCGUCUUACGGGGCGGCUCCGCCGGAGCUGACACCAAAGUGGCAGUGCUAGUCGGCGCCGCCGCGGCCGGAGGUAAGGGAAUAGCGGUGGGGGUUUCUGAUUCUGGAGCCAUGGAGGAGAUAAGUGGCGGCGAAGGAAAGGGAUUCAUUUAGGGUUUGGAAGUGGCGUGGGGGAGGGGGUAAAAUGGAGGGAGGAUUGGAUUGGAGAGGAAGAUUAGGUACCUUCGAUUGCAAGCAAUUUGGUUUUGCUUCGCUGGGUUUGGAAUAGUCGAAGGGGGGAGGAGAAAAGGAAAGGGAAAGUUGUGACUGUGAGAGUGUUGUUCUUUGUUGUUUACGAUAAUCUACACUAUUCCCUUUUUUAUUUUCUUUCAUUUCAGUUUUGGGCCUUCUGGGCUUUCGGCCUCCAUGACCUCAUCCUCCUUGGCACAACUUGAGUUGUAACAAGUGAUUCUAGCGGUAGACAUGUCACAUUUUCUCUCGAUUUAGUCAUCAUAAUCGAGCAAAUCCCUAAGUUAAUAUUGCGUAUUACAAGUUGGCAGCCAUCAAUGUUUCAGAACAAGCUACAUGCAACGGUAAGUCUUAUCUCGAGAUAGCUGUCAUAAAUUUGAGUUACCUAGUCAGACGAUGGUGACAACUGUAAAAUAUCACUAUUAUCUUAGUGGAUAAAUAAGAAUAAAUUGAUUGGUUAUAUGUCCGAAAGUCCUUAACUAAUGUACCUGUUUUACUUAUGAUAACAUUAUAAUAGGAACAUGCAAUGUGAGUGCCGUGGUGCAAGUAUUAGUGAAAUUAACUCGUGCUUGAAAGCUUGCUUUCAAAUGAUGUGCGAUGUAACGUAAAAAGUGGAGGAUUUCCACUUGAACAAUUCUUAUAGUCACGUCCAAGUGCUAACCGCGAAAAGAUAUUCUUACAACAAAUAUGUUUGAUUUGUUGUGAGUAAUUAGUAUUAGUGUUUUGAGUUUAGAUGAUCACAUUUUUAAUUUUUUUAGUAAUUGUAAUUGCUAAGUGAUGUGGUGGGUGAUGUGACAUUUCACUUAGUAAUUAUUAAGGAUGUAAUAGUACUUGCUAAUUAGUAAAAUUACUAAAUUAGCAAUUUCAUGAGCGUAACUUCAAAAGCUAAACUAGGAGUUUCAAAAACGUAUGCCAACCAUAAAAUUUGCUUUUUCCGGUCAUCGAAAAAUUUGUUGGCGCUUUUUCCGGUCAUCCCCCAGCACUUCCACUGUCAUCCACGGACACUUUUGCCGCAAUUCGUCAGAACUUCCACCGCCAUCCGCCGACACUUCCGCCGUCAUCCGCCGGCAUCUUCCAGCACUUCCGCCGGCAACCACCGGCGUUUGGGGGAAGCCUCCCCCGCCACCCCAAACCACCCCACGCACUAACCAUCCACUGGCAUUUCCGCCGCCAUCCGUCGACAACCUGCGCCUCUAGGCGUCGGCAUGCUAUGAGAGCUUUUUGUUUUGCUAUUUUAUAUAAAUAUUGUAUAUUAUGAGAGGAAGGAAUGUGUAUAUUGUAUUUGAAAUACACACAAAAUAAUUUUGCAUCCAAACACAUGAUUUCAAUUUGAAAUUCCAAAUGCAAAUACACCUAUCCAAAUCCACCCUAUAAAAAUAAUUAUAUUAGUCAUACCACAUCAGUUUAUUGAAAUAUUUUUUAAAUGAUCACUUGUUAAAAAAAUUGCUAAAACAUUUUAAGGAUGUAGGUGAUAAGAAAUUAUUACAUGAAUUAAUUACUAAAUUUGAUGAUAUGGCGGUACAAAACUUGCUAAACAAUUUUCUGGAUGGAGAUGAAAAGGCCUCGUUUGGUAUGCAGUAAUGGAGAGUGAGGGAAAAGUAAAAAAAGAGAAUUGAGGAAUCAGAGAUUGUAUAAUUCCAAUUAUAUUGUUUGGUGACAAAGUUUGUAAUUGAAAUACAAUUUUCAAUUUGUUAGGGAUUUAUUGUGCAAUGAUCAUGAUGCCCUUAUUUGAAAUCCAAUUUCAAGACCCAUCAUCUUCUAGUUAGCAAAAAUUCGUUUAAUACUCGUAUAAUACACAUAUACGUACNNNNNNNNNNNNNNNNNNNNNNNNNNNNNNNNNNNNNNNNNNNNNNNNNNNNNNNNNNNNNNNNNNNNNNNNNNNNNNNNNNNNNNNNNNNNNNNNNNNNNNNNNNNNNNNNNNNNNNNNNNNNNNNNNNNNNNNNNNNNNNNNNNNNNNNNNNNUUCCUCAUUAUAAUGAAAACCAAGGACAAUAAUAACAAUGUUGGACAGUUGUUUAUAAAAUCCAGAAUUUUGAAAAAUAUAUGGUGGCCACCAUGUAUUUCAAUAUGACCUAUUUAGGAGGAAAAAUGAGUUCGGGGAAAAUUUAUUUUUGUGAAAUACUAACUUAUUAAAGCUCACCAAAUAAAAAUUUUGCCACUUCCCAUAAUUUUACAAAACUUCAAUCAAAUUUCCUCCUUAACAAACAAGGCAUUAGUUAUUUCUUAAUUGGAGCUUUUCUAAUGAGUUGGAUUUUGGUUGGUUUGAAAACUCAUUGUUGUUAAUUGAUUAUUAGCUAUUUCUUGCCAGCUAUGAAUCGCUGACGUGGGUCGGUAAGCAGAUUUACAGGUUUCAACAUAUUUUCAAACCUUUCAUUAAAAAUCAUAUAAAAUCUAAUAGACUGUUUAAUUAUGUUUUGUUACGCGAAUAAAGACAAAUUACGGGACAAAAAGGGUGAUGUGUCUAUGUUGUCUACGUGUCCAACUGUGACAAGACCUUAACCAAUAUAUAGCAUCUCUUUGCCUUGAUGUCCCGCCUUCGCAUUUUUUCGCGCGUUUUGGAACAAAUGCGCUGUGGUCCAACGCAAUUCAUGCAAACAAAACUUACAUCUAAAUGGAUAGCUCCAUUUCGUAAAAUUAUAUUCCAGAAAAAUCAUUAUUUUAAAUUCAAUUUUACAUAUUUCAUGACAGAUAAAUAUAUAAUGUUUAUUUUUUUUUUAAGUGAAUCUAUUAAUUAUGUAUUAUUUUAGACUUUCUAUAUGUGUUUUAUCCCGAUCAAUAUAAUUCAUGUUGAUUUUUUUAAAAACUGUUUGAUGUUUUUAAUGAGGGUUUAAAGGUAAAUAAAAAAGAUAUGAAAUUAAUUUAUUAUAUUAAAACAUUUGAUAAAUGAUGUAAUUAUAAUAAAAAUCUUAACAUUUUUUGGCGGGUCAUUCACAUUUAUUUUUACAGGUAACAUCAUUGUUAUCCAUUAAGUAAAGAAACAUGCUUUUUCAUAUUUAUAAAUCAUAUUAAAAUUAAUUUUGAAAUUUAAGUAAAUUUUUAAUUUACUAUUUUAAUUCUUUUUUUCAUAAGAAAUUACCUAUAAAAAAGAGCUUACACCUGACAAAACAGAAAAACAUCUGCUGAUCGAUUAGAAAAUCCCACGCCCGCCUAAUGGCGCGUGGAGGCGGGGAGCCAAGUGCAAAACGCCGUUGAAACGGAAACAGAAGAAAACGAACAAACAAGUCUGGAAAUUUGUCGCACCCAUUAUUGAAUCAUCCUCUUCCUCCACCGCCAUCUUCUUCGUUUUCUCAGAAUUGGUUUCCGAAAUCGAAACCAACAGUCAGCUGAGCAACGGAAUAACGAAGAUCACUACCAGCCAGCGUCACCCACCUCGGCACCUCUGGCUCUUUCUUUCCAAUCUAUUUAUCCCUUAGUUUUUUUUUUCAAAUUCCAUUAGAAAUUCUCCAAAAACAUCAAUUAUUACACCUGAAGAAGAAGAAGAAGUAAUUGUUCAAUUCAACGAGCAUGGCGACAACCGCUUAUUUCAAUUUCUCUUCUUUAUCUCCUCCUUCAACUCCUUCUUCCAGAGGCCACACCUCCCACGAUUACUCCUUCAAGAUUCUCAUGGUCGGAGAUUCCGCCGUCGGCAAGAGCAGUAUUCUCCUCAGAUUCAUUUCCGAUUCCGAUCACCACCCUUCCCCCACUAUCGGUAUCGUAUCAUUACCCUUCUUUCCCUUUCAGUAUCCGCUUUCUGAUUUGGAAACAUUUUGAAUCUCGUAGAUCGCAUUUGUGCAUGCCAAUUGUUUGAUGAAUUUCCUCACUGAACAAUGACAGAAAGUAGAUUGGCAAAGUUAAAUAGCCUUUGCUUGCAUGUAGUUGGUUUCAAACUUGCUGACUCUUUUUUUUUCCGAUUAAUGAAGGUGUGGACUUUAAGAUGAAGACAGUCAUGGUCAAUGACAAAAGAUUGAAGCUUACGAUUUGGGAUACAGGUAAUUAAUUUGUUCUGUGCUACUUGUUCAUCUUUAAAUCACAAACUACUUCAAGUAAAGUUUAAUUAGAAAUUCUCUGUAUAUAUACUCUUGACCCCCUUUUGUUAACAAACUUCUUUGUGAUUGCAGCUGGACAGGAGAGGUUUGGAGCGUUAACAACAUCUUAUUACAGAGGAGCACAUGGCAUCAUACUAGGUAAGCCAUUACUAUCGUCAAGCACUUGCUUUAGUUGUCUGUUACUUUCAGCUAUCUACCAAUGCGACGUUUUGCCUAACUAAUGUAGUUUGCUUAAGGAUUUUGUCAUGUUUUUGCAUUACACUUGGGGAAAUAGUAGGAAACUCAUUAAUGGUAGGGAUGUUUAGUAGCUUCAUCGGUGGAUUACCUGCUUUUAUUGUUUUUCCUUCCCAGAAUAUCAGUCUAGCUAACAUAUAUGCAGUCAUUGUCUGUGCUUUACGGUAGCACAGAUAACGUAACUAGAGAUUCUGCAUAUCGUGUUUUGUUUUCAGUUAUAUGAGAAGUUGGAUAUGAACUAAAUGACUGAUCAGAUUGUUCUUUCGAUUCGCGUCUCAGUCUACGACAUUACAAAGAGAGAGACAUUCACCAGUUUGUCAGAAAUGUGGGCAAGAGAUGUGGAGCUUUAUUCUACCAAUCAUGACUGUGUCAAGCUUCUAGUUGGAAACAAAGUUGACCAGGUCAGUUUACUCCUGCAAUUAUCUACACCGUCAGGCCUUAACAUGUAUCAUCAUCGACCUACGAGGAGAUAAUUGCAGUGCAAACAUUUUUGGAUAAUCUUGAAUUAAUUAUGUGAAACUUUCAGGUAAGUGAACGGGCUGUAAGCAGAGAAGAAGGUAUGGCUCUAGCACAAGAGCUUAACUGUUCGUUUCUGGAAUGUACUGCAAGAUCUAGACAGAACGUGGAGCAAAUCUUUAGAGUGCUCUUAUCAAAGGUAAGCAUACUCGCUCACACUAUGCCACUGUUUGUCUCCUACUAUAUUCAGUAGCCGAAGAUCACGCCUAAACUAUCUAAACUAUGAUUUCGGAAGAACUUGGGAAAAUUCGGUACUAGCGAACCUUGCUUCAGUUUCUUGUUCCAUUUGAUGCUAGUGCAGCAACAAUGAAAUCAUUAGUCUGCUAGUUUCGCAAAAUGACAUACUUCGUUGAAGACUAAUAAUUCAUGGUAAUUCAACAGAUAUAUGAAGUACCUACUCUACUGGAAAAGGGUUCCGGAGUCGUCAAGGCACCCACCAUCCGGGCAGACAGACAAGCGUCCCAGCAAGGUGGCAGAAAUCGUUGUUGCUCUUGAAGACUGUCUUUCAUGACAACUCGAAACAUACUUGCACACUCGAUCAUCCAGCAAUAGUUUCACCCUGACAUGUGCCAAAUGAAAAGAGGAAGAAAAAGAAAAAAACAACUCCAUUGUACAUUCUUGAUGCACCAACAGUCUUCGCCGUUUUACAGAUCCAACAACAGUACAAAACACAGAAAAUAGCAGCCUCAAAUGUCUCGAAAAGUCCGACCCCAUUGUUCUAAGGCCACUAAUGAUCAGCCACAAGAUCGAAACAUGGGGGGAUCAGGUGGAAUCGCUGAUGUUAGUAGUGGCCAUAUUUUACAAAGGAAGACACUGUUGCACGUCAUAGCUUCAUGUGAAUCUCUACAAUUACAGUGAUGAUAUUGUUUGCAAACUGUGUCAAGAGGUUUGGUUGACCUGGAUUUUGUCUGUUCAUAAUGUUUAUACGAAAAGAAGUAUAUUUCUAUGAGAUUCAUCCUGAAUGAAAUCUUCUCAAAAUGUUGGAUCAAAUUCUACUGGAAGAGUACUAUCAGGAAUCCUCUGUUGCAGAAGUGAUUAUAAGUCCUGACAGCCUGAUAACCUGCAAUCCGUACGGUUUCUGAAAAUCCCAGGAAACUAAUACUAAUAUCAUUACUGAAGAAUGAUCAAAGGGAUACACAAGCAUGAAAAAUUACAAACUUCAAAUCCCUAGUUAAUCCCUCUAAUUUCUCAAGUCCUUCUGAUACGUCGUCGUCGCCGCCCCGCCGAAAGGGCCACCAUUUCUUCGAUACCUCUUCACCCGGCGGCGGAUGCCGUUGCUGCAACCAGCGGAGCCACACCGCGAAGUAUCGAAUUCGGCAAAGUGAUGGGGGAAGAAAUCGAGUUGCGGGAACAGAUUGGGGAAGUCGCAUUCGGUGGUGUCCGACGAAGGCUGCAGGGGAGGAGGAAGGGAGAUGUUACCGCGGAAGUUCUGGUAGAAGCCGACUAAGUAGAAGCCGGUGCAGAGGGCGGCGGUGAGGAUGAGUCGGAAAAGACUGCGAGUGGGGAUCGCCAUCGUUGUAGCUGUAGAAUUUGUCUGGGCCGGGGGAGAGUAAUUAAGACGGAGAGGAGAAGAAAGUUAGGGAAAGGAUGGAGUGAAAUAGGUUAAGGUGGGGAGGAAAACGCCAUGGCCGAUCCGUGAAGUUCGCUGAAGGAGGUAGGGAAUAACAGUUGGCCGGAGAAGGUGACAGGAAUUCAAAGUGGAGGGUCUCUCGAUUUCUCCGAUGGGGGAAUUUGGAAAGGAAAUUGAAAUUGUCGUCCAAGACGAAGUUGGGGGUAUAAAUUCAAUUGUAACCUGCAGGCUAAUCUUAAUAUCCACGGGGUAAUUAAUGGUGAUGGAAUAUGGAUUGUAAUUAAUCCGCCUAAUUAAAGUGAUUUAAUGGUGAUUAAUUAUUUCGGAUAGGAUUUUAUAGAGGAAGGGCGUUCUAGUAAUUUGAAUGGUUUUACGGCGAUAAAAAUUUGAAUAUUAGAGUGACAAGGAAUUUAAAUUUUAUUAACUCGUUAUAUCAUAAAAUUUUAUGAAGAGUUUUAUACCAAUCCACAUGACAACGAAGAAUAUCGUAAAUGCAACCGAAAACAUUAGAUAAAUAAUUUGCAUUUCCUUCCUAAAACUUCUCAUAACGAUGCAAUUGAUAAACUUUGUAAAACUAAACAAAUGAUUUAUCCGAAUUUACAGUCAAAUUUAUACUCUACUUGAGUUGACUGUUUGGCCAGAAGGGUAGUCCGUUGAGUCAUCGCGCUAUACUGUUAUUGAUCAUCGCCAUUUUUCUCAUUUAACCUUGUUCCUUCUGUCAACAGACAAUCAUCCAACGUUGUUGAUUCCUAGUUAAAAUAUUUAGAAACUAACAACAGCAUAAUGAUGAUUAACAAGAAACACCAAGACAAAAAAAACUCAACAAAAGCUUGCCAUGAACGAUCAUCUGUCAGCAUAUCCCUUCUUUCUGAGUCACCAAUGCAAGUAAUGGAACUCUGAAACAACUGCUGAAAACACCUGCCAAAUUUCUCUUCUGGUCUUUCCCCUGAUCCCACCCUGUAAAUUAACCUUGUGAAAAUCACAUCUUUACUAUAUAUAGGUUUCUCAGUAUUUUGCAGUCCUUGUCUUCCACGAAAACAUCUCGCUCGAUUGGCAGUGGGCAAUGGUGUUCUCUGGAGCUGCUCUUCUUCUUCUCCUGAUCAGUCCGGUACUGAUAAUUGUCAAUGGCGAAGAGAUCUUCCUCGAAUGGCACUUGGCACUCGACUCGAGCAUCAGACCUGCCUCCGUCGACCAACCCGUGAGUAAAACUCGAUACGAGUCAAACCCACUAAACAGUUUCUUGCACUACAAGAAACCACCAGUCUAACAACGGUUCAGCCACUGGACAAAUUCCUCUGUUUUUUUAUCCUGUCUCUAAAUUAAAGCUUGUUGCUUUUUAACAGGUAAUUAAAAUCAACGGUAAAUUCCCAGGACCGCUGAUCAAUGCCACCACCAACGACAACAUCCACAACAUUGACGAGCCGGUACUCUUCACCUGGUAUAUACGAAUUUCGAAAUUUUUUCGAAAUUCAAGUUCUUAGGAAAUUGACGCUGUAUUUUUCUCAGGAAUGGGAUUCAGCAGAGGCUAAACUCGUGGCAGGAUGGGGUGUCAGGAACCAACUGUGGGAUCCAGUCAGGGAAGAACUGGACAUUUGUGUUCCAGGUGAAGGACCAGAUCGGGUCCUUCUUCUACUUCCCAUCGUUAAACUUCCAGAAGGCCGCCGGAGGGUUCGGUCCGAUUCGUGUCAACAAUCGAGUAGUUAUCGCCGUUCCUUUCCCUCAACCUGACGACGAUUUCGACCUUCUGGUCGGUGACUGGUAUACUUCUAGCUACAAGGUAACGUAAUUUGUUAAGAAAUGUUUUUAUUAUGUAAACUAAUUCUGAGCUUGUCUAACGUUAGUAUAUCACGUGUGGGUCGAUUUUUGUUUCGAAACAUAGGAUGUCAGGAGGAUGCUUAAGAACGGCACAACGGAAUCGCAUCAAAAUAUGACAAUGCUUAUGAAUGGGAAAGGUUCAUAUCUUAAUUCGUCUACGCAAGUACAUGAAUCUUUCACCGUCGCCAAAGGUAAACAAAACUUAGGCUUAUUAGCGGUGGAAUUCGAGCAAGUCGUCUACGCAAGUAUAUGAAUCUUUCACCGUCGCCAAAGGUAAACAAAACUUAGGCUUAUUAGCGGUGGAAUUCGAGCCCGACUUGCUCAAAUUCCACCACUAGGAAUUCUUAGAGUGACGAAGAUAAAUUUGUUGUUCUCGUUACAUAUACAGGGAAGACUUACAGGUUCAGGGUGUCAAACGUGGGGAUGUCGAGUAGUUUCAACUUCAGAAUCCAAAACCACAAAAUGUUAGUGGUCGAAACGGAAGGGUCUUACACGGAUCAGACCUCGGUGGAUUAUUUAGAUGUGCAUGUAGGACAAUCUUACUCGGUUCUCGUCACAUCGGACCAAGCAGUGGCCGAUUAUUACAUCGUGGCUUCCCCUAAGUUGGCCGACGAAAGCGGACUUUUGGGUGUCGGAGUCCUGCAUUACGAAGGUUCAUCAACUAAUGCUACAGGGCCAAUCCCCGGUGGCCCUGACCCGUUUGAUCUUCAGUUCUCUGUUGAUCAGGCCAAGUCUGUCAAGUACAUUACGACCAUUCUUCGCAAUGUAGUCAAAAUCCCUAUUUAAAUUUUAAAAUCUUACGGUUUUUUUCUGAAGAUGGAAUUUAACGGCAGGGGCAGCGAGGCCGAACCCACAAGGGAGCUUCAACGUCUCAAACGUGACAAUAUCACAGACAUUUAUGCUAAGGGGAUCAAAGUCGUCGUCACAACAAACCAAAAACGGUGUCGUUUACUACACAGUCAACGAUGUAUCCUACACAACUCCGGACACACCGUUGAAACUCGCCGAUCUCUACAGCAAUGGCUCCGGCGUAUACACCCUCGACCAGUUCUCGACCAACUCUUCUUCCGACGGUGACAGUGAUUUCCAACGGGGAGUUUUUGUUGCUGCCGGGGAACACAGAGGGUGGCUAGAGCUGGUGCUCAUCAAUACCCUUGUUGGUAUAGAUUCCUGGCACUUGGAUGGCUAUGGCCUCUUUGUUGUUGGGUAAGCAUUUCAUCAUGUUAGGUAAUAGGUAACAAAACUAUUAAUUCGAGUUGUGAGAAGAGGGUUCAAUACUGAUUUUAUAUUGCUCAUCAGUAUGCGAUUUUUUAAACGACAAAAAAUCCAUGAAAGAGUCUAGCUAGUCUCUUAUGCAACAUAUUGAAGUUACAAGAAAUCUGACAUUUUAGUGAACCAAAGACUAUAAUGUUAUCAUGAAUGAUUCUGCCACAGUAAUUCGAGUCGUUCGAAAAGAGUUCAACUGAUUUUUGAAUAAAUUUCUGCUAAUUAUAGGUACGGAUUUGGGGAUUGGACUCCAUUGUCUCGUGCAUCUUACAACAUUUAUGAUCCGGUCGUUCGAUCAACCGUUCAGGUACGUGUAUUUUAGAUUCUUAAUCAUGCUAAAGUUUACUAAUUUGGUUGUUGAUUAAACCACAAAGAUCUGGGCUUUUUACUUUUUUUAUGAUGAUCAGGUGUACCCAAAAGGAUGGACAGCAGUAUAUGCAUACUUAGACAACCCAGGAAUGUGGAACCUAAGAUCUCAAAAACUGAGGAACUGGUACUUGGGACAAGAGCUCUAUCUAAGAGUCUAUGAUCCGGAUCCAACCCUGCCAAAGAGUUUCCUCCUCCAUCCAACCUUCUACUUUGUGGUAUGCAUAAUCGAGCAUUUUCGGCGGUCUUUCUCACCGUGAAACAGGGUUCGACUACGUCAAACAAUUUGAGAUGCAGUUGGAACUUGUUUGACAUAGUUAGAACUUAUUCUCGCAGUGAUUCGAACAAAUAAGAUGUCAUCGCCGUAACACUACUUUGAUUCAAUAUUUGAUUACUUGAUAUUCAACUGCAGGAAUUUACAGCAAUUCAACUCCGCCACCUACUCCUAGCUCCCCUAACUCAGCUCCUUCUCAUGCAUCUUUUCUUCACUUCUCAUGGUAAUUUACUGUUUACUACUUUUACUUUCACUAACUUCCAAUUUAGUCAAUUAGUUUAACAGACAAAACGCUUCUGUUUGUUUGGUUUUAUUUUAAGGUUCCAAAGCUUUAUGGUGACCAUGAUGGCAAAUCUACCAAUGGCAAUACUAAUGUGGAGGUCGUUUUCACUUGGUCAUCAUAUGCAUACAAGUCCAAGUUACUUUUAAUUUCUUCCAUUGAUUUUUUUAUAUAUAUGACUGGGACUAGAUAAUUAAAAUUGUUGAAAGAGGAUUCAGUAUUGGAUAUUAAUAAUUCAUUAACAUAUGCAUGUCGACACUUAUAUAUGUAUAUACAGUUUUAUUGCACUGUAACAUCUUAAAUCCUUAUAUCGGAGAAACACCAUAGAGAAUGAUGAUAUAAUUAAGGUGACAUCAUCCAAAAUUUACUAACAUUAUGAGUUUUGAGAUGUAAUGGAUCGGAAGAGUUUUUGCAGGAACAUAAAAAUUCACUUACAAAGAUUGAUGACCUUUUAGGAAGUCACUAUCAUUUAGUUUUAAAAAAAAUUUACAAGGUUUACGGCUCAAAAGNNNNNNNNNNNNNNNNNNNNNNNNNNNNNNNNNNNNNNNNNNNNNNNNNNNNNNNNNNNNNNNNNNNNNNNNNNNNNNNNNNNNNNNNNNNNNNNNNNNNNNNNNNNNNNNNNNNNNNNNNNNNNNNNNNNNNNNNNNNNNNNNNNNNNNNNNNNNNNNNNNNNNNNNNNNNNNNNNNNNNNNNNNNNNNNNNNNNNNNNNNNNNNNNNNNNNNNNNNNNNNNNNNNNNNNNNNNNNNNNNNNNNNNNNNNNNNNNNNNNNNNNNNNNNNNNNNNNNNNNNNNNNNNNNNNNNNNNNNNNNNNNNNNNNNNNNNNNNNNNNNNNNNNNNNNNNNNNNNNNNNNNNNNNNNNNNNNNNNNNNNNNNNNNNNNNNNNNNNNNNNNNNNNNNNNNNNNNNNNNNNNNNNNNNNNNNNNNNNNNNNNNNNNNNNNNNNNNNNNNNNNNNNNNNNNNNNNNNNNNNNNNNNNNNNNNNNNNNNNNNNNNNNNNNNNNNNNNNNNNNNNNNNNNNNNNNNNNNNNNNNNNNNNNNNNNNNNNNNNNNNNNNNNNNNNNNNNNNNNNNNNNNNNNNNNNNNNNNNNNNNNNNNNNNNNNNNNNNNNNNNNNNNNNNNNNNNNNNNNNNNNNNNNNNNNNNNNNNNNNNNNNNNNNNNNNNNNNNNNNNNNNNNNNNNNNNNNNNNNNNNNNNNNNNNNNNNNNNNNNNNNNNNNNNNNNNNNNNNNNNNNNNNNNNNNNNNNNNNNNNNNNNNNNNNNNNNNNNNNNNNNNNNNNNNNNNNNNNNNNNNNNNNNNNNNNNNNNNNNNNNNNNNNNNNNNNNNNNNNNNNNNNNNNNNNNNNNNNNNNNNNNNNNNNNNNNNNNNNNNNNNNNNNNNNNNNNNNNNNNNNNNNNNNNNNNNNNNNNNNNNNNNNNNNNNNNNNNNNNNNNNNNNNNNNNNAUGGUUGAAUGUGCUUGUAAAAUGUUAAUAUACUAUAUAUUUUAAAUUUACCAAAGUAUAUAUGUUAAUAUUUUAUAAGGAUUUGAGAUUUUGAUUAAACCACAUAUUCAGCCUAUUUAUAUUGUCUAUGAACAAUAUAAUUGAAUAGGUUUAAAAAAAAUUAGUGUGUUGUAUAUGCACAAGUAUUUUUUAUCGAUUUAAUUAAAAAGGACGGUAAUCUAUAUAAAAAUGAAACAAAGAAGACAAAUACACUUGUAUAUUUCUCCGAACACAGAAACAAUGGUUACACUAAAAAAUUUCAGUGACAAAAACCAAAGACAACAAAAGAUCAAACAAAAAGUUCAAUAAAACCAGUAUACCAAAUUUAAUAUAUGUGUGUUUGAUGAGCGAUCAAAAAUUAAAGAAACAAUUGUAUGUGCAUGAAACUUAACAAUGAAUCCACAUUAAAACUGCAAAAAAAACCCUUCAAAAGAAUUCCAACCCCACAAUAUCAGUAAUGGCAACCCACCAAAGCUGGACUGGGAAACACCAUUGUUGGUUUGUUGUUCGCCGGCGGUAAAUUCGUGAUCGGCUGCUUUUCCUCCGGUGCCGGAAGCUGGUUGAGAUCCAAGUCCUACGACGUUGUCCUCAGGUCGUUGUUACUUGCUAACAACGACAGGUUUGUCGUGAUGGUUGGCGGAGGAGCUCUGUGCCUCCUCAUGUGGCCUCCCAGUGCUUGCCCUGAGUUGAAUUCCGCCCCGCAUUGUCCGCACUCGUGCACCCGGUUGUAGCUGUUGUUGUUCCCCUUGUGAUUAUUAGCGACGAGGCCUCUGCCGCUGCUCAGUUGGAGGAAGUUGGUUACAUCAUUGUACGGCGGGGCAGUUGCUAAAAAUAAAUUAUUAGUGACCAGUAGGUUCUUCGGCUUCUUGUGGCUCGCACGGUGUCCACCUAAUGCUUGAAACGACGGGAAUGUCCUGUUGCAUGUCCUGCACUCGUACACAUAGUACCCUACUUUCCCGCCGCCUUCAACCCCGCCGCUUGUCUCCAUGAAUUUCCUGCUCGUGAAUUUUCCGUUCGCGAUAUUGUUGUUGUUAACGGUCGAGGAAAUUGUGGCAUUAAUGUGAUUAUUUGUGAAGAAGGAAGAAUUUCCCUGCGCAAGUAGGAUCAAACAAUUUGCCAUGUCCUCUUCUUCCUCGGUGCUCCCACCGAGGACAACAGUAGGCACCACUGAUGGUGGCAACACAGACAACGGCCCUGCCAUGAUCACCUCGUCUUCUUCCUCAUCGUCGUCAUCAUCAUCUUCGCCGUUGUAAUUGUAAUCAGCAUCAUCAUGAUCAUCUCUUCCGCCAUCUUCAUCGCCAUUAGAGAAAUUGCUACUAGCGGCAGGGGCCACAAAACUAUUAAGAACAGGGGGAUGAACCCUUUGCCUUUUCGUUCUCUUCCCUUUAGGGAUCUCAACAAUUGGAACGGCCAUAGUUGUGUCAUUGUUGACAUCGUCGUCUUUAUUGCGAGCCGCCUCCUCAUUCUCCUCCUCCUCUUUUGCCAAUGUGUUAUUCGUCUUCGUCCCCAUCUCCACCGCCUCUAUCUUCAUUGAGAGCUCCUCCGUUACAGCGGUUGUGAGAAGUACUUCCUCAACGCCUGUCGCCUCCAUUUCUUUGUCCAUCGAACAAAUAUUUCGAAAAUGUAAAGAAAUUAUCAAAAGAAAUAAUUACUUUUCUUUUCGUUUCUCUCUGUUUUCCUCGUGAAAAAGUAUAUUUCUUUUUUUUAUCCUGUGUUUUUUGUUUCUCUUGUUUUACUUGUGGUUAAUUAGAAUAAACUUGAAACAAGUAUAUAAGGUAGUAAUGUGUUGCACUAAAUUGUAAAAAAAAAUGUGUCUCAAAUUGGUAAACUUGCUACAGCCUCUCUCUCUCUCCCUCUAUAUAUCUUCUCAGCGUGUGAUAAAUACGAUAUACAAAAUCCAACAUUAUACGAUACUAAAAUUAGAAGAAAAAAUACUUAAAGUCUCACCGUUGUUUAAUUAGCUUCUUUCUCCCUUUUUCCGCUUAUUAGUGUUAGCGGCUUGCAAUUCGUUUCUCCUCUAGAUUUCGGGUUUUGCUCCACAGACAGAGUUUGUUAAUAAUGGCUUCUUCUUUGGAUUUGACACAAUUCAAUCUGCUUCCUCAAUUGCAAAUUGUAUUCCUAGUAUAUAGGAAUCCCAAACUGAAUUAUAUUCCUAGUAUAUAGCAAAUGUACUUCUAUUUCGAAAACCUAGAUGAUUAUCAGCCAGACACUAGCUCACCCUUCUUUUGGUGACCGUUAAAUGCAUGUAUAUGUUUCAAUUUCGGCUUAGUGCUAUACCAUUUUGGCUCAGUAGUCAGCACAUUUCUGCCGAGUCUUCACAAAUACCCCAUAAAUCAAAGGAAUUAGAUAGAACAUGAACUAUAAUUGUCUCUACCAUGAAGAAAGAUUGACACUACAAUGGAAGACACAUUUCCUACCGAACACAAGGAUCUAAGCAGGCAGCGAUGGAUCCAGGAUGUGUCCGCUGCACAGAACCGUUCCCGUGAUGUCUUCUUUAAUGAAGAAGAGGAACGGAUGAUCCGCUACAAAGUUUUUAUAGUUUUUUCCACAUCCACCAAGACUCGACAUCUCCAACAUAGCAACAGAAGCCGUUCCGGCUUCCGUACCUUCUUCGUUCACUUCCACAAAAGCCCCGAAUCCAAAUGAAACUUUAAACAUGGGAAUCUGUAACUUUCAGCUCACUCUAAUGCGACAUCAAGCGAGACUUUGGGCAGAUCGGAGGACGCAAAGUGUGGGUUUCUUACGGGAGUGACAUGCGUAUCCGGGUGGGAGAGAGAGCUCCACCGUCAGCAGCAUAGAUUGGUGCUUCAGGUGAAAAAAGAGACAGAUGGAGAUGGCGGAAAAACUUUUGAAGAUGGAACUUCAACCAUUCUUGAAGAUGGAGAUGGGGCUUGGAUGGCGAUUUCUAAGGCUGCAUCCAGAUGGUGCUUGCUGAUUCCAUCCGACGGCUGGCGGGAUCUCGCGGCAGAGCGAGGAGCGGAGGUGGAGUGUCGGACCAAGUGAGCAGUUCGUUGACCAACUUGUUGCCGAAGUUUGUGGCCAGAGGCUUGUUCUUCCGAAAGCCAAGUUGAUAUGGAGAAGAAGGGAGCAGAUAUUGAGCUUGUCGUCGAGAGAAAAGGAAAUCUAUUAAUCAACGUUGACACAGACCUGACCUUGGGCUAGAAAAAAGACCUUACCUUGGGCUGUUUGUCCAUCAUUUAUGAUAUUGGGCCUACUUUCGUUGAUGGUUAGGCCCAAAUGAUGGUCCAUGCAAGUUUUUGAAAGAAAAAAAGGAAAUAGAUGUGUAUGAACGUGGUAGUAGUAGAACUGUAGUAGCAUACAAAAAUUGAAAAAUAUUACUUUCUGCAACCCUUUACGCAAAGAAUCUCCAAACCAUUGGACAACAAAGGCAAACCUUUUUGUGACAAAAAAAUCUAACUAAUUAAUAUUUUCUGAUUGUACCAGAAUAAUCGAGUCUUGGCUGAGUUCUUCAUCUUUGCCUCUUCCCAUGGAGGAGAUGUGGAUUAUCCCUUUAUUCUUCCUUUCUUCUCCUUCAAAUAAACCCCUUUUAAAACUCGUCAUUAAUUCAAACAUAAUUGUCCUAUCCUUCUAUUUUGUAUAAUUCAUUAUCCUAAUCUUUCUUUAUCUUUUUUUAUUGUUUCAUAGAUUUAUAAAAAGUAUUAAAACCAACCAACCAUCAUAUUCAUAUUCUCCCCCAAAUUCAGGAGAGCAGAGAGCUCUGUUUUUCCCUCCCUUCAUUUCCGUGGCUGCUUCUUCAAGAAUGCUUCCUAUUAGCUUCUGCAUUCUCUUCCUCUCUUCGAUCCUCCACUCAGUUUCCGAUUCCAAGUUCAUCAAUCUCACUCUCCCUCACCAGCACCCUUACCCAGACGAUGUUGCUGACGAUGUUCACAGGUAACCCCUCUGUUUCUUCUUUUCAUGGCGCGUUGCUCAGUUCUCCUGUUGUUUCCAGCUGAGGCUGCCGAAACUCCGGAUUCAAACCGGAACCAAGAAGUUCCGGUACGAAAGAUACUCCAAAUUUCAUCCAACUUUUUCCAACCGCCAAACCAAGCUGCAUUCAAUCCCCAUUUUCAAUUUCUAGUGAUUCAGACAUCAAAGACUGAAAAUUUUCCCUCCUAUUCCCAAAUUCCCUUCUGGGUACUGCUCAGCUACUCCUAAACUCACAUGGGUCCAUCUCCUUUUUUCAUAUGACUUUUAGUUUCAGAUUUUUCUCAGCAGCCAAACAGUCGAAUUUCUCACCAUAUGUUUCCCACCUUCAAAAAAAACUGCAACUUGCACACUUUUAGUUUCGUGCUGAUUGGGCCGUGAAUUGAUUGAAUUAUCAGUCGAUAAAUGAUUUAUAUAAUGUAGUUUGUAAGUUUUAUAGACUUUUAGGUUGUACAAAUUAUUGAGUCCGAUUAAAACCGAGCCGAAAUGGAUCAGUUUGCUCUAAUUGAGUAAAUUGCAACUUGCAAACUUACCCUUUCAGAUUCUUACUUUCCCUGUUUGCAUCCCUACAAAAAAUCCUUUAUACGUCUCCCUCAUGCAAUUUUCCUAUUUAUUUAAUCAAUUAUUUUCGGUUGGUUAACUUUGCAGACGGGUCAACGAGUCCCUAUCGCGAAGGCUACUUCAGGCGGGGCCCACUUGCCAAACGGGCAACCCGAUCGACGACUGCUGGCGGUGCGACCCGAACUGGCCCAACAACCCCCAACACCUCGCCGAUUGCUCAAUCGGAUUCGGCCGCGGCGCGUUGGGCGGACGCGGCGGACAAAUCUACGUCGUCACCGACUCGUCCGACCACGACCCGUCAUCCCCUACACCCGGAACCCUCCGCUACGGCGUGAUCCAAGACGUCCCGCUAUGGAUCAUCUUUGCCGCCGACAUGACCAUCUCCUUAAAACACGAGCUCAUCUUCAACAGCUACAAGACCGUCGACGGCCGAGGAGCCAAUGUCCACAUCACGGGGAACGGAUGCCUGACUUUAUGGAUGCCUCACCUUACAGUACGUCAACCACGUGAUCAUCCACAACCUGAGAAUCUACGACUGCAAGCCGUCCGGGAAUACCAACGUCGCCUCGUCGCCGACCCACGUUGGAUUCAGGGGAAGAUCCGACGGCGACGGGAUCUCCCUGUUCGGAGCCCACAAUGUGUGGAUUGACCAUUGUACCCUUUCGUCCUGUACGGACGGAUUGAUCGAUGUGAUAAUGGGGUCGACCGGGAUUACAAUUUCAAACAAUUUUUUCUCCCGGCAUAACGAGGUUAUGCUGAUGGGACACGACGAUCGGUUCGUAUUGGAUCGAGGAAUGCAGGUCAGUGGCCGGUUUAGGGAAGCCUCCCUUAAGCCUGUGAUAUUACAUAUUUUUCUUUAUAUUUGAAAUAAAUUAAUUCGAGUACAAUUUAAAAUUUAUAUUUUUCUUCGUUGAUACAGGUGACGAUUGCGUUCAAUAGAUUUGGGGAAGAGCUAGUGCAGAGGAUGCCGAGGUGUAGGCAUGGGUAUAUACAUGUGGUGAAUAAUGAUUUCACUUACUGGAAAAUGUAUGCCAUCGGCGGUAGCGCUAGUCCGACAAUUAAUAGCCAGGGGAAUCGGUAUGUCGCCCCGGUCGAUCCCGAUGCCAAAGAGGUAUGUAUUUUUACGAAACUUGUUUGGGAUUCGGCCCAAUAAUAAACAAGUCGAGUUCAACCUUGUUGAGUCGACUACUAGUUUAUAGUUCGUCAAUCGACUCGAUGAGCGUUUGAUUAGUGACUCGUGAGCUUGCUCAAUUCGAUUAUAAGCUUUAAUACUACAUUAGUGGAUUUACUAUUUAUAAGCUUGUUUUUAUCGGAGUUCAAAUUCAAACCAGAGUUUCCCAAAUUAGUUUUUUUCAUUUGGAGCUCGAGCUAGCCAAGUUUGAUUACAAUGGUUAUCGAGUUGAGCUCGUUAAGCUAGUGGAAAAACAGUAAUUUUGAGUAAUGUAUAUUGAUACAUAUGUUCUAUGAAAUUCAGUUUAAAUUUGAUUAAUGCAUCUUUCCAUUUUAAUUAGGUGACAAAGAGGGUGGAGACGGACGAGAAAGAGUGGGAGAGGUGGAACUGGAGAACGGACGGAGACAUAAUGGUAAAUGGAGCGUUUUUUGUACCGUCGGGAGCCGGGGUGAGUGCCACGUAUGAAAGGGCAACCAGCUUGAAUGCCAUGUCAGCCACUCUUGUCGAACAGCUCACCUUGAACGCGGGCAUCCUAGAUGGCACUAGGUACACUUUUACGGUUUUACCCCUGCCCUCCUUAUUAGCUUAAUAUAUUACAACUUUGCAGCUAAAGCCUAAACCUAGUUUUUUCAAUAAGACUGAGGUGAGCUCAGCUAAGCCAAAGCAGUGGUUAGCAAGUAGUUAUCCUUCAUAUGGGACCUAGCUUUAGUGGGGCAGUAUCGUCAUCAUCCCUUUUUUGUCCCAAAUUUGCAUGAGGAUUAUGUGGGCACCUUGUCAUAGUUGAGUACUUUGUGACUUAAAUCUUGGAAAGUUUAAGAUAGGGUUCCAAAAAUCACGAUGGAGAACAAAAGAAAUGGAACUACAUAUGCAAAAAAGCCUCAUACUUUGAUUAAACAUUUGGUUAGGAGUAAACAUCAGUGUCUAUAACUCGAAUUCAAACCUUUAUUAUUUCAAAAUAGCGAAUUUGUUCCAUUUUUUUAGCAUGUCAACUUUCAUCUUAGAUCAACUAGGAAUAUUAGUAGCAAACGAAUGUUGGUGAUGAAGACAUUUUCAUGAAAUGACGUCGUUGGAGUUGCUAUUUAGAUCAAUCAUAAAUUAUAAUAACAAACCAAAUAUUAAUCACAAGUCACAAUAAUAAUAAAAAGAAGUAUCCUCGCACGAAAGCCUACCCGAAUAAUACUUGAAUUUGGGGUCAUUAUAAAAGCCUUUAGCUUUCCUUUAGUGGGUGUUUGUUUCUGAAAUGUGUAUCUAGACUACUAGUUGAAGUAGGAGCCAAAAGAGAGUAGGGAAAAGGCCCCACAUACACCAUGAUCCACAUAGGUUUUCUUUGUGGCAUGUUGGGAAGCUGACUCAUCUCAUAUUCCUUCACCAAUUAAAGUUCAUGUUUUUUCAUCAUCUUCAUCAUCAUUUCUUAAACUUGUAGCAAGAUGUUUUAAAAAGAUGAAACCUUUUUAUGUCAUCAGUUCUGUUUUGGUUGUGAUUCCAUAUCCUUUCCAAUGCAAGUAUGCCAUUUUGCUUUAGAAAUGUUGAUCAGUUUGAUCAAUCUGCUUGUCUCAAUAAUUUUAUCCCAUUUCGUUAGAAGAUUAAGAUCAACCUAAUAGCUUAUUUAUUUAUUUAUAGUUGAUUCUUCAUUAUAAUUUAAACCAUCGCAUUAAUCUACAUAUACAGUAGUCGAUAUCCCUGUCUUGGUACAACCCAUAUUACAAGGAGGAAUUGAGUUGAUUCUCGACAUUAAUUUUGGAUCUUUGCAAUGAAAAAGUUUUGAUCUUUACUCAAUUCUCAAAUCUGAACUCGAGUUGUCUUGAGACCAUUUAGUUACAGUGUGAAACUAGCUUAAUUGGAGAUUUGAUUUUGGGAGAGUAUCUCUUUGUUUUUUUUUUUUGUCUAUAGCAUUCAUCAUUUUCACAGUCAUCAUGGCAUGAAAAAAUGGCUCAUAAAUCAACUGUGAUUCGUCCCUUUCUUAGAUAUUAUAAUUAGUUGUUAACGAAGUCGAUGGUGAUGUGGGAAUAAUUACAGGAGCACAGGGGGGAUGCCAUCCAACCCUGGAUUCAACGGAGGUGGGGCCGGUGGCACAACCUACACCGGCAGCUAUGGGUCCCCCGGUGGUGAGGGUAGCAAUGGCGGCGACGGUAAUGUGUUUGGGAUGAUAUUUGGGAGCGGGGCGGCGGAUGCGGCGGCGCCGCCCACAUCGUCGGUGGUUUUGUCCUUUUCAAUUGUUAUUAUUAUGAUUUUGUAUUGUGAUACCACCAUUAACGAUGGGACUUCAUUGUUCUUGUUCCCAUUGUGUUCAGUAUUGUUAUAGUGGGAAUUAAUUAAUCGGCAAACAAUUAAUAUACAAAUGUAAGUAAAAAAAGAAAAAAUACAAAAAAAAGAUGAAUAUAAAAGGAGAAAGAAGACAGACUAUUCAUCAUAGUGAAAGUUCAUGUGUCUUUUAAAAAUUGUCGUAUGAUCUUUUUGUCGUCACGAAGUGGGGGGAAUGUAAGCCAGAGAUGUAGAGCAGUCAAACGACGGGUUCUGAAUUUAAUAGAUUGUUGUGUGUGUUCAUUAGAGAUGGUUGCGGGGUGGGUUUCGGACGGGUUUGUCGAUCCAUAUUCUCAUCCUAUUAAAUUUGGAAUGUCCUUGAAUGUUAUUACCCUCGUAAUUUUUAAUAUUUUCUAUUAAUAAAUUGCCAAAUAUGAUUUUCUUUCUAUAUCAUAAAUAGUCGUUUGAAAAAAGAAGAAAAAGGGACAAUAUCGCUAUAUCAAUGCAUGUACGAGUACAAAAGAGCGAGUAUGGAUAUGGCUUAUGAGGAUGCAGUUGAUAGAGCGAGUAUGGCUUAUGUUGAUGCACUUAAACGAAUCCCUAACACAUAUUUAUAAGUUUUUUUGUGAACAUUUGUCGUACUGGUCUCAUAAACUCGAUAAAUAUGAAUAUUCCACACAUAGACCCAACCUUGAAAUAUAAUUGGUAUGAGUGGGGCUCUGAAAGGCCUAUUAUGCUAAGGGGAGCAAACCCAUGUUAGUUUUGGCCGGAUUCAGAAAAAUGAAUUGAAAAAAUUAUGCAAGGAUAGAUUGAAUUUGGGUGGAUUAGGUUUUGGAUUGUGCUUUUUUCAACCUUUGUUUUUCACUCAAGUUAUUUCAGGAUAUUUGUAUACUGGAAUACUAAGUUUGCCACAACAGGACCAGUAAAAAAAGUUUCAUUAGUAGAUAUCUCCGGCAAUAAGCACCUCUUAAUUCGGAUAGUCCAGCAAGCAGCUUACACGGAGCUUGUUCCGAGAUAGCGAGGAACGAAGUCCAUCUCCUUGUUGUAUUAAUCGGGUAUGUAUUAGAUUACCAGGGCAGAGCUAAACGUUGCUUGACAAACCUACUCACCUGCAACAAACGUUGCUUCAUAUACAUGACGAGCAUCAAUGGUUUCAGAGGAACAAACAAGAAUGAACAGAAAAAAAAUCACAUUCAAGGGAAACAAAAUCUCUGAUCAGUCAUACCUUACAUCCUGAAUGAAGCAAAUUAACUAACAUAAGUUAUAAAAAUUCAUCAGAAGGAAAGAAAUUGACAACAAUUUAUCUGCAACAGAUGUUCCAAAUUAAGCAACAGAUGAUCCACUGACUCCUUGGAGUCCUCUCUCUCACUAGUCAUUUCUCCACCCUGCAUCCUCACUACCUAAUAGUAACAAACUUAUUGGUACCAUGCUUAGCCCAGUGAGUCCUCAAAUCAAUCGGGUUACUGAAGUUGUACCCUUCAGCUGCAAGUUUCUCCAGCACCUUCUUGAACGCACCCUGGCUCAUCUUCCUUCCCGCAAUCCUCGCACCACGUCUCUUGGUGCUCAUCGGCAAAGGAUACAUCGAUACAUUAGUAGUACAACAAGCAGACUGCCAUCCACCACACCCCCAUCGAUAACACUGCUGCGGAGUUCCAGUGCAAGAGCAGACCGGGAUAGGGAUUCCCGAUAUGUCCAUAUCGAUCCCGUUUAUUACCAUCUCCAUACUCUUCUUUGGCGGCUUAGGUGCACGCUGGACCGGAUUGCUGUUCGGGUCCUUUGGCUUCCUCGGUUUCUUCGCCUUGGGGGCUUUCAUCACCCCACCCCCCUGCCUUUUCUUCGUUGGUUGAUGUUCCUGUUCUUUAUCAAACACUUGCUCUUCGACUUUACACAUUUUGCCAUCAUCUCUCGAUCCUCCACCCAUGGAAGGAUCAAGAGCAGGCAAUACUUGCAGAGAGUGAGCUCCUGAUGUUUCCGGGAAAACAUGAGUGUAGUUAGGGUUCGGAGCCAACAGAUUCGGAUACUUAUUGCUAUCCCUCUGGUUGAUCCAACUGUCCCUCAUGUAGUUAAUGGGGACAUGGGAUUCAGAGAGCAUGAAAUCACGAGGAUGGAAUCCUCCACCACCCGCAUUGACAUCAAGCAUAAUGUUAUUCUGAUUUCGGCCCGGCAGGAAAUGCUUCGUGUCCCGAUCCGUCAUGUUCGAAGUCAGCUGCAGACUUAGAUGCCCCCUGAAUGACGGCUCAUAGUACCCUCCCCAAUUCCGCAUGUUCAACGCAUCAUCGUCCAUCGUUCAGAGAUUUCUGCCACACACAAAUCAGAAAGACCCAACUGUAAAAAUCUGCAAAAUUUCAAAGAUACAGAACAUCCAAUAUUCCAAUCCAAUCCACAUUACGCACAAGUCAACCACAGAUCUCGUCGAUUCAAGCAUAUCAGAAGCAUCAUCACUACUACAAUGCGAAAUCACAAACUACCCAGAUGUCAGAUCCAUUUCAAAACAUCCAGCAUUCCGCCCCAAAACCCUAAUCAAACUAGAUCUACAUCACAUGGGCACAAAAUCUAGGCAUUCAAGAGAUCUAGAUCUAGAUCUAGGAGGGAGAGAAAACGGAAAUUCGAGGGUUAGCAUUGGAAUCAGAUGACGAGCAAGAAACGAACGAGAACAGAAGGGGCGGAGUGUAAAAGGAAGGUGGUUUCAAUAGUUGUACACACAGCACAGGACCCUCCAUAAUAUUCAAAUUUAAGAAAACAGAAAGAGAAAGACGGAAAGAGAAAGAGGGUGAGAGGGAGGGAGAGAGAAAACUUACUUGGAUGGGUGCAAAUUGAAAAACGGCUCUUUAGGGUUUUUUUUUCGCUUUCUGGAGAGAGGAGAGAGGAGAGAGGAGAGAGAGGAUGAAGCUCUCUGCGGAGAAAGGAAAAAAAAUAAGAGAGAGAGAGAGAUAGAGAUAGCGGAGAGAGAAAGGAUAGAGACGGCCGGCCCUGUGUGUAUCCCAUUACAGGGGCGGAUUAAAAGUGUUUUUAUUUAUUUAUUUAUUUAUUUUGGUCUACAUAAUAAUCGGGUUUGAAACUUUUCGAAAAGAGUAAAUAAUGGAAACCGAAUCUAAGAAGAAGCUCAAAAAGGGCAAACAUGGAAUAUGUUCCCUAUUUUUGGACUCUGUUAUAGUGGUUUGAAAUGUCACCUACUUAUUUAUAACUUAGUUGCAUUCCACCGUGAACAUUUAUUUAAUAUUCAAUUAUGAGUGAAUGUUUAGUUUUGUGUCGCUUUGAGUUAUCCCUUAUCAGGUUUUCUGUCGAUUUUUGGGUUCUUUUGUAUGGAUUUGUCGCGAUCAAUACGACUCAUUAAAGGUGUGUUGGCUACUUGAUCCAUUAUGGGUGUGUCGGCUUUCUCAAUAUAUUUACUUGGUGCUUUCAGUUGUGAUUUGACAUGUGGAUAUUAAGGAGAUGUGAAGCUUAUGUUUGAUAGGCUACUAUAUGUGGUGCACGUCAUUGUAGAAGUUUUGGAUUUCAUUAUGGCUUAUCCUAAUUUGCAUAUGCUGGUAAUAGAGUUGCUCAUUAAAUGGUAAAAAAAAUUCCUCAUAUCGCAUGGGUCGUAUUGAGAUCGAUUUCUCGACUUGGAUCGAUUUUUAACUUUGUAUUCUUUUCCGAUUCCUCCAUCAAGAGCUAUCUACAUUAACAAAAUGAUGAAAAUUAAUGAUGAAAAUAUAAUCAAAAUUAUAAUAUAAUUAAAAUAUUUAUUAUCAAUAAUAAUAAUCGAUUCAUUUAUAAACAAUUUGCUACUUCAUUCCAUAAUUAAAACGUAGGUACAGACCUUACCGUGGGCUAUUUGUCCAUCAUUUAUGAUAUUGGGCUGUGUUACCCUUCGGCCUACUUAAGUUGCUGGCUAGGCCCAUAUAUAGUCCAUUGAACCCAAGUAGCCCAUUUGUCACAAACUCUUUGAAGCUUAGGUCCACUUUCCCAAUAGCCCAAGGAUUCGCAAAUCUUGAGUAAGGAAUUGACUAUUAACACUUACACUCGAGAGCAUCUCGUUAGUUGUUUACUUAGAGGCAUAUCGCAUGGGGGGUUCAAGGCUAAUAAUAGAAAGCACAAGUACAAUCAACAACUAGAUUUCGAUGUAUGAAAUCACUAGUAAGAAAGUACCUAUAUUUCAAGAAUUGUUUAAGUAGGGUAGCUCGGUUGGUGUGUAGAUGGGGAUGGUAUAGGUAUUUCCUCAUCAUUAUCAUUCUUGCUAGGCAUGACUUUUAUCAUCCAAUUUUUUUAUGGACAUAAAUAAAGGUAUAUUCUUCAAUAUACCUAGUAUACCGAAACUUUCGGUGUGCUCAAUUUUUUGUUGGUAACGUAAAUCUAUCACCAUCGUUCAUUUUCAGUUUGCGAUCUCGACGGUCCACAAUUAUUCAAAUAUUAAAUUUCUAUUUCACAUUUUAUUUUUGAUCUCAUAUGUUUUCUCAAUAUGACAAAAGAUCUUACUUUCUCAAUUUGACAAAUGAGCUUUAGCAAGCUAAGACAGCAGCUCAGAGAGUAAGAGAGGGAGACGAAGGAAACACAACUCCGAAAAAAUGCAACAAGAUAACAAAACCACGGUGCUUCAAAACAAGACUUGGGACAUUCUGCAACUGAAAAACCAAACAAAACAUCAUGUAUGACACCCCAACGUGACAGCAAAAAACAGCGGUAACAAUUUUAAUUAAACCACAUGAAAUUUUUUAUUUGAAAUCACAUGAAAUUUUGGAUCAAUUACAAUCCAAUUUCAGAUCGCAAACUGAAAUCAAAAAUAAAAUGUGAAAUAGAAAUUUAAUAUGCGAAUAAUUAUGAACCGUCGAGAUCGCAAACUGAAAAUGGACGUUAGUGAUGAAUUUACGUUACCAAAAAAAACUAGACACACCAAAAAUUUCGAUAUACCAAAUAUACCGAAGAAUUUACCAUAAAUAAAUAAAUAACUCAUACAUGUCUCAAACCAAUAACAUUUACAUUAUUAGCAUGACGCUUUAAUCAAUUAUGUUAAUAGGCCAUCAAUGAAUCAUUUGACCUAACUGAUAACACAUAAUAUAACAACGAAAUAUUUUAAUUAGUGGUAAUUGAUUUGGAUAAUGUAUUAAAUUUCUAAACAGAAAACACCAAAUAUAUUAUUUUGGUUGAAUAAAUAAAUUAAAAGAUAUUUCAUCAUUUCACCUCUCUUUUUNNNNNNNNNNNNNNNNNNNNNNNNNNNNNNNNNNNNNNNNNNNNNNNNNNNNNNNNNNNNNNNNNNNNNNNNNNNNNNNNNNNNNNNNNNNNNNNNNNNNNNNNNNNNNNNNNNNNNNNNNNNNNNNNNNNNNNNNNNNNNNNNNNNNNNNNNNNNNNNNNNNNNNNNNNNNNNNNNNNNNNNNNNNNNNNNNNNNNNNNNNNNNNNNNNNNNNNNNNNNNNNNNNNNNNNNNNNNNNNNNNNNNNNNNNNNNNNNNNNNNNNNNNNNNNNNNNNNNNNNNNNNNNNNNNNNNNNNNNNNNNNNNNNNNNNNNNNNNNNNNNNNNNNNNNNNNNNNNNNNNNNNNNNNNNNNNNNNNNNNNNNNNNNNNNNNNNNNNNNNNNNNNNNNNNNNNNNNNNNNNNNNNNNNNNNNNNNNNNNNNNNNNNNNNNNNNNNNNNNNNNNNNNNNNNNNNNNNNNNNNNNNNNNNNNNNNNNNNNNNNNNNNNNNNNNNNNGCUGAUAAAGUUAUUGACGAAUCUAUGUCGCACGUAUAAAAAAUUAUGAGUUUGAAUGUUAGUUGCUAUUUAUUUUGGUUAUUCCACUUGGGACUCUAAAAUUGUUUAUGAGAUGAACUUGUGGAUUCUUUGUAGUGGGUUGUUGUGUGAUGCACUAUACUAAUGUACAUCUUAUGAGUAAAUAAUAUAGAUGGACAACCCCAAGGUUUUUUAAGUGGAGGAUGGUAAAUCUAGUUAUUAACUCGUCCAUGUCAUGUUUAUUUAGAGGAUAUGAAUUUGAAUGCUACAUUUUUUAUCGCUUGCUUUGGUUGCUUGUUGGGACUUCAAAUAUGUGGUCGGGAUUGCAAAGUUGUUCUAUGGGUUCUUAGUCAGACUUCUAAAUUGUGCAGGUAUUGAUAACAAGUCGUUUUGGGAUAAACAAACAUCCCACUACGGGCACUUAGAUAUGAAAGCUUGACUAAAGUGUAACCUGAUAAAUGAGCUCUAUAACCUUUAAUCUCGAAUCACAUUAAUUAUUCGAGUGAACGAUUCGAACCGAACUAAAAAAUCAAGGGAGAAAACGAAAGAAGAAACUUNNNNNNNNNNNNNNNNNNNNNNNNNNNNNNNNNNNNNNNNNNNNNNNNNNNNNNNNNNNNNNNNNNNNNNNNNNNNNNNNNNNNNNNNNNNNNNNNNNNNNNNNNNNNNNNNNNNNNNNNNNNNNNNNNNNNNNNNNNNNNNNNNNNNNNNNNNNNNNNNNNNNNNNNNNNNNNNNNNNNNNNNNNNNNNNNNNNNNNNNNNNNNNNNNNNNNNNNNNNNNNNNNNNNNNNNNNNNNNNNNNNNNNNNNNNNNNNNNNNNNNNNNNNNNNNNNNNNNNNNNNNNNNNNNGUCUUUCAAACGAUGCUUCGUAGUUAAUUGUUUUUUAUUUUUAGUUAUUAACGUGGUAUAAUAAAACAAAUAACGACACGAACUAGGACAAGUGUGCGGUUGUGAGAGAUUUCGAAACAUUUAAAAAACAAAAUAAUAAUUAAAAUAUUUUGUCUUUUAGUGUUACUAAAAAUUAUAGAAGGAUGAAGGGGAGGACAGUCUCCACUCUCCAUGUGAAGAAAAUAAUGUGGAAGCCGGUGUGUUUGAUUUUUUUUUGUUAAAUGGGUACCCAAAUUCAAAAUAAUAUCCAUCUUGGGUCCGUUACAACCCAAUUUGUUUUAAAUUGUAUGGAUGUUAAGUUGGCUGGUUGGAAAAAUAAAAUUAUAUCAUUUGCGGGUCCUGUCAUCGCUAUUCCAUGUUAAGUGAUGCAGACAACAAUUCUUCUUGUAGAAAUUUGUAAAAAAAUUGAUCAACGAACCCAUAAUUUUGUGUGGGAUAAUUUUUCGAAAGGAAAGGAACCCCACCUUGUGUAAUGGGAUAAUAUAUACAGGUCUAAGGAACAAGGUGGUCUCGGCUUGAGAAAGGUUAAGGAGUCUAAUGAAGCUUAUCUCAUGAAGUUUGCAUGGAAUCCUUUGGCGCAACUUGAUGCUUUGUGGGUGAGAAUUCUCUUGGCAAAGCAAGACGAUCAAGGUUUUACCUUAAUUCGGAGACAAACGUCCUCCCCUCUUUGAUGCGGUAUUAGGAGGAUGUCUGGUGUGGUUCAAAAAGGUGUGCAGCAUUGCAUCCGCGGAGGACGGGAUGUGAGUUUUUGAUUUGAUAGUUGGAUUGAUGUUGGGGUUAUUUUGGCGGAGUUAGUUGAUCAGGUAGGUUGGGAUUGACGACUAAUUGGAUUGUACAGGAUGCGGUGGAUUCUAUAGGAAAUUGGGAUUGAGAGUGUUUGGAGGGUCUUCUUCUACGAGUAGCUCGAGAGAUGAUGGUGGUAUGCUGCCUCCAACUAGUGAUGAGGAGGAUGGUUUAUUUGGGGUCUUGAUUUCAAAGGGCCAUUCUCUGUUAAAAUUGCUUAUAAUCUCAUUGCAGGAAUCCAACAGGACAUGCUCAACCGGUUUGGAGAAUAAAUUUGGAGAUGGAAGGGGUCUAACAAAAUUAUUCACUUUCUCUGACUUGCUUUUCAGUGCAAGUUGUUUGCUAAUGUGGAGCGUUAUCAUAUGCAGAUUACAAACAACAAUACUUGUAGUGUUUGCAAGGGAACACCUGAGACAAACAUUCACCUUCUGUGUGACUGUCCACUCGCAAAUGCACUUUGGUGGUCGAUUAUGGGCUCUGAUAUUUGGCCUAAUUUUUUUAUGAUGACUUUGAGACUUGGCUUAUCCGUGGGAUUUCUCAUCCGACAAGAGCCCUUGAUUUUGGGGUCAUUUGUUGGCUUUUUUGGAAGAAUCGUAAUGAGGUUCUCUUUCAGAAUGUCUUUGUUUCCUGCGAUCAGAUCCAUCUAUGAGUCCUUUUUGGAUCACCAGGUUUCGAGAGAUAAUGAAAGUGGAGGAUAGAGCCUUUCCAGAGGUAAUCCCGAUGAGGGAAGAAGUGCUUAUUGGAUGGAAUGCAACGUCAAGUGGUUAUAUUAUAGUCAACACAGAUGGAUCCAUAAUUCAGCCUAAUGGCACUGCGGCGGCCGGGGGAGUUAUUCACAAUUUUAUUGGUAUGGUAUUGCAUUCCAUUGCAGCUAAUCUGGAUAUAUGUACAAUUACAAGAGCUGAACUUCGUGACACUAUCUAUGGUCUGCAACUUGUUUGGGAUCAAGGUUUUCGUAAAGUCAAUCUUCAAUUUGAUUCCAAAUGUGCGAUUUCCAGAAUGAUCAAGGAAUCCUCAGAUGAUUUCAGACAUUUGUCAUGUAUUCUUGAAGCUAAACAGCUCCUUGACAGAGAUUGGGAUGUGCGUAUCACGCCUACCUUUUGUGAAAGCAAUCGUGUUGUGGAUGCCUUUGCCCACUAUAAGCACUCCCUUCCAUUUUGUUAUAGUUAUGAUUUUAUUCAUACCUCUACAAUUGUUGAUUGUAUUCGUACAGAUAUGAUUGGGGUUUCACUUCCCCGUAUUAUUCCGAUAAAUGGAUAGGACUAAUACCCCACUUUUUCUUAAAAAAAAAAGAAAUUUGGGUGAUUUCUUUCAUGAAUGCAUUUCUUAACUAAUAAAUAUUAAAAAUUGGGUGGAAAUUAAAAGAAAAUUUUGGUACCAUGAUCAUUAAACGUUAAGGUAAUUAUUAUGAUAACCAAGGUCAUUGGUCAACCAAUUUAGUGAUGAUGCAUGUGCAUAUGGAAAUAUUCUCAUAAUGGAACAUAUAUGUAAUUAUUAAUAAGAGAUACAAAUAUUUAAUUUGGUAUACUAAUGAUUGAUUCACUUCUAUUUUUCAAUUUUAUUUUCUUACCAAUUCUUUUAACGAUAAAUAAUUAUGUCCUUCAUUUAUAUAAAUUUGGUGUUUAUAUUUUCAUCCUCCAAAUUAUUCUCUUACUUAAAUUUACGGUCACAUGAAUUAUUGUCUUACCAUGACCCGUCACUUAUCGAGAGGUUUGAAUAUCAUGUUUGCAUAGACGUCGAUUUGUGUUCUUGAACGUGAAAUGAAUUUGAAACCGCAAUUCCAAUAUGGAACAUAGACUAUUUUGUCAUUAAGCAAUGAAUGCAGUCAUAUGAACACAAUGAAGUGGUCACUUUCUAAACAUCAUGAUCACAAACCAAACAAGUUAAUUAAGAAAUUAAUAAAGGGUGAAUAUUAUUAAGCAAAACAACACCAAAUGAAAGCAACUUUAACCAAACUUACACACACAACAAGGAAUUAAUUAACAUAAAGCCAGCCCAUCCCACGCUGCCAUAUAUAUUACUAAAAAGUACUCCAAAAGCAACAAAACAACAAAAUAGCCCCAAAGUUACCCUCAACGUUCCAUUUCCUGCCCAACUUUUACAUUAAACCCCAAAAUUCCCCUCUUAUUAAAAUUUCCCACUAAUAUAAUAAUUAUGGCAAAUUAAUUCACCAGGAACACAUCCGCCGCCGCCGCAGAUUCCAUACUCAUGGCCUGAUUCAUCACCGCCGAGUUCACCGGACUCCAAAAGCAGCCGCCGUGAUGCUCCGCCAUCAUUCCAGCCAUGUCAUACUCAUACCCAAACCCUCCUCCACCGCCGCAGCCGCCGACUGCAUCAGCGGCCGGAGUGAGGAACUGGAGGAUCUCGUUGAGGGAAUCGAGGCGGUUGCCGAGCUCGCCUACCUGAGCCCUCAGUACCGAAUUGUCUGCGUCGAGGGACAGGAAAUGCUGGGUGGUGACGCUGAUGCUGGCGACAAUCUGGCCGUUCUCUUUCCUGAGCUGAUCAACCUGGGCCGUCAGAUCGUCGAGGUGUUUCUGCUUUCGCAUCCUCUUCUGCUUCCUCAUCCUCGACCUCCUCGCCGACUCCCUGUUCGACACCAUCCUCUUCCUCUUCCUCUCAUCCAUCAAAGCCUGGAGGUCCGAGUCCGACCCGGCCGAGUUGUUGCUCACCGGCGACGACGUCGCCGACGAUGUGCCGCUCGAAGACGCCAUUACAGAUUUUUUUUUUCGAAACCGAACAAUUUAAAAAAAGAGAAGCUAAUUAAUUAAAUAAAAAGUUGAUUACUUUACUUUAUAAGGGGAUGGCAAAAGGGAAAUUAAAGGUUGUUAUGAAACAUAGUAGAGGAAGUAAAGGAAGACGACUGAGAAAGAUUGAACGAGAUGAGUCCUUCGCCGGAAAGUGGAAUUUAUCAUACAACGGAGAAGGAACAGUUCACUAAGAAUUGAAGACAUGAAUCUCUAGACUAUGCAUCAAGCUAAGCCGUCCUUUUCAACUCCUUUUUUUCUCACAAUCAAACCACAGUCAAGAUUCCGUCGAAACAGAGGAUGGGAAAAACAGAGCAAGGGGAAAGUGAACCCAGAUCGGGGAAAUUGGAACAGGAAUGAAGAGGGUUGGUGGAUUGGUUGAAAAAUGAAGAGGGUUGGUGGGGAAAGUUGGAACUCAGAUGAGAUUCCGGCGAUCGGAGAAAUCGAAACAGAGGGGGGUGAAAACAGAGGGAAGGGAAGGGGGGGGGGAAGAAGGGGGGGAGAAAUGAAGAGGGGUUGAGGGGUGAAUUUAUAGAAGGGGGAGAUUGCUGGACUGGUUUAAAGAAUUAUUAUGAAGGGAGGAGGAAAAAAUCUGGAAAAGGAAUUGAGAAAGUAAAGUGGUGGGGAGAGAGAAAGGUGAUGGAGACAUGUGGGGUGGUGAAGAAGGAGAGAGAAGAAGAGUCCAGAGAAUACAGGAGGGAACACAGCUGGGAAGCAACAGUGAUACACAUGAGAAGGGAGGGAGGAGGAAGAAGAAGGAGGAAAAGAAAUAAGAGGGAAUAGUAGUAGAUUUGAGAUGGUGUAAUAUAUUAUAUCGAAUUAUAUAAAAUUUUAAAUAUUUUAUGUUAUAUAUAAAAGAAUAUUAAUAAAUCGAAAAUAUAAAAAAAAAUUAUAUAUUUUAAAUUUUGAAAAUACACUAGAUAGAGAUUCGAAAGGAUCCUAUACCAGAGAGAUUUUUUUUUUGCAUUGCAUCAAUUGUUUUUAACAAAGUCAUUGCAUCAUUUCUUUUGAUUGUUUUUGUUGUUGGUGGUGGGGGUGGGGGGGGGGGGAGGGGCCUUUGAUGUUGGUGUUGUUGUGUUGUGUGAUGAUGAUUUGCUAACUCAAAAUCUGGUGUUGGCUGUAUUUGGAUGCAAUCAUGUUGGUACUAUGUGGUUUUUGUUGUUCAUGAGAUCAUGGGUGAAGGUACCAAGCUGGGAUUUUGUUUGUGGGGUUUAUAGGUUUUUUCGAGAAGGAUGAUUGAGUAGUGUGACUCAUAUCUAUUGUUUUUUUAGAUGCCUCGGUAGCUGAAUUGGUUGAGCCUAUCGGAAUAGUUGAUGGGUUUUUCAACAAAGAUGAUCGAGUAGUGCGACUCACAUAUGUUGUUUUUCAUGCAAUUCAUGAUGUAUUUGGUGUGUGUUGCAACAUUGUCAAUGCUUCGACAGAGUGCAAUUCAUCCACUUUCAUCCAAUUAUGGGAAGAUAAUAUAGCAACUUUCUCGUUUUAAAAUACAUUUUUCAAAUUAGGAGAUGUUUGAAAUCUAUAUGUGAACUUCAAAUUUUAUGUGUGAUCAUGAGAUAAAAAUACGAUAAAUAGUGUUUACAAGUAAAAAUAUCACCACUUUUAUAUAGAAAUUACUUAGCUUUUUAAGUUAUAAAAAGCACAUUAAAACCUUACAUUGUUUUUAAUUUCACAAAUUUAAUCAAAUCACCGGCUAAUUCUAACAAUAAAGAUUUACAUUAGGAGAUAAAUUUUAUUUUAUUGAGCAACUAUUCAUGAACAUGUUAACAAAAGAAUUAUCCUUAAACACAUACAUAUGUGUAUUGACAGAUCGGAAGAGCGUCGCAAAGGGUACAUAAUCCUGUUUGUUAAUGGAAAAAAUAAAAUUACAGACUAAAAAAUAAAAUCACAAAUCGCACUCCUGAAUAUUUUAUAAAUCUUGCACAUCCCCAGAUGUUGCCUAAAAGUUACCAAUGGAAUCAGAAAUUAAUGAAACAAAACAAAUAAAAAUAAUAAUUAAAACAGCCAGAAAUUGAGACCCAAUUUGAGCCUUUUGGGCUUAAUAUGCAUUGUGGUCAUCAACCUACUGGUUCAUAACUAUCUAGUCAUCGAUAUUUAAAAAGUAAUAUACAUAUGACUAACCUGUUUCAAUUGUAAUACAUGGUUAAUCUCGUCAAUGCUCCACCCAAAAAUUUUGUUAAUCCGACUAACCACAAUGCAAAAAAUGUCCACUUCACCCCCUUGGUAUGCAAACUAUUGUAUCUUUUAGAUCCAACCUAUUCAAUUGAUUUGAGUUGGAAGGUUUCAAGUGGAUUGAUUAAAUUAGAUUGUAGGUCUAUACAUAUGUGUUAAGUUAGAUUUCUUGGAAUGAAUUAUAUCUCUGAUGAAAUACGUGAUAUGGAAGGAGGACGGCGUUUUUUGAAAUUAGAAAUUAAUAUGGUGAUUUGUCAACGAAAAAGAUAAUCGAUUAGUUAUAAUAGGUUUCAAUUGUUUGAUGACCACAAUGGAUAUUAAGUAUAUAUACUUAAUAUUCUUGGGGUAAAAAUGGUCCACCGACGAUGUACUGACAACACUGAGUUGCUUAGAAUCUUGCAAAUCUAGGGAUGUAGGUCUGUCAUUAUUUUAUUUUUAUUAAAAUUUUAUUUAAUUUUAUUUUGGGUAUCUGAGCUCAUCAUACAAAGGAAUUUCAAUUUUUUUAAUUAUUACAAAAGGGUCCUCUUUAUUCUUCAUUUGUCUAUGAGAAGUCCCAUUACUCCAUAUGGCCCAUGUUUUGGUACCUUUGGGCGGUUUGGGGGUCACCUCCCCCACUAUUUGAUGUCUAAUUUGUUAGUCGUACAACCUAACCAUUGAAGUGGUCCACAUUCGAAAAUGAAAAUCGAUAUCGAUGUGGAUAAUUGAAUAUAUUGUUAUAUUGGUAUGUGUUAUGGCAUCGAAUCACUAUCUACUCUUAACACAAUAUUGUUGAGCGGUUAACUAACGACUGCAACUUCGCAACACGGUAAUAUAGUGCAGUUGGUUUAAUCACCUAACCAAAUCACUGCCUACUCUUAACACAAUAUUGUUGAGUUGUUCACUAAUGAUUGCAAAUCCGCAACACGAUUAUGUAAUGUUGUUGGUUUAAUCGCAUAACCAAAUUACUCAAAAAAUAUAACAAUUUAUCGACCGGGAAUCUUCAACAUUGACCAAAAAAAUUAUAUUUUACAAAGCUAACACAUAAUAUCAACUAGAACUCCAUUGUAACUAAUUUAUGUAGAAUAAAUGAGUUCGACUCCUCUUUCUAUUUAGCCCUUUAAAUUUUUGGGUUUGCGGUGUUAUGGCUAAUUAUAGUCAACUACAUCCAUUUUCGUUCUAACCGCUAACCACAAUUUCUAUAAAACGAGUGUUGUAAUGGAACCCAACUCAAUCUAAUUUAGUCCUUCAAAUUAUAAGCUCAUGGAUUCUCUUAUGUGUGUAUCUAAGUCUCCCCAAUGACAUAUUCUACAGAUUUCUCCUACCUUCAAAAUUCAGACUUAAUAAUCUUGACAAAUUAAACAAAACUAAUCAUUAACNNNNNNNNNNNNNNNAUCAUAAGCCAAACAUUUUAGACCGUUUGAUUUAAUUCCAUCACAUAAUUCUUUCGAAAACAAUAAUGUUACAACACUCAUACCAUAAUCAUCUUAUACCGAUCCGGAAUCCAUCCGGUAAUUCCAAUUUAUCAUUAAAGUUUUUUCAUGUACAUAGGAUUUGCAUUCAAUGCAUCUAAGCUAUUCAAUUGCCAACAUUUUUUCCAAAAAAUUGUGCGGGAUCCUAUUUCUAAUCCACGAUCCCUUUCCCCUUGCCUUUAAGAUUUGAUUCCAAGGAGUUAACAGUUGGGUUGAUAAAGAAACAAAAUUAAAGGUGGAUACUUUCUUUUGNNNNNNNNNNNNNNNNNNNNNNNNNNNNNNNNNNNNNNNNNNNNNNNNNNNNNNNNNNNNNNNNNNNNNNNNNNNNNNNNNNNNNNNNNNNNNNNNNNNNNNNNNNNNNNNNNNNNNNNNNNNNNNNNNNNNNNNNNNNNNNNNNNNNNNNNNNNNNNNNNNNNNNNNNNNNNNNNNNNNNNNNNNNNNNNNNNNNNNNNNNNNNNNNNNNNNNNNNNNNNNNNNNNNNNNNNNNNNNNNNNNNNNNNNNNNNNNNNNNNNNNNNNNNNNNNNNNNNNNNNNNNNNNNNNNNNNNNNNNNNNNNNNNNNNNNNNNNNNNNNNNNNNNNNNNNNNNNNNNNNNNNNNNNNNNNNNNNNNNNNNNNNNNNNNNNNNNNNNNNNNNNNNNNNNNNNNNNNNNNNNNNNNNNNNNNNNNNNNNNNNNNNNNNNNNNNNNNNNNNNNNNNNNNNNNNNNNNNNNNNNNNNNNNNNNNNNNNNNNNNNNNNNNNNNNNNNNNNNNNNNNNNNNNNNNNNNNNNNNNNNNNNNNNNNNNNNNNNNNNNNNNNNNNNNNNNNNNNNNNNNNNNNNNNNNNNNNNNNNNNNNNNNNNNNNNNNNNNNNNNNNNNNNNNNNNNNNNNNNNNNNNNNNNNNNNNNNNNNNNNNNNNNNNNNNNNNNNNNNNNNNNNNNNNNNNNNNNNNNNNNNNNNNNNNNNNNNNNNNNNNNNNNNNNNNNNNNNNNNNNNNNNNNNNNNNNNNNNNNNNNNNNNNNNNNNNNNNNNNNNNNNNNNNNNNNNNNNNNNNNNNNNNNNNNNNNNNNNNNNNNNNNNNNNNNNNNNNNNNNNNNNNNNNNNNNNNNNNNNNNNNNNNNNNNNNNNNNNNNNNNNNNNNNNNNNNNNNNNNNNNNNNNNNNNNNNNNNNNNNNNNNNNNNNNNNNNNNNNNNNNNNNNNNNNNNNNNNNNNNNNNNNNNNNNNNNNNNNNNNNNNNNNNNNNNNNNNNNNNNNNNNNNNNNNNNNNNNNNNNNNNNNNNNNNNNNNNNNNNNNNNNNNNNNNNNNNNNNNNNNNNNNNNNNNNNNNNNNNNNNNNNNNNNNNNNNNNNNNNNNNNNNNNNNNNNNNNNNNNNNNNNNNNNNNNNNNNNNNNNNNNNNNNNNNNNNNNNNNNNNNNNNNNNNNNNNNNNNNNNNNNNNNNNNNNNUUUUACUUUUAGGUGUAUUUUGUUAUUUCGAAUAUGUUUUUAUGAUGAAUAUGGAGAUUUUUUUUUUAAUUUAGUGAUAGUCUUAAAAAUAUGUAUUCCAUAUUUGAAGAAUAUAAGGAAUUUAGAAAAACUAAAACUAUUAUUUUCUACAAAAUAUUAUCUUUAGUGUUCAUAAGUGACAUUCAAAAAAACCAAGACAGAAAAUUAUGAAACUAAAAAUAUAUAGCAUGUCUUGGGUCGGAGUAGUUGCGGUUUUCAAGACGGCUAAAAUGCUAAAAUUACAUUUAGCAUCCUUCUAUUAUACACAGAGGGUUGCGAUUAGCCCAUUACAUUGAUAAUGAAUGAGUAAACCCCAAAAUUUGAUGAUAUCCUAUCUUAGAGAUCUUUACAAUAAAUUUACCAUAGUGAUUUCUUUAUUUUGGUUAUAAUCAAUAAUUUAACCAUUAUCUAUACUUAAUUACCCAUACGUUGAUAUGUGAAAACAGUCGAACGAUAUAUUGGAUGUUAUAGGCACCUCCAAUUUUGCGGCUUAAUUAUUAUAAAAAAAAAGUAUUGUUUUACAUCCUAUAUGUAAUUUUGAGAUUCUAUGACAAAGGAGAUCGUACUAGACUAGCUAAUCAUCCGGACGAACAAAAUUAGCAAAUCUUGAAUAUUUUAAUAUCGAUUUAAUCGUACAAACCAUCGUAACGAAUUCAAAGGAAACCUUUGAGUCCAUUUUGGCUACUUGUAGUGCAUCCAACUUUUAUUCAUGGCAAAUAGGGUACGAUGAAUUCCAACAAAAUGUGCUUAAAUCCAAUUUGUUUGAACCGAUUUUGCCUUCAUGGCGAAGUAAUUAAAGUGUAUGAUAACAUGGUGGGCACACUACACAUAAAUUUGAGGGGAAAGGGAAACAUUAAAGGACUUGUUUGGUGCGUACAAACAAGUUGCUGUUCUUAACUCUUUCUUUCAAUUGGUCAAAAUCUAUUAACCGGCCAUUUCCGUUACCUAUCGAUCAGAUUGAUAUCGUGAUUUUUCGUAUGUAAUCGGUAAGAAAUUAACAAUCGUUCGAAACAUGAUGAUCCCACCUAAUCGACUCCCCAAUAUUUUGUUAGACUUUGUCAAAAUUAAAUCAGUCAAUUGCUCAAUAUAUACUCUUAUCGAUCAAAAAUAUUCAACCGUCUAGUAAGAUAAUCGAAGGUUAAGAAAAUGAUCCCAAUUUAGUUAUUAUCUACCUACCGACUUCAUGAAUCUUUUGUACCCACUUAUUUUUUUAUUUUAUUCUUUUUUCUAAAUUUGUAGGGACACAAAAGAUUUGAAUCGACAUUUUUACCACUCAUUUUAUUUCUUAGUAACUUUUGAUUGUGCAAUUGUUGCCAAUGUGAUGAAAAAAUGUACUUUUAACAAAGGAUUUUGCUUUUGUGGUGGGUGUGGGAAAUGUGAGGUUGGGAUUUCUCAUCUUUUUAUCUCAAGUAGGGUUUGCUUACAUCUUUGGAUCUUGGGGGAUGAAGAAGGAUUACCUUAUCGUGACAACACCUUAUUUGUUCUAUUGUGGGGAUAAGUUUCAAAUACAUUCAACAAGUUUUUCAUUGUGUUUCAAUUGGUUUCAACAAUGUUUUCAAUUGUAGUUUUACUAUAAGAGUGAUUCUAACUAAUUAAUUAAUGGGUCAUUUCGGUACGUAGGUGAUUUUGACAGGUGUUUUCGAGGUGAUUCGGUCCUCCGAUGAGAUUUCGGUUUAAAUCACCCGUUUGAGACAUCAAAAGAGAAGAGAUUUGGGGAGAUUUGAAACCACCUUGCGGGUUUGGAGAGAAUUUCGUGGGUGAUUUCAAAUUACUCAGGAGAGGUAGAGAUUUCGGAGAAGAGAGAAGAGAUUUGAGAAUUUUAACCAAAAUUACCUCUUAUUUCUUUUAGUAAUUGAUAUGAUCAUAAAUAAACUGAAGACAUUUUCGUUUUUUUUUAAUUGUUUUUUUCCUCUUUUCACACUAAUUGCAUUCAAAAUCACUCACAAAUUACCCAUCCAAAUAAUCUAUUUCGAAAACAACAAAAUUUAUUUAAAUAUCUUUUAUUUCAAAUUACCUACCUACAUAAACUACCUUUAAAACUUAAUCAAAGUAAUUGGAAUAUGCUAUUAAGGCGAUAAUGGAUAAAUUAUCUUACUUUACGAUAUCCAUACUUUAACAACAUCAGUUUGUUUUGCAUUUGAACGAAGUUGUGUUGGUUUAAUCAUCUUAUAUAUUAAUUGAUUUAUUGGGAUAUCAUUAUUUGUCACAUCAACAAAAUGUACAUUGUGUUGUUGACGGGAUUGUUGUAACUGAGAUCCUUACUUUUUUGAUAACGUGCCUAUAUUUGCGGGUAAAAAGAAUCUGAUAUGUCGUUAAUCAAACUAUAUAUAAUGUAACGAGACAGGUCAGGUAGAGGCCAACCUUACGGUCUGAAUUGCGGUUAGUCUUUGGUUGCUUUGGAGCUAUGACAAAAAAAAUUACAAAAUUUUCCUAGCAGAUUAAACAAUCCCCAAAAUUAAUGGGGUUACACUGACCCGAUACAUAUUUCUUAUGGGUGUUACUCAGCCCAAGCCCAGUUCUUGACAGCCACGAGGCCCAUUCUUAAGAGGCCUAAUCCGUUCCGAAUUUAAAUUUUAAACAACUUUGUUUUACUGCUUCCUCUAAUGAUCGAACCAGGGACCAUCACAAAAUAAUCCAAUUUCCCUUUUCCCUUUAAUUUAUGGGAAAAACCCUUGCUCCUCCUGGUAGUGUUCCCCAUCUCCCGCGCUUCGUGCUCAGACGACCAAGCUCAUCGGAGGUAAACCGAUUCGUGCUCAUCGGUGCUAGCGUCCUCGUUCGUAAUCAAGUCGUCGUAUGUACCCUCCAUUUCUUGCAUUCUAAACACGAGUGCCCUCGAUUUAGGUUUUCGCUGUAGAACCAGCCGGAAUCGUCAAUGGAUUCUGAGUUGGAUCCUUUCAUAGACGAGUUCGACGAGCCGGCUGCUCCCCGCGGUAAGCCCUACCUCGUUUUGGUUUGAUGAUUUUCGCGUAUCGGAACGCUUCUCUUUUGUUUUUUGGCUUAUGGAUUGAUGUCUGAAAUGCGUGUGUAGCUAAGCCGGCGGUGAAGUUCCAACCGAAGGCUCGGCCUAGGAAGGGCAAGGCUACUUCCUCCGCCGCCGCCGCGCCUCCAGUUUUUGCACCACCACCACCACCACUUCCUCCUGCCGAUAUUACUGUCAGUGCUGACGUAUUUCUGGAAACGGAUGCUGUCCACGAUCUGGUAACUCAGCCCACAGGUAAACCGUCAAGAUUGCGGAGAAUUUGUGAAUUGACUUAAUUUAUGGCUCAGCUUUAAGAUUAUGAGUUGUAAUGUGGAAGGGUUUGUCUUCAACUACAGGUGAUUCGAUUCGCUCUGCAAAUGAAGAGGUUUUGGUACCCGCUUCUAUACAAGAGUCUGUUGUUUUCUCAGCAUUCGGAGGCGAGACGGAGGCCAAAGAUCCAGUAGCGAGUGAGACGGUGGAUGGACAUGUUGAUAGUGAUAGGCUGCAAUCAGAGGUGAAGAUCUUUGUAGUUCGUGAGUCUGCAUUUUCUUUCCUUAACACUUUGAUUUCUGCAUUGAUUGAUUCGAUGUGUAUCGCCCUCUUUUCAGGACUUGAGAGAAAGGACAGAUGUCGUGUCUGAGCCUGUUGUUGAAUCAGGUAAGCUAAUCGUAAUGUUUGUGCAGUUCUUGUCUUCUUCAUGUCUUAUUGGUUUUAUUCUCUAAAGAACACCUGAACUGAUUCUUGUGAUAUAAAAAAGUAGGCACAGAGGAGAAUCCUCAGAAUGAUAACGUCUUCCUUGAUGAUGUUGAGUCUCUUGUUCCACCAGAGAGUAGUUUUGUCGCUCCUUCAGAAGCCAGACAUGAAAGUGAGGGCACAAUGCCUGCAGCAGAAGAGGAAUAUGUUUAUGAUCUAUCGUCCUUGGGCUUCGACGAUUUUGUUCCUUCAGCUACUGCUGCCUCUGAGCUCCCAAUGAACUCAGAACAGACGGGUGAUGAGCAAACAUGUGUUUUGAACGAGGCAGGCAAAAAUUCAAGGGAGGAUGCUCCUGAAGUGGUGAAAAAGGUAAUGUCGUUUGAAAUGUAAGUAAGAUGCUAUACGACGCAUUUGUUACUAUGGUUGUAACCUGUUUCUCUCUCUCUCUCUCUUAUCAGAAUCGAGACAACAAUGAAAAGACUCUGGAGAAGUCCAAGACUUCUUCAUUAGGUAGCGACGGGAGUGUCGGCAAGCUCUCGAUGCAGUUGAGGAAGCAAUCAGGUGGUUUAGCUCUCAACGAGUCUGAUUCUGUGAGUGUUCACGAUGAUAGCAGCUUCCUUUUUGAAGCACCUGAAUGCCUUGGUACGAAUGGAGACGAUGAUUAUGAAUAUCGGAUCGAGGAUUCUGAGGAUGAUGGAAAUGUUGAUGCUGGCGGGGCAAGCACUUCCAAGAAAAAGAAAGCUGCUAAAAGGUCAAAGAAAUCAGCUUCCAGUGAAGAGAAGCCUGGUCGAAAGCGCAAGAAAGCCAGUGACACAUCAGAACAGUCGGAGCAGAAGCAGCUGAAGAAGAAAUUUUCCCAUUCAACUCGCCGAAAGAAAAGAUAUCGUAAGUUCGAUACUCUAUUAAAUAUGUGUCACUGUUUCGUUUCUUGAGAAUGAUUUGAUCUUUUUAUACAGGAAAUGAUGAGUUGCUUAAGGUGCCCGAAGAUGAAAUAGAAUUCCGGAGCUUGACCAUGCGGGAUAUCAUUUUUCUUGCUGAACACAAAGAACGGUUAGCUGUGAGUUUAUCGGUUGCACUAAAUCACCAUAGAUGCUUAAGUUACUGCUACUAGGAUUAAUCUCAUUAAUGCUAAUUGUUUGCAAAACCCUUCUUGCAGGCUAAAGAUGCCAAAGCUUCUUUGCAAACUCCUUCGACUGAUAAAAAGUAAGAAGUCGUUUGUGAUCAGUGGAAGGCUUUCUCUGAGCUGUUCAACUUGUUAAAUUAAUCGUGCUCACCUCGGAACCAUUUGUCUCAUCUUGUUUAAAUGUUUUACCCUGUGCAGCACCGAGGAAGCCAACGAUGAAGAGGAUAACUCCGAGUCCGAGGAACCUGUAGACGUAUAUGAAACCCCUUUAUUCAACAGCCAUUCUUUCAUGAAUAGGACGCCCACCAUGCGAUGGUCAAAACAGGAUACUGAUUUAUUUUAUGAGGUAUAAACAUCUCUCUACAAUAAAUCCAUCGCAGAAAUUAUCUUCUGCUUUCUUUAUGCUUUCGAAGCUUCAAUAUUGUUGAUUGGUGGAAUUAAACCCUUGUAUGUGUGAUACAUAGAACUUAAUUGUGAUGCAUUAUGCUUGUUCUGGGUUUUCAGGGAAUUCGACAGUUCGGAUCCGAUCUGUCAAUGGUACAACAACUGUUUCCGGAGAGGACUCGCCGACAAAUCAAGAAUAAAUUCAAGACUGAAGAGCGCCGACAUCCAUUCUUACUUUCUGAUGCUCUGCAAAAUCCCAACAGUGGUAAUGUUCUUUACCAUCACUGUGAAAGCCUUUUUCACGCCAAAUUGCUAGUUGAAUAAUAUAGCAGCAUCCCUAUCUUUUGCAGAUACUACGUAUUUUGAAAAGGUGUAUAAUAAGCUGGCGCAAGCUGCAGCUGAUGAAGGAAGAGAGCCUCUCGAUCUUACCGGAGAAAAAGAAGCAGAUUUGAAUCUGGAAACUAAUGUAUGCUUGCAGCCCGCUUCGAUUCCAAUCAGAAACUAAUUUGCUUAUUUUCUUCUAAUCCAUGUGUAAGCGCCUGUAUUGUUGCAGGAGGAACCAGGAAAAAACUCGGAGCAGGACGAGCAGGUAACGGGUCAAGAUCCUGGAGAUAACCCUGAUGAAGCCCAUAGUAAUGAGAAGAUCGAGGAGGAAGAAGAGGUCGAGGACGAGGAUGAUCUAUUUAGCUCAUAUAAAUGUGAAUUCUGAAGCAACAAGCUAAACAUAUUGUAGCUGUAUUAUUAUCGAGUCGAACGAUGAAACUAGAUAGCUUGAAACAGUGGCUAGUGAAUGAAACAGGUAUUAGGUUCCUUCUCUUAUUACUUGCAUCAUAGUUCUGACCCUCUAUUUGUGCUCUAACACCCUACUUUUGUUUCAGGGUUACAAAUGGUCCUUCGGGAAAGAUCAGCGAUGAUUAUCGAAGAACGAGAGAAUGAGUUUGCAUGGAGCGAUCAUCGAAGUAGAUUUGAGUCUUCAACAUUGGAGUAGCUCAUGUACCAUCGGAUUAGAAGGGCUAUUAGUGUUCUAUUUGCAUCUUGAAAUUUAGAAGAAAAACGUACAUUUCAAGAAUCUACAAACACAUUUUGAAUGGUAGUCCUUGCGUUGCUACAGCGAUAGACCGUAAAGAUGCAAGGAUUUGAGCACGAAAACGACGAUCAAAUGGGUGCAGAUUCAAUAUCAACUAUUAAUUGAUGGGUUUACUUGCUUGUGAAGUAACAAACUAGCAACCUUACACAAUCUUGUACAAUGCAGUCUUUCCAUUGCAAAACAUUUAAUACUCUUGUCCAGUUAUCCGGAACAACUUUGGGUCACGUGAUUUUCUGGAGAACAAUGCACCAAUUCGAUUUGUCGAAGAACUGAUCGACUAUGACUGCAUUCUUGAUACCAGAUGUCAACCUGAAACAACAAAAGGUGAGAACAACACCCUAUAGCCGAAACGAAUGCAGAAGGCAAAAGUGGUUGAUGAAACCUGACCAAGUACCUUUCGAGUUCUCCUUCGCUAAAGACGUGAUAGUAACGGUUGUAGACAACCGCACCCUUCUUGUCAUCUUUCCUCGCCAAGCCGGAGGCCACAGCAGAUGCAGAAGCCCUGCCAACUUCAGCUCGAUGAUACGGCAGAUGCCAAGGCACAAAAUACUCGUGCUGACUUUCAUCCUCUCUCGAAACCACAUCAUCAUCUACACUACUUCCACCUGACUCCGGGAUGCUUUUCAAAGUCCUCUCAUCGUGCAUUUCCUUCCCUUCCGCUGAUUCGGGGAUGCUUUUCAAAGUCGCGGAUGAAGGGCUCCGAACUCGAGGACUCCCCGGUCCGAUCCAUUCCUCGACAUACUUAUCAUUAAGAGGCGUCCACUUCGUAAGCAGUGACCGAUCCUCUUGCUCGGCAGCCCAGACAGUUAUCAACACAAGUCCACCCUUCUUCACAACCCUAACCAACUCCUCCACCGCCUUCUUCCUCCUGACCUCGGUGCUCAAAUGAUGCAGCACCGCAAUCGAAAUCGCAGCAUCGCCAAACCCGUCUCGGUAAGGAAGAUUCACAGCAUCCGCAACCAGAACCUCGCUCCCUCGAUCCACACAAAUCUUGAUCAGCGGGACGCUGAUAUCGCACCCGAUGAAACAGCAAUCCUGAUUCAACCCUAGAUACUUCCCAUUCCCGCACCCUGCAUCGAGCACGAGCGAUCCGACAGGCAAAUUGUUAAGGAAAGACGCCACCUUCUGCCAUUUCGCAAACCUCGUGGAGCUGAAAUGAGGGGCAAUAGCGUCGUAAACUCGGUGCACAUACUUCUUUUCGAUCUCCGGGGUCGAGCCGAUACAUGAAGCUGCCUGGUGAUCUUCAGCAUUGGAGCAGAAGCUGGCGGCAGAGCUAGUCACCUUGAUUUCCUUCAUCGGUUUUGAGAUCUGAGCAGCUAGUAAACCGUAUGAUGAACUACUUGCCCUAGUCCUAAUCGCAUCCGCUACCCCCCGCCUGAAAUUGUACUCUCCGAUGAAAUGACAACGAAUUGAACAGCUUUUUUCAGCUUUCUAAACUUGGAAUCGUUGGGUUGGAAUCUGAUUACUGCUGAAAUCAAUAACAUGAACAAAGGAAACUGAAAAGCUUACCGGCUCUGGCCGUUUGGAUCUGCAGCGAUGACGACUGAAUCCCUUAAUCACUUUCUUAUCUAAUCUGCGGCGAUCUGAGAGGGAGUGGAGUGGGGUGGAAUUGAAAUUAGGGUUUUUGGAAAAUUAAAAAAUUGAUGAUGAUUGGGAUAUCUUGGGAACUGGGUGUAUUAUUGUACAGCUACUGAGCUUAGCAAAAGAUUUAAUUAUUAUUUUAUUCGCGGGGGCUAUACAAGUUCUGUAUCCAUACCGUAUUGAUAUGAGUAUACCGAGUGGACACGAUUCUUUUGUUCUUUUGCUUCAAGGAGCACUACAAGAAUCAGUGCGGCUAACUACGGAAACUUACCGCGGAUAGAAAAUCGCUGUUAAUCGUCAGAAAUAACGACGGUUAUAGUGAAUCCUAACACUUUAAGAUUGGAUGGUCAAUGUUUAUUGAUUUGAGUGUAGUAACAAGUUUAAUAAGUAUAUACCGUUGGUCAUUUACUUUGUGUAACUCGAUGUUUCUCCUCCACACAAUCUCCUUCACAUCGUCUAUUUUUACUAAUAUAGUUUGUUUUACUACACAAUGCAUUGAGUUGUCAAUUAUUUCUUAUGAUAUCCAAAUCAAGAUGAAGCUUCACUGCCAAGUCAUUGUCUCCGCAAUUGCCGCAAUAUUGGCCUAAGACGUCUUAGUCGAUUACUAAAGUGGCAAUUCAAUGUAGAGACAUCAAUAAGCAGAGGGUAAGUUAACGACGAAAUGAUAUGAUGAUUUGACAAUCUAACAAGGAAAUGAAGACUGAAAAAAUAAACUAGACGACUAAUUUGAUUCCGAUUCCUAAUCAGUAUGGGGAUGAAUUUAGAAAAAAAAAUUUAAAUCAUUACUUAAUAUAUACCAACCGAAUAAAUAAANNNNNNNNNNNNNNNNNNNNNNNNNNNNNNNNNNNNNNNNNNNNNNNNNNNNNNNNNNNNNNNAUUGUAAUAAAUAGAAAAAGCAAAAAAAAUGAUUAAUUUGAAAAAUAACCCCUAGCCAGUAAAUUAAAGUAGUAGUCGGUGGAGUGGAAAUCAAAUGUUAAUUAAAUUAGAAACUUUUUUUAAGCAAGUGUCAACAAAUGCCAAAGAUGGAUUCCUUAGGACACAAAGUUUUUUUUCUUNNNNNNNNNNNNNNNNNNNNNNNNNNNNNNNNNNNNNNNNNNNNNNNNNNNNNNNNNNNNNNNNNNNNNNNNNNNNNNNNNNNNNNNNNNNNNNNNNNNNNNNNNNNNNNNNNNNNNNNNNNNNNNNNNNNNNNNNNNNNNNNNNNNNNNNNNNNNNNNNNNNNNNNNNNNNNNNNNNNNNNNNNNNNNNNNNNNNNNNNNNNNNNNNNNNNNNNNNNNNNNNNNNNNNNNNNNNNNNNNNNNNNNNNNNNNNNNNNNNNNNNNNNNNNNNNNNNNNNNNNNNNNNNNNNNNNNNNNNNNNNNNNNNNNNNNNNNNNNNNNNNNNNNNNNNNNNNNNNNNNNNNNNNNNNNNNNNNNNNNNNNNNNNNNNNNNNNNNNNNNNNNNNNNNNNNNNNNNNNNNNNNNNNNNNNNNNNNNNNNNNNNNNNNNNNNNNNNNNNNNNNNNNNNNNNNNNNNNNNNNNNNNNNNNNNNNNNNNNNNNNNNNNNNNNNNNNNNNNNNNNNNNNNNNNNNNNNNNNNNNNNNNNNNNNNNNNNNNNNNNNNNNNNNNNNNNNNNNNNNNNNNNNNNNNNNNNNNNNNNNNNNNNNNNNNNNNNNNNNNNNNNNNNNNNNNNNNNNNNNNNNNNNNNNNNNNNNNNNNNNNNNNNNNNNNNNNNNNNNNNNNNNNNNNNNNNNNNNNNNNNNNNNNNNNNNNNNNNNNNNNNNNNNNNNNNNNNNNNNNNNNNNNNNNNNNNNNNNNNNNNNNNNNNNNNNNNNNNNNNNNNNNNNNNNNNNNNNNNNNNNNNNNNNNNNNNNNNNNNNNNNNNNNNNNNNNNNNNNNNNNNNNNNNNNNNNNNNNNNNNNNNNNNNNNNNNNNNNNNNNNNNNNNNNNNNNNNNNNNNNNNNGUCAAAGUUAGAAUUUUUGCAUUCAAUAGAUUCUCAUGAUGAGUAAAUAUCGAUAAAUAAUUAAUCACAAUACAUAUAUGAAAAAUUACGUUGAUGAAGUCAGUUAAAUUGUUUGAACUUAUUUUUUUUGCUGAUAAGAGUCAUAGUUGUGCAAAAUGUUUAUGUAAUUCAAAAUCUAGAGGAACUUAAGUUCAAAAUUUAACAUAUAAAAAGACACUAUAAUAUGACAAACUUUCAAAUGGGGUAAUGUAUAUAGGCAAUUUUAUAAGAAGUAACAAAAUACAAUCAACAAAUGACUCAUCUUUAUGGACCAAACUACUUACGAUAGCUCGCAAUCCAUUAAACACGUAACUGUACAUAUACGAUAUAACCCAUUUGACCCAAACAAAAUAUUUUUAUAAGAUUUGUCUAAAUAAAACUAGACUCAUAAACUGAAUUAAUAAAAAUAAACUAUACUUUACAUUAUCAACCUAUAACCCGACUAAUCCGCUGUUCGAAAACCCAGCCAGCCAAACAAUAGUCAACAUCAGCCAGCAGACAUAUCUGUUAUUAUUAUUAUUAUUAUUGUAACCACCACCAAUUUUCACCUCGCCACGUGGCACUCAGGUGAAUAAAAAAACGUAUGUCGGUGGACCCUACCCGCCACCAAAUUAGGUCUCCUACUAUUAAACCAAAUUUACCCAACGCUCUUCUCCUCUCUCAUAUUUCCUUCUUCUGCCGUAAUUUAUUCAAUCGGCCACAAGAGAAAUUCGAGGUUACAGUUCCUCAAAUCUUUACAAUUUAUUCCUCUCGAAGAUCAUAUAAUCUCUAUUUAGUUUCUGUAAAUUUUGGAUUCCAAUUUCCUUUCCUCUUCACCUAAAUUUACGCUGCAAUUUUCGUCUCACCAGAUGCGUUGUUCUUGAUCGUUCGAUCUUCCUCGUGAUCGGCGCUCCCACCCACACUGACUUUCUCCUUUUGCAAUCAAUCAUAACCCCAAAUUUCAGGUUCUGAUAAAGUGGCCAAAUUUGAUUCCUCUCUGUUCUGCUGGCUAAGCAAUUUUUUAUUUUAGCUCUGAAAGUGGUGGAAUUGGCGAAGGAUACUGUUUCCCACCUGAAUUGUAAAGUUUUCUACUGCUAGGGUUCGUAAGCUUACUGCAUUUCAUCGUUUGGUCUGCUCUCUCGAUCGGGAAUUUUGGCGGUGCGGAGGAAAAACCCUAUUUCAGACUGUGGGGUGUCUUUGAACUGUUGAUUUUCGGCGAAAGAAAGGAGAUUUGAAAUGUCUGGUCCGCUCGAUCGGUUCGCUAGGCCUUGUGAGUGCAUUUUGUUGUUGUGAUUUCUGAGUUUAUUAACUUUUUUCUUGGUUGAGCUAGGGUUUUGAGCUGUUUGUUACAGUGAGUUCAGUUAUUUAGAUCGGAUUUUAGUGCUUUAUAGCUUAAUUCUGAGAUGUAGGUUCUCUGAAGUGAUUUCUGCUGGAAGAGAAGUGGUAAUUUGUUGCUGAAUGUGAUUACUGAUGAUGAGUUGUUGUUAUGGCGCGUAGGUUUUGAGGGUUCAUCAGGGGGAGAUGAAAGGAGGGAGGAGAGGAGGGAGGAGAGGAGGGAGAGGAGAUCCGAUUUUGAGAACUCCGAGGACGAGAGAAGGACAAGGAUUGGGUCGCUGAAGAAGAAGGCGAUUAAUGCUUCUACCAAGUUCAAGCAUUCUCUGAAGAAGAAGAGCAGCAGCAGGCGAAAGAGUGAUGGCCGGGUUAGCUCAGUUUCCAUCGAAGACAUACGGGACCUCGAGGAACUGCAGGCUGUCGAUGCAUUUCGCCAGUCAUUGAUCAUGGACGAGUUGCUUCCUGAAAGACACGACGACUACUACAUGAUGUUGAGGUGAACCCCCCUUGAUUAUGUGUUCCAGUUAAGAAUAAAUAGGGUUUGGUAGUUUCAUCAGUUUAGGAGGUCGAACUUUAACACUGGUUGAGUCCAGGAUCGAAUGUGAGCUGUUCUUGAACUUGCUAUGAAUCAUUAAGCAUGGUUAUAGUAUACAUAUCGUCCUGUUUUGGGAAUAAUGGUCAAGUCCACUUUCAUUAGUGUAAUCUUCGGGUGCUUGUUUGUAUUACUCUUGCUAACCCUAUUAUGUGUUUCAGGUUCUUGAAAGCUAGGAAAUUCGACCUUGAGAAAGCAAAGCAUAUGUGGGCUGAUAUGCUUCAAUGGAGGAAGGAAUUUGGUACUGAUACUAUCAUGGAGGUAAUUCCGACUGUCAAUGAGUCUGGAGUUGAUAUUAUCAGCUUCCCCUUGUUUAGAACUUCACGUAGUUUCUUUUCUUGUAUCAGGAGUUUGAGUUUCAAGAAUUAGACGAAGUUUUGAAGUAUUACCCACAUUUCUAUCAUGGCGUGGACAAAGAAGGGAGACCUAUUUACAUUGAAAGAUUGGGGAAAGUUGAUCCUCACAAACUUAUGCAAGUAACAGAUCUCGACCGCUAUGUGAAAUACCAUGUCCGUGAGUUUGAGAAAAGCUUUUUGGUCAAGUUUCCAGCUUGUAGCAUUGCUGCAAGGAAGCAUAUUGACUCUAGCACAACAAUUCUAGAUGUUCAAGGAGUGGUAUGUUGGUUACUUAUUACAAUUUGUUACGCUUAUUUCCAUGAUGUAUUAAAGAACAAUCUCUUCGUUUUGUAUCCCUAGAAAAAAAGAACUCACCUUUUUCAAUUUUACUCGCUUACAUUUAGGGAUUAAAAAACUUCACGAAAUCUGCUCGUGAACUUGUCAUGCGGCUGCAGAAGAUUGACGGUGACAACUACCCCGAGGUAAGAUAAUUUCGCGUAUAUAGCUCUAAACGGUUAUGACUUAUAUUUUUAUCCUUUUGUAGAGAAUGCUGACUUGUUUGUACAAUAUGACAUUUGUGUCAAUACUGCAGACUCUACACGAAAUGUACAUUAUCAAUGCUGGGCCUGGAUUUAGGCUUUUGUGGGGUACCAUCAAGUCAUUUUUGGAUCCAAGAACCAGCUCCAAGAUUCAUGUAUGCUUGUAAUUAUAAUUGUGUUAUAUUUACUGUAACCAUCCUGCUGAACCAUCCAAUGAACAAAAUUUGUUGUGUGAAUAUGUAGGUGCUUGGAAACAAGUAUCAGAGUAAAUUGCUCGAGGUAAUUGAUGCUAGGUAAGCAUGUUGCACUGGUUUAUAGAAGUGCCGAAUGAUAUUUUACCGGGAUGUUAUGCUAAUUUCUAACUAGUUGCUAACAAUGUGCAGUGAAUUACCCGAAUUCAUGGGUGGUGUCUGUAAGUGUGCUGAUCAGGGAGGUUGUCUUCGCUCUGACAAAGGACCAUGGAGAAAUCCAGAUCUAUUGAAGGUAUGCGGUUUCGAUAAUUUUUUUCCAUGAAAUUUUGUUCUUUUUGAGAAGUGACAAAUCUUACGUUUCCUCAGAUUGUUCUAAGUGGUGGAGCUCGUCGCUCAAGGCAGGUUGUAAAGAUCUUAAACAAUGAGGGUAAGGUCAUUACCUAUGCAAAGCCUCCUUGUUACCCAAUGGUAAGACAUCGAUAAUGCUCCAUUGUUUUUAAAGGAUUAUGUGAAGGAGCAGCUUUGCUAAAUUGCCUUGGAAUUCUUGAGACAGGUCAGAAGUGAUUCCUCUGCUGCUGAAUCUGGUUCAGAAGCUGAAGAGAUUUCUUCCCCCAAGGCACUAAGGUCUUACUCGCAUCUGCGCUUGACUCCUGUUCGUGAAGAAGUAAGUCGUGGCUGUUCAUGCAAAAUGGUUUUGGUUUUUGGACACUCAAAUUUUUGGUCUUCUGACAUCCAGUUUGUUCAUUUUGAAUCUUGAAUGUGAAGUCUAAGAUUGUUGGGAAGGUGAAUCACCCUAGCACCUUUUCUGGGUAUGAUGAAUACGUUCCGAUGGUCGAUAAAGCAGUUGACUCUACCUGGAAUAAGCAAGCAGCCAUUCAGAAGCUUGCAAUGUCUAAAGGUUAGAACUUCACUCGUUCAUUCAUGUUUCCUGUUCUAUUGAUUAUGUUAAAUGAAUGAAAUUGAUAUCAGCUUCUACCGCAGCAUCGGCAACUGUUCCGGAGACUCCAAAGACUUCAGCUGCUAUCCACGUUAGGCUUUGUUUGGCAGUUCUGGCUUUCUUCAUGAUGAUUCUUACUUUCAUCCGUUCGUUGCCAUCGCGGUUGAGCAAAGAGGGUACUUCAGCUGGAUUAACCUUAAACACUCCAGAGAAAGAGCUGACACACCCACCUUUGCCAACUCCAGCUUACUCGGAGACCGACCUGCUCACUUCUGUACUGAAAAGGCUGGGUGAACUCGAGGAGAAAGUCGACACGCUUCAAUCAAAGCCAUCGGAGAUGCCGUACGAGAAAGAGGAGUUGCUAAAUGCUGCUGUUUGCCGUGUUGAUGCCUUGGAAGCUGAACUCAUUGCAACUAAAAAGGUAACACUGGUUUUGGCAAGCAUAGCUUGAUUCCGCUUAGUACUAGGUUUGUAACACAAUCUUAUGUUGUUGCAGGCCCUACACGAAGCACUUAUGAGACAGGAAGAACUGCUUGCUUACAUCGAUAGUCAAGAGGAAGCAAAAAACAGGGUAUAAUUUGAUGAAAAUAUGAAUCUUUUCGGCUUAAGGACAUGCUAUGUUACUACAAGUUGCUGAAAAUCCAACUACUGGAAUUUUUUUUUGCAGAAGAAGGGUUUUUUCUGCUAUUAAAGACUUCUGCAGUUUGAGAGAGGGAUGAUGCAACCUGCGCGAGUUCUUGGAUGAGAGUGACGCAUAUGAAAUAUAUUUCGGCUUCUAUUGUAUGUGGAUAAUGAGAUGUAGCUACUCUUAUUUGAAACAACAUUGUGAGCAGACUUGCUCUUUUGAGACCUUGUCAAGAAAUGUUCUUAACUGCACACCUGCUAGACUUAUAAUCAUGAAUGCUGCUGCAGUUUGGUCUCUGUGAUGAUCUCUGCUAUUUUUUACUUCAUUGUGGAUAUUAUAUAUUACUUGUGGUAUUUGUGUGUUCUGAAUUUGUCUUCUGCUUGAAUCGUCUAUAGUUUGAAUCGCACGGCUGCCACUUAGUUAACACACUUAGGUUGAACUGACUCGAGUUAUGUACUAGUACUGGUUUGCCUAAUUAUCGAUUGAUUGUGGUUAGUAGGGUUAACUGCUGAUCUCGAAACCAGUCGAUUUCUCAGGGAAAGAAGCAUUAAUUUUUAUAUUGGUUUUUGCAUUAACCCCAACAUUACAUUCAGAUUACAAGAAAGUUUGUAACAGUCCAAAUUUUGCUCUGCUUUAUGCAAGGCUGUAAGCCUGAAGAGAGUAGUACUAUACAGAUAACCAAAGCAAGAAAUGCCAAGUUAUACAUCGGAUCAAUUGGCCUUUGUCAAGUUGUCAUAAGAUGAACCAUUUCCUCUAGAAUCUGAAGAACUGCAUUCCGAAACAGAGAAACCAGAAAAGUUAGCAGCUUUGAUAUAAACGGUUCCUGAGUUCAUGAUCAGGGAUGGAAAAGAAAACAUUUUUACCCUCUUCUUCUUCUUGUUCUUCUUGUCAAUGUAAGCCAGGAGUUCUUGCUGUUUCCCUACAGCUUCCACAAGUAACUGGAGCAAAAAGAACGUCGAAAAAGAGGUUAAAGGUUCUUCCUUUAGACAAUGCAUUCUGAGUUUGGUUUGUUAUUAGUACUUACGAUCUUUGCAGAAGAGAGCUCCUUCUCGAGGGCUUCAGCACGACCGAGUGCGUUCAUGAGCAUUGCCUCCUUCUCAGCAGGCAUCACUUCGGGUUUCGAGCAUAGGGCGUUCAGCUUCUCUUCGACCUCGGCCAUCCUCAGCAUCAUGUUCUUGUAAUCCGAGGUGGAGAUGGAGGAUCCCUCCAUCCUGCCAGCAGAAGAAGGAUGGUCGUUGAGAGAUUCGGAGUAGUAAGUCUUGCUCCCAUAGAUUGCGGCCUCAGUCAGCUUUCGAGGCAUUGUCUUGGUCAUCUUGAUCAAGGUCACUACCCCCAUCACAACUGCCAUGAUCCCGCCCAUCACCUGCUUCCCAUUUGCGGGCACAAGAGCAUCCUCUUCUACAGCUAUAACGAAAGCAAUAUUUCGACAGGUUUAGGGUUUUGCUUACCAUGUUCUUGAACCAUUGCAUCCCAAUAACUUGAGUUUUUGGGAGAGGGUUCAGAUUGUUUUUUAUAGUAUUCAUUAACAGGUUUGUACGCUAUGCCUUACCCUUUCCUAGAGAAGCUCUCCAGUCGGUGUGGAUGGUCUUCUCCACGACUUGGAUGGACUUCUCGUAGUUGUCAGUGGUGAGCUUGUUUACGGUUAUGAUCGGAAGAUGGUGAAUUACUUCUUCUUCAGGAACGGGAGAAGGUUUCAGGUCCUGAAGUACUUCCUCGUUCGAAAACUUGAUGGUUUCCUUGUCUUCAGGAAUUUGCUUCUCCUCAAUUCCUGAUAGGGCUCUCCUGUGGCAUUUACCCUCUCCAUUUUCAACCAUCUGAUUGAAACAAUAUUCCCUCAUCAAAUCGCUACGAAAUCAUUUCCAACGCUCUCUUGUAACCAGUCCUUGUUGCAUUAGGAUUACUCACCUUCAGGAUGUCAGGAUCAUUCCAAGGGCCUUUGCUGGAGCGCAUGCAGCCACCCUUGUCAGCACAGUUGCAAGUCCCUCCGAAGAACGACGGAAGCUCGCUGCAAAACCAAUCCGAAAUCCAGAUUUCAGAAGCGUAAACUCGUUUGGUAAGGGCUAAUCAGGCACAAAUUUUGUUACCUGGCAUCAAUUACUUCAAGCAACUUGCUCUGGUAUUUACUGCCAAGAACCUGCAAAAAGGUUGAGUCUUGAUUAUGACAACUUAUCAGAAACAAAAUCAACAGUAAGUAAGUAAGUAAAAGCCAUGAAACUGACAUGGAUCUUGGAAGCAGUCUUGGGGUCCAGGAACUGCUUAACAGUGUUCCACAGUAGCCUGAAUCCAGCACCACCAUUGAUGAUGAACAUCCUGUUCAAUGUCUGCCAAAUUCAUUGACACCAUUCAAAUCAACGAACGAAAAGAUCGAAUUUUUAACACAAUCACUACAUGAAUUCCAUGAAUUAUUCACAUACCUCAGGGUAGUUAUCGCCAUCGAUCUUCUGGAUCCGGCUGAUGAGUUCCCUGGCAGUUUUGGUGAACUGCUUCAGACCCUGAAAACAUAUUUAAUGAUGAUGAGAAAUCGUGGAAAGAACUGAAUUUUUAGAACUCUAAACCCUAAACAUAUAUACAUACCACUCCUUGGACAUCAAUGAUGGUAGUGCUCUGGUCAAUGUGCUUCUUAGCAGCAAUGGAGCAAGAUGGGAACUUGUAAGUGAAAGCCUUCUCAAACUCCUGAACAUGGUACUUCACAUAUCGAUCCAACGACGUGACCUGAACCAGCUUGUUGGCAUCAACUUCGCCGAGCUUCUCGAUGUAGACUGGCCUCCCAUCUUUGUCUACUCCAUGGUACCCUUGUGGAUAGUACUGCAGGACUUCAUCUACUUCCUUGAACUCAAAGUCCUGUUUCAGGAAAAGGAAAAGAACCCACAAUGUUCUUCAGAACUGAAUGAAGGCAAAGUUGACAACUUUUUCCUGAAACCAUAUCAGGAUUGGACUCAUGAAGAGUAACCAUUCAGGAUUUCGCCCUAAAAAUCGGUCUCAAAUACCUACUAACCAACCAAAAACAAAACCUAUACGAAACCGGUUUCACAAACACUAACAAAUCAAAAAAGAAAGAGAAUUCUUAGUUACCUCCAUGAUUGCAUCAGUACCAAACUCCUUUCUCCACUGGAUCAUAUCCCCCCACAUCUGUUUGGCCUUGUCAAUGUCAAACUUCCUGGCCUUGAGGAACCUGAGCAUCAUGUGAUGGUCAUCAUGAUUGGAAGGAAGAAGCUCAUCAAGGAUGAGAGCCUGCCUGAAUGCAUCCACAGCCCUGAGCUCCUCCAAGUCGAUUUCGUCGACAAUCGAGACCGACAUUACCCUGCUGUUCCUGCGGCCUUUCUUGGUCAGGGAGCUCCUGAACUUGUUGGAGGCAUUGAUUGCCUUCUUCUUGAAUGACUUCUUCUUCUUCUCAUCCUCCGAGAACUCUUGAUUCUCAGGUCCUCCUAAUAAAAAAGGGUCACAUAUCUGAUUCAUCCCCGUAACUUUGGACUGUGUUAUGUUGGGUUCAGUAUGUAAUCCGUCCAAAAUUAUGGUAACUAUUAGUAUUCGAUCCGUAUAGAAAUGCAGAAACAGCAAAAAAAAAAGUUGUAUACCUAGUUUAGGAUUUUUGUCCGGAAGGACUAUAGACAUUGCAUCAGCCAUGAUGUUUGGUUCCUGACAAAGAGUUUCUUAUCAGAGAUUGGUUGGGAAUGAACAGGGUAUUGAAAAGUUUGAAACUUUGAUCAAAACCCAUCUGGGGAAUUGAGCAAUUGACGUAGAUCAAUAUCAUCAUAUGAUCCCUCCUUCAUUUUCAGGAUAUAAACAAGUGAAAAUGAAGGAGGAAGGAAUCAUCAAUUUUUUAUCGGAUUGAGAAAAAAUGAUAAGUAUGUUUGAAACUUUAAUAAAAAUUCAUUCGAAAUUUGAGCUACCAAGAUCGACUCAUAUGAUAAGAUCUUCAAAACGGAUCAUGCAAAAAUGCUAUGCUGCAAUGCAUUGUUUCGUUCCUCAAUGAAUACAUGAUGUGAUAUCCUUCCUCUUGAAAUCACGAUAAAUGAGUAGAAACGAAAUGGAAAUGAAGAGAAAUUAUCGAUUCACAUGUGAUAUUGAUAGUUGAUGGAAAGAAAAAUGAUUUUUUUUGACAUUUCAACUAAACCCAAGUGGAACUUUCAACAACAAACAUUAAUUCAUAAAAUAUGAUCGUCGAGACAAAUCAUACAACAAUAUUAACAUAAACCAUCAUUCUCAACAAAGACAAGAUGUGAACCAGAUUAUACAACAAAACGGCAUGUUAUUCAUAAUUUCGAAAUCUGAGAAGAGUACAAACAAAUGAGGAAGGUGGGGUCAAGAGUUACCUAUUGGAACUAAUGUAGGUGGGGGGAAGAAGAUGGACAAUGUUUUUUGUUUUUGUUUUACGUAUUUACAAGAAGAAAGGGAGGACCUUUCUAAAUGCCUCCUAAAUCAAAAGGAAGAACCCAAUUUAAAACUACAUACACAAUCAUGUGUUUGAUUGGUUAGAGAGAGAUGUGAAUCAAACAAUAAUAAGAAUAUAUCAUACACACAAAUAACAAACUAAUUAAAAUGGCUAACAUAGCUAAAUACAAGUUAAUCCAUUCAAUGGUUUACCUUCCUUAACCAAUCAUUUCCAAAUCUUUCUUGGUGUAUAUCUUUUGGCUAAUUUUGUGGUAUUCAAUUAUAUGAAUUAUAUAUACUCAUAUUGAUAACAACAAUUUAUUUUCUACAAUCUCAUAUUUGAAUAUGCUGAAAACAGCGAUAGAUCAUUUGUAAUUCGUGAUGAGUAUUUUAUAUAUAUAUUUUUUGUAAAUGUUCAUACUUCUUUGAAUUAAAUAUCAACUAGCUGGUGGCAAUGUUACAUGUUGAAUGCUAGUAUCCCAAAAUUUUUUUUGAACUUGUCAAAAAAUUAUGGUGAUUUUUAUAUAUAUAAUUUUCAUUAGUUUAUAAGCUUAUUGGUUUAUGAAAAGAGCUGAUGUUGGCUAACUCCAACUAACCUAAUUAAAUAUUCAAGACUUCAACAUAAAAUGAAGCUUGAUACGAGUUUUCUAGCUUCAAAAAACGAGUAAUGUGCAUGUGUAAAAUUAAAAGGGAGACACGAUCAUAAAUACAUAUUUAUUUCGAAGUUUCCUUACCAAUACGUUAAAUUAUAAAGGUUCAAUGACCAAUCCUAUAAUAAACCUUAACUUCAGUGAUCAUCGAGUAAUUAGUCCAUCAUUUCUGUUCCUCUGACCUCUUCCAUAACAGUCUCCAAUCAAGCACAAACUUCAACCUUCAACCCUAACGCUUAUGCUCUAAAAUGGCGUCUUCUACCCACUUCUCCCAGCCGUUAGCUUCAUCAAGAACCCUAACUCAAUCCCGCGCUCGAAACCUAUAUUCAAAAGCCUUUUCCUUAUCCACUCCAAAUUACUCUUCCAGACAAUCCUUAGCUCUUCGUGCAGUUCUCUCGCAAAACCCUACCAAAACCUCUCCUCCACCGAAACACGACAACCAAUUCGAGCAUUGUUUCUCCAAAUCAUCCGAUGGAUUUCUCUACUGCGAGAGCGUCAAGGUGCAGGAUGUCAUGGACACUGUUGAGAGGCGGCCGUUCUACCUGUACAGCAAGCCUCAGAUCACUAGGAAUGUUGAGGCCUACAAGGAUGCUUUGGAAGGAUUGAAUUCAGUAAUUGGAUAUGCUAUCAAGGCUAAUAAUAACUUGAAGAUUUUGGAGCAUCUGAGAAAGUUGGGAUGUGGGGCUGUUCUGGUCAGUGGGAAUGAGCUCAGAUUGGCUCUCAAGGCUGGGUUUGAUCCCACAAAGUAGGUUCCUUUAUUAUGUUGCUGGACUGAGUUUUUGUUCCCCCGUUCUGAUUAUGGCUAUUCUUUCUGGUGAUGGGAACAGGUGUAUAUUUAAUGGAAAUGGGAAGCUGUUGGAGGAUUUGGUUCUGGCUGCUGAAGCAGGAGUCUUUGUUAAUGUGGAUAGUGAAUUUGAUUUGGAAAAUAUUGUGGCAGCUUCUAGGGUUGCUGGCAAGAAGGUUAAUGUUUUGCUUCGGAUCAAUCCUGAUGUGGAUCCUCAGGUAUACAAUACGAAAUCAGAUAUAACAUGUUAUUUCUUCGUUCAAGUGUUUGAUAGGAUAGGUUAGAAAAGCUGUGAGGUUCUUUGGAGCCCAAAGCCAGUAGCUUUAGCUGAAAUUUCAUCUUUUCUUUCAGUUUUUAAGCUCUGUAUAAUGUAUAUGCUUUGAACAUAUUCUAUUGCACAUCCUUUCCGCGGUUGAAACCUGGUCGGCAUUCGUAUUGGUUUUGAUGUUCUUCCGAGCUGAAUGCCAGUAGCGCCAGCUGAAAAUUUUGUACUUUUUCAUAUGCGUUUGAUGAAUGCCUUUCAGUUUUUAAGCUAUUUUGUAUAAUGGGAUUUUAUUUGUAGCCCUCCUUAGAUCGUGUCCAAAAAAGUUGGACUGUUUAUGCUUUGAACCUAUUCUAGAAUACAUAAUCCUUUCUGUGGAUUUCUUUUGACAUCUGUCUGCUGUUCUACAUUUGAAGUUCUUGAGGGUCUUGGGCUUACUAUUGCUAUAUUUAUUUCGUGUUUUGAUUGCUUAGGUCCACCCUUAUGUAGCAACCGGGAACAAGAACUCGAAGUUUGGUAUUAGGAAUGAGAAGCUGCAGUGGUUUCUGGAUGCUGUAAAGGCACAUCCGAAUGAGCUGAAGCUUGUUGGUGCUCACUGCCAUCUCGGAUCAACGAUUACCAAGGUGUGAAGAACUGCAAGAUGUUUUUUCUUUUCCAGUUAGUGAGAUUUUUCGUACUUUGUUGCCAUCUAAUUUCGAAAUGUGCUCAUACUUAUAGUACUUGAAUAUGAGACUUCACAAAAUCAGGUAAUCAAAAUUACACUUUCAACAACAUCAUUUGAACAUAUUUAGGAUAAUUCAGGUUCCACCAUCCUUAGACAGAUUAACGCACAUGAAACCCUUGUAAUCUAGGAUGGCUACUGCAAUUGACGCUACAAAUGGUGCCUCUUUGCAUUUACUAUGAUAAAUCCUGCUCUGUAGAAACUGCCAUUGACUUGUCAUAGCCCUUCAGUGAUUUAGUUCUUCCCACUUUUUUCGGUUAGGUGGACAUAUUUAGGGAUGCUGCCGGUCUUAUGGUAAACUACAUUGACGAAAUCCGUGCUCAAGGCUUUGAAGUCGAUUACUUAAACAUUGGAGGUGGUUUGGGGAUAGAUUACCAUCACUCUGGUGCUGUCCUGCCCAAGCCAAGGGAUCUCAUCGACACUGUAAGUAUCUUACACUUAAGAAAUCAAGCUUCUAUUUGACAUCAAACGAUUCCCGUUAAGACUGGUUAUGCUCGGUGGUCAUGCUUUGUCACUGUAGGUUCGUGAAGUGGUGCUCUCUCGGAAUCUCAAUCUCAUUAUUGAACCAGGGAGAUCCCUCAUCGCCAACACCUGCUGCUUCGUAAAUAGGGUUACUGGCGUAAAGACGAAUGGCACUAAAAAUUUUGUCGUGAUUGAUGGUAGCAUGGCUGAGCUCAUCCGUCCUAGUCUAUAUGAUGCUUAUCAAGUAAGAAACCAAGUAGAGGGACUAGUUUGUGGAGCGUUUAGUGUCUAUGUAUCUGUACGCAUAUUUGAGUUCUUCCUGCAAUCGAGACCUAGAACUUUGUUUUCCCUGUUCUUGCAGCACAUAGAGCUAGUUUCUCCUACCCCACCGGAUGCCGAGGUGUCAAUCUUUGACAUUGUUGGUCCCGUGUGCGAGUCGGCUGAUUUUCUGGGAAAGGAGAGGGAACUUCCUACUCCACCCAAGGUGACUUACAUUUUGCUUUCACGGGGUUCUCAGUAGCUGUAAAUAUUCUCGAUCCGUGCUUCUUACAGAACCAUGCAUUGGCAGGGAACCGGUUUGGUGGUUCAUGAUGCUGGAGCUUACUGCAUGAGCAUGGCAUCAACUUACAACCUCAAGAUGCGCCCUCCCGAGUAUUGGGUACGAAUCCCACACCAUCUCUUAUUUCGAGUGCUCGUGUUCUCCUCUUGCAUGAAACUGAUGAGAAUCUGUUAUGCAACUGUUCAGGUUGAGGAUGAUGGGUCGAUAGCCAAGAUUCGACAUGCAGAGACGUUCGAAGACCAUAUCCGGUUCUUCGAUGGCCUGUAAUUUUCAAGCUUUAGGUUCAAUCUACCAGCGCAAUAAUGUAGCCUCUGAGCUUGUGUAAUUUUGUACUGAAAUCGGGUGAUUUUGUAAGGCAGAAGUGUUGUUCCUUGUUCUACAAGUUAUCGAGUUACCAUUUUGUUGAAAUAUGAGUUAACUUGCUGAAUUAAUAUCUGUCCUAAAAGUAUAAGUGAUCCUGAACCUUUAUUCUUACAGUAUUGACCCGUGUUGUUGAAUCGGACUGGACGGUGUACUAGACUCGUAACUUGUAAGUCGUAAGAUCACAAAUCGGUUCUCAAUCGGUUCUAACCGAUAAAAAAACCAGAUAUCCUUCUAACAUAAACAUAAUGGUCAUUAGACAUUAUAUUCUGAUCCUAUCAAUCUUUACUUAGUACAAAUUGGUCACUUAACUGUAAUGCAAUCCAGCUGAUUUCUGGCUGGCUUUUUAACAAGUCAACCUCGAUUUAACUUCUUUGGUCAAAGUUACAAUCAGAACCCCCUCCCUUGCAACUUACAACUUACGAGUCGAUGCUCCGAUCCGGAUCUAGGAAUCUGAAUAUCAUUUAUAACUAUUUCCCACAGUUUCCAUGAUAAUUACCAUUUUUAGGUACCAAUUUAAGUAAUUUACCAUCUUUUCAGGUACCGUAUUUUGUAUUUUACAAUCUUUUACAGUAUUUCAGUAUUAUUAUACUUUUACAAUCUGCAGCCGCCGUAUAGUCGUUUUGGCGCACUUCCUUCUUCGACCAUUUUCCGCGGCAUUACCACUUCCUCAUCACUGCUUAAGAAACUCGAAACCCUAAACUUGAAGUUGUGGCGCGAAGAUUCCAUUUCCCCCUCUCGCGAUUCCGCAUCGAAUCUGUCAGUAUCAUUGCCCUCUGGUUCUCUGUUUCUGGAUUGCAUUCAUAUUCUUUUCCCGUUCAUCUGAGCAAUUUCGAAUCGGUUUUCUUGCAUGCAAAAUUCGAAAGUUCUGAGUUGUAAAAUGUGCUUGGCAAUGGUCAAAGAUUAGAAAUUGCAUUGUAGAUUUUUUCUGCUGUUUUAGUUUUUCCUUCUUGAAAUUGGCUGUUGAGAUAUCGUCUUUUUUUGCUGCUGAUUUCAGUUACCGCAACUCUUCUGCAAGGCUCAGCCUUUAAGGUCCCUCAGUUUCUGGAGAACUCUCUCUUCGAAGAUGAGUGGUAGUUCGGUGGCAAGUUCUAUAGCAAGCCUUUCCAAUGGCGGGGGGGGGGGGGGGCCAGAUCCACAGAGGACUUACCAGGUUGUCGUGGCUGCAACCAAAGAUUGGGGUAUUGGGAAAGAUGGGAAGUUGCCUUGGAAGUUGCCUUCUGAUCUCAAGUUCUUUAAAGAUGUUACCUUGACGACUUCGGAUUCUGGGAAGAAGAAUGCAGUGAUCAUGGGUAGGAAGACAUGGGAGAGCAUCCCGCUUCAGCACCGUCCUCUCCCUGGACGUCUGAACGUUGUUCUCACUCGAUCGGGGAGCUUCAAUAUCGCUACUGCGGAGAAUGUUGUGAUAUGCGGCAGCAUGCGUUCUGCUUUAGAGUUGUUGGCUGCGUCUCCUUAUUGUUUAUCUAUUGAGAAGGUCUUUGUGAUUGGAGGUGGCCAGAUAUUGAGGUUUUUUAUUCUUUUUUUUUCAGUUUUCAUAACUUUACAUUUGGUUCUAAUUGCUGGCAGUGUUUGUUUUUUUGUUCGUUCGAUUGAAGUUUGUGUUCUUUGCAGGGAAUCUCUUAAUGCAGCUAAGUGUGAUGCUAUCCACUUGACGGAGAUUGAGACGAGCUUUGAAUGCGAUACCUUCAUUCCUGCGAUUGAUUGCUCGGUAUUUCAGCCUUGGUUUUUGUCUCCUCGAGUUGUGGAGAAUGGCGUCCGGUUUUGUUUUACUACGUAUGUACGAGUGAGGAGUUCAGUUGUUGAGUCCGAGAGCGGGUGUGAUGAUAAGAUAUCAAGUAACAGCUGCGAAAACAGUAAGUUUGAGAUUAAGAACUUCUCUUUCCUUCCCAAGACGCUUUUUGAGAAACACGAGGAGUUCUUGUACUUGAGAAUGGUUCAGGACAUCUUGUCAAGUGGCAACUCUAAGGAUGACAGGACCCAAACUGGUACUUUAUCUAAAUUUGGCUGCCAGGUAAUGCAUUCAGCAGUUUAAUACUUGUGGGAUAUGGUGCUCUCUAAUAACUAGUUAUGUCUAGAUAACACUUAUAUUUCCUUUUUACUUACAGAUGCGGUUCAAUCUUCGGAAAUCCUUUCCUCUUCUGACCACUAAGGCAUGUUACUUGUAUUUUCUUUUUCGUUCAUGUAAACUUCUGGAUUGCAGCCAUUAUAUGAAGGACAGAAUGCAUCAACGAUGUAUUUGAAAAACAUGCUGUCAUAAAUUGUUCUUAAUCUUUAUGCAGAGAGUGUUUUGGAGAGGUGUUCUUGAAGAACUUCUUUGGUUCAUCAGUGGAUCAACUAAUGCCAAGGUAAAUAUACCUCAUUGGAUGAUUCAAUUCUAUCCUUGUAGUUUGGUUACACAUGAGUUAUAGGCUUAAAUUUUGGUUGUGUGUGUUCAUUAUAAACGAAGUAUUGGCUAUUCAUUUUUUGCGUGCCNNNNNNNNNNNNNNNNNNNNNNNNNNNNNNNNNNNNNNNNNNNNNNNNNNNNNNNNNNNNNNNNNNNNNNNNNCGAGAUCUACACUCUUUCCCUACACGACGCUCUUCCGAUCUAUUCAUUUUUUGCGUGCCUACGAUAUUGUAUCAUGUCCCAGUUCUCAGUAAUUAGUUUGCUUGACAGGUGCUUCAGGAGAAGGGAAUCCAUAUAUGGGAUGACAAUGCAUCAAGAGAUUACCUUGAUAGGCAAGAUUUCGUUUUCACCUUGUCUGAUUUUGGAACCUUAAUUUUGAGGACUUUAUGCCACUUGUCAGUCCCAAGUGUUUGAUAUACUGUGCAUGUGAUUCUCAGAAUUGGAUUGAAGGAUAGAGAGGAAGGGGAUUUGGGGCCUGUAUAUGGGUUCCAAUGGAGGCACUUCGGUGCCAGGUUUGUCUGUUCUUAUUUCCUCUCUAUUUUUGGGACCUGAUGCCUAUACCGAUGAUCACGAUCUUUAAAUCGUCUCUUCCAGGUAUACUAACAUGCAUGCUGACUACACUGGGCAAGGAUUCGAUCAGUUGGCCGAUGUUAUCACCAAGAUCAAGAAUAACCCGGAUGACCGUCGUAUUAUACUCUCAGCUUGGAAUCCUGCUGAUCUGAAACUUAUGGCGCUUCCUCCUUGCCAUAUGUUUGCUCAGGUUGGUUAAACAUUUUGUUACCGUCAUCGCUCUCUCUUUUUUGCUAAUUAAUUAAUGAUCAUUUGCAGUUUUACGUGGCGAAUGGGGAGCUGUCGUGUCAAAUGUAUCAGCGGUCCGCUGAUAUGGGCCUCGGUGUGCCUUUCAACAUUGCUUCUUAUGCACUCCUGACUUACAUGAUUGCUCAUGUUUGUGGUAUACAUUUCAUUUUUCUCUUCAUAGUUCCAUUUAUCGGAGUAAUAGUUGUUUUUUAUCAUCAAUGUGAAUGCUGGGAAGUUAACUCUAUUCAUGUUCAUAUUGUUGCAGAUCUUGUCCCUGGAGAUUUCACUCAUGUAAUCGGCGAUGCUCACAUAUAUCUAACUCAUGUUAGGCCUCUGGAGGAGCAGCUUAAGAAAUCACCGAAGCCUUUCCCGGUAAUCGAAUAGUGGAAGCAGAACUAACUAGCUCAUCUUGUUACUCUGUCACUUUGCUUCUAUUGUUGGUACUGGAGGCUUCACAUUUAAUCUCCUCUCAAAAAUUGGUUCUCAGAUUUUAAAGAUCAAUCCAGAGAAGAAAGACAUAGAUUCCUUUUCAGCAGCCGAUUUCAAGCUAAUAGGCUAUGACCCAGAACAGAAGAUCGAAAUGAAGAUGGCAGUUUAAAAGGCCUUUGCCAUAGUUCCAGUCAAUUUUCAAUCUUAUCUAUGUUUCUUAUUACUUUGAGGUACAUCUUGACUCAUCUUCCGGUUCUUUUUCGUUCACCUGCAACUUACUUCUUAGUGUUUGACAACUGUUCUUUCAUGUUUACAGGCAUCGGUAUGGGAAGAACGAUGGGAGUUUGUAUAAGUGUCUAAUAUGAACAUGGUAAUCUGAAUGUGUCUUAAAGACUGUUCCUUUUUGCUGAUUUAGUAGUCUGGAAUCCCUCAGUUCCCUCACCUGGUGAUAUGUGGUUCUAAGGUGAUUUAGAUCAUGGUGGAACUUGGUAUGAACUCUGUAAGAACAAACGAAUUCUGGCUCGGUUAUAAUGAGGAUGAGAGUACUGAAUCAAUUUGUCUACGAUAUGAUCACUCGAAAUAAACCAUUUACCAAAAUGGAAUUGGGUAGAAGGUGUUACACAACUGGCUUACCUUUUCCUGCAGAAUUUAGGUUAAGAAUAUGCUGCAAGAGGGGCACACUGAAAAAAAAAGAGAUGAAAUAAGUACCUUCCGUUUCAUGCUAAUUUUGCACGGGCAAGCUCCAUUGCUUAUCCAAAGUUUGCAUGUGACUGAUGAUCCAACUUGACUGAUGAGUGAACCACAGCUCAUCUCCAAGUACAUCCAUAGCUUUAUACCAAAGAACCUGCUCCCCCAACAUUUCCCUUUUCCUCUUCUUGUCUGGUUUGUGAUGUCUUAGCUUUGGUUUGGAUUGUUGAGGAAAAGAAAGGAGCUUUCAUAUAGCUCGACCAAACCGAAAAAAUCACGAUAUACCAGUGAUUACGGUUUCACUAUAUGAGUGUCCUGCUUUGUUAAAUGAAACUAUUGAUCACAGCAUCAUCAUACUAGCCUGGCAUCAUUUCGCCUGGCAAAAUCUAACCCGAGUCUGGAAAAGUUCGAGCUAUCAUGAUGGGUCAAUUUGAGCCAACAUAGUGAGUCAGGAAGGAAUCAGCUCUAUCAUGUUGCUGCAUGGGUUGAUUCCAAAUUAUCACUCUUUCUAGACUUUCUGUCUUUUCUUUUUUAUUCCUCUUUUCUCCUGUUUGUCUGUCAAGUUUACCCAAUGGAGAACAGUUCUCAUAAUCUCAGAAUCAUCUGGGUUUUUUUUUCUUACUGUUCUCUUCUUUCACUUUAUGGAAACAGAACGUGAGUCCAAAUUCUUACCACCACAUCUGUUUUUGAUCCCAUCAAGGAGCAUAUGGUGUCAAGUUCUGUCCCUUUACCCUUUGGAAUCACCUGUUUAUAUCAGCAUAUUAAUUCCAUUCUCCAGUAAAGCUGUGGAACUUUUACAGUUUAUCUAAACAAGUUCUCAGCUGGAGUCUGGGUUUAUCUGGAGAAAGUUCUUAGCUGUAAUUAGGGAUUAUCUACAAACCCAGACAGUAAAAAUGGAAGCUCACGAUGGUAAAAAAACACAACUUUAUAGCUGGUUCGCCUUUUUUACACGGAGGUAUCUGGUUUUUUUCCAUUACAAUGUACAAAACCAUUCAAACAGGCUCAUCUCUAUAGAAACUGGAAAAGAAAAAGAUCCAAACUACCAAAAACAGGUAACUUCAUCUCAAACUUAUGCUUAAGCUAAACUGUCACACAAUUACAGAGUUCUCUUCGUCUCGUCGGAACCUCUUCUGCCUCUCGAUGAACGCCUCGAUCGUACUCUUGAACUCCUCACUGCUCAAAUUAUCCUCGGGAAACUUAUCACUCCCACUGUUUUUCUUCUUCUUCUUGGUCAAAUUCUCCGUUGCGGACCGCCUCAAUUCCUUCUCGGGCCUUCGAUAACUCGUCAGAUUCUCUGACCGACUCCUCUCGUAGCUCUUCACAAUCAUCGAUGUAGCAGAAACAGAGCUUUCUUCCUUGACAAUGGAUUCCAGUUUAUCACUCGGUUUUACUCUAUUUUCUGAAACUCUAGCAACGGCUUCCAAUUUCUCACGCUGUUUUCCUCUGUUUUCCUGAGUGGUUUUCCCACUCAUUUUGACAAACUGUUCAUAAAGAUCCGAUUUUUUCCCUGUGCUCCCCGGGAGGUGGCCGGACUUGGCGAAGAGGACGAUGACGAUCACGUUCCCGACGACGAACACGAACCGGGGGCUGACGAGGACGAGCAGAAAGUCCUUGAUGUAGUCUCCGGAGCCCUUGAGGGAGACCGGGAGCUGGACCGAAAUCCGAGAGAGAACCGCCAGGACUACUAGGAUUUCCACCAGUCUCAGCAUGUUGGUGACAUUCUGGAUCUUCCUCUGCUUCUUUAUCGCCUUCGCCUUCACUGCCCUGACGGUGAACGAAUCCAUUUCGAUCCGAAAAGAGUAUCGAACUAGUGAAUUCUCACGAAUCCUGUAUUCCUUCUUGGCCAAGUUUCUCAAAGAGUUCUUUCAGUUCAAAUUGGCCAUGGAAGUAGUUAUAUAUCCGAGAUGAGACGCGAUGGGAGGGCGCCUUGAUUCGAUUAUCGGUGUCGAAGAGCUUCGGAUUGGAGGCAGAGGAUUUGAAAACAGGGGAUGUUCUCUUUUUUGUGGAGAGCUUGUGUUGCUCCUUGUAAGGUUUAAGUUGUGGGGAGUGGGGAUAUAUAUAGCUGAGUGGGGAUUAAUAUCUUUUCUUUUUUCUUCUCAUUUUCCUUUUUCUUAACUAAUAUAUGAUUUAAUUUAUCCAUUAUAUUCCAUCCUGAUUCUAAGCAUAUAUACUCUAAGACAUUGAUUUGAAUUGAUAUGAAAAUAUUAGGUUUCGAUGAAUUAAAUAUAAUGAGAUUUACUUAACGGAAUGUUAAAUUUUAAAAAUGACUGAAUAGUGUAUUAUAGAAGUUGUAUUUCUAAUCAAUUAACGAUGGAUUCAAAAUAUAUAAAUGAUUGUGAAAUUUAAAAAUAAAAUAAGGAUUAGCCUCCGAGGUAUUACAAAAGAAAAGAGUUAUUAUCAUGUAGAGCAAGCUCUUUACCAACAAUAAAUGCAGAGCAAGUGUAUUUACGGAUCCUAAUACUGAUUUGUUUCCCACAUUUUAUUUUAUACAUGGUUUUUCUCUCGACGUUUUUCAUCCUCGUUCAUCAAAUAACUUNNNNNNNNNNNNNNNNNNNNNNNNNNNNNNNNNNNNNNNNNNNNNNNNNNNNNNNNNNNNNNNNNNNNAAUUGGGUGAAACACACUAAAAUUGAAACAAUUUUUUUAUAUAUUUUGGGUUAUAAGAUCUAUUUAAUUAUUUUUUUCUUAAGGUAAAGGAAUUGUAUUCCCCACCAUGCCAUUAUGUUUCUAGCUUUGUUGAAAUUGCUGUGGGAGUUCAUUUCUUUUUUUUUUUAUUGGCCUCUUUUAAGGCAACUUUUUUCCAUUGAAUUAUUGCUUUUUAUUUUGUGAAAUUGAAAUGGGUUUGCCUUAAUAUAUUCCCACCACAUUUGAAGCUGAAUCAGCAAAGCAUCUGAUUUUAUUUUUGCUUGAAGCAUAGUGGCAUGCAAGCAGGGUGAAUUCACAAAUCUAUACAUAUUCUUUUUUUGUGAGAAUAUCCUUAGUACUAAGAACCCUAGAAUUGUGUCAUCUAUUAUUCUUUCUGGAUAACAUUAUUGUUACUAGUUGAUACUCACUCAGUGUUGUUUGCGCGGAUGGAUAUGGAUAAAGAAUGUUGAACCGGUUCGUCAAAGAGAACAUGAAUUUUGAGUUGAGUAGUGUGAUAUUUGUUCCGAAAUUUUUUGUUUUCUAUGUUGAUUUAUAAUUAUUUGGAUUAUUUAUAUUGGUCGGAAUUGGCUCUCGAGAAAAACACAUGGCAUCUUGAUCGAUACUAUUCAGUAAUAUUAUGUUAUUUAUGAUUUGGAUAGAAGAUGGAUAAUGAAUGGCGGAUCGUUUUACGCAAGGAAAACUAACGAGUCUGCUUGAGUCCUAACUCCUUCCAAAUAGUUUUAUUGGCAUAUGACUCUAGUUCUUCCAAAAUUGACUGUAAUCCAUUUAUUUAUAUGAAGUUGUUUUAAUAGCAGAGUUGUGUGCGGGCAAAUUAGAGGCUCAAAUCUAGUACAUCCUACGAAUGAAUAUUGUACAAAAUGUUUAUUUCACUUUCUACCUUAUAUUGUCUGAGAGAUCUACUCUUAGAAAUUAGACCANNNNNNNNNNNNNNNNNNNNNNNNNNNNNNNNNNNNNNNNNNNNNNNNNNNNNNNNNNNNNNNNNNNNNNNNNNNNNNNNNNNNNNNNNNNNNNNNNNNNNNNNNNNNNNNNNNNNNNNNNNNNNNNNNNNNNNNNNNNNNNNNNNNNNNNNNNNNNNNNNNNNNNNNNNNNNNNNNNNNNNNNNNNNNNNNNNNNNNNNNNNNNNNNNNNNNNNNNNNNNNNNNNNNNNNNNNNNNNNNNNNNNNNNNNNNNNNNNNNNNNNNNNNNNNNNNNNNNNNNNNNNNNNNNNNNNNNNNNNNNNNNNNNNNNNNNNNNNNNNNNNNNNNNNNNNNNNNNNNNNNNNNNNNNNNNNNNNNNNNNNNNNNNNNNNNNNNNNNNNNNNNNNNNNNNNNNNNNNNNNNNNNNNNNNNNNNNNNNNNNNNNNNNNNNNNNNNNNNNNNNNNNNNNNNNNNNNNNNNNNNNNNNNNNNNNNNNNNNNNNNNNNNNNNNNNNNNNNNNNNNNNNNNNNNNNNNNNNNNNNNNNNNNNNNNNNNNNNNNNNNNNNNNNNNNNNNNNNNNNNNNNNNNNNNNNNNNNNNNNNNNNNNNNNNNNNNNNNNNNNNNNNNNNNNNNNNNNNNNNNNNNNNNNNNNNNNNNNNNNNNNNNNNNNNNNNNNNNNNNNNNNNNNNNNNNNNNNNNNNNNNNNNNNNNNNNNNNNNNNNNNNNNNNNNNNNNNNNNNNNNNNNNNNNNNNNNNNNNNNNNNNNNNNNNNNNNNNNNNNNNNNNNNNNNNNNNNNNNNNNNNNNNNNNNNNNNNNNNNNNNNNNNNNNNNNNNNNNNNNNNNNNNNNNNNNNNNNNNNNNNNNNNNNNNNNNNNNNNNNNNNNNNNNNNNNNNNNNNNNNNNNNNNNNNNNNNNNNNNNNNNNNNNNNNNNNNNNNNNNNNNNNNNNNNNNNNNNNNNNNNNNNNNNNNNNNNNNNNNNNNNNNNNNNNNNNNNNNNNNNNNNNNNNNNNNNNNNNNNNNNNNNNNNNNNNNNNNNNNNNNNNNNNNNNNNNNNNNNNNNNNNNNNNNNNNNNNNNNNNNNNNNNNNNNNNNNNNNNNNNNNNNNNNNNNNNNNNNNNNNNNNNNNNNNNNNNNNNNNNNNNNNNNNNNNNNNNNNNNNNNNNNNNNNNNNNNNNNNNNNNNNNNNNNNNNNNNNNNNNNNNNNNNNNNNNNNNNNNNNNNNNNNNNNNNNNNNNNNNNNNNNNNNNNNNNNNNNNNNNNNNNNNNNNNNNNNNNNNNNNNNNNNNNNNNNNNNNNNNNNNNNNNNNNNNNNNNNNNNNNNNNNNNNNNNNNNNNNNNNNNNNNNNNNNNNNNNNNNNNNNNNNNNNNNNNNNNNNNNNNNNNNNNNNNNNNNNNNNNNNNNNNNNNNNNNNNNNNNNNNNNNNNNNNNNNNNNNNNNNNNNNNNNNNNNNNNNNNNNNNNNNNNNNNNNNNNNNNNNNNNNNNNNNNNNNNNNNNNNNNNNNNNNNNNCCUGCGUGUUGCGCCUGUUUUGAGAUUUUGAGUGGGUGUGAGGGAUAGUGGGUGGGGAGGGGGGGGGGAAGAAGAGGGCUCCAUUUCCUCAAUCAUUUCGUGGUUUAUGUUUAUUUUAAUUAAUAAUCACAUGUGGGUCUAACUUCAACUAAUCGACUACAUGACUAGUUGUUGUAACUGGUUCGACACUACUCGAGACUUCGUCCUUUCGAGGGGGACAACAUUGAACGGUACACAUGCACCGGAUUCAAGAUGCCUUGGAUUGAUGGUAAAUAUUUGAAAUUUAAAUUUGAAUGUUUCUAAUUCGAAUAUAAUUCAGUUGUCUAUGUUAGGAGAAUAUAUGUAUAUGUUGUCCUACUGACUGGGUUAUAUGUUUGAUACGGACUAUUAACAUAUAGUCAUGUUGAAUGUGGACGAGGAUGAGUGGUUACAUACGUACAGGCUGAGGAUAAACCUGUUUUUUUAUUGGUGAGAAGAUACGAAGUUCAUACAUACGUGAAGAAGAUAUGAAGAUGAGUAUGCCAUUAGCAAACAAAGAGGAGGUAACGUGUUAACUCCACAUGGCAGCUAGAUGAAAAAAAAACCAGAACAAUAGGUAAUGAUCAAAGGAUAAUUUGAAAAAUUUAUGGUAAUUAAAUCUUAAUUAUGAAAAAGAACAAUAUCCUUAAUUAGUUUGGACUUUAGGCAACUUGAGCUUCACAAGAUUGUUCGUUUAUAGUUGGAGAGCUUGCAUGGAAAGGUUACGUACUUACGUCGAGGAUUCUACCUGUCGUUCCUUCGGAUAACGAUUUAACAAUUUCUUUUCUAAUUCAGUUCUUUUCUGCAGCUUUUUGCACUAAUAAUAGAAGUUGAUAAUCCAUACAUAGUCACUUAUCGAUUAUUAAUAUCGAUUUAACUGAUUUUUUUAUUAUUAUUUGAAUACAUUAUCAAAUCAAUUUUCAAAGUUGAUGGAACACCCACUUGUGUCUUCUGUCUACUCCCCCACAUUAGUUUAUGAAAUCAUCGGAUCCUCUUAGUGGAGGCUGAUAUGGCUACACGAGGGACUAAGAUUCACCGUACUAGUACAGAGUUCGCAAGCUGAAUCGAGUCGAAUAUUUGUUCAACUUUGAUUCGGUUCGUAAAUAAUUAUUAAACAAACUAGCUAGCUCGAUAACCGUAAUAAUGUUUGAUUCUCUUGAUAAACAUAUUAAUUUUGGAUCGAUAAUCAUUAUAGCCGAUUGAGCUUGGAUUAAUUGAUAGCUAUUAUAAUCGAGUUCGGAUUAAAAAUCAAAUUUAUGAGCUAUCUCAAUCGAUAACCAUGACAAACUAAGUUUAACAAUUGCUCGAUAAUCAUGACUCAGAUAGAUAACCGUUGUAACCGAGCUCGGCUCAAUGACCAUUCUAACCGAGCUCAGAAUGAUCUGGAGAUAAAAACCAAUAACUUUAUGAGCCGGGCGUUUGCUUGACUCUGGUCCGAACAAUAAAUCACCACUAACGAGCUCAAAUGGUCGAUAAUCAUAGUGAUCUCGUCUCGGUUGCCAUUAUAACUAAACUCAAAUGGUCGAUAAACAUGCUUACAAGCUGCUAAUCGAACCGUUGAUAAUUAGGCUCACAAACCACCAAUCAAACCUUUAACAAGAUGACUCACAAACAAUCUAAAUCAAACCAAGAGGGGCUCAACGAGUGGCUUAUUAUCAAACCAAAUAUCCAAAAUGAUUGGCCCACAUAGAAGAACCCACCAAAUUACAGGCCUCUGCUGGGGCUCAGGCCCACAGUAAAGCCGCGGAAUCCCUAAUCAGCCUGUAACCAUCGUCGUUCAUAUAUACUCCCGUAAAACCCUGCCAAUCCUCAAAACCCUUUUCCGCUUUGAGCUCUCCCAGUCGCCGAACGAACAACCUUCUGCUUCCCACCGGCGAUCUCUCUUCAUCAUCGCAAUGGUGUGAUUCAGCUUCGUAGAUUUGGGUUUUUGUUUCUAUUGUCAUCUACAUUUUAUACUUAUUCUGCGUUCUGAUCGUCGAUUUUGAUGGUUUUUCCCAUUGCAGGCUCCCAAGAAGGAUAAGGUUCCGCCGCCGUCGUCGAAGCCGGCCAAGUCCGGAGGAGGCAAGCAGAAGAAGAAGAAGUGGAGCAAGGGAAAGCAGAAGGAGAAGGUCAACAACAUGGUCCUCUUCGACCAAGCUACAUACGACAAGCUUCUCUCUGAAGCUCCCAAGUACAGGCACAUCACUCCGUCAAUCCUCUCCGAUCGUCUGAGGGUAAUUUUAUUUUGCCUUGAUUCUCUCUUUGACUUUUGAGUUGCCUUGAAUGGUCUGCAGGCUGAGCUGGUUUAGUUGUUAUAUUGUUAUGUUAGACUGACUAUGGAUUAGUUGGAUCUAGGCUAUCUUUGUAUAGCUGUGAAUCUGUUCUUGCUCUGGAAUUUCCGGCUAUGGUCAUCGAUUUGUGGAAAUAAACUGAGUAUUGUGGCUGUAAUUUGUUAAGUUUUGUGUUGCAUUCAUGGUGUUGCCUGCCGAAGAAUUUAAGCCAGCUGCUUGGUAGUCUAAUGUCUUUCUGCAUUUCUAAUCUAAGUAUGAUUAGAAAGCCAUUGCCUUUAGCAUGUCGUAACCCAUGGUUCUAUCAACGAUAAACUCUCUAUCUUGCAUGCAAAAGAUGAUGAUUUCACUACACUGUAAACCCACGGUAGCUCAAAUGUUCCUGUUUCACUUCAUGUUAAAUGUACACAAUGUUUCUUGAAUUCCGACUGAACAACAACUGGUUGCGUGCUUUAUGGCAUUUGGUUAAGUUAACCCUCUCAUAGCAGUUUCAUGCAUGCUAGAACCUCUGUAGUUUUAUCGAUCAUGCUUUGUAUGAAUUUGUUGCAUCUUCUUAACUCGAUUUGUGAAUUGGGGAUGUACCUGUGGUUCUUGUAUGAAUUGGCUGUUUCGGUUAACUUGAUUGUGCAAAUUGGUUUACAGAUCAAUGGAUCGCUUGCAAGGAGGGCAAUCAGGGAACUCAUGGCUAAAGGAUUGAUCAGGAUGGUGACUGCACAUUCAAGCCAGCAGAUUUACACCAGGGCUACAAACGCCUAGGUUUUCAAUGUCUUUUUUGCACCUUGAAUGUCCCCCCAGAGAUGGAAUUAGUAUGCGAGGAAUGUUGGUCUUAAUGUACACCUUGAAUGUUCGUGGGGAUGUUGAGUUUUGGAUUUUACAAUUUUGCUGAUGAGAUUAGUGCAUUUUUUGGUUGGGUAGGGUCAUGCUAAUGAGCUUCGGUAUGAAGUUGGAAAUUGAAAGACAAGAUCCCAGUAGUCUCGAAAGAUGUAUGCUGUUGAAGCUCCUGAAGUCAGCAUGUCGGUUUUAAACAUGUAAACUCCCAUCAAAGCGACAUGGUGGUUGCUUCGUUUUCUGUGUAGUCAAACCUAUUCGUAUCCACUUGCUGGCAAACAUAACAUAGAAUAAACCCUGCCAGUAUCCUGAGUUACAAACGGAAUCACUCUACCUUUGCUGUCUAGCUUGAUCAAUCUGUAAUCUGAUGCUCGGCUGCAGAACCGAUUCACCAAUUAGACCGGAACGGAAAGAAUGUGCGAAAUCGAAGAUAAAGGACUUACCUUUCGCCCACCGCAGUCAGCAGCACAUGAAAUCGUGUUCAGCUGUCUGCUGUCUAUCAACACGGUGCUGUUUUUUUCAUGCAACAACAAAUAGUAUUGGCAUCAACAUGAAAAACGUACAAAUCCUAUGAGUUCGGAAUGGCAAUGGGUUGAGUUUUGAUUAUGGGAGUAUUCAAGUCUUUCCCAUUCCGAAAUUGGUUAAUGACCUGACCGACCUUCUAGGGGUUCAAUCGUGAAUCAAGUUAUCUUGUACGAACGGUUUUCCUUAUCGAACAUGCCAACUCGUAUUUUGCUCAAAUGAUUGUGAAAUUUUGAGUCAUGACCAGCUGAUGUGGCUCAGGAUCCGAUUCCAUGUUACUUGGAUUCAAAUGAUUUUUAUUUUAUUUUGAGAUAUCUAGAUAACAAAACCCUAAAAUUAAUAACAAACCAUCAUAAUCUAUCUGAGGUUGGGUGAAGAUGUCGCUAAGUCUUGUCGAUUGAAGCCAAGGCUGUAUCCAACUCUUCUCACCACACCCACUGAAAUAGCCUCCGUGGAUCCUCCAUCACCGCACGUGCCUAAACCUCCGCCGAAUCAUGAAUCUUCUGAGAAAAUAGAGGAUGUGAUCUGCAGAAUGAUGGCGAACCGUGCCUGGACGACCCGAUUGCAGAACUCGAUCAGGUCGUUAGUGCCCAAGUUUGAUCACCCUCUGGUUUAUAACGUGUUGCAUGGAGCUCGAAACUCCGACCACGCGCUCCAGUUCUUCAGGUGGGUUGAGCGUUCAGGUUUACUCAAGCACGACCGUGAGGCUCAUCGGAAGAUGAUUCAGAUCCUUUGGGAGGGCAUCUAAGCUCAACCAUGCUCGUUGCAUUCUCUUGGAUAUGCCUAAGAAGGGCGUUGAGUGGGAUGAGGAUAUGUUCGUGCUUAUGAUCGAUAGUUAUGGUAAAGGUGGGAUUGUUCAGGAGGCAGUUAAGAUGUUUGAUACAAUGUCUGAGUUUGUAAUCUAAUGAUGAUUAGAAAGCCAUUAUUGCCUUUAGCUUGUUGUAUUGUACCCCAUGGUUCUAUCAACCAUACACUCUGUCUUGCACGCAAAAGAUGAAGAAGUUUCACUCCCACUGUAACCUCUGUAGUGCCUCGUUGUUCAUUACUUUUAUUAAUGGCUUGUAGAAUGAAUUGGCUGUUACGUUUAACUUGAUUGUGCAAAUUGGUUUACAUAAAGAUCAAUGGAUCGCUUCGCUUGUAAGGAGGGGAAUCAGGGAACUGGAACUGCUUAGAUCUGAUUUUCCAUUCCGAAAUGAUGAAUGACCUACGUACUAAGUGUUUUGUCGAUGAUCGAUCGAAGUUCUGCAAAGAAUCGUGAUUCUGCCCAAAUGCAUGUGGAAUGUUUUUUAGAGUAAUGACCAGGUGAUGCGGUAUCCUAACCGAAGACUAAAUAGUAAUAUUAAGUUAGUAGAGUGACUAAAAUAAUAAUGUUGUAAUUGAGGAAUGGUAUUUAAGUCAUUCUUUUUAAUUUCAAAAUCAAUCAAUAUAUUAAACAAACUCUAUUUUCCCUUUAUUGAGGUGCUCCAGCCUUUCUUCUUCUCUUCUUUCUCAUUCGCUUAUCCAUCAUUAUAAUCAUUUACCGGAUACCAUACCGAUCCCAUCGGGACAUUACAAUGCGGCUAGGAAUCCGAGGGUCGUUCUUGAAUCUGAAUCAAACCCAUUUCAUAUUUCGAAAACAUCAAACAUCACAUCUUGGUUGUUUCCCUUAUUGGAACUCAAACUAUUAUUGUUGGCAUUAUGCUUUUUGGCGUUGAAAUCCCAAUGACAACAAACCCAUGUGAAGAACAAUGGCGCCUUGGUUACAUUUCCAAAACUUGGACGGAUUAGUCAUCUUUUUCUUCUUCUUCUUGUACUCCUCUUAUGUCGCCUUCUUCUUCCCCUAUUUCAUUUGAUUCUUCUCCUCAAUAAUUAUCGACAAGACCCAUUUGCCUCCAUUCUUUCAUUCAGUCUCCCUUGUAUUCUUCCUGUCAUCGGGAAGCAAAUGUUGUUUACUAGCGGACGAUGGCAAGACUCGGAACUUAAAAUUUCGUCAAAUUCCUAUCCAUAAAGAGUUUUAACACGAAAAAUUCACGACACGGUUCAAAUUUAUAUAUAUAGACCACAAUAACGCUUACCUACAGAUAGAAUAAUUUGGUUUAUUGGUUGUAAACUGAAUUCGCUUUUCAUAUUCACACAACUGCAACUCGAUCCACCACACCAAAAUAAAGAGAAUCCAUUGAAGUCCGUAAAUUCGUACGAGUGAGAUAUUGUAAGUGGUGCCCACUACUAAUGCCAACACAAAUAUCUACAACAUACAUCAUAAAUUACGAUUGUACAAUCUUUAUCAAAUUAUAUAGUUGAGGCCUGAGGGACACGUGUGCGGCGGAGAAAGAUCUCUCCAGACAUGAGUGAAUGACCAAUCACCAAAUAAGCAACUUUAGGGUUUGGAAGGGUGCCCAAAAAAGAGACUAGUGUCACCUUCCUGCAUCAUCGGAAACAAGCUCGUGUGUCCUUGUCAAAGUGUCAAUCAUUCAUCACACCACCCACCAUUCCAAUUAGCUUCAUUCAUACCUUUUGCGUAUCGCGGGAGUCGGACAGAUCUGAUUAUAUUCAAAUAUAUCAUGAGCGUGGUUGAUCUUGUGGAUUCCAAGCAUCAGGCUGAUGGAGUUUAUCAUUGGUUUUGCUAAUAUGGAUAAUCCGUAUACAUUAUUGUGUAAAUAGAGUCAAAGUAAAGAUGAUAUUAUUAGUAGAAUUUACACCAUUUAUUUUUUAUACCGUUAGUAUGAAUCAAGUUUCAUUUCAGAAACAAUUAAAUAAAUUUGAAGUGAACAUAUAAUAUGAACCGUAUACAAUAUACUACCAGUAAUUUAUGUAAUAGUAUGAGUAUAACAAGAAUUUGAACAUAGACUAAGUAUGAUUUGAAUCUAAAUUUUAUACCUGGAAAAACAAAAUAUGCAACAUGAUUCUUAUCAAAGUAGAAUGAUUAGGGUUUUGGUGAGAUUUGGUAGAGGCAGAGAGCUCAGGUGGGCCUAGUGAAAAAAGGCGCAUGAUGGUGGGCUUCCUCUCUGACAGUUGUGAAUGAGAGCCGUCCGUUUGAGUUCAGGCUACUUAAAUUCAUUACCAAAUAUAGUUUGUUUUUCGAACGAGAAAUCAGAAGAUAACAAACACACAUGAUACUAAUUAUUUAUAUAGGACAUACGAAUUAUCAAUAACAACACUCAUGGUAUAUAUCUAAGAGUUAUACAUAUCACUAAAUGGGCGACUCUGUUACAUGAUCGAUGAUCAGUCUAAAUGUAGAUGUCUGACAUGAUUGUUAGGUGGUCUCGGAUCUCUUUGAUGAAAUCAGACGUGUCACAAAAUAGACGGCUUUUUUACCUGACAGACGAACAGUCUGAAGAUGAAUAUUAGGCACGGGGGCGAGCAGUUGGAUCUCUCAUUAGGUUGUUGAUGAAUCCGUAAAAACAUAAGUGGUACGUAGCACCACCGAUGCUAAUAUGAGUAUUCAAAGCCUCAUCAACCUCAUCACGAUAUCUCUUGCAUAAUAGAGCCUCCAACAGAUGAGCGAGCAGUCUAAAAUUGAAGCAUCAUUAUGUAGGUAGCCGCUUCUUGAAAUUGUAGGAUCCUCAACAUAAUAUAGUUGGUUUUUCGUCUUAUUACUUCAUAUACCUUGUAAAAUCACUUAUAACGAAGGUUUUUGUAGUCCAGUGAUGGAUGUAUAGUAACCUUAUUUUGUAUCAAUGAAUAUUAAUGAUGAGUUGAAUUCGUUUAUAUAACUCAUAAGCAAAUUAUGAACAAUGGAAUGCAUAUUAGAUAAUGAUAUUUUUCAAUUACAGAGAACAUCAGAAACGAUUCAACUCAUCUUAACUCCAACCUUACUCUAAAUAAAAGUUUAAUUGUAGUACCUAACGGUCCAACUCGUAUUCUGAAAUUGUUAACGGUGGACAUGAGCUACGGUGUCCUUUUCAAUUGCCCCUUUCUCUCUGCAAAAUCCAUGCAACAGUCUCUCAGCAACAGUCAAUUUCCUUUACUACUUCUCCAAUGCUUGUCAAUUUAAAGAAAGAAAAACCAAUAACUCCAAAUUACAGGAUUUCUCGUGAUUUGCAGCAGCUCACAUGGCUUUCCUCCUAUAAAGGAAAAGGAAAAGGAAAAGGAAAAGAAAGUAAGAAGGCAGAGCCAUUAAACCCUUCACAAAACCUCUCAGAGAGUUCACGCAUUUCCAUCUCUUCUUCACAUUCAAUAAAAAGGUUCGAUUCUUCUUCCAUUCCGUUUCAGUAAAAAAUUUGAGGUAAGGAUUCUUAUGAACUUCUGUAUUCUGGGUAUGGAUCAAAUUAAACGUACCUAGAAAAGGUUGUUUCACCAUUUCUUGUUUUUAUCGAUCCAUUCUGCCUAGUGUUCAGUUUCUCCAGUUUCAAAAUUUUGAGCUAGUGGACUCUCUGUGUAAGUUAAAGGUUUAACCUUUAUGAACUUCUGCAAUCUGGGUACGGAUGGAGGAUCAAUGAACCAAGAACAGUUUCACCAUUUUUGUGUUUACAUUUAUUUCGUUUAAUUGUUUUGUCCCUCACUUUAUGUGAUCUGCACUUUAAAUCAAGUUUUCUUCUUUCUAGUGCUCAUUUUUUAUAUCUUGGGAUUCGUUCCCUUUGUCUUAAAUCUUCGGACCCGUGAUCCAAUUUUCCACUUCUGGGUUUUUAGCUUAUAGCUCUUCUUCCACCUGCAAAUGGGUUCCUGCUGCGUGGCGUUGGAAGCCAGUAACCUUCUGGUGAACAGAGAGCUGAGGGUUACACACUCGCAGAAUGAUCCUUUCACUCGGUUGAAGUUUGAGAAGAAUCAGAAGAAGAGCAUCAAUAAGUCGAAAUCUCGUUUAGUCUCUUCAGUCUUGACCUCCAGCAAUGGCAGAGGAACUGUGGUAAGUUAUGAUCCAAGCUGUUUCUCUUAGUGAUCCUUUCAGUGUCUUUUUUGUAAAGGAUGGUGAUUAUUAUUGAGUUAUGGAGCUUGUAAUGGAUGGUGAUUUAUUGUUGAGUGAUGGAGUCUGAUGGAUUGGACAUUGAUCGGCAACUAAACUAAGUCCAAACCUUAUACGGGGUCAAGGGGCCGUUAGUUUGGCCGAACUAAUCAGUUUUGUCCGUUUCGAUAGAGGUUUUGGGUUAAUCUGGUCUUGUUUCUGAUCAUCGUAAUUGGUAUCAUCACAACAUGGUAGUCGUUAUCUCUCCUAGCUUUGCAUUGCCUCAUACAUACUCUUCUCGCAAAGGGGAACUGGGUUAACAAAUCCAUGUGUUCUGCGUUCGUAUUUCUGUUCGUGAUUGUGUUUUAUUCUAUACAAUGUAGAUCCUACAACCAGAAGCAAGGCCAGAUAGGAAGAGAGUGGAUCCAAAAGAUGUGGCUUCCAUAAUACUGGGAGGAGGUUCUGGUGCUCAGCUGUUUCCUCUUACCAAAAGGACUGCAACUCCCGCUGUAUGUUAUAUUUUCUCCAUAAAAAACAGAGAUUUGGUUGUGGUGUUUGACUUGGGCUUUUGUUUCUGUGUGGUUUUGAUCUUACUAGGUACCAAUAGGAGGAUGCUACAGGCUGAUUGAUGUGCCUAUGAGCAACUGCAUCAACAGUGGGAUCAACAAGAUCUUCGUCCUUACCCAGUUCAACUCGACAUCCCUCAAUCGACACAUAGCUCGCGCCUACUUUGGCAAUGGCAUCAACUUCGGAGACGGAUUUGUUGAGGUUCUGGCCGCCACUCAAACCGCCGGUGAAGCAGGCAUGGAGUGGGUCUGAAGUGGUUCCAAGGAACUGCAGAUGCUGUCAGGCAAUUUACAUGGGUGUUUGAGGUGAAAUAAUUUCGUCAAAAAAUAAACCGCAAAGAUCCUCUCUUUCUAUACUGAAGACUGAUUAUUUUUCCUUACACUUGUUCGUAGGAUGCCAAGACCAGGAACGUAGAGAACAUCGUAAUCUUGUGUGGCGAUCACCUUUACCGUAUGGAUUACAUGGACUUCGUUCAGGUAAAUAUCGUUCUUAACAUUCUUCGUGCUCUAAUGUUUUACGACACCGGGUUUUUCACAAUUUGCAUGAAAACAGCACCAUGUUGAUAGCAAUGCGGAUAUCACCAUUUCGUGUGCUGCUGUGGGUGAAAGGUACGGACUUUAUCUUCGUUCUUCUUCACUUCGAUAUGUUCUUUACGUUCCGAUCUAAAUGUUCUUUUGGUGGAUUGGUUCUGCAGCCGUGCAUCAGAUUACGGAUUGGUCAAGUUAGACAGCAAAGGUAGAAUUAUCCAGUUUGCUGAGAAACCAAAGGGUGCUGACCUAAAAUCAAUGGUGAGUUCUUAUUUCUAAAUCAGGAUACUAACUUUGUUGCGGGAAAGUGAUUUGUGUUAUGUGUGGCAGCAAGUGGAUACGACUCGGAUAGGUUUGACUCCGCAGAAAGCGAAGCAGUCGCCGUAUAUUGCUUCGAUGGGAGUUUACGUGUUUAAAACUGACAUGCUGUUGAAGCUCCUGAAGUGGAGGUUUCCUACAGCAAAUGACUUUGGCUCUGAGAUCAUCCCUGCAGCAGUUAUGGAGCAUGAUGUCAAUGCAUACAUCUUUCGAGACUACUGGGACGACAUUGGAACGAUCGAUUCGUUCUACCAAGCUAACUUAGCUCUCACUGAAGAGGUAAGGAUUUCCAACAAAUCGAUUGAUUCGUUCGUGUGUUUGAAGAAAUUAUAACCUGUUAUCUGUGUGUGCAGCCUCCAAUGUUCGAGUUUUACGACCCACACAAACCGAUUUACACAUCUCCAACGUUCUUGCCGCCAACUAAGAUCGAUCAAUCUCGGGUUUGCAACUUGGAUCGGAGCUUGAUAUCAUGUUGUUGGUUUCUCGUUGAUGUAUUCAUCUGUCUGUUCUUUGUUGCAGAUUGUAGAUGCAAUAAUCUCCCACGGUUGUUUCUUGAGAGAUUGUACUGUCCAGCAUUCGGUUAUUGGUGAGCGAUCUCGUCUGGAUUCCGGUGUUGAGCUAGCGGUGAGUUUGCCUGUAAUAUGUUCUUAAGAGCAGUUUUUUUUAUUUCACGACGAGAUGCAUGAGAAUGGCUCUCAAAAUCUUUGAUCUCCAUUUUUUUACAGGAUACUGUGAUGUUAGGAGCAGAUUACUACCAAACCGAAGCUGAAAUAGCAUCUCUUCUGGCAGAUGGAGGAGUCCCAAUUGGCAUUGGGAAGAACACCAAAAUCAGGUUGAAGAAUCAACUUUUAACUUUCGUAACUGAGAUAAAUGAUCUUCCCGAAUUCUGAAAUGAAUCCGACUCUUGUAGGAAGUGCAUUAUCGAUAAGAACGCGAAGAUAGGGAAAGACGUGAUGAUCGUCAACAAAGAUGUAAGUUCCCAGCCAAAAAAUGUCUUUCUGUUUCAUGCCGCCGGUUAUCUGAACGAAAGCUGUGGGCCUUGCAGGGUGUAGAAGAAGCUGACAGGCCAGAACUAGGGUUCUACAUUCGAAAAGGGAUCACCGUUGUAGCAGAGAAGGCGACAAUCGAAGAUGGAACUGUCAUAUAAAACAUAAAUCCACACUUUCGACAGUUCGAAAAAUGGCUUCAUGCGGGAGGACCAUUCAGAUAUAUCGCUGCAGAUGGUUGAAACCCAGAAACAGAAGACACAAACUGCAACAUCAUCUACAUGUAACGUAUAUAAAGAAGCGAAGCUACUUCCUUCUCGCAUAAAAGUUGGGAUCUUUUCGGUCCUACAAGCCGAAGUUAGAAGAGCAGAACUAUAGUAAAGGCAGCUUUUCAUAGUUUAUGUCGAUAAUAAGUUGUUUAAGAUUAGCCUUUAUGGAAAAGUUGGGAUCUUUUUGUAUGGGAUAUGAACAAUAAGUUACAUAACAAGUCUGCAGAAUCUUGUACUGUCACCUCUUUUUUCAGAUGGAUAAUGUAAUAUUAUUAUUAACCAAACCGGUUAAACUUGAAUCAGCCAACGGGCUGAUAAUCACACUUACAAACAGAUCCUACGAAACAAGAGAUUCAGUGGGCAUGGAAUGGCAAUUUAUUGCACAAAGAUUGUCCAUUUCCAUUGUUAACUCCACAAUAGAACUAGCAUUUUGGUUGAACUGCAAGCCGACUUGAAAUCUCCAAAGCAUUGCUCUCGUAGAUGAACAAUUCACAAAGGCAAGUGUGAGAUUAUGGUUCAGGUACAUACUUGUUGGAGCUGUACACUUAAUGUGAUCCUUUCUCGAACAGAGCAACUCCGGGUCUUGAUGAUGACAAAUCAUAUAGCGAAGUUUCGAACACAUAAGCUGCAUUUUCGAGUUCUUAAUGCACUUAGCUUGCUUUGUUAAUUCCACAGACUUAAGUUUUUGGGAUAGAUCUCUUCUCAAUAGCCCUUGGUACUCCAAACUAUAAGACAUCCCCUUUUCCUGAACUCACAAGGUUGAAAACCAGUCAUGGCCUUUCCCAUGAGUGCCAUAGCAGCUAUACUCGGAAACUGCUUCUCCGGUACUUCACUUGAUGUUCCCUUUCCGACUCGAGAUUCGCUAGCCAUCACACAAUCAGCUUUCCUUCUCAGGGAAGAAGCAACUGGGUUACGAGACCAUCGUCGAAUCCAAGGAUGCGAGUGGGCUUCGACGAGGUCAUGAGCUUUCUCCUCAGAAUUGGUGGAAGUAGAUUCAGCAUUCCUUUCUGACAAUAUUGUAGUAGGGCAAUCAAAUCCCGGAAGAUCAUUUCCAAUGGGAUCACUUAUCAUUUUGGUGAAGAGUCCAUUCACUUUUCCAUGAGAGGCUUCCCCUAAGUCUGAACCUUUAGAACCGUAGGUGUAGGGCAAGAGUGCUGGAGCACUUGGCUUGAGACGUCUUACCCAUCUACUACAUGGAUCGAGCCUGACAGGGUCGGGACAAGCCCUUGACUUCAGAUUUCUGGAGUUUCCAGGAUGAGUGAGCAAGCAUUCCACAUCCAGACUUUGCGUUAUUGACGUGCUCGUCUCCUUAUCAUCUGCUGUCCCAGAUACAUCAGGAUGUAGACAAAACUCUUCGUUUAUAUCGGGUAACAGCUUUUUCACCAUUCUACCCGUAACUUCUUGACCGACUGAAGCAAUUAGAUCUUGCCAUAUAGGUGAUGGUAAAUUUACCUUACUUGAUGGAUGUGAAGCCAAACCUGAAAACAAAACAUCCACAAACUUCCUUAGUCUUUGAACAUAGAACAUCCUUGUAGUCUUAAGUGAUAGAUAUCAUACUUCAUAUCCAUACUAAUGGGAGUCGAUAAUAUAAGAUUCGCAAUAAUGGACGUACCAAGGAGUUGGUUAUGUCUGGCAGCAUCGAUGUCCACAGUGUUGGUCUCAGAGCACGAUCCAUUCUUUGAAUCAUGUAGAAAACUCUUGAUAGUUUCAGUGUCUUCUUUGCCCUCGCAUUCUGCGGAACUGUCAAGUUGUUGCAACUUCACUCCUUGGUUAUUACGAGAGCGAUCAUCAGGUUUUAAACCAAACAAUUCACAUAAUGAUUUUCCUUUGAACUUUGUGGAUACUGACGACUGUUGGAACAUCUGACCUUCAUCCAUAUCAGUCUUCUUUGUGAUGAAAAAGUGGUGAGUUGAAUGUGAAACCUUUGCACAACCGGCAGGAAAUUCUGUGAUGGAAUCGACAGUUGUACGUAUUCUCAUAGCCUGCACACCAUGUGCAGAAGAAGAGGGCAUUCCUGAUAGACCGUGAGAGCUACGAAAUGCCUCCUCGAUAGGGCCACUCUGGAAGGGAAAAUGAUCCGAAAGAGGCAUCAUCUCAGCCGCAAAGCCUCUUGCUUCACUCUUGCUGGUUGAAGGGUCAUGCACCGAAAGAGCUCCACCGAAACUGAUCUUGUUCGAGCGAUCCCAAGACGAAUUUCCUGCUUGAUCCGAAUUGUCUUCUACACGGGAAGCACAUUGCACUCUAUUCCUCCUGCUUUCAAAUUCAUAUGGAACAACCUGAGGACUGGCACCCGAAAGGUAGCCUCGUGACGGAAAAACACCAACCCCAUUCCUCUGAGGUAGAAGCGGAGUUCCCAUUUCGCUGCUACCAACCAAUGCAGCAGAACCAGGCAAGUGGCUCUCAACUCUACUCGAAGAAGCAUCCAACCGCGAAACAUCAACCCUCUUUUUUGCUGGAGGCAAAGCAAUCCCCUCGUCCAGCAAAACACCUAGCAUGAGAUAAGGCUGACCUUCAGACGGCUCGUUCCUCAACCUCUCCAACCCAUCCCUCGUACUCGUACUACUCCCACCCACAAAAUCCGCCAUCUUCCGCUUCCCCACAUCUCGAAACCGCUCUCCACCCUCGGAUCCUUUCCCAGACAGAUCAAAUAGACGGUGAUACUUUACUCCAUGAUGAAUCUCUUCACUCACCUCAUUAGUCACUGAAGCUGCUGCUGCUUCAUUUCCCACCCUACAAUUCCUACCCAACCAAUGACCAAUCCAUGAAGACUGAGACCCACCACUUCCAGAAAUCUCCUCCUUGCCAUUCGACAUUACAACACUGAAAAUUCAAGUCAACACAGUAACAAAAAGAAAAAACUCAUCAUCUGUCACCUGAAAGAUGCAAACUUUACCCAACCCAAAAUUCUGAAAGCUCAAAAAAAUGAGAAAAACAAAACAAACCCAUGCAGAGAAAAUGAAAACCCAGAUUCUAAAUUCUCUCUAUCAACAAUACUGAUAGAGCUAACGAAGUCAGAUCCCAGUCCCACAAACAUUUAAAUGAAGCUACGGCUUACCCGAAUGGAUCGAAGAGAAGAUGGAAUUAUUCCCUGAAAAUUUCGGGAGGAUCUGGAUUCCUAAUUCAGCUUCUGAAUCGAAGGAGAAAGAAGAGGAAAUGAAUCCAUGGCCUGAACCAGGCGUGAGAGCUUCAGCUGCUCCCUGGUGUUUUUUGUUGUUGCUUUUGGUGUAUUUUUGCUUCUCUUUCGUUUUUCUUUGACCUCUCUUUAUUGUUAAUUUUAUUAUUACAAGUAAUAAUUGAUGGGCUCUCAGACAGCCACAGAUGCGAGGGGCCCACCAAUUAAACGAAUGGGCCCCCAUUUCCCCACUUGCGAUUUAUAAGUCAUUUCGGAUUUUUUUUCCCGUGAAGAGAUAUUUUCUCGUACUAAAAAAUAUGCUUUUAUUGGAUUUCAAAAGAAAAAAUGCUUUUAUUUUUCUACAUACGUCGUAUCGAUGGAGAACGCGUGUGGUGCUGAAUUCAUUAAAAAUUAUUAAAUUAUUAAUUUUUUCUCCUUUUAAGUCUAAAAGGUCCACAUCUUUUAAGGGUGGUUUUGGUAUUUUAAAAAUUAUUUUUUCUUAUUUUUUUUAAACUAACAUAAUUUAUUUAGUUCAAGUAUGAUUUUUAUGUUUACUAACUAUAUUAAUCACAUUGUUCAAUAAUUGCCUCUAAGUUGUUAAUAAUUAUGUUUGAAUUCACUCAAUAACUACGUAUAACUGGAUAAUAACUAUGUUUCUCUCCUUUACAUCUUCCUGACCUAGGUCAAAAUUGCAAUACUUACGUCCAAGUUGCUAAUAACUAUGUUUCACCCCUUGGCUAUAUUACGUUUAAGUUGUUAAUAACUACAUUUAACCAAAUAAUAACUACCUCUAAGUUCCUAACAACUACGUCUAUAUCUAAACUGCUAAAUCCUACUUCUAAGUUAGGGAAACUAUAUCCUGAAUUCCCUUAACAAUUACGUCUAACUCGCCAAUAACUACGUUUCUCCACUUAUAUAUAUCUUUAGUUUUCGUCAACCAUACCAUACAUCUAAGUUGUUCAUACCUGCUUCAAAGUUGUCAAUACUUGCGCCAAAGUUGCUAAGAACUACGUUUCCCACCUUAUAUCUACCUUACGUUUAAGUUGUUAAUACUUAUAUCUAAGUUGCUAAAAACUACGUUUACUUUUAAGUUUCUAAUAACUAUCCCAAAAUUGCUGAUAACUAUCUCUAAUUUGGUGAUAUCUGCUAGGUAUAGUUUUCAGGCAGUCAACUCACAUUUGGUGAUUACUACGAAAUAUAGUUUUGAGGCAAUCGACUUACAUGUUUGACUUUGGAAAAAAAAGUUCGUCGAAACCCUAUCAUGAAUGUGCUAGUUCUAAUCUUCGUUGGAAAACUAAAAUUUUGACGUAAAAAUCAUUCAAAUCCGAAUUCAUAUGUGCAAGAUAUUAAUUAAAUAAGAAAGUUAGUGGAAAAUAUAUUAAUUAAUAUAUAAAAUACAGUCAUGAAAUAAAAUAGUGAUGGUGAAGUUAUGAAAAUAUCCUUUCUGUCCAAAAUUCAGCACAUAAAUCUUUCAACAUGACACGUAAACUCAUAGGAUGAUUUUACCAUCCACGGUGUGGGCACGAGGGACACCGGAUUGCUUUUCUUUUUGGGAUAUUUGUGGAUAUUUAUCAAUGGAUUUGUGGAUUUAUAAUCGAAAGUGAUGUUAGAUUCGAGAUAAUGAUCUAUUCAUAUAUAAGAUAGCACAUAGUUAAAACUUGGAAAGAUUUAUUUAUAGUGAUUUUAUACAUAAUUUUAUUGAUAUAAUCGUGAAUAUUAAACUAUAUAGGGAUCGUAUGACAGAAAAAUUUGUUGGAGCCAACCAUCCAUUAGACACAAGUUAGUGGGAUAUAUUACCUUCACACAAUUGCCAGAAAUCAACCAUUAGAAAGAUAGUUGAAAUAGAUCGAAAAAAGAUACAACAUAAUGAUUUUACGUAAAGAAUCAUAAUCGACAAAACAAAAUACAGAUAUACGGUGAUGAUAAAAGACGUGCUAGAAUCAAAGAGUACAACUCCACAUUGAUCUAUAAUAUUGUUUUUUAAUAUCCCAAACGAGUAAACAAGAAAAUAGUUAUAAUAAGUGAAAUAGGUAGUACCAAUGAUAAUAUGUACAAAAUACGAUUGAUCCAACCGCUUUAUCGUAUAAUGAAUUUAUAUCACCAAACUUCAAUGUUGACGAUUUCGACACUAAGCUACUUUCGAGCUAGCAUAUUUAUAAUCUCGAGUUAUAACAAACUCGUUAGUUCAGUGAAUCAGACGAUUAUUUAAAAAAGAAAAAUCUGCAUAAAAAAAAAAAAAAAAAACAGACGAUUAUUUAAUAAAGAAAAAUCUGCAUCACUAAACUUCAACAAAAAUGAAUAGUUGAUAUAAUCUUUGAAUGGUAUCACUUGAAUUACACUUGAAUUUAAAUGGAUAUUUACUAUUUUAAAACUCAAUAACAAGUUCACUAACGUUUCAACCAAAAAGUCUUGAGGUCCAAUAUUGGAUUUUCCUUUGAAUCGACACAUGUUUGGUAUAGGUGAUAUCGGGUGAUAUUGAUAUGUCAUAUCAUUCAAUAGUUAGUUAUUUGAUAUAUUUCCGUGUUNNNNNNNNNNNNNNNNNNNNNNNNNNNNNNNNNNNNNNNNNNNNNNNNNNNNNNNNNNNNNNNNNNNNNNNNNNNNNNNNNNNNNNNNNNNNNNNNNNNNNNNNNNNNNNNNNNNNNNUGACAUAAUUGCCUCCAAAGUAAUUUAAUAGUUACAAGUAAGUAAGGGCUAUAAUGAUAAUUUUCGUUGUCUUCAUUAUUAUAAACCAGGACCCACACCACAUCUAAUCACUCUUAGCCCUUACCGCUCAAUAUCCUACACCAAAUAAGAAUAUUCAUACUUGUUGAAUUCAAUAUCAAUCUCAUCCAAUAUCAUAAUAUCUCAAAUAACUAAUUAUUCGAAAUAUCACAUACCAAAUAAGUACAUAAAUAAAUAAUGAUAGAUCUAAAUAAAUAUACUUGAUUAAGAUAGAAAAUGAGUUGCGACUAUUAUCUAAAUACAAUGAAAAAUCAUCCUUCCUGAAGGAUUAUACUAGGAAUGAAGUUCAAUCAAAUUGGCCAAUCUUAAGAGUGGUAUGCCUAGUCGGGUGUCUAAUGCUAUAAAAAAUAGUUUCUUUUCUCGAUUUUUUUUGUUGAAAUUUUACCAAUGUUAAAUAUACAUACCAUUUUGUCAAUAUGAAAACUUAAGAGUGACCUAAAUUGUAAUUCUAGAUCGAUGACUGAAAACCUAUCAUUUUUGUAAUUUUUCCUCGCUCGAUAUAAAAUACAUCAACCCGAAAUAUAAUCUUCAGAAAAACCCUAAACCCUUUCCUCCCAUCUCCGCCACCGGCAAAUCUCCAGCCAUGGGUAAGGUGAAAGGUAAGCAUCGUUUGGACAAGUACUAUCACCUCGCCAAGGAGCACGGAUACCGUUCCCGUGCCUCGUGGAAACUCGUCCAGCUCGAUUCCAAGUUCAAGUUCCUCCACUCUGCCCGCGCUGUCCUCGAUCUCUGCGCCGCCCCCGGAGGAUGGAUGCAGGUCGCCGUCGAGAAGGUCCCCGUCGGGAGUCUGGUGCUCGGUAUCGAUUUGGUGAGGAUCGCUCCUCUCCGUGGCGCGUUGUCGAUCGAGCAGGAUAUUACCAAGUCCGAGUGCAAGUCGAAGAUUAAGAAGAUUAUGGGGGAUAAUGGGGUGAAGGCGUUUGAUUUGGUUCUUCACGAUGGUUCUCCUAAUGUCGGAGGUGCUUGGACGCAGGAGGCCAUGUCGCAGAAUGCUUUGGUUAUCGAUGCACUGAAGUUGGCUACACAAGUGUUGGCUCCCAAGGGGAAUUUCAUCACUAAAGUGAGCUUGCGUUUUUUUGUUUCUGUUUGAAAAUUUUGGAAUGCGAGAUCAAAGAUUAGGAUGGUUUUAAUCCGCUUAGUUGAUAAUUUGAUAUUGAUGCUAUUAUAUGAGUCAUUGGUUAAUUGGAACUUACAAGUUAGCGAUGAUUCGUUGGAAGUGUUAACCUUAAUGCUGAUAUGGUUUCCGUUGUUGUAGGUGUUCAGGUCACAAGAUUACAGUGCAGUUAUCUACUGUUUAAAUCAGGUGAAUGUCAAAAUUGAAGAUGGGUAGAGCGGAGAUCGUUUUCUUAUAAUGUGGUUCUAAUUAUCUUAUUUAUUCUUUCAGUUCUUUGAGAAGGUUGAGGUUGAUAAACCAUUAGCCAGUCGUUCAGCGUCUGCAGAAAUAUUCGUGCUGGGGCUUAAGUACAAAGCACCUGCAAAGAUUGACAAUGACCUGCUCGAUAUAAAGAAGCUUUUUGCGCAUGUUGAUCCACAAAGAAAGGUAACUGUGAAUUAGAGAUGUUCAGUAUUUUCAUUUUAAUCGUCCUUGAGGCUGUCUGUCUUUUUUAGUUUUAAGUUUAUUCACAUUCCUGCCUGAAUAAAAUUCUCAAUUGCAGCCUCUAGAUCCCCUCAGAGGAACAAAGCAAAAGCGUCAUCGUGACGGGUAAGGAAAUAUCUGGCUGUUUAAUUUUUCAAGUAACACUCGGAAUGUAGUUCAAAUGUGUAGUUGCUGGGUGCCCAUAUAAAAUCUCACCGACUUCAAUUUUUGUUUGGAAAAAUGUCAGUUAUGAAGACGGACAGUCUAUGAUCCGGAAAGUCUCAUCAGCUGCUGAUUUUAUCUGGUCCAACACCCCUCUUGAUGUCCUUGGCUCAGUUACUUCAAUCACCUUUGAGGACCCUGUAUCCUUGCCGAUAAAGGAUCACGAGUUGACAACGGAAGAGGUGACAUAGCUAUGCUUCCUCUGAUAGUCCGCUUUGUGGGUGCUUUUCCUGAGUAUAUCUUCAAUUGAAUAAUUUCUUCUAUGGCCAGGUCAAAGCCCUUUGUGAGGAUCUUCCUGUGUUAGGGAAGCAAGACUUCAAGCAUCUUCUCAAGUAAUAUUCAUGUUUAUAAAAAAACAAUUCUCAUAUCAGAAGGAACAUCUUUGUACAAUGAAGCAAAAUAGAGGAAUUUUUUAAUUAAAUCCAAGUUUCUUCCGAACUACCAUGCUGUGCUUCAAACUUAUCCUUUUCCAUUUAUGUAUCAUGCAGAUGGCGGAUGAAUUUAAGGAAGGCGCUGGCCCCUACCGAAAAAGCUAGCUCUGCUGCUGCUGCUAACAGCGAGGAAAAGAAAGAAGUAGAUGAAGACGAUAAGAUGCUUAAUGAAAUGGAGGAGUUAACAAAGGCUAUGGAGCGGAAGAAGAAAAGAGAGAAGAAAAUAAUUGCUAAAAGACGGGAAAAGGUUAGUAGAACCCUGUUCAUGAAGGCUUGCAAACUCUCGAAUCUACUAGGCCAUGAGAUUAUGUGAAUAGGCCUGCUUUAUGCAGUAUUUCUUUAGUUAAUAAGGUCUCCAGUAUGAUUUUUGUCUGACAUUGGUGUUAAUUCCUGUUGUAUUCUCAGGACAAGGCCCGAAAAGCAUCUGGAGGAAUGUCAAUGGAUGUACAUGAAGAUGAUGGCUGCACUGAUAUCGAGUUAUUUUCUCUUGCAUCAAUUAAGGUCAGCUAAAUACUUUUAUAACACAUUUCUCGUACGCUUUCCCUGCGCGUAAAGUUUUGUCAAAUGAGGGAUCGAUGCAUGCCUCUUGUCAGCCAAAUGCUGAAGGCACGACUAACCCUGAUUUUGAUUUGUAACCACUCAGGGAAAGAACGAUUUGGUUGCUAUAGAUAAUGAUGAGAAUGGUGACGCAAGGGAUAGUGACGAGGAGGAAAACCCUGAUGAUGAUGCUAGGGAAUCAUCCGGCAAUUCAGACUCCGAGGCAGAGCGUCAAAAGUAACUUCCAAUCCUUGUGUAUCUCCAAUCAAUCGAUAAGCAACUGUUUAUUAUAAUACUCAUGUGGCUUUUUGUGUGUAGAUAUGAUGCUAAAAUGGAAGACUUCCUCGACAAUCUCUAUGAACGGUUUGUAACAAAAAAGGAAGGAAGUACAAAGCAGAGGAAACGUGCAAGGCAAGCCUACUCCGAGCAGCUCUUGGAUGAGGAGAAUGACGAUAUGGAGCACUCAGAUUACGAUUCAGACAGGGAGCCGGCCGAUCGCGAAGCAAAUCCUCUCAUGAUUCCGCUCAACGACGGCGAAGAACCGACAAAAGAAGAGAUUGCAAACAAAUGGUUCGCUCAGGAAAUAUUCACCAAAGCAGCGGAGGAAGAGGAUCUGGUCAUGUCCGACAGCGAGCAAGAGGAUGCCCCCGCAAUGGAGGUCGAUAAGAAGCAGCAAGACAAACGUGUUGCUCCGAAAAAGGCUGCGGUAAGGACUAGUGAACCUGAUUUCGAGAUUGUUCCUGCCCCCGAAACUGAUUCUUCGGAUUCGUCCUCGGACGAAUCAGAAGACGACAGCAUCGAGAAGAAGGCCGAGAUACUGGCCUGUGCGAAGAAGAUGCUGAGAAAGAAACAAAGAGAGCAAAUGCUCGACGACGGCUAUAACAAGUACAUGUUCGAUGACGAGGGCUUGCCCGGUUGGUUCCUCGAGGAAGAGAGGAGGCAUCGCCAGCCUGUCAAACCGGUCACCAAGGAGGAGAUGAACGCAAUGCGGGCCCAGUUCAAAGAGAUCAAUGCACGGCCGGCUAAGAAGGUGGCCCAAGCCAAGGCUCGAAAGAAGCGUGCCACCAUGAGGAAGCUUGAGAAGAUUAAGAAGAAGGCCAACGCGAUCUCGGACCAGACCGAGAUAUCCGAACCCUCAAAGAGCAAGAUGAUCGAUAAGCUGUACAAGAGCGCUGCUCCAAAGAAGCCGAAGAAGGAGUACGUAGUUGCGAAGAAGGGUGUCGCUGUGAAGGGUGGCAAGGGGAAGGUCGUAGUUGAUCGGCGGAUGAAAAAGGACGUCCGUGGAGUUAGCAAGAAAGGCAAAGGUGGCUCGAAGAAGAACGGUAAGGGCCAGCAAGGCGGUAAAGGAUCUGCAAGGAAAGGCGGUAAACCGAGACCGGCUGAUAAGGAAACAAAGAGAGGAUCUGCUCGACCGAGGUCGUUUUGACAAAGCUUUUCAUUAAACCUUCAUUAGAAAGGUAAUCCAGUUUUGUGCUGUUUUAUUUUUUCAUUUCCAUUCUGAAAAACUUUGCAGUAACGUUGUCUUUGAACACUCUUUCUGUAAUGAAGUUCAAUUGGUCUAUCUUAUACCUUGCUUUCUUAGGAUUUCCAAACCGGAUGGUUAAGUAUUGAACUGUGUAGGCAGUUGGUUUGAGCAGUGCAUCGAUCUUCCUUACACCGUGUCCCGGUGCUCCAUACUAAAGUACUCAGCCGAACGAACCGAUUUCGAUAUGGAGCUAUCUGCCCGGACCUUGAUCCAUUUGCCCUUGUUCCUCCUACCUGGCUACCUAACCAACAACUACCAGUAGUACAUCUACCUGACAACUACCGGUAUACUUAGACAAUCAAUGAUGGUUAAUUACAAGUACAUUGGUACAAAAUUAAAUGCCCAAUAAAUCUAUGCAUUAGAUUAAUUAAAUAAUAUUAGUUGUGGAUAUUAGUGUUCACAUGUGAAUAUAAAAGGAGAUAUUCUCAUAACAUAUUUUAUAUAAAUAUUAAAAUUGAAUUUAAGUUAUUGAAUUAUAGAAUUGUUAAUUAUUUUUUAACUUCAUAUACUACUGGUAGAAUAUGGUUUUAUUACUAAUUUAUCAAGCACAAUAUUUUACUAUUAAUUUAUAUACAAUAUUUUUAUUUAAUAUUACUUUUUGUUAAACAAUCAAAUCUAUUACCACUAGACUUUACGGUGUUCGGUAUGGUUUGAAAGUUUUAUUAUGCUAACUCCCAAUAAAUAACGAUCAAACGUAGUUCAAAAUCAAUUCUAUUUGAUAUUUUAGCAUAUUCAAAAAUGUUUUNNNNNNNNNNNNNNNNNNNNNNNNNNNNNNNNNNNNNNNNNNNNNNNNNNNNNNNNNNNNNNNNNNNNNNNNNNNNNNNNNNNNNNNNNNNNNNNNNNNNNNNNNNNNNNNNNNNNNNNNNNNNNNNNNNNNNNNNNNNNNNNNNNNNNNNNNNNNNNNNNNNNNNNNNNNNNNNNNNNNNNNNNNNNNNNNNNNNNNNNNNNNNNNNNNNNNNNNNNNNNNNNNNNNNNNNNNNNNNNNNNNNNNNNNNNNNNNNNNNNNNNNNNNNNNNNNNNNNNNNNNNNNNNNNNNNNNNNNNNNNNNNNNNNNNNNNNNNNNNNNNNNNNNNNNNNNNNNNNNNNNNNNNNNNNNNNNNNNNNNNNNNNNNNNNNNNNNNNNNNNNNNNNNNNNNNNNNNNNNNNNNNNNNNNNNNNNNNNNNNNNNNNNNNNNNNNNNNNNNNNNNNNNNNNNNNNNNNNNNNNNNNNNNNNNNNNNNNNNNNNNNNNNNNNNNNNNNNNNNNNNNNNNNNNNNNNNNNNNNNNNNNNNNNNNNNNNNNNNNNNNNNNNNNNNNNNNNNNNNNNNNNNNNNNNNNNNNNNNNNNNNNNNNNNNNNNNNNNNNNNNNNNNNNNNNNNNNNNNNNNNNNNNNNNNNNNNNNNNNNNNNNNNNNNNNNNNNNNNNNNNNNNNNNNNNNNNNNNNNNNNNNNNNNNNNNNNNNNNNNNNNNNNNNNNNNNNNNNNNNNNNNNNNNNNNNNNNNNNNNNNNNNNNNNNNNNNNNNNNNNNNNNNNNNNNNNNNNNNNNNNNNNNNNNNNNNNNNNNNNNNNNNNNNNNNNNNNNNNNNNNNNNNNNNNNNNNNNNNNNNNNNNNNNNNNNNNNNNNNNNNNNNNNNNNNNNNNNNNNNNNNNNNNNNNNNNNNNNNNNNNNNNNNNNNNNNNNNNNNNNNNNNNNNNNNNNNNNNNNNNNNNNNNNNNNNNNNNNNNNNNNNNNNNNNNNNNNNNNNNNNNNNNNNNNNNNNNNNNNNNNNNNNNNNNNNNNNNNNNNNNNNNNNNNNNNNNNNNNNNNNNNNNNNNNNNNNNNNNNNNNNNNNNNNNNNNNNNNNNNNNNNNNNNNNNNNNNNNNNNNNNNNNNNNNNNNNNNNNNNNNNNNNNNNNNNNNNNNNNNNNNNNNNNNNNNNNNNNNNNNNNNNNNNNNNNNNNNNNNNNNNNNNNNNNNNNNNNNNNNNNNNNNNNNNNNNNNNNNNNNNNNNNNNNNNNNNNNNNNNNNNNNNNNNNNNNNNNNNNNNNNNNNNNNNNNNNNNNNNNNNNNNNNNNNNNNNNNNNNNNNNNNNNNNNNNNNNNNNNNNNNNNNNNNNNNNNNNNNNNNNNNNNNNNNNNNNNNNNNNNNNNNNNNNNNNNNNNNNNNNNNNNNNNNNNNNNNNNNNNNNNNNNNNNNNNNNNNNNNNNNNNNNNNNNNNNNNNNNNNNNNNNNNNNNNNNNNNNNNNNNNNNNNNNNNNNNNNNNNNNNNNNNNNNNNNNNNNNNNNNNNNNNNNNNNNNNNNNNNNNNNNNNNNNNNNNNNNNNNNNNNNNNNNNNNNNNNNNNNNNNNNNNNNNNNNNNNNNNNNNNNNNNNNNNNNNNNNNNNNNNNNNNNNNNNNNNNNNNNNNNNNNNNNNNNNNNNNNNNNNNNNNNNNNNNNNNNNNNNNNNNNNNNNNNNNNNNNNNNNNNNNNNNNNNNNNNNNNNNNNNNNNNNNNNNNNNNNNNNNNNNNNNNNNNNNNNNNNNNNNNNNNNNNNNNNNNNNNNNNNNNNNNNNNNNNNNNNNNNNNNNNNNNNNNNNNNNNNNNNNNNNNNNNNNNNNNNNNNNNNNNNNNNNNNNNNNNNNNNNNNNNNNNNNNNNNNNNNNNNNNNNNNNNNNNNNNNNNNNNNNNNNNNNNNNNNNNNNNNNNNNNNNNNNNNNNNNNNNNNNNNNNNNNNNNNNNNNNNNNNNNNNNNNNNNNNNNNNNNNNNNNNNNNNNNNNNNNNNNNNNNNNNNNNNNNNNNNNNNNNNNNNNNNNNNNNNNNNNNNNNNNNNNNNNNNNNNNNNNNNNNNNNNNNNNNNNNNNNNNNNNNNNNNNNNNNNNNNNNNNNNNNNNNNNNNNNNNNNNNNNNNNNNNNNNNNNNNNNNNNNNNNNNNNNNNNNNNNNNNNNNNNNNNNNNNNNNNNNNNNNNNNNNNNNNNNNNNNNNNNNNNNNNNNNNNNNNNNNNNNNNNNNNNNNNNNNNNNNNNNNNNNNNNNNNNNNNNNNNNNNNNNNNNNNNNNNNNNNNNNNNNNNNNNNNNNNNNNNNNNNNNNNNNNNNNNNNNNNNNNNNNNNNNNNNNNNNNNNNNNNNNNNNNNNNNNNNNNNNNNNNNNNNNNNNNNNNNNNNNNNNNNNNNNNNNNNNNNNNNNNNNNNNNNNNNNNNNNNNNNNNNNNNNNNNUAGUUAAAACCAAUUUUACUUAGUGUUAUUUUAGGAUGUUGAAAUAUUUUUUCAACUUCAUUUGACUAUUAGUUGAAGGGCUUAACAUGGUGAAAUCUCAGGUGUCAACCAUUCCCAACAUGCUUCUCAAAUAUUAGCCAAUUUCAAAAAUUUCAAUUUUUGUGUAAAAAAUGUCUAUUUCCAAAGGGGUUAACCUAUGAAAAUAUACCAUUUUCAGAAGAAUAUUUCAAAUCGACUAAUAUUUGACAUGCAUGUUGGAAAUGGCUAAAUAAUGAUCAAACGUAGUUAAAAACUAAUUUUACUUAGUGUUAUUUUAGCAUGUUGAAUUUUUUUUUAACUUCAUUUGGCUAUUAUUUGAAGGGGUUAAAAUGGUGAAACCUUAAUUUUUAAUCAUUCCCAACAUGAAUGUUAAAUAUUAGCUAAUUUAAAAAAAAAUAAUUUUCAUGUCAAAAUUUUUAAUUUACAAAGGGACUAACCAAUGGAAAUUGACCAUUUUUUAAAAAAAAUUUAACCUAUAAAAAUUGAACAUUUUAACAUAUAAAAAUACACCAAACCCUUAUUUGUUGUUUCAGAGCUUUCCAAGUAGAUCUUUCGCCCAUACUCCAAUGAAUCUUCACAAAUGGAUCCUGCCACUCACUAUCUCCUCCAUUCUCGCUAUCUCCCUCUUCCUCUUCUCCUCCCUUGAACUCACGACUGGACUCGUCCGGUAAACUUAACAAUUGUUAUAUCCCGCCACGAUUUGUUGACUGUAAUUGGCCUGGGACGCUGGAGCGGGCCCCGCAUAACAGGAUUCCUGACUGGGCGAGUCACCUUCCAAUACUGGGAGGGAGGACAUGGGGGUCUUUUACUCGGCAGCCCACCCGAAUAUCGACCGGUUGUGGGAGGUUUGGAGGGCGACCCACCCGGAGAUGGACGACACGGAGUUCCUCGACUCGUCGAUAUACUUCUACGACGAGAAGCUCUGGUUGAACCGGAUCCGGUUUAGUGACGUUAUGGAUAUGGAUAAGUUGAGGUACCGGUAUGAGGAUGUGGUCAACAUAUGGAUGAAUGCCAGACUGAAACCCUCGAUCACGCCUAGGAUAGUGAAACGCGAGCUCAAAAAGAGGGAUCGGAACAAGAUAGUAAUGUGUUGGAAAUGCCGUCCGGGCAUGUCCUCAACUCUCGAGUAACAAUUCGUGUGGUUCGGCCGAGGGCGGUCAGGACCAGAAAGGAGAAAGACCAAUUCGAGGAUGGUGGAAGGGAUUGUCAUGAAGGCAGAGAAGUUUGUGAAGUUCGACGUCUACAUCAACGUAGUCAACGAGACGAUAAUGAGCCCCAAGUACCGGGAGUUUGCAGGGACGUUCACCAAUAUCCCGGUGGGGGUAUCGUUUGGUAAGAAGAAGAUGUUGGAGCUAGGGAUUUCAGAGGUGUUGGAGGAUUUGGAGGCGGAUCGAGACCUAUCUAUAUGGGUGACAUUGAUGCCGAGGACACAGAGUUGUAACAAGGUUACAUUGAUCGGCUAAGCAUCGAGCACACGAAGAAAUGAAUCGAAAAUAAAACCAGAUCGGUUAAACUGUUUGAUGUCUUUUACAAGGAAUAAUAAUUGAAAAUUGUUAGAAUGAAAUAUCAAUGCACCAUACUUUAGGAGUUGAUGAAAUCAUCUAUCGUUCUCAAAUUGAUUAUAUGCUUUCAGUGGGUUGGAUUAUGAUAGGUGUCCCGGUAUGGGAUAGGUUAGACGACCCAAUGCUUAUGACCACGUUGGAUCUACUUUGAGUUGAACCAUAUCUCAUUACAUAAAAAGGCUGCUCCCUAAGCUGCGGCACAUUCACGAAAGUAACAUGUACCAUCUGUCAAUUACUUGGCUCUUGAGUUAGUUUUCAAGAAUGCAUCAUUCAGAACUGCAUCUGACAUGCAAAACCAGGCUAAAGAAAUACAGUCAUCAUUCUAUGGAACAUAGUUUGCUACAUUUUCCCUUUCCUUUCGAAAAGAAAAAGGGUAGGUACAGACCAGUUACUAUCAACGGAGCAAAAAAGCAAACGCAGUAGGAACAAGGAGAUGACAAAGUUACAGAUUGAGAAGAAGAAAAUGGAACUAAUCAGCAGAACAGAGCAAAGUCCUUAAGCUAGUAGUAUCUACCCACCCUCAUUUUCGGUCCAUGGUCUCGCAGUUUACUCCACCAUCACAUCAACUGAAGCUGUAGAUGUUGUUGGCUUAGACUUGCUUUUCUUUUUACCUGUUGAUUAGCAAGUAAAUGUCAGUCUUGAGUUCGUUCUGCAUUAGAGAUGGCUUCAGCCUGCAUUCAUGCACUUUUCAAUUAUAUUCCUAAAAGGAGCAGAUAGUGUUGGAAUAUGACCUUUUUUACGGUCUAACUGCUUCAACUUCAGUCCUCUUUUUACGUUAAACAACUUGUUGGAAAUUUUACUGCUAUCUUUAGAUGUGCCUUCACCUGCAAAAGAGCAUGUACCAAGCAUAUUAAAUCAAGCAACAUAAAAGACUCUUAGGAAAGUUUAUAAUCAAUCCAUUUGAGCUUAUUCGGAAACACGUACAAUUCCAUUUCAAAUCCUUACAUAUUCCUGUAUCCAAGUUUCCUUCCACAAUGCUAAACCCUAUUCCAAAUCAACUUUUACACGUAGUCUCAACUUACUUUCCUAAGAAUCGUGAUUCUUGCUGCCAAACCUAACCAUAGUAAAAUUUCAACCUAAGCAGCUUUCUUAAUGUCAUCAACAAAGAGGAUUAACAAUCAAAACUAACAAAUACAAAACCAGCACUCUCACUCUCCUAGUCAUGGACAAAUCAAGUCCCAUCACAAACCAACAACUCUGGCAGUACGUACAAUUGGACAGAAGUUGAUCCAAGUUGGUAUGACUUGUUCUAAACAUGUCCUGCCUGAGAAUCCGAAAUCCUGUCCAAAGCGGAUGCUUAGUCCCAUUGGCUGGAUUUCUGAAUGGGGGCGGUCACAGGCAGUAAACGAAUACUUAAGUAAAAGCACUUGAAAAGAAGAAGACAACAAUACCAUCUGCAACCGCCAUCUCUACAUCUUCCAUGGUGACAAGUCCUUUUUCUACAGCUUCUUUCUGGUCCUGUAUUGUAUGUAGUAAUUAACCGCAGCCAAAAUGAAUAUUCACCUAUAAAAACCCUUUGCUUCUGCAUUAGGGAAGGACAAAAGGAACAACAUACUUACUCUGCGCCAUUUGUUCAACAGCUUGCGCUUGCGUUUCCCAGAGACAGAUUGAUUCUGCUGUUUAGCCUUCAAUUUAGCGGUGAGGGGAUCUCCGUGAACGAUUCUCUUUUUUUCUGCUAUCGCUGCCCUCUUCCUCUUGAGCACUUCAUUAAACUUCGCCAUUGUUUUCUGAUCUUUCUCCGUUUCUCUCAAAGAGUCAUAAAACCCUAACUGGCAUUUUUCGUUCGGGUUUAUGUAUGUGCCCAAACACAAUUUGGGCCUGGUUUUCAAAUUUUGUUGGGCUUAAUUAGCUUUUGCCCGCCCAAUAUUUACCUGGUUUUCAAAUUUUGUUGGGCCUGGUUUUCAAAAGUUUUACCAUGUUAUAAAACUAGCUUUUGCCCGCACAAUAUUUACCUGUUGGUUGUUUUGUUGGUGUCGUAUGUUUCGAUUAUUAGUGGUGAGCAUUGUUCCUCGGGUUAACCAUCAAAUUCAUUUAAAUUUAUCUCUUUUAACUCAAUUCGAAAGUGAGUGUUUGUUGUGGGUGGAUUUGAGUUGUCUAUCUAACCACCCACUAAGUAGUGAGUGGAUUUGGGUUGGUAAUGGGUUAUUCACCUAAUUCACCAAUUCACUAUAUUAGUGGGCGAAACUUACAAUUUCUCUAUUAUCUCUAACCAUCCGGUGCAAAUAUAUCAAAAAAAUCAUCUUCCCACUAAGAUUUUUUGGACAAUAGGACUUUUGCUUUAAUGAUUUGUAUUGUUUAAUUUUGAGAUUGCUUCUAAAGGUCCAUAAGUAAUGGAAGAUGAGACACAUCUGCCUUAUUUUUAUUUUUUUUGUCAAAGUUUAAUAUGAUUUCAUGAUUUAUUAGGUGUGUGGGUGUGGGUCUUGCAAAUAGUAACCCACCAAGUAACAUGUAGGUUGGUUUUGGCAUCAAACCUAACCCAACCCACUCGAUGCCCUAUCGAUUAUGGAGUUUGUGGAAAUGUGUUGGAAAUGCCGACCGGUCAUGUCCACGACUCUUGAGUAACGAUUCGUGUGGUUCAUUCUGCCAGAGGGUGGUGAGGACCCAAAAAGAGAUAUUGGUGGUGGAAGGGAUUAUCGUGAAUGCUGAGGAGUUUGUGAAGUUCGACCUGGUCUAUAUGGGUGAUAUUGAUGCCGAGGACAGAAAGUUGUAACAAGGUUACAUUUGAUGGGCUAAGCAUCAAGCACGCUAAGAAGCGAAUUGAGAACCAUAGGUUAAAUUGUUUGAUGUCUUUUAAUUUGUUGUAACGAAUAGUUGAAAAUGUAUCAUGCUCUAGGAGCUCAUGAUUUGUCUAACGUUCUCAAAUUGAUCCCAUGCUUUGUGCUCAUAUGGUUUUGAAAACAGUCGAAAGAAACCGAAACAGAGUUGAUCGACGAUUAUCAUACUUCUGGCCAGUGUAACAGAAGGCAUUAGUGUCUCUACAAAACACUAGUAAGGCAGUAACAGAAGAACUACACAAACUGGUUCAGAUACUCAUCAACAGUAGUAUACUUAACAUCAGGGUAAAUCUCUGAUGCCUCUACACCGAACGAAUCCUCGAUUUCGAAGCUCGUCUGGCAUCCCUUCACCAGAAUCGAAUGGUUAAGCGCCAGCAUCACAUCUCCUGCAAACCCACAAACACACAUUUAGCACCCUCCAACAACAAAAAUUGAUCUAGCUUGUCUUUAUAUAUAAAAACUACCUCUAGUGUGCUUGAGAAUCUCUUCUUCUGGAACAUAGACCCUUUUCAGUUUCUUCCCGAUCUUCCUCUCCCACAGAGACGCCAGAUCGUUGAACGAGAAGAUGUUGUUCGGAGGCCUGAUGUAGACAAGCUUGUUCAACGUUCGUGGAUCGUCCACUGCUCGAAUCGUAUACGUCCCGAUAUCAUCCUCCCUGUUAAAAACCGCUGUGUUUUUCGUUUCGAAAAGAAAUAACAUCAUCACCACAAUUGUUCUUCAGCUUAAUGAUAAACUGAAUGAAAAAGUUUCAAACUUUCAAUCUAACCUUUAGCAUUGCCGUCUCCCAAGAUGAUAACUUUAUCCCUGGGAGGGACAUCACCAGAAGGCUGAGCCAAGUUGCUGAGGAAGUAACCAGCAAAGCAGUUGCAGGAGACAUAUGUGAAUGGGAUCCCUUCAGCUUCGACAGCUCGACGAAUCUGAAUCUUGACAUUGUACGCCGAUUGCGCUGGCUCGACUGCCACCACUCGAUCCACGUCGUUCCCAAACUCCGAUGGGAAAAACCUCUGAUCAAUCAAUAAGCAACAUGGAUUGAAUCAGACAAACCAUUCCAAUUCACUUGAGCCAAACCCUAGCAACGGUAGAUUUAGGGGGUUUGUUUUACCUUGACGUUUCCAGCUUCUUUAAUGGCGGCUAUGAUCUUCACUUGCUCAGUCAGCAUCCCAUGCCCAACUGUUGAAAUCACCACAUCAACUUUCUUCAUUGCGUCCACCAAGCUUCCAUGGUCGUUCAAAUCCCCCUGUAGAAAAUUCCGUUCAGAUGAGAAAUGGAGAGGGAAUUUUAAAUCUGAGAAAGAAAACACACACAAAAAAAUUCCCUACGAUGAGGAAAUUGACGCCCAAGUUCUUGAAGGUGCUGAGGAGAUUGGAUCUUCUGGGAGAUGAGAGAGUCGAUUUCCUGACGAGGGCGUAAGUAGGGUGGCCGGAUUUGGCGCUGGCUUCGACGAUGAAUUUGCCGAUGUACCCUGUUCCUCCGAUGAACAGGAUCUUGCUCUUGGUGGAGGAAGCCAUUGGUGAAAGGAAUCGAUGAAUCUUCUUCUUUCUGGAGAAUUGGGGUUGUGAGGUGAUGGAUUUAUUCGUAAAGUUGACUGAUGAGCUUAUAUAGUUGAAAUGUGGGAACGAAUAUAGUAAAGGUGGUGAUUUUGGACGACGACGACGAACGAGAAAAGAAGAUUCCGGCGGCUUUUGGCAAUGGAGGGAAAUGAGAUUGGUUGCCAUUGUUGACCAUCGUAAGCAAACCACUAAACUGGUUCGGAACCCGCGGUUUGUUGCUAGAAGCCGGUUUGGUUUGGUUUGAUUUGAUUUGACUUGACACUUUUGGUUGUAAGCGGUUACCAGAUUCGAACUCGAAAUUUUUGGCUCUUGGAAACUCAUCUCCAUGCACAUUCAUUUCUCUAAUCGGUUAAUGCAUCCCUAACCGAAAUGAACUGCUAUAGUCAGGUAAUGCAGAGUCGAGAGCAGGUAAUAUGAAAGAGAAUGUCCAACCAAAACCAUAAAUCGAAAUCGGUUUCGUUUGUUAACCACAAAAGUCCAACUUCACUAACCACAAACACUUCAAGCACAACUCAGUUCACAAUUAUAACCAUAUAUGGAACCCAACACAUCCCUGUACAUCUUUCGAACUUGGAAAGUUUCGUUUCGAAAUAUUACAACUAGGUCAAACCCCUGGAAUUCUGCGUCAUGAAAACCGGUCAAACCAAGGUGGACAAGUACUCAACAAUGGUAGUAUACCCAACAUCUGGAUACACCUUUGAGCCUUCUACUCCAGUGGCAGGAUCAAUCUCAUAGAAGGUAUGAUCUCCUCUCACAAACACAGAGUAUAUGAACACAAGCUCCAUCUUCCCCGGAUACGGAGUCGCUGCCGAAAAAAACGAACCAAAUUCAACAAAAGAAGCAGAUCAAGCAGCAAGAGAAUCAGUAUCACCUACCCAGUAAAUGACCACCAUUUAUUAUGUUCAACAUCUCUUCUUCCGAAACAUAGCAUCUCUCCACAGUCUUCGCAAUCAGCCCAUCCCAGAUCGUCACAAGCUCGUUCAUCGAACACACGUUCCCCGGAGGCCUCAAGUACAGCGUCUUGUUCAGCGUGGAAGGAUCGUCCACUGCUCUCAUCGUCAAAGUAGCUACAUCCUGUUCCUUCACAAACACACCUGAAACCAAGACCGACUCGUUUCUUUGAUAUCUUCAUCUAGUCGUUUGAAAUCACGUAAAUGUACCUUUCACAUUGCCGUUUCCGAAGAUUGUGACCUUGUCUCUAGGUGAGAGGCGAGUCCUGGCUGGACAAGGGAAGGAAGGUAGUAGCUCAUCAAGAGAUUGCAGCAGACGUAGGUGUAUGGGAUUGAUUCGACUUCUACCAACCGUCUGAUCUCGGCUUUUCUAGAGUAGAAUCCAUGAUCCAUUCCUGAUAUCUGUGAUCUGUCUGCAUCUGCUCCGAAUUCGGACGGGAUGAACCUCUGGAAAAUGAUGAUCAUCAUGAAUGAAACCCAUGUUAACAUUAAAUGUGCUAAUGUACAAAAUCCCAUCAAAGAAAUCGCUUCAAUUUCACUAAAAUCAGUUGCCUUGAUCCGGCUUUUGAUAAUCAAAGAAGACAGCAAUUUGACAAUCACAAUCUAACAGUUACCUUUAUCCGGCUUCCGGCUUGUUUGAUGACAUUGAUAAGCAGCUUCUGAUCAUGAGCUUGUUUAGACGGAAUCGAACAGAUCACAACAUCAACUCGAUUCACUGCCUCCACAAGGCUACUCUCGUCCUGCAAUGAAACCUAAAAAUACAGCAGCAGAAGAAGAAGAAUCAAGAACAACAAAAAUUCCCCUAGUUGGAAAAAGCAUUAUCCCAAUUGAAUAACACCUUAAUGACGGAGGCGCCGGCAUUGGUGAGGGAUUGGAGCUUGUGAGCUUUGAUUGGGUCUUGGAAAGCCGAUUCUCUGACGAGGAGGAGAGUUGGGUGAGAGCAGUUGAGGAUGGUGUGAAGUUUGAUGAAUGGAAGAGAAGAGAAGAACAGAGAAAGCGAAGAAGAAGGAGAAGCUGUAAUGGAAAGUCGUUUUCUGUUAUUACUGUACUGAAUGAAUUAAAUGUACAAACAGAAAGGAGAAUUCUAUUUAUACCACUACUACUAUUAUCUAUUACAACUCACUCACAUACUUAUAAUUUAACACCAUUUAACACCCCCCCACAAACUGGGGAGUAGAUGUUCAAUAUACCCAGUUUGGACAGUAAGAACUGCAUCCUGGGAGCAGCUAAUCCCUUGGUAAAGAUGUCCGCCAGCUGCGUUUCUGUUGACACAUACUUGAGUUGCACUAAUCCUGACUCAAUUCGUUCACGAAUCACGUGACAAUCGAUCUCUAUGUGCUUAGUACGUUCGUGAAAUACAGGAUUGUGUGCAAUGUGGAUUGCUGACUGAUUGUCGCAAUACAGUUGCAUUGGACUAUUGUGAGGAACUCCCAAGUCUGCCAACAGCACCUUCAUCCACUGAACCUCACAACACAACGAUGCAAUUGCCCUGUACUCAGCUUCUGAUGAAGAUCUAGAGACAGUGCUCUGCUUCUUAGUUUUCCAUGAAACCAACGAACUACCUAGAAACAGGCAGUACCCCGUAGUUGAUCUUCUCGUAUCUGGGCAACUUGCCCAAUCUGAAUCACAGUAUCCAUGAACUUCCAGGUUACUAUCUUUCCUGAAGUAUAAACCUUGACCUGGAGACCCUUUCAAAUAUCUAAUGACCUUAUAUGCAGCCUUGAGAUGUGUAUCUGUUGGUUUAGCCUGAAACUGAGCCAGCUGCUGCACUGCAUAACAAAUGUCAGGUCGUGUAAUUGUGAUAUAGUGCAAUCUUCCAAUUAUCUGCCUGUAUUGAGUGAUGUCUUCCAGUGGAUUUCCCUCAUCUGCUUUCAGUUUUUCCUUAUAGUCAAGUGGGGUCUUUGUGGGUUUCCCAUCCAGUAGACCAGCUUCUGAGAUCAUCUCCAGGCAGUAUUUACGUUGACACAUGGAGAUUCCAUUCUUUGUUCUGGCAAUCUCAAGUCCUAGGAAGUAUUUCAAGGGCCCCAUGUCUUUCACCUUAAAGUGUUUCUGCAACUUUCCUUUGAUCUCUUCCAUCAGGGUGAGGUCAUUUCCAGCUAGGAUAAUAUCAUCUACAUAAACCAAUAAUACCAGCAUGGAAUUUCCUGAUGAGUAAUUGAAAAGUGAGUGAUCUGAGUCAGAUUGUUUAAAUCCUUCCUGCUUAAGCGCUUUGGUGAACUUGAUGAACCACAUUCUGCUUGCUUGCUUCAAACCAUACAAGGACUUUUGCAGCUUGCACACCUGUCUUCCAACUCCUUUGGUCUCAUAGCCCUUUGGUAUGUCCAUGUACACUUCCUCAUCCAAGUCUCCAUGAAGGAAUGCAUUGCUCACAUCCAUUUGGUGCAGAUGCCAAUCCUUCACGGCAGCUACAGCAAGCAGUGUUUUCACAGAAGUAAUCUUUGCCACUGGUGAGAACGUGUCUGUGAAAUCCACCCCAUACACUUGUGUGUACCCUUUUGCAACUAAGCGUGCCUUGUAUUUGUCUAUGCUUCCAUCUGGAUUAUACUUGAUCCGGUAUACCCACUUGCAUCCUACGGGCCUUACCCCUGACGGCUUAUCAGUAACUGUCCAUGUCCCAUUUGCCUCGAGAGCUUGCAUUUCCUCCAUCAUGGCUCUCCUCCAGUGGGGAGAUUUGACGGCUUCUUCAAAGGUUUGUGGCUCAGAUUCAAGAGAGAUGGACAAAGAAAAAACUCUGUGAGUUGGUGAAAGGAAAUCAUAACACAGAUACUUAUGCAUGGGAAAAGAUGAGUAUUCUUCAAUAAUAGGUUUUGUUGAACUGAGGAGAGAACAAUGGUAAUCUUCUAGAUAUUUUGGAGGUCUAGUGACUCGUGUUGGUCUUUUGCAGGGGAGAGUAGGAUUAAUGUAGGUAUGAGAUUGAGUAUGUUGAGGGGUAGGUGUGGAAUCUGUGUUGAUGGUCUUUGUUUGGGGAGUUUUUCUUGUGUUUGAAGGUGAUCUGGAAUCUGUAGUGAUGGUGAUGUCUGGUUGAGGAUGGUCACUUGAAUUUGCGGGAGGAAUAUUCAUAUCAACAUCAUCAGGAGGGGAGAGUGAGUCAAGGGUAAUGGGAAUUAUGGACUGGUCUGUAUUGGUGGUAGUUGUUGGGGAUAGAUCAGGCUCUCUAUAGGGAAGGAUCAUUUCAUGAAACACAACAUUCCUGGAAACAAUGACCUUUUGGUUAGCUAAGUCUAAUAGCUUGUAACCUUUUAUCCCAUUCUGGAAACCUAUGAACACACAGGGAGUGGAUCUGGGAGCAAAUUUGGUGCGGUUGUGGGACAAGGUGCUAGCAUAUGAUAGACAGCCAAAGAUACGUAAGUGAUCAUAAGACGGUUUGACAUUAUAUAGAGUUUCAUAUGGGGAAAGGUUAUUAAGAACAGGAGUUGGAAGUCUGUUGAUUAAGUAACAGGCAUGUAAGACACAGUCCCCCCAGAAUCUGAGAGACAAACCACUUUGGAAUCGUAGGGAACGAGCAACAGCUAAGAGAUGCUGAUGUUUGCGUUCAACUCGUCCAUUUUGGGGAGCGAUGGAAACACAACUUUGCUGAUGAAUAAUGCCAUGUGUAGCAAAGAAAGAGUCCAUUUUAAACUCUGCACCCUGAUCAGAUCGAAUGAUCUUAACAGAAACUGAGAAUUGAGUAGAUACCAUAGAACAAAAGGAUUUAACAAUCUCUCGAGUUUCACUUUUAUGUUUCAUGAGAAAUAUCCACACACAACGACUGAAAUCAUCAAGGAUAGUAAGAAAAUAACUAUGACCAUCAUGAGUAGGAGUAUGUAAUGGUCCCCAAAUAUCCAUAUGGACUAAUGAAAAAGGAGAAUCAGCUCUGGAAUGGCUCUUGUUAAAGGGAAGGGUUUUUUGUUUAGCAAGGUGGCAAGUAAUGCAGUGAGAAGAUGAAGGAAGGGUGAUGGAAGGUUGAGCCUGGUGGAUGAGUUGAAGUCUCCCUAGGGAUGGAUGCCCUAGUCUGCAAUGCCAAACAUCCAAAGAAUGAGGGUGAAGGUUAAAGACAGCUGCAGCAGCAAUGUUAGAAGAAAUGAGGGAAACAAAGGCAGUAGUGUGGAUGGCGGGUAAAAGGUAUAAACCUCUACUUUCUUGGGCUAAACCAAUCGUCUUCUGUGAGGGAAGGGCCUGAAUAUGACACUGAUGUGAUGAAAAAGCAACAGAAACAGGUGAUUGUUGCGUGAGGCAGCUAACAGAAAGAAGGUUGAAAGAAAAACAGGGAAUGUAUAACACAUUAUGCAAAGACAGGCCACAUGGCAAUAUUACCAACCCAGAAUGAGUAGCAAGAACACUUUUGCCAGUAGGUAAGGUGACAGGAAUGGGAGAAAUGACAUUCAGAUGAGAGAAUAGGUGAGAUGAACAGGCAAUAUGACUACUAGCUCCUGUAUCCACUAUCCAGUAACUAGAAAGGGGUUGAGAUGUAAGAGUGGAAAGGGAGUAGGUACCUGAUGAUGUAGAUGAUGCAGGAAUGGUGGUGGUGAUUAGGUUGGCAUAAGUGGCUUGGGAUUGAGGCUGUGGCAUGGCUGUUUGCUGGAGGAGUAUUCGAAGUCGUGCAAGCUCUGAGGAGGACAAGGACAUGGACGUAUCUGAUGAACUUUCAGAAGCAGAACGAUAGUCUGGAGUUGAGUAACCAUGGGAAGACUGACAGUCAUUAUCAAGGCUAUGGUGAACAUCACCAGAAGCAGCACCAGCAAAUCGAUUGAAACCAUUUCCACCACCAUUACUCGCUUCACGAGCCUUUUUGUUCUUUAAUUUCAUACAUGUUUCAAUGUUAUGAUUGUCCUUCUUACAAUAUCUACAAAAUAGAGGCUGUUUUUCACCAGAAUCUCUAUUUCUUCCAUUUCCAGCAUAGUUAGUUGCAGCAAGAGCAAUAGAAUCUACAGAUCUAACCACAUUUCCUUUCAUCUGACGUUCCAUCUGAACAGCGAAUUUGAAUGCAGUAUUAAUGUCAGGCAAAGGAUCCAUUAACAGCAACUGAGAUCGUACUACAUCAUAGCUUUCAUUCAAUCCUCGAAUGAAACGGAUCACAUGAUCUUGCUCUUGAUACAGCAGCAUUUUAGAGAUGACUUUGCAAGUCGAAACUCGAUUAGGAUUGCAUUCACACAGAGGAAUUGGUCUAUAUUGAACGUAUUCCUCCCAUAGAACCUUAAGAUUGGUGAAAUACUGAGUAAUCGUUGUCUGACCUUGAUCACAGGAUGCAAUCCGUGAUUGCAAAUCAGCGAUUCGGAUUGCGUCGCACUGGCGGAAUCGUUGAUUGAGAUCGUUCCAAGCAGCUGCUGCAUUAUCAUAAGAAAUAAGACUCUGCGCGAUGUCUUCUGACACAGAGUUCAGAAUCCAGUUCAGAACUGCGAAGUUGCAUCGGAUCCAAGCUUGAUAUGAGGCAUCCUGAACUUCUGGAGCUGGAUAUGAUCCAUCAAUGAAGCUUAGCUUGUUUUUGAUACUCAGGGCUACAUUCAUGGAUCUGCUCCACACAUGAAAGUUAUCAUUUGUCAACUUUACUCCGACGAUCGGAGAUGAGAGAUUAUCGCUGGGAGACAAGAACAACGGAUUCGCGAAGUGAUCGGUGUAGUUUGAAGGAUGAGCAGAACUGAGUGUAGAAAGGAUUGAUGAUGAUUGUGUUGAUGAAGUCAUGACGAAAUCAGCUCAACAAUGGAGGCUCUGAUACCAUGUGAAGUUUGAUGAAUGGAAGAGAAGAGAAGAACAGAGAAAGCGAAGAAGAAGGAGAAGCUGUAAUGGAAAGUCGUUUUCUGUUAUUACUGUACUGAAUGAAUUAAAUGUACAAACAGAAAGGAGAAUUCUAUUUAUACCACUACUACUAUUAUCUAUUACAACUCACUCACAUACUUAUAAUUUAACACCAUUUAACAGAUGGAUUCUGCUAAGUGGUAACCCGAAUUGCCUGUCGAGCCGAUUAUCAACACUCUGCUCAUCUCCUCCAUUGCUGUCAGCUCGUUUGAUCUAUUGGGUUACAGUCUAAAUUGCUGACAUUACCAUGCACAAUCCAGUUGAAGGUUUUGCCUUUCCAGUGUACUGCGAUGGUAGCAGGAAACUUUAUUGAAAAUCUGACUAUUUCCCAUUCCAAUUAGAAAUUUGAGAUUCGGGUGUUCAAUUGGGAAUCCACAUAUUUCCCAUGGUAAGGGUGGCUGUUCGAAUUUGGGUGGUUUAACUGAAUUCAUUCAAUCGAAAAUGGAAUUUAAGUAUCAAUUCGGUUUUGAAUUCGAUAUCGGUAGAUAAAUUUUUUUUUAAUUCGAAUUCGGUUAAUUAGGUCGAAAUCGAUUUUAAACCGAAUUCGGACAUGAAAUUGGGCAUUUCGACUAUUUGUGAUAUGUUGAUAUUGAAUUUAUUACUUAAUAUAUAAUGGGAAGACUUAUUUCAAUUAAAAUUUGAAAGAUGGAAGUCAACAAAAAGCAAAAUGAAGUCUAAAAAAUAUAUUUAAAGUCUUUUUUUAAUGCGGUUUUUCAACAAAAUUCUAAUUCAGUUAUAAAUUCAGCGAAUUCGAUUUCAAAAUUAAAAAAAAAAAAAUUUCGACCGAAUUGACGUCCCUAUAUAUAAGAUAUUGAGUUUCCAUCGGAAGUAGGUGGAUUCUUGAAUGUUUGUACUUGGAAUGACACUAGCUACCCCUGUCUUUGAUUUGUUUAGACGAGGUAAACUAGACUGCUUGGUUGUUAGUAUCUUUUUAAUAGUUUGGUGCAGAGGUAGCGAGAUAGCAAAAUGAUAAAACAAGAAACAUUCUGAAUUUGUAAAUACAGAAAGGAUAACGAUAACAAAGAGAAUCGACUCGGUCGGUAUUCACACCAUCUAUCGCCACCUUGUCUCUGUCUUCUUACUUACCACACUCACGACUCUUCCUGCUCCUUCCUCCUCCUCCUCGGAAGGAAGGAAAAACAAACCAAUAUAGUAAUAUAUAUACACCAAAGCUCUUUGAAGAACAGAGAGCUUAACCCAGAUCCAAAAAUCUCCUGCUCCAAUGGAUCCUGGAAAAUGGAUCCUCCCACUCACCAUCUCCACCAUUCUCGCCGUCACCCUCUUCAUCUUCUCCUCCCCUCAACUCGCCACUGAACUCGUCGGGUAACUCAAAAAACUCUUCAUAUCCCACACACUGUAACUCAAAAAAGUCUGUGUUUAAUUUCUGCUCCAACUUCUCUCUUUCUCUGUCCACAGGAAGCUAAACGGCGUCGUACCAGACAUUUUCUUCGGAUGGUCAACGCCGGAGAACAAUCUGCAGAAGGGCAAACUCCUCCCAGUCCAAGUCAACUUAUCAGCCUGCCUCCCGACGUUCGGCCGACCAGGGAAGCCAGUCUACUGCUGCCCGCCGCGAAACAUCCUCGACGACCCAAUCGUUGACUUCCAGUUCCCCGACCCGGCGACCAACCCAGUCCGGGUUCGCCGCUCGGCGAACCGGCUGGAUAAGGAGUCCAUUGCCAAAUACGAGAAGGCGGUCGAGAUGAUGAGAUCUCUACCUUACUCCGACCCGAGGAGCUACACGCGCCAGGCGAACUUACACUGUCAGUACUGCACCGGAUCUUUCCUCCAGCAGCACUCCACGCUUCCGGUUCGGGUACACAAGACGUGGAUCUUCUUCCCUUGGCAUCGAAUGCUCUUGUACUUCCAUGAGCGGAUCUUGGGGAGCUUGAUCGGAGACGAUACAUUCGCGAUUCCGUUCUGGCCAUGGGAUCUGCCGGAAGGGAUGAUGCUGCCGGAGUUUUACCUCAACGGGUCGUUCAAGAACGAGCAGCGUGACCCGACCCAUUACCCCCCGGCGGCGCGGCGGCUGAUUUUUCCCGUGGCUGGGGACGGGUCCUCACAGGCGGAGCGCGCGGGGCGGGCGAGGAGCAGGUGGAGUUGAAUCUGGCGCUGAUGUAUAACCAGAUGGUCUCCGGUGCUAAGACGGCGGAGCUAUUCAUGGGGUGUGCUUAUAAGACCGGCGAGGGUGGUGACUGUUUCGGACCCGGGACGAUGGAGCGGGCCCCGCAUAACACGAUUCAUAAGUGGGUCGGGUCGGCUUUCCAUACCGGGAGGGAGGACAUGGGGGUCUUUUACUCGGCGGCUCGCGACCCGAGUUUUUACGCUCAUCACUCGAAUAUCGACCGGUUGUGGGAGGUUUGGAUGGCGACCCACCCGGAGAUGAACGACCCGGAGUUCCUCGACUCAUCGAUGUACUUCUAUGACGAGAAGCUCCGAUUGAACCGAAUCCGGUUCAGGGAUGUGAUGGACAUGGACAAGUUGAGGUACCGGUAUGAUGACGUGGUCAACACGUGGAUGAAUGCGAGGCCGAAGCCCUCAGUCGAACCUAGGUUAGCCAAGCGCGAGCUAAGGAGGAGGGAGAAAGAACAAGAGAAUGUGUUGGAAAUGUCGUUCGAACAUUUCCAACCAACCGGUCGGUUACUCGACUCUCAAGUCACGAUCCAGAUGGUUCGACCUAGGGUGGUCAGGACUCGAAAGGAGAAAGCUGAAUUCGAGGAGAUAUUGGUGGUGGAAGGGAUUGAUGUGAAGGCGGUGGAGUUUGUUAAGUUUGACGUCUACAUCAACGUUGUUAAUGGGACGGUCAUGAGCCCCAAGUAUCGAGAGUUUGCUGGGACGUUUACGGAUAUCCCAAUGGGGGUAUCGUUCGGGAAGAAGACGACGUUGGAGCUUGGGAUUUCGGAGGUAUUGGAGGAUUUGGAGGCGGAUCGAGACCGAUUUAUAUGGGUGACAUUGAUGCCGAGGACCAAGAGUUGUGACAAAGUUACGGUUGAUGGGUUAAGCAUCAAGCACACGAAGAGAUGAAUGAGAGUACGACUAUAGGUUAAAUAAUUUUGAAGAAGUUUAUUGUAUGAUGUUGCAUUAAUUCUCUGUGUAUGGCGUUGAACAUUGUUAGAAUUAAAUAUUAAUGUACCAUGCUCUACAACCCGGCUACGGUUUCGAAAGUUCGUUUCGAGAGAUCCAUGCGGUAGGAUAUGGUGAUGAUGCCAUACUUUGAUAUAAUGGUCACAAUUUUUAGGGGCAUUUCUGUAAAGUUUCAAAAUAGUGUGAGGGAAAAGUGGACCAAAAAAUAAAGUUUGAGAAAUAAAAUUUUUUAUUUAUUUUAUUUUCAUACAUUUUCUCUUCUUUUUGUUUUCCCUUAGUUCUAAUUUAAUCGAUAUAACUAAUUACAUAAUACUUAAAAUAUAAUUUUCUCUUCACAAAUGUUGUUUAUUUUAAUUUUUCGAAUCUAACCAGACCAAUCUUGAUUUUUUUAAAUUUUUUGAGAAAUAUUAAAAUUAAUACUUUGAUAUUACAAGUCUUUUACAACAUAAUUUUACAACUGUUGUAGAACAAUUAUCCACCCGUUACGUGUCCUCUUUAUAAGACAAUUAUGUCUACGUUAUGUCAACUUUACGAACUUGUUAAGUCAUUUUUUAUCCACUNNNNNNNNNNNNNNNNNNNNNNNNNNNNNNNNNNNNNNNNNNNNNNNNNNNNNNNNNNNNNNNNNNNNNNNNNNNNNNNNNNNNNNNNNNNNNNNNNNNNNNNNNNNNNNNNNNNNNNNNNNNNNNNNNNNNNNNNNNNNNNNNNNNNNNNNNNNNNNNNNNNNNNNNNNNNNNNNNNNNNNNNNNNNNNNNNNNNNNNNNNNNNNNNNNNNNNNNNNNNNNNNNNNNNNNNNNNNNNNNNNNNNNNNNNNNNNNNNNNNNNNNNNNNNNNNNNNNNNNNNNNNNNNNNNNNNNNNNNNNNNNNNNNNNNNNNNNNNNNNNNNNNNNNNNNNNNNNNNNNNNNNNNNNNNNNNNNNNNNNNNNNNNNNNNNNNNNNNNNNNNNNNNNNNNNNNNNNNNNNNNNNNNNNNNNNNNNNNNNNNNNNNNNNNNNNNNNNNNNNNNNNNNNNNNNNNNNNNNNNNNNNNNNNNNNNNNNNNNNNNNNNNNNNNNNNNNNNNNNNNNNNNNNNNNNNNNNNNNNNNNNNNNNNNNNNNNNNNNNNNNNNNNNNNAAAAGUUAAUAAAAUAAAAUAAUUAAUGAAUCAAUUUCCGUCCACAACCUCUAGACGCAUAAGAUCCGUCGAAUUGAAGUUAACGCCGAGAUGGUCUUACAGCGUUAGAUACAUCUAUAGGAACGAUCCUAUUAACUUUGCUGUAAGAGCCAUAGCCAUUUCACAUGCUCNNNNNNNNNNNNNNNNNNNNNNNNNNNNNNNNNNNNNNNNNNNNNNNNNNNNNNNNNNNNNNNNNNNNNNNNNNNNNNNNNNNNNNNNNNNNNNNNNNNNNNNNNNNNNNNNNNNNNNNNNNNNNNNUGAUAGUGCAACCUUAAAUAAAAGAGUACUCUAUAUUAUAAACUAUUCAAUUUACAUCAUCGCAUUAUAACCAUCUUAAUACCCGAAUUUUUCCAUUAGUAUCUUCGUUAACUUUUCACUCCCUUCGAUUGCUUUCUUCCCCUUAACUACGUACCCUAAACUCGAAAACUCCAACUGCUCUUCUCCACCUCGUGCUUAUACGUUUUAUUUGUGAUUCCUUAAGUCUUUCUCUAUUUUGAGAAGAAUAAUUCGACAUAUGAGACUCGUUGCAUAAUUUUUUUCGAAUGAAUUAUCAAACAAUAUAAUCGAAUCUCAUCACCAUGUUUGUACACCGUGAUUUCGACUUUUCAGUGGCUGGCAACUUUGAAAAGUACGAUUUGAUUCCUAUCACAAAAAAAAAAUCAAUUUGACAUGAAAUUGAAAAAGAACAAAUAUAUUGUGAAUAAUUAUUAUUUGUACUUAUUCUGUAGGAGUCCUUCCACAACACGUACCAAACUAUUAGUAGUCUUUUUCGUUUGUUCAUCUCCAAAAAGUUUAUCUUUCAUACUUUUUACAGUGAAUAUUCAACAUUCAAAGGGGGAGAAUUGUGACAAGGAAGUUUAGAUGCACAAAUCAAUGUCGAAUUGCUCUUCUACUUGUCAAAUAUAUCCGGCUGCAAUGACUAAAUUUGAAAUUCUACAUCAAAAAUAGACCCAUCUGGUGGUUACAUAAACACACAAAAGUUUCGAACAUUAUAACGAGUAAGUUAUAAAUUUUAUAUAAUCCAAAUCAUCCCAAACCACGAAUUGAAAUCUCUGCACCAAAACGAAACCAUAAUCUUCAUUUUAAUUGGUUUAAGCUUUNNNNNNNNNNNNNNNNNNNNNNNNNNNNNNNNNNNNNNNNNNNNNNNNNNNNNNNNNNNNNNNNNNNNNNNNNNNNNNNNNNNNNNNNNNNNNNNNNNNNNNNNNNNNNNNNNNNNNNNNNNNNNNNNNNNNNNNNNNNNNNNNNNNNNNNNNNNNNNNNNNNNNNNNNNNNNNNNNNNNNNNNNNNCAUGAAAUAAGAUAAAAAUAGAUGGCAACAUGUUUGAUUUUCACAAGAAAAACCUCACAAUAAAUGUUUGAUAAGUGAAUGAUAUUAUUAAUACGAGAAUAUGUUCCAUCGAGAAUGGAACACAAACCAUCCACAAAGACAAUCAAUUGACAUCAUCUCAGAAAAAAAACUACAAGUACAUACCCAAAAACGAACCUCGUACAAAGACAAUCGANNNNNNNNNNNNNNNNNNNNNNNNNNNNNNNNNNNNNNNNNNNNNNNNNNNNNNNNNNNNNNNNNNNNNNNNNNNNNNNNNNNNNNNNNNNNNNNNNNNNNNNNNNNNNNNNNNNNNNNNNNNNNNNNNNNNNNNNNNNNNNNNNNNNNNNNNNNNNNNNNNNNNNNNNNNNNNNNNNNNNNNNNNNNNNNNNNNNNNNNNNNNNNNNNNNNNNNNNNNNNNNNNNNNNNNNNNNNNNNNNNNNNNNNNNNNNNNNNNNNNNNNNNNNNNNNNNNNNNNNNNNNNNNNNNNNNNNNNNNNNNNNNNNNNNNNNNNNNNNNNNNNNNNNNNNNNNNNNNNNNAAUGUAUGAAAUGAUAAGAGAUGUAUAUUGAUAUAUAUAUAUAUAUAUAUUUGUGUAAUAAUAUAAUGAAUUUAUAAAAUAAAUAUAAUAAUGAUAUAAUAUAUGUGUAUUGACCUUUCAAUUUUGAUCGUGAUGGAUUUUACUUGGAUGAAGGAUUUCUGCGGUUUAUUUUUUGUUAUGAAGCAACGGGGAAGGGAAGUUGCUCGAGAAGAUAAAAAGAGGAGAGAAGGAAGGGAGAGGAGAGAACGUGGUCCGUGGGAAAGAGAGUUUUUAGGGAAAUUUAAUUAAUAAAAAUGAGAUGUUAAUUUAAAAAUAUUUGAUUGGUUGUGAUGAGGCUGAUGUGAAUGGUUUUAUUAAAAACAAUAAUUUCAGGUCAUUGAGGGAAUUCCAUGAGUCCCAGCUUUGAAAAUUGUGGACCCAAUUCUCAAGAACUUAGGCUUAGCCCUAAUCCGACUCCUCCCACCAAUCAUUUCCUUGCUCACAAGGGGCGAAACCUCAUCGAUUGCGAGUUUCUUCGACCAAGCUGCCCUCUUCCAUCUAUCAGCUUCAGGUCCGUAAUUUUUGUACUCCCCGUAGAACACAGUCCCGUAUAAUAUGCACUAACAGCAUGACCAAGAAAAAAUAUUAAUCAAAAUAGAUAGAAAAAUUAAAUAUUAUACCUUUGUUUCAAUUUGUCUCCCCAAUCGCUCCAACCGAUUGGCAAGACAACAUAGGCCAAGUAAGAAUAGGCAUAAACCACCCCUUAAUAAGAACCCCAUGCCCUUCCUAGAAGUGUCGCUCCAACCCCGGUUACCUUGCAUCGAAAGAAAAUAUACCCGGUUCGAUCUGACUCGGAGUCCCUAUCGUGGGCGGUUAUCGAGCCGUUGCCUUUCGAAAGUGAAUGGAUAUGACACUUCGGCAAAUCAAACAAUUAUGUACCACAUUAGUAAUAACUAACAAGUGUGCAAACUUGAUCGGAGUUUCUCAUACUCUUCUGUGAAACAGAAAUGUAACCAACAAAGAUAUAUCUCGCUUGCCUCGAAGAGGGAGGAAGCAUCUCCGCAGAUGAAAUCGGUGGCUCCUUCGAUGUAACAGUUUCGAUAGUAAUGCAAUCCAGUGUAGUCAAGAAGUGUAUCCAGGUACGACAAGAUCGUACAAUCGUGGAAUGCAGCUUUGUCUCCCGAUACCCUCAGCGACACAGCUUUGCCUCCUCUCCCGAACGUGUUUGACACCAUGCAUAUGCACCAACAAACAUUCAAUAAAUUCGAACUUUGGGGGAUCAACAGACGCUCGUAAUUAUGUUACCUGGAUUGUAAGGUAUUGAGAACAAAGUACGGAGCCAGAACAGACAGAGUGGCAGACUCAAAUCUCGCGCCACGUAACGAUGGUGUCGUUCGCACCUGCGUUGGUAACACCUAGGGUAAUGAAAGGCUUGUCCUUUGGCACUACCACUUUCUCAACAUAGACUCCUGGCUUGACCCAGAUGAAGACCAGCUCCGAGCUGUUGGAAGGAACAGAGUCGAUUGCUUCCUGGAUCGUCUUGAAAUCUCCUCUCCCCAGGGCGGAAUUGUCCACCCUUAUCAGAUUGGCCACUGGCCAGUCCUUUGGAGGAGGAGUAGGUGAAGCAUCAGAAGCUAAGGUAGUUUGGAAUUGGAGUAAUUAGUAGUGUUAGGAUAAUGGUUGUUGCUAGAUUGUGGAUCAUCAUCAUGUCCAGCUUUGGAUAAUGGGUGGAAUCAAAUUGCAGCUAGAAUCAGACAUUCUUAUUGUUCAGCAGGCUUGGGACUCACGCCAACGCGUCCAAGAAAUCUGCAGAAAUGAAGGGAUCAGCUGUUUUACUCUUUGUCUGCACAAAUUCAACGUAUGAUCAUACGUACGUCUCAUUUCUGGUAUUAUUGGAAGUAUUGACAAUGACUAACUUGAUCAGUUUAAAAUUGUUCCCUUUAAUUGGAUUUAUGGGGCUAUUGAAAUGGAGCCGAUCAACGGCCAUCCACUUGACGCCCCCUAUCGACGGCCUCCUAUUGAUAUCGAUGACCAUUAUCAUUCUGUCGGGUGUCUCGAUCAUUAUCAUCUUGUGCCAAUCUCGAAAACUACUUACCAUCAUGUCGCUCAUCAAAAUACGCCACAACAUGAGGAUUUCCCGUGUUUGAAGAGAACAAAACCGCCAGCAUCAUGAUAACAACCAUCAGCAAUUCUAUGAAGUAGGAGGUAACACAGAGCCCCUCAUGCUACAAAAUACUCAUUUCACCUCAUUUCAUCCUUUUUACUAUGAUCAACUUAAGAAGUAAUCCUUCUGUUAUUAUUCUUGUUAAUUUGUCGUUAAAUAUUGACAAAUCAUUAUGACACUUCAGCCUAUAUAACAAUGUGUAUGAUGACUCGUUAUUCUAAAUUUUCAUUUAUUUUACCAAACUUAAAUCAUUUAAAAAAUAAGUGAUUAAUCUCUUACCUUUUUAAAUUUUCCUGUGAUUUUUAUCUCCUUGUCUCACUUUUGCCAUUCAAAUUUUUGUCUUCACACUCUUUUCCGUCAACAUUAUUUAUGGCCGUCAUGUUCAUGGUUCAAUUUUAUUGUUGUUUGUUUUUGGGAGGGAUAUGUUGUUGUUGUCAUUUUCCGAGACAAUUAAUUUUCUUCACCUGAAAUUAAUUCGAGGUUAGUGAUAACGCAUAGAGACAAUUGAAAAGAUAAAUGAUAAACCAUUUAAAUAUUUAAUAAUUUAAAAUAGCAUAAUAAUUUAAAAUAGUAAUAAUAAUAAAUAAAAUAAAUAUUUAUAAUAAACAUCAAACACCCUUAUUUAAAAUUUUUUUUAAGAUGUAUAAAUCAUGUAAUUAAUCUAUUUUUUCAAGAAUUCAAAACCUCAUUUAUUAUAUUCAAAUACAAAAGUUUUUCAUUUUUACUAUAAGAAACCGUUUCGAAUUUCGAUAACUUCAAUCCCUACAUAUAAUUUAUCGAAACCCUGCAAAAACAAAGCAGUAUUUAAAGGUGCAAAUGAUAUCUGACCGUCCAGCUGUCUGAAAACAAAGACGAAAUUUGAGUCUGCCACGUUGUCUUCCAUGUUCUUUUCAAGGACAGAAUUAAUAAUAAUAAAAUUAAAGAAAGAGGAGCAGAGGACCCACCGGGCAAUCAAAGAGCGCUAUUAGCGGAGCAUGAAGCUCCUAAUCCAACUUUGUCGUUUAGCGAGACUAACGCUUAUAGCAAAAGGCCACGGACUCUCUGCCUUCUCCGGCGCCCUUCAAAUUAAAAUCCACUCCCCCCAGUCAGUCACCACCACCGUCACUCUUUUUCUUCACAGGCGAUGGAGUGGGAUUCCGCCGUCGUUGGUGCUAAUCACAAACGCCACCACGAAAGCUGCAAUAACAAUAAUAAUGGAGACCCGAAUACCGCCAACAGCAGCAGCAGCCCCAAUGAUCUGCUGUACGUAAAGGUAAUGACAGAUGAACAGCUUGAGACUCUCCGGAAGCAGAUCGCCGUCUACUCCACCAUCUGUGAACAGCUCGUCGAGAUGCACAAAACCCUCUCCUCCUCCUCCCACCAAGAUUUCGCCGCGGCAGGUGUGUACUCUUCCCCUGUUUUUCCACUGCUCUGAAUUCGAAUUAGAGAUCUAGUCGACAUUUCUAGGUAGAAUUGUCAAAUGAGUGGGUUAAACUGGGUUAAUCGAGUUACGGAUUCGGGAUUAUAGACAGUCCACUUAGUUUGAAGGUUUUUAUAGACUUUUCGGUCAUGUAACUUUUAAAUUGUUAGCAUUUGAUCGAUUUAAAUUAUUGAUUAGAUUUGAUCAGGUUGGAUUCAGAUCGAAUCGGGUUAAUUUUUGCUAGCUCUAAACUUAGGGGGAGGUUCUCCUUAUCAUAGUCUAGUCCAUCUUCGAGUCUAACGUCAACAUUUAACUAAAAUAAUCCAUUUUUCCAUUUAGUAAUGAGGUUAUAAGUUUAUUGUACAUUUAACUAAAAUAAUCCAUUUCUCCAUCUAGUAAUGACGUUAUAAGUUUAUUGUAUCGUGAAUUGAUUGGAUUACGUGAUUAAUUUGGUGAUAGUGCACUUAAUUUGAAGGUUUUGUGCCAGUUUUGAAUUGUUAGCAUUUGACAAAUUUAGAUUAUUGAUUGGAAUUGGACCGAAUCGGGUUAAUUUUUGCUAGAUCUAGAUCUACGAGAGCCUUUUUUAGAUCAGGAUCCAAUCCAUUUCUGAGUUUAAUGCCCGCAAUAAUAUACUAUACGGUCCAUUUUUCAUUUAUGUAGUUUGUAGUUUACUAACGCAAUCCAUAUAUAGCAUAGAGCACUUUGUACUGUAUUUCGAAUUCUACACAGAUCCUGAUGAAUGCAUUAAAUCAUUCUGGAUCCAGGGAGGUUGGGAAAUAUGUACUUGGACACGCUGAUGGGCGGAGGAGGAGGCCAAAAGAUGAGCGGUGGGCGACAGCGGUGGACGCCGACGCCGGUACAGCUUCAAAUCCUUGAACAGAUAUUCGAGCAAGGAAACGGGACACCGACGAAGCAAAAGAUCAAGGAGAUCACCACAGAGCUCAGCCAGCACGGCCAGAUCUCGGAGACCAACGUCUACAAUUGGUUCCAGAAUCGCCGCGCCCGGUCUAAGCGCAAACAGCACCUUACAAAUCUCCCGACUUCCGCCACCGCGGGCACGAACAAUAAUGAUAAUGCUGGUGCAACUAGUGGGGAUUUGUCGUCAGAAGUGGAGACUACUACUGCUACUGAAGUUGAUUCGCUUAACGAUCAAGAUAUCAUCAUCCAGUUGUUGGCUCAGUCUCAGUAUCAGGAAAAACAAUGCUGGAAUUAGCUGCGUAUAUGUAUAUGUUGUAUAGGGAUUGUAUUUGUCAUGGUUGAUUUACUAAACUCUUUUUUGUUCAUUUUAAUCUUGGUUUGGUUGUGGUAUGGGAUAUCUCGAGAUAGCUUGGUAUUUUUCGAGGAUGUUUAUAUUGAGCGGGGGAGGCGCCAAGGUGGAAUUUCUUGUUUGGUAUGAGAUAUUGAGUUGAAAAUGAAAUUUGUUUGCUCAUUGAUUAUCACAUAGGUCUCUAAUCAAUGUUUGUGUUUAUUGUGGUGCAAUAAUUGCGAAGUAGUGAUUUAUUUGGCGGCUUGUUAUAGGUUUCAGUUGCAGGUUGUCGGGCAUUGUGCUAAUGAAGUUGUGCAUUCAAUGGCGAAAAAUAUUUUUUUAUAUCUCCUGAAUAGUGUUGGGACUGAUUUCAUAAGCCGUUUAGAUUCUUUAUCUUGCAACGUGUUUACUAUCACGAUGUAUCCUUCGAGCCAUCUAUGAAGAGAAACUAUAUUCAAGCUCCAAUUACGCUAGGGGCCAAGGUUAAUGGGUUUGUUAGAGGCCCAUUGCAGCAUAUAUUUUGGGCCAAGGUUGAUGGGUUUGUUAGAGGCCCAUUUAAAAUCAAGUCGUUUAGCUAUUAGCGGAACAAGCCCACCUCUGCAGCUAUAAAAUCCCAGGAGUCGAUCACUUUCAGAAAGCAAACCCUAAUUGCAAAAUCUCCAUUGUUGUUGCAGCCUCUCUAUUUCCAAUUGCAAAUCUCAGCUGUAAUAGCUUGCUGUUUACAGUUCAUUUCCCGUCUCAAUUCGUUUUCUCUUUUUUUUUGUAACUGUGGCGGAGUAAGGAGGGUUGCGAUGAUGAUGAUAAUUUAUAAUCUCGUUAAUCUGAUCCAAUUCUGUGAGGAUAACAAACUAUCCAUCACUUUACUGAGCACUCUCCUUCUCCUGCAGCUCCACCUCAUUAUUCUGGUUUCGUUCUUAUGUUUUAAUGGUGUUUGUUUUUAAUAAAUCUUGAUCUUAACCACUGGAUGGUACAAAAAGGUUUCAACUUUCUCUAGUAAAAGCUGAAUCUUUCUGUUUGUUUGAAUGGUUUCAUAGAUUGUUGCUACACUUAUAAGUUUACCAGAUCAACUUUGAUGAUUAGUUCACAAAUUGAUGGACUGAGCGUCAUAGAAUCGUGGUUGCAUCGUGGAAAACUGGAAAAUCAAUCCAUAUUUUGAUCAGUGACAUUAUAGGAGAAGCAGAACUGUAUAAUCCUUCAAUGAAAUCUGAUGAACAUGAUCAACAUUAUAUCUGAGACGAGCAUCUACAAAAGUUACAGGCCCCUCUAGUUUUGUACCGGUACCGUAUAAUAAUUGUAUCAGAUGAUAUUUGGUCCGUAUAGAGUGCUGGAUCAAGAAAAACAAGAGAUUGCAACAGUAUGAAAGAUUCCAUGUGUCUGGUCAUAAAAGGGUGUUUUAGUGCAGCAGCAGCAGCCCACGGGGAGCAGAGCUCUCAGCUAAGAACUAAAGUUAGCACUCUUUUUCUGAUCUCUACUGUUUGGUAAACAGUAUUACCCACCACCAUUGACGAAGAGGAAGAACAAAGAAAUUUGAAGCGAACGAAAGUUACAGAAGGAAGCAAUGGAUUACGCAUUGAUUGAGAUUCAGAAUUGUGAACGAUAAUUCAGAGGGACCUUACUUUUAAUUUGUUUCUAUUUGUUUGAAAGGUUUCUUGGCCGGUUGAACAAUUGAUGCACUAGGAUCUAUUUGUUGAGUUUGAAUGUUAAAAUUUUCGUACUAUUUUUUGUAAUCGAAAAAUUUCGGUCAUUACAAGAUAGGAAGAAAUAAAUUGAAUAUUGGUAUUUGUUGGGGGUGGUUGUGUUCGAAUGUUGGAGUCCCAAACACAAUUUUUGUAUUAUACUCACAAGUUUUCAUGUGGCUUUUUCGUCCUGAAAAAAAAAUUAUGAUCAAGUGAUUACUUCAUGAUAAAAAAAUGUUGAUCAUCAUAUAAUUUGUGACGAACUCAUUAAUGUAUUAAAUAUACUUUAUAUGUUUAUGAUCGAGGAAAUUUAAAUCAGACAAGAAAGAUCAUUAAAACGUGAGCCGGUAUAUAAAUUAGUGGGUCAAAUAUUAAAAUUGUCCCGCAAGUUUUGGGCUUCAUUUUAGUCCCGUAAUUCCAAAUGUUACAGAGUCGUCUUGUUUCUUCCAUACCUACUACGACACGGUCUUAUUCAUGCCGGCGGCUGAAUUUAUCGGUGAUUUUGUCACGUAAGCACUGCCAUGUCAAUUAAAAUAGGAUUAAAUAUUGUUUUUUUGGUAAGGAUGGGGAUACGAAGAGUUAAAUACGGGGAUUAGGUUACGUUGAGUCUAAUUGGCCCAAUUAGGGUUAGAGCGAUUUUUUUAUUUGGUCAAUUUGGGUUGUUUAACCUAUUUGAACUAACAAUUGAUUAAAAUAUAUUAUUUAAUUAUAUUUUAAUUGAUGGGCAAAGCCUAUAUGGCAAAAUCAUCGAAAAAUUGAGCCGCCGGCUUAAAUAAGACCGUGUUGUAAUGAGCAUGAAAGGAACAAGAUGGUUCUGUAACAUUUGGAACUUACGAGACUGAAAUAUAAUCGACCCAAAACUUGCUGGGGGAUUUAAAUAUUUGACCCAUAAAUAAGCCAACCAACACUAAAAAUGUCCGAGUAUGUUUUCAAGAUACUCGGUCCUGUGGAACGUAAGACCGAGACCAUCCAACCCAGCUACCAGAAAAGAUGCUAUAAGCCCACCACCACCACUUACAUAGUUUGGGGGGGAGGAUGCCAAUCUAGAUGAUCCAUCCAAGACCAAACAUGUCAAGUAUGAUGUUUGCUUCAUACUUGCAUCUCCAUACUCUGUAUAGUCACUUUUCAAGGAUUCCAUUUGCAAGUGAGUAAAGACACAACACAACUAGCUUGCUUAACCCCCACAACUCCAAAAUUGACAAAAGAAAACUGAAAGAGAGAAUCUUUCAAUACUUUGGGGCUGUUCUGUUGUGCUUUUAUUAUAUUCCCACCCUUGGAAUUGCACUAAAAGGAAAAUUGAACCAAGGAAGAAGAAAGGUGACUGUAAAUGGGGGCCAAAGAGUGGGGCUAUAACAGAAAUGGCUAUAACAUAAGAGAGAAUCAAAGAUGAGAUCUUUUGGGGAGGUUUUGGAUGAGGGUUUUAGGUCCACAAACACUCCACUCUCUAUCUCUCAACUCUUUUUCUAUGUUGUUUGUAAAUGAACAAAAACUCUAACCAAAAUACUCCUAGCCUAGCUGGUAAGAUUAUUGACUAGUGUUAGCUAAAACAUGGAUCAGAGAUCUUUGGUUUGAAUCUUAGUUUCGAACUAUUCUUUUCAGGGCAUUCUUUCUAUUAUCGUUUCCUACACAGUAGACUCGUUACGGUUUGUUGAAAAUGUUAGAACAAAGUUUGGAAGUAAUACAUACUUAUGUUAGAUGUGUUUUCCCCCCCUUUGGUGUUGGUUGUGGCCCAAGAUUCAAUUGAUGCUACUAUUUUCUGGAUGAUGGGUUCAACUUAUUAUUCUCUUGGAGUUUCUUUCUUCCCAUGAUGACUGAGGAUUUCUUCUUUCAAUUGUGAUUGCACUUAUGUAUGGCUCUUUGUAUUGCGCAUUAAUCUAUUAUGAUGAGGAUUACAUCAUUGUAAGAUAUACAACUCAAUUACGAAUUUAUACCAUUCGAAGUAUAGCAAACAAAGUCGUCCAUUUUACGAAAAAAAACCAUUAACAAUCGUUCAAACCCCAGAUAUUUAAUUGAGGAAAAAAACUUGGGGUAAUUUGAAAAGUCAUGGAAAUGAAGAUCCAAAAGCAACAACGCUUUCAUUCCUUGGAACAAUAAUAUAAGAUAUGAAGAUCAGGUUUGAUAAGGAGAGCCUUGUGGGGGUAAAGAGUCUUAAUGAAAAAAAUGGUCCACUUUGGGUCUGGUCUAUGUCUUCUAUGGAUAUGAAUUGGCCCCCUCUUUUUACAAGUAAAAAACAAAUAAAAAGUAGCAACACAAAAGAAUGCACAAGUUGUGUCUCACUUUCGUGGCCCCAGCUCGACGAGCCACACUACUAAUUACUAAUUGACCUAUCAUGGCUCCUUCACUAUAUGCUUUUAAGGAAGUCUGUUUACAUUACUCGAAUUCUCGACCUAAUUACAACUAAUUGACUAUUAUGACUGUCUGUUCAGAUUACACGAAUCCUCGACCUUGAUGUUUUUUCUACAAUAAAAGUGAUAAUGUAUAUUCAUCCAUAAAGGGAAACACUUUACAAAAGAUCAGAAAGAUAGGUAUAAUGAAUCCAGUUAUGAGGGAGCGCGUAUCCGAACGAGCGCCUCGAGCAACAUAGUCCGCUGCUCUAUUGAGUCGACAGGGGAUAAACGAUAAGGAGAUUCGAUCAUGAACUAAGAGAACAUCCUUCAUGAGGAGUAGCCAUGCGAAACAUUAUCAUGGCCAAACAUCCUUAUCUCGUCAAAGAACAUCAACUAGCAAGAGACUAUCAAUGAGGACGAAAGUCCCGAGAUUGGAUGACUCGACUAAUCGAAGGGCUUCAAGAAAAACUUUAGCUUUAACUUGAUGUUAAUGCAAAUCUUUUUAAGGGAUGUACUUAAAUCAUGUUAAACUAAUCACUCGACAAUAUACCCUAGUGGGUAUUGGUGGCUGAUUAUGGUGUUCUCCUUCAUUCUUAAUUCUCUAAAAUUCUUCACUUUUUUCUUUGUUUCUGUCCUUUGGAAUUGCUGAGGAGCUUUCUGUGACUGUCAACAAACCAAACCCCCCAAUUAAUUCACUCCAUCAGGCCCCCCAUUCCCUCUCCUCCAUCUCCAUCAAUCACCACCAUACAUUACGUAUUUCGAGUCGUCACUCAAAAUACGCUCAUAUCGGAUGAUUAACCAGGUUUUGACUCCAAACGACCUGUUUUCAAGGUUUGGUUGAGUCUUUAAAAGUCAUAAUAACUGAAUGUAAAAGCCUCACCGACUAUGAGUUGAUUUUCCCGAUUCAUUCCUCAUUGAGAUAUAACUGGUUACACCUUAUAAGUUCGAAAAGUUAUUAGACAUUUAUAAAAAUCGACAAGGAAGCCUGAUUCAGGAUCGUUCAUAGUUGAAACUUAUUAAUUAAAAUACUAAGGGAGAUGCUACUCCAAAUUGAGGUUAAUUCUUUUCUUCUUAUUGAUAGUAACAUAUAUGAUACAUAGCUACAAAAAUAUACAUAUGGCAUGUACUUGAACAAGCCAAAGAAUCAUCAUAAUAGAGAUCUUCAAUUGGCAGAAAAUUUCUCAGUUAACAACAUGUAAAAAUCUCUUUUUUUCCAAGUAGAGAAAAUUCCCACACUCUUCACAUCUCCAUCUUCAGAUUAGAUCCUCCAACUGAACCUGCAAAAAAAGUGUCUGAUUAGGUUUAAAGCUAAAGGGUCACAAAAAAAUAAUCAGUGACUGUUGUUAUCUGAAACCAGAAGACUGAUAGACACAUCUUAACUAACUCCAUUCACUUCUGUCUCAAAAGUGGGACAAAGCAAGCUCAUAAUUCACAAAGGCUUAAAAGAUAUCCAAAGACUCAUCCUUUUUACUUUACCUGGUGGAAAUGAUUGAGAUGAAAAUGCUACGUUGUAUAGGCUUGGAAGGUCAGCAUCCCAAAUUGAUGCUUGCUGCUACCAAAAACAUAACAUAAAACGAAUGUUAAUACUUAACGGCUCGAGUAGUUGGGAUGCAAACAGUCCCUUGACGUAAACACUUACAGGGAAAUCGAUGAAGGGUUCGGGUUCGGGGCUGGUAAUGGGAAGACUGAUUGUUCUUCUGAUCCCCAAAUCGGUAGCAGAAGCAGUAGUAGUAGGAGCAGUAGUAGCAGAGUUGAUCAUCCCGAUAUCGAAACCAUUGCAGCAUCCCACUAUCUGUUGCUGGAGUGAGUUCAGUUGCAGGUAUGCUGCUGCCAUUUGAUCUGAUGAUCCCAUUCCUGCAAAGUUGCUUCCACCACCUCCCUGAAACGCCUGUUUGGCCAAUCUCAGUCAGUAAUGCCACAAACAAAUUAAGACUAAUGUCGGUUUUGAAAACUCAGGAUGUGGUGGAUGGUUUUUCCGUUCGGUACCUCUUUCGCGAACAAGCUUUCGAAGUUGAAACCUGCCCCCGGGUUUACAGCCGCUAGUUUCAUUGACAAGAACUGUUUACAAAUAUUAUCGUUAUAUAAACUAAUUAUGAACAUUUCUUCGUGUGGUACAGAUCGAGUUAAGUAUUAAGUAGUUUACCUCGACUUGUCGUUGAAGGGAUUGGACAUAGUUAAUGAUCUCAUCAAGCAUCCCAGCUUUGCCAGUUAUCUUGUUGCAACCUGGAACCAAGUCUUGCAGAUACUUCAUCCUUUCACUGAUCUUUUCCCUCCUUACCUAAACAAAAUUCACAAAAAUCCAAUCUUAAUUACACUCUACUGAUUUGAAAGUAACCACACCAAACCGAAUUCCAUAUAUAGCUAAAGACUCACUCUUUCGGCUAAGCUGUGACUAUCAGUAGCCUGACCACGCCGAGCUCGGACAUGAAUGUAAUCCUUCUUCUGAUCAUCAGUCACCUUAGAAUUCUCCUUCGAACUCGACCCUGAAUUGCUAUGGCUUUGAUCUCCUCCGCUUGCUUUGAUUCUCUUCCCUUCCUCCACCUAAUUCAAAACAACAAAUUUCAAUUCAAUUUCACUCCACAAGUAAAAUUCCAAUCAACUUGAACUUGAAUUUUUCUCCUUACCUGGGAUUUCGCCGAUUUCCGCUUCUUGGCCGGCGGAGACGGCGGCGGAGGAGUGCCGGAAGCUCUGAAAUCGGGCCAGCCGUUGUCGUCGAUGACCAGACCCGGGUCGGGUUUGAGCUCCGUCCGCAUCAACCCGUUGUUGUAGACGCAGCUCAUCAAAUCGUCCCCACCGAAGAAGCCCUGAUCCAUCUCGGAGUUAUGUGCUCUGUUCAUCGGCGGAGUAAAGGGUUUGAUCAAAGAAUGAAUCUUUUUUACUGAUUUUGAUUUUUGUGGGUUUCUUGGUGAGGGGGGAGAAUAUGGAUGGAGAUGAAGUUGGGUGGGUUAUAUGUAAAGGUGGAAAUGGUGGUGAGGGUGAAGAGAUUGGGCGUCCAUAACCGGAGCCGGGUCGGGGGUGUGGGGCCCAGAUGACAUGACGGCCACGUGGGAUUGUCCCCGGAGGUUUUCGAGGGGGGAAAUAUAACGGCGUUUGGGUAAUAGAGGGAUGAUGGCGGUGGUGGACCACGGCGGCGGCGGCCACCAUGUUUUAGCUCGCCGUUGUUAACGGGGUUUUUUUAAAGAAGAUGAUGUGGGAUUAGCGACGUUAAUAAGCGCGGGAACGGGGUUUAAUUAGAAUUUGAUUUAUUUAGUGAUUAUAAUGGAGGUGGUUUACUUGGAUUUUCUCGUUCUUUGAUGGAGGUAAUAAGAAAGUUGAGUGCAUUUUUUAGGUUUUAAUCAUCCCAUUUUAAAAUAAUUUAGCAAAUAAAUUUUUUAUCACCACAUUAAUAAAUUUAACAUUCAACUCGUUGAACAAUUUUUACAUACUUUAAUUCAACAAUUCAUUAGGUUAGUUUUCUGUUUUAUUAUCUAGAUGUUAAACAUUUAGUCACUAACUUAUUUAUUUAUACUUCAGUAACAACAAAUUCUCAACACGCAUCAACAUCCUCAACAACCGAAUGUUUCCAUGGUCGUAAAACUGCAAUGUUGUUCUAGGAUUAAUAUUCAACGUAACCUCAUCGAAAAUGUAUCGGAAAUCAAGUUUGUUUUUACUCCAAAAAAUCGAAACAAGAUUGCUGAUUGGCUAACAACCUCAAGGAAAUCUAUAAUUGUUCUCUUGAUUCUGCUACUAUCGAUUUCUAUGAAUGAAGAGUAAACUAUUUAUUAUCAUUCAUGAAAUCUAUGCAUUGGGCUUUCCCGUAAAAUUCCGUUAGUAAAAUUAUGGGUUUGCUGGUUUGUUUAUUAUUAAACUAUUGGCGCGAAUGAUGGGAACUCAGUGGGGCCCAUGUCACGUUUGGCAUCCACAUGCACGCCUCCACGUGUUUCCCACGUCAGCUCGAUCUUGGUGACAUGGCAUGUGUGCUCACGUGGCAACUUCACUAGGUAAUAAUAAGAGCUUUGACUCUCUUAAUUAAAUAGUUAUGCUGGGAGCAAAGUCUUAGUAAUAAACCAGUGCUAGGGAAGUUAAUUAUGAUAAUUAUAAUUAAGAAAGUGAUUGACGCGUUAAUUAAUCAUGGGAUGGAAUCAAAUAUGUGAAAGUCAGCCAUCAUAAUCCUAGGUUGACAAUAACAACGUAGGAAAUUAGGAAUCUUUUUUUGGAAUUUGCUAAUUAAAAAGGGCUAAUCAUGGUUUGCAUCACAAAAUCUAACGAACACAAAUAAUUUUGGCUCGUUGUUCAACGUCCUAUUUCUUUUCGUUAAUCAAUCAUUAUCAUCCACAAGACAAAAAAUGUGAGUGAUUACUGAUUAGCUAAGCUGAAAAUGACAAUAUUAAAUUAUUAAUUUUCCUAUAUAUAGAAAAUAAAUAAUUAAAAAGACUAUAAUUCCCCGACAAAUUUAGAUCAGAAUUUUCUUAUUAAUUCAAACAAAUUAUAAUGGACAAUGUGGUUAUCAGAGAGUACACGCACAACAUGAUUUUUGUUGUGAAUCUAUCAUCAUUCUAUUAUUGUGAAUCAUAUUCAUGAGUUGAUGAGAAUGUCGAGAGAGAUCGAGUUCAUUCAUAUUUAUUAUGAAGGCAAUCACGUAAGUGUUGGACACAAUAAAAAUUAUUAACAACUGAUUAAAGGAAAGGGAAAAAUUAUUAUGAUUAAUGAAUUGAUGUGAUUAGAGGGAGGAGGGAGGGGAACAAUUCCAGAGAGGAUGAAGGCAACUUCCCACAGUUAUUAUGAUGAUGAAAGACUCACCAAAUGGGGUCAACUUUGCCAUCAUACCUACAAAACAUCACUUCCUUCAUUCUUUGCGAUUAUAGACACCAAAUCUUUGAGACCCAUUCUUAAUUUACUAUUCAGAUCAAUCGAUCUAGAAUUAUUUAAUGUACUGAGUUGAACUGUGUAGAUGGGAUCAAAAUCGAGAAAAAAUCUUGUUAUUAUGUCGUCCCAAGGUGCAAGAAGCCUCCAAUACGGGGUGUGUAUAGUACCUUGGUAUAACUGCUCGAACAACCGGUAUCAAUCACUUAUAAUUCGUUAUAACGAAAAAGUUGUAGCCAUUCAAUAGAGAUAUUAUGGUUUUUAAAAUCGUAUUUAGUAACCGAAUUUGCAUUACUGUUUAGAAAAAUAAGAUGAAAGGCACCGAAAGUCGAGAACAAUGAGAUCGAGUCUACAAAGAUCAAGGAAAAAGUAGCGAUGAUCAAAUUGGAUAUUAACCAAAAGUUCUGGUGGUAAAGUGCCAAGCUUUAUAAAUACUGAAGUUGGGUUCCUAUUACUUUCAAGUUUGAACAAUUUAUGAGUUUGGGGCUAGCUAGCUUUCAAUUUGAUUAUAUUUAUAUAAGCUGGCUGUACCCAAAGUACAGUGUGUACUUAUCUAUAAUGCUUUUGCUUUAGGCCACACCUAACAAUCAACUGCAUUAUAUUCACUCAUACACUUAACUUGUUCACUUAGUUCGUCCUGUUCUCGAAAAAUUGUCAAGCCAUAAUUUCGACAACUCGUUUGAGAUAUGACUACAAUAAAUCAAAUAAAUAUUUGAAUAAAGAUAAAAACCAUAGACUUUGGGGAGUUGGGAUAUAUUAGUGUGGGACAGUCUAGGGCACGGGGAGUAAGGGUGUGGGAGAAGGAUCCACAAGAUGGAACAAAAUGACGGCAUAAGAUCCAACCAUGGGUAACUAGUUAUAAUUGAUUAUCAUGUUCAAAUGUAACAUUUACUGUGUUCGGAGUAACGAAAUUAGUUACUGAAUCGAAAUAUUUAGUUGUUUUGUAAUUUUUUUCCUUUCGAUAUACCUUUGGUUUAACCAUAACAACAAAAUUUAGUUACGAAUCUAUUAAAAUUUUAGAUGAUCCGCAACAUCGUGUGUGUAUUUGUCAAUUUUGAUUAUUGGAUGUGGCGCUGAUUAUUGAAUUUGUGUAUAUGAUUGAAUGUCGUCUGUUUUAGCAUCAUUCGGAAACAAACCGCAAUAAGAUGUCAUUGAGACAGCUUGAGUACUGUAAUGAACUAUUGGUGAAACAAUUCAAUUCAGGGAAGCCUCUUAAAGAUGUUACCAUCUAGAUUAAUUUCAAACCAAAACAAAACUACCGAUUAGAGUCGUCGCCUUUGAGAUUCAGACCCAAAUAUACAAUAUCAAUCAGAAUGCAAUCAAUAUCUGUUCUAGUAAGCUUUUGAUUUGAAAACUACAAUCAACGAAAUUGCCUUCUAAUGCCAACAGCUCCUCUAAAGCUCGAACAUGCACAAGAUAACUUGUCGAAACAUUAUAUCCUUGUGAUAUCCAAAAUUAGAGGGCAAUGGAUGGUCACAUGGAAGCUAAUAAAUUGUUUCCCAAUCAUCACAAAAACACACAAUGGGCUUCCUUGGCCUUCCUUCUAAUCUCUUUCUCUUCUUCUUCUUCUUCUUCUUCUUCUUCUUCAUCAAUCAUCCUCCCACUCCACCUCUUCUGUCAGAGUUUGUCAGACCCAAUUCUGAGUUCCUCAUAUAAUCUUUGUUUAUACAAAAAAAUUUGUCAUUUUAUUGGUGGGUUUUCUCUUGGAUAUUGAGCCACGAAAUUAUUGAGAGAGGAUCGAUGCAUGUCAAUGUCAUGCUCCAAAUGCAUGGGCAUGCACUACACAUUCAUAUGUAAGUUGCCAUCCGUGUAACAACAACAUCAUAUUACUUAAUUACUCUGCUUCGAUUUUCUAGUUCACCUCCAUACCUCAAACCUACUGUUUAAACCUCGUCAAUGCGUCUAUUGAAGUUUGUGAACGAAACGGUGCGCGUAAGCUUUGAAGAACGAGAUGACGCAAUUAAUUUAUCAAAUCAAUUAUUCAUAAAUAAUAAUUGGAAUAUUGCGUGACACUUGGUAAUACAAAUACAUACGGAGAAUAUGCAUAAAUCCUAACUCCAGACUUUGUAUGUACGUACAUGUAUAAAUUUCCCCUUCAAAGAUUGCAGCUUUCUACGUACGUAUACACAUACAUGGCGUAUACAUGUACGUACGCAAAACGUAGAGGCGUGGCCGUAUUAUCCUGCUGAAUACACUGUCCUCGGGAUCAAUCCAUAUGUACAAACCGAUGCAUGACAUGAUAUUCUUACUAAAAACCUGCUUUAAGAACUAGUUCGAGAAGGUAAUGUUCUUUUUUCCGCGUUUGUAUGAUAUGAUAUAUUUAGUAUUGUUUUGGAUAUCUUCGGAGAUUCAUGUCUAAAUCGUGUAUCCUCUCGCGACAUAAAACAAUUUAUCAAAUCGUACAUUUCCAUAAUUUCAUAUACCUUAAAGUGUGAAUGCUUCAUAUAUUAACAAGAGUAUUUUCUCAGUGCAAAUGUUUGAACAGCCCAAUGUUUGAACAGUGUUAGUGGGCCUCCACCACCGAGGAAAAGCAUUGGGCCCAAAACUGACCAACUGGACUGCACUUCAUAUUCAGACAACCAUUUUUAAUUAAUAGUGCUGUCAUAUUGUUCCUCUGUUGACAGACAUUUCUUUAUUCAUUAUUUUAUUAAUAUCUUACUAUAUCUUGUCCGGCAUGUUCGUAAAAAACCGAAUAAACUAAAACAUCGUUUAUUUGAAAAAAUUUAUAAGGAAAACAUACUCAUAUUAUAAGUAUUGUACAUUCUAAUUAAUGUGCUUUUAGGCAGAAUUUUAAAAAAUGAGUAGCUCGGACAUUAUCGUAGUUUCAGGCACAUUAGCUGGUAGAUCCUUCGGGAUCUUAAUGUGAUUUUAUAAAUGUAAGAAUCAUAUACAAUUUGAAUGAUAAUGUUAACUAUUAUUAUGGUUACUUGACCAAACAAGAAUGGGUGAAACAAAGUAAAAUUGAUAGAGUACUUUUAGGGUGUGUGUAGAUACAAAACUUGUUACAUACGUGUACGGGUAAGAUGUGAAUAGUAAAGUAUCAUAUGUUAACCUGUAAUAGAACUUUAAACGUUCACUCAAUUUAUUAUUUGAUUAAGUCAUGACCAUAGCCCGCGCAGUGAGUAGAUGCCUACGAUUAACUAUCGAUACGAUUAACUUUCGAUCUUGGUCAACAGUCUAUCUCUUGAAUCUUUUCUAAGUAGUGGCCGAUUCAGGGGAGCUUUUCCGAAGCCACGACUCAGCCCCAUCUCGAGAUUUAGAAUUGUGAUUAUAAGUUAAAAAAUUCAUAUUAGAUGUUGAUUAUGAUGUUAAGUUGGCCCGUCAUUUCAGAUUCUAAAAAUCCGGCGUAGUGAUUAAAAAAAAACAAUUCGAAAACCAAAAUUGUGAGCAUUGCCGUGACACCAAACAGGUUACCGAGUACAUAAGUUAAAGAUGGUCAAGGGGUAAUGCGCGGAGGCUAGCCGUAGCCUGCACGUUGCUGCGACACGAAGCACAUUAGCAUAGUAUUCAUACAUAUUGAAGGCAAAAAUAUAAAAACCAAGAGAUUAUAUUCUAAUUCUAAGUCAGGGGAAAUACUUAGCAAUUCAUUAAAUUAAUUCUUCGUUUACCCAUUUUAGUUGUCAUAAUUUAAUUUACUUCACCCAUUAAUAGACAAUGAAGAAAAAAAAACUUACCAUAUAAUUUAUAAAAUAUGAGAAAAUAUAAUACUCAUAAAUUUAUAUAUUGUGUAAAUCCUUUAAAAUUUUAAUAUUAGUUAUAAAUCUAAACAUGAUAUAAAAUACCAAUGAUAAUUUUAACUAUUGUUAUUGUUAUUUAUCUAGAUUCAAAUUGGCCAAAUAUUGUAAAAUUGAGAUGGUAUUAGGGUGAUUAUGAUCCAUAUAAAAAAUCAAAACUACAAUCAACAACUACUGUUUACGUGAAACUUACUUGGUAACAAAGUUAAUAUAAAGUAAUUUUUAAUGAUGAGCUAAUUAGAAAAAUUAUUGAUCGUAUAAAAAAANNNNNNNNNNNNNNNNNNNNNNNNNNNNNNNNNNNNNNNNNNNNNNNNNNNNNNNNNNNNNNNNNNNNNNNNNNNNNNNNNNNNNNNNNNNNNNNNNNNNNNNNNNNNNNNNNNNNNNNNNNNNNNNNNNNNNNNNNNNNNNNNNNNNNNNNNNNNNNNNNNNNNNNNNNNNNNNNNNNNNNNNNNNNNNNNNNNNNNNNNNNNNNNNNNNNNNNNNNNNNNNNNNNNNNNNNNNNNNNNNNNNNNNNNNNNNNNNNNNNNNNNNNNNNNNNNNNNNNNNNNNNNNNNNNNNNNNNNNNNNNNNNNNNNNNNNNNNNNNNNNNNNNNNNNNNNNNNNNNNNNNNNNNNNNNNNNNNNNNNNNNNNNNNNNNNNNNNNNNNNNNNNNNNNNNNNNNNNNNNNNNNNNNNNNNNNNNNNNNNNNNNNNNNNNNNNNNNNNNNNNNNNNNNNNNNNNNNNNNNNNNNNNNNNNNNNNNNNNNNNNNNNNNNNNNNNNNNNNNNNNNNNNNNNNNUAAUUGGUAGGAUGGAAAAAAAACCGAGUCCAAUCAAAUUUGAUGAAAGUGCCAUAUAUAAAAUGAUUUUAACUAUAUUUAUAUUACUUUAGAUAAGCAAAUAAUUUUUUAUGACUCUUUGAAUUUUUAAAUGUAUCUGAAACUUAAAAUUAACAAAAUAAAAAUAAUAAAAUGAAUUGUACCUUAUUUUCAUUUUACUUCCCGCCUAAAACCAACGUGUAAUGUUUUUAAAAUUUAUUAUAUUUACUGUUUAGUCGGCAAUAUGUUGUGGAGUUUGCUUUGGUAAUUUGUGUGAGAAAAUGGUAUAAAUGUUAUAAUUAAUUAAUUAUUUAUUAACAAUUCGAAUUAGUGAGAUGUAACAGUUCAUGAUAUAAUAUCAGAGUUUAAUUUGAUCAAAUGGUUGUAAGUUCAAAUCUCCAUAACUCUAAUAUAUCAACAGUUGAUUUAAGUACAAGGUAUGGUGGAUAUUGCAAACUUAAAACCCGUAACAAGGCUGUUGACGAGCCGGAUCGAGCCGAGCUUUGCCCACCUUGAUAAAAUAAUUGUUAGCUCAAACUCGGCUCGGCUCGACAUUGAUUAGCACAAAACUUGAUGCUUGAACUGUUUUGCAACUCUAGCCCUAACCAUGGUUUGAACUGUGCUUUACCCUUAUUGCACUAGACCAUGAUAAAAUCAACGUUGAAACAGUCGAGCCUGACCAAUAUAUACACUGGGAAAACUGCAAACUCUAUACAGUCUAGACUUGACAUUUUAAACCACCAGUAUAGAGUAUAGACCCGUCGACCUAUUGGUGCCAAAUGACACAUAUAUAUUGUUCAAUAGAUGACAAAAUACUGAAAAAAAGAUGGAAUCAAUAUCAUUGGUGGGCAUGUGGGACUGAUGAAGUUAUAAGAUACAGAGAGGGGGGUGCAGUGCAUGCAUGGGAAAACUGUAGAAAUAAAUAAUAAUAAUAAUAAUAAUGGUCAAAAGGACAAGAAGACCAAAUACACGGGAGUUGCCUGCAGCAUCAAAGACAUCUCCAUAUAGCAAACAAUAUUAUUAUAAACAAAGGACAAAACUUCUGCCUCAAGAACUUAGUAGAAUUUUGAUUGUCUAGCUAGCUUCAAUUGGGUACAGAAGUGUUCACAUCAGUAGAAACAACUCGUUGAAGCGGCUGAUAUACACAUUCAGAUGCUGAUGGAAACCGGGGAGGUAAAUAUUAGGGUGGCUGAUAAGCCGAUUCGAGUGAGCUCGGCUUGUUGGCUCGUAGUAGCGGCUCAAGCUCGGUUUUGACCAUUCAUCAUCAUACAUUAUUCUUGUUAUUUUAUCAUUAAAAGGAAAACAUGAAUUAUUAUUGAAUGAGUAGUAUUUGGUUUUCUUAUGAGGGCUUUAUUUUAAAUUUAUUGGAGUUUUAUUUUGGGUUUAUUGGGACUUUAUUUUGAGUUUACGGUAGCUUUAUUUUGAGCUCAUACAUUACCCUUUAUGGGUCUUGUGGUAUUUUCCAUUUUUCAAUUGACAUGACUUAAGUUGUCUCGCGCUUUCACUUUGCUAAUACGUUUUCUAUAACAAAAAAAGUUCUUUUAUUUCUACUUAUUUUCUAAAACUUUCUGCAGCAUCACGAUGAUAAUUCUAGUUAUAGAUAAAAAUAUGAGCAUUCAAAUAAUCGCGAGCUACACCGAUCAAGCCAACUAACGAGCCUCAAUCGAGUCAAGCUCAAGCCAACUCUCAAAUACNNNNNNNNNNNNNNNNNNNNNNNNNNNNNNNNNNNNNNNNNNNNNNNNNNNNNNNNNNNNNNNNNNNNNNNNNNNNNNNNNNNNNNNNNNNNNNNNNNNNNNNNNNNNNNNNNNNNNNNNNNNNNNNNNNNNNNNNNNNNNNNNNNNNNNNNNNNNNNNNNNNNNNNNNNNNNNNNNNNNNNNNNNNNNNNNNNNGGUAGUGGGGGUGGGUCGUUGGAAGAGUAAUCAACAAAAAUGUUUUGAGGACAAACUUUGACAUCCGAAUUGAAAGUCUGUUCAUGGAUGAUUUUGUGUGGCAAGCUGGAGAAUUUGGACACCAAAUCCGUGUGGAAUUGUCCCGACGAGGUAUGUAACGGAUAGAACCCAUAGGCAUGGUGUCGAAAGCAUAACGACGUUCCGUGAGUAGUAGCCAGCCCAACUCGAAUGUCAGGAACGGUGGACUGGAGUAGACGGACCACUUCCACAGAAUCCGUGCAUAUGGACACGGCAUCCACCACAAUUGUCACUAAUUAUCAAUCUGAUUCCGACAUGUACGUUUCGUGUAAUUGACAUUUUUUUCGAACCCGUCUAAUAAGUCAUGUCUCCUCGAGCCAGAACCGCACCCACCGAAAUGAGUUCCCAAAUGGAUCAGUUUUCCUCUUUGUAUUUAUUUUUCUCGUAACAACUUAAUACACACAACUUACACAGAAGAACCAUUACUAAGAGACAUCUCGUAGACCAGUCGCCAAAGAAAAAGAACACUCACAAAAAUACCACGAAACCUUUCCCUAUCUACAUCAAUGCCAUUUACUAUGGACACACACAAAACUGAUAAAAACAUAACAUUACUACAUGGAUGAUUUAUAUGUUGAUGGUUGCUUCCCAUAACCUCAGCACCCCGUUUCGGCCACCGCUGCAGAUCCUCUUCCGUUCGAGAUCCGAUGCCACACAUCGCACCUGCAUCGUGUUUGAAAGAGAGAUUAUUAAUCCUUUGUCUGUCUUAGUUUCGGUCUAGAGUACUGGUUUGAAAUUGCUCUAGCUAAUUAAGAUGGAUUGAUAGAGUUCAGUUGGAAACUACGCUACAAGGGUUCGUACCAUGGCGACGUUCUUUUGGGGCGUCCUGUAAAGUUGCCAACCGGGCAGUUUCGAACCCGAACCAGGACCUAUGGCACCGAGCCGAUCUUGAGGCCGGUUGAAGAGGGACAUGGAGUUGUCAGCUGCUCCUACUCCCAGCCAGUUUUCGCCAGCGUUGAUGGACAGUAUGGACGCUGUAUGGAUCGUAACGUUCUUCGUGCAUUUUAUGCCUCCUGCGUAGAUGAAAUUACAAAACGCUCGUUCUCAAAAUCACAAGAACCCGACAUAAAUUUGUGAAGUUUCAAUCCUCGGCUGAAUAUUCUGAUCGUACCUUCCUCAUUUUCCCAGAAUCGUAAUAGCCCGUCGGUUGAACCUGAGAUAUAUCAUGUUCAAGGUUAACCCGAUGAAGUUUAAUUGAUUCGGCAGCGGCUAGAGAACUGGUAAAAAGAUAUAAUGAGUUUAGUAGAUUGGUCUCGGAACCUGUUAUAAUUCCUCGAUCUGCUUCAGAGUACUCCACACACAAGAUUGGCCCGGCAUGACAGGCUAGAACGGCAUCGCACGUUCCUCGCGAGACAGACCACACUCUGGCAGUCCAAUCAUCACUACCUGUUACCAAAGUGUCUCCAACCAUUCUAGCAGACCUGUACAAUCGCAAUGUAUAAUUUCAGAAAUCCUUUAAGCUUUGUCCAUGGCUUCGUAUAAUGUGAGACAGGCAGGGAAAAGGUAAAAGAAGAAGAUGCUUGUUGAAACUCGCCGAAUCCAUUUUGUGUGGCCUGUGAGCUUAUGCAUUUGCUUUCCGGCUCGGAUAUCCCAGACAUUUGCAAUCCUGGUAUGCAAUAGUAAAGGUGUUUCAAUUAGCAUGCAAGAAACAGAUGUGAUUAAAUACAUUACGAAAGGUAGCAGGGGAUGUGAAUUUCCGUACGCGUCUCUGCCAGCAGCAGCAAGGAUACCGGUGGAGUCGUCGUAUUCCAUGCACAUGACUGCACUAGAGCAACGGCCUACUGUUGCAACGCAGGUGUCCGUUCUAACAUCCCACAUCUUCACGGUUCCAUCAUGAGCUGCGGUGAGUACUCGCUCACCUGACAGCAUGCGGACACAGCUGACCUGCAGGAAAUGCAAGGGUAAGCUAUCUCAAGUAUCGAACACCACAAAUUGUUUGGCUUCUUUAAUGUUUUCACUUGAGCGAGUAUUCAAGCAAACCUGAGCUUCGUGGCCCUUCAAUUCUUCAAGAAGCUGUGACGUUUGUUUAUCCCACACAAUAACAUUCUGGUCAUCAGAUCCUGAUACUACCUUCCCUCGAUCGGAACUUAUAGCACGAACAGUUCUGCACAGAUAACCAAGAUGAAACGAUGAAACCGGUUUCAACUAGUACCAUAACGGAAUUUUUUAAAUUGUGAAAAAACCUACUUUUUAUGCCCUUUCAAAGUUGCUCGGAGUUCAGAACCACGGAUGCUAGGAUCCCAGAUUUUGACCUGCAUCAUUGAUUGAAAAACUCAGACAGCUAUUUAAAACAAAAACUGAAAAUUCCAGCAUCAAGCAAAAGAAACUGCAAAACAUCAAGGAAACACGACUCUGGUCCAUCCAGUGAAAUAACACUAACUGAAUCAUGCUUGGUAUGACAGAAACUUUACAGUAACAAACCCACUUAUCACAUCUGGGCAUAAGUAAUAAUGUCAGUGAAUAUACAGUAAUCCUAAUUACCAAGGAGUCUGUGCUUCCACUAAUAAAGAAACCGGCAUCUUCACGGUCUCCCACCAAAUCCCAGACCUCUCUUCUUGUCACACAGUGCAAAGCAGUCACGGCACCGUUGUGGCCUCUAAGUACUCGAACAUUUGUUUGCAGCUUCUUUUGGCUACCAGCAGAAGAAUCUUUUUGCAAGAGUAAAACAGUUUUGUAAUUAGCAGAACAGUAAAAGCAAUAGAUGAAGUGAUAUUGAGACUAACAAGUGCUGUGUGGAAUACAAAAGCGUUACUACUUUUUUUUACAAACCUGAAGGACCAUCAGAAGUCCACUUACGGACACGAGCAAACGAGUUUACUCUUGACGAAUCUCUACUAAACAUGCUCUGAACCCAGCUUCUUCCAACAACAGAUGCCUCGGCAGGUUGUUGGCUUUCAUCUGUGCCAUCUUGAGGGCGAGGAGAAGUAAAUCCAAGAGAUUUAAUGGAUGGGGUCUUUAUCGAUGAGGUUCCCCAGUACCCAAUACGAAGUUGCUGUAUAUGUGUUAAAAAUCCCCGGAGUUGGAUCUGAAACAUUUCAAGCAUCAAAAUCAAUUAGCAAGAAAGAGGGUAUUCUCCGGGUAAUGUUAGACAACGGGUAAUAAAUGACUAUAAACGCUCAUUUAAUUAAUCUUAACCCGAACGUCAAUAAGAUGUAUCAAAUAACUGCAUCCUUGUACCCAAUGCUAAGAUAUUUGGCAAUCAACCGUAAUUUUGACAGUACUUGACUAGUGAAGGUUUACUUACAAGCUGCUUGUAUCCAAUGCUAUUCUUCUCUGAUAUCAUUUCGAUCAUGUACCAAGCAUCGGUAUCAGGAAUUCCUAGACCAGCCUUUCCAACAUAACACAAAGACGAAACAAAUAAAAAUUGUCGACAUUUGAAGGAAGUUAAGCCACAAAAUGAAAUAUGGAGAAUAAUUUAAACCAUGUGUGAAGAGACUAGGAUUAGCUGUGUUGUCACUUGAGCAGCAUAAUUGGCCGACCUGAGGAAGAGAUAAAUACUGUCACUAAUUAGUAUAUCUUCGGAGACUAAAAAUGCCAUAAGCAUGAAUUACACUCGAAAGCAGGGAUACAAUUCUUAAAUGGAUGCAUGAAUAUUGCUUUGUCAGAUGACAAACGAAAGAACAAGGUAAAUACAUGCACAUUAUGCUCAAAAUUGAUACAACAACAUCCAUACAAACAAUAAGCAAGUAACAUCUAAAGAGAAAAAACUCAAAUAGAAACAGCAUCAUGUAUGCAAGAGAGUAACAUUAAAAGAUGAAAGUAGACCGAAUGUGAAGACAAAAACAACUUGAGUAGAGCAGAAAUUCCAAAAUAAUUGCUUACUUGUCAGAAGAACGUUCCAUUAGAUAGUCAAAGUAUCCUUCCCAGAACCUGCAACAUAAUCAAAGACAUGUAUAUAGCGAUAUGUAUGAAGCACUACUUCAUGAGAAGAUAGUGAACUGGGAGGUAGUGUUUGAAAAUAAAGAUGGUAGAGAGCAGAUUCUCAUUAAAUCGAUAUUCAAUCAUUUGCAAAAUUAGAGUCCAUUUGGAAAUUCUAGAAUACAACGUUAGUUGAAAAUCACAUGACAUUAACCAAAGCUUCUGCAUGCUAAUCAGUAAGAGAAAAUGAGGAUAUCGAUACCAAUUCGUAUGGAUCAAUUUGUAAAACGUACCUUAGUUCUUCCCAUAUAGACAAAGAGAUAAGAUGGCGUUGCACAAAGUCUGGUACACUGUUGCUGUCUUUCUUAUACAUCUCAGCAGAGACCUCCAGUGCAUCUCUAAUGGUUGAGAGAUCAUUCCGUGAUGUUGCCCGACCAAUUGCUGUUUUAAGCUAAAGAUUGAAGAAACACUUCUUGUAUCAGUCAAAAGAAGACUGCUAAUCUAUAAACAAAUCUCAAAAACAUAACCCAAUACUCUUCCAGUUGACUCUAUGGCAAAUAUGUCUCCUUCCUCAGAGAUGGAGGGGCAUUUGCAUUGAUUUACACAUAAACAGCCAUAUAAUUCUCCUACUAAUAAGUAAUCUACCAACAUGUAGACGUUAACUAUAUCACAGAAGUGAAGGAGACAAAGGCCACAUAAGAAAUAGAUAACUAUACAUGUGUGUAGUUAUCUUGCAUACAAACACAAGUUGCUUAUGUAGUUAACUUACCAAUUCUUUAACUGCAACGAACUGCUCAUCAGUCAACUGACACUGCCAACCCUGCAAGGAUACACAUGUAAAGGUUCUGCUUUGUCCAAAACAGUGUAAAAAAUCAGCUGCAGCUUUCUCAAGUCUCAUACAGAGUGUAUAUGCUCGCUUAUACAUUCAACAAAGCCGCUACCACCAAUUCCCUCUGCAUCAGACUCGAUCAAUGCUGCAAAGGAAGUGUAAAAAGCCUGUUAAUCAGCAGCACUCUUUGGACAAGGCUGAGAGGUUUUACACUCGCAUAUUCAUACCUAGAAUUGUGCCAUAUUCAAAUGAGGAAAGUGGAUCAUCAGUAGCUCCCAAUUUCAACAGGCGCAGCCAUAAGCCCUGUGCAAAAAUUUACAUUGUUCAUUAAAAAUGAGAAAUGAAAGGAUUCAUUGUAUGUAUUUCCUUUUUUUCUGUACACACCCAAUUUACAUUAUUCUAGUUUUUUUAACCCAAUAUCUAGUACCAUAAGCAACUUUUAUGCUAUUGCCAAAAGUAUAUCCACCAGCAAGUCAUGAUAAAAAAACAGUAGUUGGUUAUAGAGCUAUAAGACAGUUAAUGAUACGUUAUCAUGAGUCAACAAGGAAUCACAACAGAGCAAAGAAGAAAAGUGAUUUUUGUUCACCUGCAGCUUAACUUGAAUGUCGAGGACCAUGCGUUCUCUUUCUGCCUGCAGAUUGUUCAAUUUUUUAUGAGUUCUUGAACCACAACUACCCUCUUUUCUAGAUUAGAUAUAAGUAACAUACCGCCCUCUCCAUUGGACUAAGAGUGUCCUUCCCCACUUGCACAGAUGGUGAGCUGAAAGAAAAGCAAUUACAUCAGAACGGACAGUCCAACUGAACCUCCCACGAUUGCCCUCUCUCCCUUCAUCCAAAAAGACAAGUGUACUCAUCCAAACACACAUACGCGGGAGCAGUUUUAAUGUACUCAAAAGCUCCACUUGCUGCAGCAAGAAUCUGUUUCCUCUUCUCCUCCUGCUCUUCAGAUCUUAUAUUAGUAGGAAACCUGUCAUAAAUAUAUUUUGCACCUGAUCCUGAAGAAACAGAGACAAUCUAGGCUUUAAGUUUGAUGGUCAAAAUAAGAAAUUAACUACGACACAUCAUUAGAUGCAUAAAAAUACAGAAGUGGUGAUUUAGAAUCCAAUUUUACCUGACGAUCCCCCAUUUGGAUCUGAUAUGGUCACAAAUUCAGGUUCUGCCGAAGAUGAGGGAAGAAUUGACAUGGGAUUUUGACCUCUUCCAAUGGCAUCUUGUAACUUGUCUAAAAGAUUAUUGUCACUUUCUUCGAGGCUCCCAGUUCUUCCCAGAAAAUCCAAGAAACCAUGAGUAUCCAAAAAUUGAGAUAUCUGUAAGCAGCAAUGAAACUAGCAUCAUGAAAUGAGUGCCAUACACUUAAGCCAACAACAGUCGAACAUCCAAAAUGUAAUCCCACAAGGAAGUACCAACACCAAACUUAACAUCACCCCUCUUCACUCUAACUUUCCCUAACACAACACCACCAAUUACAAGCAAUGACGUCAGCCCGAGAAAAGGUCAACUACAAACCUCCAUUCAACAAUGACAAAGAAACGUAAUUAUAUUCUAUUACCAUCUCAUUCAAAGAACAUCAACAACUCAACCAAGACUUUUAACGAAGGUCACAUUACGAAUUCGAGAAAUGCAAGUGCAGCAAAGAAAUACAAUCCAACCAUGGCAUCUGGGGGUUGAUGUGUUGACCUAGAGCGCUUCUUCAAAAAUGCCUGAUUAUUGAAGGCCUGAGCUGCACUAUUUUCCUGAUAAAAUGAGUUAUGAGAAAACAAAUAUGAGGACAUAAUAAUGUCAUCGCUCCAAAAUUGAUUCCAGAUAACAAGAAUGAGGAAAAUUUCUCCAUACGAUGAAAUUGCGGUAGCCACCUAAGAUUGACGCAAAAAACCUGAGGAAUAUUAACCUGCAGAUGCACAAAAAUUUCAUUACAGACAAACCAAUAGACGAUUAGCAUUUUUGGCAAUAAUUUAUGCUACUCAAAAAACCAUAGAGCAGUAACUAUAAUGAGACAGAAAAGACCGAUCCAAGAAAGGAGAUAAAAAGAAAGGAGAAAGAAAAUAAGCAUUAAACAGAUGGGACUCGGCAACGAUAAAAAAACUGGUCAGUCUAAUCAUUAUUUUCCUUAAAAACGCCGUAAUUGCAUAUAGAUGUGCAUUUCAUAAUCAAUAAAAUUCUCACUUCACGCAUAACUUCAGCUGAUACAGAUAACAAGACUACAUUCUAGUGUAUGAAGCAAUAAAAAGAAUGAAGGAGAGAAACAGAAACAAAAAAGAACUCGGCAAGCAAAUGAUGUUUCCACAAAAGCUAGAUGGUCAAAACAAUGUGCCGUAACGAACUUAAACAUUGCUACUAAUCUUAAACAUAUUGGUCGUAGGGAAUUAAUGAUUUUUGAGAAUUCAAGUGAAAUUAAGUAUCACCUAAGUUGAAGAUCUAGCUCCUCUCCCCAUGGCUGGUUGCUGGAAACAGGCCAUUGCUCGGAAGCACCAACUGGACUACUUUUAAUCUGAUCUAUCCCCACAACAUUUGGGUGCAACAACUUCAAUAUGUCCAUACGUAGAGAAGUGAAUUCAGGCUCUGGGAUAGGAGGUAUUUCCUCAGUUGUGCUUAUUCGAUUAUACUCAAGGUCGACAACAACCACCUAUCACACGAAAUGAAAGUAGAGAUACCAUGCUCAGAAUGUAUUUGCAUACCACCUAUGUCAUUUCAUAUCUAUUAUUUUAACCACAACAAGCAUAAGAAAUUACUUAAUUUGCAAACUAUAUGCAUAUCCUGAGUAGUUUAAGAAAAGAUUAAUAGCUCCCCAGACUCAACAAGAGUUAGAAACUUAUUGUCAUUUAAAUACCUUUGGUGCCAAAUCACUUAUUAAAGCUAAGUUUUGCAGCAAAUACUGAUAUUUAACAGUUGAUAAAAUAGUAACUAGUUCUUUGUAUACUGCAAUGCUGGCAGCAUAAAGAUAAUUGAGUAAUUGCACAAGUAACGACAAUGAAGCUACAAGUUUAGCAUGAACUUACACCGUCCAUUACAAGGUAGGAUGUAUCGACACUUGAAUGAAGACCCAUCAUAUAUGGUGUAGGAGCAUCAAUAUAGUCUACUCCACUGAAAAAAAGUAAUGGAAUGUACACAUGCUUCACGCCAAGAAAAUAAAGAAUAAUUAGAUUUAGCAUAACUCAAUCAAACCCACAAUAAAUUAGUUUCAAACUUCACAACCAAAUAUAUCACAUCGAUAAUAUCAAGUGCAUUUUACAGAAUAGCUCUAACACUUCAUAUUAUAUGAAUUUCAUAAUAUCAAGAUCUUACCUGCCACCUAAAGGGAUAUAUCAAAUGGCAUAUGGCUUCUGACACUAGAGUUAAAAGCGAAUACCUGUUCCAGGAAACACAACAGUUACACUCUCAAAAAACAGCAGUUACACUCUCAAUAUUGCAGCUAUGUGCAUGUUGUUGUUACUAACAUCUAAAUAAUAACUGACCUAACAUGAGGAAAACAAUUAGUUGUGACAUUUUUUUAAAUUGAUCAGAGAUUGCUGUUAGAAUCAUUAAUCAUUUUGACUCUUUCUAUCCCUUUAGAAGUUGCAUUUUUUUUACAGUCCCUUAAAAAGUUGUAUAAAAGAUGAAAUCAGCUGAAAGGCAAUCUCGAGUAUACGCCGCAUUCAUUUUGACUCUUUUUGUAACUGCAUAGAGAUAUGUGUAUCUUUCAGAAUCAUUUAACAAAGAACAUGCAGGAAAACUUUGAGAAGUAGAUUAUAUUUUUACAGUUCCAACCGCAACGUCAAUUGUCAUGUAAUACCCAUGAGAGUGAGGGAACAUCAUACUGCCAUAAUACAGGAAAUCCAAGCUAUCUAAAGCAAAGGGCAUACAUACUUAUCAGAUCGCAGCAAAAUCCUCCUCUCAAGCAGAACAGCAGUAAAAAGCAGAAUUAAGUUGUCAACAUCCAAACAUUGGACAAGUGGUUGAAAUGAUAUCUGCAGUUGGAGAAACAAAGUUCAUAUGCUAUAAUGUCGUUGAUUUUUCUAAUAUAACUUGAAAAGGCUGAUCAUCAGCAAUAGGGCGAUUCAGCUAAUCAAGUAACUGAAAAAGGCUUACAUCAACAUGAGGAAGUCCGUCUUUUGGUGGAGCAUCCACUGAAAGCAGACAAUUCUCAAUAGCAAACAACACCCGAUCUUUCCCAGGAGUAGGCAACGGUACAUUGGAUACCAUGUGAGCAAUUACAUCCCACAAAGGCUUGCUGAAAUUUCCACAGAUUAGAGAACCCAGUCAAAUGUUUUCACAUUGCAAAAACUUAAACUCGCUACAACAGCCUUGAAAAACCUAGUGUUUAACCAAAUGUUGGAUUAAGUAACUUAUAUAGCCUACUCACAAAAUGAAAUGAAAUUACCAAGUGUACUUACCUACUACCACCUGACGAAAAGCAGAGGGCAAAUAGUUCUUCAAGAGCACUGCGAAGGACACCAAAACUAGGAUACCGUGAAAUGAGACAAAUGCAUUUAUCAGCAAAUGAAUUUGGAGGUAUCCGGUAUGCUUCAGCAAUAUCCUCACUAACUGGAUCCCGAAAUGCAAUGCAACUAACAUAAAUCUUCGACCCAUCACCCUCUGCGUAAAAUUAACAACAAAGAAUAGAAAAGAACCAUGAGUUUUCCUUCCAGAUGGCCAAGCCAAUUAUCGCAAUCGCAUACACUACUGACUAUACAUAAAGGUAUCGUCAGUCUCAGACAAUGGGUACCAAGUUAAUACUCUUGAAGUUGAUCACGAGAACAGGUAAAGGGCUUCUGAAUACUGUUCUAUUUCAGCUAAGACGUUCGGAAGAAGGAUGGUAAACCUAGCAGACUAGCAGCUUCUUGAUACUUAUUACUCCUAACGAAGUAGUGCUUUCUGAUAAUAGACUGAUAUCCAAGAUGUAAAGCAAGUGUAGCAGCUAGCAGGGAAAUAAAUUGUACCAGUUAAUACAAUAGGAUAGCUCCGUAGUGAAGAGGAAGGAUCAUUCACGUCAAAUCCAGCAGAGAAGAUUUCCACACCAGCUGGCAACACACACUGCAAUUCAUAACAAUUCACGGAAAUUGAAGCUGUGCUCCAACGGAAUUUCAAUCAUACUGAAGUAGCAGGAGGACGAAGAAGAAGAUUGUUACAGUGGGGAGCUGCGGAGGAGGAGGAAAGUGAGUAUCCGGAGGGUACUGAUCAAGAAGCGAUGGCAAGUACAGAACUCCAACUCCAUGGUAGCCUUUGUUCCCGUCAAGUGUUCGAAUCUCGGGGCCAAGCCCGCACACCACGAAGUACUCGAAGAUCGGCGCCAUUGUCUUCUUCUAUCUCAAUUGGAUCUCGAGCUGAAUCCAACUGAGAAUCCAAUCAGCCCCCCUAUACAAAUUGAGAGCUGAAUCAGACGAGAAACGUGCGUCGAUUCUUCAUGCGGGGAUUUCGAUGGAAGGAGGUUGAUGGUAAUAAGGUGGUAUGGACGGAGGUUUGUGGCCGGAUUAUGAGCAAGCCGCUGCCGGCGGCGGAGAGUAAUUCUCCGAUCUUUUACGUCGUCGCCGUUUCUCUCUGAUUUCAAAUUCCCCGAUUCUGUUAAUUCUCAAUCUGGAUCUUACCGGUUUCUCUGCUGUCUCUCUGACCAGCAGCAGCAAUUAACCAACCAACGGCAAGCCUGAGCGAAAGAAGCAUAGCUGAGUCAAACGGCAGCGCGUUAAGUAACGGCACCGUUUCCUUUGACAUUUCUUACGUAUAAAGGGAAGUAAUAUACUCCUGAUUAUACUCGAUGCAUGGUGAGUACUGCACCCUAUCCUUGCAUGUGACUGAUCUGACCCACAAACCCGAGCUGCAAAUAACCAACAAACACCUGUCGCGAACAAUAUUCAGAGCCACCACCAUUUUACCACAAUGGCCGCCCUCCAAGUCUCACCAAUUCACACGCCUACACUCCAGCUUCAGUCAUCUUCAUAUAUAAAACACAAUUUCCAUCAGUUUUUCUGUGUGGUUAAAAAUGUCUUCAAACAAUGGAGUCGCGAGUACUUCAUGGACGGCUAGGGAGAACAAGCUGUUCGAGGAGGCUCUGGCGCUGCACGACAAGGACACCCCUGACCGUUGGAUCAACGUGGCCAAUGCCGUUGGCGGCGGGAAGUCCGCGGAGGAAGUGAAGCUGCAGUUUGACAUCCUGGUUGCGGAUGUUGAACGUAUCGAAUCCGGUCGGGUUCCGAUCCCUAAGUACAAGGCCGCUGCUCCGAAGCUUGCAUCUCGCUUCUAGCUGAAAUCGCUAUCGAUCGAGAAUCGAGGAAGAUGGUAGGAGUUCUUGUGCUUAAUGCUUGUAUUACCAUGUUUUAAUCGGAGUUAUUAGCGACAAUGAAAGAAAGGGAAUCGAACGAGUUCCCCUUUUCGUAAUGCAUGCCCGCAAUUCCAAAUGUGCGUACUUUUUAUUGUUACGGUGAACCCCCGACCCCAGCGUGUGUACUUCAUUCUUCAUGAUUCUUCGAUAAGUUCGCACUGUGCCUCGAAAUGUGUGUAGACAUUGUAGUACCAGCGAAGAUAUCUAGAUAUCGAAUUUGAUUAUGAGUAUCCAAUAUUCAAAACUAUAAUAUAGUGAUACACUCAUAUAGCCCUAAUGUCUUAUCACUGUAUAAUCGACACAAAAAUUCUGAGUGCGGUAAAUGGAUACUCAUUACCCAAACUUAUUUGCCCAUCCGUAAGAGUUAGUUGCACUAAAAUAGGUUUGGCAAUGGUUUAGAUCAGUAACAUGUAGUGCAUAUCCACUGCUUAACCAUUUUAAUAAAAUUACGGUGAAAAUUUACCAAAUUUGAUCGUUCGGAUUUAAUUUUAAUAUCAUCAAAGUACUAAUCGGAUCACGAUUUUAACUAUUGAUUAUUAUUCACCAAACAAACCAACCAAAUGAUCAUUCAGUUCGUUGUUGCAAGCACAUAAAAGCCGUCAAAGCGAUUCCAAAACUAUUUUCACCAACUCAGUUUCGAACGGAUUUAUGAUUUUUCGAAUUUCAUGGCCAAACCUACACUAAAGUAAGCUAGGCCCAAACGAAUAGCCAUUUUAGUAUUGGGCCAAUUAUACAGUAUUGCACUCUGUGUAGUCUUCAUCUUCUUCCUCUAAAACCCUAACACUUGAUAAAUCCUCAUUUUAAUUCAACCGCAAAGAUUCUCCGCCAUUUCCAGGCACCCUAACAGUAAACCUCAAAAACCCUCGAGAGAGCUCAGUCCAAGAGCUCUCGUCAACAAUGGCCGAAGUUGAAGUCUCCCGCUCCGAUAAGAAGAAGCACAAGAAGAAGACCGGUUCAGCCGACCCUGACACCGACGCUGACCCCAUGUCUGCUGCCGCCGUAAAUGGCGGCGCAUACUUUAACACACCCCCGAGCUUCUCGCCCUCGAUCGCACGGAUCAAACGGAUCCUCCGAUCGGAGAAAACCGGCCACAGCGGGACACUCGACCCUAAAGUCACAGGUAACCUAAUUGUUUGCAUCGAUAGAGCUACUCGUCUGGUUAAGUCCCAGCAAGGUGCAGGGAAAGAGUACGUCUGUGUUGCCAGGCUGCACGAUAAGGUUCCCGAUGUCGCCAAAGUCGGCAGAGCUCUGGAGACGCUGACCGGAGCCGUCUUCCAAAGGCCGCCAUUGAUCUCUGCAGUCAAAAGGCAGCUUAGGAUCAGAACAGUUUACGAGAGUAAGCUGCUGGAGUAUGACGUGGAUAGGCAUUUGGUUGUUUUCUGGAUUUCCUGUGAAGCUGGUACUUAUGUGAGGACUAUGUGUGUUCAUUUGGGGCUUGUUCUUGGCGUCGGUGCUCAUAUGCAGGAGCUCAGAAGGGUUAGGUCUGGAAUUUUAGGCGAGAAAGAUAACAUGGUGACAAUGCACGAUGUUAUGGAUGCUCAGUGGGCUUAUGAUAACUAUAGAGAUGAAUCUUACUUGAGGAGGGUGAUUAUGCCGUUGGAAGUUCUUUUAACUAGCUAUAAGAGGCUGGUUGUGAAAGAUUCUGCUGUGAAUGCGAUCUGCUAUGGUGCGAAGCUGAUGAUUCCGGGGCUGUUGAGGUUCGAGAACGAUGUUGAAGUCGGGGAGGAGGUUGUUCUGAUGACGACAAAGGGUGAGGCGAUUGCUCUAGGGAUUGCUGAGAUGACUACUGCUGUUAUGGCUACCUGUGAUCAUGGGGGGGUGGCUAAGAACAAGAGGGUGGUUAUGGAUCGGGAUACUUAUCCGAGGAAAUGGGGGUUAGGGCCGAGGGCUUCAAUGAAGAAGAAGCUGAUUUCGGAGGGGAAAUUGGAUAAGCAUGGGAAGCCAAAUGAGAAUACGCCUCAAGAAUGGGCGAGGAACUUGGUUUUACCCACUGGUGGAGACUCUAUGGUUGCUGCUGCUGCAGCUACGGCUACCCCUGUUGCUGAACCAGUGGUAGAGCCGAAAGUUGAGGACGAAAUGGGAACUAAUAAGAAGAAGAAGAACAAGCGCAAGCACGAGGACGAGGAAAUGCCCGAUGCUGAUGCUGAGGCUACGGCCAAGAAGGCUAAGAUUGAGAAUGUGGAGGGUGAGGAAACUCCCAAGGCGAAGAAAUCGAAAGAAGAAGAUGUCGAUACAACAACGGAGAAAAAGAAGAAGAAGGACAAGGAGGGUGAAGAGGCUGCUUCGCCCGAGACGGGAAAGUCGAAGAAGAAGAAGAAGAAGGAGAAGGAGGAGGCUGAGAAGGCAGCUGCAGCCAUCGAAGAGGCUGAUAAAAGUGAAAAGAAGAAGAAGAAGAAGAAAAAGGACAAAGAUGGUGAAGAGUAGAUGAUGAGAUAUGCAUAAUAUUAUUGCUCUGCAUAUGUACUCUCUUUUGUUUCAUUUUUGUAACAUUUUCAGGAUGCGAUUUCAUGGGAACUAGUUUUUUUCAUAGAGCUGUUGCGCUGAUCUGCAUCGGGUUUUUGUCUUGCGAAAUAUUCUGGCCGAUUCGAUCUCCAAUAUGAUUUCGUUUUACCGUCUCUAGUCACUUGAUGAAUCUCUUCAGUUGAGAUUACCUCGUUCAGAUUGCUUCAGCUCUUCUUCAAUGGUGUCUUUGUUACAGAUUAGCUGAAAUGUUGAAUUUGGCGCCACGACAGUAUAGCCGGUGGUGGGCCUCAUUUGAUUAUUGGGCCGGAUUCAUUUUCUUACCAGCUUUGCUAGCAGCCUCACAGGCCCGUAUCUGUAUAGACUACAGUAAUAACCAGCACAGUAGAAGUUCAUGUAUGUGCUCGAGUGAAUGGUUCGUUCGGUUGUGAGUGUGAUCGAGUGGUGUGGCGUGUGCGUAUAGUAGUGAACCGGCUAUGAGCUAGCUGCUGCAUUGAUCAUCAUGGAACAGAACAGACUCGUCAAACAGCCAUGGAAUUCCAAGCCACUGGGCGUAAUGAGAAUGAGCGUCUCGUAGCUAGUUAAACAGGGUUGGAUGGACGAAAGCACCAUGUCCAUUUGGAUGGUUAGAUUAGACUCUAUGGUUAUUGGAGGUACUUUACGAGACCGAAUUGGGUCGCUGGUUUCCAACCAUCUUGGUCGCGAUUCUGCAAUUCUGGUCGAUUUGACUUGAUGGCCGAUUCAACCUGCCUGAUGUAUAUCCAGAUACAAAGAAUAAGCUCGAGGCAGCCAUGUAAGAUGAAAAAGCAUUCAUGAUCUACUAUCACAUCAACAUAGCUUCUCGACCAUAAGACGCUUAUUUUCUUCAUUGAGAAGGCCUCCAAGAAAGUAACGAAUCAUUUUAUCAGGUACGUCGAAAAAUCCAUAAAAAAAAUUCAAAUUCAAGGAUUUCAUUCUUUUAAAAGGGUGAGAUUGGUGUUUACAAGCCUGGAUCAGCAACUAUGGAAUAGAAGAUCUUAAAACAAAAUAAGGCUGAAAUUAGGGCCGUUGCCUCUCGGAAGCUGUUUCACUAGAAGAAGCAGGCAAGAAGAACUGUUCGUGCCCCAUUAACUCGAUUUUUGCAGGACUAAGAGAGAGAAGUUCCGACAUGGAAACUUCAGGUAGUGUAUGACAUGAAGAAUGAAUCUUGAAACUGAAAGAUUGGAGCUUGGGAGCAUCGAUUUCAAGAGUGCCGAAAUCUGAUGACACAAUCUCCAAAUUGAGCAGUUGGGGUGCAGACACUAUUAAAAUACCAGUAUCUGACAGAUAUUUGUCCAGCUUUAGAGUUUCCAAUCUGGGGAAGUUAGUAAAAGCAUCGUGUGCAGCAUCAGCAAAGUCAAAGUAGCAUUCGGUCCGUGUAAGAGAUUCAAACCGUUGCAAACGAGACCACAAUCCAACAUCAGUCUUUUGAAUGCAUUUUCGCUUCAACUCCAGAACUUUUAGAGAUUGAUAGAAAACACAUACCAAUCUAGUGAAGUCAUCACUUGGGUAAUUGAGAGCACAAAUGAAUUGUUCUUGAACGCCAUGAGAAGCAACGUAUUUAAUGAUCCUAUCAAACAGAUUCAUCAUCCGUUCUUCCUGCUGGGAGAAUUUGUAACUCUGCUGACGCUACUGCUUUCACAGCGGAGGGAAAGAACUUGAUCCACCUGCCGCUCGAAAUGCAGAUCACUUCUGGUUGUGCUCUUACGGAAAGUGAGAACAGGAACAUAUUUCCAUAUAGAAAUCCACCUCCUAGAUAAAAUGUUGGUUCGAACCGAAGAUCUAGUGUCGACAAAGAGAGGAUGUGAUGCAAAAUGCUGUCAUGAAGAUCACUUAGCCUAUUGAUACCUGACCGUCGAAUCAAAAACUUUCUCCUAAAUACGUUCUGAACCAUUAACUCAAUGUUUGCACGGUGAAGAGAAGGAAGUUUCGACUUGGAAACUUGAGGUAGUAUAUCAUAUGAAGAAUCAAUCUCGAGACUGAAAGAUUGGAGCUUGGGAGCGUCCAUCUCAAGACUGUCGAGUCUUGGACAAACAAUCUCCAGGUUGAGCAGUCGUGGUGCAGUUACUAUUAGAAUAGUAGUAAAAGCAUUAUGUGUUGCAUCCUCAAAGAAAAAGUUGCAUUCGGUGGUCAGAGUAAGAUAUUCAAGCCGUUGCAAACUAGAAAACAACCUAAUUUCAGUGCUUCCGAUGUCUACCAGCUCCAACUCCAGAACUUUUAGAGAUUGAUAGCAGGCGUAUACUAAUCUACAGAAGUUAUAACUUGGGAGAUAGUCAAUACGAAUAGAUAGCUCUUGAACGGCAUGAGAAGCAGCGUAUUUCAUGAUCCUACCAAACAGAUCCAUCAUUCGUUCUACCUUGAACAAGACGAUUGCAACUCUAAUGUUGUUGCUACUAUCAGAACGGAGGGAAAGAACUCGAUUCACCUGCCGGUCCAAACCCGGAUUACGAUUGAAAUCGAGAACCAUAACAUAUUUCCAUACAAAUAUCCACCUCCUAGACAGAAUGUUGGUUCGAACCGAAGAUCUAGUGUCGACGAAAAAAAGGAUGUGAUAUAACAUACUGUCAGGAACAUCAUUUGAUUGUUGGGCCAGGCUCAUUUGCUUACAAGUUUUACUAGCAGCUUCACAGGCCCGUAUCUCUGUUUAUAAUUAUACAGCCUAAUAUCCCGCCCAAGUAGAAAUUCAUGACUACGUUUUCCAUGCAGUCAAAUAAGAAGGAUUUAGCGAAAUUCGGUGGCAUGUGUAUCAAACGCAAAUAAUUUAACCAAUAAUCAUAGUGUUUAUGUUCAUCAAACAUGAAUAACAAACCAGUAACACACUGAACCAAUAUCGGAACACUGGAGAUUGUUCAAUCACUCGAGCCAAGAUUCGCCCGGCCAUCCAUGUACUCCGGAUUGCGUGGGAUAAUGGGCAUCGAAGAGUCAAUUUGCAAGUCGACUCUUCUGUUGUCGCCUCCCAUGCAAAUAACACUACUGCUAUUGAUACACGCAAUUUUAAUUGCAUAAAGGAGUUGCAGCAGCUCCUUACAAGAGAUUGGUGUGUUGCGGUCUCCCACACUUAUCGAGAGGGCAACCGAAUUGUUGAUCUUCUCGCUCAUCAUGGACAUUCUUUACACUUUAGAAUGCACCGAAAGCAGUAAGUGCGGCAGAAUUUGAGCAAAGUAGAUAGGUGUCCCGAUAUUUGUAAAAUGGCUACAAAUAGAAUCAUCCAGAUCAGUCCAAUUAAUUAAUUAAUUACUAGAUUAGAUUAUUAUUAUUAUUAUUAUUAAAUAAUUAAGGUUAGAUUUAGGAGGGAGGGGCUAAUUUGUCGCUUGAAAUGGAGCACAUGGUGCUUCUGUUGCUUGAUUGGAGUAACGAUCUUCGAUGCCAUCUUCUAACCUUAGUGGUUGGAUUGAAUCUUACUUUUUUUUUUUAAACUAAAUCUAAUAUAGGUUAGAUUAUGAUUCUUUGUUUGCUGUUGAGAGAUAGAUUUAGAAAUGUUUUAAUAUGUUGAAUUGGAUGGUAUAAAAUUAAGAAAUGUGUUAGAUUAUAUAUAAAAUGAAUUGAUUUAUGAAGAAAUUUAUCAUUUGAAUAGAACGAGAUUUGCAUAUUGUUGGUGUUUUAAAUUUUGUUAUGGGUUGAGUCGUGAUUAAAAGAGGUAAUUUGGUAUGUAGAUAUGCCUUUUUUCGUAGUUUUAAUAUUUGUUUGUAUUUUUAAAAGGAUUUCAAAUUGACAAGAGUUUGUGAGCUUGUUGUCCUCUAAUUUCUACUUUUCAGUCAUGGUUAUGAGUCAUAGUCACCCAAAAAACCAAUUAGGUUUACGAAGAUAAGGUUGAUAUAUUUUACUAAUCGAUAUAAAUGAUAGAAUCAAACGUCAUAUUAUUUAAUUUCUCUCGAAACUAAAUAUAAUUUAAAUAUCAUUUCUAUAUAAAUUUGUCUGCCAUUACAAUCGGUAACUAAAAAAACCGUCCCCAUCCCAACCCAUUGUAAAUAAUUAGUUUGCAUGAACAUCCACAUCUUUGUCCAUGUUUGCAAGCAUAGUUUGGCACCCUUUGCCUUGUCUCAAUCCCCCAUCAGAAUCUGACUAAUUGUGGUAGAGACAUGUACACACUUUCAGCAUUCAACUUUUUAGUACCCCCAUCUUGUCUUUUUCACCAUCUUUUAUCAAAUUUUGCAACACAUUUUCAUGAAAAUGGGAAACAUUGCUAUAUUAAUAUAUUGAGCUAUAACCAAACCAUUCAUCAAAUGAUCACAUGGUGAUUACCAAGAUUAGGAACCAAGAGAAUCCCAUACAAGAUUCAAACUUUUUGCCUACCCACAUGAUAACAAAACCCCGUACCAGAUUUGUUAAUUUAAUUCGUCAAAAUAUUCCAUUUUGAGACGAUAUAUAUUAACCUUGAAUAUUACAUUCAUAAGGUUGGACCUGUGAUUCAAUUAUCGUAAAACUGACAUAGUAAUCUAAAUAAGGCAAUGAUUAAUAGCAUUGGAACCAUAAAAUAGACCAUUGAUCAAAGUCAUGGUGAUUAGCAAGGCUAGGAAAAGGCAAGAGAAUCCAAAAAAGAUUCAAACUUUGGCCUACCCACAUUACAUUAAACCUUAAUAACAUAACACAACCCAUCAUCAAACUUAGCUUCCUCUCACUCAUUUUCUCCCCUAAACCUCAAAAAAGAACCAAACAUAGAAACAAAAAGAUUACAACUUGGAUAGAAAUUGUAGCAAAAGGUUUAGAGAUUGGAGAAGGAAGCUACAUGGGUUCUUCAACUUUGAUUACUAAACAAUAUAGGAAAUUAAUUAACCUACUAUUGGAUAUAGCUAUGUAUAAAAUUGGGUUCCCCUUAUUAUUUAUUUAUAAUGCUUCUUGAUGAUGAUGAUGAUUAAUAUCAUCACUUGCCUAUAACCUCAUCAACGCAGCUUCAUGUUCCUCAUCCUGCAAAAAAAUUCGCAAACUCGGUUAGAUAGUCGAAAAAGACAGAAACAAUGUGUUCUAAACUUUCUUAUACCGAGGUUUUCAUUUUUCUGAUAAUUUUUUUUCUUUUUUUACCUUUUUAGUAGCAUAUUGAGGGUUGAGCAAAUUUAGUAAGUGAUUAAGUGCCACACGUCAUAUAAGAGUCAAAAUCGAGAUGUUAGAAGAACGAAGCCCACUCGUGAAAAGUACCUCAUAAUAAACAUGAGAAAGCCUCCUAAACCAUUUGACAUUCGAGUUAUUGCGAAAAACAGUUUUUCUCCAAAUUGAAAAAGAGUAGAAAUUGAGUAAAUUAAGCAGGUUAUUAAUGAAGUUGGAAGAAGGAAUACCUCUUUUCUUCAUCGGAGACGAGGGAGGAAGUGGUGGUGUAGUUAGGGAAAGGGACGUGGCCGGACUCGAUGAACUUGACAUCUUCAACAAGGAGAUCAUAGUGGAGCUUGACAUCCUCAGGGGUCUUGUUCCCACCAACAGCCUUGGCGACAUUAGACCACCUGUCAGGUGUUUCCUUGUCGUACACAGCCAGUGCCUUCUCAAAUGCCUUGUUCUGCUUUGCUGUCCAGCUCCCCCCUGAUCCUCUUGCUGACAUUGAGCUUGUUGCCAUUUAUAUGUAGAUUUAGUAACUAGUUACUUGAAAGAACAAAAACCCCCAACUUUGAUUUGAAAGAGAUGCUGGUGAUGGAGAAGAAGAGAGUGUGGCAAUGGCUGCUCUUUUAUAGGCCAAAUUCAGGGAGAAGCUAGUAUGCCAGUUGGCAAUGGAGUUCCUUUCUUUUCUUGAUUGGUUGGAAUUUAGUUUCUUUUUUCUUCUUCAUAAUGAUUUGGCUUCCUAUGAGCCACAACUUAGUGAAGAUGUGGAGGUGGGGUGAGUCAUAUUCACUUUGAAUAUUUUGGGUUGAUUUUUUUAAAAAUCGUUGUAUUCUAAUAAUUCGAGUGGUUGGAAGAGGGUUGAUGAUGGAUCUUAUAUCAUUUUCUAGUACACCCCUUCAAACGAAAGCCCACUUAUGGGUUUGAAGUUUGCACGGGCACACCAUUUUUUGUGCUUAAAUCAACUGUCAAUAUUGAGACCGUUUGGUCUAAACGCUUUGAUACCAUGUCAAGGAUCGUUGCAUCCCCAUAACUCAAGUUGUUGGGAAUGAUGGAUCUUAUACCAUUCUCUAAUAGAUUUCAUACUCGUUUUGCGGGUUUCAGUAUUCUUUCCUCUUUUUAUAUAUGUUCGUGUCACAACCUAAAAAGUUGCAUGGUAUUAUUGGUAAGCAGAUUUAUAAAAAGUUGCACAGUUUCGUGAUUUUGAGUCCACAACAAUCGGUACACCCUUAACAAGACUAAUAUUUUAGCUAGCGGAGGAUUCAAGAAAGAGAUUUUUAAUAAAGCGGGUCAAUUAUCCUUCUUUGAUCAUGUACACAUCCUCGAAAAUAUGAUAAAUUUUCUAUAUAUUCCAAAUAUUGGACACUGUUUUUAUAAAUAUAUCACGUUACAAAUUUUAUCAUUCCGACACAGUGCAUCGAACCAAUGUGAUGAAUUGCUCCCAUUUGAAUUAGUGAUAAGAACUCUAUCAUGAUGAAAACAGUUUCACGUGUAUUAGCUGGUAAUCCCCCCCUUUUCUCAGUUUUCAGAGAACACCCUAUUUCCCUUUACUUUGCCACAUGGCAUCCCUCUAAGAACCAAACAAGGCCUUAUGAUUAGAGAAAAAAAAAUCUUCAAAUUUCAACAGAUUUACACAAAAUUUCCUCACUUUAAAAUCAAAAAAAUAUUAAAUUAUAUCCUAAAUUCAAAACUAUCUACAACUUUCACGUGUGCACCACACAACACUAUUUGGUGGGCUAUGAUAUCCACAAAACCAAAACCCUAUUGUGCUCUUUGAUGUUCCAUUAUAAUGAAUGUACCAUUCUGUCCUGGACAACAUUCCAAGCUAACCCUAGCUGGCUUGUUCUAUUCUCUUCAUGUGUGUGUGUGUGUGAGAGAGAGAUCUCUAAGGAUGAUAAUAAGUCAAAACAUUUGUGUGUGUCAUCUCACCUUAAAGGCUAUAACCCUUUUCAGCUCUAAGGAACUUAAUUGUGUUCUUUCAUUCAUCAUUGUUGGUUGGUUCUUUGCUUUCGAAAUAAGGGCGGUGGCCCUGUGACCGUCCAACCUCUCGUUUUGGAUUCAAUACCACGAAUGUAUUGUAUAAAGGAAUCUAUUGUUGUAAAUUAGUUGUAAAUUAUAGUCACUUUAGUUUGACAUGUGUUUUAAUAUGUUGUUGUCGACUUAUAUGACUUGGCAUUCUAAAUCAAAUUAACUAUUAAUACUCUCGAAGUUAUCGUUAAAUUUGUUCGGAGGGUGUCCAUGGAUAUCCCUCUUUUUUAUUCAAUGUCAUGAAUGUAUAUACGAAGAAAGUGUUGCAUUUAGGCACCUAUUAUUGAACAUACAUAUGAUGCAACAUAUGUUGGAUGGUUUCUCGUUUUGGAUAAGAGCUAGUAUAUAUAGGGUGGUGACCGUCCAUCCUCUCUUUCAUAUUCAAUACCACGAAUAUAUGUAUAAAGAAACUGUUGUAACAACUUUUAUAUCACCUUAUAAAAUGACUUGACAUUCCAAAGUUAUAACGACCAACUCAUGUAAACUCUAACGAUUAUUCUUUGUUAUCGAAAAAUGUCUCAUGUUGAAUGUGUGACCCACUUACUGUUUUCGCAAGCUAUAUCUUUGAUUAGUGAAAUAUAUUGCUAUGUGUGAACAAACUUUUUAACUAAAGUUUUGGGCAAUUUUGCCUAUCUUUUGUCUUACAAUGGUGGGAACAGAUUUGGGGUUAUUCCCAGAACAGCCUCCUUUCUUGGAACUACAUAGGUUGCUCUAAUUAGUGCUAAAACCAAAACCAAUAAUCCAAGUUAGUUAUGAUUAAUCCACUUCUCUAUUAGGCUAAAUGAAUAAUGGGGGAAGGCUCAUGAAGUUAAAGGCCAAAUCAAACCCAACUUGUUCUAUUCAUGGCUCUUCUGAUAAAUUGUCUUUUGUGNNNNNNNNNNNNNNNNNNNNNNNNNNNNNNNNNNNNNNNNNNNNNNNNNNNNNNNNNNNNNNNNNNNNNNNNNNNNNNNNNNNNNNNNNNNNNNNNNNNNNNNNNNNNNNNNNNNNNNNNNNNNNNNNNNNNNNNNNNNNNNNNNNNNNNNNNNNNNNNNNNNNNNNNNNNNNNNNNNNNNNNNNNNNNNNNNNNNNNNNNNNNNNNNNNNNNNNNNNNNNCUGAUAAAUUGUCUUUUGUGAAAAUCAUAUUCGAUCGUUAGAUGAUUGGCUCUACAUGUCAAAAGAUUUAACCACAGUGUUCGUGACAGAUCAUUUUAUCUGACCAGUUUGAUCAAAUUUAAAAGACAAGUAACUAUACAUCUCAAUAAAAUUGUAUGCUCACCAAAUUGAUAAAAUUUUAGAAGGUACUUACCUAGCUAACCUCACAUUUCAAAAAUAACAUUGGAAUAGUAAAAUAUACGUCAUAUUCUCAAAAAUCUAUCUAGAUUUUGAAAGGACUGAAUGGUCUUGACCCGAAACCCUCAUAUGUCUUUGUCACUACUCAAUCAACAUGGUUAUCUUAUAAAAUACUAAACCACGUGCCACAAUUAUCGUAUCAGAGAUACUUAACUAAUAAGAAUAUUCCAUUAUCAUUUUAUUAUGAUUUUUUUUCAUUUCCGGUACGACAAUUUUACAAACCCCAUAAUGUUAUUUUUCAAAAAGUUUUUACCUUUCCCCCCUAUUUGUUAUCUUACUUGCAUCAUGAUGGAAAGAAAGAGCAUGGACCAAAGCAAAUUGGCAUAUAGCAAAGAGAGUUACCCCAACUUGUACAUUGGUUUUUAACCAAAUUUAGGGUUUGUGAAAUACUACUGCUCUCUCUGCCUUUUUCCCAAUGACAAGUCUUCUUCCUCUUCUUCUUUUGUGGUGAAAAUUUCUUCUUAUCUACACCAAUCUGUACCCCCCAUUUGUUUGUUUUCACCUUGCAUGAAGAUCUCUACAGCAAGAAAUCAUAUCUCAAAACUACUGCAUCAUAUCUGGUCAGUCCAUGGACAAAGCAAACUGUGCAAUCAUGUGAAAGAAUCUUUCUUCCAUGGCCUACCACAAGAUGUCGACCUAUUAGGAUUUGCCUAUGUUUUCUCAUUAGCAAAGUGCUUAUCAAGACAUUCUACUACUUAAAAUGGCUGUUUACUCUGCCUAAUUGAUCAUCAAUUAGUACUAAUCCAAGUACAUUUGCUCUGGCCGACGAAUCGAUAGGGAUAGGCUUUGGGUCGGUUCCUCCGAUGUUGAAGUUGGUGUAUGUGUUACGGCUAUGAUCAGUACGUUUACUCAUACAUCGGUGUUAUGCAAGUGAUAACGACAUGUGUAACCACAACCCUCCUCGAUGGUAAAAACUUACCAAAUGUUGGGCAAAAGGCUUUUGAUAAUCUACUUGCAUAGAUAGUGAAAGAAUCUUACUUUAGAGGCAAGUUGAUCUCCAAGAAGGAUGGAUGCCUCUGCUUUCAUUAGCAAAUAUAGCACUUUCUAAGACAAGAUAUCAAAGACAUCCUAGUUCUUGCUUAGUCAUCCACUUAUCUAUCAGAUAUUCGGUUUCGAAGACUAUUCUGAUGGAUUGUAUGGUAAAAUUCGCGAGAAGCUUGUUCUUACGACUUUUAAAAUCUUAAAUCGACACUGAUUUCAUAUCUCAUGCUUUUGAUUAUCUAUGACAUAUAACUAGUCAUUGAUACUACUAAUAUCCAAGUACACUACCUUGCACUUUAUAACACACACCAAAUACUUGAUAUAAUCAUCAGCAUUGUCUUGUCACACCCACCAUUGGCAUCAGAAUCAAGAGCAUGACCACAAUUCCUUUCUUCACAAAUCUCACCAUCAGCUUGGAAAUAAAAAAGAUAACAUAUUGACAAGGUCGGAAACUAUUAUUGGGUUAUGCAGGCUGAUAAACCAUAUACGAGAGAGCGUGUAAAGAACUGUAGUCACCCCGAUUAUUGAAAUUCUAGAGCAAAGUUACUACAACGAUUUCAUCCCUCUUACUUGAUGAUUUAUCUCUCGUUCGAAAUCACACACUCUCCCGGUGGAAAACAAAAAGAUAACACAUUGACAAGGUGACUAGUACUCUUGGGUUAUGGAGGCUGAUAAACCGUAUACGAGAGCCUGUAAAGAACCGGUUACCCCGAUCAUCGCCCCUACAGCAAAUGCUUGUCAAUCAUCAACGUUAUCUAUCAGCCACCAUUGGCAUCAGAAUGAAGAACCUGCCAUAAAUAUCAGCUUGGAAUCAUAAAGAUAACAGAUUGAGAAGGCAUACAUAUCAGAAAUCUCUGAUAAUAUGCUAGUGGGAAGAAUUCUAUAAGCUCAUAGGCUGCAACUUGGGGUUCCAUAGGGCUACUACAGAGCAACAACAUCAACCGACAAUUGCUGAAAGUUGAUGUUCUUCCAUGAUCUCAUAUAUCUUCUGUUUUUGAGCUGUGUUUGAGCCCUAUUUUCAGAUAGAUAUAUGCUAUGCCGACUGUGGAGACACAAUUUGCAAUAUCGCCAGGUCAUGGUCAGAGGAUUCUGUGAUGAUUAGCUUGAAAGCUAUGCAUCACUCCCACAAUAAUUUCUAAGGAAUCAAUGGAAAGAGACACAACAACUUCUUCUUCUUCCUCAUCAUCAUCGAUGUGUGGAAUCCACAUCAUCAUUUUUCAUUCCAUUUCCAUCUUGGUUAGAAAUCAUUAACUUUAGUCAUCCAUUGAUUCCAUCACUUUCUCAGAAGAUUGAUUCCAUGAUCCCUCCUCACAAGUAGGAGGAAAGUUGGCACAAUCUUGUUGACUCCUAAUAGCCAUGAAGGAUCAAAGACUUCCAAGUUUUAACCAUAGUCCACGUACAAACUCUAAUGGGUUUACUCGAUCUCUCCCAACGGCUCGAGGUAUUGUGACGUUAUGGUUCAUGACAUGGUAUGAGAGUCUAUAACCAAAAAAAUGGUUAAGAAUUUCGAAUCGGGGUAGCCCCUAAUCUUUGUACAAGACUUGAUCAAAAUUGUGCAAACUUUCGUGAGCUUUUAUUUGAGUAAAGGUUUGCGCAAAAUUGGAAACCCAAAAAUGGGAUAAAGGGUCUAUUGAGCUAACUCAUUAGCCCAAAGUCCAUUGAGCAAGAUUUAUCGAAACCGUGCAACUCCAAACUCUUUAAUAAGCUUUCGUUCGGAUUCGCGCAGAAUGAAAGCCAAGGAACCUUCUUUAUAACGGUUUUAUUUGGGUGAUCCACGUAUAUUCCUUUGCUAGGCUGGUCCUAUGCAGAAGGAAUAUAGGAAAAAAGGGAGAUAGGAAGUUGGUAAGCAUGAAUGGUCAUUUGUGGGUUGUGGGAAUAUGCAACAAGAAAAAGGAAGAUCUUAACAUAAGAAUGCCUUUUUUAUAUGUGAACUAGAAUUGUACAAGCCAGUGCUCCAAAAGAUAGCUUUGAAACUUGGGUUUCGAUGACCAGAUAAGGGCUAAAGGGAUCCCCCCUGCAAAUUUGUGCUAUCGCUAGGAGAGGACCAUUCUAGGACAAAAGGAUAUGUCUGUACCAAUAUCAGUACCAUCAUUCUUUAUUGCCAACCCAUAGUGUAAUUCCAGUUUGGAUUCAAGUGGGGGGUGAAGAAAGAUCUGUGCUUUGAUUCUGGUUCGACGAGCUUGCUUGCUUGCUUCUGUGGUUGAUGCAGGCAGAAACGUGUAUAUUGUAUAGACACCCUUUUGCUGGUGUUGGUACUGAGUGAUGUCAGUGGAGAUCUUAGCCUCUCUUAACAAUGGUGUUCAGCUAAAACCAGAAAGGCUCCCUGUUAAGAAUGCUUCGUACCAGCACAAUUUUCACAAAGCUUAGGAAGUAUUUUGACAAAGCUUACAGUUUUUAAUCAUGAAGUAUUUUCUAGUCGGGGUGAGCAUGUAGUCCACUCUAGAAAUCAAACAUAACACUCUUGAUCUCAGCAAUUUAUACCGUUUCAUGUGAAAAUCUAUGGACUCCCAACUCUCAUAUCGGGCGAAAUAGAAUUAUGACCAUCCAUGACAAAAUGAUCAUCCAACAAGCAAGUAAAAUGUGAACAUCAAACUCCCCUAAGCCAUUGCAUGUAAUUCCAACUCCCAUCCCAACACAGAAAAAUCAUACUAAGAUCAUGGGACAAAGUGAGUAACCAACAAAUAAGCAAAACGAAUUCUGACCACAGUAGACAAAGUGCGUAACCAACAAACAAGAAAAAUGAGAACAUCUAACUCCCCAUUAGUGGUUUGACGACCACCGGACAAAGUGAGUAACCAACACGCAAACAAAACAUGAACAUCGAAUCCGCAUAGAGAGUGUGACAACCGAUAAUUUCUCAAUUCUUCAAAGUCGAAGCUCGGACUGACAUACAUAAAAGCAAUCAUUGUUGUGGGUUCCGGCUAAUGCGACCAACCAACUCCAGAAUUGAAGGAGAUGUGCCCAAAACUAAGGCAGCUCUUGCAUCCAUUGCAUGGAAUUUCUUGCUAGCUAGCUAAACAUAUAGUUACAAAUUACAAGGCUCCCUUAAUAAAUCUCAGCCAAACUGUCAAUUUCCUCCCUCUGGGCUUUACCUUGUUGGGUAUUAUUCAUAAGAGCCCAAUGAUAACAUCAGCCCAGAUAUGCAGGACUGCAGGACGAUGGAAAGCCCAUGCCAGCGAACAGUUCCGAUGAGGCCCAAAAAUGAAAUAGUAACGGAUCACUAUUGACUUCUGUGAAUUAAUAAUUUGGUUUAUUCUAAGAAAACGAAUUGUAAUAAUUUUGAAUUGCUCUAUUAUUGGAUUUUUUAGAGGUGGAAUUAGUCAAAUCAAAGUCGUUGAGUUAUGGAUAAGACAGACACGAGAAUUCAUUUCUUUUUGUAAAAAUGAUGAUAUGUACUCUUUUGUUUCCAUUUCAUUCAUUUUCCGUUUUCCAACAACUCAAAAGCGAACACUCAACCGAACCGAUCAAGAAAGAACGAACCAGACCCACCACGGACUCGAGAACAAACAAACCAGAACCAUAACCGAACCGAUAACAGUAACCCAGAGAGCACAGACGCUCCGACCUAAAUCAACUAAAGCGAACACUCGAUAAUGCAAAAACAGGAUAACUGGACGAGAUCAUCGGAUCUGAUCCAUUCUCUAAUUCCUCCAGCUACCACCGUCGGAGUCACCGCCACUCCUGGAAGAGUAACGGGAACCACCACCAUAGCCUCCUUCACUGCGGUCACGGCUACCUCCGUAGCCACCGCCUCCGUAGCCACCACCCCCUUCACGGCUUCCAUACGAUCGGCCACCGCCGCCUCCGUAUCCACCUUCUCUGCGUCCACCGCCGUAUCCCCACCGCCUCCGUAGCCACCACCUCCUUCACGGCUUCCAUACGAUCGGCCACCGCCGCCUCCGUAUCCACCUUCUCUGCGUCCACCGCCGUAUCCACGGCCACCACCGCCUCCUCCUGAGCUGCCACGUGAUUGAGCCUCAUUGACUGUGAUGUUACGGCCGUCAAGGUUCUGUCCGUUCAUCCCUUCGAUGGCGUCCUUCAUCGACUUCUCGUUGUUGAAAGUCACGAACCCGAAUCCGCGGGAUCUUCCAGUCUCACGGUCGUUGAUCACCUGUAGAUAGCCAAACAAGCAAAACAAGUUGACAGAUCCGUUAGAUCUGAGCAUAAAACGAAUCAAUCUGAACAAAACUGAGCAAAAAUAUGAAAAAAUUUAAAAAAAAAUCGAUCGAUCUUCUUCCAAAGGAUGAAGAUGGACGUACCGAUUGGAGAUAGUUUUAGAGAGUAGAGUAACAUAAAACACAGUAACACAGUAACAGAGAAUAGUAACAGAGAAACACAGAUCAGAUCGGAUAGAACACAGGAUCCUGGAUCAGACAUAGCCGGAAUAAGUUCGUUUCCGUCAGAUCCCGAUCCCUGCGAAACCACCGGGGUGACAAACGGACCUUCGAUUCGACGACAUCGCCAAAGGUGCUGAAGGCCUCGUUGAGUGCCUCGUCGGUGGUAGCCCAUGCUAGGCCACCAACGAAGCACCUGAAUUCAACAUCGGCGGAAGCCAUUUAUAGAACUGAAAUUGAGAGUAGCAGAAUGCGGCUGAUGAUUCUUAGUUGAGGAUGAGGAGAAUUGGGCGGAGGGAUUGUGGGGAUUAUAUAGUCGGGGGAUAGGGCUUAACUAGGGUUAGUUGUACGUCUUUCGACGUCGUUUUGGGAUUCCCGGGAGCCGGCUGCAAGUCCAGUUAUUAACAAGGUUACGUAACGUUCGCGUUGGUUAAACCCUGGUUAAGGUUUAGUUAGAGGGCAGGAUAUUUUGUUUGGAACCCGGGUAAAGAAUAAAGAUAUUUUAUGAGAACUAGUUACUUAAUGCUCAAACUUCAUGUAAAUACAAUUCACACUAGUUUCCGAUUAAUCGGAUGGAUAAUACUCGUUAUGUGUAAUGUAAAAAAAAAUAAUGUUUAAACAAACUUAAUAAGAUAUAAAUGUACAUAAUCAAUUGAUAUUUUAAUGAUAUAUCUAACUUCAAUUUGUUAAUCCUAUUAACUACGAGUGAUUAAAUCUUAGUAGUUAUGAGAAUCGGUUUCUAUAAUAAAUUAAGUUGACAUAAAGUAGGGAGAAUCUUAAUAAAUGAACUAACAAUCAAAAUAAAGUAUUAUAACCACAUACAACAGCUUCACUAUCAUAUAGAUCACGAAGGAUUGAAAAGAAAAGCACUAGUUGUAACAUAAUGGCUCGUAUAGACAAUCAAAUAUGGAAUGAGAGUACUUUCAUUGACAUUCUCUUAUCGUAUGAACGAAAAAACUAAAAAAAGAGAUCAUUUUGGUGACUACCUCCGAGUUGAGGACACAAGUUGUUUACUUCUUUGGAUGGCAUGAUGUGUGAGUUAACGUAAUAUGAUAUGCUGAAAAUGUGGGCACAAUAUGAUCGAAUUAGAGUAGCUGAAGGUCGUGUUGUGGGGGAUGAGUGAGUUAUAACUUAAUAUAGCAAAAAUUACAAACUGAAUUGACUUUAUAUAAAAGAUAGGGUAGUUAGACGGUCAAUCUAUUAAAGUUGAUUGAGUGAAAGUAGAAAAGUAUCCGGUCAAGCGGAACUGGACUCUCUUAACCAUGGUUAGGUCUGAGUUGCGGGGUUCGCGGCGGUGGUGGGAAAUAAAUUACUCACUGAUUCAGAGAGGGAGCGGCCAAGUGAGCCCCACUUGCAGUCCCCGCCAAUAUUUGCUGAGUUGUAAAUUGUCAGAGCGGAUAUUUUUAUGUGCUUUUCUCAAAAUAUCUACUCCGCCGAAAGUACAACUUUGCCCCUCCCUCCCUAACCAUUCCACUGGUGCAAUUUCCGUUAAUUACGUUUUAGGUGGAGGUGGUCCCCAGAAGAAUAUUUUAUGAAUAUUAAAUACCAUAAAAAGGAAAAACGAGAUAAAGGAAACUAAUUGUAGUUUAUCACUUUUAUUAGUUUCAUUUGACUCUAUAUCCUAAUUCAAAUCCCUUUAUUAAAUCAGUCAACUUUCACUAACACUCAAUUAUGAAAAGGGAUAUUUUUUACCAUAAUCAAUCUAUUCGUUAUGGAUACUCCACCAACUCAUAAAUAAUUUGUUAUUAAAUGCAUUUAAUUAAAUAAACACACAAACUAAGUAUGAGUUUAAGUUAUGAGAUCAAUUCUCAUACAACUUGCACAAUAUGAAAAAGUUUAAUGUGCCACUUUAUGAGUAGCUUUUUUAACGGCAUGACAGAUCACGUACACCUGCAACCACUAGUACGCUACCAGAAAAAGUAAGAAUCUCUGCCACAAAAGCGCCGCCGGCAACACAACCAGUAUUAUCUCCUGUGAAAAUGCCUUCGCGUCCCUUUUCAAUCCACCUGUCAAACUCCAUGACGGAAGCACCAUCCGUACAUGACACGGACGGUCGGGAGCUUCAAAACAUAAGAGUUAAGGAGCCUUGGAUAUGUCCAGUCAAUUUUCUGUAAAACCGCUCCAUUGACAUUACAAACAAUCAGACACAUCGAAUCAUCGACAGGGUCUGCUGUUGCACUAUCCAAUGCGGGGAAGAAGGGAGGAGGAUUCAAUGGGCCAAAAAAUAAGUCAAAAUCAGAAUUACAUCAAGAUUCUAUAUAAAAUUAGUACGCCUUAGAGAAUAGUUGAACCGAAACGGGCUCUAAUGAGUUCGAACUACUGGCUGGGCCAGCCCAUUUAUUUAUUAUUAAUUAACAGUUUUUCUUUCAUUCUGUCAUUAGCUUUAUUUACGGGCCUGCUUUAUCUUAAAUUUGGGCAUUGUUUUGUAGUGUGGGCUAGGAAGUUUCGGCCUAUUUACGGUUUAUAAAAGUCUGAAUACGAGGCGACUUAAAGCCCAUAAUUGGGCCUCCUGCUCCAGCCUCCAGCUAUAGCUGGCUCAAUUAGAACUUGGAAGUUUUAUGUAACUGAAACCGGGCCCAUAAAAUGCCGAGCCAAUGAUCGAGAGGUCAAACCGUCGAGACCACGAGCAUCUAUAGUAAAAAAUAAUAUGUCUACUGUGGACGCAAAUACAAAAUAGAAUAAUGUGGACACAUUAACCGAUUCCGAAGUCAAAACAAAACACGCACGCAAUAAAAAUGAAACAAACCAUAGACAUCCUCUCUAAACUACAAGGGGCAUCCAAUUUCAACGCUAACUUCGAAAGAAACCGUCACCAAUGUAAAAACUUCUUAGUGCAGGCAGGUACCAAGCAUCAUGCUAAGGUUUCACGGGGACUGAUGCCGAUGCACAUACUGAGGUUUCUUAAAAAUAUAAUGAUAAAUUUUGAGAUUAUCCAAGAUCGUUGUCGGGAUUCAUGUCAAGAAUUCGGCUAAAAAUACUAAUAUUUUGGACAUAAUGAUAUAAAUAAAUUAUAAGGGAAAGGUAUGUAACUCACACGAAUAAUAAUCCAAAUACUUGAAGUAGUUAAGGUUUCAUUGUCCUCGAGAGCUGUUUGUUUAUAGAAGUUAGAACUACAAUAUAAGAAGGCCACACGUAUUGAUAAAGUUGUGUGACUUAAACUUCCAUCAAAAGAUACUACACCCCAAACAUGCUAAUACUUAAAUAAUAAAAAAUAUAUAUGUCGUGCACACAAAAAUUUUCGAGACAAUGACCUAAUUAAGACGAAGUUCAACACAGAAUGAAAUUUUAAAUUCGAUUUCAAGACACUUCCUCUUAAUAUAAUCCGCUACGAAAAGAAUUUAAUUUCCAACCCACUUAUUCCAAUUUUACUCAAAAUAUAUUAAAAAAAAGUCCAAAUGAGUCACUUAGUUAUAAUGAAAUAACCAAUGUAUAACAUUCUAAUUAAUUUAAGUAUCUUAUGAAAAAAAUAAUUUAUUUGCAGAUGUGGGAUAGUGUAACACUAUGCACCAACCAAUGUAAGUACCUCCCCGCACGUUGUUAUAACAUUGCAGCUUGCCAUUGACCCACGAACAACAAUCGUUUUUGGAGUCGGAUAUUUGUUAUUGUUCGUCUAAAUAUGGUAACUUUUGUUCGUGUCGCGAUAUAGAGAGUUCAGUCAUUUGAAAACCAUAGAAAGUGGUAUGGCAUACACUAUAAAGUAGUAAUAACAAGGAGGCAAACACUGAAAUUGAAGUGUCAGCCCAAAGCAAAUGCGUAAAUAUAUGAGAUACAGUGACGAAUUGAGGUCUGGCUUUCGUGAUUGACGAAUAAAAAAACACUUCGUUUAACAUAUAAGAUAUAAAUUAUGGUAUUUCGACACCGUAGUAUAUCAAAUACCUCGCUUGAAUACGGCCGUUGGCUCAAACUCAUUAAUUUGUAUGUUAUGUACGUGGCGAAUCAUGAGGUUUUAUAUGGCUUGCAAGGCAAGUAAUUUUUUGCCACUGUGUGUUAUAAUUGGAGAUGAGUAAACCUAUGACCACUUGCAAUGCUUUACCAAUAAGGCUGAGAUCCGAUUCAAUUCAGUUCCAAUUCAAUCGGAUCAAUAAUAUGGAUAGUGAAUUUACGUUCUUUUUUUUGCUGCAAUAGAUACAUGUUAUUCACACUACUGAUAAAAAGAGUGUCAACACCUUAUCUGGCCAUCAAUAAUUAACAAUGUCCGAUACACUCUAUAUUCGAACAUUGAGGCCAACGAUCAAACACAACCAACACAAAUCCUGAUGAGAUCAGGACUGUACCGAACAGUGUUUCAUCACACUACCAAACAGUUUAAAGAAAGAAAUAAAAGCUUCCAUUCAAAGGCUGUGCAUGGUGGCUAGCUAGCUGCUGACCCAACCAAGUUGAUUUCAUUUCCCCCCAACUUCCCCAACCACUCGCAUUAUUUGUAUUGACCCACCCAAAUUGAAGUUUUCCAUUUUUAGGUUAAUUUGGUUUGGAUGUAUUAUUCGUAUCGAUUCAGCGAUGAACAAUAAGGUCUAGAAAAUCGUAUAAAAAAUGCAGAACAAGGUCAUACUCAGCAUUAGAUACUGAAUGAAAGCCAAAAAACACAUUUCACCAAUACUAACCAGAUAAUUUGCCGUACGAUUUACUUCCCGAUAAGAGUGUUUGAAAAUGAUGUCUAUGAAAGAUUUUAAUUAUCAAAUUAAACGAUUAAGAUAGGAUGCUUCAAAAUGUACAGCUACAUGCCAACUCCACACAAUCACACAAAUUACGAUUAAUUAAUUAUUACACAUAAUCAAGUCCAAAUCAAGGGUUUAAAUUAGAAAUAUAAAAUAAAUAAAUAAAAAGAGUUUCCAUUUUCUUUUUUCUGGUCAUUUAUGAAUCGUGCAAGAGUAGGAGAGUGUUCUCUCGGAGAGAGGAAACGUAAAAUAAAAAAGCUUAGCUGGCACGAGAGAGCGGGACACCCGGGAAAGUCAAAGGUCAAACCACCGCCGUCCUCCGCCGCACAUUUCUUCCCCGGCGGCCGCCCGCAAACCCUCGUCCUUCUUUCUUCUUCCCUCAGUCAUUUGAUCCAUUCAAAUACUUUUCGUCAUCCCACACAUGGGUUCCGUCUCUGUUGUUCAUUUCAACUAAUAAUCACUUCUCAUUGUUCCCUGACUAUUUAAUUCCCCUCCAUCUCCUGUCAACUGAAGAAAACUGGGGUUUCGCGAUACAGAGAGUAGUAGGUAGAGAGAGAGAGGGAAAGGAAAUAUUAUUGGUCGCCAACAAUUUACUUUAAGGUCCCCCCCAACAGGAAAACACUCAGAAGCUGAGGUCUGAUUUGGGCAUAAGGAGUAGAGAAUGGCCUAGAAAGUCGGAGCCUUGUCAAUCUUGGGCUGGCGUUACAUGUGUCAAUGGCACUGUUGCUGAGAUCAACAUUUCGGGGUUUAAAAGGACUAGAUUGGGUUCACUGAACCCAAAAUUUGCAGUGGAGGCACUUGCCAAUUUCACCAAGUUGACUUCUUUCAAUGCUUCCAAGUUCUUGCUCCCUGGCUCAAUCCCUGAUUCCUUUGGUCAAAUGAUGGUGAGUUCUACUUCUCUCCAGAUUCUUGAUCUCAGCUCUUGUGAUAUAACGAAUGCUGUUCCUUCAAGUUUAGGGGAUUUGAGUGGCUUGCGCCAGCUUCAUUUAGGUGGUAACCGGUUAACUGGCAUUAUACCUUCCAGUUUGGGUCAGUUGCUGCAGCUUUCUGUGCUUAAUCUCUCCAGGAAUCUCUUUACUGGCUCCAUACCUCCUAGCUUUGGUAACUUGGUGAAUCUAACAAGUCUUGAUAUGUCGUCCAACUUCUUGGCUGGUUCGAUCCCUCCCAUUGGUGGGAGCGCACGUUCGAGGCUUGUUUACUUGAAUCUUUCGAACAAUAGCUUGUCGUCUUUUCAGUUCGGGAGCCUUGUUGGAUUGGUUGACCUUGAUCUCACUAGCAAUUCGCUAACCGGAUCCUUGCCAGUCGAGUUAAGCGGGAUGAGUAGUCUAAAAAGCUUGCUGCUUGGUAACAACUUGUUUGGUGGACCUUUGCCAUCUGGUUUGUUUGUUGCCAAUCAAACUCAGUUGCACAAUGUGGUUCUGAGCAAUAAUAAUUUCAUCGGUUCUGUACCGGGGGAAUUGCUGUCGAUUCCUGGAUUGCGGUUGUUGGAUAUAUCCAGUAACAACUUUACCGGGAUGCUCUUGGAUCGUAGUAACUCAAAUGUGAAUGCGAGCACUACUGCUGCAGCAGUACUGAACAUUUCUGGAAACCAGUUCUAUGGAGGACUUGGACCUGUGCUGAGAAGGUUCAGUUUCGUUGACCUGUCCGGGAAUUAUUUUCAAGGACCAGUUCCUAACUAUGUGAUUAGCAAUGCAUCUCUCGGUAGAAACUGUCUUCGUAAUGUCACGAAUCAGAAGAGCUUGUUCGACUGUUCGUCGUUUUACUCCAGUCUCGGGUUGACUUUCGAUAAUUUUGGACUCCCGAAUUCGACUCAACCUGGUGUUAGGAAGAAGAGCAAGAGAAACCUUAUCAUAUUGGUAAGUGUUCUUGGAGGGAUCGGACUCAUGCUGCUGAUAUUUUUCAUUGUGGUUUUGGUAUUUUGCUUGCGUAAGAGGGACACUUCGAAUCAAAGAGGGGUAGCUGUCGAACCGGCUCCAACAGGGACAGGGAUGGUUCCACCGCCUCCGGAGGCAUCGAUUAACUUCUCGAUAUUGGGAGAUACGUUCACGUAUCAGCAGCUGCUUCAAGCUACAGGCGAAUUCAACGAUGCAAACCUCAUCAAACGUGGCCACUCCGGAGAUAUCUUCCGAGGGAUAUUGGAGAACGGAACCCUUGUGGUGAUAAAAAGGAUUGAUCUUGGCUCGAUCAAGAAGGAAUCGUAUCUGGUGGAGCUUGAUUUCUUCAGUAAAGUUGCGCAUGCUAAAGUGGUUCCACUUUUAGGACAUUGCUUAGAGAAUGAGAAUGAGAAGUUAUUGGUCUACAAGUACAUGCCGAAUGGGGAUUUGGCGAGUUCGUUGUUCAAGAAAACUAGCUCGGAAGAUGAUACCUUGAAGUCGUUGGAUUGGAUUACGAGGUUGAAAAUCGCCAUUGGUGCUGCAGAAGCUCUUUCUUGCCUGCAUCAUGAAUGUACACCGCCCAUAGUGCACAGGUACUUGAAAAAGUUUAAAGCUUUAUGAUUUCUAUUAUCCAGAAGUUCAAGCAUUUUCCAUUCUUGAUGUAGUAAUCAACAAUCUAUGUAGUCUCCGCUGAAGAUUUAGUUGCUUCUGACUAUUUGGAUUUGCAUACUUCACAAUCUAUAUGUGUAUAUUCCUAUGGGAAGUGUCAUCUUAUCUUACAAAUUGUUCGAAGAGAGAUAUCUAGGAGGAUGGAAGGAUGUGCUUUCUUUCGGAUGUUGUUUUCCUUACAUUACUAUAUGUGUUGUAAUCUUCAAUGUCUAGUCACUGAAAGGAUUAUGCUUUUGUGUAUUGUAGAGAUAUUCAAGCGAGCAGCAUAUUACUCGACGACAAAUUCGAAGUAAGGUUAGGGAGUUUGAGUGAGGUAUGUGCUCAAGAAGGGGAUGCUCAUCAAAGCAGGAUCACCAGGUUACUGCGAUUACCGUAAGUAUCCGAAUGACCCACCGUCUCUUAGGUUACACUAUAGUGCCGUGCCUUUCUGUUGAUUGAAAGAGUUUGUUAACUCUAAUUUACCUUGUUGGACAUUGCAGGUCUUCAGAUCAAGGAACUUCCGGUACGUCCUUGAUCUCAUCUCCCCCUGAAAACUUCUGUUCAUUGCCUUACUGUGUUUUGAAGGUUUCUUUUGUCACAAGCAACCUUUAUAACUGGUUACUGAUUUUUUUUCACCAUUUGUUGGAUUCAUUCAUUCAGCUCAACCGUCAGCUACGUGCACCUACGACGUGUACUGCUUCGGCAAGGUCCUCCUCGAGCUAGUGACAGGAAACAUCGGCAUCAGCGCAGCCAACAACGCCCAACUGAAAGAAUACCUUGACCAGAUCAUACCGCACAUCAGCCUGUACGAGAAGGAACUCGUUGUCAAAAUCGUGGACCCGUCUCUAAUCAUCGACGAAGACCUGCUGGAGGAAGUUUGGGCUAUGGCCAUCGUAGCAAGGUCGUGUCUGAAUCCGAAACCCUCGAGGAGGCCGCUAAUGAGAUAUAUCCUCAAGGCGUUGGAGAAUCCUCUCAAAGUAGUGAGGGAAGAAGCCGUGGAUUCAUCAGCAAGGCUUAGGACAACAUCAUCUCGAGGAUCGUGGAAUGCUGCUGUGUUUAGUAGCUGGCGACAGUCCUCCGAUGUGACAGUGGUCCAGCCCGGGCAACCUGGUGGGGUCGGUUCGAGCAGCCGGCCUGAAGGGGUAGGACGAGGAGGGAGUAGUGGUCUUAAACAGUCAGGGACAUCGAGUGGUGGGGGGCGAAACGGGAGUGGUUCUUCGUCUUCGCAUAGGCGGGGUUCGAGGGAUAUCUUCCCAGAACCGGGUUAUGAGCAAGAUGUAGAGAGACAACUACAACACGAUUAGCAAGAUUGAUUCUUUUGUUAAUAAGACAGCAGCAGAAAGAAGCAGGCUUUCCCAUUUUGAGUGUCUGCUUAGAGUGUGUUCUUGUACAUCUGCAGGAUUUUCAUGGAGAUGAUCAGAGUUUGCAGGGUGAAAUGUGGGGUUAAGGAAUCAUUUUGAUUUGUUAUGUGGGGGAGGCAGAUUGAUGUCGCAUUUGAACAGAAGCUGCCAUUUUUUUCCUGAAAUCUUUUUUCUUGUAAUUGAGGGUUCUAUUCUUCUUGCUCUUUUUGAGCAGUGUAAAGGUGUAAACUUUUUUGAGGGGAUUCUGGUGAUAUUGAAAUGGGGCUGCAACCUUCCAGAAAAAUCAUCCUGAAUCUCCAAGCGAGGGAUUUCGUUCCAAAUAUCUCUAAUCCAUCAAAAUCUUUCGUCGGAACGAUCUCAUUGAUCCUAUUUUGCGACUCCCUGACACUGUCAUUAUCAUUCAAUUUCGAGCUUUGUAAUCACAUGAAUGGAGAGUUAUGGCAUGACCAAUUAGCACGAGGCAAGAGUCACUGCAUAGAUUAUUUAGCCGUAGGCCAUGAAUUUAGACAUUGACUGUCAUUUCAGUUGUUCUCAAGUGAAAAGUUGGUUAGUUGAAUUGACCAUUUCAAAGGUUCUGUAAAGUCAGAUAGUUGAGAUUCUUUUUUUGACUAUUUACAUGAUUGAAUCCUAGAAUGAGAAGAGGACAUUAAGAGAAAUGACAAAAAUCUGGUUUCAAUUUGUGGAUAAUAAGAGAAGUUGGUAGGAAAAUAAUUGAUAAAAAAAAUAAGGUCCCACCGAGAUUUGAACUCGGGUUACUGGAUUCAGAGUCCAAUGUCCUAACCACUAGACCAUGGGACCUACCUGCUCUUGGUCGGCACCAAUUACUUAUAUAACAUGACAGUAUUAUUUUCAAUGACUUGAUGCAAUGGAGCCAUCCUAACAAAACCACAAGGUGACAUCAAUUCACCAACAAUAUGAUCUAACUAUCUUAAGGUAACAUCAAGUCAAGUGCAUCAAGCUCGACGGGCUCCUGACUUGACCUAAUUCCGAUUAGAUACCUGAGUAGGUGCUCCAAGAGAGAACUGAAGUAUUAACUCAGUUACAUGACUUGUAAAUAGGUUCAGCAAUAUAAUUUAUAAUUCUCCUACCCAAUACGGUAAAUGAAUGGUUUUGUCAAGAAUUGUUAGUGGGAGAAGAGCUCGAAUAAAUUCAUCCUCCACGGGAGCUUUAACGUUCCUGCUCGAGCUUGCCUAAAACUUAACAAAACCAUACUUGUGAGGCAAGGUAAGCUCGACUUGACUCAACUCAUCUCAUCUACAGUCUUGUCGGAGGGUACACAACCAUGACUCCAAGAAAACAAAGACACAUAGAAACCACAUUAAGAAUUCUCAACGUUGUACUUAACGAGCCGAGCUUGAGCCGGGAUAAUAUUGUGUCCAAUUCUUCGCAUAAUAGUUGGAAAUUCAGAAAACUGAAUCAUAAGGUAUACAUGCAUUUGCACUUCCAUCAAUCAGAAGACAAAAACAGGGAAAACUACAUGCCACAAAGACCUAUAAACACAGAUCCCUUUAUUCUCAAAUGUAGCAACUUCAAGCAAUUCAACUGCGCAGAUGGGAACAUUAUUCUUUCAGCGAUACAGACUCUCCGACCGGAGGUUCUCCGCAAUCUCAGUCUCCCAGCGGUCGCCAUUCUCGAGUAGCUUCUCCUUGUCGUACAAGAGCUCCUGCGACAAAUGUUUGCAAUGUAAGAGGCAUUGCCGAAUACAACAGUCUUACAACUAUGGUUUUGCAGCAACGAUACUGACCUCGUGGGUUUCGGUGGCAAAUUCAAAGUUGGGUCCUUCAACGAUGGCGUCUACAGGGCAUGCCUCUUGGCAAAACCCGCAGUAGAUGCAUUUCGUCAUGUCAAUGUCGUACCUGGCAGACAAAAGUUUCAAGAUGAAGGAUGGGGGAAUCUAGUGAUAAGAGGAGAGAUUAGAGCAAGUUCUUACCUAGUAGUCCUACGGCUUCCAUCUUCUCGUUCCUCAGCCUCGAUUGUGAUCGCUUGGGCAGGGCAUAUCUGCAAACAGUAGGGGAUAACGAAUGUGGAAAGUCGAGAGAUGAAGAUGAAAACUAAGAAUGUGGAAACAAUCAAGAAACUAAAAUCUCCAAGCUACAGUAAGCCGCAUGCUUAAAUGUUCAUGUCUAGCUUAGUUACUUUCGAGUUCUACAAGCUUCUAAUCAGAUAACUGCAUAAAGAAUGCAUCCACUCAGACCUUAUAUAAGAUUUUAUCCAACAUUUACACAGCUGGAAAAGGCUAAGAAUUUGCAGAGAUAGUACGAAUUCUAGACGAAGGCUAUAAAAGAGCAGUGGCACAAGCAGAAGGAGAACUGUGACUUACAGCUUCACAAAGUUUGCAGGCAAUGCAACGUUCCUCUCCAGUAGGGUAUCGACGGAGAGCAUGCUCCCCACGGAAUCGAGGGCUCAAAGGACCCUUCUCAAAUGGAUAGUUGAUCUACGCAAUCAAGGAAUUGACAUUGUAUAUCACGUCACAACACUAACAGGGUAAGCCAAAGACGUCAUGAGAGUUCCAGAAGAUGCUUACAGUAACUUUUGGUUCGAAGAAGUACUUCAGUGUCAACAUCAAACCACGGACCAUUUCAGUAAGGAAGAGCGUGUUUAUGCUUCUCUCGAAAACUGUAUUGAGUUUAAUGCUCUAUUAUGUGCUUUACAUGUAAACUGACAAUUGAAAUACGGUAAAACAGGCUUCGAGUGAAAAAAAUCAUCUUACCGGCAUUCCAGUCCUUCGAAAUUUCCUUUCCAAGCUGCUCUCUCUCCACAUCCUCUACAGUUAGAACGAAAACAUGAGACAAGCAGAAACAAAAAACGGAAAACUUGGGACACCAAAUCAUCAACAUUGGAGUAGGUAAUUGAACUUUGAAAUAUCAUACUUCCCUAUGAUUACUAAGGUUUGGAUACAUAGGACACGUGCUGUAAACCAAACAUUGUGUUUAUUAUGCAAUACAUAUCCAAGUUGGUUAGAUCUUUACUCAGAAACCAUGAUGAAGCUCGGAGAUCAUGAGAAACCGUCGCAAGUGUCUACCCAUAAAUUGAUUUUUGAGUCAUGGAUACUAAACUUUUCAAUAGAAUCAACACAAACAAUCAGUUUAUAAAUGAACAAGAAUUCAUGGUUGAAUAUAGAUAGGCAGGAUCACCUCUGUCUGUUGAAAAUAAUGCACUUGAUCGGGUGGCAUACAGAGGUGAGGCCCUCAAAGCUGGACCAGAUAGAGCCUGAAAGCAAGAAAUGUAGAAGCUGUUACACCAUGUAACAUCAAACGACCAAUAGAAGCUCACAAUCCUAACAAAGUUCAAGCAUCCAUGGCAACACGAGGACAUGACAGUGAAGGCAAUAGAAAAGCUGAUGAAAAUACUAUAUGAUAACUAAUAGACCAAUGACGGUAUUAACCCACAGUUUGAUUAGUUAACAAAGAAGAUAAUGAUAAGCACUAUAUUUCAGCUUGUGUAACACCUACUGGUACUUCAUACUUCCCAUACAAUGAUAUUCAUAUUCAAGACUUAAGUUUGAUUACUUUUAUCACUUUCCGUAACAUAAACAACCUGCAGGAAGGCGCAUAUAAUCAAUCAUCUAAACAAUUGGAUUAAGCAAGUCUGUAUCGUCCAGGUCGCUAAGACUUGCUCAUACCACCCAAACUCUAAACUUGACAUUGUUAGUCUGGAAAACCAAGUGGCCAUCAGCUGAUGAGUAAUUAGCCAGUAAACCAGUCUUUUGAGGGCCUCAGAAACCUUUAUCGGCUAGAAUCAAAUUUCCUAAAAAAUGACGAAUUCAGACACAACAACAGCAGAUGCAUCACACUACGUUCAGCUGAACCAUUACAAACGACACAUAAAUUGAAAAUCGGCAUUUUAACCACAUGAAACUGAUACAUAACCCCAGGCUAUGUUAUUCAUCCUAUCAGUAUACCAGAUCACACAUGUAGCAAACAAAUUCACUAAAUUGACAAAUAGGAAUCCGAGUUCCCAUUUCCUUACAAACAGCUUCCAACGAAAUAGGAACGGAACAUUGGUUUUAUACACAUAGAACCAUCAUCGAUACAACGCAGAGAAACUAAACCCUAAGAAGGAGAUAAACUAAAAAUGAAAAAAAAAUCAUCGCCAGAUGGAAGGUAGAAGAGCAAUUAGAAGAAGAGAUUUGAGUUUCCCCUCACCAGCUGCCGAGCACGGAGUGCUGAGAGAGACUUGCGAGCCAACAUGGAUGCCAUUUCUGUACCGAUUAGGCGAUCCUUAGUGUCUAAUCUUCUUCUUCUUGUUCUACCUUCGCCUCAGAAACUCUCUGAUUCGCAAGUAUAGAAGAAGAAACUGUGACCAACCAGGUUUGGGUAUGGGUUUAUUCGCUCCAAUCGGGUUUCUGGUUCGAGAACCGACCGAGUUGUGCUGAACCGAGAUUUCAGAGAGAUUGGACCGACUUAUUUUUAAACGGUGGGCUUUAUGGUGGCCCGCCUAGAUCCGGCCCAGUUAACCAAACAAAUAAUGCUCGGUGCCAUUCAAAUUUCAAAUAGUCCAAUCAAACUUGGUUCGAAUUCAACUGUAGAGAUGAGCUCAAAAUCCGAACGGGAUCCAUACUCCGACAGUUGUAUGUAAUUCAGGCGGGUCGCUCCGGGAGCUGCACAAGUCCUCGACCACUUCCGACAGCUGAUACACGUCCAAAACGCCGCUCUGAUUUCUUACGUCUUUAUAGCCUUCCAUCGAGUCAAACUGUCUUCUUGUUGUCUGUCUUUAGUAGCCUUCGUGUCGUGAGUAUCCUCUAGGAGCAAAGAUCUCUCUGUAAACGAUCUUGAGGAAAGCUAGGGUGUGAAGUUGGGUGCUACGAGUUAAACAACCUUUUUCGUUAUUAUCCGCUCGUGGCAGUCAUUUUAUCGAGAACCCCUCAUGCGUCUGUGUUCUCUUAAAUUCAUCAGUAAAAAUAUCGUACGAAUGUAAUAACAUAUAAAAAAACAUUUUUAAGUACUAAUUUAUACGUGUUCUUUGUCUUGCAAUGCAAACAAAUGACAGAUUCAUGUAUCAGCUUCUCAUACCAUUAUCCGUUUCGGCCUUAGAUCUAGAACUCAAUUGAUACGUAAGAUUUGUGUAUUAAGUGAUCACUAGACAAACACUCUAACCUAGGUCCCAACACCCAACCAACUUGUUACAAUAAUAAAUCAAACAUUCAAUUUCAUAUCUACCCCUUCAUCCAAAAAAAGCAUAUCCACCCAAUUCCUCGCACAAACCAAAAUUUCAAAGCCUUAUCUCUUUCCGCCGACACGCAUCGACGACAGUCUCUGUUUCCCACUACCCCUGCCUCAUGGACUCACCGGCGGAGAGAUUGUCAACGGCAGGGAAGCCGAUCCGAUGCAAAGGUAUAACAAGUCAUGACUCAUGAUCAUCACUUCUGCUUACAAAUUUAACAUAUAGUUGUAAUAACAUUGUCCAUUUUUAAUCUGGGUUUUACUUGUGUACGUAGCUGCGGUUUGCCGGAAAGCAGGGGAGCCCUUGGCGAUAGAGGAAGUAACGGUGGAUCCGCCGCGGGUCCGGGAAGCUCGGAUCCGGGUCAUCUGUACGUCCGUUUGUAACACGGAUGUUUGUUUCUGGAGGAUGAAGGAUUCCCCUGGUGGCAAUUUCCCCAUAAUCCUUGGUCACGAAGGAUUUGGGUAAAUCACAGUCGAACUAGUCAAAGCCUCUUCUUUUUUCCUGAUUACAUUCGGAUUUCUUACCCAUGCCUCGACGAUCUCGAUUUACGCAGGGUAGUGGAGAGCGUGGGAGAGGGCGUGGAAGAACUGAAGCAAGGGGACAGAGUGAUCCCGAUAUUCCUUCCGGACUGCGGAGACCAAUGCGCGGAUUGUAGAUCGAGCAAGAGUAACUUGUGCUCCAAGUUACCGUUCAAGAUUUCGCCGUGGAUGCCGAGAGAUGACACGAGCAGAUUCAGAGACCUUGAGGGGAAUGUGAUCCAUCAUUUCCUCUCUGUGUCGAGCUUCAGUGAGUAUACUGUCGUCGAUGUUGCCCAUCUCACCAAGGUUGUUGAUUCGUCUCUUGCGGUGGCCAACAGAGCUUGCCUCCUCACCUGCGGCAUCUCUGCAGGUAAAGACAGCAACAAUAUCGACUACUAUGUUGUGUCGAUAUGCAGUACAAUGAUAAGAAAAUGAAAUAUAAUCAAAUUACCGGACUAUAAUCUUAAUCAUCUACUAAAAUAGACAAAAUGGACCAUCCGCAAUAUUUGAAUUUGAUCAGGUUCUCAUAAGUAUUCAUUUCAUCGGACUCCAUAAUAUAAAUAUUUUUACGAAAUAUAACUCAUUUGAUCCUCCUUUUGUGUUGUAAUUAGGUAUUGGAGCAACUUGGAGAGCUGCAGAAGUGGAUGAAGGAUCCACGGUUGCAAUCUUUGGCUUGGGCACAAUUGGAAUGGCUGUAAAAUUAUACUUCCACUCCUCUAAUUUAUUUGAAGCACAAUUUUUCCCUACAAUAAACUAAUUUUCCUGUAAACAUAGAAAGAAAUUACGUUUGCUUUGACACACUAGGUUGCUGAAGGAGCAAGACUCCGAGGAGCUGCCCGAAUCAUCGGGGUCGAUACGAACCCAGAAAGGUUCGAAAUCGGUGAGAUGAAUCCCAACUCCAAACAUCCAAGUACACAUUUAGUGUGUAGUCUUGCCUCAUUAUAUAUUGUUAUUCUUCAGGGAAGAAGUUCGGGUUAACGGAGUUUGUCAACCCUGCCAGCUACGUAAACAAGCCGUUAAGUCAAGUGAUAAAGGAGAUGACCGACGGAGGAGGAGCGGAUUACUGUUUCGAAUGUGCCGGGUCUCCGAUUUUAAUGGAGCAAGCCUAUGCUUCCGCUCGCAAGGUAAAAAAAUAUUGAAUUCGACUUAUCGUCCCUCUAUCUCAUCGUGGAUCGUUAUACGAAAACAUUGUUUCGAGUUGUUUAGGGUUGGGGGAAGACGGUUGUGUUGGGAGUUGGCGGGGAAGGUUCAGAAGUGAAACUAAAGUGCAUGGAAGUUCUUCAAACGGGGAAGACACUCACCGGGGCGCUAUUCGGUGGGUUGAAGCCCAAAUCCGACAUUCAAGUGCUGCUCAAACGUUACAUGGAUAAGGUAUUGACCAAAAUUCCUACUUCAUUUCGUUACUUCAAUGAUAUAUCAUACGUAACGGUUUUCGAAUUUACUCCGAUGUACUAUUGCGGUGAUCAGGAGUUAAAGCUAGACAAGUUUGUGAUGGAGGAAAUGGAGCUCAACGACAUCAACAAGGCCUUUGAUCUACUUCUCCAAGGGAACUGUUUACGUUGUGUGAUUUGGUUAUACAAAGGAGAAUAGGAAGAUCAUCGGCCUACCGGUGUUAAUUGUUUCAUAUUCUUUUUACUUCUCAAGAAGACAUAAUUUAUUAGACUAUUUCGAUCAGUUUUACGAAUGGUCAAGGGUAUUUUAAUAACCGUCUUUCUCGGCUAGUUUUGUCGAUAUGGAUUGUAAUCAGCCUCCUCAUAUAUUAACUGGACAAUCUAUUCUGCUUGAGUCACCUUAUGUUGGGGAGGCGCUUUUGGCAUGUUUGCUACAAAUUUUAAACGAUAUUUGUUUCGAGUUGCAUAAUGAAUGAAUAACCUUUGUUUCAAAAAUAAAUAAAAAAUUAUAUAUAUAUAUAAACAUAAGGAAAAUAUUCUGGUGCAUUAGUGUACACNNNNNNNNNNNNNNNNNNNNNNNNNNNNNNNNNNNNNNNNNNNNNNNNNNNNNNNNNNNNNNNNNNNNNNNNNNNNNNNNNNGGUUUUAUAAUCAAAUGUUUGAGGGUUAGAAUUUAACAUUUAAGGGUUUAACAUUAUCUUUUAAGAUUUAGGUUGCAUGUGAGAUGUUUAAAAUUUAUUAUUUCAAUUUUAAAUUAUUAAAAUAAAUAUUUUUAAUAUUAAAUAUAUCGUCUAUACUAAUGCACCGGAAUUUCCACUCUAAACAUAAUCAAUUUAUAAAUAUUUGCCACAUUGAAAUAGCCGUAGUGUGGAGUUGCCAAUUGCCAGACCCAUCCAAUUCCGUAAAGCCCAGUGAUCAAUGAAAUUUCAAAGCUUGGUUGAUCAAGCCCAAGCCCAAUUCCCGACGGCGCUGAAUCGGAAUUGCCUUUCUUUCCCAUCCUCUAAAAUCGUCGAACCCUUCUGCGACGCCGCGACGGCCUAAAGCUUCUUCAGUGUUCAGUCCCUCCCGUAAUCUGUCCACCGCAAAUCACCAGGUAUAUAUUGGAACUUCAGAUCAAUCUGGUUUUAAUCCUCACCAGGAUGAAUCGCAGAUCGUUUAGCAAGUUCAUGUGAUCAAUUGCUUGUUCUUGAAUGUCAACAUACACGAAAUAGUGGUGAGGUUGUUUGAUUUCUCAAGAACAAUCAAAGUCAAAGUCUUCUCUACUGUAAUUGCAUUGUUCUUCAUGAUGAAUGGUGCAUAAUUGCUAUAAAGAAAAAAAAAACCCAGUUGCGUUGUUCUUCAUGAUGGUUGCUGCAGUAUUAUUACUUCGGAAUUCAGAUCAAUCUAGUUCUCAAAACCUCAUUAGGAUGAACCGCAGAUUUUUUAGCAAGCUCCUGUGAAUUGCUUGUUCUUGAAGGUCGAGAUAGACGAAAUGCUGACGAUGUUCUUUGAUUUGUCAAGAACCAGGUCUCUGUCUUCUUAACUGCAUUGUUUCUUCAUGAUCUGCAUUAUUAUUAGUUAUAAGAAAAACCAGUUGCGUUGUCCUUAAUUGCAUUGUUUUUCAUGAUGAAUGCUGCACUGUUAUUAGUUUAUUUCAGAUCAAUCUAGUUUAGACCUCAUUAGGAUGAACCGUGGAUUGUCCGUCUUCUUAAUUGCAUUGUUCUUCACGACGAAUUGCUGCAUUGUUCUUCUGACGAUCCGAUUGGAUCUUGGAUAAGCAGAUUGGUUUGAAGAAUGAAGAAAGGAGCACACCCACAAAUGCAAUGGAUAUCCUAUGUGACCCAGAGCGGCAGAUUGAUGAAUGUUAUGAUGACAAAGAUACACAACACUGGUAAAGUCUACCACUUCAGAGCAAAGCGGCAAAUGGCUGAAAGUCUUGGCCAAAUUGCUAAGUUCAAGCGUCGCUACGGUGGUCAGGACGAGAACCAGGAAGAAGCUGAAAAAAAGUAAGUCGAGCCUGAGGGAGGAGAAGAAGCGCUCCAGCUCCAUAGGCUAGCUCUUGGACAUCAUCAGAUUCUUUAGAGUUAAAAGACUUUGAGGCUCGUUCGUCGGACUAUUUUGACGAGUUUGUCUUCUUCAUUGUGUGAUUAGGUUGCACCAAAGAGAACAAGGGAGAUCAAUUGAGCCUUAUGUGUUCGUGAUUUUGUACUCUUUUCACUUGUUUGAGAAGCAAUAAUCAUCGGACUAUUUCGAUGAGUUUUGUCUUACUAUUCCUUAUUUCAAAUGACUCUGACGAUAUGAAAUCUAGCCUAGUUGGUGUCGAAACUUCGAAGAAGAGCUUUAAGUACAAAUCUUGGUGAAGUAGCUCAAUUGAUAAAGUUGUAUACUGGCAACCCGAAUGUAUUAGUUCGAGCAAAUGGACAAUCAAGUAAAAAUGGUAAUUUCACACUAGUUUGCAUUAAUCCCGCGCCAAAACGGCUCCGUUUGCUAAAUGGCUAGUCGUAGGUUUUAAGCCGCAUUGCCUAUCUUUUGAGUUGUGAUUCCCCCUGUCGACUGUAGAGUCUCUGUACAACAAAAAAAGAAACGAUGGCUUCGUUUUGCAGGUCAGCUCUAAUGGCGACCUCAAGGCUUCUAACCGGUCGAACCAAAACCCUGACUCAGAGUUCCUUCUUCUCCUCCUCUUCCUCCCUUGCCUUCACUUUACCUCCUACAUUUUGUAGAACAGGAUUGAAUGCAUCAAUGUGUCGUUUGUGUUGUAAGAAAAGUUAGGUGCUUUGUUCCCGAGUUGAAUUUUCUGCUUGUUGGUCGUUUUCUUACCAAUGUUCGUGAGAUUGUAUCAAAGAUCAACCCGUUGAUGAUAUAGAUUCAAGGUUUAGUGAUGAACCCAGAAAAGAACUGUUUUGUGAUCACACCAAACAGUUGUUCAUCGUAUCGAUUGCCAAGGCCUUGCUGUGUACUUGACUCGUGCUGUUUAGUUUAUUUCUCAAUGGUAUCAUUCAAAUGAAGGCAAUCUCUAAUUCACUUCUUUCCUUGCUUUGGUCCAGGCCUCGCGACGCCAUUGUGACAGCACGUUUCGUUCGUGUGGGGGGUAAUGAACUGCAAAUGGAAGACCCGCAUUUUCCGAUUUCGCUUGGUUCACUUCUUAGUACUACUGUCUUGAACUUGUUUCCCUUAGCUGAUCAUUGCUGGGGGUUCAACUGAUUCUUACUGCUGAUAACAUCAACUGUCAAUCGAUGGUUUUGGAGGAUGGUCUUUCGAAAUGCAGUUCCGUAACUUUUGAGGUUUCUUUUCCACGCAUAGCUUCUGAAACUAACUGCUAGAGGCGCAAUGAUGAUUGUAUAUACUCUAUUGACAUGGAACCUUCACUCCUGAAAUUCUAUUACCAUACUAAAUUCAUGUCAUAAAACCUUCAAUACUGGGGUCAUAAGUACUUCAGCAUUACAAGAUCCUGAAAUGCGAACUUGUAAACACAACUAACACAAGGGAGAUUGCGGGAAAAGACCGAAUUUACAAAUCAUAGUCGAGGAUUAUACGACGAUCGCCAUGAGACUGUAAGAGACACGUCUUCUAGGUUUAUGUACAUACUUAGAUUCAGGAGUCUAUAUAUUUACAGACUACCAAACUGCCACGUUCUCAAAAGUUUAUUCGUAGACAAGUCGGAUAUUUCGAUGUUCUUCACAAAAGCAUUCCACGAGUUCAGGACGACUACCACAAUAAACCAGCUAAUGUUCACCGAUCUGGUGACGAGGCUGAUCUUCAGGUGGAGGGCGAGUUGCGCGGCGGAACCAAGUGUUGAAAGCGGAGAUCAAGUGGGGGCAAUCAUCAACGUUACGGGUCGACAAGCUAAGGCACUGCUGAAGCAGUUCCUGUGAAUCUGACAUUGGAAGGGUUGAGAUGAUUCUUACGAAUGUCUCCUCGAGCUCCAGAUACAGUGCUUUGUGCCCAGGCGACAUUGGGGAGACCUUGUCUUUGCAUAUUAUCAGAACUGGAAGCCAGUCGCUUACCAGCUUCAUCCUCACCUGCAACACAACAUCAAGCAGAUCUUCAUCAAUGGUUCUGUAUCAUCACAAGCUUUACAGUUUCUCAAUCAGAAGAGGAGACAAUGCUCGAGAUAAAAACAGUACAUUAUGAACGGGACAUCCAGUAUCGUACCUGUCUAGCAGCAAGAAUGGUUCCCGUAGCAACAGCAUAGGCAAGCUUGUAAGUGCAGCGGAUCAUAAUAGCAGGAAGCCCAGGAACAAUAUUCCUCCAAACAUCAUCCCUAAAAGCCCUCUGCAAAUCAGCUGUAAAGGCAGACUGCUCACUCCAUUCCUUAACAGCAUUAUCCGCCACUCUCAACUCGAUCAUCCUCUCCACCAGCCACAGCAGCUGCUUCCCAAUGGUCAUGGCCGUGUGCAGAUUCAACCGCUGUAUGGCCUCUAUCUCGUUGUGGUCUCCUCUGACAUCAGGGCUCGAGUACUUCUCCAACGACUCCUUCACAACCUUCAAGCUCGUCUGGAAUGCCUUCUCCAAUACUGUCCUAGCAGCGUUCCUCGACGAGAAAUCCCGUAACAGCUUCGCUACGAACGCCUUCACGUACGCCAUGUUUGGCUGGUUGUUAGUUGCCGCGGCGGAGAUCAAACCUUGAAGCAUUUCCUCGCAGGAGUCCUCUUUCGCCGGGGAAAGUCUGGCUAGAAGAUUUUUCGAUUCGUCCUCGCUUAGGAACGGAACCAGCUGCAGUACUCGCAUUUCUUCCUCUUCGUUCCACGGCACCGCUUCAAGGAAGCUCACGCAGUUGGAGACGCAAUCCUCGAACAAUAACUCCAACGCCACUGGUAAUAGAUCAAGUGCGGCCGAGACCGAUGUAAUCACCGACGGGAAAUCGUUCGUGUAUAGAAGUUCCAGCACAGCUAACCUGAGAUCGAUCGAGCCAGGUCUUGGAGGAACACCCAGCUUCAGGUGCUUCGGCCUAACAUCGGCAACGGAAUCGACACCUUCCUGAUGCGAUCCCUUCUCAGCGUCAUCGUUCCGCUGCCAACGAUCGGAUAAUAGGGCCGAGAAAUACUUCGCGCGUCGGAGGACAUCGGAAUGGAGAUAGAUCUGGACGUCCGACCUCUCGUCCAUAAUACAAGAAGAGCCGGAACUAGAAGCGUCGUCGCCGAUGGAGAGGGCUGUGGGGUCGACGUAGAGGAGGAGCAGCACAUCUGCGGUGGAGGAAUCAUUAAACGAGAUGACGGAGUUGGAUGAAGAAGAACAAGAAGAAGGCGAUAGGAGGUGAGGAUGAGAGGACGUUCGACGGAUCUUCUGAGACGUUUCGCUGAUUGUCCUGUCCGAAAGGGAUUCGAUGAGAGCGGAGGUGGAAGAGACGCGAGCGGCGGCGAAUUGGCGGUGGUGAUUGGGCGUGCGCUGCCGUUUCUUAGGGUUAAUCGGGAACAUUUUCUUUCGCCGGAGAAGGUUCUGGAUUUGGUGGAGGCGACGGAGAACGACGAUUAGGCUUUUUACGAAGUGGUUUUUUAGAAAGGGGGUUCAGGACACGUGGCGGAUAAUCAUUGAUUUUUUAAUUAUUUAUAAUAUUUCUCUCAAAUAUUAAUUAAUUUAAAUUUUUUUAAUUUUGAUAUUAAAAUAUAAUUAUGAAAAUUUUAAAAUACUAAUUAGUAUUGUCACGUCAUCCACCACGAUGACAAAUAGUUUUUUAGUAUGAUAAUUAUGCUUUGUUUAAUUUUAUUUCUUACAAUAAUUUUUAGUAGACAAGAUUUACCCGAAUAAGCAUCUUUUUCUUUCAUCUCCAGGCAACUUUUAUUUUUUACAAUAAUUUUCAAUAGGCAAGAUUUAUCCGAAUAAACAUUUUUCUCUUUUAUUUCCGAGCAAUUCAUCUUUUUGCUUAAUCUGAUACCUAAUAUAAUAAAGUAACUUUAUAUUAAGAUUAAAAUAACAAUGAACUCAAUCGAAUUUUCGUUCCGCAUGUUUGGUAGGAAAUUGAAAAUGUUUGGAGGUGGAUCUAUUCUAAUUCUAAUACACAUGAGAUUAUUAAAGACGAUAUUGAAAAUUGAAUUUGGCUUCCAAAGCGCUCCCAUGCCUGCCUUGAAUGAAUGGCAUCAGAAAUAAUAAUGCAGCAUCACGCCCUGCGAAAUCAACUAACAAAAUCACAGUCUUGUUGAAUUACGGGUGAGUUUAUUUUGAAAUUUGAGUCUGUUGUUCAAUAUCUUAUUCUCAACUGUACCUACUAUUCCAUCGAGUUUUACCAAAUUCGCCAGACUUUCAAUAGCAGAUCCUGCAAAGAACAACGAGAAAAGAAACAAACCACCAUGAUUAUUCAUUCAGUUGCGUAUACCCAAAGGAAGCGAGGAGCUGACAAAAUAAAUAUUCCAAAGCAUCCAUGGAUUUACUUUCUACACUGAUAAAAACUAUAAAUUUAUAACUUGACUUUUUAAAUUUCACCACUCCUCAGUCCCUCUACUCAGCCACCAGAACUCCAUCAAACAAUGCCGGCCGCCGGAGCAAACGCCGGCAGUAAGCUGAAUUCUUCCUCGCCAAUGAUUCUAAACCUCAAGCUCUACGUCCUCAUCGGCAUCUUCUCCGCCUCCCUCAUCUUGCUCUGCCUCGCACUCUUCCUCUGCUUCCGGCUGAACCACCUGUCCCGGCGGCGCGUGAAGCACAGCUCCGGAUCCAUCCCUUUAGUACUCUCCGAGAUCAGCACAAACAGUACCACGAACAAGUCAUCCAUCGAUGUCGAAGCUGCAAACGGCGACGUGGGUAAGCUCGCCUGUACCGAAUCCCCCGUGAAGAAUCAGGAUGAGGUUAAAGUUCCCACCGGCGGAAAUGAGCUGACGGCGGUGGAGGGAUGGGGGAGGUGGUACGGGUUAAAGGAGCUGGAGACAGCGACAAAGGGGUUUGCGGCGGAGAACGUUGUCGGAGAAGGCGGAUAUGGCAUCGUUUACAGGGGAGUGUUGGCCGACGGCUCUGUUGUCGCCGUCAAGAAUCUCCUCAACAACAAGUGAGUUCCCUUUUUGGUGUACUUACUCUGAAAAAUGUCGGUGACAGCAAAUACCUUAUUCCCCCUUUUACCCUUUUGUUGCUUUCAUUCAUUAAUGGUGGAUCUGGGAUUUUGGUAAUUUUGCAGAGGACAGGCAGAGAAGGAGUUCGAGGUUGAAGUAGAAGCCAUUGGCAAAGUACGGCACAAGAACUUGGUUGGCCUGAUUGGCUACUGUGUUAGUGGCCCUAGCAGGUAUAUGAUCCAACUUUCUUAAUGUCUGAAAAAUCAUUGAGCUUCUUUAAUUUUCUCUGGUUUCAGGACGCUGGUCUACGAAUACGUCGACAAUGGCAACUUGGAGCAGUGGCUACACGGAGUUGAUGGACCCAUUAGCCCCUUAACAUGGGACAUCCGGAUGAAGAUCGCCAUUGGCACUGCCAAAGCGUACUGUGCAGAGAGCUGGCUUUAGUUGCUUCUACUGCUCAUUAAUUCCAUCAGUUUCUGCUGUAUAUAAUGUGUUGUGUAUAACUCUGUGUCCACAGGCUAGCUUAUCUACACGAAGGGCUAGAGCCAAAGGUGGUGCACCGUGACGUAAAGUCGAGCAACAUCCUCCUUGACCGGAAGUGGAAUGCGAAAGUCUCCGAUUUUGGACUGGCCAAGCUUUUGCGAGGCGAAUCGAGCUACGUGACUACUCGAGUCAUGGGAACAUUCGGGUUCGUAAAACUUUGUACACCUUUCUAUAAACAGUUUCAAAAUGACUUGUCGCUUUAACAUUCUAGGUCGUCUGCUUAGGCUACAACUCGGAUUGAGAGUUGAGACUAGACUAAGUGAACGACAUUUUUGGAAGUUAUCAUGAUACACUUGAAACAAAUUCACGAGGGUUGAUGUGACAAUGAGGUGUCACAUGACUUUGCUGAGUUAAUGUGAUCAAUGUAUGUCCUACUCAUUGUAGAUACGUGUCCCCCGAUUACGCAAGCACGGGAAUGCUCAACGAGGGGAGCGAUGUGUACAGUUUCGGAGUUCUCCUUAUCGAGAUCAUCACGGGGAGGAGCCCUAUCGAUUACUCCAAACCAGCUAGCGAGAUGAACUUGGUGGAUUGGUUCAAGGGAAUGGUGGCUAGGCGUCGCGGAGAAGAGCUAGUCGACCCGUCAAUCGAAGUUCAGCCAUCCCCAAGAGCUCUGAAAAGAGCCUUGCUGGUUUGUCUUAGGUGUAUAGAUUUGGAUUCCUGCAAAAGGCCAAAGAUGGGGCAGAUUGUUCAUAUGCUUGAAAGCUAGAUUACCUUCCGUUUUCUUCUUACUUGGAUUCCAAGUUACUGCAGUGGAGUUUAGUCUCAUUAGUCAUUUCAGGGCUAUGUCAUGAUCUUGUUUACAAAUCAUUUCGUACAAAAUUAUAAAUUCUUAACAUAUUAACCGACCGAAUAAAUUUUAAAUUAACCGUUAAUUAUAAUUAAAUGUCCACACAUAUAUCUUAGGUUAGAUGAAAUCCUAGUUAAUUUUAAUUGUCUUUAAAAAGUCCACACAGGCAGGAACAGACACGUGGCGAGACCACAUUCACCAAUCCAACCCAAAAAAGGAGGAAAAUAAGCCCGCCAAAAAAAGUACAUAAUUACAUCUCAAUCCACCAUAUUCGCUCCUUUUUUCUUCUAUCAUUUCUUCCCCCAAAUUGAAACCAGAAGAGAAAUGAAACAAUUUCCAAUUGCGCAUUCAUAAAUCUUCCACUCGAUUAUCUCACGAGUUUGCAAGACAUCGAUCGGAGUGAUUGAUUCGACUGCGAUGGAGGAGAAGCUGAUCGCUCGGCUGGAAUCGGCCGUGUCGCGGUUGGAAUCGCUGUCUUCUUCUCCCGUCUUCACAUCCCGGGAUAUCGGCGGUGGAGAUUUCGUUUCCUCGUCUUCCGAUCCGUCGAUUCUGGCUUUUGACGAUCUGAUCCGCGAGUCAUUCGGUAGGGUUUCGGCCGCUGCGGAGAAGAUCGGGGGACAGGUCCUGGAGGUUACCAAGGUUAUCGGUCAGGCUCUUGAUAUCGAGAAGGAGCUUCUCGUCAGCAUUAAGCAAACCAAGGUAACGGUUGUUCUUCGUCGAUGUUCGAUCUCCAUGAUUGAAUGUGUAUGGUGGUUUUGAUUUAUUCUUUCUAAUAUUUUGUUUGGACAGAAACCUGACAUGGCGGGAAUGGGUGAAUUCAUGAGGCCUCUAAACGAGGUGAUUGGGGAAGUGAAUGCGAUGACGGAAGGGAGGAGAUCCGAUUUCUUCAACCACUUUAAGACUGCUGCCGAUAGUCUUUCGGCUUUAGUGUGGAUUGCUUAUACCGGCAAAGACUGUGGUAAACUGAAGCUUCGUUUGCUGGUUUUCUGAAUGUCUCUAUCGCCGUGUUUGAUUGUAUCGUUGUUGUUGAUUUGGUGAAAGGUAUGAGUAUGCCCAUUGCGUACGUAGAAGAGAGCUGGCAGAUGGCUGAAUUCUACAAUAACAAGGUAAAUAGUUUACAGCUCUGUUUGUAAAUGUGUAUUGGGAGCUGAUGACUCUGUUAUGAACGUAGAUUCUUGUGGAAUACAAGAGCAAAGACCCGAAUCAUGUUGAAUGGGCGAAAGCUGUGAAGGAACUCUACUUGCCGGGUCUGAAGGAUUAUGUUAAGAGCUACUAUCCGUUGGGUCCGGUAUGGUGUGCUACUGGAAGAUCUGUGGCCUCUAGGCCAAGUGCUCCUGCUCCCCCGCCAGCUUCUCACUUCAGCGCUGAAUGUUCGAACCCUUCAUCGUCAAAGCCAAAUGCGAGCAUGGCUGCUGUGUUCCAAGAGAUCAAUUCUGGGAAGCCUGUAACUGCAGGUAAUGCCAAAUUUAGUAUUCUGUUUAUUUGCUGUUAGUGAAUGUAUGCGUUUAGAGUGAGGACACACAAUAUGUUGAUUUAUAGGUCUGAAGAAGGUCACAAACGAUAUGAAAUCCAAGAAUCGCGCUGAUAGGACUGGUGUCGUUGCUACCACUGAUAAAGGAGCUGCUUCUUCAUCUUCGUCUUCUUCGAAGAAGACAAAGACGGGACCUCCUAAGUUUGAGCUUCAAAUGGGUCGGAAGUGAGAGUUCUUUCUCUUCAUUUGUUUCUUCCAUUUAUAUAUUUUCCUCCUUCCAGCUGGCUAAUAUCUUACUAUGUUCCCCAAUUGACUGAAUCUUCUAACAGGUGGGUUGUUGAGAAUCAGAUUGGAAACAAGAAUAUAGUCAUUAGCGACUGUGAUGCUAAGCAAUCAGUGUAUAUGUUCGGAUGCAAAGAUUCUGUUCUGCAAAUUCAAGGUAACUGGCUAACAUUUACUACGAGCUUGAUCAAAUUCUAUGUCUGUUUCAUGCAAGCUAUGUUGAAGUUUAUCAUGAACAUGGAGAACGAUUAGUAAGCUUAAGCUAUCUCCUUCCAACGUGCAGGCAAAGUGAACAACAUCACCGUUGACAAGUGUACUAAGACCGGGGUGGUAUUUUCGGUUAGUAUAUGCGCUAUUACCAAAUUAACAAUACUGAAGCUCCCUUUUGUUCUCAUAAGCUGAUUCUAUUCCCGUCAAUGCAAAUUUGUAGGAUGUUGUAGCUGCUUGCGAGGUUGUAAAUUGCAGCAGUGUUGAAGUGCAAUGCCAGGUACAACUCUUGCCCCGGCCCCUUUUCUUAAAUUAUCACAAGAAUAGGAAUUCUCUAAGAUUGAUAUUGGUGCACCAUUACUUGGCCUAUAUAUCAGGGUUCAGCUCCAACCAUUUCAGUGGACAAUACUGCUGGCUGUCAGCUGUAUCUGAGCAAGAACUCCCUCGAGACGUCCAUAACCACCGCAAAGUCUAGCGAGAUCAACGUGUUGGUGCCUGGUGCUGAGCCUGAUGGUGACCUGGUAAGUCUUAUCCGUACAAUCUUUCAACCCAAGUAAUUACUAGCUCGGACCACUAUGUCUCUUAGUAUAUAUCAUCUCUUCCCAUAAUUAAGGGACUGAGUAACACAUUCGAUGUUCGAUAUUCGAUUAGCUAGACUCUUAUAUCGUCAACAAAUCCGUGGACUGAAUAUUGCCUCCGAAUGCUCUGGAUGUUUGUUUAACAUGUCCCAGCCCGAGUUAAGACAUAACCGGGGGGUUUUCGCUACGAUGUGCAGGUAGAGCAUGCUUUGCCACAGCAGUAUGUUCAUCUGUUCGAGGACGGCAAGUUCGAAACGACUCCGGUUUCCCACUCUGGAGGGUAAUUUCUGAUCAGUUGGAGUAUCUCUAACCAAAGAGUCUCUUCCUUCAGAGGAGUUCUUUCAUUUUUGAUCGAUUUAUUGAAUUCUGAUAUUCUAUUUUUGUUCCUUUAUCAUUCUUUUUAUUUUUACAUUUUUCUUCUAUAUUUUCGUCUUUCAAAUUUUGCUGCUUACAUAUGAGACUGUGCAUGUAAAAAUCAAUAUCGCUGGAAAAUCUUCCUACGAUGUUUGUGUUCGCUUUCCCAUAUUUCAAGUCUUUUUCGAAACACUCGUUUGCAUUAGAGUGAGAGCUAUUGCUAUUAGUACAAACGAGGCAACAGAACUUUUACAUCUGUUAGGCAUCAAAGUGAGAGAUAGCAACUCAAAUUUGGAUCGAUUCGGCUUGAGUCAAUUAACUUAAUUGAUUUGAGUUGGUUGAAAAUUAUUACAAAUCAACAGUGUUGAUUCGUAGUAACACUCACGAUGUACCGUUACUACACGAUAGACUUUUUUGGUGUCGAAUAGUGAUGUCCGCUAAGGAGAAAAGUUGCGAAGCUUUCGUCUUUUGGAUGAUGGUGCGAUGUUGGAUUUGGGAAUCUCCUUUUCUUGUGGUCAACAACUAUCAAUUCUACAAUUCAAAAGAAACUAUCAUUUUCUAUGUAAACUAUUAUUUAAGGGGAGUAAAUUGUAAAUACUGAUUUAAUAAUCUAGUUAUCUUCGAUUUUGGAUAUCUAAAUCUUUUAAACUCGAUUUUUAUCGUUGAAUUUCAUUAUUGGAAGGAAAAAUACAUACGAGUCAUAGUUUUGAAUAGGUAUCUGAUUAGCGGAUUAUCAAAUUUGAAAGAUCUACAAUGCAACCGUUAGAAGACGGUGGAACCGUACAUACUCCUCACACAGAGUCAUAUUCCUCAAAUGGAGUUAAUUUAAUUAUAUAAUUUGAAAAUCCAUAAAACUGAAUAUUCAGAUAGAAAAUUCAUACUUGUUCGAUUAAUCGAGUUUGCUCAUUUCGAUUACUCAAUUUUCAUAUAUUAAGUGUCAAUGCUACAAGCCACCUAUUAUUUUAUUACAAUAUUAAAACUCAUUAUAAAUUGCCAGAAAAAUAAAAGGAUGCAGAUUCCCAAAACAGCCGUUUUCUAACUUCUUACUCAGAAGAAAGCUCCCAGCUCCAACAGAGAACAAGAACAAGAUCAAGAAGAAGAAACGGCAAAAUCAAAUCAAAUUCUGAGCUUCCAAGGCCCAAAUCGGCCGUAGACUACGAUGCUAAUUCCUUCUCUCGCCGCCGCCUUCCUCCUCCUCCUCCUCCUCCACCAUUUCCCUUUCGCCAGUAAGCGAAUUCUUCCCCCACCCUAUCUCUCUAUCUAAUGCUUUCUUUCUCACUUCCCAGUUUCGGUAUCUGAUUGAUUUACAAUUUCCCCUGUUUUUUUUCCGCCAGAUUCCCAAUCGUUCAUCGGAGUCAACUACGGUCAAGUAGCCGACAACCUCCCGCCGCCGCCUGCCACCGCCAAGCUCCUCCAGUCCACCACCGUCCAGAAGGUCCGACUCUACGGCGCCGACCCGGCGAUAAUCAAGUCCCUCGCCAACACCGGGAUUGGAAUCGUGAUCGGAGCCGCCAACGGCGACAUCCCGUCUCUCGCCGGCGAUCCCAACUUUGCGGGCCAGUGGGUCAACUCGAACGUCCUCGCCUUCUACCCGGCCAGCAACAUCGUCCUCGUCACCAUCGGCAACGAGGUCCUCCUCUCCGGCGACCAGGGCCUCGUCUCCCAGCUCCUCCCGGCGAUGCAGAACGUCCAGAACGCUCUCAACGCGGCGUCGGUUGGUGGGAAAGUUAAGGUCUCGACGGUCCACUCGAUGGCGGUGCUGGGUCGGUCCGACCCGCCGUCUUCGGGCUCGUUCGACCCGGAGUAUGGGGACACGAUGAAGGCUCUGCUGCAGUUCCAGAGAGCGGUCGGGUCACCGAUUGCUAUUAACCCGUACCCGUUCUUCGCGUACCAGAGUGACCCGAGGCCCGAAACGCUGGCGUUUUGCCUGUUUCAGCCCAACGCGGGGCGAGUCGACUCGGGGAGUGGGAUCAAGUACAUGAACAUGUUCGAUGCCCAGGUCAGUACAACUGUACAAGAAGUCAAUAACUUAUUCAUUAUUUAGUUUUAAAUUUAGAUUUUUGAACUUGAUUAAUUAUUUGAAAUUUGUCUGAUUUAGUCCACCUAAUCAAUCAUUAAUCAACCAAGGUAAAUAAAUAGUAUAGAGUAGAGCAUAGAUUGGUGUGCAUUAUGGUUAUUUGAAACCGGCCCGCUCGGUUCAAUUUGAACCGAAUUGAACCAAGUCGAGUCGUUACAAACUCGCUCGGUUCUGUUUGUGACCUCGAUAGGUCAACCCAUCCUGGGGUCAGUCUUGUAUUGUAUGCCAUUCCUACGAUACGAUGUAAUCAUUAACUUAAUUAAUGAUUGAUACAUUUGAUUUUCAAACAGUAGAUAUCGAGUUCGAAUCCAAUUCCCCGAAUACACAUAUAACUUUGUCUAUUUCGGAAAAAAGUGUAAUGGAAUGUUCAAAUUUGAAUCAUUGUCACCAACGGGUCGUUGGCAUGUUGUAUAUUAAUUAGUAAUUAGUAUAUGGACAAAAGAUUGUUCAUUAUAUGGAUGGGCCGGGAGUGGGCCCAGGCCCAGACAUAAUCUCUGGGUACCCUGAACCAAAAGACAAGCGUUACGUGCGACAGCCGCAUGUGAUGUGAUCACUGAUUACAGAGGCUAAGGUUGUGUUGGAUGAUUAUAUUGUCUGUAUAUGUGGAAGAAAACGACGUAGGAUCAUUGACGAAUUAGAUUUAUGGUCUGUUCCUUAUCUCGUUUCCCUACCUUAUCUUAUAAGGCAAGGAAUAGGAAAUUUUGAAAUGGGAGUUAUAGAACAUCAAAACUGUUAAUGUCGGUUUUCGAAGUCUUGAAGGCGAGGGUGAUUUGGUCCAUAUCAACUGUUUAGAUCGGAAAAUAGAAGUGAUUUGGUGGGAUUUCAUCUCUAAUGGCAUAAGGGGCAUGAUGACUUGACUUGACGUCAUCCUUACUUUUCCUCCGGCUUAUCACCGGCUGCUCAAGGUUCCAAACUCAACGGUGACAACUAAACACAAAGGGUUGCCCUAAUUGUGGGACUUAACCCAAUCAACGUCGCUUCUUCUGUUUUUCUAACCCAUAGUUGUUUAUGUUAUUUUUUAUUCGAUUUUGAAUGACAUUUUUAUAUCGUGAUUAUCGUGAUUGUAACGAACGGACUUGUGAUUUUACUCAUUUGUUUUGUUGUUGGUGGGGUGUGUACAGCUCAGCAUGGGCCACUACUUGCACCAAAAAAUUCAAUGGCCUUUUUCUCCAAGGGUCUUUCUGGUCAAUUAUUAUAUUGGGAGGGUCAUUAUUGCACAUUCAUAAAGUUGGAUGAUGGUGGACCCUAAGUGAAACUAAAAUAAUGUGAAAAGAAGGGCAAAUAUUCCUCAUAGAGUUUGGUUUUGGUCUUCACUGGAAUUUGUCCUCUGUCCACCAUAUGUUGACUAAAACAUUUUCCUCUGAUGAUUCUGUUCAUAAAGCUAUCAUUUUUAUACUGGAAAAACAAUAAGAUGAUAUUUUGCAGGUUGAUGCGGUGAGAUCGGCUCUGAAUGCAAUGGGGUUCAAGGACAUCGAGAUUCUAGUCGCGGAGACGGGCUGGCCCUACCGUGGGGACCCGAACGAAGUUGGACCGAGUAUCGAAAAUGCUAGAGCCUACAAUGGCAACUUGAUUGCUCACCUUAGGUCCAUGGCUGGAACUCCGUUGAUGCCGGGGAAGUCAGUCGACACUUUCUUCUUCGCUCUGUUUGACGAAGACCUUAAACCAGGACCUUCCUCCGAACGUAGCUUCGGACUGUUCAAGCCUGAUCUUUCCAUGACUUAUGACGUUGGUCUGUCCAAGACCACCAGCCCACAGGUAAACAGAGCUCUGUACUAUCAUCGUCUCAUUUCAACCUUGAACGGGGUUAGUCUUAACUAGUUCCGAAUUCAUUCCCUUUUGGUUAACUUUCAGAGUCCACCGCCGUCAUCAUCAUCAGGAUCGUCGAAAACGCCAUCUACGCCACAGGCCACGCAGUGGUGCGUGUCGAAGCCAGGUGUGUCCCAGGCCCAGUUGCAGGCGAGCCUGGAUUACGCGUGUGGCCAAGGAGUAGACUGCACUCCUUUGCUCCCCGGAGGUGCUUGUUUCGAGCCGAACACUGUCGAGUCUCAUGCUGCUUAUGCAAUGAACCUCUACUUCCAGAGGUCGGAAAAGCGUCCUUGGAACUGUGACUUCUCGCAGACUGCUGCCUUGACUUCCAAGAACCCUAGUGAGUUCAUUUUACUGUUUGCAAUGGUUGAUUCAUCACGUUCAGUGUUUGUUGCUUUGUGUGAACUGGGUUUUUCGUUUUUGCAGGCUAUAAUGGAUGCAAUUACCCUGGAGGAAGUACAUGAUUUUUUAUGAGUGAGGGUUAACUGUAAAUUUUUUUACUGUAAUAAAUUUGGGAUGAUCAAGUGCUGAUUUGGCAAUCUAGGAUGAGUGAUUUCAUUCGUGAGGUUGUUUGUACAGAUCAGUAAAUGGUUGACCAUAAGAUGCACGCUAUUUUUUCGCAAACGAGAAUCGAAUUUCCUUCGAAGAGGAUGAAGUAGGUAGAGAGGAAGUUGGACGAAGCGAGCAAUUUUCGAACAAAGACGGUUAGAUCAAGUUGACUUAAAAUAAAUGUACCAAUGAUUUGAAUUAGCAUUCUUGUCGCGAGAAGAAUACAAGUGUUCUCGAAGAUCAGCAUUUUCGAUUAUACUAGGGGGUCGUUUGUUAUGGGGGAAUAAAAUUUAGGAAAUGUGGAAUUGGGGGAAUGAUGGAAGAUAUGUAUUUUAACUUUUAUGGAAAUGUGGAAAACCAUUGUUUGGAUGACAAAUAUUUUGUGGAGAUUGUACAGAUAAUAAAGAAAAUAUAAAUUAUAAAUUUGCAUGUAAUGACAAUUUUGCCCUUAUUGUGGCAACACCUAUAUCAUAAACCCUCCUUCUGUAAUCCAUUCCUAAUCCAUUCAUAAUGUUGUAAUCCAUUGAUUUUUAAAAUAGUACUUCAUCCUUUAACAACUACUGAACUGAGUUACUACAUACAUCAAAUGCCUUACAAAAUACUCAUACUGGCACCAUACAGGUUAAGCCUUACUUCUUAAUGGCAUCAUGUCUUGAUACAAAAUAUAGAAACAACAGUACGAACACAUACUGGUUGUUGAUUCAUGUCACUACUGACCUACUCCAAAAUAGCAUACAGGAAGGCUAAUUUCUCCUCAUCGGUUGGCAACUGAAAGAAGCUGCUAGCAUCACCAUCGUCUCGGUGCAAGUGUCUCAAAGCUCUGGUUCGAUCACAGACAGAAAGUUCAGAGAACUUAACCAGCUCUUGAUACAGGAACUGCCUCUUGACAGCUAACUCACCUUCAAUGCAAUAGUUAGUUGCAAUCUUUGCUAUGUGCUCCGAUGUCAUUGCAAGAUUGGUAGCAAGUUGAGCUUUGUCCUCCUCAGAAAAUUGCUGCCUGGAUCUCUUUGUUCCCGAAGAUGAGGCUUUUUCCUUACCGUUUAUCUGCACACGUUUGGAGGUGAUUUCACCCUCUACCGCUUUCAGACUGGUCGCAUGCACGUCUAUCCCUUGAUUGAUAAUCUCUUCCAUAACUGCAGUAUGCUCCAUGUUCUCAGGAAUAGUAUAUGAAUCGAAAGUGUCAUUUUGUUCUCCCAUCAAGUCACCAGGGCCUGCAUGUGAAUCCAACUUGAUAUUUUGGGGAAUUGAGAAUACAAUCCCAACCUUUUCAAAAGCCUAAACAAACAAUGUUUUUGUAAAAUGCAGUGUUUUUAAAAUACAUCCCUUUAUUUCCCCCAUACCAAACGACCCCUUACUCUAUUCCAUUGCAAAAUCCUCCAAAAGCCCCAACAAUGGCGUUGUUCCAAAGCAGCAGCUUACCUCACUCCGAUCAAGCAAAGGACUCCUUCACCGUCGUCUGAGCUUUUGAAUGCCUUGAAGGUAAACACUACUCACAUUCUCAAUUCCUUAGUAUCCCUCAGCCGAGACGGAAAAGAAAUGAUUAACCGGAUGCAAUCUGUUCUAAAGAUUCGACACCUCCAUAGCGAUGGAUUACUAUGUUUCGCAGUUCGAAACCAUCCGCGGCAGUUCUCGAACGAAUCUGCUGGCAAUCAAACCACCACCGCCGGCCCUAUUGCUUUGUCUUACCUCAUCAACGAAUGUGGCAUCCGUCCCGAAAAGGCCGCAUCCGCCGUCAAAUACGCCCAAUUCAAAACCCCAGAAAAGGCCAAUUCGGUCUUGCAAUUCUUCAGAACCCUCGGCUUCUCCACCGCCGACAUCUCCCAAAUCAUCGGGAGGCGUCCUCGUCUGCUACUUUCCGAUCCGGACAAACAAUUCGCUCCCCGGAUUAGUUUCCUGGAAUCGCAAGGGUUUUCUCCCUCCGACAUUGCUCAAGUCUUACUGAGAGGUCCUGAGAUAUUCUAUUCCAGCGUAGCCAAACAGCUGCUACCCAAUUUUGAAUUCAUCAAGAGCGCCGUGCUUCCCAGUGAGAAUAACCAUAAAGAGUAAGCAAUACAAAUACAUAAUAGAUUAACUUAUGAUGUUCUAAGCAAGUGACGAGACAACUCGAUAGUUUUUAACGCCCCCUAUUAGCCCACAUAUGUUGAGCAAGGUCUUGUCUGAAUUGAGUCCACUCAGGAGUGGUUUGCACACCCCCAGGGAUGUCAUUGUUUGCCUCCACGGCUGGUUCUUCACUUUCUGUAGGUGUAUAUGCCAUGGUGAAUACAUCUGCCCCUCCAUUCUGCAUUAUGAAAUUGUGAAGUAGGCAACAUGCUGUAAAAAAAAGUCCAACCAUUUUCGGAGAAUACCAAGAAGUAUCUCGUAGUAGUGCCCAUCUCAUCUUCAACACCCCAAAACCUCGUUCAAUCACGUUUCUGGCACUUGCAUGUUUCAUGUUGAAAUAUGCUUCAGCAUUCCUUGGGCGAUUUCUACCCCAUUCUUGGAGGUGGUAUCGUGGCCCACGAAACGGGGUAAGGAAUCCUCUAGCGUUUGUAUAUCCGGCAUCACAUAGGUAGUACUUCCCUACAAAAUAUUGUUUAGGGAAGUUAAAUACAUUGCAUUCAUAAGAUAAUCAUCAAAUGAUAUAGAAUUAGCAAAAUAUUGUUUAUGGAAGUUAAUUAUAUUGUUCACCUUCGGGUACUCUAAAGCCUCCUGGACGAGAUAGGGCAUCUCGCAAUACCCUACUAUCAUGUGCCGAUCCUUCCCAUCCAGCGAGUAAGUAUAUCCAUUGUAAGUUUUGGUUGAUGACUCCUAAAACAUUGAUUGCUGUCGUCCCCUUCCUACUGCGAUAGCGAGAUUGAUUUGCGAUCGUUGUCCUCACAUUAACCAGUGUACCGUCAAUAGCGCCAACACAACCCUGAAAUGGAAGAAAGAAGCAAACAGGGGAAACUCACAUGACGCUGCAAACUAAGAACCAAGCAACAAUUAUGGAUAUGAAGCGAUGAAGAGUACCUUAAAGAACUUCCAUCGUGGAUCGUUAGAAUUUUCAGCAACUGCUACUGGCUGAACGAGGAGAUGUGUAUGGAGGUUCAACACUGCUGCCAACACUGAUUUGAUGGUGCGACAGACGGUUUCUCCGGAUCGAUGAAACAAGAGUUGGCAUGUCCUGUUCUUCACAUUAUGACCUAUAGUGACCAAAAACAUUGCUACCAUCUCAUCGACUUCCAUAUUUCUCGUGCUCUUUAAACCCCCUAAAUCCUGUAGUGUAUCACACAAACUCCAAAAUAUCCGUUUCUUUAGUCUCAACAUGCUAAUACAAUUGACAUCUGUGGUUCUAGUUGCAUUCAACAAAAACCCACUCCUAUAAACUUCCCGGCCAUAGGGGAGGGAUCUAGGUAUGUAAUCUGCACUUUCAUUACUAGUACCUUUAGUAAUAGAGUUCAGCAGAAUCAACACAUACUGUUGCAGUAAGUUAAACCACAUACAUACAACAUAGACAAUCACCCUCCUCCGUUGCUUCAAUGAUCUCCUUGCCAUCUCCUCAAAUUUACAGUUGCAGCAGUAGCAAAUUACAACAAGGCCAAACUGCAAUACCCUACAAUACUGCAACAUCGGUAUCGAACAAUUGCAGCAAGCAUAAUCAAUUAAAUAAACCCACUGAACCCUAGAUUAGUGCCAAAUCCUUAUUCAAUGAGUGAUUUAACCAUUAAAAACACAUACCUGGAUGUUGAUACACAGUGAUUGUCUUUAACCAGGAUAUAAAGAAAUAGAGGGACGGCGUAUUGAAACCCAGCAAUUGCCUUCAACUAAGUCCUCCUAUUGAAAUCCAACAAUUGCCUUCAACAAAGCCUAGAAUUGAUGAGAGACUGGUUCAGAUGAAACCCAGCGAUUGGCUAGAACUAAUAACUCAUCUCAUUGAAAGUUAUGCUUUGAACUGAUACAGGAAAGGAGUAUUGAAAGCCAACGAUUACCCCUCCAGCUGUUGACAGUUAUGAGAGAGAAAUAGUACGAACAUUGAAUAAUAUGGUUGAAAUAGUAAGGACAAUAUCGGUAGGAAAAAUUACAUUUUUUGUGGGACCCACCACAAACCCAGCGAUUUUAACAAUCUUUGGUGAAGAGUGAAGUUUCUGAAAACACCAUUUUCUAGAAAAAAAUUGAUAUUUUGGGGAAUUGAGAAUACAAUCCCAACCUUUUCAAAAGCCUAAACAAACAAUGUUUUUGUAAAAUGCAGUGUUUUUAAAAUACAUCCCUUUAUUUCCCCCAUACCAAACGACCCCUAGAACAAAUGUUUAAGGGGUUGUUUGUUAUAAGGGGAAAUAAGCAGACUAGUUGAAAUCACAAUAAUUCCCACCAUUCACUAUUCCUGCCUUCGCUAUCACCAUUCACCAGAUCCUUUUGCCUACUCCGCCAUUUUCAACAUCCUUCCUCACCAAUUGCUUGCUUCCACGCUGAUACAGAGAUUUGUUUGUUUCUCCUCCUUCCUUGCGCUUCAGCUUUCGCUGUCGGCUUUGCUGGUACUCAUACUCCCUUCCUUUCCAAGUGAGUAUCCUCCCUGAUUUGCUUUAUUCUCUAUAUUAGUAUUGACCGAAUCAGGGUUUUCUUUCAAUUACUUAGUGGGGAGAUUGUGGCUUAUUUGUGUUGAGCUGAAAUAGCACAGUGCAGAUCUCUCAGCUCCAUUGACCUCCUCGAUAUGGAGCUACACCUCAUGGAGUUAUGGAGAUGGUUUUGUUUUGGAUAUAAUCAAUUGAGAUUACAGUAGCAAUAAUGGAGUUAUGGAGAUUGUUUUGUUUCUUCAUUUCUUCAAGGGUACAUUGAUUUCUUCAUAAAAUCAAUGGAGAUUGUUGAUUGUAAGUUUCAGUAAGUGGCAAUUUUAAAAUCAAUGGAGGUGCUUGCUAAUUGGGGACUUUAAAUUCCUGAUCCUGAAUUAAAAAUCCUAAAUUAAAUUUUGGGAAUUCUGAAAUUUACAAAUUUGGAAACGGGUCUCAUUCCCGUCCCAAAUUCCACCCCUACUAGAAUCUGUACUUGUGAAAUACUUGUUCCGUUCCAAAUGUUGCAUGAAUCUGUCCGCUAAUCAAUGUUCCAGUAGUUGGUGCGUUCAUUUGAUCUUCUCGGUAAGAAGCUUGUAUGGUUGCCCAUAUUUGUUGCCUUUAUUGACUCAGAUUUUUCCAUUUCUUCAGAAGCAAACUCAACAGACGCAAGGCUUCUUCAAAACCUAUAGGCAAUAAUGUCAGAUCACAUCCCACAAGCAGUCCUGGCCAACAUUCUGAUACGACUCAGGGUGAAGGAUCUAGUGAGUUGCAGGCGAGUCUCGAAGCAGUGGCUCUCCAUCAUCGACAACCCUAACUUCGUCAGUCGCCAACUCGACUGUGCUGUUUCCACAAACACCAAAGCUGCAAUUUUCCUCCAAGGCAGAUCAUGGCAUGAUCUCUUCUGGAAAAAAAAGUUUGUCGGCGGUACUAGAUCCUUCUCCAACCCGAUCCUUCGUUUGUUCAGCCCAGUGUUCUUGAUCGGCUCUUGUCACGGUCUGGUAUGCUUUUCUGGUUUCGUAUUUCCGCAUGAUUUCGUAAUAGUUAACCCAUCAUCUGGGGAGCAACACAGACUAAGCAAUCCCUCAAAGGAAGGAAAAGGAAUAGUAGGACAUAAACCGGAAGCAUAUGGUUUCGGGUACGACGAGUUAUCAGACGAUUAUAAGGUGGUAAUGAUUUUGGAAACAAGCUGGUCUGAUCCCCGCAAUCGUUCCUACAUCGCUGAAAUUUACGGAAUCAGGUCUAAGGUCUUUACGACGAUUCCUUUGCCCAAUGCAGAGUGGAGGAACUCCGAUUGUAAGUCAAUUGGAGUGUUUUUUGGAGGCUCGUUACAUUGGUGUACCAUGGAUUCUUGUAAUUUUGCUCGUCCAAUUCGACAUGUGAUUCAUGCCAUUGAUCUUGCGUCAAACACCUAUCGUCAGUUGCAGUUUCCAGAAACCAUUUGCGGUCAGGUUUUGUUUGUGAAUGUGGGAAUUGUAGACAUACGCUUGUGUCUAUGUGGUUAUGAGAGGGAUUCGGGGAAAAUUGGCAUCUGGGUUAUGGACGAGUACGGGAAUCUUGAAUCGCUGAAUAAAAUCUACAGCAUUGAGUAUUUUUCUGAUCCUUCGGCUGUAACCUCUGUGGGGAGUGAUGGAGAUAAGAUUUUGAUGAGGAUUGAUUGGGGUAAUUUUGCUUGGUAUGAUCCGACGAAGGAUGAGUAUGAGACUAUCAGUAUGGAGGAUAUGAAGAGUAGAACAUAUGAAGCUAUCUAUUGUUUGGAGAGUCUUGUUAAGAUACUUCCAAGUGAUGUGAAGAAGGAUGCUUCCGAUACGAAAUUAGCUGACCAGAAAAUUUCGCAGAAGAAGAGUCGUUCGCCUGCUUUCCUCGAACCGAUGAUGCAGCGUGAUGACAGUUCUGAUGAGGAGUACUGUACAUGGUAGUAAACCAGUAAUGUCUGGUUUGGUACAUUGAGAGUUUAUAACAUGUUUCCAAAUGCCGUUUGUGUUCUAAUGAUGUUGCAAGUUACCAAUUUAUAUCUUCUUCGCGUUAAUAUAUUCACUAUUUUUGUUUAUUUGACACAAUAUUCUCUAAGUAUACCAAGUGAUGGUCAAGCUUAAAUUAAUUUACCUUGGUGAAUGGUUGAGAGUUUGGAAAUAUAUAAUUGACUUUUAACUAAUUCUCUAUUCAUUUAUUUUUGUUCAUAUCCAUCUUAUUAUGAGCAAAAUUGCCCGAUUAAGUGCGCUUGACCGGUCAAACUCAUUUCAGUGGAUGAUGGGUAAGAGUUUGCAAAUUCUCCACCGUUCACCCGGUUCAAAUAGCAAAUUUUAACCACCAGACCGACCCCAAGAGAGUUAAUUUUGUUGCCGAAGUGGGUUUCAUCAUCUAUAUAGAUUGAUGUUGAAGCCCUUUCUAAUCGUCAUAUUAUAUAUGGGAAAACGCGGAUUCGGGAAACAUACGUCCGUAGAGUGGGGGAAGAUUAAAUUUCAAAUGCUCCAAACGUCACGAACGGACGGUUACGCCGUUCAUUGAGACGCUUCAAUUGUUCGUUCCGCCCAGGGAGAGACACAUGGAGGGGCAUUGUUGACGAAGAGGACAAAGGGAUCAUGAUUAUCCACUGCAACGGAGUAGACGUAGGAGUGGACAACCAUGAUUUUCAAAACUACUGUGCUGUUUCGCUCCGUUUGAGGAAAAGAGAGAAAUAGCGGGAAACGUAUCCCAACACGCAAACAGGAGAAGACUAAACUACCCGCUUUCACCGGGAUUAUAAGGGCAUCUCCAUUCUAAAAUUUUAACAAUUGCUAAAAUGAGGUGGAGGGUGAGGUAAUUAACAAUUUAUUAAGGAUCCAUAUAAACAAGAUAAAUUAACAAUCUUUCUAAUUUAGAAAAUCAAUUAGCAAUGUCAUAUAGGUAAAUGGAUCGACCGCUUUUAAAAAAUAUAUUUAUAAUUAAGAUUUAUAUUAUAAAUGAUGUAUUAUUAAGUAAAAUAUAAAUGAUUGAAUAAAAAUUAUUAAAUAAAUUUAAAGAGGUAAGUGGUUAGAAAUAAUUUAUUAAAUGAAUGGCUAAUUUGUUGAUGUGAUAUGUAAACACAAUAAAAAAUGGUUAAACCAAUUCCUUGAGCAUCUCUGGAGAUUUUCGGACCCCCAACAUCCCAAGCCAUAGUUAAACAAUUUCACUUUUCACUCCUCAGUUAAGAAAAGUAAGUAUUUUUUCACUGUUUUUUUCACUCUUCUCUGCUGUCUGACUUUUUGCCAGACGACCAUUCCACUCUCUCUCAACGACUCUCUUUCACUUCUUCUUCUUUCCCAUUUCUUUCCCUUUCGGGGACGUAUAUCAAUAAUACAAUCUCGGCCUCCAAAUUCCUUCGGUUUCUCCAGCUCAAUUCCCCGUCUAUAAACUUCCCCAAUGUAAAAAAUUUCAAUGGCUUCUCCUCUGAUUUCCGCUUGAACUCUUGGGGAACUUGGAACUGAAACCAUACACCAUGUCCGUCGCCGAGCUGAAGGAGCGCCACGUGGCGGCUACAGAGACCGUCAACACUCUCAGGGAACGCUUGAAGCAGAAACGCCUCCAAUUGCUUGAUACAGAUGGUACACCUUGCCUUUGUUCUUCCAAUUAUGGGGAAAAGAAGAGAGUUUAUUUUCUCUGUUUAGUUAAAAAUGGGUUCUUUUCCGAUUUUGAUGAAGAGGGUGAGAUCUGAUUACUGAUUUGCCGAUUUCGUGUCUGUUUUUUUGGUUAUAGUUUCUGGGUACUGCAAAUCGCAGGGGAAGUCUCCGGUCACCUUCGGCCCUACCGAUCUCGUUUGCUGCCGGACGCUUCAGGGGCAUACUGGCAAGGUAAUGGAAUAUAUUUUUAUCAAAUGUUUGGUUUUGUUGGAUUUUAAUGGUCCACUGAUGAUCAUGAUGAUUUUGUACUGUGAACAUGAUGGAGAAGCUCGAAAAAUCUGUGAAAUUGCAGUAAAAUUGAUUGAGCUACUGUGGAAAUUAUUCUGCUUUGCUUAGUUCUAGGUGGGAUUUCUUCCUUUCGUAGAUAGGUGCUGCUUUCGUGAUUUGUCGGGUCUGGUCGAGCUUAUGGCUCAUUAAUGUCGCAAGUUCGAUUGCUUUGCUAUUGUCGCAAUUUGUCUGCUUUGGUUGAGCAUUUGUAGGAUGGUCUUCUUUCUUUGUGAUGAAUCAGUACGGAUAUGCAAUCUUGAAAAGUUGCAAUCUUUUACUACAUUGAUUGAGCGACUGGUGCCAAUUGUUUGUGCACUGAGGUCGAAUUUCUACUUUGCCUUUACUUUCAGAGCUUUAACAACGAUGGUGAUGACUGCUUUCUUUGCAAUGUAUUGAAACCAAUAUACGAGCUCUUAAAUUCGCGAUUCUCAACUACUUUCUUCGAGCUACUAUGCUAAUUGUGUUUGCUUGCUAUUAUCUGGCUGCUGGAUGGAGUUUCUACUCGGCAUUUCCAUCUAGGACCUGAAUUAAUUCUCGGACUGCUUAUUUGAGACAACAGAUUAACUUUCGGUAGCUGUUUCGGUUUGAUCUGAUUUAAAUGUGUUGUUUGGCUGAAGGUUUACUCAUUGGAUUGGACAUCAGAAAAGAACAGGAUAGUGAGUGCUUCGCAAGACGGGAGGUUAAUCGUAUGGAACGCGCUAACGAGCCAGAAAACCCACGCAAUCAAGCUGCCUUGUGCAUGGGUGAUGACGUGUGCCUUCUCGCCAUCUGGACAAUCGGUUGCUUGCGGUGGUCUUGACAGCGUCUGUUCCAUCUUCAACUUGAACUCGCCGGCUGAUAAGGACGGGAACUUAACCGUGUCAAGAAUGCUUACCGGACACAAGGGCUAUGUGUCUUGCUGCCAGUACGUUCCAGACGAAGAUACACAACUGAUAACUGGCUCCGGCGAUCAUACGUGUGCGUUAUGGGACACCACCACGGGCCUCAGGACUUCUCUUUUUGGCGGAGAGUUUCAGUCCGGCCACACUGCUGAUGUACAAUGGUCAGUUGAAAGUUGAAACAUGUUCUUUAUCUUUUCGAAGUGGUAGUUGUUUUGUUCAGAUGUUAAUUUUGCAUCAUGUUAUGUUUGCUUUUCAGUGUAUCAAUCAACGGAACGAACUCGAGGAUGUUCGUAUCGGGUUCUUGCGACAAAACUGCUCGCCUAUGGGACACUCGAGUUGCCAGUCGAGCUUCGCGUACAUUUUACGGUCACGAGGCAGACGUUAACACAGUGAAGUUCUUCCCGGACGGCAACAGGUUUGCCACAGGUUCGGACGAUGGAACGUGUAGGCUUUUCGACAUCAGGACUGGACAUCAGUUGCAAGUGUACUACCAACAGCACGGCGAAGAGAAUGAAAUACCGCAUGUGACAUCCAUCGCCUUCUCGAUAUCGGGAAGGCUUCUCUUUGCUAGCUACUCCAACGGUGACUGCUACGUUUGGGAUACUCUACUAGCAAAGGUAGAGUUAAAUUCUUUCAACUGUGGGCAUAGGUAUAGGACGAUCUUAGCAUUGACUCGGUUAUGGGUCGUUCUGGUUUGGUUAUAGGUUGUUCUGAACUUGGGCUCUCUGCAAAACUCGCACGAUGCUCGAAUCAGCUGUUUGGGUUUGUCAUCUGAUGGAAGCGCAUUAUGCACUGGAAGUUACGAUACCAACCUAAAGGUAAGCCCUUCUCCGAGCACAAACAUGAAUACCACUGAAUCGAAAUGGUUGGUCUCGAGUAUGCUAGCUGACUGUGUUCUGUUUCAUGGUCUGUUCUCCAGGUUUGGGCAUUCGGUGGACACAGAAGAGUCGUCUGAGUUGUCGAAAGAGCAUACAUUACCACAUUCGAGCACAUUCUUCUCGGCUUUGUGAACUGUAUUCUUUGCACCGUCGACUGAGUGAACUGUAUGAAAACCGGGUUUGUUCUCUGUAUGUAUUUGUGAGCAGUAGGAAAUGGACUAGUUGACACAUUUAUAUGACAUAUUUACGAGUUCUCACCGUCGGUAACAAUGAUUAAUCCCUCGCCGGUAUUGUUUUCACAGCCAAUUGAGGCAACUAAUGUUCGAUUACAAAGCCGCAAAGAUUCGAGUCUUCAAAAAUUCAUUACAGGUGUUGUGCUCGACAAGAAUCCUAUAAAAAUCAUUAGAAAUAUAGAAUACAAGUAAAUAUAGCAAGCAUAAACAAAGUAAAAUUGAAAAUGAAUUUCCUACUUUUAGUUGCAAAAUCACAACAAUAUUACAGUCUCCAACCAAGCUCAUUCCACUAGUCUCUUUCUCCCUGUACCAUUAAUAUUGUGUUAGCCGCUCGAAAUGAUUUCGUGGAUUGCGUCGCUGAUGGCUAUAUCCUCGGAUCUCACAGCUAGUUUCAUUGCAACUUCCUUAGGACCGUGCAUUCCGAACUGCAACCUUGCAAGAACCUUCACGUUUCCUAUGAACACACCGGACAGUAGACAUGUGUGCGACCUCGCAUUGCUCGAGACAACCUCGGUCCCCUGGAAAUUCGAGCAGCAUAAGAGAAGGGCGAAUGCCGAAUUCUAGCACUGAGUUCAUAAACUUUCCGACGGGAAUUCGAUUUUUAAGACUAGUCUACACGUACUCUACGGAACAUUCGAUGAAAAAUGCAGAAAAAUUCGACAGGAACUAACCUCGCAAGGCUGCAUUCCAAGAAGAGAGAGGACUGCAUUAACAGCUUCAACCAAGUUCUCCCUGGCGCCAAGGCCAUAUUCAUCGACACGCUCGAGUUCAGCAUCUAAGCUCUCCCAUGCGUUCCUGAAGUUGGCAACACCAACUUUCUGCAUAUAAUCGGCAGACACGACGUCCAGCUCCUCCAAUUGGUAUUCAUCGUCCACUCCAUCUUCGUCUGCCUCACCAGUACUUGGAUCAACCUGAUAUUUCAUUUGACGAAAAAAGAAACUAAGACUCGAGCUAACACGGUGAAGCCACAAAUAGAAGAAUCGAUCCUUACCUCUUUAACAAUGAAUCUCAGCGUGUUGGAAAACUUCCCCUCUGCAGGGACUCCCUCUGGCUUCUCAAAGACGACAAAUGUUUGUCCAGGAGUAUCAUACGGAAGAGAUCUCAAAGGCUUGGAUAAUACGAAUGAGAACUCCUCUGCCUCGGAAGUGUCCACGACCACGGUAACCUGAUGGUAUAAAAUUGAAGGUAUUAUGAUUAAGGGCUCUGGUUACAAAGCUUAAAGGAGAAAUGGUACUCCAAUAUUCUAGCAUUAGAUCAUUUACAUCUUCGAGUAGCUGCUCCGGGAUUGUGUUGGUGCAGUUGUACUGGAACACAACAUGCCUAUCGAAAAUGUGCUUAACAACAUUAACGGCAUAUUCAGUUUCUGCUUCUGUUAGCUCCGUAGGUACUGAAGACUGGCAACAGUAGAGUAAAAGAAACCAAGAAGAACAAAUAGUAAGCGCAAAAGAAAAACUAUGGUCGAAAUAAAUAAAUAAAGAUGUAAUUGUAGAACCUUGAAAAGUUUGCCCAAACUAGCAAGCUCUGGAAUUGAAGAAAUGAGUCUUUCAUACGCAUCCAGAGUAGAAGGAGGUCCAGGUGGCGGAACACCCAAACCAGUUGGCUGCUUUUUGCCUGCAGCUUUCUUUUCUGCAAGUGGCAGCGAUUUCACUUCUCGUGGAACAGAGUUGAUAUCGAAAGGUGCUUCCGAUGCCUCCUGUGAAAACAAUAGAGCACACGUAUUAGACGGGAGAGCAAUUGUUGACUAAUAUUAUAUGAGAUAUCGGCGACUUACAUGAUUUAUCAAACUUGUCUCGAGGUUGACAAGUGGGAUGUCCAUGGCUCCGAAGAGAAACUCCUUCACCUUUUUAUCGGUUUCGACAACUUCUCCAUCGCCACCAAGUGUAUUAAGAUAAAGGGUUGCGCGGUCACGAACCUGAAAAACAAGUAGCACAUGAUCGAAACGGUGAAACUUUGAAUAAAAUGGGAUCGCACAUUAAAAGUGAAGAACAUACUGAUAACGCGAAAGCUUACCUCAUCAUCACUAUCAAAUAAACAUCGUCUCAACAGGACAAAGAUGCGUGGCUGCCAAAUAAAGAUACAACGUUAUAAGAACUGUACUACAGAACCAAGCCACAGUGCUGACCAGCACAAUUCACCUUCAAGGAAUCUGCCAUGGCGCCAAACUUUGCCAAAGUGCUCACAGCAGCAGCCCGAACGGUAGCAUUCUCGAGAUGUAUACGGUUGUAGAUGUAACGUAUGUACUUGCUGGGAUCUGCAGUCUUUGGGCCCUCAAUCCCCAGAAAAUGAAGUAUCUACGGGAAAAUGAGAAGAGAACUUCAGAAUCAGAUACUAAGACAAACAAAAGAAGCUGAUUGCAGAAUGGAAAUCGCCAAAAAAAAUCAAGACCAGAAGUUACCUGAGUGGAAAGAUAAGUAAAUUCACAGUCUUCAAUAAAUUCACACAGAUGAAACAGUCCACUUUCCUUUGCAUCGGGGAUAUCUCUGAUGAGGAUGACGAUGGAAUCGACAAUGGCCUUCUUAUACUCGAAACCGCCUUCUUCCCUCAAAAUGUUGCUUAAGAAGUUCAUCCUUUAUAAAAACAUGGUCCAUUAGUAUUCCAAUGUUAGUUUACAAAUUACUGAGGGAUUAAGUUCAACAUAAGGAAAAUAUAGUUAAAGAGUCCAAAAAGGUAACUUACAGUGAUCUGUAUUUCAAAGGGAACUUCAAGCACAAGGACCUGAUGGCUUCUACUACUACGAUUUUAAAUUCAUCUGCAAUAUCUGACAUGAAAUUUGUUAUUUGCUUCAUCAAACGAUCUACACUUGAUUCAUUUCCAGUCUUCAGCAAAGUGGUGAUUGCAAGUGUGGCGAUACUUCUGUUUUGGUCAGAAAUUAAACUCUCCAUAUCUAUGUUGCAGUUAGUGACAGCCAUAGGAUGAAUCAUAGCAACCUGCAAAACGAUGAGUUUAACCAUCAAUGAGUUAGGCCAAAAUUGAAAUACAAACCACACUGUAAUGCCUCUAAUAUAAAUUAAAUUUCAGAAAUUCAUGCAACUAUUUCCAAGUGAAGUAAUGAAAACCAUUCUAGCUCAAAUAUUAGCGCCAAUGGAAACGUGAAUAAACCAGUCUAUUCUGACAAGGUUAUAGUGCAUAGAAAACAAGCUCAUAGCAAACAUCAACCUUGUUCAAGGUGCGAACAGCUGCAAAUCUCAACACUGGCUUCGAAGAGCUCAAAAAGAGCUGCAGCACAGUAAUUGCAGGGGUCAAUUCUCGGCUUGUCACACCGCUGAGUUCUGUGAUUGCCCUAGCAGCUUCAAAGAUGACCAUCUCUGCCUUAUGGCGAAGACAAAUUUCCAGAAAUUCAUAAAACGGACGAUCCCCAGUUUGUAAGUUAGAAGCAGACUCACGGAUGACCUGCGAAUGAUGUCAAGUCAUUACUAUUGCUGCACCAAGAGUUAUUGAAUAGUUAAAUACAAUUUGCCACAUUCUCCAGAGAGACAAACCUGACUAGUGUAUCGUAUCAAAAGGCAUUGAGCUAAUGGUGAACGAACAGACCCCCUAGUCAAACUGGUAACCAAUUUGCUGACAGCUAGUCGGUCAUUUUGACGUAUCUGCAUAUUUCAGAACACAAGAGCCUCCAUGAAUUAACUCUUCAUAGAAAAUAAAACCAUUGACCUACACCUUUUUUCAGGCAAUCAUAGCAGAAAGGAUAGAGAAAUUGCCAAUUGAUUCUAAAAACCAUGCCAAAUUCAAAAAAGGUAAAUUAACACCAAACUUGGAAAAUCAGCAUACCUGAUGGAGCAAUGCUAGGGCAUGGAACUGUACAAGGGCUGCCCUUGACUGCACAGCCUCUUGAACCUCAUUACUCCACCUUUUCACCACUUCUGGAUUUGUCUAGCAAACAGAAAAAGCCCAUUUGACCUUAUCAUUAGAAUAGUUCAUAAAAAAUAGAAUUCUAGGUAGAAAAGAGAUCAGUACCUGAAGCAAGUGGAUACCGCUAACUAGGGCCGCACUAGCAACUACUGGAUUCUUGUCAACAAUUGCUUGCUUCAGAUAACGCUCAAUCUGGGUCAGUAGGACCCCGUCUGUUAUCCGACAAAGUACACGAAUAGCAUUUGCCCGGUACAUAUCAGUCUUGCUGUUCAUGUCCUUCAUGAGGGAACUUGUCACAAUAAUAACCUUCUCCCCCAAGAAAGGUUGAGACAAUCAGAAUCUUUUUGUGAAAUCAAUAAGAACCCGAAAAGAUAUGAAGCCAGUGACUUAAUCUAGAAUAUCUAACCUCAUCUGAUGACGGGGAUAAUUCCUUUAUCAUCAAAUAGAGCAUCCUUCUUAACCCAACGUCUUUUGACUGAAAUAGCUUCGUUACAGAAAAGAAUACUUCUGUGGCUUCAACCUGUUGAGAUAUUACAAGAAAUCGUUCAGAGAAAGAACGUCGUAAUGAGAAAAUCAACAAGUAAAUUGUUACACGAAAAAUACUUGACCUUAGUGAAGGAUUCUCCUUGGUUCAGUAAAUAAAGGAGCUUUGUGAUAACCUGCCGAUCAAAACAAGUAUCCAAUAAGAAAAAAAGAUACAUAGCCUUUCUGGAAUACAAGUCUUCAUAUUGAAAUUAAGACUACAGCAAAAAACCUGAGAGCAUCUUCUUGGAUCUAGCUGAGGGUCAUUGAAAACCCUUGCUUCCUGAAGAACAGCACCCUUCUCAAUUCCCAGGAAUGGUGAGUAUUCAGCUGUUUAAUCCAAAUAACAAGAAGUUACUGGUAAAUCAAUCCACAUGACAGCUCUUCUCAAAAGAAAACAGUCUCACUUAGAGAUUUAGAAAAUCUACCAAUCCCACAAAUUUCAAAUCUGAUUCAAGCGAUAACAAAUUAUAUGUCCAUCAUCUCUGCAGAGAGCUCCCCAACAGAGAUAAUAUGAAUAUAUGAUCCUAACUCGUAAAGAGGGGAAUUCAGAUUACACCCAUUUCAUUUCUAAACAUCAACCACUGAAUUUUGGAAAAUACAUCAAGCAAAUUCACACAGCAAUGCAAUCCACAUUGCCAACCUACCACUACUUAUCUAAAUACGCACCAGCUGAAUUGAACAGUUCCCCGUACAAUUCUACUAGCAAACCAGAUCCAACUGAAACCAAGCAAUGAAGAUUCGAUCCAACCACCUUAAAAUCCGAAACAUAACAUACACCACCACCAAACUUGAACGCCACAAUAUAUUCCCGCGGAAUUGCACCAGAUCUAGAGAAAUGAAUCACUGAUCUGAAAUUAUCUGAUGCAGCUAACUAAGAUCCCAGCAACAGAGUUCGAAUUCGCAAUCGACAAAACCAAAUCCAAAACUGCUGAAUCAAGCGAACCCAGCAUAGAAAUAAAAGACAAGAGGAGGGAGAUGAUAUCGAACUGGAAUGUACCUUCGUCGUCGCGAUCGUCAUCCUUCUUCACGAGAGGCUGAGCCAUCGUUGCAAUCUCGUCCGAGAUCUAUGGCCUUCCGAAAUGGUUCUUCUUGCGUCUCAAUGUAAUCACUGAAAGAAAUUCUGCAAUCCUUGUGAGCGUUUUAAGAAGGAUGCUUCGUCAGUGAGUUGUGAAAUAAAAUUGAAUUCAAAAAGUAAAACUAAAUUCCAUGAUCCCAUGCGGUCGAGCUUACGGUUAGUUAACAUGUCAAACAAUAGAUGAUGCACACGUGUCGAUAAGGUUUUUUACAGGCUAUAGUCCUUAAGUUUGACGUUUUUUAACAGUUCUAAUGUCGUAUUUUUCGCAAAAUUAUCUGAAUCGUAAUUUAUCAAAUUCGUUAUUAAUAAUUUUUCGUUUUAUUCUAUCCACUUUAUCGACACGACCGAACACACAUGCACGUCAUAUUAUUAUUAAUCAUUGAUCAACAAAUUAAAAAUUAAGAAACCAUCUCCCCAGCUCUCUUCUUCUUUUUCUCCCCCAUCUCUUUCUUUCAUCUCUCUGUUCUAAAAUGAAAAAAAAAACAGAGGGAUUGAUGCUUCAAAGAUCCACAAUGCUCUUCAAAAUACCUCUGUUUUUCUGGAUUGUUAUAUUUAAACUUGUCACUUCUCAGCCACCCAACCCAAUUCCGUAGCAGCGGACAGGAUACAACAGCAGCAAGAAGCAGAAGAAGAACAAUGGUGGAUGAGGAAGUACAGCAGAACAAGCAGGUGGUGCUGAAGGAAUACGCCACCGGUUUCUCUAAGGAAUCGCAAUUCGGUGUCACCACCGUCUCGAUUCCCCUCAAAGUUCCCCAUGGUUCCAAUUCCGUCCUGUUCAAGAACCUCUACCUCUCCUGCGAUCCUUACAUGCGCGGCCGGAUGACUCAUCGUUGCCCCUCAGCAUCUUCCACCCCAAUCUCUCCGCGAAAUCGUGCAUCCCACCCUUCUGAUCGAAGGUGAAUCUUGUUCUAGCUAGCUUCCUCCCGAUUUCGCCUGGGUUGGCCGGAUUCCGGUUGUGGGUGUGGUGUUGGUGGUGGUGGUGAGGGUUUGAUUCGGCUCCGGAGCUGAGGGCGAAGAGCAUGCGGGGAGCGGAGGAGGGGAAGAUGGAGUGCUGUGGAGUCGGUGAAGCGGCGGCGACGGGGGAGGAAGGACUCGGGCUGGGACUCGGAGCUCCACCUCCGGAGCUUGUCUGACCCGGGCUGGGACUCAGGCUGAGCUAGUUCCGGUGGUGGGUCCACUGGAGAGCUGGAAAGGGGAGGUUUUGCUGGUGGUGGAGGUGGCCGGAGGAGGGUUCACGGCGGUGGAAAUUGCUGAUGUGUGUGUGGUGUGUCCUCCAGCAGCCACAGGCGAGAGAGAGGACUAUGGCACUUUACUACUCUUUUGUUGUUUUGAGGGUACUUCAUGAAACUUAUCGCUCAAUGGAAAAAUAUUGUAACAUCCUUGACAAUUCUUUGUCAGAUUGCUCGUAAUGAAAAAUAUUUUUGCUUGUCCACGAUUUCCUUAAUUGAAUUAUUAAUGAAGUUGAGGAUAAUACUCCUCCUUAUAAUUGGAUUGAUUAUUUAAAUUUGAAUGAAUAUAAGGAGCUUUUGAUUAUAUGCCCGUCCUCGACAACUCUCUAAUUGGUUAUAUUGAAUUUCACAAUAAUUAAUGGAAACUCAUUUCUAUAGUAAGAAAUGAUUAAAUAAAACUAAAAAAAAUGAUAUAUACCUGAAUUUAAUAAUCGUAACAUAUGUAUCAAUCUAUUAACCUUUAAAAUUCACGACAAAUCCACGAGAAAAAAAAAGAGUAAACUAUGAUGUUCUAGCCUAAAUAACAAUCUCUUGAGAAGCCGUCAUCGUUCAAAAUUUCGGUGAUCUUUUCGUCAUAAAAAAGAUUAACAAAAUUUAGUCUAUCUCUAAUGAUCAGUGUCUUGUAUCACCAUACUCGCUGCUUAGGUCAUCCAUUAUCGCCUUCCUGAACUUCUUCAUGUCUGCACUGUACGAUCUUUGAUCGUAAUCAUCCGCAGAUGUGUGGCCGUAGUACGAACUGUAACCUGCUUUGACUCCUCCGUCGUUCAACUGCUCCAAUGGCGCGUCGCUCUCGAGUACUCGAACAAUCUGGUUUUACAUGAUCAAUAGAUAAUUAGUUAAUUAGGUCAAAGCUAGGACCCAACAUUUGGUACUAUUGGGCCUUCUCACGAUAAACAGUGCGUACCUGGCUCAUCUUGGGUCGUUUUUUCGACGAAUGUCGGAUAACGUUAGCAGCGCAAGCGACCAUUCGUUUCAUCUCCUGAACGUUAUAUUUCCGUUUCAAUCCUGGAUCCGCCAGUUCGUCGCAUUUCCCGCUUUCCAAUGCUUUCGUGCAUAGAGGCCUUGCCUGUUUAUUUACAACAAAAUAACUAAAUAAGAGCUGAAUUAAUAUAAGGAAAAAAGAAAUGAAGUUAAGUAAACCAAAUUAGAAGAAAUGCUGACCCAAUCCACCAAGCAGUCCAUGGUAGAAUGAUCAUCGAGAGGACGGCGGCCGGAUAUUAGCUCGAGCAACACGACCCCGAAAGAGAACACGUCGGAUUUGUCCGUUAGCUUCCCGCUCGAUGCGUACUCUGGAGCCAUAUAUCUGCAUCAUCAGUGACGUGGCCAUCAUUUCCAUUAAGGACCAACAAAAUGUAGUUUUAAUGACCAACAUGUUAAUGACCGUUUUCCGUAAAACAGUCACUAAUAGGUCCCUAGAACUGAAUUUCUUGUAGUAUACAUUAUAUAUCAACAGAAACAUGUAAAUGAGACCAAAUUAAUAAUAUUGACUUUGUUUUCGGUUAAUUAACAUACCCAAAAGUGCCCAUCACACGAGUCGAUAUGUGAGUGAAGUUGCCCUGAUUCAGCUUGGCCAGCCCGAAAUCGGCCACCUUAGCGUCGAAAUUGAAGUCAACGAGGAUAUUUGCAGCUUUGAUGUCUCGAUGGAUAAUGCGUGGGUUGCCUGCAAAAUCAUUAACAGGCUAAGAACAGUUGAGAACUAUAUAAUAUAUAUGUUACAUAUAGUUGGCGACAAUGAAAAUUAAACAGAGUUUAAGGUAGUGAAUUACAGUCUUCAUGCAAGUAGGCAAGUCCUUUCGCCGAUCCAAUGGCAAUUUUGAGACGGGUCGGCCAAUCCAUGGUUGGCCGGUUCGUUCCUGUGAGAUUUUACCAUGUACUACGUUAGCCAUCAUGUACGUGAGGAUGUUUUAUUCACGGUCUCUCGACAUCUGCACCAGUCUAUUACUAAUGAAAAUAGAGCAACGAUUAUCGAAAUUUAAUGAAACGUACCGUGGAGGUGGAACUCGAGGGUUCCAUUGGGCACAAAUUCGUAGACAAGCAACUUCUUAUCCUUAGUAAUGCUAUACCUGUUGCAGGUUACAAUCCGAGUACCAUAUUCUUAAAUCAGGAUAUAUGUUGUCUCCAUCAACCAAAUUAGUAUGGGAUUAACAAAAUAGUACCCGACAAGCGUAACAAGGUGGCGGUGGUGGACCCUAGUAAUGAUCUCAACCUCGGCCUGAAACUCCCGUUCCCCUUGUCCGCUCCCGGCUUUCGAGCUCUUCACCGCGACUUCCUUGCCGCCUACGAGCACUCCCUUGUGGACAUACCCGAACCCUCCUUGCCCUAACAGAUUCGAGGCUGCGAACCCGUUGGUCGCAGCCUGAAGCUCCUCGUACGAGAAUGUGCUGCUGUUGUUGUUUCCCUUCGAAGGAGUCGCAGGCUGAGAUGUCGGCAGCGUCGGUGGUUGCUGCCAGAGGCCACCGGGGGCCGGCGUUGAAGCGGUGUUGACUUGCCAGCUUUGGUGGUGAGGGGGUUGAUUGGAAGCGUAGUAUCUCCCCGCCAUUGCAUGGGCUGCAUUGUACGUUAUAUUAAUCAUAUGUAUUUGGGGUUUUCUAUUUUUAACCUUUUUAGGGUUAACAUUUGGGGAAAAUGGGAAUUGAAAGGAAUUGGGAAAAUGUACAUUAUCAAUGUGUUUAAAUAUAAUAGUUUUUUAGACACAAUUUAAUAUGAAAUAAUAUAAAAUAAUUUAGAAAGACGGUUUGAAACUAGAAUGACUCAAGUUGGCCAUUACUAGGUCCUGGAUAGCUCAGGCUGCAUGGUGCGGUACUACACAACCAGCGUCGGGUAAUGUCCGUUCGGCAUUAUUUUAGUUCAAACCAUCUUCCUAAAUUAUUUCAUAUUAAACCGCGUCUAGAAAAAUCAUAGUAGAAUUGAGUAAAAUUUGUAACCGCGAUCUUUCUUUCUGCCUAUUUGAGGCACAAUCAUAAUUGAUGUAACAUACUUUUAUUCUUGGAUUCAAAAUUUAGUUUUAUCGGGGUCCUAUAUUCAAAAUUAAUAAGCAAUGGGACCAUAUACUUAUGGAUAGAGUAUAAUUUAUAGAGAUUAUAGGUUCACAAUUGUGAAAAUCAUGUAUAUACAUAGACAUAUCGCGAUCAGUGAGAUCGUGUAUAGUAGAUUUUUUUUAACGAUAUUCUAAGCUCAAAAUCGUAAACAAAUUCAUAAAAACAAUGUCAUAAGUAUUGUCACGAUUUAUAUAAAGAACAUACCUGGAGAUGCGACGUAGUAGCCACCAGGUUGACCUGAUCAUAAAUAGUUACACAAAUUAAUCCCUAUAGUAGACUAAUUAACAAAGCCAAAAUGUAAGGAAAUUAUUCUUAAUUACAUAACCAUUAAUCAAAUGUUCACCAUUUAAUCAUAACAAAAUUAGUUACAAUUUACCUUUAUGAGGAGGGGGAGCCGAGGCAUAGUAAGCGAGUUCAUGAUCAUCGUUCCUCUUUCUUUUUCUGCAGAAGCAAAAAUAUGCAACCGCGCCCACAAAAAGGACCGCAGUCACACCGACGGCGACCCCAACUCCGAUGGAUACAACGUUAUUACUAUUGUUGCUUUGUCCACCUCCUCCUCCGCCACCGCCGCUCGGCUUGGUGUGUGGCGGGGGUGGUCCUAACGGGCGCGGAUGCGGUCGUUGUGAUGCUGGGAGUGCCGGCGGCGGUAGUACUGGAAUGGGUGGUGGUAAGGGUUGUAUAGGAGUUAGAGGCCGCGCCGGCGGCAGUGGUGGGGGUUGUAAUUUUGGGGCCGGUGGAGGCUUCGGCUUCACUGCUGGCGGAGGUGGAGGCGAGCGUUUCGAGGGCGGUGGAGAAUUUGUCGGUGGUGGUGGUGAUGGUGAUUUUGUCGUGGGAGCAGGAGCAGUAACAUUCAACAUUGAAAUAAAAAACACCGAUAAAUUUACCUUAACUAACAAGACGUGUUUUUUUUAAUCCUAAAAUGUAGUAAUUAACCCUUUGAAAAAUGAGAUUUUUUUUGGUUUUCUUCCUUCUUCUUUUCUCCUUCACUUACACAAUGUUUGAGUUUCUACAAUAUUACUUUUGUUUCUAGAUCCACGAUCCUAGCAAGUGUGAAGACUCUAAUUCUUGAUUAUUUGUUUCUCCAAUGUUUCUCUCUCGUUUGAGUAACAACGGCUUGCGUGGCAAUAGCUCCACGUAGCUAAAUAAAGACAUUUGCCACUAAAUUAGGAAUGUGCUCGUACGCUGAGUUGAUCAAUCCCGUAUCUCUUAUUUAAGGAUGAUUGAUGAAAUAAUAAAAAUUAAUUAUGUUGAAAACUUUUCAAAACUUGACCUCAUGAGACAAUACAUCCAAACUAUUUUUUAUGAAUAUUAUUUAUAAUUUACAUUUUUGUUGGAUAACUAAUUUUCAAUGAUCAUCCUCAUCAUUUAGAAUAACAGAUCGGUUGGAUGGGUGAUUUAAACAUGUAAUUUAGGGGUGAUUUAGAUAUUGGUAGAGAUUUAGUCUCAAAUCACUUGUUUGGACACUUAAAUUGGAAAAGAUUUCGUGGAUGAUUUCAGAUCACCAAAAAAGAUAGAGAUUUGAGAAUUAUAAAUUUUUAAUUUUUAAUUUUUAAUUGACGUGAUCAUAAAUAAACUCGAACAUUUUAAUAUUUUUUUCCUGUACAAUUGUUGCAUUUGAAAUAAUCAAUUUUCAAAAUAAAAAAUUCCAUCUAAAUUAUUAACUAUUUCAAAUUAUUUAUCCAAACGAACCAUAACAUAGCUGAACAUUAAACUAGCUUCAAGAACUAUUUUUUUCUACAAAAUAAUAAAUGAGUCCGUGCGGGCUGCGGAUAAUUUGAAAAUGACAUAAGCCCAUAACCAUAAAGCUCACCGAUUGCUAAAAGCCGCAAUAAGAAAGCUUUCUCCAGUACUCGAAAUCAUUUUACAAGUCGCACAUUGACUGAGCAAACCUUACUCACCACCGUUAGGUGUCAGCUCCCCUCCGACAAUUAUUUACUACUCCGUCGCAGCUGCCGACAAAACAACAGUCAUCCAUUUUUUUGAGGAUCAUAACGAUGUAGGAGAAAAGCUUUUGAUUCCACGGGAAAAUGAUAUUCUGAUUUCUGCAUUUUUUUACGAAGGGGGAGGAUAUUGUCUUUCUAGUUUUAGGGUUUCAACUUUUGCGCAUAUCCAUGGUGAGAAGAAGUAAGAGGAUUCAGAACAGUAUCGAUAGACUAAGUAAUCUUCCUGACAGUAUUUUGCAUUACAUCCUCUCCUUGAUCGACACUAGAUCUUCAGUUCGAACCUACAUUUUUUCUAGGAGGUAGAUAUCUAUAUGGAAAUAUGUUCCCGUUCUCGAACUUUGUCAGGGAGAAACCAUGAGUGAUCUGCAUUUCGAGCGACAGGUGGAUCAAGUUCUUUCCCUCCGUUCUGAAAGUAGUAGCCUCAGCAGAGUUAUAGCCGACUUCUCUCAGAAAGAAAAACGGAUGAUGGACCUAUUUGAUAGGAUCAUGAAAUACGCUGCUUCUCAUAUCGUUCAAGAGCUAUCCAUUUGUCCUUGCAAUUACCCAAGUGAUGAUUUGAUUAGAUUAGCAUGUGCUUCUUAUCAAACUCUAAAAGUUCUGGAGUUGAAGCGAACAUACAUUCAAAACAGUGAUAUUGGGUUGUUUUCUGGUUUGCAACUGCUUGAAUCUCUUACUCUGACCCAAUGCUGCUUUACCUUUGAUGAUGCGCCACAUGAUGCUUUGACUAUCCCCAGAUUGGAAACUCUAAAGCUGGACAGUUGCUUUUCUUUACAAUCAGUGAACUGUGUUUUCAUAAUAACUGCACCCAAACUGCUCAACUUGGAGCUUGUUUCGCCAGGACUCAACCGUCUUGAAAUCGAUGCUCUCAGGCUCCAAUCUUUCAGUCUUAAGAUGGAUUCUUCAGAUAGUGAUAGGAUACUACCUGAUGUUUCCUAGUCAAAAUUACCUUCCCUUAGUCGUGCAAACAUUGAGCUUAGGAAGCACAUACAUUUGUUCUAAGGCGGUUCUAAUCCUGAAAUUGCUUCGGAGAGGCGACUGUUGGUGGAGCGGUGUGUUAACUUGUUCAAACUUCUGCAUAAUGUACAAGCUCUCAAUUUGGAGGUUGAAAUCCUUGAGGUAUGUUGUUUUUUUUGUUAUAUGCUUGAUAUUUGAGAGGCAUUCUCCUCAUUUCACCCCUAAUUUUGUUUUAUGAUGUUUCUGCUCCAUAGUUGUUGAUCCAAGCUUAUAAUUAGGCGAAACACCAGUCUUCCCUCUUUAAAAGAAUGAAGUCCUUCAAUUUGAAAUAUUCCGAACCAUCAUUUUGUCUACGAGGUGAAUGUUCGUAUCAAAAUAUCAAAAUGUGUUCAUGUUAUCACUUUGACUCAUAGCUCUAUUCCUCUAUUCUUGGUGAGGUUUCAAGCCAUUGAGUUUUUUUUAUCCUUCGUAGCAUUUGGAGCUUUUUUCGGUUUUAACGUCUCUAUGUCAUCAGCCCCAUUUACUAAUCUCUUACGAGAUUGAAGUUUGUAUUUUGUGUGUGACAAUGUGAUUAUCCGAAGAUUAAAUAUCUUGAAUCGCUCUUUUUUUAAUUAAAAACGGGUGCAAGCACCAUUCACUCAUAUUAUUAGAACCCAAACACGAAAAAUUCCCAAAUUUAUCAUACAAAGUCCAAUGUUCAAGCGUCAGGAUUGUUAUGGGUAAUUAGGUGAACCCCAACAUGGACAAAAAACUCCCUAUGAGCCAAAUAUUCGGCUAAGUUAUCCUUUUGAUACUUAUGAGCGAGAACAAUAAUCCCUUCUCUUUGAAAAAGUUUGCUCCUUUGAAGCACAAGACUAGCAUGUUUGUGCGACGGUUUCUCCGUAUAUGCAAGGCAAUUCUCCAACGUCCAAACUACUAAGCGGAACAGAAAUCUUCGAUUGUUUAUUGUAGUUUUUACAUUUUGAUAUUCAUUUUAUUUUUUUCAUAGAAGGCCAUCUUCACCUUAUUUAUUUUCGACUACGAAAUAUUUGACAAUAUAAAAGGGAGGAAGCUAAGAUUCGAAUUUCUGUAUAAAAAUGAAAAGGGCGAAAUGGGAAAGCGUCUGGAAAGUGAAAACAGAAACCAGAUAACAAAAAGAAAAAUUGAAAAUUACAGGUCACGUCCAGCGUUUUUCCAGUACAAAAAGCAGCCUAUUAUUAUUUCAUCCAGUAACGUGUCCAAUCAUUUCUCUGAAAAAUAAUCAUAUACGUAAAAUUCGGAAGAAUAAAGUAAUUCAAACGAAAUUUGUCGCACUUCCGAGACGCUCUAUAUUUUCUCCUCGCAACUUCUCCGGCGAGAAACUGCUCGAUUUGAUCGCGAUCCGCCGCAAAAUCCAGCCACCAUCAUCAUGCCUUCCCGUCGAAGAACCCUGCUGAAGGUCAUCAUACUCGGUGACAGCGGGUCAGUUUUGCUUUUCAUCUUCUCUCCCUUCCUUUUUCUUUGGUAGUCUGGAUUGCUUCGUUUUUUGAUCGGGACUCCUCAGUCCCGACUUGCGUUUUGGAUGAUUCGAGGUUGUUUAGUUUUGAUCUGUUGAGUUUGUUUCGCUCUACAAUUGCUGGAUAAUCUAGUUGUAAUUCGGCUUAGGGUUCUUGAUUUUGUUAGUUCACGAUCUAGUCUCCAAUUUGCGUUGAAUUGACUUAAUUUGAGGACUCUACUUGGGAUGCAUACUCGUGAUUGGUUCUGAUUCAAUUUGUGGUGUGUUUGCAGGGUGGGCAAGACUUCUUUGAUGAAUCAGUAUCCUGCAGCUUGUCUAGCUUGUUAUUCUUUUGGUUUAGCAACAUUCUGUGCUUCUGAAACGGUUGACAGUGAUAAUUAUGUCUUUUGUAGGGAUUUUUCCCUCCGUUGGCUGUGUUGUUUCUUUGACGUCUUGCUUACAGAUAUGUAAACAAGAAGUUCAGCAAUCAGUACAAGGCAACAAUUGGUGCCGAUUUCUUGACAAAGGAAGUGCAGUUUGAAGAUAGGCUCUUCACUCUACAGGUUUUGGUUCUGAUACUCUGGUCCUAGCUAGUAAUGUAUGUCUUGUAAUCCGACGUUUAGUGACUGAUAUUUGUUGUGUGCUGGUCACUGGAUUCUGGUUUGCAGUAUAAUGGUUUUGUUUAUUUGUCCGUGAUGACUAGUAAUUUUGUUUAAUCGUCUGAGUUUGUCGAAACAGUAUGGCUAUUAUAGGAUAAUGCAAUUGCAUUUUGCACUGAAACUGCCUAAGGAUUUUGAACCCAUAAGAUUUCAUUCAUGAUAUAGCAUAAAUUCUUGCUUGGCAUUGAUUUACAAUGAUUGCAGCUAUCAUCAAAUUGCUUAGUCUUUUUGUCCUGGAAGCUUCAAAAUGCUAACGGCACUAACUCUGGACUGAGAUUAUUUAGGAUUUGAUUAAACUCAUUGAGUAAUAGUACAGUAUUACAUAGUAUGAGCUGAACAAAAAGGUGCAACUCUAAGAAGCUUAUAUCAAGCUCAAUUCCUGUCGACCAACUUAGAUACAGUUUGUUAAGAGAAAAGUUGAGUUUUGAUGGAAUUUGAGUUGUACAUGUGACCUGACAUACUUGACCAGCCGUUAAAUUUGGGGUGGAAGUUCAGCUGCAUCGUGUUUGCUGGAUUUUUGUAGCUUAACGUCCAAUGCACGUUGCUUUGACAGAUCUGGGAUACUGCUGGACAGGAAAGAUUCCAAAGCCUUGGUGUUGCCUUCUAUCGUGGCGCUGAUUGCUGUGUUCUAGUCUAUGAUGUUAACUCGAUGAAAUCGUUUGACAAUCUCAAUAACUGGAGGGAGGAGUUCCUAAUCCAGGUAAUCUUUCAAUCCCUAAAACAGCAUGUUGUGUGGAGCAUCGUUGACUAGAACUACUCUUUUAGAUAAUGACCUCUGAUUCUUGCAGGCAAGUCCUUCUGAUCCUGAGAACUUUCCUUUCGUUGUUCUCGGAAACAAGAUUGAUGUUGAUGGUGGAAACAGCAGAGUGGUAAGUCUUCGAACUUACGCAUUCCCUGUCUAUACUGUGUUGUCUUGUUGGCAAUCUUAACUGAAACUCUCCGGCUUGUAUGUAUAAUUUUCAGGUUUCCGAGAAAAAGGCUCGAGCCUGGUGUGCAUCCAAAGGCAAUAUCCCAUACUUCGAGACCUCUGCAAAGGAAGGCAUUAAUGUAGAAGAAGCUUUCCAGGUCAUAGCAAAGGAUGCCUUGAAGACCGGAGAAGAUGAAGAAAUGUAAGUACAUUUUUCAGAUAUGAAUGAGGUUUGGUUUUAGCUUUGUACUUCAGGCGAUACUAACGAGUACUUCUAUCAUAUGAAGCUACUUGCCGGACACGAUCGAUGUGGGAAGCAGCAACCAGCCUAGGUCCAGUGGAUGCGAAUGCUAAAUGUUCAAGUCCCCCGAUUUAUUCAUCACUCCAAAAAAGGGAAGACCAUCUAUAUGUCUCUUUUAAGUGUUAUCAAGAAGAAGAAGAAGUGUUGUUAAUGCACAUUGUUUAUUCUUCUUCAAUGGUGUUUUUGUGUAUGAGAGGAUAUACAUACAUUCUGUACAUGUAUCGUCUGGAGUUUCGUUGUGGUUCGUAUACAAGCUCUCGGCUUGAUUUGUUCAAAAAUCGUUAGAAUUCGCUGGUAUCAUUGUUGUUACCUCGUUUGUUAUUGGCAUGCUAAUGAUUCUUCGCUUGAAACAUCGUCGGGAAGUUUGUUGUAAUGCUCGUUUAUCAUUUGGUAGACUCGACGAUGAGGGUAGGAGAGCUGAGUGUCGGGUUGGUUUGAUGAGACGGCCGAUUCAAGGCACUAAAAUGGUUAGAAAAUGUUACUGAGAGAAAAUUAACCGGUUGGUUUGAAGAUGGGUAAAAUUCGAUUAAAUUUGUUGUUUGGUUCAAAACAUGUGGGGUAAAAUUUAACUGUCCUAUAGGUCAGGAAUUGCAUUCUACUUCUAGUUAAACCAUAAUUUUCAAUUUGGGUAAUCGAUUUUGAAAAUUAUAAGGGCCAAAAGAAUGCUAUUUUGAUAAGAAAAUGGUUUGUUUCACUGUGGUCAAAUUCAAUUCGGGUAUAUUUGGCUGAAUUGAAUAAAAUCAUCAUCACGGGAACGAAUCGAUAAAUACCGGACCAUAAUCGGUUAGAUCAGACCCAACGGACAAAGCAUCCAAAACGACGCCACUUUAUCUAUAUAUAUAAUUAUAAACCCUUAGCCUAAUUGCGUAACAAAAGCAAUUUUGUAAACCUGCCACAAUCACAAAUGAAAAGAAGAUCGAAUUUUCUAGUACGAAGCUCUCUUUUAAUUCGCGGCUAAGAAUCUCAGUCUCAUCGUUUCCCAGCAGCUCAAUCGUUCUGUUCCAGUGAUUCAUCGGAGCCCUAAUCGGACCUCCGGUUUAAAUUCCAGACAAUCGGACAUUGAGUCGGGUGCUCUCCGGUUUAUAUCGACGAACGGUAAAGACGGAUAGCUGAAAUUAUUAUUUCUGUGAUAUUGGUGUCUUUUAUUGGAUGGCUCGACGCUGAUUCAGAUGGCACUUGCUUUCGUCUACAUCCUACAAAACCUAUGGCCGUUCUCGAAUCUUCUCAAGUCUGACGAUCUGAGAACUUCGGACGCUCUGGUUAACAAACUGUCGAUUCCUGAACGGACGAAGAAGUUUGUUUACGCCGUCCACGAUUCCAAGUCGGAUUCCGUUAUUUAUAUUCUGUCCGUGCAGAAUUUGUCCGAGCGAUCGGCUGAAGACGUGGGGUGUCUUAUUAGGGAGGUUAAACCUCAAGCUGUGGUGGCUCAGGUUGGCAAUUCGACGGUGGUUGAGGAUCUCCUUGAAGAGGAUCGUUUGGCAGGUAAUGGCUGUGACUUGGUUCCGACUUCGUUGUUUGGUGUGCUUAGGCAGUGUUUUGUUCACAAGAUUGGUAAGGAGAAGUACGAGAGUUUAGCGGGGAAUUUGGUGUUGAGGGAGAUAUUUGGGGUAGGGUUUCAUGGCCAUGUUUGGACUGCUAAUAGAGCUGCUAGAGAAGUCGGUUCUUCGUUUUUAGCUCUUGAAUCUCCGAGCAUUGGUGCGAUUGGUGGAAAUGGUGGUGGGGACGAAGCUAGUGACAGGGUGAACAUGGUUGAAGGUUUCGUUAGCAGUAGCUUGAUUGCUAAGGAAGCAGGCUCUAUUGGUUCCUCUGGUUCGAGAAAUUUUUCUCUUUGGAAUGACGUUCGGUCGAAGAUGGCAAAGGUGUUGCGUUUAAACACCAAUACUGUAGUGCCGAAGAUGGAGGCGGGGUUGAGUGCGGUAAAUCAAGUGAACAUUUCUCAGGUGCCACCAUUUGCGCAUUCUAUAUUUCCAUUACUUGUUGACUUGCGUAACAUUUUCGCGGAUCUCCCGUCACUUGGUAAGGCAUUGGCAUGUUCACAGAAGAUGUUUUAUGAUAUCCACAGAGGGGAAAGUAUGGAUGCUGAAAUUGUAUCUGAAGUGUGCACAUUCCGGGUUGCUGUUGAGGGAUUAAGAAUUGCACUGAACGAUGCAGGUAGGGUUCCCAUCAGAAAAUUGAGGCAACCCACUGAAAUUGGAACGAACUUCUCGGAGCUUCCGGCUGAAGAGAAGUCAGAAGUACUCCUUGCACAUGCCCUUCAGAGCCAGUGUGAAAAAUAUAAGACCAUAGUAGCUGUAGUAGAUGCUAGUUCCUUGGUUGGUCUUAGGAAACACUGGAACACUCCUGUGCCUUCUAACAUCAAAGAUAUAAUCAGCCAGCUUAUUAAAGAUUGCAAGUCCGACGGAGAACCUUCGAAUCAGGAUGAGAAUAGAUGGCCAUUCUCCAACAAACCCGUGGUUGCAGUAGGUGCCGGGGCAACAGCUGUUGUGGGAGCUUCAUCUCUGUCCAAAGUCAUUCCUUUAUCGACUGUAGUAAAGGCGUCUACUUUCAAGCUCCCAGUUGCCUCUCUGAAGCUUUUGUUCGGCCAAUCCCAGAAAGCCAUGGCAUUUGCUUUUACCAAGAGUGGUCUGACUGCUAAUACAGGGGCUCACGCAACGUCCAUUAUGAAGUCAGCUGCCUCUGCAGAGAAAAUCCGGACCGUGGCCCACGGCAUCAUAACAUCGGCAGAAAGGACGAGCUUUUCGGCUAUGAGAACGGCUUUUUAUGAGAUAAUGAGGAAGAGAAGUGUCCGGCCUAUCGGUUUUCUACCUUGGGCGACAUUUGGAGGAAGUCUCAUGACACUGUCGGGUUUGCUGUUGUGUAGCGAUGGGAUCGAAUGUGUUGCCGAGUCUUUUCCUUCGGCCCCUGCAGUUGCAAGAAUGGGUCGCGGUAUCCAAAGCUUGAGGCUGGCAUCUGAAGAAGUGAAGCAGACUGACCGGAACAGAAUUCAGAAGUCUAUCGAAUCGCUUAUGUACAAACUUAAGGGAGUGACUUCGUAAUUUUGGAUUCGAAUUGUUAAUGCUUGCAGGAAGUGCAUUACUCACUUUUGAUGAUUCGUUGGUCUCUGGAAGCUUGUGGUUAGUUUUGUAGCGCUUGGUUUUUGUUUGUGCUGUUUCAGGUAUAUGAAUAAGAAGGGAGGCUAGUUCAUCAUGGAAUCGGAAGAACGUGGGAGGCAAGGAUCAGAGUAACGCGGUAGUGUUCAUGAACAAGGAUCUUUUCAGGUGCAAACAUCAAAUAAGCUAACAGAUAUAAUGUUUCAGUUGUUAUCAGAAGCUACAAGUUGGUUCCAAAAUGCCAUUGGCGACCGAAACUAAUCCCCACCCGCAAGGUUUAUGCGUUACACAGACUGAAUGUUCAGUAGGGGAGAAGUAUGUAGAGAUGUAUAGAUCAUAGUUAAUUGGGUUAGGACUUCACAGGCUGCAACACUUCUGAAAUAAGUUGUUUUGUGAGCUCGGUUGGAAGACCGCUGACAGUAUCAGUACUUCCCACCUGAAAGUGUGCCAUUUCAGAAGCGAGUUAAUAACGCAGGAGAAAAGUAUCGUAACCCGGAGAAACGAACCGAAAACCAUCAGAGAAGGAGAGAAACGAACCACAGCUUCGACAAAGGGCAUCGUUAAAGGAUGUUCGAGCGUAAGACCUCCUGCCACCUUGAAAGUGAUUCUCUCCUCGAUCUAGCAGAACAUCAAAACCAGUCAGAGUAAGGUUCCGCGUUCGAUAAUAGAAACCAGGAGAGAAGUGAGUUGAUGUCAGAUUACCAGGCUUUCAAUGACUUCGUUCGGUAUCUCAUGGAAAUAAACCUGCAUUCUCGUAACGUCUUAUAAUCACUUUCAUGGCACUGAAACAAGUUAAAGGUCCAGUGUUGCUAGUGAGCAAGAAUAGUACCUCCGCGCUCUCCCAACCUCCUCUUCUCGAUCCUGUAGCGAGAUUGGUUACAAGUACGGACCCUACAACAGCUGCAUGACCACCGGAAUAACCUACACGCAACCCCGCAAUCCUAUAGUCAACCUUAAACCGAAAAUGUAAUGAGAGAUGGCUGGUUAUCGAUUGAAGAAUCCCAAUAAGCUAACCUUUGAUGAAUUCCCGCGCUUCUUCCUCGCUGGUUGGCUUCUCUCUCACCACUCCUUUGUAUACCACAACCUGAUAGAGUAUGAUGAAACCAAUAUAGUAUAGCAUAUAAGCUAUGAACAACAGAAAUCUGAAUCCACGAGGAUCGAAUUCAUUCGAAAAAUAUCACUUGUAAAGCCUAUGGAUAUGUGAACUUAAAGCCAACUAGUCCUGAUGAACUACCAAAUUCUUCUAAACUCGUAAAUGCAUAACAAAUACCGAAUUCAUCCGAUAAUGCAUCUAAAGUCUACAAAUCUGUAAGCCUAAAGCCUAAUGCCUACCAAAUUCUUCGAAAUUCUACUCAAAUGCAGUGAAGGGAAAUCUAAAACAUUAGCACAUCAUGGAGAAUCAAAUUGUUGGUGCAUAAGAUUAGUAAAAACGAAGCUAAGAAAUUGAAUCGAUCAUACCGUAUCUGCAGUAAUCAACAAUGUAGGAUCACUAUAGUUCUUCAUUUGGUCUGUGUUCAGCAUCUUUGCUACGAUGGCAUCUGCCUAUCAGAUGUGAAGAACCAAAACCACAUCAAGGAAAAAUGCAGCUAAAUUUUACACAUAAUCCUAUCUAAAAACCAGACAAUUCACAGAACCUUAGCCUCAGCAAGAGCCAUCACCAAUUCCUCUGGCUUAUCCUUCCUUAUACUUUUCUCAUCAAUAUCUGCACUCUACAGAAAACAAGCAAAAGCUUCAAUGUCUUCCAGUAAUGAACUGAUAAUCAAUCCCAUAACACAGUAUGAAGAACUCUUUACCAUCAAAGUGAAUUCAUAGCCCAUAUCAGUUAGAAUCCUCCUCCGAGCCAUCGAAGCAGAACCGAGUAUUAUCUGUCACCAGAAAAUCACAAUCCGAUACCGAUUUCAGAGGAAUUGUUCAUCUCAUUCAGGGAAAAGAGUUCACAAGUUUUCACAAAAAGAAGCGUUAGCAAGAUGAAUUAUAGAACCUUAAACGGAUGUUUCAACAUUGCUUCGUUGGGGAUUUCAGACGCCGCCGCCGUCGCCGGCGAGGGAAGGGUACGUCGGGGGGAAUUGAGUCUCCCUGUCCUCUGUCCAAAUCUGAAAUGCGCCGCGGCGACGCUGUUCUUUAUUCUAUUAUCUUCAAAUCUUUGCGAUGAUUAUUUUAUAUUAUUUAGGGUUACUGGAUGUGCUGAUUGGACCUCCACCUCAGCAAAUGGUCCAGAUGAGCUCAUUUACUGGGCCGAAAAUCAAGAUUGUGGUCUGGGCCAGCUAAUUUCGAUUCGUGUUGGAUGGGCUUUGGUUCGGAAUUAUCAGAAAUCAGAUACGGUUAAAUCUUGAUUAACUAACCGAAAAUCUAAAACUCCCAAGUCAACGAAUCCGCCCAACCCGACCCAUACCAAUUAGCAUCGUUCCAAAACCAUACAGGUGGGUAAGGUCCAACUAAUCCAACCUUGAACCACUCAUUAAAAAAACCACACAUCAAAUUGUUGCCAUACAAAUCCGGAUUUAAUCUCGGUUGAACUAUAAUUUAUGAUGGUUUAAGGAAUGGACCAUGUCCUUGUAUAUUCAUGAGUACACUUCUAACAACCUUGCCUAUCGGAAUUAUCAACACUUGUGUAAGUUGUAACUCGAAUUGUCUAAACGUUGACUAUUAGUUAUCUGAUAAAUUCGCGACUCGAUAAUAUAAACGAUCCAAUCAACUCUUUACUAUUUGAUUGAUAAUCAAGUUAACUAAUAUUAUUCGAUUAACUCGCAACUCAAUAACACACCACCCAAAUAGGGUAUGAAUUUUCAAAAAUUAAAUUUGAUUUCUUCAUAAAAUUUCACUAAAUAUAUCUAACCCAAAGUUGUGAUCAUAAUUAAUCAAAAUCAACCAUUCCGACCAACCCACAAUCAAACCAAUGUGAAAAAAUCUAAGAACUCAUAUCUCGAUCAAACGAUCCGAUUAAUCCAAAUCCAAAUACCCGUAAACCGAUUAAAAUCACCAAUAGAAUCCAUGUGAUUAGCAUAUCAUGUCACAUUGAAUUCUUUCGGUUUAUAAUUAGUUAAUUACACUUAAAAAUUCAACAGACUGGCGAACUGGGCGUUGAUGAAAGAAGGGAGAACAACCACCACCCGUCGCAGCCGGCGGCGGCUGUGAUCUUCACAUUCGGCACUCUAAAGAAGGGCUUCUCCAACCACGGUUUGAUGCAAGAUCUGAUGCAGACAGGAGACGCCGUCUUCCUCCGAGGAACCCACUUGUCUGCGGUCCUUUCAGCGUACCGUUCCCGGAGCGGAAGGAGCUAAUCGAGUCUCAGGCGAACUGUACGCCGUCUCCGUCCGUGGCCUUGCCCGCCUGGAUGAACUCGAAGGCACCGUCGCCGGCCAUUACGAGCGGCUGCCGAUGGAGGUGGAAGGCAUCGGCGAAGUGGAGGCGUAUUUCGCGGAGACGCGGUGGAAAUGUGGGAGAGGUGUGGGAAGAUUGGGCACUCGGUGUACGGAGAGGAGGAAUCGAAAGGGUACGUGAGGAGGAAAGACCGGCCGGUGAAUUUGAGCUUCCUGGAGCAGAUUCGGCUGUUCAUCUCUUCCGGCAGCGAAUCCUGACUGUAAGGCGACAGCUAUUAUGUAACAUAAUAGUUAUGUACCUGAUCUCGCUUUUAGCUGCAUUAUUAGUUUGUUGGCAAAAAAUGUCUCGCUUUUUAGCUUCGUGGCGUUUGUUGAUAACCUUUACGAUCAGUUUGUUUCGUAAAUGAUUUUGUGGAUUUGAAGAGAAUUUCGUAAAUCAUUUUGUGAAUCUGAAGAGAAUUUAAUAAAUGAUUCAAAUCACCUAGAAAAGAUAGAGAUUUAAAAAAAAAAGAUGAGAAAUUUAAAAAUUUUAAUCAAAAUUAUCUUCUAUUUUUUAGUUUUUUAUUUUGAUCAUAAAUAAAUGUAAAGCAUUUUCAUUUUUUUAGUUUUUUUAUUUUUCUCUUUGCAAUAAUAGCAUUCGAAAUCACUUACAAAUCACCAUUUCAAAUUUCGAAACGAUCUACUUCAAAAAUAACAAACUCCAUCUAAAUUUCUCUAAUCCAAAUCUCUAGCUAUUUUAAAUCACCGACUCAAACUACCCGUUAGAAUUUGAUAAUAGAGAAUAUGUACUACAUCAAUAGUUAAUUAUGCUCUAUAAAUCUCAACUUAAAGAAUGAUUGAAAAGAAAUAACCAGUUCUUCAGUUUCUACAACAACAGCAGUUCUGCAAACUAGCUACAUACCCAUUUACACUUCAGCACAUUGUGAAACCCCGAUUAGGGUUCACAUACUUUUAUUGAGGCCCCCAACGAUCCAAUUUUCACCCCAUGCAGCUCAUUAUUCAGGUAGGCAAGACCUGGUCCUCGUACCACGAAUCGAUUUCCUGACACGGAGCAUCUUCAACUGCUUGUAAUAGCAUAGGACCUUUUCGAUAGACGUUGGUCUAGGUCUGGCAUAACCUGUGUGCUCUGCAGCUGCCUUCUGGUUAGGGACUGGGAUGAGGACGAACAAGACAUUAAAAUCAAGGAACUCAGGUUGAGUAAGAGCGAUUGUUACUAUGACCUAGAUGAGAGGACACCAGGAUGGACAGAAAUGGAUUUCGGAGAUGCUAUACAACAGUAAUGGAAUCGUUUCUCAAGUUUGACGAUCGGUAGUUUAAACGAUAUGGUUUUUAUCCUAGCAACUUCUUAUUUACGCAUGUAAAUCAAAAUGACAGGUUGCUUAGUGUAAUCAAGCUACCAAAACGACAAGCUUGCCAGAGAACCUUGGCGAACAAGUUCUAUUAUUAGUUGGCAGAAAGGAACAGAGGUACUCACUUGGUAAGAUGUGGUUACACCGAAUGGCUGUGUUACGAGGCGAUGCGUGCAUUUCAACGAAGCUGCUACUUAGUCUCGACUGAAGAUGCAGGAUCCUGACUGGAGGGCCUAGUUGAAUUUCCUACCACGGAAGGGUUCAAAGGCUCCGAAACAUUAGCCCCCACCGGAGCCAACGGCCUAGGAAUCGGCGGCAUUUGGGAUGUCAAGCUCAUGGGCGGCCUUGGGAAUGCAUUUGAGAAGUUCAUUGCGACUCUGUUGGCAGCUAGAGCGGAGGGUUGGACAGGUUUAGACGACGAAGCUUGAAACCCGAGGCGAGCUGCAAUUAUUUGUGCACGUUCUUGGUAAAGUCUUUGUCUGGACCUGUCAAGUUGUUCCUUCACCCUUAGAAUCACAGUGUCCAUAUCGUUGAAGAAAGCCAGCUUCAUUUCAAGUUUAUUUAGCUGAAACAAUUGAAACUCCGUUCAGAAGUCAAACUAUAGCUUCAAAUACAAACACUGAGAUCCCAGGAGACGGUAAUAUUAUUCACAUACCUGUUUUUCGAUCAUAGCAGCAGUUAGUUGGCGGAUUUGGUCCUCUUCUUGAUUUGCCAGAAGUUUCGCCUUCACUGCAGCUGCGGAAAGUACAGCAACUCCAGUUCGCUUUAUCCUAUCGAUCUUGCUGCCAUCUUUAGUCUCUUUAUUAUCAGGCUUCUCCAAAGUACUGUCCUUUUGGUCUUCCUCUGUAAAGGACACACAUGAAAGCUGGAAUCGGACUUAUCGGUAGGCAAAAAGGCCUGAAGAGAGAUUCAAUAGAUGAUUUUGAAAACCAUUGUCAUAGUACGGAGGCAGAAAGAGAGAGACCUGGAGUUGCUCCAUUUUCAACCAAAGCACUUGGUGAUGCUGGUUGGUGACUAUCCUUCUCAAUAUCCUUCGGGAUCACUGCCGGUUCAACACUAUCUGCAGCCGAAUUAAGUUUGGGCUGUUCUUCUGUCUCAUUCAUAUCCACGGGAGGAGCAUCUGAGACAGUUUCUACAUCUUUUGACACCUCAGCAGCUUCAAUUGGCUCUUCACCAGCUGUCGAUGGAGAUGGGUCGUUGCUUUUCUCUGAUGUUUUAAUGUCGGAGCAUUCAACUGCAGAAGAUCCCUUUUCCUGCUCCUUUACAGACUCUGUCAAGGGUUCUGACUUGGAUUCUGGUUUAAUCGACUCCUCCGCGGCAUUGAGUGAUCGGUCCGAAUCGGUUAGUACCUUUGACACGUUUGUUUCACCUCCCUCGUGACUUACAUCGGGACCAGAUUCGUCACUAGUCUUUCCCUUGGAAUUGUCAUCUGAAGGAACCUUUGGUUUGUUUUCUUCAGUAGAAGAUUUGCUUCCAUCUUUAUCUGGGAUAUCCACCAAAGCCAACGCAUCUGAACCUGAACUUGGAUUAUUAACCAACUGGUUCAUCUCCUCUUGGCUGUCUCUAGGAGAAUUCUCUUCAGUCUUCGCAGUCACACCCCUGCAAACCUCUAGUAUUAUUGGUACCAAAAUCAAAACACAAACGGAAAUAGUACAUACAUUCAGAUAUUCAUUUCCAUACCGAUCACUGCUUUCUUGUUCCUUUCCGUUAUCCGGUGGAUGUUCCAAGAGAAAGCAAUGUCGCGCUGCAAGUUGCACACCUGGGGAGCUGCUUGAUAAUGAUUUUAGAGAACUGUGAGCUGAAGCAGAAGCGACAUCCCCUCCAACCAAUCUGACAAAAAAAGUUGCCUACAAACAAAAAGGUAAAGACAGUUGAUCAUUAUAACAUUGAGAAGUCUAGGUGCUCUGGCUCUUUAGGUUUAUUAUGCAAAGACAUCAGAAGACUAAAACAUAUAUUUAGAUGCAAAUUAGGGGUAACGAAAGCCAAAUUGGAUAUGCAUUCAUUUCAAUUUUUCAGACUUAAUAAUACAUGCAGCCAUUGCCAACCAUACCCUGAUACACAGACACAUUGAUGAAGUAAGAUUUCGGCAGACAGCAAUUAGAUCACAGAUACAUGAUGACGGUUUUCGUGUUGUAUAUUUUCAACUCACCAAAGCUAUGGCAGGGUUUCCAACUUCAGCAAAUGAUAAGCCGGGACUAGAAACGUAACCAUUAGCCUCCAAUGCUUCUGUUAGAGCUUUUACUGCAACAUCUUCACCGGACUCUUCACAAGCCUUUCCUUCACCUGAAUCUUCACAAGCCUUUCCUUCACCAGACUCUUCACAAGCCUUCCGUUCACCAGACUCUUCGCAAGUCUUUCCUUCACCGGCAUCUUGCUUUGAAGGUUCUGAAGUAACUUUUGCUUCAUCAGCAUUUGGUUUUGAUUCAUGAUCACUUUGCUUUCCUUCACCAUCAUUCUCAGAAGUGUCUCUCUCUUCACCGGUUUCCAGGUUUGAAGUCUCCAUUGGAGAAGUCUGACAAAGGUCCUCCUUGGGAUCAGCUUUAGCAUCAGUCGUUUCAGGAGCAUUAUCAUUGGUUGCACUUUUAUCAGCUGGUUCCUUUAGAUUUUCCACCGUAUCAUCAGAUUCAAAAAAGGAAUCCUCGAUUGGCAUUUGUACAAAGUGUAAGAUACACUGAGCCUUUGUUUUUGUAGCAACAUGUUCAGCAAUCUCACUCCAGUUUUCUUUAUAAAUUUCAAUUGCCUCUAAGAGAAGUAGGGUCUCUUGAUCUGUCCACUUUCCUCCAUUAAGACCACGAACCUCCCCAGGCUCCAUAAGAAUAAAAUCUGAAGACGACAUGUCUGUAUCGAACUUCCCAUUACUAAAGCAAUCCGCACAUAAAUCAUAAUCUGCCUGUUCAUACAGAUGAAUAAUCAGACAGAAAAUUUAAGUUUACUAUUAAAUGUCAAAAGCUAUGGUGACAUUGUUGCAGCUUUCGACAACAAUGGCUAUAUGUGUAUGUUGAAUGCAAUGCCGUUAUCAUAAUGAUUAGAUGGGUUCUAAUAUGGCCGGAAAUACUGGAUUCUGACAUAAAUGCAUAUACUAAUCGGUAACGGCCAACACAGGACUUUUUUUGGACUAAAGCAGAUAACUGGAUGUAACGUACCGUAUAUGAUAACGGUAUUGCAUUCAAUAUGCACAUAUAGGCAUUGUUAAGCCAAAAAAUUCAAGGGAAGACUCACCUGCUUCGGACAGUGGUAGCGCUUGCGAGAGCAAUCAGCUGAACAAGAAUUACAGUGGUACUCGACUGCAGGUCCCUCGGGCUGUAACAACUCUUCCCUAAUUGCAGCAGAAUCUGGAAAAAAUCCGGGUGGUAGAGAUGCAGUUACGACGUUAGGCUUGGGAACAACUCCUGCACAUGAUGAAAUAGGUCCAAAGCGGAAUAACUUCUCCAGCAAAGAGUCCUUUGCUUCAUCGCCCUUGGAAUUUUCAGAAGAAUCUUUUUCUGGAAAAGAGUGGAAAUUAAUCAAUCCCCAGUAGUCCAAGAACUCUAGCACCUCCUGUCUCGCUUCCAAGUCUGCAACUUCCAAAUCUGAUAAAUCUUUCAACUCAAUCAGUUCAUUUGGGUUUGCAUGAAAUUUCCUUACAAUCCAAUUACGUAUCUCCAUGUAUGUCGCAGGUGUCCGAUUAGGGGACUUCCCACUGAAGAAUGAAGGCAACGAAUGCUCCUCAAGAGGAUGAACUUUAGUCCAUGAAAACCACCCUGUCAUCAAGAAUGGCACGCAACUAAUAAGAUUAAUUUCUGCCAUCAAGAGAUGUUAUGUAAUUCAAAAUUCCACAUGCAACUAUAAACGGCUAUUCUUUCGACAAAUUCCAAAGUUUCUAUAGAGCAGUUCCACAAAAGAAAAUAUGGUAAAUGUGAAUACAAAUUUCAUACGGCAUUCUAGACCACAAAGCUGUAAAACAAUUCAACCAAUAUAUAAUUACCGACAGAUGUAUGAGCUAAGAUACAGGAAUAACCUGGCACUAAUGCAAAGCUAAAAUGCGAAAGAAUGAUCGAGUUAAAUGCUUGUGUGCAGCAAGACACAUCAAACUAAGUUCAUGAUUUUUCCCCUUCUAUCACUCGAUCACUCCAGAGCAACACAGUUACAGGUAAAUUAUCAAACUAGCCAGCUCAAGUAAACAUGAAAACACAGAAAAUUAUUGAAAUAUCAGAAGAAAUUUGCUCUUAUGCUCCCGUAGACCAAAAGAAUGCAACUUCCAACCAACCUUAGAAACCUAAAAACACUCACCGCAGUGAUUAGGCACCACAUGAGCGUUAGCCUCCCUCGAUCUAACACAUUCAAAUUCUAACUCGAUCUUCUUCUCCAGCUCCUCCAAUCUCUUCCUCUCCUCCUCCUCAACAGCUGUCGCAACAGCAGCUAAUCCAGCUCUCUCCUUAUCCUCGAGCUUCACCGAAGUAGUUGCAGCCGCCGCCGAAGAAGUGAGAUUGCUGGGACCAUGCCUGGCAGCCCUUGUCAACGGGCCGUUGUGAAAUGGAGAGUUGGAGAACGACGACAUCAUAGCUGAUUUCUCUCGUGUCGUCAUCCGCUUCGAAGGUGCGGAAGAGGAGAAGAAAGAAGAACCCGAGAGCGAAUUUGCCUUCCUCUUCAGCCCACCUCGCCGCCUUGAAGGCUCCGCCGACGCCGGUGAAUCGGCUCCCGCCGGCGAUCUGUCGUCCAUCUUGGGGGAAGAAUUAGGGAUUUGGUGGAUUGGAGAGACUCUCAGCAAGAUUUGAAAGAGAGCAGCUCCAAUGGAGUUAACUGUCGGAUACUCUCAACUGUUUUGUCUCUCCUUUUUUAAAAGUUUUUCAUAUUAAUACUAUUAUUAAUUAUAUUAAUCGAUGCAUUUCUUAAAUUUAAAUUACAAACAUAAUGAGCCUCGGUUUAAUUAAUUUUUAUUUUUUUAUCAAAUUAAUUUUUAUUUAUUUGUGCACAACUAAUUUCUAUUUGUAGGAAAACAAUUAGACAAGAAAUAACUAAUAAGGUUGAUCGUAUACUAAGAUGGUUGUUCAAGUUCAAGCUUGUCAUGAUUUUUCAAAAAUGGAAUUGAUAUUAAAGUUGUUUGGUGAAAUUAUACGUGGAGUUAAAUUUUAAAUUUAUAGCAAAAUAUUAAAGAUUAAAAUAUACGAAUGGAGGGAGUUGGAGAUAUAACUAAAUUUUGAAUUAACACAUAAACGGUAAAUUUAUAUCUAUCAAUUUUAACUAAAUAUCAUUUUGAAGGUACGAGCUGAUUAUAAUUUUUUAUUUACUCGAGCAUCAGGAUAAAAUUUAAUCAUAUUCUAUUUAUACAUCAAGAGUAAAAUCGACGUCGUUGCGGUAACAAAGAUAGAGUUGGGGAGGGACUAUCAAACUCCGUCACCAUUUGUCACCCGCCACCUCGCCCCUCAUGGGUGGCGGGUCGAGGCGCAAUGCACCAAAACACAACGAUAAAGUUGGGGCGGGACUACCAAACUCCAUCACCAUUUGUCACCCGCCACCCACAAGGGGCGGGUCGAGGAGCAAUGCACCAAAAUCUUGGUAAAACGGAUACUCGGGCCACAACGAAGCAAUGGUUUAAAAAAUGUGAACAUUUUAAAGUUUAAGUCACUAUAAUUGUCAAGAAAUGCACUGGAAGUCACUAUGGAUGGUUAAUCAUUUCAACCGCCACCCAACAGGAUUGGUGUAGCUUGACUAUUGAUCGAGCAAGUUGGUCUCUUAUGAAUAAUUUGGUGAAAAUAGGUAGAUAUAUGAAAAAUAUGUGAAUGGGAUUCAGUUAAAAAUCAUUUUGGUAAAAGAAAUCCAACCCCUUAAACAAUUAACUAACCAAAUUAAUUUUAAUUUAACCAACUUAAAUUAAUCAAUUAAUAAAAUUCAACUGUUAAUCAUAACCGAAUAACAUCUCACAUAUAAAUAAAGAAGUAGACAUCAUAGUUUAUAAUUUUAUAUAGUAAAAAUUCGAUCAAUCUACAACCCCUUGUACUUUCGAGACAUUCCUUAAAAGUAAACUUUAAUUAAUAUCUGGAUUGAAAGUACUGCGAUGGGCCUUUAGAUCCCUAGCUAGUUAAGCCCAAGCCCAACUUUGACUCGGUUGUCGAUUUCUCCACUGUCCACCGUCGUUUAUUGGGAGAAAAACGCAGAAAGGCGGGAAAAAUUAAAAAAAGGGCGCGAGACAAGAAUCCUAAUUGCACAAAGACAAGGAAACCUAAUCAAUCAAAGUAUAGUUAGGAAAGGAAAACAGCGGAAAUAAUUUGAAGGAAAUAAAACCCUAAAAAUAACAAUUAGUGAGUUACAAACAACCGUAACUCGGUAAGGCUACUCAGAGCCUAUAAAUACCAACUAGCAACGGUCUUAAUUCAUUCAUUCUUGACGGCGCAAAUUCAAUUUAGAAUCAUUCUCUCCAUCCAAUCUAAUCUGCGUAAUGUUGGAUCCGUCUUCCAACCCUCCGAUCAGACUCUCGUUCUUGGUUACCUCCUCGCCAAGCUCUGCGGAUUUCCUCUACUUUCCGGCCACGUCCACCACUGCGACCUCUACGGCGUCGAGGACCCUUGGGAGGUCUGGUCCGGAUUCCACGGCGACGAUCUUGUAGAAGGCGAAGAAGGAGAAACCGAUUUGUACUUCCUUACUCCGCUGAAGAGGAAGACCAAAACGGCGAAGAACAUCCAACGAACGGUUGGGACCAGGGGCGCCACGUGGCAUGGGGAAGACCAGGGGAAACCUAGUAAAAGCGUUGACGGGUGUAUAGAGUGGGAAAAGAAGAGGUUUAAUUACUAUUGUGGAAGUAGAAGUAGUAGUGGAAGAUGAUGAUUCCGAUGAGGAAUUAGGUCAACAGGACAGAGGAGGAAUCCCCUUUAACGAAUCGGCCAUUGCUAUUGUGGAAGUAGAAGAAAAGACUACUAGUAACGAAUUUGAUCAAGAGGUAGUCAUGGUAGAUGAUGAUGAUGAUGGUUUCGAUUUCGAUUUCUUCUGCGGUGUAGGAGACGAUUUGGGCGAUGCAGCUGAUGGCACUCUCACUCUCGAGGAGAUAUGGGGAGCUACGGAGAUAGAUAGUUGGUUAGUUGGUUGGUGAGAUAGGAUUGAUUCAUACUCUCUAAAUUGUAAUUAAAUAGAACUACGUUAGGCUUGAUCCUCCGUAGGAGUUGGCAGGAGUACGAGGUACAUAAGCAGCUCGAUUGUUGUCGAUUUGGCAAUGAUGACGGGUGCAGUCUAAUCAUUAUUACAAAAUUGAACAAGAUGUAUACAAGCUUGAUUGAUAUAACAGUAAAGAUAAUUCACAUUCAACUCUGUAUAUCUGCUUUCCUAACCUCGUAUGUCUCUCUGUUUCCAGAAUUGUAAUAUGAUACUGUUGACUGCAAAACUGAUAGCAACUGGAAAUAGUUGCAGUUAACAGAAAUUCAAUAUAGGGAAACCUAGCAUUCAGAAGCCGACUAAUAGGAUUCGAGAUCUGAAAUGGAAUAUAUUAUACUUAAAUUGAAACCACUAUCAUCGAUCUGAAAUGGUAACCACCCCGACUCAAGCCGAUUCUCAACCGCCCCGACUCAAGCCGGUUGCCAUUCAUAUAUACAUCGAUUUUGAAAAUCCGAUCCUCUACACCUAUCAACAUCACACUACCAAAACCGAAAACCCAUUCAUUCAAAAUGCUCAAACCAAAACCAGUUCCUCGACCUCCAAAACUUAAACAUCACUAAAGUAUCACUGAAAGAGAAGAGUUGACGAUGUUUGCCUGGGUUUAUUACAUAUAGAGCUUGAAUUCAACGACAUCACAGAUAGAUGAAAAUAUCUUUAAAGAGUUCUUGCUUUGCUCGUCACUCUUCUCCUCCAUCUUUCAGAUGUGUUCAAUGCAAAGCAAUCCCUCCACCUGAGUAUUCAACCUCCUGCAUAUCACACCAAGAAAGCAUGCAUCAGUCAGAGUUGCAAUCUUUCACAUCUCUGGGGUUGAAUCAAUUAGGGCUAGUUGGUUUCUGGGCACGGGUCACUGCAGAUCGACUAAUUAUAACAUGUUACUAGUGUCGACUGACUCUGAUCAGGUUGGGAAAAGAUUAAUCGAUACAUGUCACUUUUAACUUUUUUCCCAAACAAAUUGAAGCAUUCAAAGUUCAAGAUUUAUGCCAGCUUUCGUAGUUUGUGUUCACACUCUUUAUCAGCCAUUAUAAUGUGUUGGAAGGUAAAAACGAGGGGGGGUUCUAGAAUUGAACCUGAGCAGGUGGUAGAGUUGAAACCCAGUCUGAUGCAUGUGUUGGAAGUAGACCCAAUGUGUUAAGCUGCACAAACAAAACAUGGUUGAUAAUGAGAAUGCAAAUCACGUAAAAAAAUCAUUAGAAAUGCAAUUGCAGGACGCUUUGUUGGACAUGUGUCUCACCUUCCAAACCCCCAAGAUCAUGGCCCCUAGAUUUAGGGCAAUGUAUAGUAACUUAGGUGUAAGAAGGUCAACUUUGCUGUCCUUGUAUGGCUCAAAGACUGCAAAGGGGAAGAAGGUUAAACCAUUACAGUAGCUAACAUCAUUGGAGAAGUGCACCAUUGCUUUUACGCAUGCUUUAUAGGGAUUAAGAUCAUAGUCUGAACUAGAGAGGCAAGCAUUAAGAUCAAAGCUUGUGAUAGGAAACAGUCUCUAAUUCAUGAUAUUGCAGCUUACCCUUUCCAACCCCUUGUAGAGCGCUCAAGGGUUGCCAAAGAGCUGAAAACGUAAUACCAAUGCUGAAAAGGUGCACUGUAUUCCCAGCCAUCCACAUCAUGAACCCCAUCAUUAGCAAAUUCUUGAAAGGUGCUUGUGCUACUUCCCAUGCUUUCUGCGCAUUACAUUAACUUCAUUACUCAUCAUUUCACUCAAACAGAUAGAAAAGUUCAGAAACCUACGAACUACGCAACUUAAUUAUUUCACCAAAAAGUAAUUGUCAACUGUAUCACUCGAGAAAAUAACCCUUGUCCAACCAGACGCAAUAACAAUGAUGUCAUACAUAAUACAAACUCCAACACCAGGCACUGUAUCAGUCACAACAAAACUCAAGCCUAAUUCAGUAUGGGAAUCCUGACAUCCUACAGACAGAUAAAUCCAGUUCAAAUAUCUUCUAAAACUUCAGUUUCACAAACAGAAGUUAAUAACCAACCUGGGAUUUCCAAUUUGCUUCAGCAUCCUUCUUUUGCUUUGAUACAGCAGAUUCAUCCUGAAACCGAGUCCAAUUAUUCAACAGUUAGCAACCCAAUCGAAUACAGAACAUAAUCAAACUAAUGUAGCAAGGAAAUAAAGGUUAAAAAACAAAUCAACCUGAUCUUGGGAGGCACGAGAGUAACCGGGAGGAUCAGGGAUGUCACGAGACGAAGGGGCUAGUGAAUUGUCAGUGAAAUCAACAGCCCAUCUGCGACCCGAACCCAUAAUUCCUUUUCCCUUGUCCAUAAUAAUUUGCUAACUUCGAGCCUGAUUCACUCCUAUUCCAAUCUCUCCGUUGUUACAGCAGAUGGAAAAGACUAAUAUAAGUAGGAUACGGCGUGGAGUGUUCGAUUCUCCUGAGAAUGGCAGCUUAUCUACUGUUACAAAGGAUAUCGACACUUUAAGAAAUUAAACUGGCUAUAAGUUUGAGAAACUGAGUGAUAGCACGAAUCGACCCAAGUCCAUAUAAUCAACGUGGUCUGCAUAUUCCCAAAUCAACGAAAAUCAUUUUCUUACGUCACGGGGUUCACUGAAUUCAACAAAUAUCUCAACCUAGCUGGCCGAAGAUUAAUUCUACCAGGUCCAAUCUUCUCAGUUUCUAGCGAUCUACAUUCUAAAUCACAAACAAAGAAACAAAUCAACUAGUUCCUUACCUCGCCCAGCAAAGUAAGCAGAUUAAAACUGCUCCGAUCCGAUCAAGAUAUCCGGCCGAUUUGUGAGGCUCUCCCACCCGCCUGAAGCUAAACUCUCGCCGUUACUCCGAUUUCUCCAGCUCCGACGAUAUUGACGAUAAAAGAAAAACUCUACUAGUGGAUUGCUGAAAGUGAAAUUGAGGCGAUGAGGGUUUCGUAGGUUCGUUCGACAAUGAAAUCAAAUUAGCUAUUUUAAUCUUUAUCUUAUUUUGUUCUUAAUUAAUAUUUGGCGACGACACCGUUUUUGUCUUGAUUGUUGGCAAGUAGCAAGGCCCAGCGGUUGACAAGCGUAGCCGAUUUUUUCCAAUGGGCCGGCUUGUUUAUUUUUCACUGGUUCAUUCGACAUUUUUUUAUUUUAGCAAUAGUUUCGUUUCGAGAGUAUCCGUAAUAGUUCGAUAAUCAUAAUGAGGUAGACUCGAUAAUUAUAAAAAAUUCGGUUCAGCUAUCAUAAUGUUCGGUUCAUGAAUAGGUCUUGAGAGGUGAAAAACGAAGAAUUUUUACAUAAACAUGCUAAAAAUACAGAAAUCAAACUUAUAAUAAAGGUAAACAAGUUAUAAUGAACUAUAUAAAUUAAGUUUGCUCAUGAGCUACAAUCGAACAAGCUAUAAAACAAGCUCGGCUAGUAAGCUUGGCUCAGCAAGCCCAAACAAAGAACCGGUUUGUGAGCCCGUUGAAUCGAGCAUUGUUGGGUCAACUCGUACCAUAUACUAUAUAACAAAAUCAUUUCAAAUUAUAUUUUUAACAUGUUUAUAAGCAGGGUUGGAAAUUUGAACGUUUUGAAUAUCGAUACCUGAAAAGGUGAAAAUGUAAUAAAACCCCAACCAAACUUCAAAAUUAAUCCGAAUACGAGUACACACACUCGUACAGAUAUCGUAAAUUCCACAACAAACUACAAAUUCCACUCCUAUGAAGAAGGACCGAACUGCUGUAUAAAUCCAAGCAUUGAAUGAUUCAGAACAAAUAGAUUAUAAAGAACAAGAUCAGCAAUAUACUUUUGUCAUUCUUCACUCAUCAGCAUCAAUCUGCAGUUUGUUGUUGUUGGAUAAAAAAAUAUUAUAGUGUUGUAGGCUAGCCAAAUCCGAACCCGCACAGUAAGUCGGUACCAAACCCCGCUCAGAUUCGGGACAAGAUCGAGAUUACCCGAUACCCUAAGAUUAUUAAUAUCAUCGUCAAUAACAAGGUAAUGAAACCCUAUCAACACGUAACUGCCGACCAAUUUUUCCCGGUGCAUUCAUAUUCAUAAUUUCCCUUUGUUGUAUCAGUCAUAAUCUCAUCCGUCCCUUUUGAGUAAGUAAUAAAUACCACCUAACCAAUUAAAUUUAUAAUUUUCCAGAAGGAAGGAACCAGCCUGAUGAGAAGAUCACCCAACUCAAUUAGAGCAGAAAGCCAAACCUCCGUAGCCCAUGGUCACCAUCGACAACAGUAGCAACACACAACGCCAACAAAUCAGGCUCGUCAGACUGACGAAAAUCGAGCUCGUGCUCAAGUUGGCUCGCAAUCUAAACGACCGGGGUUCGAAUUCGCAAACCACUAGUCUAUCUGUUUAUAUAUCUAGCUAUACGUUGAGAAUAUUGCUUUAAAGGUAGUUGGUAUAUUAGAAAAAAAGAAGUUUAUUUUCGGUAGUCCAAUUAGUUGAAAUUUAUGCUUCACAAACCAAUUAUAUUGAAAACUUGUGGUUUGAAUUAUCGAAAAUGUUAUUUUCCUGGCUAGCCCAUAUUGUUGAAAAGCUUUGAAAUUGGACCCUUUCCGACGAUUUUAACAAGCUACCAGACCGACCAACCAACUUUCAUCAUACGUCCCUUUCAAGUGGUAAUUAUAUACCACCUAACCAUCUAGAUUUAGUAGGUUUUAGUAGAGUAGUGAAAUUGGACGAUUUAAAGUUUGAAAUUUUAUUUUAAAUUGGUGGUUAAUUAAUGAAAUUAGGUAAAUUUUUGGUUUGAAUUUUUUUUCCCGGUAAAUCUUAAUUUAUUUGACCGAAACUGCUAAACGGCCAAAGUUUACAGAGUUAACUCAGGCGACAAAGAGGAAAAAGAAAACUAUACAGCUACGGAAUUAAUUACAUCUAACAGAUAUACAAAUUAGUAUAGGCAUCUAAACAACUUGUAAUGCUACUAUCACACUUAAUUACAGAAAGAUCCCAACAAAUCCGCCAACCCAAUUGAUCACUAUUCAUCCGAGCUCCAAUGAAGAUGCGACGACAUCUCUCUUUCUAAAGAUGAUUGCACAAACAUCUCCAGACCAGGUGCACAACAUGAGAGAUCGAAAAACGACUAUGAAAAUUGCAAAGCAUCUACUCCACUUCAUCCUCCCAAACUCCACAAGAAGUAUUACAAAGAAAUAAUUUACUUCUGAAACGAGCAAGAGUAAGGGCAAGUGAGAAAUAAAUGCUCAAAAGUCUCAAGACCAACAUCACGAAGAUAGCAAACAGAAUUAGUAGUGAUACCUCAUUUAAUUAAUUUGUUUUUCGGAGAUAACCUGCCAAACAUGAGCUGCCAGCAGAUAAAUAAAUAUCUUGGAAUGGAGGGAGGACUUCACACAAGUGCCCCCAAGAGAUUUAAAUCUUAAAAUCUUAUAAAAUUAACGAUUUUUGUGUAUUUUACGACUUUACUUUCUAAGUAUAAAUUGUCCAUUUGUCAUUUUGUUUCACUCAUCUGAAUUAGAAUAAAAAAAUGAGGUGUUAUUAGUAAUUUAUUUAUUUUAUUGAUAGAUUGUUAUUAUUUAAAUAAUAAGAGAAAAUUAAAAUAAUUACAACAGUCUAAAAUUAAUGCACUUUCUUUUUGAAAUUUUCUAUUAUAAAAAGUCGUGGAAUUUUGUGCUAUUCGAUUUUAUGAUUAUUAUUUUAAAUCAUUUUUCGAUUUAACACUGACUCAACGAUUUCCCUGACUUCCGAGUCAGACGCAUCCGGACAAGGGGCCAGAACCACGAAGCCUGUAUUACUAAUUCCCCGUCUUGAUUCGAUGCGAGCGUGGGGCGCAGGAGAAGGAAUAUGUUUAUUGAAAAGCUACUCCGCCCGAUGGCAAACUCUGAAUAUUAGAUAGAACCUCAAAAUAACAAGAGUCAAAGUCAGCCGGUGAAACGAUGGGGGAGAAAGAAACAGCCCGGAUGCGCAUUUCCAUGCAAGAUAUAAUUGCUCCACACGGCACACUCUCUCUAGCAAAUCUCUCAAGUCAAUUAACUCGAUUCAUAAUAACGCGGGUCCCUUCUGGAUCUACUCGAUCAAAUACAACACGAUAUAUAAAUAUACAUAAAAUGAAAUACCAGCUCGCCAUUCCAGCAAACCACAGACUUCCUGGAGAUGAUCACUGAAAACUUUGAUCACAAACCAUGGAAGUCAUCAGAUUUGCAGAACAACACAACAAUAACAGCAGCAAUAAUACUCUAGUGUUUGCAAUCAACAACAAGAGAUUCGAACUGACCAACUUAGACGACUCAUCAACGACUCUGCUUCAAUUCCUGCGUACCCAAACCAGCAUCAAGAGUCCCAAGCUGGGCUGCGGAGAAGGUGGCUGCGGAGCUUGCGUUGUUCUGCUGUCCAAGUACGAUUCCAAAGUCGAAAAAGUCGAAAGCUUUACGGUAAGCUCCUGCCUGACGUUGCUGGGGAGUGUUCAUGGAUGUUCAAUCACAACAUCUGAAGGGAUUGGCAACAGUAGGGACGGAUUCCAUGAAAUCCACCGCAGGUUUGGUGGAUUCCAUGCCUCUCAGUGUGGAUUCUGCACUCCUGGAAUGUGCAUGUCGCUUUACGGAGUGCUUGUUGAUAAAAACAACAAUGGUGGUGGUGGUGAAAAGCUGAUGACUGUAAUUGAAGCUGAGAAGGCCAUUGCAGGAAACCUCUGCAGGUACGAUUAACUGUUGAAACUGACUAACCGAUUGAUUUUGGUGGAUGAAUCGGUUAACUCAAAAAAAUUGUCUCUCUCGGUUAACGCUUUGAUAUUUUUUUAACCGAAACAAAAUUUUGAUCGGGCUCUUUUCAGAUUUAUAACCUUUUAACCAAAACGAUUUAUUACGUAAGAUUGGUGAUUAAUUAACUGAUUAUCACUAAAGUAUCACCGGCUAAUUAACCGAUCGAAUGUGGUCAAUUAUAUACAUUUUUCUGAAAAAACGACCUUAACCAGCCUAUUUCACUCGGUUAAUCUGUGGUUAGUUAACCGAUUAUCACCAUGUCUAGUCGGUUCAUUGGUUAAUCAAUUUUCGUAACAUGACCUUAAUGAAUCGGCCGAACGUGAUCAAUUAUUAACCGCCCUGACCGAUUUCCACUCCUAUAUCAAGGUGUACCGGAUACAGACCGAUUUUGGAUGCUUGCAAGAGCUUUGCAGUUGAUGUUGAUAUGGAAGAUUUGGGUGCUAACUCAUUCUGCAGAUUACCGUCUUACAGUUCUGGUACUGGAGGAAUUUGUAGUAGUGCUGCAUUUCCUGAAUUCCUGAAAAUGCAGGGGAAAUCGAACUCAGCUUCCGGCUCGUGGGUUGUUCCUCAAUCUACCGAGGAGCUUCUGAGAUUAAUGAAUGGAAAUGUUAAGAUGAAGCUAGUGGUUGGAAAUACAGGAAUUGGUUACUACAAGGAGGAAUUAGAUGAUAUCUAUGACAGAUACAUUGACAUCAGGUAUGUUCCUGAGCUUUCGAGAAUCAGUUAUAACGAUCCGAACGGUGGUGGGAUCAAAUUCGGAGCAGCUGUAACGAUUUCCAAAGCCAUAACAGCUUUGAAGGCCUCAUCAGGAUCAUGUGGAGUAGUGUACCGAAAGAUAGCGGACCAUAUGGAGAAAAUCGCGACCCGGUUCGUUCGAAACACCGGUAGCAUAGGUGGGAAUCUGGUAAUGGCACAAAGGAAAGGGUUUCCUUCAGACAUUGCUACUCUUCUUAUUGCAGCUGGCUCUUACGUUGAGAUACUAACCGAUUCGAUCCUCAAAAGGCUGACAUUGGAAGAGUUUCUUCAGGAAACUAGGCCACCGUUGGCUGAUUCCGCAUCCGUACUAAUCAGUAUCGAAAUACCUAGCUCAAAAUCUGCAGUGUUUGAAACGUAUCGCGCUUCGCCAAGGCCUUUAGGGAAUGCAUUGGCUCAUCUCAGCUCUGCUUUCAUGGCAGAGAUCGACGGUGGAGAUGUGAUCAGCUCGUGCCGAUUGGCGUUCGGUGGGAAUGGAAUCAAUCGUACGAUUCGAGCUAGAAAGGCUGAGGAUUUCUUGGCAGGCAAGAAAGUAACCGCUAGUGUUGUGUAUGAAGCUAUCAGACUUGUUAAACACAGUGUUGCAAAAUCGAGUAGUUCGGAUCCUGAAUACAAGUCGAGCUUAGCUGUUGGUUUCGUUUUCGAAUUCCUUAGCCCCUUGAUCCUAAUUAAUGGGUUGGUAAAUGAAGCUUGUGAGACAAGUUAUCGCCUGUUAUCAUCCGGGAAGCAGAUUUUUCAAGUGCACAGAGAGAACCGACCGGUGGGGGAGCCGGUUCGAAAAUCGGAAUCUCUAAUUCAAGCGUCUGGUGAGGCAGUUUUUGUAGAUGACAUUCCUUCACCUGAAAAUUGUUUAUACGGAGCAUUUGUGUGGAGCACCAAGCCUUUUGCUAGAGUGAAAGGAAUAGGUUUCGAGUCUAACCGGCUUCCAGAUGGAGUUGUUGCUCUGAUAUCUUCGAAAGAUAUUCCAAAAUGUGGCGAGAAUUUGGGGUCGAAGACGAUAUUCGGUACCGAAACUCUGUUUGCAGAUAACGUCACGCAUUGUGCUGGGGAACGCCUUGCUUUCGUGGUAAGUAAAUGAUAAAAAAAUUCCUGAUUCCUUAUCAGAAAUAAUUUCCUGAUUCCAUGGCUUUAAGUUUUCAGGUUGCAGAUUCACAGAAAAAAGCUGACGCAGCAGCAAAGAUGGUUGUUGUGGAUUAUGACACAGUGGGGAUGGAACCGCCAAUUCUGACUGUGGAGGAUGCUGUUAAGAGAUCCAGCUUCAUCAGUGUUCCUCCGUUUCUGAAACCGGACGAAGUCGGUGAUGUAACGACAGGAUUUGCUGAAGCGGAUUACAGAAUCAUCAAUGCUCAGGUUGAAAACCAAUCUUGAAAUUUCUCGAGCUAUUAGGAUGAAAUGGUUUGUGAUAUGUUAUCAAAAUCUUUGAUAUUUUUUGGUGCAGAUGAAAGUGAAUUCACAGUACUACUUCUAUAUGGAGACACAGACUGCUAUGGCGGUACCAGAUGAAGAUAACUGCAUGGUGGUUUAUAGUUCAAGCCAAUCCCCAGAGGCUGUUGGUGUCACCAUUGCAGGAUGCCUUGAUCUUCCUCAGCACAAUGUACGUGUGAUCACAAGAAGGGUUGGCGGUGGUUUUGGUGGAAAAGCCCUCAAAUCUAUACCUGUGAGUAGUAAGCUUACACAACUUUCCAUCAUUUUGAUUCUUCGUUGAGUUGCCAAAUGAGUUAGUAAUCUGAUUAUUCGAGCUUUUGUCUACCUCGAGCUUGACUCGUUUAUUUUUUGGAGUACUCGAGUUCGACUUGAACUGAAUUCGAGUAUUCCUAUUUUGGUUUAGAAUUGGCUAGCUCGAUUAUAAAAAAUCACCGCUAACUAUUAAGCGAUAACUAGUUCCUUCUUAUCAAACAACAAUCACUUUAUCAAAUAUAUCUCAUUUGAUCAUACAACUAAGUUGAUGAAAGGAAUAUCAAUACACAAUCAAUAGACUUUUAAGUUUGAUCAUAAAAGUAUGAAUUUUUAGUUGCUUCCCACCUAGAAAGUAUAUUAAUUUGAAAAUUUUUAACACUAACUUAACAUAGAAAAAACUAAUUUUUAACUUCAUUUGACCUCUAUUUACAAAGAUUACAAUAGUGAAAUAUGACUUUUUAGCCAUUUCCAAUAUGCAUGUCAAAUAUUAGGUGAUUCGAAAAUUUUGAAAUUUUCAUAUAAAAAUGAUCAAUAUUUAUAGGGAACUGACAAUUUUUACAUGAAAUUUUUUUUGACUAAUAUUUGACUAGUAUGUUGGAAAUGGUUANNNNNNNNNNNNNNNNNNNNNNNNNNNNNNNNNNNNNNNNNNNNNNNNNNNNNNNNNNNNNACCCCCUCCAAAUAAUAGCCAAAUAAAGUGAAAAGAUCAUUUUUUCUCGUACGGUAAUGGUGUUAUGUUACUAUUGACAUUUUUCAAAUUAGCUACAUUCUUGCAAACAUCUUGUAAAUAUCUAGAAAUCUAAAUUAAACAAUGUCAAGCCUUCAAAUAUUAGCUCCUCGCAAGAGGGUCAAGUAGCUACUUGAUCAUGUAACAUAUAUUUUCACAUUGAUCUUAUAAUUCAAUAUUAUUUUAAACUUCAUGUUAUGUGUUCUCAUUCGUAUCUUCUUUCACAUGUAUAACAAUGCUCAAAUCCUAUGAAACUAUUCUUUACCUAUAAAUAGUUGGAUAGUUGAUGCAAACAGUCGGAACAAAAUGUGGUAUUCUCGUCAAGAGAGUAUGACUGAUGUGAAUACAGAAUAUAUGAUCAAAGUUAUAUGAAGCCAUUGGUUUCGGUAAUGGUUUUCACCACAAAUUUAUUAGUUCGGUUUUGGUUCUCACAUUUGCAUGAAUUUUAGUUUUUGGUAAUGUUUUAAAUUGGAGAGAGAACUAGUGUAUAAAGCCACACAAAAAUGUUAAAUUCAUAGAGUACAUAUAAUAAUUAAAUGAAAUGUUAUUGAAGCUCUGCUCAAUAAUCAUAAUGAGCUCGGUUUGAUAACGAUUUUAUUCGAGUUCGGCUUUAAUUAGAUUUUAAAAUCGAAACACCGAACUGUUCACAAGUGACUUUAAAAUUAUAGAAUAUCAUUCACUAUUCUUGCAAGCAAUUUGUCUAAUCAACCUGGGUUUUUUUCCACCUGUUUCCAGAUAGCUACAUCAUGCGCACUUGCAGCUCAACUUCUACACCGACCAGUUAGGACAUACCUCAAUCGCAAAACCGACAUGAUAAUCUCCGGAGGCAGACAUCCAAUGAAGGUCACCUACACCGCAGGAUUCAAAUCCAAUGGCAAAAUCACAGCUCUGAAACUCGAAAUCCUGAUUGAUGCCGGUAUGUCACCGGAUGUAAGCGCCAUCAUUCCGGUCCACUUGGUAGCAGCACUCAAAAAGUACGACUGGGGCUCCCUAUCGUUUGAUAUAAAGCUGUGCAAGACGAACCGGUCCAGCAAAUCGACAAUGCGAGCUCCUGGUGCGGUCCAAGGAACUUUCAUUGCGGAUACAGUGAUGGAAAAUGUAGCAUCGGCUCUUGGCAUGGAUGUGGAUGAUCUGAGAGCUGUGAACCUUCAUUGUUACGACAGCCUCAAGCUGUUCUAUCCGAGAUGCUUCGGGGAACGUGAUGAGUAUACUCUGAGUAGUAUUUGGGAGAGAGUAGCGGAAUCGUCGGAGUUUCACAGGAGGAGGGAAAUGGUGGAGGGGUUUAACAGGGAUAACUUGUGGAGGAAGAAAGGGAUUUCGAGAGUGCCGAUCGUUUUUGAAGCUGGGGCUACAACAACUCCAGGGCGGGUAAUGUUUAUGAACCGUUACGGUUUUUUUGGCCUGUUGAUCAGUUUGGUCUGUGUGGGUUGUAUCGGUUUUGCCGGUUUCGUGGUUUCGUAGAGGCUAAAUACGUGUUUCGUUCUGUAACUUUAGAUGUGUUAUGUCUAGGUUUCGAAACUUCAAGAUGUUAUAUAUUGAUGUCGAAACUUACAGGUAUGGCCGACUAACUAUAGUGGUCCAAAUUGUAAGUUUGGAGACCAAUGUGCAACAUUUGAAAGUUUCGGGAUUGGUACAUAACCUGUACAGAAUCUAUUAUAUAUUUGGCCAGUUUCAAUUGAGAAUUAAGGUUAGUCUAGUAGUCUAUUCAUAACUCAUUCAUCCAUAGGGGUGGGACUCAGUCGCAGCUGUUAAUAACCGAUCAAAUUCGAUCGGUUAAUUUAAGAUUUUUUGAAAUAAUAAUAGGUUACCUAUCAAAGCAGGUUGAUUUUGGUUUAAAUAAAUAUAAAUAUGAAAAAAUUCUCAAACCUCUCACCGAUUAACCAGCCUAAUAAUUUUAGGGUAAUUGAUUAACUGGCCAAAGACAAUCGAUUAAUUAGUUUUAACCGCUAACUGUAUUCGAACUAUCAACCCUAAUUUCUCACGGUAAUAAGGAUCAUUACAACAUAGAAGUCAACAUCCCUAACUUGGCAUCAUUCUGACAUACUCUUUUUGGGGAGGGAAAUUAGGUUAAGAAAAACUGUAUUGUGUUGAUUUUUUUCAACAUGGAUUUCAUGUAUAAUUCAUUUAACAGGUAAGCAUCCUGAGCGAUGGAUCCAUUGCCGUGGAAGUAGGAGGGAUAGAACUGGGACAAGGUCUGUGGACAAAGGCCAAACAAAUGGCUGCAUUUUCCUUGAGUUCAUUAAUCAACUCUGAUUCUCACUACAGUCUGCUGGAGAAGGUAAGGGUUACUCAAGCUGAUACCUUAUCUCUGAUACAAGGAGGAUUCACCGGUGGGAGCACGAAAUCCGAAUCGACCUGCGAAGCGAUCAGACUCUGCUGCAAUGUUCUGGUUGAGAGAUUGCUUCCUCUCAAGGAGAAGCUGCAGAAGGAAAAUAAUGGGUCGAUUGUCAGAUGGGAGAUGCUCAUUUCCCAGGUACUGAUCGUCAAACCCAGAAACAGAUUAUAAACUGAUCAUCAUUGUUAGGAAUUGAUUCAUUUGAUGAUCGUAUGCAGGCGUAUAAAUCUUCAGUGAACUUAAGUGCAAGCUCUCUUUAUGUCCCUGACUUCAGCACCAAUCAUUACUUGAACUAUGGAGCAGCAGCAAGCGAGGCAAGUCAUAGAUUAGUUUGUUACUUUAGUCAUUGAUCGAAUUUUUACGGAGUCUUAUAACUUUCGAAUCAUUGGUCGGCUUAGCCUGCCCUGCCAAAUUUCAUACGUGUGAUGCAAUACAGGUGGAGAUAAAUCUUCUCACAGGCGAAACAACAAUUCUGAGAUCAGAUCUAAUAUAUGACUGCGGACAAAGCUUGAAUCCCGCCGUCGACAUGGGACAGGUGAGUUCCUUGAUUGUAUGAAGCACACAUUUCAUACAGUCUCAUAGACAGAAAACAAUUUCAUCAAACACAGCUACACAGACAUUUUCUCCUUUCUUCUGCUGCUGUUACCAGAUUGAAGGAGCUUUUGUUCAGGGGAUCGGAUUCUUCAUGAUGGAAGAGUACAACACGAAUUCGGACGGAUUGGUGACCACAGAUAGUACCUGGACAUACAAGAUUCCGACCAUCGACACCAUUCCCAAACAGUUCAAUGUCGAAAUCCUCAGCAGCGGACAUCACCGGAAUCGAGUUCUGUCUUCCAAAGGUAUUGACAUUUGCAAUGUAGUCAAAAUGUUGGCUUUGAAUGAUUACUCAUAUUGGUGUCCAACGAUUCUAAUUUCGGUCUUUACUAAUAAUCAUAAUUUUGACUACCUUGAAUAUAUGAUAUUUCGACUUGUAGCCUCGGGCGAGCCGCCCCUACUGUUGGCAGCAUCAGUUCACUGCGCCACAAGAGCAGCAAUCAAAGAAGCCAGGAAACAGCUGCAUUCGUGGGGAGGCCUCGACGACAGUGAUUACGCAAACUUUCAUCUCGAUGCACCGGCCACCAUGGCAGUUGUGAAGAAGUUCUGUGGGUUGAACAGUGUGGAGAGCUACUUGAAAUGGAAAUUACUCAACCAUAAGUAAGGAGACCAGGAAAAAAAAAAGACUCCUCAAUUCGAUGUAAGAAAGAACACUAAAAUUCAUUAUAAGAGUUGAUGAAAAUAUCGUUCGUUUUUCUGACACUACCAUUCGAAAUCAAUUGAUCGAAAUCAUAUGAUCCAAAUAGUUCCAACAAUUUUUAUAUCAACUUCCCUUAUAUUCGAAAACCGAGUGUUCCUUCAUGAUUUUAGUGUUUAUCACAUCAAAUUCUAACUUGACGUUAUACUUACAAAAUUCAAAACACAAGGCCAACUACAAAUCUUUACUUAAUGUACAAAUUAAGCUAGAUAACUCUAAAUAUAACAUCUUUUUACUAAACUCUCAAAAUCAAACCCUCAAAUCAGCCCAAACUAUAUCAAACUCGGGCAAAAAAUGACAAACGGGACCUUCUCCGGGCUCAAUUCCCAGAACUCGAAAAGACGGAUUAUUCCGAUCCCAUUUCGAAGUAUCCAUAUGGCAGACCGCGACAGCUUCCACAACCUCGCCUUCUCGGCCACCACCCAACAAAACCUUGAACACCUUCGUUUCGCCUCCGGGGCUAUGGCAGAAGUAGACCAAAUAAGGAUACGGCAUGGUGUGACAACCCAUCACUUUCCUCGUCAGGAUUUCCUCAGGUUCCUUCAGGACCGUAUAGUCCUGAACGGAAGAAGAAGAAGAAAUCGGUUUAUCCGAUUUUUUCAGCUGGUUAGUGGUUAGGGCCUUGAGCAGUUUGGUUUCCGACCCGAAAGUGGACCGGACGGAGUCGAGCAUCGACUCGAGCGAGGUCGCGCAGAACUUGGUCUCUCCGGUCAUGGGUUCGAGCUCGCACAAUGACAGUGUGGUCUCGACCGCUCCGGCCUGAGGGGACCCGGCGGAGAAGGAGAAGAGCUGGAGGAGGGAAGGGAGGUGGGCCGAAGCGAAAGGGAUCGAAUCGGAUUGCUGUUUCGAGAGGAAAUGCGGGGUGCUUGAAGGGUGCUUUUUCGAGAAGUUGAUCGGCAUGGUGGAACCGGGUUUGAGUUGGCCCGGUUUGAAGAAGAUCGACAAGUUCUGGUCUGAUUCAAUGGCUGAUCCUGUUAUAACCUGAAUGAAACAAGAAGAAAUAAAAACAGAGGAUUCAGUGGGAAAAUGAACAAAAAAUUGUAAAACAUUUCAUUGUAAGCAAGAAUUAAGAUCAGAUUCCGUACCGUGAGGAGAUGGAGCAAAAGAAGAAGAGUUGUCGUCCAGGAAGAAAGUUGAGGAGCCGCCAUGGAUGUGUUUACUUGGAGCUUUUGUUGUGAAGCUCUGUUUUCGGUUUUGGCUCUGUGUUUAUUGGAAUAAAUAGCGAUGGAGGUUUGGACUUUGGUGAUGGCUUCGGACUUUAGUAGGUUUGGAUCUAACAAGCUUUGGAUACGUUUUUAUACUUCAUUUAAUAUGUAGUUGACAGCUUUUUAUUUUAUUUAAGUCAACGUUGAACAUUGAUUUUCAUCCAUAUACAAAAUAGAACGUGGGUUUUUUUAUAUGUAAUUGUAUGAUGAAUGAUUUUUGCUGAAUUUAAAAGUACAUUUAUUACUACUCUCACAUUUUUAAUUCAAAUGGUAAUUUUUUUUAAAAUUGAAUUAAAGUUGAGAUGAUUAUUUGAAGAAUCACCAUCAUUAUUAUUAUUAUUAUUAUUAUUAUUAUGAACUCAAUAGUGCUGGUAGUGGUGUUGGGUGGGGGCAGAAGAAGUGGAGAAAGUCAACUUUGUUUUGUCAGAGGACUCCACUUCAAUCCAAAAUAUAAUAAUUAUUGUUAUUAAUUUCUAUCUAUCUGUUCUAUACUACAGUGUAACAUGGCAUUUAAAAUUAACUAAUAAAUAAUCAAAGUUAAUUGCAUGCAGCCAAAAACCCACUAGGUGUAUAAUAUUGGUUGUUUGUUACAAAAGUCAAACACUGCCAUUAAUUGUUAAAUGAGAUAAAUCAGUUGUCUUAUUACAAAUGUAUCACCCUCCCGUGCUAAUAUCCAAUUUUAUUUUUAAAAAGAGUGGAUAUUUGAAUGAUUAUUCCUCUAAAAUGUUCAAGAACAAACAUAUAUAAAGGUUGUCGGAGUUACAGACUUUACAAACGAAAUUAUAUGGAUUGCGGAUCUUUGCGAGUACAUGAAUCUCGAUCCUUGUUCACCAACUAACCUAUAAUGGCUAAAACUAAAGGCUCCCAUAAACAAACAUCCAAAACAAAUAAAGAAGGAAAAGCCUAGCUAUGGACUUGAAUGGUCCUUAUUGAAAACACCGUAAGGUUAGGUUUACGGUUGUUCACGACACCGCUUAGUUUGGAGGCAUGUGCUCCGGGUUGUUCUUCCGGGCCAGGUCGAGGCUCCGGUGUCUCAGCCUUUGGAAACUCUCUCCCAGGACCUUUUGUUAGUGUCCUCGGGUCCCUUGUUAUCGAAUCUAGCAUCAGGAACCCCGGUGGUCGCGAGGGGCCGUAACCCUGAGGUUACGGCUGUGAGGUCCUGAUCUGCCUCCUGCCAUCAUUUGGGGUGCGAAGAGUGUUGGUCACGGGUUGGGGUGGGUUCCGACGUUGGGUUGCUGGUGAGGCCAGCGGCAUGGAGCUUGCGUCGUCACGGGCCAUGCUUAAGCUUGGAGCAGGUGGUGGCUGGGGUUGUAAAAGACUCUUCAAGAGAGUGCAGCAAUGCUUCCUUGAAAGCGGCAGCUAGCCAGGACAUCUAUAUCCUCGUUUUAAUAAAAUCCCUGCCUUUAAAAUCAGAAUUAUUUUGUUAACCCAAUUCGUCAUAAUAGCUAUUUCAGAAUGCUGUCAAAUUAAGAUAUAUUAACGCCUUAUCGACACAUAAUUGUAUAGACAAAAGCAUUGUUCUAUAUAGUUAGGUUCUAGCCUAUAGUCCAAUCUCCUAGUACAAAUACCGACACGGGCCUUACACACACUUCACAUGACUUAAUGCCAAGAAGCUAUAGCCCCGAACAAUAACAACCUAGCCGCCGAUGUCGAGAAACCCUACGGUAUAGGCACUCGAUACAAAGACAACGAUCGACAUGCAUCGCAAUCAUGUAUGCGGUCGUGAGUAGUGUGCAUAUACAUCCUAACAUCAUUGACUUGGUACACAUAUUUGCAUAUUUACCGGACCCAGACUUAUCUAGCUACUAGUGCGAUCAUCAGUAGUGGGGAAUUAUGUCUAGGUUGGUAUUGAAUUGAACGGUACUUGAAAACUGCCGUCUAAAGUUGACCUAAGAAUAAAGUACUACUGUGUAUAUGCUGGCUGGCUGGCUGGCUGCUGGCUCUCAUCAUUACAAGUUUGGGGGGGCUGUACGUUUAAUCCAGAAGUCGCCACACAAUAUAUAUUCAAAAUGGAUCAAAUAAAGCUAAUUUCUUUUAUUAUUAUGACGAUAUAUAUGGAGAGCCGAGCCAAGUAGCCAACCACCAACUUUGGCUGGUUGCCCAAUUACUAACUAGGGUUGUUUAAUUUGUUGGUAUAUACCAGCACCAUGCAAUAGUACUCAGCAUGCAACAGUACUCCGUCCGGGGAGUUUCGGCUCACCCCAAUUUUGGCCGGAUUAUUAAUUUCGGGUGUAUAUUUAUAAUAUUUAUGAGUUCGGCUCUUGGUAAUUUUGAGUUCGGAACUAGCCAGUGAAAGUUCCGAUUAUCUUGUUUUUUUCUCUCAAGUACUAAAUUAUAUAUAAAAUUUUGAUGAUUUCAUAAUCCGACUAACAGUAUUUGAACUUCUACUCUUAUACUUAUUUGUUUAGACUGAUAAAUUAUCAUAAAUUUAGUUCAAAAAAUUCAAAUAUAGGACAAAAAAACUCGCCGGUGGCACAUAUAUUAUAUUUUCAACUAAAAGUAGUACAAUAAAUUAUUUUUAUUUUAUAUUGGUAUUAAAAUUAAUUCAUCAAUUGAUUAUAAUUUCAAAUCUGAUUCAAUGCAUAUUUCUAUCCUAAAUCCGUCAUUAAAUUAUUACUAUUUUGGCUUUCUUUUUCUAUCUAGCCACUCUUGUAAUUUUCCCUUUCUAGGGUUUCCUGUCAACUGUUGAUUCACCCCAACCCAAUAUCCUUAUAUAUGAGAGUAAUUAACUCAUAUGGUAUAUACCAGGGACGGAUUUAGAGUGUGACUGCUCUAGGUACGUGUCCUCCCCUUUUCAACGAUAAGAGUGACAAAUUUAUUAUAGAUUAAACUUUUUUAUUUUUGUUUAAUAAUAUUUUAAAUUUAAUUACGUAUUAAUUUCAAUUCUGAAUCCGUCCCGUAAUGCACGCGAUGAUGAAAGUUGAAAACAAAAGGCAACUGACUAAGAGAUAGACAAUCCUUUUCAAUCUUGUUUUGAUCACCCAUAAAAAGGUCAAACUAAUACUACCUUAUACCAAGUGAUUAUUGUUGAAGACAGAGAAAUUAAUUAGGUGCAUGCGUAGGUUGACUGGACAUUUUGAAAUUGAAGCCAUAUCCAUAAUAUUAAUGGAGGAUAAUUGUCAAGAGGAUGAUGCAUGUCGGAAAAUUCUCAGUGCAUGUCCACGUAUGCAUGUACGCUUCCUGCUGGGAAUUAAACAGCUACAUUCACCCAUCUUCAACCAUCCCUACAUAUCAAUACCAUCUACAAGUCUGAGAGGUCUCCAAACAUAACAAAGAUGGUCUACAAUUUUCGACGGAAUUUCAAAUUUAAAUGCCCAACUCGUGUAUUUAAAAGCUUGACACGAACUUCGAUUUUGAAGAUUUUACAAACAACAACUUUUAUCGCUUUGCAUCAUGAGUGAAUUCUAGAUCCGUGAUUUUAGGUUAGACUCGUCCAUCCCAAUUCUGCCAUUGAUAAAGGAUUUUACAGAGGUAAUUCUUUUUUCUUUGAUAGGGUUAUGAAUUUAGACUAAUUUUCCAAAUGGGGUGCAGAAAAAUGGAAGGUGUCGACCCACUAAAGCUUCAAUUUCCAACUAGGCAUUUAAAAUAUGAAUGAAGUCGACAUUGUUACAGCUUUUGGAUGGCAAAAUUUAAGUUUGUACACUUCGAGUCAAUCGUCCUCGGAUCAAAUCUCAGACUCAACAUGUAUCUCCUUAAUACUUUUCUAUUUCGGGACAUAUUCACAUAUGAUUAUUCGAUACAAGCCUGACGGGCUGCAAACUCAUUGGCCUGUCAGGUUUGUAUCGGUGUAGUCUAUGGGUUACGUUGGCCGAAAUCGAUGCUCCCCUACUUUUCUUAAUUGUAUUAGUGGGGGGGAACUAGAAAGUGCUCUUUUAUAUGCAUCACCUUAACGUUUAGUGCAAGUGUGAUGCACAUGAUCUCCAAAUUCUAGUUGACUUUCUUCCUUUUUAAUUAUCCACAACCCAGCCGAAAUUGACUACUCUUUUCUUUUUUUCAUAAAGUUUAAUUAAUUAUUUUUCAAUGUAUAUAUUUAAUGGCCCAAUCCCCGGCUUAACCGAGAAAUAAUUAUAGCUACGUAUAUAGAGUUCACCGGAAAAACAGUGGCGGAUAUAGAGAGGUAUCUUCAGGCCCCGACCCAGCCUCGAGGCUUAGGGUUUUCCCUAGAGUCCAUAUUAUCGUCAUCGGCUCAUACCUAUUAUAAAAGGAAAUAGUGUUCAUUAGAUCACAACUUACCUACCAUCACUCUGUCAAAAAUCCCCAUGUGCGGUCUCCGAUGCUCCGUUCGUUUCGUACAUCUGUCUUCAUUAAUACAAUUAGCGCUAACUAACAACUCACUUGAAUUUUACUUCCUUCGGCGGGUUCUACCCACGCCCGAUCCGGCAAGCACCAACAACUUCUCCAUCCGUGCUACUCUAUUGCUCCACCUGAACCAACGACCUAUUAAAAUAAAUAAAUUCGAAAACGAAUAUGUACAUAAAAAUCAUAUUAAGAAUUAGUAGACUUUCUGAUUAAGAACGAGUAAAAUUAUUUGUUGUAUUGUGCAUUUAGUUAUUGAAAUGUUAGCUGUUCUUUCAAUUAUAACCAACGAUUGGUAGCCGUUCAUUGAUAAAUGACAAUGGUUUAUUAAAAGUGUAACGAUUAUGUCAAGUACGUUUAAUUUUUUAUUUUGUUUUGAAUUAGAUGUUAAUUAAAAAUAAAAUUACAAAAUUAUUCAAUCUAGCUAGCCAUCAGACUGUUGACCAUCGAAUCUUUUAUUCAAUUGUGAAAAGGUAGGUGAAGUGUAUAUAUGUCAUCAGGGGAAAAAACUAUACUUGUUUCUUUAUAUAUUGUUUUCUCCAGCUCGGAAAACUGACUUGGUCUAGUAGGAAUAAGAGAGAGAGACAGAAAAGUAUCGAGUCCGAGUAGUGGGCAUUUUUAUAAUAGACUGGGCGUUCAGGUUUUAGGCAGUUUAGGAAAAGUGAAAGGUCUCUUUCUACCAUAAACAAGACCUUCUUUUUAUAAUAAUUUCGGAAUCCGAGCUGAGCCUCUACGUGGCAGGAUCCAGACAAAGGAGCGUUUGUGGGCGAAUCUAAGCCCUUGGAGUUCGGCCCUAGGCUUAGAGUUUCGAACCUCUGGGUUUACUUCAACGGGUCGGUCCAUUUUGGACCAACGAUUACGAGCUUUUCGAUCUGAUUCUGUGGCGAAUCCACAAGGCCAUCAAUUACCAAGUUUUUAUUUUAUUUUAUAAAUGACAUUUAGUAAGCAAAUCCUUAUAGAGAAAAUAAGUAUAAUUCUUUUCUGGUUCAUAUUAGUCAGCUGAGGAUCAACGAUGGAGUCAUGCAAAGUAAGCAACAGCAGACCCGUUGAAACCCCCUAUCGCUUACUAACACCAAUUAAUUAAUAUAUGCCAUUUUUAAAAUUAAUAAACAGAUAUCAAGUAAUAAUAAUUCAAAAUAAUUUGGCUGACAUAACAUCACUUUCUUUCACCUUCUAAAAAGUUGUCUCUUAUUCCCAAUUUUUCUUUCAUAACAUUGAUAUCUUUCAUUUACGAUUUGGGGUACUUGAAAAUUCGUAACAUGUAAAUACAAACGACGAAGAUAUAACGAAGGAUUUGAAGCAGACACAUUCUAAACAACAGAUAUAGAGAGAAAGACAACGGCAGUUAUCUAGUAAAAUAAGAUACGAUACAUAUGUUCAGUUGCGGAACCAGUAGUGGGCCAACCCGAGCAACCACCGAAAGUAUUUUUAACAGCAGCUUGUGUGGUCUCACUCAUGACAGAGCUACUAGCUAGGUGAGAGCAACCCAUGUUUGUUUUAUGGCUUAAUUAUUUGUAGGAGAUGACGAAUUAAGUGUUGACCAUGCAUGUUAAUUAUUAAUGAAUUGUGUGUUUAUUAUAAGCUAAAUGGGCGAUGGAUAUGCCACCUUUCGUCCAAAGAUUUGACACUAGCUGAGCUUGUUCCUUUCGAGAUCAUUUGACGACGACAUUUCUUUAUUAAUUGCGUUAUUGUUUCUUAGUUGUAAUUGAUAAUUAUUUUGAUAAAAUAGUUGUAAUUGAUAAUUAAUUAUCAUUUAGAAACAAAGUCAAACUUAUUAUUGGCCAUGUAUGGGAAAACAUACACCAAACUUCAGGCUGACUUCAACCAUAUUAUAUCGACCGUGAAACAAAUAAUCGAUCAAUCUAUGUUAUUUCACCCUCUAGAAGAAUUUAUAAGCGUUAGACAAUUUAUCUUGAUUCGGUUCGUCUAGAGAAAACAAUUGCUAUACUAAAGUGUAAAUAUAUAUAUAUAUAUAUAUAUAUAAUGACAACAUGAUAUCCAAUCACGGAAUAUAUAGUAACUUAUGGUUAAAAUUAGAGUUGUACAAAAAAACUACUUGAUGGCACUUUUAAGAAGAUGAUUGAUCGCCAAAAUAACUGCGAAGUUAUCUCGACGUCACAAGUGUCGUAUGUGUCCAAGGAUUUUCCUCUCGCUAUGCUUUUACUCAAUCUUGUCAACAUGGUCUAGACUGAACAAAUUGAGAAGGAUUUCUAAUGAUUCUAUUGAUUCAAUUAAAACUAACAAUUAUUAUUUAAAUCGGGAGGAGAAGACAAGUUCUUGGAAGGGAUUGUUCAUCAAGCUCAACUUCCUAACAGUAGUCGGAUCGAGCAAACGUUGGACUUGGAUUGAAAAAUAAGAUUCCUCUUAUCACUCGUAUGAAUCCGCGGCACGAUCAUGCACACGGAUUACCACUACUAGCUUCCCAAUCAAGGUUGGAAUAACAUCAAUUAGGCUAACCAGUAAUGAGCACCGAGAAGUUCUACAAAGUGAUAAGGUGCUCCUUAAGAAUUUUAGGAAAUCACAAGAAAUAGGAAAUGGUGUUAACUUAAUCCAUCAACACCUAAACUACUAAUAACUACACCCGAUUUGGUCCAUUGAGUGCAAACCGGAGUGAUCGCCAAUUACUCGAUGAACAACCGUUAAAACUAAAACAAGCACGGAAGGUAGAAUCGAGCUAUAUUGUUAAUCAUAUGAUUUCCUAAGUUGAUCAAACAAAGAAUUUCAUAGAUUUGACCUAAUUCAAGUUGUAACAAGAACUAGGUUGAAAACCCAACAAUCGAAGCAAUCUUUCAUUCAAAUCCAAUUAUCCAACAAUCGUCCACCCUAUACUUUUAGGGAGAGUAUCAUAGCUCAAUUCUUACAUCCCACCCAAGAAACUCUAAAGAAUUAGCUACCCAUGACUCUACAAGAAGAGAAAAUAGAAUAAGACCUAACCACCAUCUUGAUGAAGAAACAAUGAAUCAAACUUGCUCCAAUCUUCGCUUUUGAUCUUCUAUCUUCAAUCCUAACUUCAAUCUUCAAUGGGGGACUCCUUUGGAUCUUCAAUCGGAUUUCUAGGGAUGAGAAUAUGGCGUUUUUGCAGAGGUAGGUCGUGGAAAAAUCAAAGGAAUAAUGUUGGGGAAGAUCUUGAUUCUCUUUCCUCAAAAUUGGGCUUUUAUAUGGAAAUUGCUAAAUCCGAGAGGUGUACGCCGUGCACCCCCUUUGCUGAAAUUUUGUUUGUUGAAAAUAGGGUUGCACUACAUGCACCUCCUUUUGCUACGAGGCCACUUUGCAUUUUAGGCAUGCACGACGUGCAACCCUUCUUCUUCAAUAUUCCUUGUUCCGUUCUUUCGUUCGAGUUCCAACUGUGCUUUAUUUCGCGUCCAUAACCCCAUAGCUAGACCACAUGUCUCUAAAGUACUUGUAGAUGACAAAUAUUACAAAGAAACACAUCAAAUGGAUCAAAACGGUCCAAGUAAACGGGUCUGGGCACACAAUGUGAAGACUCAAAACCACACUCAAUUGAAGCACAAACUAGUUAAUAAUCACUUUAAAAACAUGUAAAUAGGGAUAGAUAAUCACUACACAAAUCCUAACACUAUCAACGAUGGAUUACAUAUGAGGGUUGGUAUUGCCGGUCGAUCAGUUAAUAAAAUAAUGUAACGUGCUCAUUGUGACAUGUUUGUUGGAUCGACAAAGAUGAUGAUGAUUGAUGAACAAAAGUCUAAAGAAACAAGAAUAAACUAGAAACAUAAUAAGAAUAAAGCAAAUAAUUAAAAUUGGGCUUUUCUUCCCUUUCCCUUUUCAUUAAUUAAUUUUGACUUCCUUUAAAUACUAUAAGUUAACUAAUAAUUAAUUCUAUUUGUACAUUUUUGCAAGCUGCCCCACGAUAUUGUACCUUGUAGCACCUGCCGCCAAUAAACACAUUGAAGUGCAAUGUUGACAUGGCUUGCUUCGCAGACAUUGACACCACGGGCAUGGGGUUCGCAAUCUAACACCAUGAGUACGCUGCAACAAUUCAGAAUGCAGACAAAGGAAGGAAUACCGGCCGGUUAAAGUGGGUGAAGUAGUGACAUUACUCUAAGCCCUUAGGUUGGUGAUCUCCCUAGGUUAUCAGAGAGUAGUCUUUGAGGGUGAUUCACAAACAGUGAUACGGUUCAGAUGAUGACCUAACGGAGUUUGGAGAAAUUAUUUGUAUGUAUAGACAUUUAUUUAGAGCUUUAAAGGGUUUUAGUUUUCAGUUUGUUAGGAGAUAAAGGAAUAGAAUGACUCACUAGUUAACUCAAUAAUCCCGCUUUCACAUCCCCUACCUCUUUCGUGACCUGUUAAUGCUUUUCAAAAAAAUGAUUAAACCCCUUUGGCCGAAUAAACAAAAUGAAAUCCAUCCCGUAAUAAGAAUGAACAUUAUAGGUUAACUAAUAGUUAAUCUCCUUUGACGUAAUAAACAAAACGAAAACCAUCUUCCGCAAUAAUAUAUGAAGUUCUCGAAACCGAUUAUACAUUACCGUAACAAAUUAUCAGAUCUAUAUCUCCCAAAUACGACACUUUAAUUUUCAAUUUGGACAGUAUAGAAAAAUAUUUGGUCUCCCGCACCAACCUUUGUAUUGGCAUUGGCAUCUUUUCUCCAGCAAGUCAACUGAAAUUUAAAACCCAAAUGAUGAUGAUCCGAGAAGGGAAUAAACUAGGAGUUGACUAUAUAAUGACGACUCCCAACUCGUACAGCUGUUGGUGAUGAUGAAGAGCAAACAGCUCUUUCUGCCCUUCUUUUAUCUGAUGGCGAACUCAGUAUCGAAACAUGCACUGAUCUGGAGUUGAAUCGAAAUUUAUAUAUUGAGUAAUUAAUUUACGAUUUUUUUAUAAACGUAAUACUAAGUUAAAUUAUAUAUAAAAACACAUCCGUUGUGCUAUUUUAAAUUAAAGCAAGUUGUCCAUAAAGAUUGAAUAUGCCACCGGCGGUUUUUUUUCCUAACCAAAUAAUAGUAAAUGCAAAUAUUGACCCGAAAUGAUGAUUGAUAUGUACGGAGUACUAAGCCGAAAACAAAACACUGAGCCGGAUCUAAAAUUUCCCUAAACCGAACUCGAAAAAACCGUAAAUAUAUACAUAAAUUUACGGCUCAGUGCCGAAAUUGCGCUGAACCGUUACUCUCCCGGACUCCCCUUGUAUCCACCCUAAUAUUUAUAGGUGGUGCCUGCUAUCAAAUUAGUUAUAACAUUAACAGCCAUGGUUUGUAUAAGAAAAUUAUUGUAGGGUGACCGUUUUAGCAAUAAACUAUUAUCAAGUGACUGAGUUGUUCCACCUAUAUAUAGAUUAGUAACCAUGCAAACAAAAUAAUGAUAGACCGUCCGUUUAACCCGCAACCAACCAAUCGAGUCAAAUUGGUCAUCGAGGGCUCAAUCAAACCCUAGACAGUGAGUAUAAUUUAGAUUUUAGUCGAUCUCUAGCUAAAUCGUAAUAACGAACCUAGGAAUAUAUAGAUAAAAAACUCUAACCAUAGUGGUCAAAAUUGUGAGUUUGAAAGCACCCUACGAAAACAACUUUUAUUUUGGAAUUACUACUUUAAAUUUCAAAAAUCAAUAACGGAAUUAGAAUGAUCCGCACGAAUUUGGCAUAAUAUAAAAAUUUGGCAACGAAGACUUUGAUCAUUGGCUAAGGAGUUUAGCUAUAUGACAACAACUAGCUUUCCUUGUUUAACAUGUGAUUUCAAAUUAUUUAUCCAUUUUAUCCUUAAAUUAAUCCAUAAUGCAUCACUAAUUAUCACAUAUUUCAUACAUGGUAAAUAUAUAUUUUGUAUGAUACAAAUAUUUUCAUCUGACCUAUUAACAUAGACAAGCAAAAUAAUAUGAAUAUCAUUUCAUUUCGAUCACAAAAAGAUUAAAAUAAUCACUGAUACGUUGAAUUAGUCGAUUUAUUAGUAAAAUUAUCGUAUAUAAUGAGAUCAUAUUUGAACUUAGUGAAUCAGUCAAUUCAUUGCCAAAAAGGACCGGCUAAUUAUUUCAAACUCAGCAGUGAUUAGCCCACUGAUUAGUAAUUAGUUUACCCAUUGGUAUACUAUGGUAGCUUUAACAAAGUAGAGAUAUAUACUUUUGAAACUGAUAAGUCUAGCGACGAGAACGACACGUGGAAUUAUUGUUUAUUGGAAUGAUAUUGGAAGUUGAAAUUUGAUUUCAAAAACUAAAAGGGAAUUUAAUGUUCUCAAAGUGUAGGAUAAUCACUACUAAAUUUAAAAAAGUUCAUCAAUUAAAUUAGUACGAAACUUUAAAAAAAAAUCUAAAAAUAAAUUUAUACAAACUUAAUUCAAAUCAGAAAAUAUCAUACUAAUCAUAAAGAUUAAUUAAUAAACCGACGAUCCAACAAUCGGCUCGAAGAAAAGCUAGAACUCAAACUCGGUACAUUUGGGUACUCUUUACUAAACCCAAAACCAUAGGUAUCCAUGUUGCGGGUCAAACCCCAAAAGAAAAUCUUUCCACUUGAAAUUAAAAAUAAAAACCAACAAAGUUCUCCCCCUAAGCCCAUCCAUUACCACUAUAAAUAUAACCAACACCAUCAACUACACACAACCAUUUCCCUCAGCAGUAAAACCUUCAAACAAAAAGAAAACUACAGCCGCCGCCAUGAAACCCUGCAGCUUCACCCUCUCUUGCCUCCUCCUCUCCCUUCUACUGGUAUAAGUUUCGAUAUUCCUCUGUUCAUCUUUUACCCUUGUGGAUGUUUUGAUUUUAUGUUUGUUGAACGAUGCCGUUUUUUUGUUGGUUCCUUCCUUCAGGCUACGGCGACGGUGAGCGAAGCAAUCAGGGGAGAUCCGCCGGCGGCGGAGGAGUACUGGAAGAAAGUGAUGAAGAACGAGCCUCUCCCAAGCUCCAUCAAGGAGCUGUUCAACGACGCCGCCGUUUCAUCCUCCUCUGGUGACGAGGGAAAGAAGCUGAGGUUUGUGAAGGACUUCGACACGACAACCAACGCCAUCAUUUACCACGCCGCCGCCGCCGAAGAGCAAACAGUCCUCCCGUAAGGGGCGGAGGAGAGAGGGUUGUGUUAGUGGAGAAGAAGAAUAAAGAUGUGUCUGGCUUCUAAUUAAUAUAAUAUAAGAUAAUAUUUUUUUUCGUAUAGUUUAAAUUUUUGGUCGGUGUUUGUUAAUUGUUUUUAGAUGUUUAUAUAUUCGUUAAUUAAUGUCUGCUGUGCUGGGGAUUUUUAUUUUAUUUUGAAUUUUUCUGUGGUGUUGCUGUUCUAUCGGAUCUGAGUGGAAAGUGAGAGAAAGGGUACGUGGCGUUUUUUUUUUCAACAUAGGGAAGAAAGUCAAACGAAAAUAUGAAAGAAGACAAACUUAAUUUAUUGAAAAAAAAUUAGUCAACUGAACUAUUUUGAAUGCCUAUUAACCUAACAGGUCACUAAAGUUUGAUAUUUUAACAUGCAGAUCAUUGUACUUCAUAAAAUAUACAUCCAGAGUCGCUGUUUUUCUGAACGAAUAAUUUCGAUUUAGUCGAGUUUUCGGCACAUCAUUGUUGAACCCCCUCUUGUCGUUUACUUACAUCAAUGAUACGUUAUUUAUUUUAGUAAUUCAUAUCAUUGAGACCUUGUCGACGAUCAAUUAUCUAUUGCAGACGUCUGGGAGGAGCCAUUGAUGGACUGCAAUGAACUAGGGUUUGGAGAUUGUGUGGAGGAGGAUUUGAGGAGGUGAAUGGGAGUGAUUUGGAUUCGGAUUUAAAUACGAAACUGAACUGAUUGGGAUUUGAAUUGAUUGAAAUUCCGUUUGAGUUUCUUCUACGGCUGUAAACACUAAACAGAAGUGUUAAAUGCUAAUGGAAAGUUACAACUGGCUGCGACGUGGGUUGGAAUUUUAAUUGGGCUGUUAUUCAGCUUUUUCUUUAAUGGACUUAAGAACAGUGGCCCAAAUCGAUAGGCCUUAUUAAUUUUGUAGACCACCAAUAUCGUGUAGACCACCAAUAUCGUUUUGAUUAUGCUAGUUAGGGUUGGCCAGUCAAUAUAGGUUUGGUUAUCUGUUCAAAAUCGAUUAGUUAACUGAAUUGGUGAAGGGGUGGCUUAACCGAAAUGUAUGUCUGGUUGGUGAAUAGUUAAAGCACUGUCGGAACUUAAGGAUAACAAUCAAAAUCGUAAAACUCUAAACUCGUCCAGUAAAUAAUCAACUUCUAUUUCUAUUAAUAACUUCAUUUCUUUAGAAAUUCUAUCACGUAUCAUAUCAUAUUAAAUUUCGGAUAAAACAAAUAAAGUAAUAUUUCUUGACCAUCACCACCCUUGUUACACCAUCCCCGUUGACUAAAACUUCCUCGGAUAUUCAAAAAUUCCCCAAUGUCUUGUAACGUUAGCAAGUCACGAACAAACUCACUUUUAUCUUCUUCACUCACUAUCUCAAACCUCAACUAAACCCCUCAUUUUCCCCCAAACACAAUUUUCUUCUUCUCAAUUUCAAGGAUUUGGAAAUGGCGGCAGCUUCAGCCAGACUCUCAGCUCCUCCCCCGCUAACAAUCUCCGUCUCUUCUCGUCCUUCUCAUCCUCCUCCUCCUUCUUCCCUGCCUAUCUUCUUUCCGACCAGAAGCUCACCUUGUUCUAAGCUCGUAGUCUCCGCCUCGUCUCGUCCUGAUUCUUCGUCAACCGGUAAGGUUCCCGAUUCACUUAUCUCAGAACUGUACCAGUCAGAUUCCUUCUCGUUAUUGUAUACGAUUGAAUUGAGUUCCUUCACCGAAUUAUAGGCAGCAAAUUGGGACUCUGGACUGGCCUGUUUCAUUAGCUUCAGCCUUCAACUGUUAUGUCGCUUAUGUAGAGCUGUUUCUGUGGAUCUCAUCUUAUCAAAUUAUAUCGCUCCCUCGGUGAUAUUUUCCAGAGGAAAUCAUUCAAUGUUUCUCGAUUCCUUCUCUGUGUUGAAUCAGUGCCACGGAAUUUUUGCCAAGUCGUGCUAUUUGCAUUACGUAACUGAGUUGCUGUCGAGCUCUUCUGCAAUUUGUAUCGCUCUCUCGGUGAUAUUCUCCCGAGAAAAUUAACUCUAUACCAGUCUAUUGUAUCUUAAUCGAGAUCCUAUAUUGAAGUAGUGCACGGAAUCUCGAUAUACUCAUUAGGCUAGGUUCAAAUGUUUAUCACUUAGGCUGAACUUUUAAUAACUGAGUGUCUGUAGUGUUCUUCACGAAUUGCAUUGCUCUCUUGGUGACAUUAUCCUCAGAAUAUGAUUCUAGAUCAGUUCGUUCCUUCUCGUAAAAGUGUAUCCUGUGUUGAAUUAGUGCAUAGGAUUUCGAUAUUUCAUCAGAUUCAAGUGUUUGUCAGUUACUCAGUUAUGCAGAGCUAUUUUUGCUUGAUUUUCUCCUUAGGUACUAUACAUUCCAUUGAGUGAAGUAAGUGAGUUUUUUGAGAUGCACAUAUACCUUAUUUUGACUUUUGUGCAGGAGUAACAGAGAAAGUGUUCCGGUCUCCGUUGAGUAUAGACUUGAAGAAUAUCCACGGUUCUAAUGCCAGGUUUUUUUCCCCUCUGUCCUUUUACUUGUUUAUUUUGGCUGAAAUUUUAGUUCACGAGUAACAUUUGCUAGUUCCUCUAAAUGGUGCAAUGCUCAGCAUUGAGAUUUAGUUCUAGGAAACAAAAUCAUUACUGAAAACAUUGGUUUCUGUUUGAGAAGAAUGCUUAUCCAUAGUAGUUAGGCGAGCUUGCAAGAAGAUUGCCUUCAUUUGUAGUGUCUACUAACAUGGUCCGAAGUGUCUACAACUGUACAUUUGAUACUAUAUCCCCAAUGCAGCAACGCUCAAGAUGAGAACAGGGAGAAUCCACCCAUAAUGCCGAAAGUACGCACACCUAGCGGAGGAGCUGUGGAUCUGUUCUCCAUGUUGUUUCGAAACCGCAUCAUCUUCAUUGGCGAAGAAAUUGAUUCGCGAGUGGCUCAGAAAGUUAUAUCGCAGCUUGUUACGCUUGCAAGUAUCGAUGAGGAGGCAGAUAUCAUGGUGUGCUUAUGUUCUCUAGUUUACCGUGAUUUUGCUUUUUGGGUGGUAUACAAUGUACUCAAUAUACCACUUGUUGGCAUAAGUUCUAAUGGUUUUGGGUCUCCUGUAUUGUGUUAGAUAUAUCUGAACAGCCCUGGUGGAAACACAUACUCUGUGAUGGCGAUCUAUGACUGCAUGUGCACGGUAAUCUAUAGCUUCACUUCUGUUCUAUGUAACUUUAAUCUUUGGCAACAUAAAUGCUGAAUUCUGCUGCUCUAGAACAUCAUUACUUAGUACCGGUGUGAGCUAAUGGUAUUUUUUCUGUGAUUUUGCAUCCAUGUCUUUUAGCUCUUUGAUCUGCUAAUGUCAAUGCUCGUAAUGUUUUCAGAUAAAGCCUAGAGUCGGUACAGUGGGCUUUGGGAUGAUUGCAAGCCAAGCAGUGAUUCUUCUUGCUGGCGGGGAAAAGGGAAUGCGGUAUUCAAUGCCUAAUUCCCGUGUAAUGUUGCAACAACCACAUACUGGAUGCGGGGUAAGAAACCCACAGCUUAGAGUUACUAAUCAAUCAAUGGAAGACAACUGUGUGCUGUGUUUAUGGUCUCUGUAUCUUAUGUGAUCAUAUAUUGCAAUCGCCCGGGAACAAAAUUCGGCAUUCGUAUUAGAAUUUAUUCCUUGCGUUCAAACUUGUUAUUGACUCAACCUAUGAUCUACUGGUUUCAAAAGUGAUUGAUAUCUAACCGUUGCUUUUGAAUGCUCACCUUUAGUACUUGUGUUUGAUCUGUGUGUUGAAAACUCUUAUUCAUGUAGGGUCCCGUGAAGGAUGUGAGGCGGCAAGUGGAUGAAGCUGUUCAUACUCGACAAGUAACUCUCUAUCUCUCGCACGGUCAAAACUACCUUAUUAUGUAUAUCGAUCUUCUAGCAAAACUGUAACAAAGAUAUCACUUAUUCUUAAGUACUUGGAAGUAUACUUGGAUGCUAAAUGUUUUGUUUUGAAUUCAAUCUAAUGUAUCUGGGAAAUGGGGUUGCAGAAAAUUGACAAGAUGUUUGCUGCGUUUACCGGCCAGACGCUCGAGAGAGUCCAAGAACUCACACAAAAUGAUCACUUCAUGUAUCCGGCAGAGGUACGUCGUUGCAACUAUCCCUAUUUCAGUUCAAGGUAAUGCCUCUAUAUAAACAGGAACUAGGGACGUUAUAAAAUAUCAAAUGAGAUCAUGCGAGUCAAGUUAGUUAUAGCUUUCGGUAUCCAAUGCCUGACUUCUUUGCUUUUGAUUGCAGGCAUUGGACUUCGGCUUGAUCGACGACAUUCUGGGGACAGAAGAAUGAACAGAUCUGAUGUUUUGUUAGUGUUAAGGAAGUAGAUCAUACAACAAUUAUGGUCGGUAUCUGAUUUCUUCGUCGGUAUUCCUUCUCUUACUUUCUUCAUAUUCCUUUCGACCUAGUGCCGAAUCCUAUAUCGAAGCCUUUUGUUGCAAUAUGCUUUUUUUGUGAUGCUAUUAAGACAUAGUGGUUUUCCCCAGAAGUAAAGGACAGUAAACUAAGAGCUUCAUCAUUAGCUACUUUACCUGGCUGUUUCUUUAAGUUACAGAGCAUAUCAUCAGCUAUGUCCUCUGAAGCUACCCGUAUAUGAAAUGGAUACCAAACGGGAUGAGUCUUUUCGCUGUGAUUUGAAGCCUACGAGCUUCUGCUGGAAAUGCCAUACUCCAUCUCACUUCCCUUUGGAAAAACGACUCUAUGGAACAAUGCAUCGAUGGAGCUAUGCAUAGCACCUUUGUUAACAAGCAUUGUCGCAUGGACUUCAGCGGUCCCAUAUGCCUACAACAUCAUCUCCAAAUACAAAGCUCCCAUCUAGGGAUGAAGCAGAAUUCGGACGAAAGAAGAGUUCUUUCUAUCCAUUGAUGUUCACACGGUCAGGAGGCAAAAUCAUGAGGAUAAUAGACUGCACAAGGGUUCGAUAUCAAAGAACUUUAUGGUACAGUUGAUGAAAAACGUCUCGAACGAUAAGUGCGUCCACUGCUGUUGAAGUACGAAGCAAGGCGAAUCGGUCUCGGUCAAAGAAAGUAGAAUGUCGGGUCAAUCAAGAUCACCCGAUCAGUCAGAUUCGUUCGUUCUUUCUCAUUAGAUCAAAAUCCUCCAAGUAAGGUUACAAAACAAGUAGUUAAAGGAACCAUUAUCUCCAAGAUAGUUCCACUAUGGCUGUGGCAUUAUCCAACAUCUAUUGGAUAAUGGAGGUUAGGAUAGAUGAACAGUUAUUAUGGGCUUAUAACCCAUCCUUUACGGGCUAAAAGGCCUAACGUCACAUGCUCCACCACCCCCAGCCCAUAUAAUUACAGUAGACUCAAACCCUUCUUCUUCAGCAGCUAGAUACAAACACAUUUUCUUCCUCAUUUGUGGUUUGAAAACGAGAGAAGAAAGUGCAGAAAAACGCCAAGGAAAAACUCCGGCCACCAGUUCCUCCACUGCUGGAAAAACCCCGAGUUUAAGCGGUUUAGCAAAGUGAAAGGAAUAACAGAGACUGCUAGGGAUUUUGGUAGACAAUCGAAUUCAGAGAAUGGAAGGAAUGAACGUAGUUGAUGCUGAUUUGAAAGUGUACAUCCACCCUUCGCAGAGCAAGAACGUCCAUCAAGCUAUUCCCCGCGAGCUCAGCUCCUUGCUCUUCAAGUUCGUCCCUGCCUUUUACUCCUCUUUUUUUUUGUAAUCAUCGUCGUUCCUCUAGCUGAUUUAUGUAUCUAUUGCACGCCUGUAGUAAACGGAUGUUCAAUUCUUUUUGCAGGUAUAGCGAUGAUUACGACGGAGUGUUAUUGGCUUUUAACGUUAGUCUUCCUGAUACGAAAGGCCGAAUCCUUCCUGGUAUUCAUGCUUUCUUUGCUGUGAGACUAUCAGCUAAAUUGCUCGUGUUUUCGCCUAAGCCAGAUAUGCUGUUAGGUAAGAGUAUUUGAAAUGCAACAUUGUUCUGUUCAGUGUCUCUUGUUGAAAUUUUAAUGCUAUUGUGUUUCAUCUCAGAGGGGAAGGUGGUGAAACUGAGUGAAGAAUCGAUUCAUGCCAUUGUUCUUGGCUUCUCUUCUGCUGUCAUUAUAGACGACGAUAUCCGUAAGGAGUUCAAAUACAGGACGGUAUGUGUUGACCGUUUGCCCUUACUGAGCUUAAACGUACAACUAUUCUUCAUGUCAGCUUACUUGGAUGAGUAUCUCUUCUUUUGAUUGUAGAAAAAGGGUGAAGGUUUGUUUGUCAACAGAUAUGACAAGCGUCAUGCCAUUAAGGUUGGAACUAUAAUCCGAUUCUCUGUGAAGAGGUAACAUUUUUCUUUCCAUGAAGUGAUAAUUUGUAAUCAUUCCAACUAGUAUAGCACUGCGAACUUGGAGAUCUUUGUUCAGUCACAGUCUUUUGCUUUCUUAGUUCAUUAGUGUAUGAAACUCGGUAGCUGCUUCCUGCUGUGGUAUCAGGUUUUGAUAAAUUAGGAUUAAACAUGUUGUAUAAACGGUUAAUCUUACUCAUUUCAGCCCAAAUUUAACCACUACCGUGGUUAGUACCGUGCAGUUAGUGGUUAACUGCUAAAGUGCUGGUUUUAGUUUGUUUUAGCCGCUUAUCAUACUAACUAUUCGAUUAUUUAGGUAUUGGGUAUUGCCUUAUUGGAUGAUGGGUCAUGUGUCAUACGAAUAAUUUUCCCAAGACAGAACUUUGGAUUAGUCAUUAGAGAAUGGCUCUAGAUAUGAUUAAACUGUUAAAGAGUCAUAAGGGUAUGGUUAACGGUUAUACCUUUAAAAGUUCAUUAUGAUCAAUGGUUAACCACUAACUGCAGAGAUGACAGAUCAAAACGGUUAUCGAUAAACCAUCCUAUAAUCAAUACGAAUCUUAUCCCCCAACAUCCAGCAAUGUGUAAUUUCUGUUGCUCUAUGUAGUUGGAUGAACAUAAGUAUGUAGAUUAUCAAUCUCGUGGUUUUGACUGUGUUGUUUCAGUUUGAAUGAAGAAACACUGCACAUCUAUGGAUCCUUGAUGCCUGCUAACACAGGGAGCGUUAAGAGACUGGAUAAAGAGUCAGACGACCACAGCUCUAAGCCAGAAAGUCUUGUAGUCAACAGGUUCUCAUCGCAUCUUAUUUAAGCUAGAACGUUUUCUCUUUGUCUGUCUAAUUCAUCCCCUUUCAUUAAUUGUGUAGCUCUUCGAAGAAGAGGAAAGAGCAGCAAGACACAGAGAUGACAACAGAACACGGUAGCUCUGUCAAGGAUGCUCGUCAACCAAACGAUGGUAGCGAGCAUAAUAAGAAGUCGAAGAAGGUGACAACACAUUGACAGUCUGAUGAAAGAACUAGUACCAAAUAGUAAGGAUUGUUAGUAUAGCCAGCAUAUUAGUACUAGACUACUAGCACCACCACCAAUUUUGACCACCUUAGUUUCUCUUACUUGCUCGACCACUCUUGUUUUUUCCCUUUUAUUUAUGGUUCCUGUGAAUUUUUACCCAACCCAAUCACUUCGAAUGGGUUAAUAUUGAACUUGAGGUUCGAAUCCCCUUAGGCCGACGUGGUUAAGACUACCUUGCCGUUAUGUGAACUGGAACUGAUGAUCUCCGAGGCCAAGUACUGCUUGACCUUGCUCGAGUUCAUGCUUAACUCGGUUUGAUCUACUUUUGCCAUUGCCCCGAAGGCGAUGCGAAUGUGUUUUAAGGUUUCGUUGGAUGAUGAAAAUGAAAAGGUGCACCGGUUUGCCAUAUGGAUAUGUCGAAAUGGGACAAGGAAUCGUGGAAAUUGAACAUGGGUAAGAGGACACAUGGAAAUCAGGGCUAUAAACUCGUUGCGGAACCAAUGAGAUAUCGAUCUAAAGAUGCAUCUUAUCAAGUUGAUUGAUUCAUUUGUGCUAAAUUGCAUUGCCAAAUUAUUAGUGCGUUAUUCCAGAUUACAUAUCAAAGAUCAAUUGAGUUGCGAAUUCAUCAGAUUACAUGUUUACCGUAUCACCAUUGAAAUUGAACGUGGAAACAUCCAAAAGCUUCAUUAUCAGAAGGCUUGCCUUUCCAAUUGGGCCCGACCUUACUCUUCAUCAGCUUGGCAAACAGUUUAUGGGCCUUUUUUCAGGCCCGACUUCGUUGUGUAGUUAAUUAAUUUUAAAAAAAUGAAUUUGAUUGUCGAGAGAAACUAUUUGACGAAACCCUGGACGCCUCCUUUCACUUGAAGCAGUCCACAAGUUCUAUUGAUUUGUCAAAAAAAAAAAGUUCUCUUGAUUGUCGUCAACAUCGCCGGAGUUGGAGAAAGCUCAACGGGAGAGCGUCGAGCAGCGACGAUAGUUGAGUUGCAGGACAACGUAAGAGCCUCAGAAAGCUCCGCUACUUCACAGAGAGGCGGGAGCCGCGAGCUGCUUGCUUAAAUCCACUAUAAAGUCGCCGUGACAUCUUGUCAAACGGCCGAAGUUGGAGAGUAACCGGCGCCGAGAGGGACACAAAGAUAAAGAGAAUGAAGAUAGAAGAGGUACAGAGUACCGCGAAGAAGCAGAGAAUCGCCACUCACACUCACAUCAGAGGACUCGGCCUUGAGGUUUCCCCAACUCAGACUCUCUUUUUGUUCCAUUACAUUUACUCGAUUCUAGUGCUUCUAGAGCCUAUGAUUGAUGAGUAUAUUGUCAAUGAACUUAUGGUUUCUCAUUUAUUUUGUGGUGAUUACUUGGCCCUGUAACAUUUUAGCCAAGUGGAAAUGCAAUCCCUCUGGCGGCUGGCUUCGUCGGUCAGACUGAUGCCAGAGAAGCAUCGGGUCUUGUUGUUGAUAUGAUAAGGCAGAAGAAGAUGGCUGGGAAGGCUCUUCUAAUGGCUGGUCCUCCUGGUACCGGGAAGACAGCUUUGGCCCUUGGGAUUUCUCAGGAACUUGGAAGCAAGGUUAUCUUCUUCCUUCAUUUCCUUCUUGAGUAUCAGCUGAUUAGUUUCACUUGUUAUGUGCAUGUUCCAUUCAUUUUGAUUACAUUAGGCAACAGCUGAUUAAUAUCUCUUGUUGUACCCAGGUUCCGUUCUGCCCAAUGGUUGGAUCAGAAGUAUAUUCAUCAGAGGUGAAGAAAACUGAAGUUCUGAUGGAACAUUUCCGCAGAGCCAUUGGGUUGCGUAUCAAGGAAAAUAAAGAGGUCUAUGAAGGAGAGGUGAGUUGAAGUCUCCAUGAUAUCUCCCCAUUAGUCAUUUUAGUCUUUCGUACUUAGUUCUCAAUGUUUGGGGUUAUUAUUCUUUCAGGUGACGGAACUAUCCCCAGAAGAAACUGAAAGUGUGACUGGUGGAUAUGGUAAAAGCAUUAGCCAUGUAAUAAUUGGUUUGAAAACUGUCAAAGGGACUAAGCAGCUGAAGUUGGAUCCCACCAUCUACGAUGCUUUGAUAAAGGAAAAGGUACCGGACUUCAUCUUCGUAUGUGCUGCUUUAUGAGUGUUUUGUAAUUCAAUAGUCAUUUAUAUCAUGUAAAGGAGUCCCUCCUGUUGUUUUUCUGACAAUGCCUUUCUUGUUCUUGGCUCCUCAUCUGUACAUUUCAUGCACUUUGUUUUUGAUAUAGUAAAUUUAUCUUUGUUAACAGGUAGCUGUGGGAGAUGUUAUAUACAUUGAAGCAAAUAGUGGUGCAGUUAAAAGAGUCGGUAGAAGUGAUGCUUUUGCUACGGAAUUUGAUCUUGAAGCAGAAGAGUAUGUCCCACUUCCCAAGGGUGAAGUCCACAAAAAGAAGGAGAUAGUUCAGGUGCGUGUUAUAUUUGUUCCUUCUGCAAUUUAAUCCAAAAGACGACUUGAUACUUGGUAGUGACUACAGUGGCACCACCUACAUUAGUGGUAUUUGAUUUUUUUUCUUGGAGGUGCCCUACUUCUAUAGACUAGACCAUCAUUAACUGAAUGCUACAAGUUUUUUCAAGAUGACCGGUACAGAACCUUGGGAGGUUUUAUUAAGAACCUCCGGCUCAUCUUCCUCCUGCCAAUUAGGAUGGAAUUUUGUAGUGUGUUCAUUUUCCGCUGAAUGUUUGAUGGCCCAAUCUAGCCAAUUGAACUGGCUUCCAAUUGCUUGUGAACCUUGUGACGUUGUGCUCUUUGUUUUCAUACUUUCUCUUCUAAAGUGCUACCCGGAUCAAUGUUUUUGUCAUCAGGAUGUUACGCUGCAUGAUCUAGAUGCAGCUAAUGCAAGACCUCAAGGUGGGCAAGACAUAUUAUCUUUGAUGGGGCAAAUGAUGAAGCCAAGAAAGACGGAAAUAACUGACAAGCUACGCCAGGAAAUUAAUAAGGUACAUCUAAGUAUUUAUGUAUCGUUUUUUGUGGAACGUAGGCUUAAGCAAGGAAUAUGUCUUUCUAUCUACCAUGAAAGGGCUCCAAGCUCUUACGGCAGUCUCAACCAUACUUUUAGGGUUGACUAUCUGGUUUUUUUUAUUCAGGUUGUUAAUAGAUACAUAGACGAUGGUGUGGCAGAACUUGUUCCUGGAGUUCUGUUCAUCGAUGAGGUAUUUUCCCCUCCCAAACAAGAUUUACUUUUGUUUAACUUAAUUGUAGCUUCCCCAUGGUUCCUGAAAUUCUCUUGUAUCGUAUCAGGUGCACAUGCUGGACAUGGAGUGCUUCUCGUACUUGAAUCGUGCUCUGGAAAGCUCAUUGUCUCCAAUCGUAAUCUUUGCUACUAAUAGAGGAAUAUGUAACGUAAGGUAUGUGGUGAGCUUCAAUAUCAUAUAUGACUACUUCCCCAAUGGAUCGAUCAGUUCCAACUCUGAAAAAUCGCUCUGGUUAUUCUGCAGAGGAACUGAUAUGAAUAGCCCUCACGGCAUACCUGUUGACUUGCUGGAUCGCUUGGUGAUUAUCCGCACACAAACCUACGGUCCUGCAGAAAUGAUACAGGUUCUUAUCUCAAAUUUCCUUCCUUUCGUUCAACCCAUCUCCUAUAAUUUUUUCGCAAAAUCUAACAGCUGAGCCCUUUUCUGUCUAGAUCUUGGCCAUUCGUGCACAGGUAGAGGGAUUGACAGUUGACGAAGAAAGUCUAGCAUUCCUCGGUGAGAUCGGUCAGCAGACAUCCUUAAGGUUAGCAUUAACUUCUUAAUAUAUUCAAUUUAUGCACACUUGCCAUGAUAUUAACCUGUGAACCAUGCUACUAUUUGGUCAGGCAUGCUGUUCAGCUCUUAUCUCCGGCCAGCAUCGUUUCGAAGAUGAACGGUAGAGAUAACAUUUACAAGGUAAUUAAGACAUAGGGUUUAUGAACGGAACAAAUGGGCGGAUGCAGGAACGAAACUGAAUCGUUUUCCUUUUUGUGUGUUUAUAGGCGGAUCUCGACGAAGUUUGUAGCUUAUACCUUGAUGCCAAGUCCUCAGCUAAGCUACUUCAAGAUCAGCAAGAGAAGUUUAUUUCUUGAGCAUCUGAUGAUUGAUCCCCUGUGGAGGAAUGAUUCCCUUUUGUAUGUUUAUUAAGCUCUCUACUUUCUUCAAGGUACAUUCCAAUGUCUGCAGGAUUUGUUAUUUGUAGGAGAAUGUCAUUAAAUUCUGUGGUAGUGACAAAUUGAUCACCGAAUUUAGGUUUGUCUACGAAAUCUGGUUUUUCUAAAUAUUGAAGUUAUGUUUGGUCCUGGGUACCUGAGAGAGUUAUAUAGCUGUGUUAUGGCGUUCAUAAUAUUCAACUUAACUUGUCCUUCUCCGCUGGUCUUUGAAAAUUAAAUCGUGACAGUCAGUCCCCUUUAGGAUGGUGCGCUAUUUUGGUUACUACUGCGGCGGAGCUUCAUCGUCUAGUAAAAACAACUUAACGAUUGGCUCGCGAAUAGUUGAGGUUGUAAGAUUGCUGGUCGGUUUUAAUCCUGCUUUUUACCAGAAGUUUUGAGACAUUAUUGGUCCCUCGGUCAUCGCCGACUACAAGCAAUAGCUAGAAUCAGAUACGAUUACCGAGGUGCUGCAGCAUACUAACAUCAUUUUACUGCCCAAGGUUUCAAAACCUGAUCGUAUGCAGGAUCUCGGAUCUCUGUCCUAUCUCGCUAUGCAACGUCCGUUACCACAUCCUUGCUAAGGUCCUUGCUAAUAGAAUACAGGGAGUGUUACCAUCACGGAUACAAGCAAAGCAGUCCGCCCUUGUGCAAGGUCGAUCCAUAGUUGAUAACAUAAUGAUUGCGCUUCUCUUCGUAGCCUCACAACUAAAUCUCCUACAAAAAUCCCGAAUGUGGCCCUUAAGUUUGACAUCUCAAAAGUUUAUGAUCGAGUGGAGUGGGUAUACUUGGAAGUAGUCAUGCAAACAAUAGGAUUCCCUCCACUUUGGAUCAAAUGGACGACGCUGUGUAUUAGCUCGGUACGAUAUUCCAUGAUUGUGAACAAUCAUCCCUUUGGCUCUUUUUAUCCGGAAAGGGGGCUUCGACAAGGCUGUCCGCUCUUGCCAUUUCUCUUUAUUUUGUGUAUCGAAUGACUCACCGCAAUGUUACAUCAAGCCGCCAUCAACGGAUUGAUGCAUGGUUAUCGGGUAUGCCGCCAAGCGCCGCCGAUUUCCCAUCUCUUAUUCGCAGACAAUUCCAUUUUCUACUUCAAGGCUAAGAUGGAGGAGGUCAUGCACGUAAAACACAUUCUCUCGACGUACGCUGCUGCUUCAGGGUCAAUUAAUAAAUUUCGAGAAGUCGGGUCUGCUGUUCAGUAAAGGAGCCGAGAUGACUUGUCGAUCAGAAAUUCAGCAAACCUUGGGCGUUUUUAAUGCUUUUCACACGGAAAAGUAUUUAGGCGUCCUGGCCCUCGUUGGACGGAAUCGGAAUAUGGCGUUCAAAUCCAUUCAAAAGAGGGUAUGGAAUCGGCUUCAAUAGUGCCAAGGCCGUAAACUCUCCAAAGCAGGCAAGGAAAUUCUUAUCAAAUCGGUUGUUCAGGCUCUCCCUACUUACAGUAUGAACAUUUUCUUGCUGCCGGAUGGGCUCACUCUUGAAUUAGAACGCAUGAUGAAUGCGUUUUGGUGGAAUUCGAAGCAAACCACGAGAAAGGGUGUUCGAUGGAUGAAAUGGCAACGUCUCGCAGUUCGGAUAGAACACGGCGGCAUGGGUUUUCGUGAUCUCAGGGGUUUUAAUCUUGCUCUUCUCGGUAAGCAGGCUUGGCGAAUUAUGACUAGACCAGAUUCUCUUGCUGCUCGCCUGUACCGAGCAAAGUAUUUUCCUUCCGGGGAAUUUCUGUCGGCGGAGCUAGGUAGCAAGCCGAGCUUUAUUUGGGGUAGCAUACUUGCAGCAGCGCCUCUUGUUGCUCGAGGAACACGGUGGAAAAUCGGAGAUGGAUACAAUAGUCUGGCAUGAUCUAUGGUUACCGGAUGCGGAGAAUACCAAACUCGAGACACCGAUUAACCCAGCUUACCCAUACCUUAAGGUUUGUGAUCUUUGGCUUUCAGGUACCCAAGAUUGGAACAUAGAGCUGCUACAGUCUGUAUUCAUACCUCGCGAUGUUGAACAAAUUCUUGCUCUUCCUUCGUUCAUGGCCUCUGGUCUCGACCGACGAAUUUGGCAAUUCAAUCCCAAGGGCAACUUCACGUACGGUCCGCAUAUCGCCUGUACAUGGAUAAGUUCAUUGAUCUUUCAGAACAUCAUGUCCAGGGCCUUUGGCGUGCAGUUUGGAAUCUUCACCUGCCGUCAAAAAUCGUCCAUUUCUUUUGGCGCCUGUUACGAGCUGUCUUGCCCGCCCGAGGUCAAUUGCGGCAAAAAGGAGUUAAUGUGGGUGGACUCUGCAAUCAACAGUAUGAGGAAGACUGGCACCUCUUUAUUGAUUGUCCUUGGUCGCAGGUAUUAUGGGAACAAACUGAUCUCGCAGCUUCAAUCAAGACAAAAGCCGCUAUUCAUAUUCAUACUAAUGACUGGCUUUGGGGAAUGUAAACUUGAUACUGCCAAACGGGAGCGAUGGAUCACCUGUUUGUGGGGUAUUUGGAGAGAGCGUAACAGCAGAGUGUAACAAAGACCUCAAGCUAUGGUGUUAGGAGACAGCGUACAGGAGGUUUUAGAUCGGGAGAAAAGGAAUAACUCUCGGCACGAAACCACCUGAACGGCGACAACUCUACUGCAAUAGGUGGCACCCCCCACCGGCAGGCGUUCUUAAAUGCAAUUUUGACGUGGUCAUCUUCAAUGCACAACGUCGCGCGGGUUUUGGGAUGGCUAUUCAGAAUCAUAACGGCGAGCUGCUUCAUUAUUGUAUGGAUACAAAGCCGGGAAUCAUGCCAGUCAAGGUUGGAGAAGCUACAGCUCUUCUCUUGGCCAUUCGAUGGAUCCUGGACUUGAGUACUCCCAAGCUAUUUUUGAAGGUGACUUGCAAGUUCUGGACAUAGCUAUCAAGUCAACCAGCGAGGAUGAUACUGAGUUCGGAGACUUGGCUCGUGCUUGUCGUCUCUCCAUAGGUAAUGCAGACAUUUUUUUUUUGUUAGGAGAGAAAGAAACUUAGUUACUCAUACGUUAGUUAGGCAAUUUAUUUUUCAUGUAUCUCCGACUAUGGGACAUACAUCUUCCGAGAUGCUCUUCGAUUUACUUGACACUUGAUACCGCUCGUUGGAGCAUUGAUCUAUAAGAUUUGAGCUUUUCUUAAAAAACAAAUGAUAAUUACGAAUUUGUUAGGAAUGGUGAAUCAGAAAAGCAAUAAAAAAGAAUGAUAUAGCACAAUAAAUUAGGAAAAUAUUUCGGAGAGAAUCAGAGAAGAAAUACUAACAAGUAAAACAAGUUAGUUGAAAUUUUUCAAAGAGCUUGUAUUUCGACCUAAAUUCUGAUGUAAAUUGGUGAUGGUUUCUUCCUUAAACACUAGAUUGUGCUACAUGGAUGGAUGGAGAUUUGAAAGUAUCGAGUUUGAAUUCCAUCUACACCAUACAUAUAGAUACUUAUAUUAUAUUUAUUUCUUUUUUUAUCAUGAUAUUCUUACCUAAUUUAUCUUCAACUAAAAACACAUUAAAAUGUGUCAAUUUUAAUGUCGCAUUAAUAUGAAUUGGCAACCAACAUCAAGUUUCAAAUCAAUCGCAAGUUCACGACCAAAUGAUCUAACAGUAUGAGCCAAUUAAAACAAAACAAUUAUCACAUCACGAUCCGAUAUCUUCAAACAAAAAUAAUAAUUACACACCAAACACAUCGACCAAUCGAUCAUCACGAUUCCAACACCAACGCAAACCCGAAAUCACAAAACAACUAAAUUUUUUAAACAAACUCAAAUUGAAAACCCCUAAAAAACCCUCGGAUCAUCACAUCCGCCCACUCACAAGUCAAUGAUCAAACGGACCGUCAGGAUGAAGCUGCUUACAAACCUCCAAAUAAGUCAAGUAAACCACCCGAUUCUUCGCCCCAGUCCUAUGAACCCCACAAUGCAUGCAGAAAUACUUCAACUGCUCCAACGUACAAAGCCCUAGCCACUCCCCUAGCAACAAAAACAGCCAAUUGAUCUCCUCUUUAUCCCUCUCCCCGCCAAUCACCGGCUUCAUCGCUUCGUCCUUCCCGCACAUCGCACACUUCUGCAGCCGCGGGUGCAUCCACCGAUCCGGCGCCCUAUCGUGCAUCGACGCCCUGUUGCUCGCAAUGUAGCCGCACACCUCCUCGAACUUCUCGCUCAGAUCGAACGAAAUCUCUUGUCUAUAACUACAUUCCUUAUUAUUGCACUCCACCUCCCCUUUGAUCUCCAUUAUCCCCAUCGAACGGAGAUCUUCGAGGGUGUGGAGCUUCGCGAUUUUUUCCGUCGCCCAUGGAUAGGGCGGCGGAUGGAGUAUAUUUGUAUUCUUGUUUUUCUUCGCGGGUGUUUUUCGUUUGUUUCGGGGAGGAGGAGCGAGGUCAAUGUGAUCUUCGGGGUUGAAUAACGAUAGGGAAAGAGAGAGGAUUGGUGGGUCUGACAUGUAUAGGCCGAGCUUUCGUUUGAGGGAGGUGUCGGAGGAGGAAGGUUGAGUGGUGUUUGCCAUUGGUGGGAUUGGGAUCAGAAUGGAAGAAUAAUGGCGUGGAAAAGAAAGGUUUUUAAUUUAAAGGAAUUUUUCAGGUAGAAGAUUUGUGGGUGGAUAAUAUCCUUCCAACAGAAAUAUAUUUUCUGUUCGAAAAAUGAGAGAUUUUUAUUGUUAAUUAUUAUUUGGGUAACGUGCUCUAAUAACUAAUUAAUACGAUAGGUCUCUUACAUUGUAUUUUUGUUGUAAUGUAGUAGAAAUUAAAUUAGGACUGAUGUAUGUGUUGCUAUGUAUAGGACGAUAAGCCAAGCGGCUCGAACCAGUUCGACCUGAUCAUAGUCGAAUUUUAGAUAGUUCGUGAGGCAAUUUUAUUUAGAUAGCUUGUGAGUUUUGAGGCUAAAUUAGCACGUUACAUUGUAAUUAUUAAGUUUGUUUUGUUCGAAUUUGGUUAGUCAUAAAAGUUAUUUAUUUAUUUAUUUUAGCUCGAGUUGAUAUUAAUUAUAAUAUUUAUGGGUACGAGCUUGUUAUUGUUAUGCUUAUCUAGCCGAAACGAGUUCACUUGAGCUCAAGAUUGAUUGUUAGAGAAUACUACUAUAAAUAUUUUCUUUUUUGUCUUUAUUGUACUUCGACUCCAAGUCUAAUUCUUUUUCGAUUUUAACGGUUCGAAAAAUGAGGGAUUAUUAUUAUUAUUAUUAUUGGUAAUGUCAAUGCGUAUAAGGUAAUGACUAGUGACGUCUCUUACAUCGUACUUCUGUUGUAAUAUAAUUCACAUUGUAUUAGAGUUAAAUGUUAAUAUAUGUAUUACUAUCGAAUCGGUAUUAAGUGAGUUGUUGUGAUGGUAGAAGAGUCAUCCCCCCUCCAAUCAAUCAUUGGUCGGUUUGCGAGCUUAUUGAGGCAAAUUUGCUGACCAGGUUGUUUAUAUAUAGUUCAUGAGUCGGUCUGAUUUCGAUAGCUCACGAGACAACUUGAUGCAAGCUCAUUAGUGGUUCGUGAGAUUUCUUGAUUAUAAGCUUUAUCAUUACAUUUUAUAUUUGUUCAAUUCGAAAUCGGCUGAAAUUGAAAGUUGGUCUUUUUUAUUUUGAGCUCGAGCCGACAUUGACUAUGAUGGUUAUCGAGCCGAAUUUAUUAUGAUCGUCGAGCGAACUUGUUAUAGUAUCGAGUCAUGGUUAUCAGCCCGACCUUGCUACGAUUAUAGAGCUGGCCGAGCUCGAAUACAAAAAAAGCUCGAACAAAAUUAAUUACCUGUCAAUAACAGUACUUAUGUAGUUAUUUGUACCACAAAUGUAUAUCACAUACCAACAAUACAUAAAAACCCGAUAAAAUUAUUCAUGAUUGACCACAAGAAAUACAAAAAUAAACAACCAACGACAUUAUUCGUGUACCAACAAUACUAACUUUCGUAUAAAAUGGACUAAUUAUUUAUUCUCAUUUUAAGUUUAUCCUUGUAGUAAAUUUAUGAUCGGACCCAGCCCAGUGAAGAUCGACCCAUGGCCAAGUCCAAGACCAAGCCCAAGCCCAAGCCCAAGCCCAACGAGGGGUUGUGUUGUUCGUGUGGUUCUCGGAUCGCACUCGCUGACUGUACGUCUAGUUCAGGUAAAAAGACGGUCAGAGGAGCGCGACAAAAGAUAAAAAGAAAUGUAAAAUAAUUAAAAAGAAAAUAGGAAAUAGGAGAAAAAAAAGGGUAAGAAAAAGGAAACAGGAAAAGAAAGAACACAGAAGGAAAUCAAUGGCGAGAGCUACGAGAAGAAGAAAUGCAGAACCAACAGCGUCCCUUCUCCUCCUCCUCCUCUCUCUUCCUAGCCGAAGAUGACGACGACGUCGCUGUUUCCUCCCUUCUGUAAACCCUAAUUGAAGCUUCUUCCUCGAUCGGCAACCGUUUUUUGGCCUCCUGCAAGCGGCGACUCCGAUCUCUUCCGGAGAAUUCGAGGACACGAUAAAUUUCUCAAGUCUCUCCGGUUCUGCUUCGUCAUUUCCCGAUUUUUGAUCCGCGAUGGACCCGUUGAUGGAGUUGUGCGAGCUCAUCGCGAAGAAUCCGUCGCAAUUCAGCGAUAAACUGACGUGGCUGUGCAACCGCUGCCCGCAGCCGGAGGCGCUACUCGGCGGAUCGCCUAGGGUUUCGAGGUCCCAGCUCAAUGCGGUCCUCGCGGUGGCGAGGUUCCUCUCCUUGGGGACGCCAGACGCGUCCGUCGAUCUCCGGCCGAAGUCCAUCGUGUUAGAGUUCCUCCACGUGAUUCCGUCGUCGUUCUCGCAGUCAUUCUGGCCGCAGUCGUACACGGCGGACUCGAUCGGGUCGUUCUACGGUGAGUUCCUGGGGCAUUUGGUGAGUUGCGCCGAGACGUCGGCGGAUUUCGGCGCGGAGAUUGCUGGCUUUUUGGGAGUAGUUGUGAUGGAAGCGGUUAAUUAUCACAAUGCUGGUGACGGUGUGGUGAUUUCGAGGGCUUUUUUGCUGGCGUUGACGGAGAAUUUUCCGCCGAUUUUGGCUUCUGAUGGGGAGAAGCUGGUGACUUGUCUUAUCGAUCAGGUCUUAGGGGCAGCUGGUGAUCAAGCGGGGUUAAACUCGGGUACUUCGUCGUCUCAGAGCUCGCCGUUGAAUAAAGUCAAUAAUCAUCAGCGUAACAAUGGUAUUUCCAGUCCGGCGAAUGAUCUGAGUGGGAUAUCUGGCGGGUCGUCCAGUGGAUUGUCUACGACGUCAGCAUUGAUGAACGGAAGUGGGUUGAUGUGGAAGAGUGGGUUUGAUUCGAUGGGCAUGGGCGUAGGGUUGAACGAUGGUUUGUUGCGGCAGCAAGCAACUUUGUUUGAGGAGGAAAGUGUGGAGGGAUUGGAGAAGCAUGAAAUCGCAUUCAAGUUGAUUGCUAAUGUAUUGACUCAUGUGAAGCUUGACGUUAAGCUUUCGGAACAAGUAAGAUUGAUUGCUAAGAAGCAGCUACAGUCUCUGUCGGCGUUUUUGAAGGUAAAUGAUAGAAUGCACCAUUGUUUUUCACCAUCUAAUGGUUUUGUGGUUUAGGAGAACGUAUAUGAAAGAAUUCUCCAUUGUUAAUAGAGCUCAAGAAGAAUUCACCAUCGUUAAUAGAGCUCAAGUAUUAGUUCUUGUUAGAGCAGGAAAAUUUAUGUGCAUGCUUGGUAAAAAAUGCUUAUUUGUUUUUCUUAUUAGUUAAAGAUUAUUUAUUUGUUCCAUAAGGAGUGAUUACUGACUUAACUUGUAUGUGUUUGGGUUAGAUUUCUGGUUGGUUAGUGUAUGACAACUUGGUAAAAGGUUAAGCUACAUGGUAGUUCAAACACGGAAAAAUUCCAAAUCAAUAAGCUGCAUGUUACUUUAGUGCUUUGGUAAAUGACAAACACUCUGAAUGUAUUAUGCCCUCAAUCUGAGGAUUGAAUUGAUAAUGUGGUUAGAUAAGGAAGCGCGACUGGAACGAACAAGGACAACAAUUGAAAGCUAGGGUGAACUCUAAACUCUCAGUUUAUCAAGCUGCAGCUAGAAUGAAGAUAAGGAGCCUUGCAUCCCUUGAUGCUGAUGGUAAAACCUUCAAAAGAUUGGUUCUUGAAACUCUUGCAUUGCUUAUCGAUGCUGCUGAAGCAUGUCUGCUAUCUGUGUGGCGGAAGUUAAGAAUAUGCGAAGAGCUGUUUAGGUCAUUGCUUGCUGGAAUUGCACAAAUUGCUGUGAGCAGGGGUGGUCAGCCACUUCGUGUUCUACUUAUUCGUCUUAAACCCCUUGUGUUGACAGCAUGUGCACAAGUAAGUUAAUGUUAUUGUUAGUAAUUGGCUUGAGUUUCAUACUAUAUUCUUUGUUUUUGCUUCAUCCAGUCUUUGUUUGUUUGAGUUUCCAGGCUGAUACUUGGGAUAGCAAUCAGGGAGCUAUGUUUGAUAGUGUGAUGAAGACAAGCUGCCAGAUAAUUGAAUCUGGAUGGAUAAAGGACCGAGCUCCUGUUGAUACUUUUAUUUUGGGAUUGGCAACAAGCAUACGUGAGCGGAACGACUAUGAUGAGCAGGUCAGCUUAUAUUCCUUUUUUCUUUCUUCUAUUCGCGUAGGCUAAUAUGUUCUUCCCAGUUGCAUUCUCUUGUCAAUCGCCCGUUUCUUCACAAAUUGUAACUCAAUGCUCGAAAUUUCAAUAUGACGCUGUUGAAAAUGUGAAAGACUUCUCAGCAAAUGAUUCAAACCGGUUGUCAACUGGAAUCUCUUUGUUUCAGAAAAAUGACCAAAUGUGUAUUAUUGAUAGCCGAAUGGCACUUCAAACUGCCAUAUAACAUAUUCCGAAUCCUCAAAGGAGGACUAGUUUCAUCUAUCCUCUUACAUAAGAGACUCGAUUUAAAACCCAGUCUCUUCUUUCCCUUUCCUGACAUUUUUAUUUGUCAAUUACAUGUCUCGUGGAUAUGCACUAUUCUUUGAUAUGCAUAAAAGUCGGAAAACUGGUCUUAUGCGUGUGAUUUGGAUGGCAUGCCGAGUCAUGCAUGUAUAUAUUCUUAGGUUAAUAUGCAGAUCUUUAUUCAUGAUUCCUCUUUAUUACAGGCUGAGAAGGAAAAACAAGGGGUUCCUCCCGUGCAGCUCAAUCUCAUACGUUUGCUAGCUGAUUUAACCGUGGCUGUUAACAAGUCAGAAGUGGUUGACAUGAUUUUGCCACUUUUUGUUGAAAGCUUGGAGGAGGGUGAUGCUUUAACUCCUGGCAUAUUGCGACUUCGAGUACUGACUCUUUGUUUCUAGAUCAUCCUUUGCUGUAUCAUAAAUUUUCUGUUAUAUCUGCAAUUGUUUUUGCUAGUUGACUACCAGUUGCUCCUUCAAUUUGGCAGCAUGAUUUAACUCCUCUCUAUAUCUCUCCUACCUGCAGCUUCUUGAUGCUGUAUCACGGAUAGCAAGUCUAGGGUUUGAGAAAUCCUAUCGCGAGACAGUUGUCCUGAUGACAAGAAGUUACUUGGGUAAACUGUCAAGUGUAGGAUCUGCUGAAAACACGACUUUGCCAGCAGAAGCCAAUACAGAACGUGUUGAGGUAAGCUUAUUCAAGUUUAUUUUAUGAAGUUUCCUUCUUUGUCUUAGAAAUUACGUUCAGUGUAUAAGAAGUAUAGCUAACUAUUCAAUCACAUUCAAGACUCUUCCUGCAGGAUUCCGUUUGAUAGCUAGUGGUCUAAAAAAUCCAAAAUUACGUGUAGACUACCGACAUCGUCUUCUCUCUUUGUGCUCAGAUGUGGGGCUGGCAGCUGAAUCUAAGAGUGGAAGGUGAAUAUUUAACUUAUGUGUUGUACCUUGGCUUCUUAAAUUUGCAUUACACAAAAGCAAAUCGUCUUCAUUGCAUCUUGAGGAUUUUGAUUUCAUCCUAUUACUGGCUUUAUAGGAGUGGAGCAGAUUUUAUGGGUCCUCUACUUCCUGCUGUUGCUGAAGUCUGCUCCGAUUUUGAUCCUACAGUGAAUGUCGAACCGUCACUUCUGAAACUCUUCCGUAACUUGUGGUUCUAUGUUGCUCUGUUUGGUUUGGCACCACCGAUUGUGAAAACUCCACAACAGGUGAAGUCCACAUCAACCACGCUGAAUAGUGUAGGAAGCAAUGGUGCACUUUCUCUUCAGGCUGUGGGUGGACCAUACAUGUGGAAUGCACAGUGGUGUUCUGCUGUCCAACGCAUUGCUCAAGGGACUCCUCCUCUUGUAAGGACAUAUGAAAUUUUUGAAUUUGGAUGAUUGAAUGUCGGUAGAUGUUGUUGCUCACUAGUGAGAUACUUGUGUUUGUACCCACUGGGUUAUAUUUACUUGCUUUAUCUUGUUGUUUUGGAAUACAUUAUUUUUAAAUGGUGCAUUAUAUUGGUGCCUUAUACAGGUUGUCAGUUCUGUCAAAUGGCUUGAAGAUGAACUGGAACUCAAUGCACUCCACAACCCAGGAAGCCGUCAAGCAAGUGGCAAUGAGAAAGCUGCUCUAACCCAACGAUCAGCUCUGUCAGCUGCAUUGGGUGGCAGAGUUGAGGUUGCAGGAAUGACCACAAUCUCUGGUCAGGAUUUUAAUCACUUGUCUGGGCUAUAGUGGAUGUUUUUGGGUAGAAGUUUCUGUUAAUUGGUUGUCAUGUUUUAUCUGCAGGUGUUAAAGCAACAUAUCUGCUUGCUGUAGCUUUUCUGGAGAUAAUUCGUUUCAGCAGCAAUGGUGGGAUUCUCAAUGGGGAUACCAGUUUAACUGCUUCCAGAAGUGCCUUCAGCUGCGUAUUUGAAUAUCUAAAAACUCCAAACUUGAUGCCUGCUGUCUUUCAAUGUCUGACUGCGAUAGUGCAUCGAGCAUUUGAAGCAGCUGUAUCGUGGCUGGUAAUCUUCAUACGAAAUUACUGUUUCUAAAAUCACAAUUAACUUAAUUACUUUUAUGUGUCAAAGCAAUAGUCUGCAUUAUGUUGAUUCAAUUUCACCAUUCCAUUUUGAAUUUUUGAUAAUUCAUUUCUACCUUGCUUUAAACCAAAUCUGAUAUGUUUUUUUCUGUAACAACAAACUUAUCCUUGAUUUUCAAUGGGAAGUGUUUCUCAUAAUGCAACGUGUAUUGUUGUGGCAGUUUACUAUUUUUCAAGUAAGAUAUUUGUAACUGUCCCCUUGCCUCUCUCUCACCGAUCUCCAUGUUUUUGUUUGGGUUCAGGAAGAACGGAUAACUGACACUGGCAAAGAUGCUGCAAUCAGAGAAUUAACUCUUUUUGCCCAUGCAUGUUUCCUGAUAAAAAGCAUGUCACUGAGAGAGGAGCACAUCCGUGAUAUUGCUGUUAACUUGUUGACUCAGCUUCGAGAUAAGUUUCCUCAGGUACAAUCAUGCUAGUUAUUCUAGUAGCUAUCCGCUCAGUAUUUUACUGUUUGUGUACCCUUGUGAACCAAUAAUUUAUUCUGGUAAACAAAUGGAACUGCAUAUCUACAGAUCUUAUGGAACUCGUCCUGUUUGGACUCCCUAUUAUUUUCUGUUCACAAUGACUCAACUUCAACCGCUGUUAAUGAUCCCUCUUGGGUAGCAACUGUUCGGGCAUUGUACCAGAAAAUUCUCAGGGAGUGGAUCUGCAUGUCGCUCUCAUAUGCUCCAUGUACUAGCCAAGGUCUUCUUCAGGUAAUUAUAUCAUCUUUAUUUGCGGAAUUUUAUGUAGAAGCUUUCUAAGAAGUGCUUCCUGAAGAUGUUACCUACAUCAUUUUAUUGAAACUUUUGGCGAUGGUUAGAGUUUUAUUUUUUUAUUUUAUUUCUUGUUAAAUUCUGAUUUUUUCCUUGACUUAACCACUUAAGGAAAAGCUCUGCAAGGCAAAUACUUGGCAGAAGGCACAGCAAACUACUGAUGUGGUGUCUCUGCUAACUGAGAUACGUAUCGGAACUGGCAAGAAUGAUUGGACUGGAAUUCGGACUGCUAAUGUUCCGGCUGGGGUGGUCCGCCGACAACUUUUGGUGGGGGUCUCCAACGGUUGAUAACUGGAGCAUUUGCUCAACCGCCAGAGACUGAAGAUGAUUCUUUCAAUGAGAUGUUACUUAAUAAGUUCGUGCAUCUACUCCAGCAAUUUGUUACUGCUGCGGAGAAAGGUGGGGAUGUGGAAAAAUCACAGUUUCGUGAUAUUUGUUCUCAGUCAACAGCGUUACUUCUAUCCAAUCUGGUAAAACCCCAUAUUAGUGAUUAUACAGUCCCAGUAACAAAUGAUUUUCAACGUAUUGCUCACAUCUUGAUUGCUUUUUUCCUUUGUUUGCCAGACUUGUGAAUCAAAAUUCAACAUAGAGGGCUUUGCGCAACUGCUACGCCUUCUUUGCUGGUGUCCAGCAUAUAUAUCUACUCCAGAUGCAAUGGAGACUGGCGUCUUUAUAUGGACUUGGUUAGUUUCUGCAGCACCCCAACUUGGAUCUCUUGUUCUUGCCGAACUCGUGGACGCCUGGUUAUGGACUAUCGACACAAAGCGAGGGCUGUUUGCAUAUGAUGUCAAUUACUCUGGACCUGCUGCGAAACUAAGGCCUCAGCUCGCUCCUGGAGAACCAGAGCCACAGCCUGAAAUUGAUCCUGUUGAACAGAUCCUCGCUCAUAGACUUUGGCUUGGCUUUUUCAUUGAUCGGUUUGAGGUCAGUAAUCUCUAUAUGCUAGUUUCCGCCAGUAAUCUCUUUAUGCUUGUUUCCGUGUCAUUUUUCUGCGUUCUUCCAUACCUAUACGUACUACAAUGGGCAUAAGAAGACUCUGUCUCCUUAACUAUCCAUCAACUGCUUCUAAAAUACGAUGGUUAUCAAUACUUGUUCUUCUGUUAUUCUUGAUGUGUCGUACAGCUUUAUGGAACUGACAUGCUUCCCUUUAAGAACAGUUCGUGUUAUACUGUAAUAAAUGCUAUGGUUCUUUUGUUUUUUUAUUCCUUUCUCCCUCUAGCGGGUUCUCUUGUCUACACCAUGGUGAGUGCUCCUUUUUGGAUUCAAUGAUGAAUGUUUUUUUCGCUGCAUAGGUAGUGCGGCAUAACAGUGGCGAGCAACUCUUGCUCUUGGGUAGGCUAUUGCAAGGGACAAUGAGGUUGCCUUGGAAUUUUUCACGCCAUCCUGCUGCUACUGGUACCUUUUUCACAGUCAUGCUCCUUGGGCUCAAAUUCAGCUCAUGUCAUUCUCAGGGAAACCUGCAGAAUUAUAAAACCGGGCUUCAACUACUGGAAGAUCGGAUUUAUAGGUGAUUAAGACUGCCCUCUUGUCCCAGUUUCUGUUAGUUGGCAGAAGUAACAGAAUCUCUCUGUUGACAAAAUUUGUUUGUACCAUUCAAAUUAAAGAGCUGAAUAUGCUGUUAGAAAAUUGACGAUUUUUUUUCUUGUAUGUUUCAGAGCCUGUUUGGGCUGGUUUGCUUUUGAACCUGAGUGGUACAAUGUGAACUAUAUGAAUUUUGCUCAGAGUGAGGCUCAAUCUGUAUCAGUAUUUGUUCACUAUCUUUCCAAUGAACGAGGGGAUGCUCCUCUAUCUGACUCUAAGGGACGUGGGAGUGACAAUGGAAGUUCGUUGGUUGAUAUGGUAAGAACUACUGUUAAUCAAUGAGAAAUAGAUGGCCAUAUUGUUUCUACGUUCCAUUUAUUUACAGAUAGGUCCACUUUUGCUGACAAAAUUACAAUACUGCAGAAUGAUGAACAUCACCCUGUGUGGGGUCACAUGGAGAAUUAUGCUACCGGAAGGGAAAAGCGGAAACAGUUACUAUUGAUGCUAUGUCAGCAUGAGGCUGAUAGGCUUGAAGUGUGGGCGCAACCUACUAACUCCAAGUAAUUCUGCACUGACAAACCAGACACUUGUGUCAUUUCUGCAUGUUUCAUGAAGUAUUUCUGCACUGAUGUACUAAGAAAAGCUCCUAUGUUUUCAGAGAAAAUGUUUCGCGUCCCAAAAUCAGCUCAGAUAAAUGGAUAGAAUAUGCUAGGACAGCUUUCUCCGUGGAUCCCCAUAUUGCUUUAUGCAUGGCGUCAAGGUUCCCUGCAAAUACUACUUUGAAGGCUGAAGUAACACAGUUGGUCCAGGUAUGUAUGAUAUAUGCAGAUAUAGCAAUGGAUGGAAGCUAAUGCUGCUUCUCCAUAGAUGUUACUUUUUUCCCAUGAAUACCCUAUUCACCUUGUUGGUUGUAUUGGUGUCUAAUUUUGCAGUCACAUAUUCUUGACGUGCGCACUUUACCAGAAGCACUUCCGUACUUUGUCACCCCAAAGGCUGUUGAUGAAGAUUCAGUGCUUUUGCAACAACUGCCACACUGGGCUGGUUGUACAAUAACACAAGCACUAGAGUUCCUAACUCCUGCAUACAAGGGUCAUCCUCGUGUGAUGGCUUACGUUCUGAGAGUUUUGGAGUCUUAUCCUCCUGAGCGUGUAACAUUUUUCAUGCCACAAUUAGUCCAGUCUCUGCGGUAUGAUGAUGGGGUGAGUUCUCUGAUGACAAAGCUGUCCUCUUGGUUUUUUUCCCCUUUACCCAUAGCGUUAGCAAUUUGUUAUGGUUAAAUCUUGAAGGUUUGACUAGUGGAUUCGGACGGUUAUACUAGAAACAAAAAAUUUGUACCUGACUUGUUUUUAAGGUUGUGUUGAAUAUACCUUGAAAAGUGAGGCAUAAUCUUCCAAAUACUAAAGUGGAAGAAAAACAUGAGUAGGGAUAGAAACAUAAAACUAUUGCCACUGCUUUGGCAGCCUUUGUUGAGUGCGAUAUGAUCAAGUUUAAUGGUUGUAUAAAGUAACUACAUGGCAGUUUUAUUUGUAUCUCUGCCUUGCCCACCCUUAUUGGUGGAAUGGUGUUCUAACAUAUUGGAAUAUGCUUGAAUUUCCAAUUACAGAAGUUAGUCGAAGGAUAUUUGCUGAGAGCAGCUCAGAGAAGUGAUAUCUUUGCACAUAUUCUGAUUUGGCAUUUGCAGGUUUGUUAAAAAUUAUGAUAAUGUCAUAAUGGCUUACCUCUUAGUAUUGUUGCUGAUCAUCACAUUUUUUAUGUUAUAUUCUCUGGUUCUAAGGUGUAAAUUUUUUUAUUUGUGGCAGGGAGAACAACCUGAAACAGAUGCAGUGAAAGAUGGUGCAGUCCCAAAGGUACGAUUUUAGUUUCUUCAUUUAGCUACCUAAUUAUACUUAUCUAUUAAGACGCUUGUCAAGAUGAUACUGCUCUGUGAAAUUGUCAAUGAUAUAUGCGCUGAAGUUCCUCAAUGGGUUGAAAAUAGGGCAAUAGGUCAUUGUUGAGUACUAAUAGUCUGUAGUUUCUUUUUCUUUUUUUAUUCUCCUCAAUAACUAUGUAUGCUCUUUCAGGAUGAUGCCUUUCAAGAACUCUUGCCUGUUGUUCGUGAGCAUAUCGUUGAUGGCUUCAAUGACAAGGCCCGUGAUGUUUUCGAAAGGGAGUUUGACUUUUUCGAUCAAGUUACGUCAAUCUCAGGUGUCCUCCUUCCACUGCCCAAGGAUGAGCGUCGGGCUGGUAUUCGGACGUAUGCUUCUUUUUCCUCCCCCAGUGUCGUAAGCUACUCUUUAUUUUGUCGUGAUUGAUGUUAGCUGUUGUAAAAUUCACAUGUUUUUGUGCACCAGGGAAUUGGAGAAAAUUAAAAUGCAAGGAGAAGAUCUUUAUUUACCAACUGCAACAAACAAACUUGUCAGAGGCAUCCGGGUGGAUAGUGGCAUACCCUUGCAAUCAGCAGCGAAAGUCCCGAUCAUGGUUACCUUUGAUGUGGUUGAUCGUGAUGGCAGCCCCAAUGAUAUUAAGCCUCAAGCUUGCAUUUUCAAGGUAAGCUCUCAUUAUCAGCUAAAGGUAUCAGGCGAAUUGGUGCUCUUGGGAGAAAGUCCAACAAGUCCUCUAUAUUCAAGCUUUUUAACAUUUGCCUCUAACUUAAUCAUUGUACUACACCAGAAUUUCGGGUUGUAAAUGUCCCAUUGUACAUUUACUCCGACCCGUGACGUGCUGACAGUCUUCUUUCUGCUAAAUUCUGUUUGUAAAACCAUGGCCGGCAUAUAAAUUAUCGCAAAUAAAGUACUUCUUGAUGUGAAAAUUGAUUGAUGUUAUGUUUUGAAGGUUGGAGAUGAUUGCAGACAAGAUGUGCUUGCCCUUCAAGUGAUAACGCUUCUUAGAGACAUCUUUGGUGCUGUCGGCCUUAAUCUCUAUUUGUUUCCCUACGGUGUCUUGCCAACCGGGCCAGGGAGAGGUAUUAUCGAGGUGGGUUCCUAUGUCCAAUCACUAUUUUCAUUAUGUUUCUGAUUUGUGCUUCAUUACCUCGAAACACCAGACAGCAUAAUGCCAAUUGCUUCUAUGCAUGUGUCUUACUGUCUUUACGUGGUCUGAUUUCUCUCCAUCGAUCCUGUAUAACCUUUUACACUGUAUCUUUAAAUACGCUACUUCAUUGCGGUCAUUAUUCCCAUCUUCUGAGUCUAUUUGAAGAACAGGAGGGAGAAUAGUCAAUGCUAAGGAAUCUUACAUGUUACUAUAAAAAGUUGACUCCUUUUCGGCUUGUACUGGUUGUUUCCCUUGGUACUAAAGUUUCUCGAGCUUGGGCAGGUUGUGCCUAACUCACGGAGUCGAAGUCAGAUGGGCGAAACAACAGAUGGCGGUUUGUACGAGAUCUUUCAGCAGGACUUUGGUCCUGUCGGCUCGCCUAGUUUCGAAGCCGCUCGUGAAAACUUCAUCAUCAGCAGCGCCGGUUAUGCAGUUGCCAGUCUUCUACUCCAACCGAAGGACAGACACAACGGGAACUUGCUUUUCGACAGGUAUCGAAUUUCUCCUCUUCUGGUGUGCUUUUGUCUUCACCUUUCCAACUGAGUAAAUGAUGAAUGUUCCAAACUUCAACAACAAAUUACUUGUCUCGCCGCAGUGAUGGGAGGCUCGUCCACAUUGAUUUUGGAUUCAUAUUCGAAAUCUCCCCCGGUGGGAACAUGCGGUUUGAGAGUGCACAUUUCAAACUCAGCCACGAGAUGACUCAGUUACUCGACCCAUCAGGCGUCAUGAAGAGCGAGACGUGGCACCAAUUCGUAAGGUAUAAUACCGUCCACUACAAAGCCUUAUAUCAUUCAAUCUCCUUCUGACAUUGUUCACUCUUUUUUCUUCUCGACGUUGCAGCCUGUGCGUGAAAGGGUACCUCGCAGCACGCAGGUACAUGGACGGAAUCAUCAACACGGUAAUGAUGAUGCUCGACAGUGGCCUACCUUGCUUCAGUCGAGGAGACCCGAUCGGGAACCUCCGAAAGAGGUUCCACCCGGAAAUGAGCGAGAGGGAAGCCGCGAAUUUCAUGAUCCAUGUCUGCACAGACGCCUACAACAAAUGGUCAACUGCAGGCUACGACUUGAUACAGUAUCUGCAGCAAGGAAUCGAGAAGUGAUUUGAUGAUGUAAAUGGUUUCUCUUUUGUAGGGUUUUCAUUUUAUUUGUAGGCUUGUGAUAUAUAAAGAGGGAGAAAUUGUUCUUAGUAUAAUAUAUAUAUAAAAAAAUUAAAUUAAAUGUUACCAUCAUUGUAGAUAAGAACUGAGGCAAAUAUUUGUGGGGGGGGGGGGGGGGGUGGGUUGUUUGUGGUUGGGAAUGUGAAUUAUCUUUACUGUUAUAUCAAUCAAGCUUGUAUACAUCUUGUUCAAUUUUGUAAUAAUGAUUAGACUGCACCCGUCAUCAUUGCCAAAUCGACAACAAUCGAGCUGCUUAUGUACCUCGUACUCCUACGGAGGAUCAAGCCUAACGUAGUUCUAUUUAAUUACAAUUUAGAGAGUAUGAAUCAAUCCUAUCUCACCAACCAACUAUCUAGUGACUUCAACUUGAAAAUGUUCAUAUUUUAAACCAUUGCUUCAUUGUUGGCUCAAAUACUUUACAAAUAUCAGAUUUGAACACCCUUCUAUCCAGCUGAAGAAGAAUCUCCCAACACGUACAAAAACAAAACCAACACAAUUACCUUACUAUUACCACAUUACCCUCCAAACCCACCAAAUUUACACUCUAAUCACCUACUUUCUCUCUAACUCAACUUCAGUCCCCUUACUUUUCUCUUCUUCCAUCUUCAACUCCUCUGCUUUCUUCCUCCACCCAAACAGGCUCCCAAACAGAACCUCCAUAUCCUCCAGCGUCCUCCCCUGCGUCUCCGGGUAGCAGCUGAAGAAGAAAACGAACGCCACCGCCGCCAACCCCGCAAACAAGAAAAACGCGCCGCUGAUCGUCAUCGCCUUGUACAGCGAGAUGAACGUCGUCGAGAUCACGCCGCUGAUUACUCUGUUCACGGCGACCCCCAUUCCCGUGCCCUGUGCCCGCAGCCGGAGCGGGAAGAUCUCCGAGCUGUAGACCCACGUGAUGGGUCCCAUCCCGAUUGAGAAGAAUGCCACGAAGGAUAGCACCAUGGAGAUGCAGAGUCCGAUUGCCCAGUUCACUUUCCCCUUUGAGUGGUCGAUCACUUCCAAGGACCAUCCUAAGGUUAUUAAAGAGAUCACCAUCCCGCCGACGCUUCCCAGGAGUAACGGCCGCCGGCCGAUUCUGCGUGAUAAAGAGAGUAAUUGGUUUGGUUAAUUUGGUUCAACCAAUGAAUUCCAUUUGGUUAAGGAUAAUCAAUAUAACUAAUUGACAUAACAACAAAAAUAUAUCAAGACAGUGUUUAUAAUUGAAUCAAACCAUUCAAACCGAGUGUUUUUUUGGCAGGAACCAUUCAAACCGAGUUAACUCAACAAUACUGAGCUAGCGGUUCAUUUGGAGCGCUCAAAAAACUUAUCCGACUUAGUCUAACCUAGCUCAGCUCAAUUUAUCAUCUCGGUUGACUAAAACUUGACACAUAAUUAAAAAUAAUAAUGAAUCCACAACCUCAAGAUAUUCGUAAUACGGUUAAUUUAUUAACUCACCGUUUUUAAUAAUUAGAACCGUGUGUCCGUUCUUUCCAAAAAAACAUAACUCACCGUUUAAAUCAAUGUGACCAAAUGACUCAAACCAAAACAACUAAACCAUGAUAAUCAAUCAAAAUUACCUGUCGAGCAAGAAAGUGGCGACGAGGAUGAACACGGUCUUAGUGAACCCGACGGCAAUCGUCGCGAUCAGCUGCUUGCCGGAGGAUGUAAUCCCGGCCUUCUCGAAGAUCCUUGGGCUGUAAAGAACAACAGCGUCGAUCCCAGAUGCCUGCUGGAAGAAGUGGAUUCCAAUUGCGCAGAUCAAGAUGUGUCGGACCGCCGGGGUGGGUCUGAGGAGCAGCUCCUUCCACACUCCCUCGCCGUGGCUCUGUUUGCUGACGGAAACGACGUCGUCGUUGCAGGAUUCGGGGAUUCCGACGGCGGCUUUGAUGUCGGCGAGCCUGGAUUUGGAUUCCUCCAGCGAAUCGGAGGUCUUGUCCAGGACCUUCUUGGCGUCGCCGAGGCGGCCCUGUAGUACUAGCCACCGUGGGGACUCCGGCAUGGCGAGGACGCCGAUGGCGAGGAAGACGGAGGGGAUAGCGCCGACGCCGAGCAUGAAUCUCCAGCCGAGGUGUUCCGGUAAGUGGGAGAAGGCAUAGUUGGAGACGUAGCCAAGUAAGAUGCCGGCGUUUAUGAAAACCUGAAAGGAAGAAAAAUGAAUCAUCGUAGAUUUAUAAUUAACCAGACUGAGUAAAAUAAAAUAACGACAAAAUCUACCAAUACUCAAAUUUAAUCAUGAUCCUCUGGAAGGAAUAAACCAUUAAACAUCGUUGUAUUUUUUCGGUUCGAUUUAGUAACCGGUUUUAAAAAAAAUCAUGCAAAAUAAUCAAACUUAUUAAAAGAUUAAUUUUGAAUUACCUCGGGGAAAGAGGUCAGGAAGCCGCGGGAAGAAGCAGGGGACACCUCGGCGGUGUACACCGGCGCAAUCAUGAGAGCGAACCCGACGCCUAUUCCGGCAACGAAUCGGCCGACCGUGAGGAACGCGUAGUUGGUAGCGAAUCCCAUGAGCAGUGCUCCGACGAAGAAAAUCAUGCCGGCGACGACGAUGGUGUACCGCCGUCCAAUCCAGUCCGACGUCCUGCCGGCGGCGGCAGAUCCGAUGAGGGAGUAAAUGUUAAGCAUCCCGACCAGCACCUCCACUUGCACGUCCGAGAUCUUGAAGUCGUCCUUGAUGAAUUUGGCGGCUCCGCUCAUCACUCCGAUAUCUGUAGAACAAAAUACAAACUUCAAUUCUUUCUUUCAAAUUCACCAAUUACAUGUUCGUUUCAACCGGUUCAAUCGUGAAUCAUAUUGAACUGAUUUAUACACUUACUCAACCAGUAUUAUAUUUUUCGAUCUAGUACACUUUUACCAUAAUUCUGAAUAUCGUUCGAAUUCAGACUUAUAUCAAUCAUAUAAUAAACCUUCAAUUUGAAUCUAACAAGUGUUCAAAAAUCAAUAAUUGGAAGAAGAAUAAAACAUCUAGCUAUACAUAUCUUUUGAAUAAUAAUUAUAUAAAUCAAAGUUUACGAAAUAAAUAUAGAAUAAUUUCAUAAUAUUUAUAUCAACUUGAAUAGUUGGAGAGGAUUAAUAAGUAAUCUCACCAUAGCCGAGUAAGAUGGAAGUCAUGGAAGCCAAAAUAGCACACGCGAAGGCAAACUUGUUCCUCUUGGGCUUCGCCGGAGGGUCGAAAUCAGCCAACUUGUUGCCCCCGGCGUUUGGAGGAGCCAUGCUUUUUUUUUUCCCUUCGCCGGAGUGAAGAAACAGAGGAUUUGCCUCCUUGUUUUGGUUUUGGUUUUGGUUUUGGUUAGUUAUCGUUUGGUUCUCUCAAUAGUGAGGCAAAUGGAAGUGGUUUUGAAGUUAUAUAUAUAGACACCCAUAUUUGCCACAUCACUUAUGGCUCAAAUGGAUUGGAUCUUUUUGUAAGGAAAGCCUUUUAGUGUGCUUAAAGAGACCAUAAAAAAAUUGCUGAUUAAUUUAAUAAAAAACUAUCAACAAAUUUAGGAUCCUUUGUUGAUAUUUUAUUUUGAAUUAUCAAACAGGUCUUGAGAUUUACUAAUAUCAUGUUAUUAGUCAUGAACUAAUCAGAUUAUAAUUAUUAAGGUAUCGACGGGUUAUGAAAUAAUCAAAAUUACAGGUCAAUUUAGAUUUUUUUUUUCUAAUGCAAUUUGAAAAUUUAAGUAGGUAAGUUAUAAAUAAGGAGAAAUUGAAAUUAGAUUGUACUUAUCCAAAUCUUUCAUAUGAUUUUUNNNNNNNNNNNNNNNNNNNNNNNNNNNNNNNNNNNNNNNNNNNNNNNNNNNNNNNNNNNNNNNNNNNNNNNNNNNNNNNNNNNNNNNNNNNNNNNNNNNNNNNNNNNNNNNNNNNNNNNNNNNNNNNNNNNNNNNNNNNNNNNNNNNNNNNNNNNNNNNNNNNNNNNNNNNNNNNNNNNNNNNNNNNNNNNNNNNNNNNNNNNNNNNNNNNNNNNNNNNNNNNNNNNNNNNNNNNNNNNNNNNNNNNNNNNNNNNNNNNNNNNNNNNNNNNNNNNNNNNNNNNNNNNNNNNNNNNNNNNNNNNNNNNNNNNNNNNNNNNNNNNNNNNNNNNNNNNNNNNNNNNNNNNNNNNNNNNNNNNNNNNNNNNNNNNNNNNNNNNNNNNNNNNNNNNNNNNNNNNNNNNNNNNNNNNNNNNNNNNNNNNNNNNNNNNNNNNNNNNNNNNNNNUGUAUAACUGAUUAAUUGAAAUUGUUUAUCACUCGAAAAAGAAAACAGAAAAUUGAUGAAAUUUAUAAUGUCACAUGUUGCAUAAUUGUUUAAGAGAUAAUUUCCAUCGUCAUUUCAUAUAACUUACUGUAUUUUUAGUUUCUUUUUUCGUUCAGACGCUAAUUACAUUCUGUUUGUUUUGAAAUUGUUCAAACAUUAAUUACUUAGAUAAUUGACUUCUUUUGCUAAUUAAUUAUCAUACUUCAUUCUUCUAUUUUUUUUAUUUCAUAUAAAAACUCUGAACGACAAUCUAAAUUGACUUAUUUUUUAUUUCACUAUUAAUGCUCGCACACCAACAAUUUUAAUAUUAUUAAAAUAAAAUGACAAAAAAUAUAGAAUAUUAUUGCCAUGUCGAUUGUCAAAGGUAAGAAGUUGACUCAAAGGAGUAUCUUGAAACUUCUAUUUCACGUCUCCCUCGAUCUCUCACGAGUCAACACACCUAUAUCUAAUUAUGAAGUUAUCGCAAGUACACUUCUCCCAGUAGUGCAUGCACAUGCCCUUGUUAUUUAAUUGUCAUUUGACCAUCCAAGUAAUAUGAGAGGAUUAAGCGAGGAUCUGACUACAUAUUUAAUUAUUUAUAAAAAAUAAAAAUAAAUAUGACAACAUAUUAUUGCCAACAUACGAUUUUAUCACUAUAACAAUUCCAUUUAAACGAAUUUUUAAACCUUAGACACGACACCGCGAAUACAUAAAAAGACGAAUGAAGCAUGGGGAUGAAUAUUGUGCACCACAUUUUGCAAUAAGUCGGGUCACCAUUAGCUAGCUAGGGGUCAAGAAUGAUGGCGGCCUUAAGUCAAGAAAUGCACGUGUUGUCUUGUUCACUCUUUGAGUUAUCGUCUCUUUAUCACUAAGGAAAACUUGGACUUGCUCGAGUCAACAUUUUGGACCAACUAGAGAUGGGGAUGAUGUAUAUUCAAAGUUCAGUGAUGAAAAUGCUCACUUAAGUCAAUAAUUAACUUCGAAAAGGUUAUUCUAACUUUGAACAAUGAAUUUCUAAAUUGAGUGACGUGGUUCUGUUUGUAUUUUGUUACUUCCCCAAAUGAUUUUUUUUUAAAAAAAACGAGUUAAUAUCAUUAUUCAUAAUUUGAUUUAGAAAUACAAUGUCAAACGUAACACAUUGUAAUAUUAAUUGUAUAUAUAAUUAACUAUGACAUUAUAUUCACACACAAAAAGGUCUGUACAUGCGAUAAUCAUUUAAGGUUUCGCCAAAUAAUCUCUAAAAUGAUGAUCGCACAUAUCCAACCACUCACAAAGACUUCAAUACAGAAGAAAAAAUUGAGGAGUUGCGACUUAAUUCAUANNNNNNNNNNNNNNNNNNNNNNNNNNNNNNNNNNNNNNNNNNNNNNNNNNNNNNNNNNNNNNNNNNNNNNNNNNNNNNNNNNNNNNNNNNNNNNNNNNNNNNNNNNNNNNNNNNNNNNNNNNNNNNNNNNNNNNNNNNNNNNNNNNNNNNNNNNNNNNNNNNNNNNNNNNNNNNNNNNNNCAAUGCGUAACUAAGGAACUAACUCUUGAAUUAAUUAUCUUACAGUAUACUUUGCUUAACCGACUUGUAUUUCUGGAUUCCUGGUCCCCUAAGGAUCGAAACAACUAUUAAUGUGACACGUAUUAGUGAUCAUAUGUUUUUAAUUAAUUUGAUUGAGAAAUAGGAAAACAAAAAUCAUUAUUCAAAAACAAGUAAACAUGUUGACUAUUAGUCUAUAACGUUGUUGUCAUCUGAAUAGCUGUAUCCUAUUUUAUAAAUAUAAACAUAUAUUCUUCGGUAUAUUUGGUAUAUCAAAAAUUUUGAUAUGCCUAAUUUUUUUAUAGGUAAUAUAAAUCAUCGUGAACGUUCAUUUUAAAUGAUCGAUCUUGACGGUCGACAAUAAAUAUAAUUUUAAAACUUAAUUACGUAUAUUGUUUAUGAUCUUGAACUUAAAAUAGUUUUACAAACUUAUCAGCCAGAUACUUUGCAACUCGGUUGCAAAUAUUCAAUUGAAUGCAGAGAAGUAAAACGAACAACAAAAACUGUGGAAGAAGACUGGAAUAAUAACAUGAUCCAUUUCUACAAAUGAUCUCUGAAUCCUUACCACAGUAUGCACAAAGCCCAUAUCCCCACCUUAGAAGGAAUCCAAAUUUAGAACAUUAUUUUUUUCCUUAUUCAUCUUAAAUAUUAUAUAUUAUGAAACAACACCCGCUUCCAAUUCCACCCAACCCAUCUGCGAAUCCUUUGUUCCUCCCAAUUGUAGGCUGUUGUUCAAUUACUAAUCAGAAUAUACGAGCUAAUUAAUCAACAGAAUUUCGCCCGGAAGAAGAAACAAGGUUCAACAUUGUGAAACCUCAAUUUUUAGGCAUUCUCAACAUGCAUGUCAAAUGUUAUUCAAUUUGAAAAUUUUCAUGUCAAAAUUGGACAAUUUUCAAAGGGUUGACCUAUGUAAAUGAGCCAUUUUGACAUGAAAAUUUCAAAAUUUUCAAAUCGGCUAAUAUUUUACAUGCAUUUUGGAAAUGGCUAAAAAUUCAAGUUUCCCUAUGGUAAUCAUUGUAAAUAAUGGUCAAAUGAAUGUAAAAUUCAUUUUUACUUGGUGUUAUGUUAGAAAUGCAUAUAGAUCCUGCCCAGCUUAGGAUUUCGGUCCCUACGCUUUCUUCAGGGCUCCUAUUGGUGCAAGGUCAGUGGCGUUCGAAAGAUAAUUCAAUUAUCUUUCUAUCCUUAUAUCAUAAGCAAUCCGAUUUGAAAAACCCAAGGAGAUAUGCUCAAUUAAAGUUGACGGGCGGAAUAUUAAAAUAUGUAUAUUUAGUAAUUAUCCUUAUUUAAAGUUACAUUGGUUAAAGUAGAAGUAAUUUUCUAGGUAGGAUUAGGAUUAUUUUAUUAUUAUUUUACUUGGGGGUUUAGUUUUUAAAGCGUAUAUAAAGGCUUGGUUAGUAUUGUGUUAGACAGAUUAUUGAUGAUGAAUAAAUACGUUUAGUUUUAUACUCGUUUGAGUGUGUGAUGAUUCCUAUUUGGAGAAUCGUUGAUUUGUUAAAGUGAGUGCCGAAUCUUGCUUAGACGAGCGUUAAUUGUUUCAGCGAGAUAUUUUUUCAACAUGCCACGGUGUAGUAUAAUAUUCGUGUACCUAGAACUAAUAAAAGCANNNNNNNNNNNNNNNNNNNNNNNNNNNNNNNNNNNNNNNNNNNNNNNNNNNNNNNNNNNNNNNNNNNNNNNNNAUGUCCCUAUAACUAAUAAGAGCCUCGUCGUAGAAAAUAAGAGGCAUAGUGCAGGAACAAGCCUCCAGACAUAAGUAUAAGUCCUUCCAAACUCAGGAAUCACAUCAAGAUGGAUCUUGUUAAUACCAGGCAUGCAUAUAGUAAUUAUGCCAAUUUUAAAAUUUUCAACACUAAUAAAACCUUUAAAAAAUAUUUUUUAAUUUCAUUUGAAGGGUUUAACAUUGUGAAACCUCAAUUUUUAGGCAUUCCCAACAUGCAUGUCAAAUAUUAUCCAAUUUGAAAAUUGNNNNNNNNNNNNNNNNNNNNNNNNNNNNNNNNNNNNNNNNNNNCACCCCAAAAUUUGUCAAUUAUCAAAGGGAACACCUAUGAAAAUGAACCAUUUUGACAUGAAAAUUUAAAAUUUUUCAAAUCAACUAAUAUUUGACAUGCAUGUUAGAAAUGGCUAAAAAAUCAUGUUUCAAUAUGCUAACCCUUAUAAAUAAUGGUCAAAUGAAUGUAUAAUUCAUUUUUACUUGGUGUUACGUUAAAAAUGCAUAUCGAUCCUACCCAGCUUAGGAUUUUAGUCACUACUCUUUCUUCGAGACUCCUAUUGGAGCAAAGUCAUGGAUAUUGGAAAAAAUAACUAAAUUACCAUUCUAUCCAUAUAUCAUAAGCCACCCGAUUCGAAAAACCCAAGGACAUAUGCUCAAAUAAAGUGUACGGGGGAAUACUAAAAUAUGUAUAUUUAGUAAUUAUCCUUAUUUAAAAGUAGAAGUUUAUUUAAUUUUAUACGUAAGAUUAGAGAUUAGUUUAUUAUUGUUUCACUUGGGGGUUAAGUUGAAAAAAAUAAUUUUCUACAUACGAUUAGGAUAUUUUUUUACUUGGGGGUUUAGUUUUUAAAGCCUAUAUAAAGGCUUGGUUAGUAUUGUGUUAGACAAACUAUUGAUGAUGAAUAAAUACGUUUAGUUUUAUACUCGUUUGAGUGUGUGAUGAUUCCUAUUUGCAGAAUCGUUGAUUUGUUGAAGUGAGUGCCGAAUCUUGCUUGGAUGAGCGUUAAUUGUAUCAGCGAGAUAAUUUUUCAAAAUGCCACGGUGUAGUAUAAUAUUCGUGUCCCUAGAACAAAUAAGAGCCUCGUCGUAGAAUACUCAUGUUGGUGAAACUUCAUUUUUAGUCAUUCCGAACAUGCCUACCAAAUAUUAGUCAAUUUGAAAUGUUUCAAUUUUUGUGUGAAGUAUAAUACUCGUGUACCUAGAACUAAUAAGAGCUUUGUUGUAGAAAAUAAGAGGCAUAGUGUAGGAACAAGCCCCCGGGCAUAAGCAUGAGUCCUUCCAAACUUAGGAAUCCCAUCAAGAUGGAUCUUGUUAAUACCAUCUUGUUAAUACCAUGCAUGCAUAUAGUAAUUAAGCCAAUUUUAAAAUUUUCAAUACUAAUAAAACCUUUACAAAAUAUUUUUUAACUUCAUUUGAAGGGUUUAACAUAGUGAAACCUCAAUUUUUAGGCAUUCCCAACAUGCAUGUCAAAUAUUAUCCAAUUUGAAAUUUGAAAUUUUCAUGUUAAAAUUGGGCAAUUUUCAAAGGGUUUACUAUAUAAAUUUGACCAUUUUCACAAGAAAAUUUCAAAAAAAUUAAAUGGACUAAUAUUUGACAUGCAUGUUGGAAAUGGCUAAAAAAUCAAAUUUCACUAUGAUAACCCUUGUAAGUAAUUAUGAAAUGAAGUUAAAAAUCAAUUUUACUUGGCGUUAUGUUAUUAUUGAAAAUUUUGAAAUCGGCUUACUUUCUGUGUGUUGAGCCAUUGUUACAUGAAUUGCGUUUUGUUGACUUCGACCAUAUACAAUUCAAUAGGAACUAGAAUGUUUUACCAUACAUUUCAACACGUACAUAUAGUAAUAAAAUGCACGGAUCGAUACGUUCAAUUAGCUUUGCAGCGGAGCGCAGAGAAGCAACAUAGUAAUAUACCAACACCAAACUCAUUGAUUGGUUUGGGUGGCAAAACAAUCAUAGAGGUUGGAUCAAGAACCAGCCAUGUGCAAUCAUUUCCCCCUGAUGGUGGGUGUCCUUGUUUAUUUAUCAUAGUCUCAUAAGGUCCUCGGUGUGAACCGGUUUGAUUUCAAUAAAACCAAAUAAAAAAAUCAAUCGGUCUCAAUAUAAUGAUUUUAACCACAUAUCCAACUAAAGUUAAAUCGAAAUCCAAAGUUAGAGAGAAUCAUGUUCUUACAUGCCUUUGGAAUAGUACAAUUCGACAAUAACGCUCAACGUCGUAACUAAGACAAAUACCUAAGUAAGCGAAUUCGUAAAUUUCCCAAUCAGCUCCAAAUACAUAACCUAGUGGAUGAUUAAAUCUAAAAGACCUUGUACAAGUCGCAUGCUCACUCCACCAUCUCCAAUAACACUGGUUAGAUUACGGAAAACGUUCAGAUUUUGAUAAAUCGAUAACCAAAAAAUUCGAGUUGCAUGCCAACCUAUUUUGUCACAAUCUAUGACAUUUGCAAUGAAACACACCACUUCUACAUAAGUCGUUUUCACAGUAGGGGAGGUUUGUGGCUAAUGUAACAAAGAUAGGGAAAGAGAUUACAUUGUAAUGUAAACCACAACUUUAUGUUUUGGUUUGGUUUGGUUAAAAUGUGGCACAUAUUUGUUACAGUACAGUUGCUUUAGUGUACAUGUUUUGUCCAAGCUUCAAUCAUGUCCAUCCAUUUCUGUCUUCUUCUGCAAUUUGGUGUUUGGAUCAGUCUUUUCUUCUCUUUUAUUCCUUUCUCCCUCUUUCACAAUCGUUGUACUUGUACUACACACACAUUUCUCCUUCUAUCGUAAACCAAGAAGGUUUAAAUUGUGGUUAUACUUGUUUGGUUUUUGGAUUUAUUUGGUGAUUCGUGGGGUUAAAAUACCUCUGAAAAUUUUGCCUUCUCAUUUUCCAAAUACUAAAUUUAAUUAAUAAAUUAGCCAAACAAUAUAAUUUCUACACCACAACUUUUACACCUCAUAAAUACCACAUAAAUAUUAGACUCAAUAUUUUCAAAUAACAUAUCAUUUUCGCUUCAAAAUACCACACAAACANNNNNNNNNNNNNNNNNNNNNNNNNNUUUUUUUUUUUUCUUAAAAUCUUUGAUUAUAGGAAAUUCCAAUCACUGUUCAUUUCGAAAAACAAACAAUAUGUUUACUAAAUACCUCUCGUUAUCUAAUAUCUCUGAUUAUUUCAAAUCACUCGUACUCAAAUCUCAAAAUCAAACGAUUUGUAAGAUUUUAUGAGUUUUAGCUAUUCAUUAUUAUUACUUCAUUCACAUAAUCAAAUACACUCUUGAGGGAUCGAAGUCUUUGACAACAAUGCAUAAGAAUUUAAGUUCCACAAUCAACAACGAAAUUCAUUUUCACAUGCAUCCUAAUUCAUUCUCACAUGCAUCCUACUCAAUAAAUAACCCAAAAAAAACCCAAAUUAUCAUGCUGUACAAGGAACAACACAAUGUACUAGUACAGGAUGGAACUACAACUAGUCAACUACCAGAGGGACAGGGGGUGUUUGGUAAUUGCCUCUUCUCUGAUGAUGAACCGGAAAUGCUUGGUAGUAGCAACCGGAAUUUCCCUUGCUGCAUCAGUAGCUCUCCUUCCAGCCGUGUGCUGUUGUGCAACGCUAACCUGGUGGCCAAAUCUGAUGAGAUUUCGAGGUCUGUGUUCCCAUCUUCUGAUGACCUUGGUAACGAUAAUGUUUCUCCUUCGGUGAAGUAGAGGACUGUUGGAGAUGACUGGAAAGUCGAGUUCGAAACAUCUAGCUUCUGCUUCAAAUCAUCAGGAAAGACCGAACGGCUUACCACCAGAGUCUUUGGUUGCAGUAUCUUCAGCAGACACUCGGUUUCUUGCAGUCUACGAAAAAACAAAGAAAAGUAAAGAUUACAACUUUGAAUUGAUGCAUCUGAGAUUGGUUUAAUGCAUCUGAAUCGAGUUUUUUUACGUACGUUCUCUCGUGAAGAAAUGAGCACUGCAGAACCUUCAUCUCCACUGGCUUGAAAGGCAAGAGGGCGAUUUCGGCAUCAAUCCCAUCCUGCAUAUUAAAAUAUCUCAACACAAAAUUCCAGUCCAAACACAGAAUUAACUAUUGAUCAUAAAGAAAAGCACCUCUAAUACAAGUAGAGAAUUCUCGUCGCUACUCCAACGCCGAAGCAGAUGAACAAGUGGACCAAGUCUUAGACUCCAAUGUGGAGCAAAUACGAUGCACGGUUCCUGCCAAGUCGUUCUGGAGAAAAAAAUGUUUAUUAGCUAGCUCCUGAACCUUGAACGACUCCUGAAGCGAAUUAAAAGCUCGAACGUGAAAAAAACGAAACAAACUUACAGUAGUUCAGGAGAGUGAAUAGCUGAAAACACAUAAAGCUUCUUGCCCUUCACAAGUUCAUCAUGCGAAAACAUAGCUUCCCCUGAAAAAAACUGCAAAGAACAUUUGAGGCCUGAAGGUUGAAGUUAACAUCUUAACAAACGAACAAGUACUCGAACUCGGGAGAUGGACUUACCUUCUCUUGGCGUGGUUUGCAUACCCAUUCAGGUAUAGUGUUCAGGAAUGCUAAUAGUUCAACAGCUGUUGAAGAGAUGAAGUAAAUUGGAACCUGUAUGAGUCAACAAAACAAUGUCAACAAUCAAAAAAUUUGAAAUAGCACAUCCAGACACAAAUCAACUUACUUCUGUUUCCAUAGACUCGAGGAGUUUCGGUAUCUCUUCCAACAGCUGCACAAAAAUUCCGAGCCGAUUAAAAGGUAUAACGACUGAACCGCCAGCUUGAACCGACUGGAGAAUACACGAGAGGAUGAAAGUUAUUUUCUCCUUUUCUUCUAAGCUCUCAUUCAUGUUCAACAAGCAUUCAUUAAAGCCCAUUGCAGAAUUAGCACCAUCGUUUUCUUGAACUUUUUCCAUUGCAGGCUGGCAUUGCACAUCUGAAUAUAGAACUAAAUCUCGUCCCUGUAACGAGUUAUAAUCAAACUUCAUAACGUGUGGAGAAACAAAUACUGAACAUGAAAUCCACGAGAUAUUCGUUUUGGGACCAUCGAUUGUCCAAUUGCAGGAGCCUAUCUCUGAGCCUGAGCUGAAUGGUUUCAAGACCAAUGUUCCAUUGUAGCAUGCAGCUUCUGCAUAUUUAAGCCUUUGCACUUUCUUCAUACAAUCCAUUAUAUCUGCUGAACUGGUCAACGCGUUGACAUUCAGCAAAAAGAUUCGAAGUUACAAGACUAUAAAUUAGUAAGGGCAGAAGAAAUCACCUGUAAAGUGGCAUCCAAGCAGCCAUAUCAGUACCAUCCUUGCCAACCACGACCUCCUUUAACUCAGGCUGGAGCAACUCAAGCUCUUCCCAUCUCAGCCAUGGAGGACCACCAGACUCCCUGGGACCAUAAAACUCGAGGAACUCUGCAUUCAUCGAGACAAGUUCCUCCAUCAUUAGCUGCGCAAGCCUUGCUGCUGCAUCAGUCACGUAUAUCUGAUGCCAUACAAACAAACGAAACCAUACAUAGUGUUAAAAAACCAAUUUCACCAUAGUGGUUGAACUCAAUAAAAGCACACACCUUUGCACAGAAGCCUCGAGUGCGAGUAAGAAAGGGCAAUCCAAGCAUUCCCAUGGCACUUGAAAUAAGCACAACAUCAAAGGAACAAGGGUCCCAGAGGUGUAGAUUCUUAGCUGUUUUAUACCAAGGUUCAUCACGAAUCAAGUCUCUUGCAUCUAGUGGCUUUUGAGUUUUCUGCCUCUUGUGAAUAGAAUCAUGGACUGAUGAUGAAUCGUCCAGAGUUUUCUCAUGGUGUACCACAGGGGAGAAGACUGAGAGUGCAGAAAGGUCAAGUGGGCAAUCCAGUAAUAUCCUGAAACCAUGGACAUUAUCUAGGAUGUGACAAGGUGGGAUAUGAUGUCCAUGGCCUCUGCUUAAGCAUGUCUGCAAUCAUCAGCUUACAGAUUAAGACAUACUGCAGGCGAUUAUUGAAAGAGCAAACAAAGCAAAAACCAGUGAAGGAAGUGAAAAAAGGAUACCUGAGUCACCAUGUGGGCAGCUGAAAGAACUCAAUCUGCAAUAAAAAUGAACAGCAACCCCACAUUAUAAAAUGUUGAUACGAAAGGUCUCAGAGAAGUGAACUGGGGAGAUAGUGAAAGCGGUUUACAGAGGAAGGGAAGGAAGAGUAAAGAACCUGGACCCUAACCCAGUCAACUAUUUCUCAAAAAAAAAACGAGUCAACUAUUUCUCAAAAAAAAAAACGAGUCAACUCGUUGGACAAGAUUGCUUCUUUACACCUUGAGGAGAAAUUAGCUCGUCGCCGGAAGGCGUGGAAAUCCCUUGUUGGUGGCCGGUCUUGAAAUUGGUAUCCGAAGACGGCGACUGUGGUCUGUGGAAGUUUGCCGUUUUGCAGCUGGUCGUGGCUUCCGGUGGCCGUAGCUCUGUUUUCCAAACUCAAUUGGUUUGGUUAAAGCCAACGAUUUUUUGUCAGGUGGUCGGCCAAGAAGUCCUUAAACUUCUUAGAGGAUGAAAGUCCCAAAUUUUUAGCCAUGUUAAAAGAUGUAAAGGUGAUGUAAUAUCACUUAAAUAAUUAUUAAAGAUAGAUGGUUGUUUGUUAAUUUAGUAAGUCAUUUAAUAAUAUCACAUAUCGUACAUAUUAUAAUAUUCAGGAAAUAGAUUUAUAAAUAAAAAAUAAAGUGAAGUUAAAUAAUAUCUAAUGAUUUUUAUUAUGUUUGUUUGUAAAAAUGAUAAUUAGAUAUUGCUAAUCAAUUGUUGGGAUAGAGGAGGUUAGAAAUUGUGAAACUAAAAUUGUUGAUGUGACGAUAAAAUUCUGAAUAGAAAUUACUAAUUUAUUUAUUUUUAGGAUGGAAAUAAUUUAAGAAAAGUUAAAAAUAAGCUUAAUCCCCAUUGGUACUUCUUUUCACAUUGCGAUUAGUUCCCAUCUCUUUGUUUAUAACCCUUUUCCUACUUUUAAUUCUUUGUGUUUGUGUAANNNNNNNNNNNNNNNNNNNNNNNNNNNNNNNNNNNNNNNNNNNNNNNNGCGCCUGUGGUCUGUGGAAGUUUGCCGUUUUGCAGCUGGUCGUGGCUUCCGGUGGCCGUAGCUCUGUUUUCCAAACUCAAUUGGUUUGGUUAAAGCCAACGAUUUUUUGUCAGGUGGUCGGCCAAGAAGUCCUUAAACUUCUUAGAGGAUGAAAGUCCCAAAUUUUUAGCCAUGUUAAAAGAUGUAAAGGUGAUGUAAUAUCACUUAAAUAAUUAUUAAAGAUAGAUGGUUGUUUGUUAAUUUAGUAAGUCAUUUAAUAAUAUCACAUAUCGUACAUAUUAUAAUAUUCAGGAAAUAGAUUUAUAAAUAAAAAAUAAAGUGAAGUUAAAUAAUAUCUAAUGAUUUUUAUUAUGUUUGUUUGUAAAAAUGAUAAUUAGAUAUUGCUAAUCAAUUGUUGGGAUAGAGUAGGUUAGAAAUUGUGAAACUAAAAUUGUUGAUGUGACGAUAAAAUUUCGAUUAUAAAUUGCUAAUCAAUUUCCCAGAGGUACAUGAUUUUAAUCCUUGACCGAACGAAGUUGGUUUCAGCUUGCCUGAAGAAUCUGUUGGUUUUAUUCAAAUAGAUAUAAAUGUGAGGAAAAGACUAUGGUGCAUUAGUGUAUACGGUAUACUCUAUCACCUAUAUAUUAUGCUUAAAACUAAGAGUUUUGAGAUUCUUGUCUGGUGUUUAGGAUUUAGGACAUAGUGGUACGUGUUUAGAGUCUAAUUAAGAGCUUUAUGAUUGGUUAAUUUAAAUUUAUGGUCAAAAGUCAGAGUUUGGAGUACGAUUAAAGAUUUGAUUUUAUUAUCAAAUGUUUGAGGGUUAAAAUUUAGCGUUUAAGGAUUUAACAUUAUCCUUUAGGGUUUAAGAUUUAGAGUUAAGAAUUUAGGAUUUUAGUGCUGAAUGUACCGUGUACACUAAUACACCGAAAUUUCGGCCAUAAAUAUGAACAAAAUAUGAGGGAAAUCACUAAAAAAUCAUUACAAAUAAAAAUCCAAAUCGAUUUCUGACCAAAAUUGGUCAGUUAAUUAGUUUUGUAUCCAUUUGACCAAUCUUAAUGCCGUAAUUAUAUUCUAUAACCACAAUACCAGAAUCUAAGGUGUCGUAAAUCACGUUUUCUGCCUCAUAUUUGGCUAAAAUUACCAAUUUAAUCGAAAUUUACAUUCAAACCGAAACUGGCUAGACUCGACAUUUCGUCCGCAUCAGAACAAAACUGGAGAACCGGAAUUAUUUGGAAUUGGACCUGCCAUUUAUUGCAUUGAGAAAAUGCAUGCGGUGGGAUUGAGUACAAUUCCGAGUACAAUUUCUGCUCUCGGAAAACUUCAUCAAAAUCAAGUUAUAUAGAGCUAAUUUUACGUUUAAUUAAUUUCAUCCAUGUAUGUUGUGCAUACAAUAGUGAAUCAUUAUCGUAAUAAAAAAAAUUAAAAGUAUGCCCGAAUAACCCAAUUAAUGUUCAAAUAAUUUCAGCAAAAAAAUCCACACAUGGCGCAAGCUAAUUUCUCUAGUGUAACUAAUUACAUCAACAGUGUUAAAAAUAGAAGAAGAAAAAUUGCUUGGAAUGGACGAAGAACCCGACAAAGUAAAUCAAACAAACAAACAAACAAAAAAGAGUUACAAAUGAUCAGGAAAUGGAGUUCCUCCAUCGCCUAGCAGGAGUCUUCCUGCUCCCCUGCUGCUCCCGUUGAUGAUGAUGAUGAUGAUUUUGUUCGCCGCCGCUUUCAUUACCAUCCAUGCCCGCCGCCUUCCCAAACAUACUCAGCUUCUUCCAACCAGCAGCCCACGCCGACGAUCCGUGUUUCUUGUGACUCGAAGUCGAAGUCGCCUUCUCGAAUUGCCUCUGCAGUGUCUCCAACUCGCCUUGCAGCUCAAGGUACUUGGCCUUCACUGUUUCCAGCUCGAACUUCAACGUGUUUAUGUCCUUCUUCGCCGUCGACCACCCUUCUUGGAACGACACUGGUGUCCCUUCCAGCAAUGUUUUCCUACUGUUGUUUGCCGCCACCAUCGGCUGGUAAAACGACGCCGUUUCUCCCGUUGUUGUUUCUUUUAGGCUGUUGUUGUUUGCCGCCAUGGCAUUGCUGAUUUUCACCUGUUCUGAGAAGAGGACUUGUACCACAACUCUGAGCGGCAGCCUUUCGUUCUGCGCCGCGUGCAUGCAAGCGUCGAUCGAUAGCUUCUGGCAGUCCAUUACCCUGCAUAGCCUCUUCCUUUCGUGCUCCGAUAGCGUCGGAUGUGCCUGCACGUGUUUAGAGUUCAAUCAAGUUAGUUACAGAAAAAAUUGGUUAAAGAGGGUUUUGAGUUCAUACCAUAAUGAUACGAGCACGGUGUGAAAAACUAAACAAAAUUUCAAGUUUAAAAGUCAAAUUCAUGAUCGAUAUAAACUUCGUUUUCAAGAACUUUACAUAGAAUAUUACCUUGAGGUAAGAAUCGAUGGCGCGGUAAAGGCCAUCGUCACAGGUCCUGGCAGAUUCAGGGAGAGCUUCAGCAAGAACCUGAAAUUUAGUCAAACUGAGGUUUCUAUCUCUAGCAACCUCAGUAAGAUAGCUAUCAACAAGCCUAGCAACUCUCAUCUUAGCACUAGGAUUGCUAACACCACCACCUCCAUGAUCAUACAUACGCUUCUCUGAAAACGGCUGACGAUUCGGACUAAAGCUCUCUGCAGUCUGUUCCUGCACAAGGAAAUGCUCCAACAGUCUCUGCACCAGAUCCACAUCGUACGUGGUCGUCGUCUGAUCCCCACCACCACCGCCGCCUUUGUUGUAGGUUGGGAUCAAAAGAUCUGCUAGCGUAGCCUGCUCGAACUGCAUUCCGACUCUCUUCUCCAGCUCGGUCACCAAAGCGGGGGCCACUUUCAACAUAUUCGCCGUUCUUAAAAGCCUGAGCAGGAAGCUGCAGGAAACGCUGUCCUUCUGAGGCGGGAUGAUGCUGAUCAAACUCUCUACAAUCAUCCUGUGGUCUUUGCUCUGGACCGAAGACGAAGGACGGUCAGGGUUAUCCUGAUCGUCCUUUGUUCCGACCACGAUCAUAUGAAGCCCUCCUUUCCAAUUGUUGUUCAUACUGCCACCGCUACCGAAGCUACAGUUGCUACUAUUACUAUUGUAAUUAGUGCUUCCUACAGCUUCCGGAUGAUGAUCAACUCCAUCUUUGACCAAUCCCGGUAGCCAUUUGGCAGCAUAAUGCAUGAUGGAAGCGCCAACCAGCUCGAACCGCAUUCCUUUCACCUUGAUCGCCGUGACAACCCUCACGAAAUGGUCAAUCCUCAGGAUUGAAACGUCCUCGAACCACCAAUCCGGUGGAACAGUGGUUCGACUUGGACUCGAUCCAUCUGCGGGACUACUACUCCACUUAUUAGGACUGGAGACCUUGACUGGCUUCCCGGUGUAAGCCCACCGGAUCCCUUUCGGGUUCGCGCAGGCUUUCCAAGCGAUCGACUCGCUGCACCGCCUCACGAUCUGCAGAUUCUCCGCCCAUGGCGAGAGAUUCUCGCAGUUUUUUAGCACCACGAUCGAGUCCCUCCACGAGGAUAGAACCACGUAGCUGAGGAACGCUUCGGUUUUGAAAAUGAGGUUGCCUUCCUCCAAAUCCUCGGUCAUUUCCAAGUACUCCGCCGCGCACCUUAGCCCAGAAAUGUUGGCUGCCGUCAGGUCGACCGCAAUUCCGUAGCAGAACUUGGCAGCAAGCUCGAACGCCUCCGAGCCUCCAGGGAUAUCGUCCAUCACGACGUUGUUCACUUCGGGCUCGCGGGAUUCAUAUAUCACUCUGUUCAUCUUCCCACUCCUGGAUAGCAAAGGGUACUGUGUUUUUUUUCCCAUGGAAACAAAUAGUCAGAAAGAAAUGUAGAAAUCGAAACGCAAACACAAACACACUACACAUAGAAUUUGUUAGUUCAGUUUUAUUUUGUAAGAAGAGUACGUCUAGUGGCGCUAUGUUGCGACCAUGCUGAAUUGCUGAUUACAAUUAUCAGGAACAAACUAAUAAGGUCGGGGUCACUGACCAAAAUUCGAAAACCGUCAAGGACCCUACAGUGCCCCUAGACGUCGUCCAACUCAACAACGAGUCGAGUUACCGUAAAGUUCUAAGUUUAGUUCAGUUACCAAUUAGUGUUCAGCUUCAAAACAGAAGGAUUAGAAUUAAGUGGUAGUUAGUUAGUACCCUGUGGAGGUGGAACUGUACAUCUCCAAUUUGAACCAGGAAAUCACUUGGAAUAUCAGUAGCAACAUGCCUGAAAUAAAAGCACCCAUUAAAAAUAAGCGGAUUAGUGGAAGCUUGAAGAAUUUUCGAACCAGAAACAAGAACAUUCAGUUUGUGCUUAAUUACCAGGAACGGUCUCGGAGCUCAAACCCAUCAGUGUGGAGUGGGGGUUUGGUGGAGGGAAUAUUAGCUCCUCCUCCGUUGCCGCCGUAAUCUCGGGCGGCGGCACCGGAAUCACUCUCGGAAUCCCACAUUAAUGACGGUUGUUGGUUGGUUGGUUAUUAGUGAGAAUUGUGGAGGUUGGCAAUGGUAGAUCAUAGCAGAGCAAAAAAUUGGGAAGUAAAUAGUAGAGUGAGAAAUGGAUUAGAAGAAUGUGGGGGGACAAAGAGAUGAUAAAAUUUCCCCACAUGGGUUGCCUGGAGAAAUUAUUAUCUCCCAAUAAUUGUGGAUAUCUAUCUUCCUUUUUCUGUUCACCACCCUAACUUCACCAAUGUUCAAACUCGACUUGUUACAUUUGAAUUAUAUUCGUGAACAACCUUUGACGAGUGUUAAUUUUAAAUUCAAUUUGAAUCUUGUAUAUUAAGAAAAUCUCUACGGAUGUGAAGUCACUUUUUUUAUCAGCACUUCACAAAUUGUAUAUGACUCUAUAGUCUUGACUAUCCGAGACAAAGACAUAAGUUGCGAUAUUCAGCCUACUAACAAGCUCAUACAAUCGACUUAGUAUUCGAAAGAAAAUACAAAUUGCUUUUGUUCAGCUUACUAAGCUUGUAUAUUCAAACUGGUUCGCAAAUUAAAUCAAAAUGAGUUAUAAAUAAAUUUUUUUCAAACCGAACAUUGAUCAGACCCUAUUUACUUUACGUGCCAUUGAAAUUCCAGGUUGUGAAGUGAUGGGCUUUGAGGGUGUGCAGUGAUGGGCUUUGUUGCUUGUUGUUAUUAGGAUUAUUCUCCCCAACUUUCUCCCUCUGUAGUUGUACUGAGCUUCGUUGGACAAUUUGGAAAAAAGGAAGAAAGAAGAAGACAACAGAUUCUGUGGCAGGGCCAACCCUGGAUUUUUUNNNNNNNNNNNNNNNNNNNNNNNNNNNNNNNNNNNNNNNNNNNNNNNNNNNNNNNNNNNNNNNNNNNNNNNNNNNNNNNNNNNNNNNNNNNNNNNNNNNNNNNNNNNNNNNNNNNNNNNNNNNNNNNNNNNNNNNNNNNNNNNNNNNNNNNNNNNNNNNNNNNNNNNNNNNNNNNNNNNNNNNNNNNNNNNNNNNNNNNNNNNNNNNNNNNNNNNNNNNNNNNNNNNNNNNNNNNNNNNNNNNNNNNNNNNNNNNNNNNNNNNNNNNNNNNNNNNNNNNNNNNUGGAAAAAACAAAAAGGGGAAAGUUUCUGUAUAUCGAUAGCCACAAAGUCACAGUUGCAGUGUAGGGAUGAAACUGCUGAUGUAAUAAUGGUAGAAUAAGAACAUAGCAGGUCACAUUCAUGCUGUUGACUGUUUUUCUUGACUUUGUGUUGACGGUUUUCAUAUUAGGUCAGUGUAAAAAGGACGAGUCUGCUAGGGACGAAGAAUCGAAAUUGGUUGUGAUAUUCUUGUGAUACUGAGUUAGGGAAGAAGUUUGUAACUGUAUCAAGGUGUACUGGCUAUGGAAGUUGAGUAGAGGCAAACCAAGUUUAAAAAGGUGAGUCUUGCUAGGUACAAGAUUCAAAAAUUGACUCGGGAAAGGGCGUAAGUGUAACACAGAACGGAUCAAUUGAUCUGGUCUGGCCAUGAGAAUCAUGGAAUAGGAAGUCAUUAUGAUUGAACAAACCUGUGAUUUUUGUGCUAAGUCUAAUUGACACAUUCUGUAUACAGUUGGUUUUGCACACCUUAAAACAUGGUCUCAGGAGGAUCACAAAAGGGCAACAGGUGGCACUCCAUCGAUGCAUCUCCUCUCAAGGCAAAGCUAGCUAACAAAUUCUGCAUCUUCCCAAAGUCAAAGAACCUAGCAAGCUACACUCGUGGCGACACGCCAGUUUACCUCAAUGUGUAUGACCUCACUACCGCAAAUGGUUAUGUCUACUGGGCUGGCCUUGGAAUCUUCCACUCUGCAGUUGAAGGUAAUAUUAUGAUGAUUAACCCUUUCAUAUGUUGUUGGAUUGUUUAACUUGUGGAAUAAUGAUGAACUUUGCAAACAGAACCGUUUGUGUGUUUGCAGUUCAUGGUGUGGAGUAUGCUUUCGGAGCCCAUGACUUCUCGACCACAGGUGUCUUCGAUGUAGAGCCACGAAACUGUCCCGGUUACUUGUUCAGGAGGUCCUUGUUCAUGGGGACGACCACGUUGGAUCCUAAGCAGGUCAGGGAAUUCAUGGAGCGUCAGUCUGCUAACUACAAUGGUGAUACGUAUCAUUUGAUCUACAAGAACUGCAACCAUUUUAGCCAGGAUAUCUGUUUCAAGCUCACCGGGAAGUCUAUCCCUAAGUGGGUCAAUCGGCUCGCAAAAAUAGGUAAUCUUCGAUGCAAGUGAUUCGAUGUUUCGAUAGAUAAAGACUGCAUCUUGACAUCUCUGUGAAUAGGUCAAUGAGGGUAUCUGAUCUGAGUCAACCGGGUUACAAGUUCUUGAUUUUGUUAUAGUAACUCAUUGCUGAUGGGAAUGGACCUCAUUUUGGCGUUGUUAAGAACUGUUACAACUUAUGGUCCGAGUCAACUGGGUUACAAGUCAUUGACUUUGCUGAUACGAUUAGGAGAAGUUCAAUGCAUAGCAUAUUGAGGUCAAUGGGGUCAAUAUGAAACGGGUCAACGGGGUUACGUGUGGUUGACUCUUUUGCAUUCUAUUCGGGUUGCAGGUUCUGUGUGCAACUGUGUUUUACCGGAGACGCUAAGGGAUCCGAGCGGAGCCCACGAAUCAAGUAGCCAAGACGAAUGCGAGAGCGAGAAGAAGAGGCUUAGGAGAAGUGCAUUCAGUGCUGGGUUUUCAUCAAUGUCGAUCUCUCAAGCGGAAGUUUCCAUUUCAUCAUUGUUCAGACAUUCUUACUACAACAACACCCGCCAUGGGAGUUGAAAGAAGUCUGGUGUAUACAGAGUCAGUAAAGAAGAAGAAGUGAAGUGAUGUCAGCUCUCACUGUGUAAUUGUUUAUUAUUUAUGAACAUCAUGCCCCCUCCUACAUUGGCUGGAGAUGCCAUUUCUGUAUCUGCAUCCAGCUUUUGCAUUUUGGAUCCUCAUAUUUUAAUUCUUUUGUCAAUCUAUUUUCCAAUUGACCCUUAAAUAUGAUUUUUUUAUGUAAUUGAGUAUUGACCCAUGAACUCAGAACAUAAUUAACCUUCUUAACCAAUAACCCAGAUAACCUCGAGAUCCAUACAUAAUCAUUGGAUUAUUAACUGAUCUGUCGGUUGUUUGAUUGUUUCUUUAUACCAGCUUAGAAACAGCUAAUAACACUGACAAAGCUAAAGUUGAGAAAACACCAGCUCAAUUGCUCACGCUCUGUUUUUUCCCCUGUCUGUCAAAUUCCCAAUCUAGAUUCAGUAAUUCAGCUAACAGAACCCCAGAUAUCAGAGCUGAAAUUGUGAUCCAUAUCGAUCCGGCCGCAAUUCAAAAUGGGUAAAGGAGGUGGGUGUUUCCCCAGCAAGACAAUGCCUCCUCCAUUAAUCCAACCUUCUCCAGCUCCAUUGACUCUCCCAGAACAAAAAAACGAAACAACCAAACCGAUCAAGAAGAUAUUCAUAAUCUACUACACGAUGUACGGCGCCGUGGAGGCCCUGGCGAGGAAAAUGAAGCAGGGAGUUGACUCGGUCCAAGGAGUUGAAGGGCUGUUAUACAGAGUUCCAGAGACUCUGUCAAUGGAGACUCUGUACCAGAUGAAAGCCAAGGAAACUAGCAAAGAAGUGCCUUUGAUACGCGUGGAAGAGAUGGUUAAUGCCGACGGGUUCUUGUUCGGGUUCCCGACCCGGUUCGGGUCAAUGGCUGCUCAGAUGAAGGCGUUCUUCGAGGGGACGGAGGAGCAGAAGCUGGCAGGGGUACCGGCUGGGUUGUUCGUUAGUACUGGUACUCAAGGUGGCGGCCAAGAGACUACUGCGUAAGUUUCUAUUUAUAGAUGGAGCUUUCUCUGUUCAUUCUGUUCAUCAUACUUAUACCUUUUGAGUGACGCAGGUUGACGGCGAUCACUCAACUGGCGCACCAUGGGAUGAUCUACGUACCAAUUGGGUACACAUUUGGUGAAGAAAUGUUCAGAAUGGACGACGGAAUCAGAGGAGGGUCGCCGUAUGGUGCGGGUGUUUUCUCAGGUGAUGGAACAAGGCAACCCAGUGAGACUGAACUUGGUCUUGCUGAACACCAGGGCAGAUACAUGGCCACUUUGGUCAAGAGAUUUGCGGCCUCUUCUUGAUGCUUUCGGUUUGCGGAGAUGGUAAGCUCGCUCGAGGCGUCAAUCGAUUUGUUAACCGAAUUCGAGAUGGUCGACUGGGCAUCGAUCGAGUUUUGACUCAAACUAUUUUAUAAUUUUUUGUUUCCAAGAUUUGCCUCUUGUUGAUGGUAAUAGGUUUCUUUGAUUGAGAUUGUUUGUGUGAAGUGCUAAAUGAUUAUGGAAUUCAAAACUUUGUGGUUAAAUCAUUUCGAGGAGAUGUGGUGAUUGAUUUUUUUCAUAAAUAAUUUGGCGGCUCAUUUUUACAUGGCAUAUUGAUAUGAUAUUUUGUUAAUAAUACGAAUGUUAUUUAUCGGGGUUGAAUUUAAGUGAUUGAUUGAAUGAUUGUGAUGAUACGAAUCUCAAUUAUAAAUCAUUAAAUUAAUUGAAUUUGUGUUGAAAUUAUCGUGAUAAUAUAAAGUCCGACAUUUAAAGUAAUUAACCAUGUAAUUUCAAACAAUCAAAAAAACCACACCAGUAAAUGUUCAAGUGGAAUUGCUUUAACGUUACAGUUAUGUACUGACGGUUGAAAGUCCCGAAUUAGAAUUCAAUACACCCCCACAAAAUAGACCUUUGUAAUAUAUAUUUUUUUAUAUUUUUUUAUCUUGUACGGAUUGAUAACCAUUAAAAAUUUAACCGGGCAAACUGGUUCGGUCCGUUCAAAACUUUUUCCCAAAACCGGUUAAAUUUUUAGACUUGGCCCUUCGUGCCUGUCCGAUUCGGUUCUCAACACGGGCAAAAAGCCGGGCCUAGCCACGCCGUCGAAACAAAUAAUCAAAACCAGAAGAGACGGAUUCAGAUACACUAACAGUACCGACGUGAAGAAGAAGAAGAAGAAGAAGAAGAAGAAAAAGAAUGGCGACCGAAGAGGAGAGUGCAGUUAAGGAGCCAUUGGAUCUCAUCCGCCUCAGUCUCGACGAGCGCAUCUACGUCAAGCUCCGCUCCGACCGUGAGCUCCGCGGCAAGCUUCAUGUUCGUCGUCCUCCUCCUCGUUUCUUUAUCCCGUUUCGAGCUUUUUACUCGCGUGAACAAACGGCUGAUCCUUUUCAUUUCUAAAAAAUCUUUGCUGGAAAUUGUCUAGGGCUUGUGCCGACUUGUUCUACUCUGAAUUUUGUAAAAUUAGGGUUUCUGCUUAGUCAACGUUGGCAUAAGUCGUAGAACAUGAAUUGAGUAGUGAUAGAGGUACUUUUUUCGAGAUGUGAGGUGCUUGGAUCUUGUUUCGGUGGUCGAGCUGAUUCAGCUGUAGCUUCAGUUUUGCCCUUCAGUCUAUAGGCACUGACAAUAAUCUUGUUGUUCUUGGAGUUAGAGAUCUAAAGUCCGGAUAUUUUACCAGUAAUCGACGGUAAAGUGUGUGAUUAGAGAUAUGGAGACCAUGAAUGUCCCUCAGAUAAGAGCAUUUUAUUCCAAAAUCCCAUCAUUUCAUCUUUGCAUCUUGGCUGUUGAUGAAACUCUUAUCUUUGUCUGGGGCUCUUGGCUGUUCAUAACUUUGUUAGAGACAUGCGUGUUAUCAUCAUUUGAUCGUUGCUUCAUCUUUAGUUGCUGACUUAUUUUUCGUAGGCUUACGACCAACAUUUGAAUAUGAUCCUGGGGGACGUGGAGGAAACUGUGACUACAGUGGAGAUUGACGAUGAAACUUACGAAGAGAUUGUCAGGGUACGUAGCAUGUGUUUUGAUAUCUAGAAGUAGCCUGAAACUGUGAUUUAUGGUCUAUGAUGGUGCAACUUCUUAGCCAGUUGGCUACAAUCUACUCGAAAACUCUGAUGGAACUCUUUUCGAAAACUUUCCACUCUGCCGCACUUCUCCUUUCAUAUCGUUCUUAGUUUCGGUUUCCGUAUCAUAUCUGCUGAAGUAGCUAACCUUGCUGUUCUUGUCUUCCCUUCUUAUUCCAGCACACAAAGCGCAAUGUACCGUUCCUGUUCGUCAGGGGAGAUGGAGUUAUACUUGUUUCUCCACCACUGAGGACAGCUUGACGAUGAAACUCGAAGCUACAGUUUGGGAUUCCGAUUUUUAGGAACCCGCUACUGUAAUCUUUCUGUACUUGCCGAGUCACCUUAGUGAUCAUUGUCGACUAUUAAGCUAGCAUGUUAUAAUCUCGUGUUUAAACAGCUGUGCGAGUACUUGCUUAACUAGAAUUUUGUUGUUGAUGAAGAUCAGUUGGCUUUCUUUGUCGUUCAGUCUUGUCGAGGAGUUUUUUGUGUGCCAGAGACGAGAAAUGGAGUUGUGAGCUUUCGAAUGCUUCCGGGUGUUACAAAUAAGCGUAGAUUCGGAAAUUUGAUACCUGGUUGAAGUUGAAUUGCAUCCUUAAAGAAAAAGGCCAGAUUGUGAUAAAGAAUUACAAUCCAAUAACAAAUUAUAGCUCAAUACAUAUUGAAGCAAAAGAAAAGAGCAGAGGUUAAAUAAGAACAGUGAUUCAUUCAUUCUUCACACUACUGAAUCUACAAUCGCUAUCAUACAACAGCUAAACUCAAUACACAAGGGGCGGAAAACAAGAACUCCAUUGUGAGGAAACGAUGACAUGGCACGAUCAUCGUCCAUUCGUAGACUACCUCAGGCGAAAUGCAGGAGGAGGUGGCACUACCGGCUUUAUGGUCUGUACAUAGUGUUGCGGGGGAGAAUCCAUUGCGUCGCCCCGCAAGUCGAAGGCUUUGGCGGAUUCAGGCACCGUGUCCAAGGGAGUCGACUCGAUGAAGCAUGCUGUGUUGAUUCGAGUCCUCUCGAGCUCGUCUUGUAGCAGUUCAGAGCUGUAUUGCUGAGCAAGAGCCUGAAACAAAAGGGUAGCAGCGUAUUAUAUACAGUGCCACACUGACGGAAAAAUGAAGCAAAAGCGUAUAGAUGAAACCGGAAAUGAGAUUUCUUACGAUUAGGUCGUCUGGAGAUACUGUUCCUUGUUGUCUGUCGUCAGAAGCUGCAUCUUCGCUCCCACGAGUCGGCCGGCGUUGGUGGCCUGGAUUCUCGGCGAUUUCGGAGACGUUCUCGGUGGCUUUCUCCAACAGCACGCCUUGCAAGGACUUGAGUGACUCUCUUGCGGGAGGCGUGAAGUAUGGAUUCAGUAUGGUCUCGAAGUAUUCGAGCUGCAAAAAACGAGCGAAACAGAUGCCACGGUUAUCAUAGAAGACCACAUUGAAUCGUUUGGAUUUUAGGACAAGUAACUCAACUCUAGAAAUCAUCUAGUGUUGAAGUAAGAGAACUAACCUCAAGCAUCAGUUGACAAAAACCGUUCGUAUCUAAUGACCGGAAAUCACCUUCUUCGUUUUCAUGGAAAAGGCUGAGAAAAGUAUCGAUCAGACCUUCGACAAGAAUGCCGAUAGUUUUGUCUAAUAGGGGCUUGGCACCAGCAAAUACCUGCCAAUCACAUAGUAAUAACACAAAUCAGCUGUCUUUAAAUAUUACGAGCAGAAACCACAAGGAUGAUCAUCCCGAUGAAGAUUGAUUACAAUCAACCAAGCCUUCAUCAUGGCUCUAAUCAAGUGUAGGAUAAUCUUAUGGUAUAAUCCACAUUUUUUCCUAGAAUUAGGGUAGGAUAAUCUUCGGCACCAUGAUUCAAUUUCUUUGUACCUCUGCAUGCACUGAGACCAGAGUGUGCAACAACUCCACGGCUGCAUCACGAACUCCCUGAAGGAUGGUAGAAAUCUCAAAGUUACCGUCCAGAAAAGAGAGUUAAUGGACGAUUUGAAACAAAUGGAACUCACUUUAACAGGAGGAGCUGCUCCCCAUUGAAUGCCAGAGUUGAGCAAAUAGUUCAUAGCUGCUGUCCUUAUCAAAUUUGCCUGUAGCAAGAAACAGAAGGCAAUUAACGUAGUUGGAGCUAGCAUUUCGUUAUCUCAAAUUGGAAGAUGACUACUGGUUUUAAAUGCAACUGAAAAUCUACGAGAAGGAACAUAAUUUCAUGCAAAGCACUCAUUGGGGGUUAUUUCCAAGCUAUCAAGGUUUGAAGGCCAAACUAGAAAUCUGCAACAACCUUAUAUCUCAUUGUUCAGCUCAACAGCUCGAUAAAAAACCACCGGGUACAAACUACAACUAGUCAACUCAGCAAGUUAUAAAGAGUCACAAAAUGGGAUGUAGACUCAUUAUACUACCACUCUAGGUUUAUUCAUCAACCAUUCCAAAUAUCUACCUGAGAGUAAAUGGGUUAGUUUUAUAUCUUUCAAUCAAAUAAUCAGGCGCUAUAAAAAACUGUUUAUUAUGGAGUAUCACCACAUUCUACCAGUGGGUUAGCUACCUAAGCAAAGCCUUCAAACUCCAAGUGUGAGCAUAGUGUCAAAAUAAGAUGUAUUGUACCUUCGCAAAAGUAUAUUGUUCGAGGACCUUCUCUUCAAGACCGGAGAAAGAGGUCACCAAAUCUUGUAUGUCGAUAUCAUCUUCAUCACUUUCUCUGUGGAAGAACAGGGAAUAACAGAUGGUGAACAUACGAGUUUGAGCACAAGCAAAAAAGUUGCACGUGAAAUCACUAAUGUUGAACCGAAAUGAAACUCGAUCAAGAUUAGCCAUAAUCACGUGGAUGUUGACGAUUAGAAGCAACUUAAGUUGGGGCGCAAUUUGUCCUCGUGAAAUCACUGUAGCUAGGAGUGCCGAAGCACGAUAAAUCAUUCAUCUCUCUAGAAGGGGAAAUGUGAGAUAAUUACUUAGUUUCAGGCAAAGAAUAAUUCCAGGUACUGUACAGAAUACGACCAUAGAAAUUGCAGAUAUUAUAGGUGCCACUCUGGCAUAUUUUAUGCUUCAACACCCGGAAAAAUAUUGAAAGGCCUCGAGUCAUCUACGAACCUGGAUUGCAGCCAUAUACACUUGUACUUUUUGAAAAGCUCAUGUGAAAGUUCGUCUUUGCAGUAUCCAAUAUUACUCAACACAAUCAGCAGCUUUUGAUGUGCAUUAACAACAGUUCCUGGGAGACUAGACGACUUCUCUUCAACUUCAUGAAUAUACCCGUUCUGUAAAUUUGAUUUAUUUUGCACUAGCUCAGUUCCAAUAUGUUCCAGAUGACCUAGUCACGGCACACGAGCAGGUACGGGUCAGGAGUUUAUAAGUCUGAAAACACCUCAAACACAAAACACUGGUCAUAUGCACCUGCAAAGUCCAGAAAACAGUUAAAGAAGGCAAGUCUGAUAGAUAAUUGAAUUUCCUGAACUUGCGCAAAUAUAUCUUCCGACUUCCCAGCCUCGCUCUUCAAGGACUGAAUCAACCUGAAUAAAAAACUUGAGGUAAGCCGCAGGAGUAUAAAAGUAAGAUUCAAGAAAGACAACAUGGUUUUCAGCUUUCACAAGCUACGACCACGGUGCAAAGAUUAGUUUGAGCAACUUACGAUCAAUAGAAAUGUAGGCACUGGUGAAAGAAAUAUUAAUUUGAGCUUAUGAAGAUCGGGAAGGAUACAGAUGAGUUUAGCAGAUGAGGGUAUAUUUGAACAAAGUUCUAUUUGAUCAAGCAUCUCAAGAAAGAGAAACACAUGCCUUCCAUACACAAUCAUGAUCACGUAUGUAUGUCAAGCACUUAUCACUCGAGGGCCAUUGAUUCAGACAAGGAAGAAUACUGCAACUAAGAAAUAAUUUACCAUAAUCUACCUUAAGAGACAUAAAACUAACACUAAUGAUGAUUUCUAUGUAACUAGGAAAGUCCAGAAUACAAUUACAUUUACAAGCGAGAUGCAGAAUGGUUGAGAUAUGAUUUACUGUCCUAAUCUAGUGUAGGAAUAACCCCAAUUAUUCCUAAUGAGGUAGACCGAAUAGGAGAUAUAUUUAGUUACUUGUGCAGGAAGAAACUUCCUUAUGUAAGACUCCUACUUAUGGUAGGAGUCUUUUGCUUCUAGGGUAUAUAUAUAUACCCAUCGGCUGGGAGGCUCUCUCUAAAAAAAAAAAAAAAAAUCUUUUAGAAUCAAUAAUUCUCUUUCUAUCUCUCCCGUCUCUUUAUCUACCUCUAUUCUAAACAUCUAGUGACCUGCAUCACAUGACUUACAGAUUGAUCUGAUCCAUUGCUGAUGCUACAACCGAGCGGAAUGCAAGAGGCAGGAACGAUAUAGUGUACGGAGAUUUGUUCCUUUCCAGUAUAGACACAAGAGUCCAUGUUUCGUCUUUUGACAUCUCUGCAGUGGUUGCCCGCAUCCAGGUACAAAGUCGGAGUAUGUAUAUCUUUGUGAUAUCAGCCUGAAGAGAUUUGAGUGCCAAUGCUGCAACAAAAUGGCAAAACGAUUACAAGAUACAACUACGUAUAGAAGUUAUUUAGCAAGGAAUACAUACCAGCAGUAGGUGGAGCCGAUUCUUUCACUUCAAAACCUUUGCAGGCUUUGGAUAUUUCCUUUAUGGCAUCACUCAUAUAAGAACGAAGAAUGUUUGCUUCCUCAAGGUCAUGAAAUGUGGUGUGAACCUGUUUCAGAAGCAUACAUAUUUAAAAGAAGAUACUUGACCAUUUGCUGAACUCGUGGAUGAAAAAGUAACCAUGCUGUUGUUUAAAAUACGGUAUUAUAAUGAUUCCUCGGGUACAAACUCAACAGCCAUACAGCUUCACUCAUCCCACAGGUAUCAAGGCAGUUACAUAUUACAUAGAGGGGUCAAGGCACCUUUUUAAUCUCACAUCUAAUUCCAAUUUUUCAGUAAAAUACAAAUUGCUACAGUUUGUUGAAUUAAGGUAAUUAUUGCUCGAAGGCACAGAACCUGAUAUUUGUGUCUACAAUAAUACCGAGUCCAACUUAAAACUGACAACAAUUGCUGUGUUUGUACUUUCUACCAGAAGAAAGUACCUAUCAUAGACAGAAUUGGCCAAUAAGACAUAUUGAAAAUACGUGAUGGCAUGAAAACAAAAAAUGCUUAAAGUUCGGCUGAGACACAGAAUUCUUAGUCCUGACCAGGCACACAAACAAUUAUAUGGCAAUCAAGGUACUCAAACCCACUAUAAUCCUACUUAUCUUUAUUUCUUUCUGGAAAGUAAAAUAAUGCUACUAAGACUAUACAAGCAUGGCCAUGAGAACUAUAGUACUAACAGUUAAAUGGAUGAGCACACACCUUUGAUCCGUAUGCCUUGAUAGUACUCCGUAUCAUCCCAGCAACUUCAUCAAGAGAAUGAGUCGAUCUCACAUCAACGACUCUUUCCUCGGCCUUAUUUGAUGUUGCGCUAAGCUUUGACUCAACAGAAACUUGGGAAGACUGAAAGGAAAUAUGUUAAUCAACAAACGGAGUGCGUAAAUCCUUCACAAAAGUUGCUUGAAUAUUUCGGUUCACUUAUAAACAUCAUUUAUUAACUCUUUCUUAAAGGACACAAUAUACAUUCACAAUAAAGUAUGGCAUAGAACCAAGUCUACCAAAAGUCCAGAUAUCAGAAACGCUUAGUACAGCAUGAACAUUGCUAAUAGGGCAGUAAUAAGUCACAGCAGUUAAUCUGUGGUGAUCUUCCACUGCAGAAGCGGCUACAGGUACCAUUUUAAAUGUGGCCAUCACAGAAAUUUUGUAAUAUACAUGGGAAGAAUACCUUAGCAAAUUUCCCACUGAAAACAGAAAGUGCUACUUUCCAGAAGGCUGGUAUGUGAUGGACAAUUACAGCAGUUAAUCUACGGAUAUGCUUUCCCCUAAGAGCAUCAACUUCUUCACCAGUUAAAACCAGUGAUUGCACAUCCACUGGAUCCACAUCUGACUGACAACAACGAGUAACGAGGAAGGAGUCAGUUUGUCUUCCAGAAUCAAGUUAACAUCAAACCCCAUGGAAAGAUUUAACUUCUUCACUUACAGUUUCGUUUUGAAUUUGCCUCCAUUUUGCAUCCAAUAGAGCUCUUUGUUUCAUCUCAUUAUACAACAUUUCCAUCCGUGCUUCAUGAUCCAAUGAGCAUUUCUCAAGCAAACCACGAAUUCUGUUAUUCUGCAAAAUGAGAUAACUCUUAAGAGCUGAUUGCUCACACUCAGAUGAUGUUCUUUCUUUUAAAUACAUGUCAGAGACUCGUGAGGGAAAUUCUCCUAGUCAGAAGCUGCAACAGCAGUUCAUGGUUCACAGAUUUUCUAAGUUUUAUUUACAAGAUACAUUGACUUUACAAGCAACUGAACUAAAAAUGUCACUUAUCGAAAUUGCACAUGGAGAAAAUAAUAGAAAGAGACGAAACUAACAGUUCUGAGAUAACAAUUGAGGACGAGCAAUAGUUAUAGAGAUCGGAAGAGCGUCGUGUAGGGAAAGAGUGUAGAUCUCGGUGUUCGCCGUAUAAUUUAAAAAAAAAAAUAGAAUCAGGUUCUAGCUCCAACAAUAACCUGACUGUGUUCUCGAGCUAAAAAAGAUUAAGAGAAUAGUUGUAUAAGGAGUCAAAAGGAAGAAUACUGAAAAGAACAAAUAAUCCCAUCAAUUUUAACAUAAAAUCUAUCUGCAAAACAUCUAACUUUAUUGUAUUCACCACAUUGCUAAACUAGGUAAUACCUUUUACGAGUUUCCUAGCUCUACAUCAAGUAUAUCUGAGGUACAACAAAUAGCUGGGAGAGAAACCAAUGACUUACAUUGGUCAACUCUAUUUGCGGAUCCUCCAUGGACUUGUAUAGUGUUCCCUUAAACUCAUGCAUCACUUUUUCAACCUCUUCAAGAACACGUUUCAAUAUACUCACCUGAAAUUCAAUUCAUAUCCAUAAGAAUCUAGUAAACCUAGUAAUGAGAUUACUAUGAGCACAUAUAGACCAUUAGACCUUCAGUGUUCACUAGACUGAUAUGGAAAACCUUAGAAACACAAAUUUAAGAGAAGGCUCUCUGUACUAGGAGCCAAUAUGAAGAGCACAAUUACACACAUGAGAAGGAAGAGCAACUGAUUUCGCCUUCUUAUACUCUCUAACAGCCAAAUCGUAUUCACCCUUGCUAAGGCUUCCCCGAAUUGUGCUUGGCAGGUUGAAUAGUGUUCGGAACCUCUGAAGCAUGCCUUGGACAGACCUGAUUUUCUCUGCUUGGGCCUUCAAUGAUAAAGAAGCCAAGUUUAAUGAUCCAUUUAAAAUGACUGAGAUGUAACUAAGAAUUGAAUGAUUUAAAUAAAAAGAAAAGGAGACCAUAAUAAUCUCCGAACCUGUCUUUCAAAUAGAGGUUCAAAUGCACGAACAGCAAGUGAACUGACUCCUUGCAUGCUAUUAUACAGAUGAGAAGUCCCAGAUCCUUCUGGAUCUUCUUCUAUCCGUCUUAGUUUGGAUUCAAUAUCUGCAUAUCAUCCAUUGAUACAAACAUUUUGUGACAAAAAAUAUAGCCCUUCUAAGUAACACACUAGACCAAAUGGAAAAAAAAAAAGAUUAUCGUCAGAAAAAAGGCUUAGUUUCAAAUGGAAUGCACCGCUCGCUUGCCAUUAAUAAAUAUCCCAAAAGUGUACUCUUCAUAAUAUUUCCAUACCAUCAAUUGUAGUUUUGCAAGAGACAAAACAAUCAAAAUUGUCCUUCACCAACUGUUUCCUCUGCUGGGUCCUUCCUUUGAGAUCAGUUUUUAGAGCUAGGGCACCAGCCUCCAAAUCCGCUGCACUGGUAACUUGGUGUAUUCGUGACAGGAACAGCUUUGCAUCAAACUUGUCAGACAAAUAUAACAAUUUCUCUGUCAAUAUGUACAAAGGGAUGGGGUCAAUAAGAAUGAAUACCAGAAUCUGAAGAUGAAAACGUGCAGCAUUAAUUUUUUUCUUUAUUCGUAGUGGAACUAUAAUGUUACAACAUGCCUACUGUACAGGAAGAAAAAUCAAUGAAAUCCUGUAGAAACCUCACAUAAAAGCUGGACAAAAUAUAUGGGUGCUCUAGACCGUAAACCUUAUAAACCCAUAGAAGUCAAAUAAAACUGUUUGAAGCGCCAGAACAAUUAUAAUUGCUUAUAUAGUAUAUGUAAACUGCUCUCAACAAUUCAUACAGCGCGCAAACUUUAACAAAAAUAGUUAUAAUGACCCAAUUCUUCAGUAAUGCAGGCCUUCUGGGGCCAGAAUUAGGUAUUUUCUUUCACUCUAACCACAGCAAAGUUAAAAUAGAAAGUAUAAAUCCAAUCAAGAAGACAAGACCAUUGCAUAGCGAAAGAAACAAAUAUCAGUGCAGAGACCACAUCAAUCAACAAUGACAAAAGAAACAAGUGAUGGUGUUCAGUGAAAUGCAGUUUCGUGGAAGGACAUAAAGGAACAGAUGGAUAAAGAAGAGAGAGGUACCUCGUAGAUUAUUGUCUAUAUCCUUUUCGGACUUCGUUGGCUCACUAGCUGAUCUCUCUGUGAUCAACCUUAACGUUCUGUUAUCUAUAAUCCUGCACCAUAUCAUAAGUUUAGUAAAAAACAGAGGAGCUAAAGACCAAAAACCAAAUGUUACAAACAAUGAUUGUUCAACAAUCAUCAAAUUGUCAUCUUAAGAAUCAUAGAAAUUCAUGCUUCCUCUAAUCAAGAUUUAAGUAAUUUGAAUCAAACAACAAAUAUCAUACCAUUCAAAUAACUAGAAUUAUCGAGGUUUCAAACUACUACAAGCAACCACUUGAACCCCCUAUUAUAACAAGAGGCAUCAGGACUCAACCAAUCUAAACGGAGUUGCUUGUAACCAGAUCAAUAAUUUGCAGUGGAAGAUGGACUAGAAGCUUACCCCAAUCCUAAUGGAUCUAUACACUCCAUUCCACGAGGGAAUGACAAUAGACUAGUAAGCCCCUUUCUAGUAGUAAAAGUUGCAGGCUUGGCCUCAAACUUUUGGGCCGCCGGUGCUGUUCUUGACUCUCGCAUUUCACGAACUCUCCUAGCAAGCUGUCAGGAUAAUUAACUAGUAAGUAAAUGUUUUAUCACAUAUAAAAAUGAAACUCGUACACUAAAGAAGCAAAAACAAGUGUUGUCCUUAUUUCUCAAAACUUCACUUGGGGCAGCCAAUGAAUUAGUUCAUCCAGUAGUUGAAGUAUCAGUUGAUAGGAGCAAGAGAUUCCAGUCAACUUUUUCCAUGCAUAACUUUAAUACUAACUUCAGCACAUUUCAUAGCCCUUGGAAAAGUUACUUCUAACUAGACCGUGCCAACCAAGCAAACUGUAUAGUCAUCUUCUAUCUCUGAGCCAAAUUUUUAAUGCCAACACUACCUCAGAAUAUUAGUAAAGGAUUCAUUUCUCAAUGUCUAUGCAAGAUUGACAAGAGGUGCACAGCCAUCCACAGGACCUAAUACAGCCUGACUCUUUCGUCAGACAAAUAAUCGUUCCGUAUUCUAAGAAAUUAAUGGAACUCUAAACUCCCAACACCAGGAUUAAAUUGUUCAUACGCAUGCAGAUAUUGUACCGGUUCCACGAGAUUCAAAUAUGUAACCUCCGGUGGCAGAGCACCAAACGCAACAAUCUCACUCAAACCUCGACUUCAUCACUGAGUACUCCCAAUUCAUCUUCCACCCCUAAAGCAUAAUUCUGCCGAUAACAGAAGCAGGCACCAUUUCAGUUCAAUCUCACACUAAAUCUUAUAUAAUCUUCACAUGAGCUGCGCUGACCGUGAUCAUCAGUCGGAGAUGAUCAAACACGUUUCAUUUGCAGCAAUACUCCUAGAAAUGAUGGAACUCUGAACUCCCGGCAACAGCGUCAAAAUGUUCACAAGCACACCAAACUUGCACCUCUGUCACGAAUUCCAAAUACAAAAUUCCCCAUAGCAAAGAUAGAAUCUCACAUAACUCUCAACUUCACCACUAACGACUCCAGAUUUCCGGCAGCCAAAUUAUCCUGCCUCAAAUGCUAAGAACACGAUACGCCAUUCCAAAACCUCCGCUACUCUAAACGGGUCGGACCAAUUCCGCAAAGAAAACAAACAAACUCAGUACGGAAGAAACUCUAACGAGCUGCAAUCAGAAUUCUCACCUCGUUCUCAUCCACUCGCUUCCAGCAAUCAGGCUCCCCGCCAUCCCAGCGAUCCUCGUCCUUCCCCGCCUUUCCACCACCGCCAGCUCUCCCUUUCCCGCCUUCCCGAUCUUUGCUCACUUCCUCGUCGCCGCUCGAUAUGCUCAGCAUCUCCACCUCCGAGUCCUCGUCUUCGUCCAUGGUACUGCCGCCGCCGCCUCCCCUGCUCUUCUGGUGACGGUGAGCCGGCGCCGCGGCGGCCCUGGAGCCGGCGGAUUUGGGAGGCUGGACGAAAUUGGACACCGGCUUCCGCUGAUUAGAGGAGGACCCCGCCGACGGCCGCUGGUAAUUGAGAUCCCGCUGAGAUUGCUCCUUGAGCGCCAUCUGGAGGAGCGCGUCCUCGUCGUCGCUGUCUAUAGACAUGGCUGGCUGGUAUUAAUGGCGAGGGAGAGAGAGAGGAACUGUUCGCAGUGUGCGCAGAGGGGCAGAUCUGAGCAGUAAAUGCGAUGGUGGCUUGAUUAUAAUGUCUUAGGGACAAAUAAAGUUAAGGUGUAACAUGUAGCCAGAAAAAUAAAUAUUAAUUCUUGGUCUAUCGCAAUUUUAUGAAGAUAAUAAAAUAACUAUUAAAACCAUAUCAUACGAGAUUGAUCUCAAAUAAAUCGAGUACAAAUUACCACUCCUCUAAACUCACAUAAAAUUUGGAUGCAAUCCACAUGUGAAUUUACAUUGAUUUACAAAUUGACUUAUACAUUUUUAAGGUUUGGAAUAGAUUAAAAAGUUUCGGUUUAAUUAAAUAAGAGAUAACACCAGGUUACCUAUGUAUACAAUCAACAACAUUAUGUGAAAACGAAGAGAGAAUAUAAAAGUUUGAAGGAAGAGAAUGCCCAAAUUGAGUUAAGAAAUUCGCUAUAAAGUUAUCUUCUUUCAAAUACAAAAAAUCAUAACAUCCCACCCACAACAACAAUCAUACCUCAAAUAUGCAUGCGCUACAAUGAGCAUUGUCUCGAGUGUCUCUAAGUAAAUAAAAAAGACCUUUGGAUGACCCAAAUUUCAAGCUAACUUAACUAUUGUCCCAGCCCGAAAUCCAUAAACCAAAACCCGGAUAGAUUCAUGAUCGUGAUAAAUUUCCAAACAAUUGACCUAUAAUCGGAUUAACCCAUCAGAUCCACUCAUUAUACCGCUCUAAUUUUAACACCUUCAAAUCAAUACUGAUUAUCAUUAACAAAACUACAAGAAGUCAUAUCAUCAAUGAAUCAAAUAUAGAUAACAUUAAAGAAUCUUAGCCCAAGGGAAAAGAAAACUAUGAACAAAUUCACGGCGCAUUAAUCCACCGGCCAGCUACUGUCUGAUAAACGAAUCGUAAGCUUUCUUCUUCAUCAUCAGUUGUUAGGUUGCUUAAUGAUCCGCUGAAGAACCACCGUCCUCGCUCGCCGGAUAUCCCUGCUACAAACCUCUGCCUGCAAACCCAGCUCCUCCACAUUCUUCAUGAACCCACCCAGCUUCUUCCGUAUCUCCUCCAUCCCAAUCCUCACCGCCGCCUCAUCUCCACCGCCGUCGGCGGCAGCGAACUCCGCCGCCUUUUCCAGAGACCCGAUCUCCACCUCCAGCCGCUCCACCAUGACCCGGAUCGUGUCCAGAUCUUUGAUGGCGACGUAAGUCCCCACCUGCAUCGUCCCCAGAAUCUCCUUCUGACCUUUCACGGCGGUCUCGUAGUUCUUCCACAGCGAGUCGAUCCACUUCCCCAUUGACCCCAACGGGAUAGAGGUCGCGGCUGCGAGUGCGGCGGCGACUGGCGGCGCCGCCAUGGCUGCUGCCACCACUGAGCAGAUAAGUACGGCGGGGGGACUUGCUGCGCCGAAUCUACGUGAAGUACUGCGGCAAAGCUCGCUACGAAGAUCAUGCUCGAUAGCUUCCUCCAUGAGUGUAUUGACCGGAGUUUCUUGUCAAGCUUGCCUUUCUUGCUCUGUAACUUCUCCAGCAUUUGCACCUGCAAAUUUGACAAAAGAUCCGCGAUUAGAAUCUACAUUCGGUCUAAAUUCAAAAUUUCACCAAAAUUGGAGACAUUACCUGCUGCCUGUAAACCGACUGAAACGUCCUGUAGAACUCAUCAGUAAAAGGAUCGCCGGCCUCCUUAAAAUUCCUCAACUCCUCCACCGUCCUUCCGUACGAUCUAGUCAUACUCUUCCCCGGUUCUGAUUCCAACGAGCUUUUCUUCAUCUCCUCGUCGAACUCCUGCAGCGCGACGAGCAGCAUCAGCUGAUUAUCCCUAGCACGCUUCAACGACUUCUCCAGCGCAGCGCAGAAAUCGAGCGUCUGCAAACUAUUGUCAAAGUACUCCUCGACGAGCUCGAACAGAUCCUGGCUCUUCCAUAUAUCCUUCUUACAAUCGAGGAUCACCUUCACAACUUCCUGGUUCAUCUCCAGCAAGCACUCCGUAACCUCCUUGAGCGAAUCGAAAGACAGAGCUCUGACCUCGACUCCCACCGCCAGAGUGUUGAUGACGUGGCUGGUCCGCUGCUGCAGAUUCGUGUCGAACGAGCGGAGAUCCUCAUCGGCGCGGCAGGCGGCUGCGUAGGAGCUCAGCUGCUCCGUCGUCAUGCUGCUGCUGCAGUUGCUCGGCUUCUUAGAAGUACCAGCACUGCUGCUCGUCUGGUUCCCCAUUUCUACACAGAUCUGGUGGAUCGAUCGAUGAAAUUGGAAAAAUUGAAAAAGACCAGAGAUCAGUAAUUCAACUAUUUAUACGUUAUGCGAGAAUGAGGAAACCCGAAACCCUAAUUCAGAACCAUGAAAACGGAUCUUUUAAUAAAUGCUGAGAGAGACUGGAUGUGUCAGCUAUGAUUGAUGUUUGAAUGUGAACCAGAGGAGCGGGGGAGGCAGAAGCUUAAAGAGAAAUGGAAGCGAUUUGAGCCAUGGAAAAGAACUGAAUUAGGGGGAUGAAGAUGAAGAGGGAGUUUGUUUGAUUUUGUAUCCAUUAGCUUGCACGCAUGAGCUAUAACCAGAGAGAAGUUUGGGGGAAGAAUGGGAAACGCGGGAAGCAAUGUGCCAUAAACAGUAUGAUUAGGCUAUUACGGUAAAACUGGGCUACUCUCUCUGCAAAAAAUUUCAACGCGGAAAGUGAAGAAGUGAGACUUCGCAGAGAAGAUGGAUAAAAUGACGUCGUAUUAAGGUCAGAGGGAGAAAGAGACUCGUCUCCUUUUCAACCGAAAAGUCGGCCGCUUCCGGAAGAUGGGAGGAACGUGAAAAGGAACUGAAGAAGUCGGCAGCUUACUUAGCGAGAUAGAAAAAUAAUAUUUAAAAUAUUUUAUUUUUUAAUAUUCAUAUAUUUGUAAAUCAAACAUUCACACAUACAUAGUUGGAGGAAUUUCCUUCAUAUGUUUGAUUCGCUAUGAGAAGUUUUUCAGUUUUUUUCUACCACUUUCAUAUUAUUAUGACUCUAUCCGAUGUACUUUUAUAUCAUCGUCAUUAUUAUCCUAUUAAUCAACACAAAUUUUUCUAAAUAUAGAGACAACGAUCACUCAUCUUUUCGUACAAAUUUCAUGAAAAAACAACAUCAGGAAUACAUCUAUCGAAAUAUGAUUGUUGGCCUUAAUGCUUCAACUUAACUCAAACUAAAUGCAUGGAGAUGGAAUGUAGCUUAGCUUUCGUUUGUACCUGCAGCUGUUGCUUCUUGUUCAUCAAUGGUGGAUACACACAGCUACCAGCUCUUCUCCAAUAUACAAACUCUCUCUUUGCUAAUGGGAAAGAUGAAUUAUGAAGAAUGAUUUACCACCCCCAACCUACCUAUUUAUAUGCAUUUUGACAGUGACUUGACAGCCAAGAAGCUUUGAAAAAAGUAUUUAACUUUUAUCUUUAUUAGUAUUAAAUUUGUUUUUUUAGAUGAUCAUCACAUGCUUAGGAAAUGAAAUGUACUUCACAAGAUAGGCAGUUUUUUUAAUUUGUUUUUCGUAUUGAUAUGUUUAGGAUUACGAUAAAUUAUACUCAUAAGUCGAAUCAACUUGAUCAAGUUAAAUUAUGAAAACGUAACAAUUAUUUUUUCAACGAGUAAUUGGUCUAUUUCAGUGAUAAAAACCUUUAUUUUGUCUUAAAAUAGUUGUGAAAACAUAGUAAACUAAAACCUUUUAGUAGAGAUGGUGAAAUGGAUAUAACUCUGUACUUAUAGUAAGAUGUGUUGUCCCAAAAGAAAAAGUGAACGUUGGAUAUACAUCUAACUUGGUAGUUAGCAAUUCGACAAAGCAAGGAAGGAUAGGGUACCAAGUCUACAUUUGCUUUGCACUUUUGAAUGGUUCAUUCACAGCAUAUUGAAAAUAAAAAUAUAAUAAUAUAUCGUGAAAUACAACAUUCACUUACAUCUCUAAAAUAUUAAAACACUUUAAAAAAUAUAUAAUUCAUCUAAUCUCGAACUGACACAACUCAACAUCAUCUAUCAAAACAAUCCAUAAGUUUCUUCUUCCGAUACUCACGGACAAAACAUAAUCAAAUUUAACAGAGUUGAUGGGUCAAAAUUAAGCUUAAAAUCCAAUUUUAACAAUUUUAAAUUACGACAAUCACAAUUGUAUAGGAUAACUAUAAUGGAUAAUUUAUAAUUAUUGCGUAAAUAUAGGAUUAACGAACUUUAUUUAUAGAGUACGAAUAACAGAAAAGGCGAGUAACAAGCCACGUAAUAUUGCAUACUUUUUUGUUGUUGUAAUUCCUACGGUGUUUUAUUUUGGUUCGUGGUGACAACAGCUAAGCUAGGCUCCAAGGGCUGUAAAACUGUAAAUAGAAAGGACACGUCACGCGUGGAAACACGUGGAAGAUAAGUACUGGUUGGCGCCUCAACCGGAGAAUUCAAGAAAAUGAUUCCACGCCACGUCACUGAAAUUGACAGAGAAAAAUGUUUCAUUUUCCCUCACGUGUUUUGUAACGCUAGCUGAUCUGGUUGUUGUUCUUGUUGCUUUCUCUUCCUCUACAAAUCUCCAGGACACAUGAUUAAGCUUCAAUUUGUUGCUUCGUAUCACUGCAUAAUAGGUCAUUUCUGCACAUUCACUAAAGGCGACUUUUCGAUCAUAUCCUUAUAUUUCGUGAUCAUGGGGCAAUGAGUUCCAUCUCCGUUUCUCGAUUGGCUUAAACUUAUGUUCUUUACCAUAUAAUUUUAUAUUUUAUUAGAGUAGAUAAAAAACGAAACCAAUUUACAUUUUAGGAGUGUCAAAAAGUAUUGACGCCCCUAAAUUUUAAAAAUCUUAAUUUCAAUAUACAUGCACUAGCCGUGCAUAUGAACCACAACCCUCCAUUUAUUAAUCAAAUAAACUCUGCUUUCAGCAACACGUUAUUCUUUACACUUUUACUAUAUAUAUACAUGGGAAUGCUACGAUGUCUCGGAGGUAUUGUUAUUUUUUAUACUAAAAANNNNNNNNNNNNNNNNNNNNNNNNNNNNNNNNNNNNNNNNNNNNNNNNNAAGCCUAAAGCCGCUAUAGAAAACCUUGAACACAAAAGAACGAUGUUAAUAUCCUAAACACUAAACUCUUACUCUCAAACGCUGCAUCAUAAACUCAAAUUUUGAAUUAUAUCACAAACUCUGACUCUUGACAAUAAAUCAAUAUUAAUAUAUCCUAAACCCUGAAUAUUAAAUCAGUAUUUGAAUUCAUAUUUACUUACUUAUUUGUUUAGAAAAAUCCAUUUAGACAAAGUGAUGUAUGAGGUUUAAACUUAUAAUCAAUCUUAUUUUGAAACUUAUAAUCAACCUACAUGUAAAUAACAACCAUAAAUUUAAUUCAAAUGAUAAAUUAGAAAAAAUUGUCGGUGAUACAUUCAAAACUAUUGUGAAUAAAAAAAGUUGAAGAAUGUUUUGCUCGUAUAUUUUAACUUAAUGUUAAAUUUUUAAAAGGGACCAAUCUAAUUGCAUACAAAUGAAUUCAUCAAUUGAUUACUUAAUAUAUAAAAAACUUAAUUCAAAUUCGGCUUAUUGUAUUAUUGAUCUAACACGCCUAAACUCAAAUUCUAGCUCCACCAUCGGAGUGGGCCCUAGCAUCCAAUGGCACCAACGAUUAUGUAUCUGACCGUCGCAGUUCAGAUAUGAGCGGUUUCAUUUGCUUCCUGAUGGCAAUGCUGCCAACCAUCAUAGUCAAAAUCUCAAAGCAAUUUCCGAAUACUUCGACAAAGAACACCCAUUUCAGACAAGUCCUCUCGAGACAAAUCGAGAUCUGUCCAAUGUUUAUAAUGUCUUGCAGGUCUCGCCUACACAUUUUGAAGAUGUCGAAACCCCCAAUCACGAAGUCACACAAAUUUUGUUGUUCACCUGAGAGACUCGAUCGAAUGGUGCGAAACACAAAUCACUUGAGAUUUUAAAAUCUCAUGUCCAUGAAUUUUUUUUAAAUCAUCUCACAAAUCACCAGAAAUGUCAUACAAAUUUUCGGACCAAAUUUUCAUAUUAAAAAAUCGUAUUUAAACCAAAAUCAUCACUCACCAAAAUCUCAAAAAACCAAACCAUCCUCAAACCUAACCGGACCGCGCGUCGAAAAGCCUAAAUGGUGCAAGCCUUCGGAUCGACAGAAGAAUUGAAGAAACACUCCAACGUGGCGUUUGAAGCCAUCCUUGCCCACUUCACAAGUCACCCGAACGUUCCAAAUACUCGUAAAACCUUAGUCUCCUGCAGCUCAGAGCUUCUCAAUUACAGUAGCCAUGGACAUGGAAGUCGAUUUUAAGCAGUACGAGCUCAGCUGUGAACUUCACGGCCACGAAGAUGAUGUAAGAUCGGUUUCUCCUCCCUGCUCGAUUUUGUUGUUCUCGUUACUUUUCGGUACUGUUCCAAUCGAUCUCGCUAGUGACGAUUCAAGUUCAUCUCCUGAUGUUCUUUGGAGCUCCACGCUCGCUCUGGUGGUUGACAAUUUAAUUGAAAGUCUUCGAGAUAGGAAGAAUGAAGGAAAUCUAUGUCGUAAGAUGUUAUAAUGAGUCAUUGAGUUUGAAUCUAGUUCUUCUGGUUUCUUAUCUGCUGCAAAUGUUGAUGGCUUAUGGAGCUCUGAGUUCGUGCUAGUAUUUGACAAUUUGUUUGAAACUCUUCGAGAUAUGUUAAUUUUCCGAAGCAAAUGUAGGUUGUAAGAUGUUAUAAUGACUGCAAAUUGAGUUCUUAUUGCUCUUUAUCUCCUGUCAAUCUUGAUGUCUCGUGGAGCUUCACGCUUGUAUUGGUGGUGUUGAUAAUUGAUUGAAAUUCUCAAUUCUGUGAGUGGCAAUUUUUUUCAGAAGGAAUGUAGGUUGUAAAAUGUUAUAAUAACUGUCAAUAGAUGUUUUGUGGAGCUUCAUGUUCGUCUUUGUGGUUGAAAUUCACAAGAGAUCUGAAAUUCCGAAAAACUUAGGUCGUAAGAUGUUAUAAGAGAUCAAAUUAUAUUGGAAGGAGUUCUUCUCGUUUGGUUAUGUACUGCCAGACAUGUGAAAAAGUGUGUUGUACUACUUGAUAUCAGGUUCGGGGUAUAUGUGUGUGUGAAAAUGCUGGGAUAGCAACUUCUUCGCGAGACAAGACGGUAAGGUUUUGGUCUCCGGAUCCAUCAGACAAGCGAAACUAUACCUCGUCGAAGAUAUUCCUGGGACAUUCAAGUUUUGUGGGUCCGUUAACUUGGAUUUCGCCUAGUGAAGAGUACCCAGAAGGCGGGAUUGUAUCUGGUGGAAUGGAUACAUUGAUAUUAGUUUGGAGUGUAAGUUCUGCAGAGAAGGUGCAGACUCUGCAGGGACAUCAGUUGCAAGUUACAGGUGUUGUGUUUGAUAAUGAGGACAUCAUCUCAAGUUCAGUUGAUUGGUAAGCUCGUUUAAGGUUCAGCUCUAUUAUUUUUGUGUUGAAGCUGCACAUUGUAAUUUGAAUACUAGAAAAUAUCUUGAAUUGAUAUAAUGUGAGUGACAGAAUACUAUAUAGACUGUAUAUUAUCCAUCCAGGGAUAGAUAAGCAAUUAAAUUGUGGGCCAACUUCGGCUAUACAAAAAAUAGCAACAUGACGCCCUGAACAUAGAGUGAGCUUAGAUGCUAGUUUCGUACGCCAAAUAAUAUUUGCCCCAAUGAAAGCUGUUACUCUUUUUCAUCUAAGCUAUUCAGUUACUUCAAUUAAUGCAUACAAGCUUCUAUGGGUUGGAUAUCUACAUGGCAGUACUCUAAGACGGUGGAGGAAGGGCCAAGUUGUUGAUUCCUGGGAGGCUCAUAAGUCGGCAGUACAAGCAGUUAUAAAACUUCCAUCUGGAGAACUUGUUUCAGGUAUGAAUUUUUGUUAGUUGUUAACGUAUAGAUGGUUUGCUUUAUCAUUAUAGACACCUUAUUCGCUUUUACUUAAUCAUAAUAUGACGUCUUCACUUGAUCAUAAUACAGGGUCUAGUGACACUACCGUUAAACUUUGGAAAGGAAAAACUUGUUUGCACACCUUUGUUGGGCAUACAGGUUUGCUCUGUUUCUAUGUUUUCUGAGACCGUUUCUAUACAUGUGCAUUUGGGGUGUUUUGACAUUAAAAUUUGUGCAGACACUGUCCGAAGCUUGGCAGUCAUGCCUGAACUGGGCCUUCUUUCCGCAUCCCAUGAUGGGUCAGUUAAUCUAUUUUUUGUUCCUUUUAUCAAGUGUAGUUAGUUGGCCCAAUAAAGUUGUGUUUGGGUUCAUCUCUAUGCAUCAUCUGUUUCAGACUAGGUCCCAGGUCUCUCUAACAAGCUUGUUUAUGUUGCUACAGAUCCAUUAGAUUAUGGGCAUUAACCGGGGAAGUAUUGCUGGAGAUGGUUGGUCACACUUCCAUAGUCUAUUCAGUCGACUCCCAUUGUUCUGGCCUUAUUGUCAGUGGUAGUGAGGAUCGGUCGGCAAAGAUAUGGAAAGGUGUUCUAUUAUUUUCUUGUCACGUGUUUUCACUUUGAGAUCUGCUGGGUCUCUUCACUUGUCAUUAAUGUUUCGGAGGUGUUAGUACUGAAUCAAUACAGUAUUGCAGAUGGAAGCUGUGUCCAGACUAUAGAACAUCCUGGUUGUGUUUGGGAUGCCAAGUUUCUGGAGAAUGGUGACAUUGUAACUGCAUGUUCAGAUGGGGUUGUACGUAUAUGGACUUCAAAUCAAGACAGAAUUGCAGACAAGACAAAUCUAGAACACUACAAUUCACAGCUUUCCGAGUACAAGUUAAGCAGGUAUCGUGGAUGCAUUGUCUAUUGUAUCUGAAACAAUGCAUGUAGUCGUCCUAUGGGUAAUGGAUUAGCUCAACACCCUUCCUGGUUUUAUUUUUAUUUACAAAUUAUGUAGAUUUUUUUUGUAAUCCCAUUAUAAUUUUCAGAAAUGCUUCUGUAACACAUUCAGUUUGUUAUAAUUUCUCUAGUUUUGAUUGGGAAUCGCAUCUUAAACACAGUCACCUCUGUUGAACAGUGCAUACAUUUCUUGUAGUUCGGAAUCUUUAAGUAGUUAUAGGGCCUCAAUCUUACUUGGACUUAUCUUAUCAGGAAAAGAGUCGGAGGUCUAAAACUGGAGGAAUUGCCUGGUUUGGAUGCUUUACAAAUUCCAGGUGUGAUCCUAUUUUUCCAUGAGAGACAAUGAUUGAUAGUUUUGAGAUAAACAAUGUAUGCAAUGGCAUUUGCUAAUCUGUUUCCUGCAACAAACAUUAUAACGAUGUUGCCUAGAUGAUGGUGUGGCUGUGUGACGUUUCAUGUUAAUAGGUGCGACAAUAUUUUAUUUACUUAAUCAUGACGUGUUUUGUCUGCUUGAAUCACGUGUAUCAGGAAGCACUGAUGGCCAGACGAAAGUCAUAAGAGAAGGUGACUGUGGGGUUGCGUAUUCAUGGAAUUUGAGAGAAUACCGAUGGGACAAGGUAAUCUUCAGUUAAAUUUAAAUCUUGCUGCUUCCGUUUUCCCAUUCUUUUUAAGCUAUCUUCAGUUAAAUUUAAAUCUUGCAGUGACCUUAGAUUCCUGUUCAGAUUUACUGUAUCCCCUGCAUGAAAUAAACUAAUGUUUCCUGUUACAGGGGUUUCCAUCUAUUGACGCUAAAAAUAAAGCUGAAACAAAAUUUUAGUUAGUUUUUAUAGUAUUGCAAGCCACCAUUAGCUUCAAUCUUGUACUCGAACAUGGUGGAAUUGCAAAAACACGUUUGCAGGUUUUAUUUAGCAUUUAUCUGCUUUUUGACAAAUUCCAGAUUGGCGAAGUUGUUGAUGGACCAGAUGAUGGCGUGGGAAAGCCAAAAACUCUUGAUGGCACUGCAUAUGACUUCGGUAAGCAUUGUAGUUUUGCCUGGCUUUUAUGCUCUUUGCUUGGUUUUAUCUGUGUAUAUAUCUAUUAAGAAUAGAACUUAGUAUUUGAGAGAGAGAUAAUAGGAAUAAUGAUUCUGUUUUUCUGGGUCUAGGCCGAUGAGGGGAUAUAUAUCAGUGAGAUAGUGACUCCUUCCAUAUGUAGGAGUCCUAACUAAUAAGGUAGUUUCUUCCUAUACAAGAAACUAAUAUAAAUAAUAUAACUCCUAACAAUAUUAGGUGUACCUAAUUAGGCUUAUUCCUACAAUAUCAAUUCUCUGCAAUGACAUUUGCUGUAAUUGAUGCCGUUUCAUGUCUUUACCAGUAUUUGAUGUUGACAUCGGAGAUGGCGAGCCUAUUCGUAAACUGCCUUACAAUCGAUCAGGUAUCUGUGUGCUACCUUCUGUUCCAGAGUACAUAUAUGGCCAAGAUUUUCCCUGAUAUUUGCAAUGCCUAUGCCCUUGUUCCAUAAUUGAAAACGGAAAUAUAUUACCAUUUGGUAGGUUUUAGGGUCAUAGCCACCCUCAACAGUGGCAGUAACUUGCUAUCCUGUUGACUGCAACAUUAGGCUUGAGCUUUAAUGUUUGACUUUCUCCAUCCCUCUAAUAGUCAAGAUGAUAUCAUUUUAGUAUUUUAUUGGUGGAGUUUGGUGCUUUAACUACAUCUAAUUAAAUAUGUUGAUGAUAUGAGUUAUAUGUUUCCAGAUAACCCAUAUGAUGCUGCUGAUAAGUGGCUUCUGAAGGAGAACCUUCCUCUUUCUUACCGUCAACAAGUUGUGGAGUUUAUACUUCAAAAUGCUGGACAAACUAGUGCUCCUUUGAAUCCGUCGUUUCGUGACCCUUACACUGGCGGUUAGUGACUUUCAAAUUGUUGAUGCAUUUGAAUUAUUUUUUGAGCAUGAGUUGACACCAUGCGCCCUCUCUCUUUUUUCCUUUUCAGCAAAUGCUUAUGUACCUGGAGCAACUUCCAAGACAUCUGGUAUGAUUUUAUGAUUCUUCAGAUAUUCCUGAACUUCAUAAGGCCGAUGUUUCUGUGUUGCACUUGGUACUUUGAGACUUCAAACAGCUUACAUCGCCUUUUCUUUUGUCUUAUGUUACCGGAUCAGGUGUUCCAGCAAAGCCUAGUUUCAAGCAUAUCCCUAAGGUGAGCUGGAGUUUUAUGCAUCUUAUGUGGACAUGUGUUCAUAAAUGUCCCGUGUCUAUCAUUGAUGUUCUUAACAACAUUUGCAGAAAGGAAUGGUUGUUUUUGACGUUGCUCAGUUCGAUGGGAUUAUGAAAAAGAUGACUGAGUUUAACAAUGCCUUACUGUCCGAAGAGGUACAUAAAUUCAAUGAUUUCUUUCUGCUUCAUCAUGAUGUUAAAUAGUCUUCUUACUAUCCGUCCUCCAAUCUCUUUCAAGGAUAAAAAUAAGGUUUCUCUCUCGGAACUGGAGGUGUCAAGACUGGGUGCUAUCAUUAAAGUCUUAAAGGACACAUCUCAUUAUCACACUAGUAAAUUAGCUGAAGAGGACAUUGAGUUGUUGCUGAAAUCGCUAAAGUCAUGGCCUCCUGCUAUGAGUUUCCCAGGUCAGUGUUCAGAAAGUUAAAGUUACAUGAACAAUUUGCCGUGAUUCUGGUGACUUCGUGCUUAUUCUUGCGGGCACUUAUGCGACAUUUGUACGUGUUACCUUUCUUUUCUUGUAACUUGUUAUAUGUAAAUAAAAUCCUGUACUUUUGAGAAACAACAGACAGCUGGUCUCAUUUAUCUCAAGGUCACAUUUCACAAACUAAUGGCAUCAUCUUAUGAAAUUCUUGUUCUCCUUCUGUUUCAGCGAUUGAUAUUCUGAGGAUGACUGUCCUACACCCCGAUGGUGCUAAUUUGCUCCUGAAGCAUUUUCAAGACAAAAAUGGUACACAAAAGAAUAACCCUUCUGUUCGUUACUUUCCGUUUUCAUGUAAAUAACCUACGUAUUCCUAGAAGCAGCCCUUUGGAUGGUUUUUGUUGCUAUUCUAACAGAAACAGUUCAUCUAUAAGCAACCCGCUGUCUUCACGAUAGUUUUAUAUGAUGUGUUGCCAGGUAUACUUCUGGAAACAAUCAGGAAAGUUACAGGAGAAAAUCCUCUUGUCCCAAACCUGUUGACAACUGUUCGUCUUGUGACUAACCUGUUCAAGAACUCAGAGUAUCACAACUGGCUGCUGAAGCAUCGCAAUGAGGUACGGCAUGAUUCCAUUUUGCUACGUAUGGUAUGGCCGUAUGAAUUUUAUGUGAACAUUUGCUGCUACGGUCGGAUCUGAUUUAUUGAACAUUGUAGAUUCUCGAUGCGUUCUCGAAUGUUACAUCGUGUCCAAACAAGAAUGUGCUGUUGUCGUUUUCGACCAUGAUACUCAAGUAAGCAUCUUUACUACUUGCUUUGACUCUGUAAUCUAUUAAUAUUAGUUUCGGAAGUAAUGUGCUUUGCCAACUGUAGCUAUGCAGUUCUAUUGAUCGCGAAUAAAGAUGAAGAAGGUCAAUAUCAGGUUCUUUCCGCAGCUUUCGAGGUAUAUAUCCAUUAAUCGCAGUAUUUAUAUACCCGAAGUACACGAACACGACAUAACAAGAUUUGGCAUUAACAGUGGUGGUUUGUAUCAUCUGUACAGAUAGCGGAACACGACACGCUGGAUGCCGAUACGAAAUUUAGAGCUCUGGUAGCUAUUGGAUCGCUGGUGCGUUCGAUUUUUCAAUUUUCGAGCUUUUGUCGCCAUUGCUUAGUCCCUUAAGUGAUGAAAACUGAGUGGGUUUCUACCUUUUGUUUUUAGAUGCUUGAUGGUCUGGUGAAAGGAGUGGCUUUGGACUUGGGCAUCGACAAGGUUGCCAAAGCAGCCAAGUCUUCCAACGACACCAAGCUCUCCGAAAUCGGAGCUGAUAUCGAAAUGCUAGCGAAACAGUCUUGAGAAGAUCAUAAGCCUCCCCGACACUGGCCAAAAACGCGAUCUACCAUUGUAGAGUUGGGAAGGAUUGAAACCUUUCAUUGUCUCAUUGAGACGAACCCCUUUGGCUUCUGGUACUCUAAAUCUCUGUAGGGCAUUGUCGUAGGGAGUUUAGCAACUUUCCCUUCCUCGGAUGCUCAUUGGUAUCAGAGCCUUUUUCCCUCGCACACUCAGAGACUAAUUACAAAAAAUUUCAUUCGAGUUAUCCCGUGGCGAAAUCAUGCAAGAGGGUGCUUGAUUUUCGAAUGCUAAUGUGGUUGCGAUUUAAGGUUUACGAACACCGAGGACUGCGAGGAAAUUGAUCGAACCAUCUAAAAUAAAUGAAGAAAAAAGUUUGACCAAAAUGAAACUAAAUACACUAAUAAUCCAGAUCAAGAAGUGUACUCGUUCACAGAACCGGUUGAGCUAUUCAAAAUUUUAAACCGGUUAGACUGAUCCAACAAUCGGUUCACUUCAUGGGUUGUCCGGUCCGGUUAACAGAACUAGAUUCUAUGACUACCCAAGCUUAAUAAUCACCAGACACUAAGGCAACCGCCAUUUUCUUAGUUCGUCUUCAUUUUUCACUCAUUUCCUCGAUCAGUAGCAGAGUUUCUGUGUAAUCGGAACCAAUCCGCAGAAAUGGAAGAAUUUCAAGGUGGUGGUGGUGGCGGCCAAUCAGAUAUCUCGAAGCUCCACUCAUCUCAGUGCACAUCCGACACCUGCGUCAAAUGCGGAGGCCCGACAGCUUUCCCUCCACCACCUCAGGGAUCCUGGGAAGCGUCCCCUCCACCAGUUUACCGCCCGAUUCGUUCUCCGGCGAUCAACCUUGCACCGACGAAUCAGUCCCAAUCCAUCAUCCUCUCUCCCGUUCCUCAACGCCAGUCCGUCCCUGUAGCUUCUCCUCCUUACGAGUUUCAACCUCCUUGUAAGAGAAUCCAAUCGCCCGACGACAUUCGGUGCUUCAACAACUCCGAUUCGGGGAAAAAUUUCAUCGGCUUCGUCGUCGCCCUCUCUGAGUCCAUCCGCGGCCGCAAGAUCUCCGAUCCGUGUCACGUCUCGGAAACGGUCAGCUCGAUCGUCUCCAUCCUCGAAACUCUAGCUCGGUGGAUUGAGGAGAUCCCUCCAGUUCAGCAAGCGGCUCGUUAUGGCAACGUGUCUUACCGGACGUGGCAGGGGCGUUUGGCGGAAGCGUGCGAUUCUCUGAUGCUUCAGUUACUGCCGGAAGAGCUCAAAUCGGCGACGGUCGAGAUUGUUCCUUACUUCAUGGAUAGCUUUGGGAACUCGAGUCGUAUUGAUUACGGGACCGGCCACGAAACGAAUUUGGCAGCAUGGCUGUACUGCUUGGCAAGAAUUGGGAUCAUCAACGAACAGGAUUAUCAAGCCGUUGUAGCUAGGGUUUUCGUCAAGUAUCUCGAUCUAAUGAGGAAGCUUCAGGUGGUUUACUGUCUGGAACCUGCUGGUUCUCAUGGCGUCUGGGGGCUUGAUGACUAUCAUUUCCUGCCUUUUAUAUUUGGUUCUUCCCAGCUGAUUGAUCACAAGUACAUGAAGCCUAAAUCCAUUCACAAUGACGAUAUCCUGGAUAACUUCGCCCCGGAAUACAUGUAUAUCUCUUGCAUUGCGUUCAUCAAGAAGGUGAAGAAAGGACCGUUCUAUGAGCAUUCUCCAAUGCUGGAUGAUAUCAGUGGCGUGCCAAACUGGAAGAAGGUGAAUGGUGGUAUGCUAAAGAUGUAUAAGGCAGAGGUUCUGGAAAAAGUGCCCAUCAUGCAGCAUUUCCUCUUUGGCUGGCUGAUUAAAUGGUAUGCGAUUCUUCAUUCUGUUCUAUGAAAUAUUGUUUCUUUCUUUGUUUCAUAUGUGUGAUUAUACAAAGGAACUAAGGGGAUGAUACUUAAACAUGUUUGCACUGAUGGAUUGGAUAAGGUCAAAUUAGCGACUCGCCAAGACAAUAUUUCGAGUGGAAAUCCCUACGAUUUCUCCUGCUAUUUCAUUGUCAGGCUCAAUUCUGAAUGUCGUUUGUGUCCAAGCGUUGUGCUUAAAGACACUGCUAGGCCACUGGUCAAUUUCUGUAUUCUGGUCUUGUUGCUUUCCCUACUAGUCCAAGUGACGGUUUUAUUGAAUCUCUGAUAGUUUUUGUAGUGUCAAGUUGAGCUCAGCUAGUUCAAUGAGCUUUUAAAAUCUUAAUCGAAUGAUACUUUCUCUAGUGGGGUCCUUAAGGAAGAAUUCAUCGUCAGAGUAGAGGAAAUGUCGAUUUCAUUAGGCUAGAGUGUAUAUAUGUAGAUGUGUUUCACACCAUCACUCUGUGCUGCCUGCUUAUGGCAAAGGGUUGGCUCCGCAGUUGGUUUCCUUCUUUGGGUUGGACUUAGAGUAAUGAAAUAUUAAACUCUGUAGGACUUUGAGUCGGCCUGGAGGAGAUGGAGUUUGAUGACACUUCAAGAUUGUGGCUAUAUUCCGAAUUCUUUUUUGUAAAGGAGAAGUCAGUCAUUUACUGGGCAAUCUUAUCUUCGUUUCAAUGCAUUUCUCAUCAGUAUGCGCCGAGGAUCAUUGUAUGAUUCGUAAAAAAGGUUUUUUUUUUCGUUUGUCUGAUGAUGUUGCUUUGUCGUAGAGUCAUUGCAUGGUUCAUGUGGCUUGGAACGUCAUGAUCCAGUUUUGUUGGUCAAAUCUAGUACAUUUGUAACAUAACUUAUGUCUUCUCGAUCUUUUGAUGGAUGCCAAUCUGCGAGAAACAUAUCCAAGCUUCGGUGGACAAUGUGAUUUCUAAUGAACUAACCCAUUAGCUUACCGUAUUUCUGACCCUUUUUGGUGUUGGAAACUAUAUUAUGUUUGCAGGCAGUAAUCUGUGAGGCCUACUCUUCAAAGCACGGAAGUUGAUCAAAGCAAGGUCGACGAGAGUCUGUGUGGUUGUAGAUGCCCUCGAGCACCUGACGGUGUUGGAAAUGUUAGGGGUACGGCGUAAAAUCGACACAAAGUUCAUCUCUUGUAUAAUCCGAUGUGCAGUAGCACUUGAGGCCAUUGUCAUCUCCACAGACUAUCAACCUUGUUUUCCAGCGGCAGAUUCUGUUCCUUUGGAAUAUAGGAAGAGAUCCAUGAGUUUGAAGGCUACUCAAUAGCUCGAAAAGGCCUCGAAUUCAGCUAGUAGCGCAGUUGUUCAAAGUUUGUUGUACUUUGCUAUGUGGUUUAUUCGUUCUGUGCUCAUAUAAAGAACCGUUUUUUAUAUGUAAACCGAGUUCAUUAGAAUCAUGCCGAAUGUUGAACCAUUGAACUGAUGAAGCUCUAUUAGAUUGACACAGUUGCGAAUGAAAACGGAGAUUCAGAAGUGUGCUGAAACGAUGAACAGUUCAAGGUGGAGCACAAGACUGUUUUACGAGCCUGAGUUGUGUUUUUUGUCCAGCUCGGUUUUGAGGUCGAUUUGAUCUUUCGUAUUUGAGCUCGGAUUGAAAUAUUUACAGUUCAGGCUCAGCUCUAAAUCACUACAACGGGCUUGGGUUCUUUAUCUUAAUGAUCUCGAUAACCAUUAUGACUGAGUUUGGUUCGAAUUCGAAGUAAAUAACCAACAUUUACUAGUUCAACUUGUGUUUAAGCUCGAAUUGAACAAGCUCAAUGGACUAAUUUAGUAUCAAAAUUCUCACGUCAUACAGGAGUUGAGACACUGAGUUAAAUUGUCGUGCCGGGUUGUGAGCAAAACCAUCUAAGUUCAUAAUCAAGCAUGUUCAUGAGCCAUUAAUUUGACUCAACUUGCAAGCAAACUAAAUCGGCCAGCUCACAAGUCGAGUUAGGAUUGGUUCGAACUCGACUCGUUUUCAGAGCAACUUAUCAUAUCGCCAGCCUGGCACUGGCAGAACGACAAUCUGAUUAAAUUCUCAAUUACAAAAGAAAAAGGAAACAAUAUUCACAGUCUUCUUCUUUCCUGCAUUCAUUCAAACAAAUUGGAUUUUUUUUUUAACCUGGCGGAAAAUUCAGGGAGUCGCAUCUCAGUAGUAGCAGCAGAGAGAGCCAAAGUAGCAGCUCGCUCUCCGUAGGAACACAACUUCCCGAAAACUCUCUCCUUCUUCCUCCAUAAAUUCCUCAUCGUUGUUUACCUCGCAUUCAAUCGACUACCAGCAACGACAACUCUGAAAACAGUGCUUGAGCUGAGGGAGGAUAUGUCGAUUGUAGCGGCAGCUGUCGUCGUUCCACUGGGCGUUUUCUUCUUCUUUUCCGGCCUAGUCGUUAAUCUCAUUCAGGUUUUGGAAUUUCGGAUUUUUUUUUAAAAUCGAUUGUGAUUGAACUGGUUUGCUUGAUCGCGUUAAUUAACCACUAGAGGGGGAAUGAUGUUGUUUGGUUUCAGGCAGCUUGCUUCGUCCUCGUUCGGCCGGUGUCGAAGAGCACUUACAGGAUCGUAAACAGAGCUGUGGCGGAGUUGCUGUGGCUGGAGCUCGUUUGGAUCGUUGAUUGGUGGGCAGGGGUUAAGGUACCGUAAACGUAAACUACAAUUUUUUCCCUGUUAAAUUAAGUAGUUUUUAUGCUACUGCUCUGAGCUUCAGUCUUUUUGGAUCGAGUUUUUUUUUUCUUGUUUGUUUUUAGGAUUCAAUUGAUUGUGUCGUUGGAUUGUAGUUGGUGUCAAGAUUAAAGUGGUUUUGUAUGUAGCCGUCUUGGGCUGAAUCAUGUGAUAUCUAUUGUGUCUGCAGAUUGAACUGUACACUGAUGGUGAGACACUACGCCAAAUGGGUAAGGCCGACUCUUUGAUCUUCAAUCAGCAUAGAGUUAUUUCUAAUUGUAAGUGUAUUCGUACUGUGAGGCUUAUUAGCUUUGUUGGCUCUCUGGUAAUUAUCAGGUAAAGAACAUGCACUUGUCCUAUGGUUGAUUGGAUCGAGUUUUUUUAUCCUUGUUCGUUUUUAGGAUUCAAUUGAUUGUGUCGUUGGAUUGUCGUUGGUUGUAUGUAGCUGUCUUGGGCUGAAUCAUGUGAUAUCUAUUGUGUAUGCAGAUUGAACUGUACACUGAUGGUGAGACACUACGCCAAAUGGGUAAGGCCGACUCUUUGAUCUUCAAUCAGCAUAGAGUUAUUUCUAAUUGUAAGUGUAUGCAAACUGCUAGGCUUAUUAGCUUUGUUGGUUCUCUGGUAAAUUUUCAGGUAAAGAACAUGCACUUGUCCUAUGCAACCAUAGGAGUGACAUUGAUUGGCUUGUUGGAUGGGUGUUGGCUCAGGUGAAGUGAACCUUGUAACUCCAAUUGACGUAGAUGAAAUAGGGCUACUGUUAGAUUCUAUGUACAGUUGCUAGGUUUCAGUCCUAACUCCUAACUAGGCCGGCCUUGGUAUUAGUUAAAUCAAUAUUUUAUACCGUACCAUCGUCUACUGCAUGAACAGAACAUGCCAACUGUAAUAUUCCCAUUUUCCCUCUGAAAUGGUAAUAUGCUUACCGAUGCCUUAAAUAAUGGGUUUGGGGAAACCUUGGCUAGUUUCUGGGUUCAUCAUUAAGCUCCGUGUCAUUUCUAAUGCAACUUAGUAUUGUUUUUCUUGAUGGCAGCGAUCGGGAUGCCUUGGCAGUGCAUUAGCUGUCAUGAAGAAAUCAUCGAAGCUCCUUCCGGUAUGACUUAAUGCUGAAGUUAUAUUUUCUGUUCCAUAAUACUAUUUUCCAGUCAGUGGACUCCUCGCUGUCUUUUUAUUAGUUCUUAAUCAUUAGGUGAGCCGUGAAGAACUCGAGUGACAUAUAACUUGUGAAUAUUUUUUUGGGUGUGUGCAUUUUCAAAUUGUGUGGAAGACCUCCAUUGUUGGAGCAAUUGAGAUUACAUGCUUGGUAGUAGUUUUCUAUAUAUAAUCUCCCUUUCUCCGAGCCACAGGGUAAAGAGAAGAUCAUUCUGUAACGUAGAAGAAAAUGUCUUGCCAGGAUCAAUUUUUAGUUUUGAGUUACUGUAGCAGAAUAUGACCUGUUAUUUUAAGUUUUCAGUUUUUUGCAUUUCUUUGUAGUUCUUUCCAGCACAUAUUUCCUCCCAGUUAGUGUUUUUAUGUAGAAUCUUAAUGCAUUUCCUUCUUGCUUGUGCAUAUACACUGAGAGUAAUGAUUGCUUGUAUUGCAUUCAGGUUAUAGGUUGGUCCAUGUGGUUCUCUGAAUACCUAUUUUUGGAGCGAAGUUGGGCAAAGGAUGAAAACACAUUAAAAGUAUGCCUUCUUUGCUCACAAAUAAAUACAAUUUAUGUACUUUUGUUUGCAUAUCGCCAUCUGCUGGUAUACGUGCAGUUAGAUUCUGUUCUGAUGGUUGUGUGGUACUACCUGCAGUCAGGUCUCCAGCGGCUGCAUGACUUUCCACGGCCCUUUUGGCUAGCUCUUUUUGUUGAAGGAACUCGAUUUACACAAGCCAAACUCUUAGCUGCCCAGGAGUAUGCAGUGUCGGCUGGGUUGCCUGUCCCUAGAAAUACUUUAAUUCCUCGAACCAAGGUAUAUCCAAGUUCAGUUCUUUUUGAGUUUGUUUUUUGAUAUCUUUCGGUUGUCCUUUUCUUGAAGAAAACAGAUGAGCAUGUAUACAGUAUGAGAUAUUUCCUGUGUUCGGGCAUAACUUUCAGCGAGUUCUGCUUCUUUUUACUGACGUGUUACAGAUUUCCUUUCCUAAUGUCUUCAUACCAUCCUGUUAGUUUAAAAGAAAUGUACAGAAUGUAGUCUGAGUUAUUAUAAAAAUGUUCAUAGUAUUCCUCGUGAUCUAAUUAGUAGAUGUGCUUAAUUUCUGUUGGGCACAGGGAUUUGUUUCUGCAGUAAGUAACAUGCGCACAUUUCUACCAGCCAUUUACGAUGUAACAGUGGCUAUCCCUGAAAGCUCACCUCAACCAACUAUACUCAGACUGUUCAAGGGUCAACCGUCUGUGGUAAGUGUGAGCAGAAGCUCUUUUUUAUUAUCUCAUUUGAUGACUCAACGGUGAAGUUGAAUUAACAAAUGAACUUAUGAUGGUCGGAGUCCUUAGGAUUUAUGGUAAAUUGGGUUUCUUUCUACACACGUCUCUGUUGGCUUGAGAUUUAAACCAAGGAACUGAUUUGGCAGUUCACCGUAUAAUAUAGUAUAGAAAAUCAGACAAUACACGGACUUGCUACGCUUGUGCCAGUUAUGUUGUUAUGGCUUCCCAAAUGAAUCUUUCAAUCCAUUGAUUAACCUGAGAGUCUAAUAAAAUGAUUAAAGAGUGUUUUUAUGCUUCUUUCAGGUUCAUGUGCAUCUCAAACGGCAUUCAGUGAAGGACCUUCCUGAUACAGACGACGCCAUUGCCCAAUGGUGUAGAGAUUUAUUCGUGGCCAAGGUUCGUUCACCGUUUAAAAUCUGCCGCAGUUGAUUAGUUUUCUGGUACCGCACCUUAGGGAACAAGUUAUGACAAAACUUAGAAUGUGAUCUAACUUAUACCGAUUUAUCGAUGACUUUAUAGUCAACAGAGCCCAUAAAUCUUGCUACUUGUCGUGGAUCACAAGUUCAAUCCACACCCAACCCUCGACAGAAAGAAAUUUCAUUUGUUGUAUUGAUGUGUUUAUGCCAUUAGUGUUUUUAUCUCACCAGGAUGUACUGAUAGACAAGCACAACGCUGAUGGCACAUUCAAGGACCAAGAGCUGCAAAACUUAGGCCGACCAGUGAAGUCUCUCAUGGUGAGGCACCACUGUCCACUUAUCGGUCUCUCGUGUUACAAUCAUUCUCCAUACACUUCCCUAAUUCGUCCUCACCGUGUGUAUGUCCAGGUCGUGGCUUCAUGGGCAUGCUUACUCGUAUUCGCAGCCUUGAAGUUCCUCCAGUGGUCCUCCCUUCUAUCCACAUGGAAGGGCAUUGCCAUUUCGGCAGCUGGUCUAGCCGUCGUGACACUACUCAUGCAGGUCCUGAUCCGAUUCUCCCAGUCGGAGCGAUCAACCCCGGCCAAAGUUGCCCCCACCAGAGCCCAAGAGCUUAAGCAGCAAUGAAGUUGAUUCCCGCAAAGGUUCUGAUAUUAGGCUUAAGGUCUGGUUGGUAGUUAGAAAACGAUACACAAUUAGGGGGAAAACGUGAAUUUUAGGGCAAAUUGGUGUAGAUUGUAAGUCACGUAUUUGGGGGGGUUUUCCAGGAUGUGUAUGUAAGCACUAUUCACUAAUCAGUGUUUGUUAAUGAAACCGUAACUUUCUUUAUCGGAUUCAUUAGUAUAUUAUGCCACGAUGUUGGUUCGGUUCGGUUUCGGUACUAGAUCAUUAGGGUUUUAUCCUGUUUCUUGCUUUGAAAGAAGGAGGGGUACGAGAGUUGAACGGAGAUGAAGAGAUAGUAAAGCACAAAACACCAUCUUCAACUUGAAUCGAUGCCAAUAUGAGUGAGGUUAUAAAGGAUAGAGGCUCGGGAGAGAAAUUAGAGGGCAAAGCAAGUUCGAGAGUGCGCCUUACGGACAAAUGUCGGGGAAACUUGGUGGCAUUUAGCGGACAUUGUAAUAGAGAAGAGGAAGGUAGAAGAGAACAGAGGGGUCAACACUCGCCGACGAUCCUCUUUCAUUUUCUGGGAGGUUCCAUCAUCGAAGAGGCGACUCGAAGGAGUUAGUCGAGGAGGAUGGCGAGAGGAAGAGCGAUGGUUUUAUUUUGUAUUUUAUUUAAUUAAAUGUAUGUUUACUGACGUAGCGUUGAUGUGGCAUGAAUAUGCCUUGCCCAAUUAACACUGUCUUUUUCCGUCAUAACCCGUUAAGUUUUCGAUUAAAUCUAACAAUCAAUUUUAACGUUGAUUUACUUCCGUCACAUAUAUAAUCCGUGCCAUCAAACAUAUUUCCGAUAAAUCAAACUAUCUUUUAUAAUAUCGCUAUAGAUCGUAAGUCCCAAAACUAUUAAGCCUAAAAUUUAACUAUUUACAAAUAACAAAUCAGAAACGAGAAGCAAGACAUAAACCCUCAAGUCCUCAACCAACCUUCUCCUUCUAAAACCUCUCCAAUACCCUAACCACAUCCGGCGACUGCCAUCCGACCACGCCGGUUCAGCCGCUCUGAACUUUCCUCCGCCGCUUCUACCUCAUGGAGGCCCUCACUGAGGUCCGUCCGUCCUCCUCCUCCUCACUCUCUCUGUUCGUGAGCUAAAAGCUCAGCUAAUGAAUCAACGACUGACCUGUUUUGCGACAACUUCACAUUAGAAUCGCGUCCUAGUUUCAAAAGCUUCGGUUUCAAUGCUGAGCUACGGAUGGUUGAUGAGUUUCACAGCUUCCUAUCCCUUUUCGUUGUUCUUAUUGUUUCCUUCUUCCUCAGGUUGUGACCAAGGCGGUUGGUUCCGUGUCGUUCAGCGCCUAUUCAGCUGAUGAGGUCCGGAAGCUGAGUGUUCUCAAGGUUACUAAUCCGAUGUUGGAAACCGGUGACCCUGGCUCGGCUCUUAGUGAUCCUGCCCCUGGUGGUCUCUAUGAUCCCUCGCUAGGGCCUCUGAAUCGGUCUAUAAAGUAAGUCUUCAGUACAUCUUGGGGAUUUAUCGGGAGUCACUGGUCCCAGUUUCUGACAAUUGUAAUCCACAGCUUCCUGAUUUUUGUAUAAAGUUUAGUCUAAUAUGUAGCUGAUAUUCAAAUCGUUGUGCAGAUGUAAGACUUGUGGCCAGAAAUGGGAACACUGCCCAGGACAUUGUGGCCAUAUUGAGCUAGUUCUUCCGGCCUAUAAUCCUCUGCUGUUUAACUUUCUGUACAAAAUUCUUCACCAAACCUGUUUCUCUUGUCUUCAUUUCAGAGCUGAUAGUAACCAUGUAAGUUCACCCUUGAUUGCAGCUGAUACAUAUUUUGGAGUUCUUUUUUUUGCGUUAUGUAUUAGCUUGUGCUUUAUUUGUUUUUUUACCCCGUCUGAUCUUGGUCUUCUCUUUUCUGUUUCUUUCCACUUUCUACGUUUUGCUGCUUUGUCAAAAUAGGUUGCGAAGUGUGUUACUCAGUUGAAACUCAUCUCAAAAGGAGAUAUUGUUGGGGCUAAGUUAAUUGAUUUAGUCUCGGUAGAUGAGACUGAAACUCCUGAUGCAAGUGAAGGCAGCCAAGGAUCUGCAUCUACAGUUCAUUCGGGGUCACAAGCUCAAAAUGAUGACGAUAUGGAGCCACUUGAAUGGACCUCCCUUCAGUUUGCAGAGGCUAUGUCGAUCAUAUAUAACUUUCUGAAGAAAGGGACGCAGAAGUGCAAGCAAUGUGGUGCAAAAAACCCUAAGAUUAGCAAGCCUGCUUUUGGAUGGGUUAAAAUGGUAAUAGUUUUCCCAUGAUAUUUUCGCAAUUAUUAAGAGAGUUAGCACUAUCAUGGAUAUCAACACAUACUGUUUUCUGUUCUUGAUUCUUAAGCGUAUUCUCUUCAUAUAUUCAGUAUGCAAUUCUUGUGACUUCCAAAGAAUAUGUAUGCAGGGUUUUGGGUGUUGUCACAACAGCAAUAGAUUGAUAGAAAUAUGUCCAGACUUUUGAAUCUGAAUGGGUGCACCUUAACAGUUUUCAUUCUUGUUUCUGGGUUUGUAUUAGGAAAUUAUGCUAUAAUGCUUCAACUCUCUGUAUUAAAAUUUCUAGCUAUAUUGCAAGCUCAUUCUGGCUGGUUUCUUUCUGCAGGAUGGCAUGUCUGAUAGUGCUAUCAGAGCAAAUAUAAUAACAGGGCGGCACCUAUCAGGGCUGUUAGAUGGUGAACCUGAUAUAGAGGAUGAAGAUGAACGCAUGACGAACCCUGGCAAAGCUUUUGCCAGCCAGAAAAACUCAGGAUCCUGCCAUCUUCUCCCAAAACAGGUGUGCUGGGGACCUUUUCCCAUGUCAUAGCUAAUUUAUUUGUGUAUGAUGUCCAUCGAAAUCCAGCUUCGACAAACAUUUUCAUAUUUCAUCUUUUUACAGGUGAAAUCAAUAUUAGAAAUUUUAUGGGAGAACGAGAAGGCUUUCUGCAUGAUCAUGAGUAAUAUUCAGCAGAAAAGACUGAGUGGCAAUCAAGCAGGCCCAUCUAUGUUUUUUCUUGAAGUUAUUUUAGUAGCUCCAAUCAAGUUCCGUCCUCCUGUAAAGGGGGGUGAUGCGGUGAGUAUGGAAUGUUUAUUUUAUGGCUUCAUGAAUAAGUUUUACUGGAAUGUGUUCCUUGUUUUUUUUUACUUCUGCACGUUGCGUUUUUUACGUCUCAAAUGUGGAUAAAUUACAGUGGACGGUGUAAGGAUGGUUUUGGUAUAUUAAAACUUGAAGGAAUGGUGUUAAUUGACCAAUUUUUGUUUACAUUCUCUAUGAUGAUAUUUCAUGGUACGUUAUUAUUACUCAAUUUUCAAACUUACCAGCCUUCGCCUUGGGUUCAAGUGAACUCAUCAAUUUGUAAAAUGUUGAAGCAUGAUUGUUUCUUCUGGUGUCAGUAAUGCAUUUCUGUCUGAAAUGCUCUUCUCCCCCAUAAGUUGCAUUUGUAUAUUUAACGUGAAGAUUUUGUCAAUGAUUACCCAGUAGAAUAUUACCAACUUGAUAUCGCCCUUUCAUGGUCUUGAUUUGAGUUUUUAUUCGUGCCACUACCUGUCUGUCUGACGUACCGUCCCUUUGUCUUCUAUUUAUUUAUGGUUCCUUGCUGUUGGGAGCUUUUAUCGCACAUCACGGCAGUCUUGGAAGCGUUCCUCUUGGUUUGCAUAAUUGAGUGAAACAGAUACGUAAAUUGGCAUGGAAACAUUAACUUUUUGAAUCUUUUAUUUAGGUCAUGGAUAAUCCUCAGACCGUUCUACUAGGCAAAGUGCUGCAAGCUAAUUUAGCUCUGGCGAAUGCUCAUGCUCAUGCUAAUACGGAUGAAGUGGUUAGAAAGCGGUGGCUAGAUCUUCAACAAUGUAUAAAUAUUUUGUUUGAUAGCAAAUCUGCUAAAGGUAAUUUCCGUCCUAUAUUUGCUCCUAGUUUUUCCGUACUUUUAAGAAACAAAACUGUAUCUAAGAGAGGAAGAAUAAAGUCAGUAUCAUUGUAAUCAUUAGAAAAACAUAGUACAUACAAUGAACUCUGUUGCAUCACCUAUGUCUAGAGAAGUAGCACUCCAUAUUCUCAUUCUGAACUGAUUUAUAUAUUGCAUUACAAAAGCAGAGUAAAAAAUGAUAGGUUAUCUUUGUUUAAAGAGGUAAAGAUGGCUAAUCAGUCAGACCUCGAUUCUCAUUUGGCACUUUGGGGUCUCCUGUCUCUUCUCUUUUUCAUUUAAGCAUUCUAUCCAUGCCUUGUUUUCAUGGUUGAUUGAAGCAGACUAACUCUUAUGUCCUUUUGAGUCUUGCAAUGUCAAUUCUGUGCCGUAAAUGCUUUUUGAGGCUUCGUCUAGUACCAAUAUGUGUUGCUCAUACUGUGAUAAUUGCUGGUUCCGAAUGUAUGUAGGUCCCGGUGACAAAGAAUUGUCCAAUGGAAUAUGUCAAAUACUUGAAAAGAAAGAAGGCCUGUUUCGUCAAAAAAUGAUGGGGAAGAGGGUUAAUUAUGCUUGUCGCUCAGUUAUAUCCCCGGAUCCCUACUUAGGAGUAAAUGAAAUAGGAAUUCCACCUUGCUUUGCCAUAAAGUUGACUUAUCCUGAGGUGAGUUAUUUGAUCUAGAUUGGUAUAUGGUUGGAUGUCUACAUAGCUAGAUGAAUGUAUUUAGUUACUAUCAUCCACUCAGGUUUUAAUUUGUAAGUUGAGCUUGUAAUUGACGGCCACUUGUUUAGCGUAAGGAAACAAUGAUGAAUUUGUGAGGUUAAGCUAUCUUAAAAUACAUUGUGGAUAAGGCACGUCUUUUGUGACUAUAUUCUUCUAGGAAUCAUGAGCAUUACAGAAAUAUGUUGUUGGCUGUAGUUAAAACUGAAUUUAUCAUGUGAGGAUGACAAUGUAGAUCAAUAUGUGUGAAAAAGAUCAAAGCCUCUUUUAUAAUCAAACAUUUAGUAAUGAAAAUGUUUUUUUCUUUAUUUGUUUGGCCCUUUUUGGAUCAUUCCUAAUUAGAGGGAGAUUGGAAAGACUACACUCGGCCUUACGGUUUCAGUAGUCUGAUUCAAAUGUACAGCACUUUCCAGUCUUGUAUUACUAUAUUCUAUAUGAUCUGAAAGAUGAAAUAUUUUUUUAUUUAACUGAUCAUGUUGUUGUCCAUGAUGGAAAGAUGCGUAUUUAGUGAGCAUUUUGCAAUGAUAUUGCAUUUUUUCUAAAAGUUAAUUUUCUUAUUCUUUCAGCGAGUGACUCCAUGGAAUGUUGCCAAAUUGAGGAAUUCUGUAAUAAAUGGGCCGAACAAUUAUCCAGGAGCAACUCAUUUGGUUGAUAAGUCCAUUAAUAUACUACAAUCUAGCAAGAAAUCUCGGGCUUCACUAUCAAGGACGCUACCUUCGGCUACAGGUGCUCUCCGAGAACAUGGGAAGGGUUCUAAUUGCGCAUAUGAAGGAAAAACUGUCUAUCGCCACUUGCAAGAUGGGGACAUUGUGCUCUGCAAUCGACAGGUGUGUUGCAGUAUAUAUUAUUAAUCUACAAUUCCGGGCGACUUACUGAUCUUAGCAUUUAAGUUGAUGUUUGUUGAAGGCAUUGUGAUCGGAAAUGCUCCUUGUACCUAGUUAUGGCAUGGCUAGGUCCUAAGUGGUUUCUUAACAUAUUUGAAUUGAUGAUUCAGUUUCAUGAAAAGUAAUAGUUAGAAAGGUUGCAUCAGUUGACAGGGGACUUUGUGCAAGUUUUAUACACUCGAUCACUUGCAUUGUUAAACCCUGUUUUAUUUCACUGUCUAAAUUCAAUGAAGCUAGUUCUUUGACAUUGCUUUUUCACCUUGCAGCCGACACUUCAUAAGCCUAGUAUAAUGGCACACGUCGUCAAAGUGCUGAAAGGGGAAAAGACACUUCGUAUGCACUAUGCCAAUUGCGGGUCUGUAUUAUUGUGUCUCUAUAUUUCAUAUAAUAAGUGCUCAGCUGUUCUCAAACAUGCUUUACUAAGUUAGAAAAUCUUCCUCUCAUGAGUGCCUCGGUUCUUAUUCCAGUACAUACAAUGCUGACUUUGACGGUGAUGAAAUGAAUGUCCAUUUCCCACAAGACCAUAUUUCCCGUGCCGAGGGGUACAACAUUGUCAAUGCUAAUAAUCAAUAUGUCAAGCCUUCGAAUGGAGAACCCCUUCGCAGUCUCAUCCAGGUUUGUGGUUCGUUUCCGUUUUAUUAUGACAGUUCCAUGUAUUCUAUUAUAAUGCUAUGCCAAUGACUUUGUGCACCUUUAUUUUUCAGGACCAUGUUAUUGGUUCUGUAUUGCUUACGAAGAGGGAUACAUUUUUGUUCUUAGAAGUGUUCUACCAGUUAUUAUAUAUCUCCGGUGUCUUCACUUCUUCUAGGACUUCUUUCAGUGGAAAAUCUGGCCAGAAAGUUUUUCUGGCUUGUCCUGAAGACGCUUUUCAGAUUUUCCAACCUGCAAUUCUCAAACCGAUCCCUCUCUGGACUGGAAAACAGGUUAGUAUGUAAUGGUGUUUUCACUUCCUCAAUGUAAUUCACUUGUUUUACUUACUAUUUGGUGUUCCACUUGUGGAUUAUUUUCACCAGUUAUUAUUUUGGCAUGUUUAGGUCAUUACUGUUAUCCUAAACCUUAUAACAAAGGGUCAUUCCGUCACUGUGGAAAAGGAUGCGAAGAUAUCCAGUGACUUCUUCAGGAGCAAAAGUACCAAACGUGACAGAAUUUCUGAAAAAAGAAGUGAAGGAGGCUCCAUUAAAAUAAAGCCCGACGAGGAGAAGAUUUUGGUAUCUAAAAAUGAAUUGCUUCGUGGUGUUAUUGACAAAGCUCAGUUUGGUGAAUAUGGUUUAGUGCACACAGUUCAGGAACUCUUCGGCUCAGAUGCUGCAGGCACCCUUCUAUCCAUUUUCAGUCGAUUGUUUACAGGUUACCUGCAGGUACUUUUGAUUUCUUUAACCAUUGAGGCUUCUUUUGGACUUGUGGAUUCGUUUUAAUCUAGCAUCAUUACAUCUGUUUAUGCUGUAUUGAACUACUCAGAUGCACGCUUUCACAUGCGGGGUUGAUGAUUUGUUGAUAUUGAAAGACAAAGAUGAAGCAAGGAAGAGACAGCUUGAAGGGUGCGAGAAGGAUGCUGAACUUGUGCAUCGUCAUUUUAUUGGGAUUAAAGAUGAGAAGCUAAGGAUAGGUGGGUUCUCUCUUGUUAGUAUGCUACUUUGCUUUUUCUGCAAUUGGAACAUCAUUAGUUACAAUAUUUCCAUCGCUAUAUGACUGGAAUUAGCAUACUUUCUGCGAGUGCCUCACCUCUAUCCGCAUUAACUCAACAUUCUUAUUAUUCAUUUGGUAAAUGUCAGGUAGGGGAAUGUCAUCACCGUAGUUGCCUCGAAUAAUUGAAUUUGAUAAAAUUUGUUAUAACCUUUGCUUACUUUUUAUCUUGAGAAACUCAUUUACCUAAGCACUUGCUCAGAACAGCUGAAUAUAUGAAAUCAUAGGAGUUUUCUAUUUUGAGAGUUAUGACAAUGAAUCAGUACCAAAUCCUUUUAUUUCCUUACUCUGGAUGAGGCGAACUUUUUUGCUAAUUGUACUCUUGACUGAGAAGUAUCUUCUGUCAUAUUGACUAGUUCCCUUGUUGGAAUCACCGGUGUAAUACGACCUGCUAUAAUGUGUAAUGUUUCUGGUUUUCCUGUUACCAGAGCCUAAAGACUUGCAAUUCAAUAUCGAAAAGAUAAUGCGAAGUGAAGGGGAAUCUGCUGUGACAUAUUUGGAUAACCAGAUGAGAAGUGAACUUAAUUCCAAAACAAACUCGGGGGUUAUCAGUGAGCUGCUAUCUGAGGGGGCUGUUAAACUCUCUGUGCAUAACUGUAUAUAUCUUAUGACGACUUCAGGCGCCAAAGGUAGCAAGGUAAGUGUUGAGCACUUUUUGAAAGCUUGCUGAACACUACUGAUGUUUCUUUAUCGGAAAUUAUAACCAAGAAUAGUCCGUUUAAUGCAUUGUUCCAAUUAAUGUGCAGGUCAAUUUCCAACAGAUUUCUUCUUUUUUGGGUCAACAAGAAUUGGAGGGGAAAAGGGUCCCUCGGAUGGUUUCUGGAAAGACAUUACCCAGCUUUCAUCCAUGGGACUGGGCAGCCCGAGCUGGCGGAUUUAUUAUCGAUCGUUUUCUUACGGGUCUCCGUCCUCAAGAAUAUUAUUUCCAUUGCAUGGCUGGUCGAGAAGGGUGAGUCGACUUCCAUGUUAGAAUGCUUAUUGUUUGAUUUUAAGUCAGUUCAACGGAGUCUUGACUUUUCAUUAUCAAAUUAGUAUUAUGAGUAUAAUAAGUUAUUACCACAUAGAUGCGUGUAUAAUUAGGAGGACGUACGUGGAAGACUUUGUAAUCUACCGGUUAAGUAUUGCAGGUUAGUUGAUACAGCAGUGAAGACAUCACGUAGUGGAUAUCUGCAAAGAUGCCUGAUAAAAAAUCUCGAGUGCCUGAAGAUAAGUUAUGAUCAUACUGUUCGUGAUGCUGAUGGCUCAAUUAUUCAGUUUCAAUAUGGAGAGGACGGCGUCGAUGUUUCCCAAACCAGCUUCCUUGCCAAAUUUGAUUCAUUAGCGAAGGUAAUAACUGCUUCGCUGUACGCUGAAAUUCUUCACUGAUACUAGAACCCUUUUUUAUUCAUACUCAUGAUCUGAAACUUCGUCUUGGCCAGAACCAAGAAGUAAUUUUCAAAACAUGCGGUCAGCAGCCUCCUAUGUUCAACAGCUACAUCUCCGAAUUGCCCAAAUCUCUGAAAGACAAAGCAGACAAUUUCCUGGACGAUUCCUCCUUAAUGGAUCGAAUCUCUUCAAAUAUGGUAAAGAAGGCAGAUGUUCAUAACUUGAUGAAGCUGAAGUUUCUCCGAAGCCUUGCUCAGCCUGGAGAACCAGUUGGUGUGCUUGCUGCUCAAUCUGUUGGAGAACCAUCGACACAAAUGACGUGAGUGUUUAUUCUUAUGCUGUUCAGUUUUCGGAAUGCUUUGUUCUCCCAAGUCCUAUGUUAACCUUAUUCUAUUAUUUUUUUACUAUCAGAUUGAAUACGUUCCAUUUAGCCGGACGAGGUGAGGCAAACGUCACAUUGGGUAUCCCUCGUCUUCAAGAGAUCUUAAUGAUGGCUUCAAGUAAAAUCCAGACUCCAAUUAUGACCUGCCCUUUGAAAGAGGGGAAAACUAAGUAAGUAUUCUUGGUUACUUGCUUACCAAGCUUCUGCAGCUACUAACUAUUAGCUUCCAUCUUGGAUAUUCAUAUUCUCGAUAUAAUUGUCACUUGCAGAGAGGUGGCAGAUCGCCUUGCUGAUAAAUUUAGAAAGAUCAGGGUGGCAGAUAUAGUAAAGAGCAUGGAGGUCUCUGUAACUCCGUUUGCCGUUCAGGACUGGCAAGCUUGUAGAAUUUACAAGCUGAAAAUGAAGCUUCACAGGCCUGCACAUUACCCGGCACACGCAAAACUCGACACAGAAGACUGGGAAGAAACUUUAGAAGGGCAGUUCGUGAGGGGUUUGGAGGAUGCUAUACAGAAUCAUCUAAUCCUGCUCUCCAAAAUCAGGGGCAUUUCCAACUUUGUGGCUUCGAAAUCGAAGCCUUCGGGUGAUGAUACGGAAGGUGAGGGUGUUAGUACCAAAAAGAAGUCGUCCAUUAGUUUUGAUGAUGAUGGUGAUGACGAUGGUGCCUUCGGUGAUGGUGAAGAGACUGAGGAUCUUGGUUCAGAUGCACGAAAACAGAAAAGUCAAACUACCGAGGAUGUUGACUACGAAGACAAUGACGAAGAUGAUCAUGUCAAUCCCGAGGGUUCAGUGACCACCAUGGGUGGAUCUGGUUUCGAAAGUGGUAGCGGAAGUGACACCGAUGAAGCCGAGAAUCGGGAUGCGGAUGAAAUGGUCGACGAAGGAAAUUCGGGAGCCUCCUCGAAGCGUAAUUCCGCAAGCGAUUCUCCAGCGAAAACGAAGAAGGAUAAAAGCAAAACAGAAGGCAAAAGUAACAAGCUGAAGAGAACUAUUGCAAGGAAAGAUUACGACAGAGCGAUUUAUGUGGCGGCAAAGGGAUUCCACUUUGAGGUCCAUUUCAGGUUCACCAAUGAACCUCAUAUUCUUCUCUCCGAGGUAUAUUGUAGUAUUAUUGCUUCUGUCUUUUUAUUCUUUUUUUUUGUCUAUUAUCGCGAUUUUAAGCUUUCCGAGGUAUCUCGAUUUUGUAGAUUGCACAGAAGGUUUCGAAGGUGGGUUUUAUUCAGAACCCCGGGAUGAUUGAGCAGUGCCGUGUUACAGACUGCAAAGACAGUCAAGUGAUCUAUUACGGGAAAGACCCAAAGAAGAGGGUGGCCAUCAAACCGGACGAGAAGAAGAAAAUCCCUGCAUUGCAAGCCAUGGGAGUCGAGAUCAAGUUGUUCUGGAAGAUGCUGAAGGAUCUCGACAUCAAUUACAUAUACACCAACGACAUCCACUCCAUUCUCAACACAUACGGGGUGGAAGCCGCGAGGGAGGCCAUAAUUCGAGAGAUCAAUCAUGUGUUUGGCUCUUACGGGAUAUCCGUCAGCGACCGCCACUUGUCUCUCAUAGCAGACUACAUGACCCACACGGGAGAGUAUCGGCCCUUGAGCCGUUUGGGUGGCAUCUCCAAGUCGGUAUCGCCCUUUACGAAGAUGUCGUUUGAGACUGCUUCUAAGUUCAUCGUUCAAGCUGCAUUGCACGGGGAGACGGAUUAUUUGGACGCCCCGUCUGCGAGGAUAUGUCUCGGGUUGCCCGUGAAGAUGGGUACCGGGUCUUUCGAUGUCAUGCACUCUUUUGAUGUCAUGCCCGAAUUGGAAAUUUGAUAGGUUUCGGAAGAGAGUUCGGUCGGUUUAGGCUUGUGAUCUGAAAUUUUUUGCCCGGUUUUGUUUCUUAGAAUGUUGCAAGUACUUUGUAUUCUAUAUGGUUAUCGAAUUCCAUGUAUACUCGGGUAAUCUCACUUCUCAUUAAUGAAAAUUGAAUGAAAUCGUCGCGAACAAGUACGAAGUCGUUUCACCUCCUACGAAUUAUUAAUUGAAGUAUCCAGUUAGAUACUUCAUCACGCAAAGACAGAAUAUAUAGAUUCUUUCUCGGCCACAAGUUAGAAGAUUCAUGUGGGACCCCAGCUCCCGCCAGAAAGAAUAAAAAAUUAAAAACCAGAAAAUGAACCGUAAAAAUUCAAACCACCGCCAAACUGAAACUCAGUCCACCGAUCACCAGUUCACCACCACCACCAAUGGACUCUCUCCGCCGCUCACCAACCUCCACUUCCACGAUACGGACCCAGAGCCAGCGAUGUCUCAUAUCCGAGAAGAAGAGAUGGACUAUGAGAUUCUCCAAUCACGCAUCCGUCAAUCGGACUGCAAGGAGAACGGUGACGGCGUCGUCCUAUAACGGCGGCGGAGGUAAGGAUCGUGAUGAAUCUCCGAUGCGAAAGUCGAUUGGGAAAGGUGUCGUCGGUUUCGCCGCUGCCGCCGCCACUCUGGCUGCCGUUUGCUGCUCCGAACCUCCUCCGGCUUCCGCCGAGUCUCUCACGGUUGCCUUCCCGGUUUCCCGUGCUCGUGAGGUGGCGGCCCUCUUCUUAUUUUUCUUACUGAUCGUAAUUUGUUAUGUCUUGGUCCGAUUUAAUUUUGGGCUCUCAAGGUGUUUGUGAUAUUUAUUGCCCGUUAGGUGAAUACAGUUCAGAGGACGCUUAUUGAGGCAUGGGGUUUGAUCAGGGAGACGUUCGUAGAUCCAACGUUCAAUCAUCAAGGUAGUUCUUCUGGCUACCUCUCUGUUUCUCUACCGUCUAAGAUUUUCGUUUCCAGUGACUUGCAGAUUGAGCUUUUGGAUUUUCUGUUUUGCUUGAACUAGAUUGGGACUUAAAGCUGCAGCAAACCAUGGUGGAGAUGUUUCCACUAAGUUCAUCUGAUGCUGCGUACAAAAAAAUCAGUGGGAUGCUUUCGACUCUCGGGGAUCCCUUCACUCGGAUUAUUAGUCCAAAGGUACGUACCGUCCAUUUCACCUGAACAAGCAAGGAGAGAUUUGCAUUUGGCUAUAUCUCGAUGAUGUGGGUUUAAUUACUGUUUGCUUACAGGAAUACCAGAGUUUUAGAAUCGGCAGUGAUGGGAAUUUGCAAGGAGUGGGCGUGUUCAUCAACUUGGAACCCAAAACCGGCCAUUUGGUUAGUGUGAUUUACGAGAGUCUACUCUUUUGGUUUCUGAGAAAGGUACUAAUAGUCUAAUAGGCUUCUUCUGGUAGUGCAGGUUGUCUUAUCUUGCAUAGAGGGAGGACCGGCUGCUCGUGCUGGAAUACAGGAGGGCGAUGAGUUGAUCGAGAUUGAUGGUAUUUCAGCCAACUUGCUGUGACCAUUGAAGUUAGAUACCGGGUUUUUCGUUCUGUUUCUUCUUAUCUAUAUGUCGAAAAAUCUGGUAUUGUGCAAUUGUUCUUGAGGUAGUUUAUAAUGCGUUUGUAUGAUAAAGGGGAAAGCUUCUAACAUCAGGUCCAUUCAUGGAAAACAUCAGGUGAGCAAUUGCAUGGCGUGGACAGCGAGGUGGCAGCACAGAAGCUAAGAGGACGAGUUGGGACAUCUGUAACAGUCAAACUCAGUGUAAUCGAUCAAGCCUCUUCCCUUUCCCUCUUUGAGCAUCUUUGUCCAAUUCGGUCAAUAUGUACUCUGUUCAAAUGUUGCAUGAUUUGGAAUGGUUCUUCACUCCACAAAUUGAGAUCUUCGUAUUUCACGUACUUGUUCUGCAGAGCAAAGACUCAACAAGCCAUUCUGACAUUAGAGAGGUAUCGACAUUUCCAAUGCCUAUAAUACUUGCUUCUUACAUCUUCUGCCAUUGCACUGAGACCACCUGUAAGUCUGCUUGUAGGUCAAACUACCUCGCGAGUACAUUAAGCUCUCACCGAUUUCCAGUGCCAUCAUUCCACAUAGAACACCGGACGGUCGAUUAGCCAAGACUGGCUACGUGAAGCUGUCAGCCUUCUCUCAGAGCGCUGCUACUGACAUGGAAAAUACAAUCCAAGAGAUGGAACGUCAAGAUGUGCAUUCAUACAUCCUCGAUUUGCGCAAUAACCCUGUAUGUAUCCGAAUUUCAUGUCCAAAUGCCAUGAAAACAUAUUUAGAUGUGUCUACUAAAAAGGUUCGAACUUCCUAUCCGAAUUUUAUAUUUUUUUGCAGGGUGGUCUAGUGAAAGCAGGGCUUGACGUGGCGCAAAUGUGGCUAGACGGGGACGAGACCCUUGUGAACACAAUUGACAGAGAAGGGAACAUGUUUCCAAUCAACAUGGUCGAUGGCCAUGCCCUAACACACGAUCCGCUGGUUGUGUUGGUAUAGAACCCUACUCCUCUUUUAGUUUCCUUCCCUUUUGGUCACCUAAUUAUUCUUCCAGCAUUGUUAACAUGUUAAACAGGUGAAUGAGGGAAGUGCUAGCGCAAGUGAGAUAUUAGCUGGAGCUUUGCAUGAUAACGGGCGAGCCAUCCUUGUGGGGCAUAAAACUUUUGGAAAGGGCAAAAUUCAGGUAGUUUUUCAUCAAGUUUCUUCAUCAUUGAAAGUGAUGAUCUUAUGUAUGACUGUUAUUACGAUUAGUUUUUUAGUUUGAUUAGAAUGACUACAAUGUAGGUAUUGAUUCAUUGUCGAAACUCUUACCGAAACCUAUAACUAAUUCUACGAAUUGUGGUUCAACUGCAAAUUUCCAAAGAAUAUUGCAGACUGUAAUGCAGUCCCACCGAGUUAACCAUGGUUGGAACAUAAAGAACUGAUAGUGAGUAAUGAUGGGGUGGACAUUUCUCAUUUCUGCAGAGUGUGACAGAGUUGCACGAUGGAUCGGCCCUGUUUGUGACGGUAGCCAAGUACCUGUCUCCGGCACUCCACGACAUCGAUCAGAUCGGGAUCACCCCCGACGUGCAAUGCACGACAGAGGAGGUGCUGAGGGAGUUUUCCCAGACGAAGAACAACAGGGAGUCAUCGUCGUCCCUAGAAGCCGAUUCAUGCAUUAUGGUUGCGGAACACGAACUCGAGGUCCAGGAGUCUAGAGGGACAGCCUCGUGACAAAAGAGAAAUUAGAAUGAAGAAACCUUUGUAUAGAUUGUUAAUUGAUGUGUAUUAGUGGUUAGGUGAUUAUUGCCUUAUAGGGCUCAAAAGUAGGGUCUGUUAAUAUGUGGUUGUGCUAUGUAUCUAAUAUGAAAAUGAAUAUCACUAAACUAAACUUAAACAUAAGAUACUGUUUUAAUCCAAGUAUCUAAUGUGUUAGUUUUCUUAAUUUAUUGCUCUAUGAUCAAAAAGAUUAGCGCGAGUGGGCGCGUGGAAAACCUCUCAAACUGAGCCUGGUUUCCUCGACGUUUUGAUCGCCGACAUCGGAGAGUUCCCUCUGUGGGUGAGCUCCUUUGGGGCUCCCCGCUGUCUGGAGGCUCGCCGGCGGAUCUUUGGAUCUCCGGCCUUUGCCUUGCUCCUUGUCUUCACCCUUUCCCUUCCCUUUCUCUUCCUCUUCUUCUAUGAAUCUCGAGACCAAGGAAGUACCUACUUGGAUUAAACUUUGUAAUGUCCCUCCUCAGUUUUUAACAAACGCUGCAAUUGAAUGGAUGGUCAGUAGAAUUGAAGCUCCGAUUAACAAAUUUGUGAGAUCUAGCUUGGAUGUUAAAGUUUGCAUUUUGCUGAGUAAGGAUAAGGAAUGCCGGUCGAGUUUGCCUAUUUGGGUUGAAAAUAAGCGUGUUAUUAUUAGUAUUGAAACAUCAAAGAGUCGACCUAUGAUCAAUGAAUGGAGAAGGCUAAAGAGCAAAAUAAAGUAUGGAAACCAAUCCUCCCAAAAAGUAUAGCCAUGGUCAUGGGGUUAAUGUGUUGAGAAUGCAGUGAAAUACGAUGAUGAUGAUGCUGUUGUUUUCAGGUUUUACCGGAGAUCCAUCGUUGGUAAUAUAUGGUAUAAAAGAUGUCGAAAGAAUGUAAGAGAGAAUCCAAUUACAACUCUGCCUAUUGCUCAUAAGAUUUGUAGAGAAAUACAUUAUGUGAUGAAAAAAGUCUAGUUGUCUAGUUGAUUCCUGGAUUGUUGUGAUUGUUAGGACGUUUAUUUAGUUUUCUUUGUGAGCAGAUUUUGUAAGUUUUUCUUGGUGGUACUUCCAAAUUUUCUUCGGUAUACUGCAAUUUUGAUGAAAAAAAAGCUAUAUUCAUUGAAUAAAAAAAUUAUUUCUCUAUAAUCCAAAUAUUAUUUAUGUGGUUUGCUAAUUAGUUUAUAUAUGUUAUCCUUAUAAGCCAUGUGUCGUCCCAUAUGAUAUCAAAAUGAUGAUUAGGCGAAAGAUAACAAUAAGAUGCCAGUUGAAAUAACGGAUAAAGAGACAUUUAGCAAAUUGGUAAAGUAGGAGGGGGGAAACAGUUUUUAAUAAUACAGGACCUCGAUUGUAGUUAAAAAAAGUAGAAGGUGCAAAACUACUAUUGUUCCAAAAGGUCUUUUUACCGUUUGACAAUUGAUAAAUGAAUACCUAGAAAUUGGUUGAUGGACCAGUUAUAAUAUAAUAAAAUGACUGGACCAGUUAUAGGCCCAAUAAGUAUAGCCACGGUCGGCCCAAUAAGGUCACGAGAACAACAGGUAAAAGCGCGGGAAGUAGAAAAACGGAGGAGAGAGACAAGGGGUUUUUAUUCUUUUAAUCAAACCCUAUGCGUCUACGUCCGAAUUCUAUAUUCUCACGUAACUACCGAAUUAUGGACGGCGAAUCGCCCAUUACUAACGGAGAAAUCUCUUCCGCCGAGGUAGCACCGACGCCGGCGGCGGCUCUGCUUCCUCUUCCACCUAUAUCGGAAGCGGGGGAUGGACGUGAGGCCGGAGAUGGACACAAUGGCGAUGAGGAGGAAACGAAGGAGGAGGACGAUGACGAGUUGAUUGACAAGGCGCAGCGGUUAAUGGAAAAGAUUAGUGCCGCUCCUGAAAACCCUAGUGCUUCCGUUCUCCACGCUCUGUCUUCUCUCCUCGAAACUCAGGAGUCUCUGUAAUUAUUCUUUCGCCUUCUCAGCCUUUACUGUUUUUGGAUGAUCGACUGUUUUGCUUGUGUUCCGUUUAUUUCAAAUGCAUAAUUCCCCUCCCCGUUUCGCCAAUUGUGUUGAGCUUUUAUUUUGUAUAUGUGUUUGCGCCCUUUCUGGCUGAGUGUUAUAUAGAGUCGCUAGCUUCUCAGUUAUAACCGUAAUUUGAGAAUAGGAACCCGAUGCUUCUUUAGUUUGCUGACUGUAGAUGUUGCAUGAGCUCGGGAAAAAAAAUGUAAUUUCAGUUUCUACUCAGACUGGUAUCUACGUUUUGUCAUGGACAUUUCUUAAAGGGGAUACCCGGUUUUCUGGAAUGAAUGAGAAAUUGAUAUUGGUUUAUGAGUUCAAAUCUACAUUAGCACAAUAUGUAUAGCCAAGCUACCUGGAUUGCUGUCUCAUAUCCUCUACCUUUUCACCGAUGUCCAAUCAAAUCUCCUUGUUGACUUUGGUGUAUUCUGUGCAGAUAUGUCGAAGAGAACGGACAUUCUUGUCCUAAUACUUCUCGUGCUUCCCACCAUAUUGGUCGUCUUGGAAACUUACCUCGGGUACUUUUGCUUGAGUUCUAUACAUUUAGGAAUUCUAUCAUUCUGUCUUUUUGACAUUCCUAAUUGCAUGUUGCUGACUCGUAGUUUUGAGUUGGUCUUUUGGUUUCCUCCAACUUCUGUGCUGAUAGUGCACCGUAACUUCUUUCACAGGGCAAUGAUGAGUUUUUUGACUUGGUAUCUUCUAAGAUUCUUGCUGAGACGAGAUAUUCAACUGCCGUCCAGGCAGCUGCUGCGAGGCUUCUUAUGAGCUGCUCGCCAGCGUGGAUUGAGAACGAGAAUGUGAGUAGUUGGUUCGGUUCAUUUAUUUGCACUACCACAUUCCCUCCUAUUAAUUUUAAUCUGCUUUAGGCCAUCUUUCUAUUACUGACACAAUUAAUUGCUUGUUGAACUUAAAAUUUACUGCAGGAUCCUCAUGUUUUUGAUGAACCCGUUAUGGAGAACAUAAAGGGCUGGCUGAUGGAUGAAUCCGUGAGAUGUUCUGGUGAAGAGCGCAAUUGGAAACAUGGUUCAAGGAGGAGAGAGGCAACAGAUUCUGAGAUGUUGAAGGCCUAUUCUACGGGGCUCCUUGCUGUAUGUAUGGCCAGGUAUGCUUUUCUAUAACUAUUGCCUUAAAGUCUUUUGGAUGAUGCAUCUGGGUGACUGAACGGUUCCACCAACAGAAACAUUGUGUCAAAUUAUUCAUUUGGCUUAACAAAAAGGUGGUCAUAGCCAUCCAUUUUAGAACCCUCUUUGGAUGUUGAGAAUUUAGAGUAGUUGUUGGAUUUGAUUUUCAGGUCACCUUUAACCCCGUAUUAUUAAAAAAACAAGGCUAGUUUCCUCGAUUGACAUGCAUAUCGUAAACUUAUACAAAAUUGCUCCUACCCGAUUCACACCUAAAGAAUUGAUUUUAAUAUUCCAAAUCCAUGUAUUUGAAGUCCACUUAUUGGACACUGAAAUCCAGUUCCAAAAUCCUUCUUCCAAAUGAUGCGCUAGUAUUCUUAUUGUAUAUUUGACACUUGUAUCUCCUUUUUCUUGUUUUCAUUGUGAGAACAGUAGUGAGAAGGUUAUUGAAGAUAUUUCCAAAAAAAAGGCUGUUGAAAAGGUUGUUGAAGAUGUGCUUACAUCUGGAUUGUCCGGAAAGCUCAUGCGCUUUCUUCGAAUCCGCACAGUGGGGGAAACUAGCACAAGCAAAAAAGAUGGUAGUUAUUCUACUGAAGGGGAAAAUGCAAAUGCUGCCACAUGCUACCAAGGUAGGGAACGCCAGCUUCUUGAGGCUACUCAUGAUAAUUUGAAAGUGAUGGAUGAGAGGUCACUAGAUUAUCAGAGUGUCGAUAGAAAUGAUGAUAAAAGCUCUGGUGCUCAGCAAUUGAGGGAAGAUUUUGCUGAUCUUGGAGUAUUGUCUAAUGUGUCAGCUGAAGCACAGAAUUCUUCAGGAAGCCCAAUUGCUGAUGGUUUUACCUGGGAAAGAGAGGAAAACGAUGACUGCUUAAGUGAAUGUAGAAUUGGAACCAAAGACAUAUCCAAUUUGGUAAAAAAAGCUGUGGGAGCUGCUGAAGCGGAAGCCAGAGCUGCAAAUGCACCUCCAGAAGCCAUUAAGGCAGCUGGUGAUGCUGCUGCUGAAGUUGUCAAGAGUGCUGCUUUUGAGGUGCAAAACAUAUGUUGACUUCUUGCUGUUCAUAAGUAAAAGGUUGGGGGGGUUCUGGAUCUAACUCAUCUGAGUUUCAUGUGCAGGAAUUUAAAUCUACCAAUAAUGACGAGGCUGCAGUUUUGGCUGCUUCUCGUGUUGCUUUUACAGUGGUCGAUGCCACAAAUGCAGUUGAACGUUUUAGGUUAGUUUAGUAUCCGGAUGGAGUUUCUUUCUUCACAGCUGAGCAAUAUUUAUGAUCUUUACUUGUUUGAUUACAGGAGAACUACCAGUGACGCCAAUGAUUCAGUGGAUCUUGAAAGUACAGAGAAAGAAGCGAAUGAGGAAACUGAAGAAUAUUUCAUCCCUGAUGUUGAAUCCCUUGCACAGUUGAGGGAAAAAUAUUGCAUACAAUGCAUUGGGAUAUUAGGGGGAUGUGUUGGAGUUCUUGGGCCUGUAUUGCAGGAGGAGGGUGUAGAUGUCUGUCUGUUGCUGUUGGAACGUAGUUCAAAAGGAGCAUCCAAGGCUAUGUCACUCUUGCCUGAUGUCAUGAAGCUUAUAUGUUCCUUAGGUGCUCACAGGAAGUUUGCUGAACUGUUUGUGUAUAAAGACGGCAUGGAAAAACUGCUUGCUGUGCCACCAGUUGAACACACCUACUUUGGUCUUUCUUCAUGCUUAUUUACUAUCGUUUCUGUAGAGGUAACCAGAUCUAUUUUCUAUUCUUUUUUUUAAUUGUUGGAAGGGGGGUCUCUCACCCUUUGUGAGCGGGAUGGGAGAUUAACCAGAGAGGGGUGGGGAGCUGUAGUGAUAAUUGCUAUCUCAUUGCAGAUUGGGAAGUUGAGUUAAAUCUUCUUCAAUUUGUUUUACAGGGAAUAAUGGAGCUUGUAUGUGCUCUUCCAUCAGGUGUUGUCCCCCGGGUGGUUGGGUUAGCUAUUCAACUUCUGGAGUGCUCCCAAGAUCAAGCCAGGGAAAGUGCAGCCUUAUUUUUUCGUGAUGCCUUUGUAUUUAGAGAUGUGAUUGAUGCUUUCGAUGAGCAACAUGGUUUGCAGAAGUCACUUAGCCUUUUAAAUAAAGCUGCUUCAGUUAGAUCUGGUGGCAAUUCAGGGUCGUUAAACCUGUCUACUUCAGAGAAACAGACACCUUGCCACACUUGUUUUGCAUUGCAACAAUAUGUCAGAGGACAUUUUCAUCUGCUUGUGGAAUCAGUUCGUGCUAAUAGAAACAACCGAAGUUUGGCUAGGAACCUACCAAGUGCAAGGGCUGCAUACAAGCCUCUUGACUUGAGUAAUCAGGCUAUGGAUGCCAUCCUUUUGCAAUUACAGAAGGACCGGAAGUUGGGUCCCGCUUUUGCAAGAGCUAGUUUUCCUGCUGUCGACAAAUUCUUAGAGUUGAAUGGGCAUAUUACUAUGUUGGAAUUGUGUCAGGUUGGCAGAGUAAGUGAUUUUUUCACAUUAUAUUUCUGUUUUGAACUUCACACCUCCCCUUACUUAUAUCCUGAUUUUAUAAUUAUAGGCCCCACCCGUUGAUUACUUGGUUCAGUUUGCUCUGGGUGUCCUUCAUAUUGUUACAUUGGUUAAUGAUGGCCGCAAAAUGAUAGUGAACGCUACCUUGAGCAAUAAUCGUGCUGGCAUAGCUGUUAUUCUGGAUGCAGCAUAUGUUAGUGGUACUGUUGUGAAUCCUGAGGUAACGAUAAUGCCAGCAUUAAAGGUGCUAAUAAACCUUGUUCGUCCACCUCCUUCAAUAAGCAACAAACCACCUCCACUUGGUGCUGGAAAUAUCCAAGAUCGAUCUUCUAAUAUCCCCAGCCACGGUGAUCAAAGGGAGCGGAAUGGUGAGUCAAGUGCAGCCGAUCAAGUAGGACGGCGCUCAAUUGGAAGUGCUACACAAGCAUCUGUUAAUCCUACAGCAACGUCGGGAUUGGUCGGUGAUAGAAGAAUAUCUUUACGUUUUGGAGCAGGUUUUGCAGGACUUGCUACACAGAUGGAACAGGUAUAUACUCUGGCUAGAGAGGCUGUUAGUGGUGGUCUAAUGGUGCUACUGCGUCUCCUCGAGCGACGCACGUAUUCUCCUCCUGAUGCCAUUGACUGUGUCCGUGCACUUGCUUGCCGGGUGCUGAUUGGCUUAGCUAGAGAUGAUAAAAUUGCACACAACAUUGUGGCCAAACUCCAGGUAAUGCUUUUUAUUAGGUGGAAUUGCUUGGAUUCAUCUAGAUUUCUGUGGCUUCUGUAAUUUAGUGUUGUUUAACUAACGUGUGGUAUCAUACAAUGAACUAUUUUUGCUUAUAGAUAUGCUUUCUAUUAUAUAGACGCUCCAAGGAUCCUGGUGCUUCUCCAUUUCAUAGGUUUCGCUUAUUUUAUCGCAGGACGGUAAAGCCCUAUCAGAACUAAUACGAGAUUCAGGUGGCCAAACACCUGGAACCGAACAAAGCAGGUGGCAAGCCGAGCUUGCCCAGGUGGCGAUUGAGCUAAUUGGGGUAAACCUUUUCUCUCUCAGAUGUGAAUAAUUGUUGCAUCCUAAUAACUUCAACAAUUAAAUUUGUACAACCAAUGACAAACUCUGUUUAUGUUUUUGGAAAAUAUGCCUCGAUUUGUCAUUUGGAGUAGUUCAUGCUUAGAUUUUUUCUUGAUGGUUUGGGAAUACCCGUUUCUUUUUGUUGAAAAUAUCUUGCCUUUGUUACCAAAGAGAUUAAUCGACGGACUCAUGAAUGUAUUCCAGAUUGUAACUAAUUCUGGGCGGGCAAGCACACUGACCUGUACCGAUGCGGCCACACCAACAUUGCGGCGUAUUGAAAGAGCUGCGAUAGCAGCAGCUACUCCUAUCACGUAUCAUUCGAGGUGCUUCUUGCAAUUUUCUACUGUACUUUGGACAUUACCUUUGUCUCCAUUUGUGUGAUUUUUAAUGCUUUUUCUUUAAUUGUUAUGCAAAAAUCCAGGGAACUGUUGCUCCUCAUUCAUGAACACCUACAGGCGUCUGGUUUGGCCAAAGCUGCUGAUGCACUCUUGGAAGACGCUCAGUUGACGCCUUCAUCAUCUUCUCUUGCUCCUCAGGAGACUCCUUUUGUGCAGCAGAUUCAGUGGCCAUCUGCCAGUGGGUUUCUAUCUGAAAAAUCCAAAGCAACUGUACGGAAUGAAGAUGGCAAUAUCAGAUGUAGAGAUUCAUCUGUGUCUGUCAAAAAGAAGCACAUUUUGUUCUCACCUUCCUUUGGAUCGCAGUCAAGAAGUCAGCCCCAGUCCAUUGAUUCUAAAAAGUCAAAGCAAUAUCAACCUCCUUCAGAUAUAUUGGAAAAAGAAGAGCCUUUGUGCAAGACCCCAGCGAAACGCAAGCUAUCAGAUCUAAAGGAUAUUGACCUGGCUUCAUCUGGAAAGCGACUCAAUACUAGCAAGCACGAAUUUCGCUCUCCGGUCUGUUCGACACCAGCUAAUGCUUGCAAGAUUGGUGAUGGUUUAACUACACCUUUCUCUAACACGAGGGACAUUGAUACUAGGUCAACGCCAUUCAGUUCUAUAGAUUAUAUAGGUGAAAGUCCCUGCCCUAGUUCUAGCAGCUCGGAGCGGUCAACAUUAGACUCUAUCGUGGUUCAGUAUCUGAAGCAGCAACAUCGGCAGUGCCCAGCUCCUAUAACAACUCUUCCACCACUCUCCUUGCUAGAACCACAUGUUUGCCGAGAACCAAAAAGAUGCCUUGAUGCACCGUCAAAUGUGACAGCUAGGAUCGGCGGUUCACGCCAGUUUAGAAGUUUCUACGGUGGGGUCCACGGAAAUCGCAAGGAUCGACAAUUCGUGUACAGCAGAUUCAGACCGUGGAGAACUUGCAGGGAUGAUGCCGGUGCCCUGCUAACCUGCGUGACAUUCCUCGGCAACUCUGGCCAUGUUGCAGUUGGCACCCACGACGGGGAGCUUAAAAUUUUCGAUUCCGACAGCGGACAUUUGUUGGAGAGCUGCGCAACUCACCAGGCUCCUCUGACUCUAGUUCAAUCACAUCUAGCCGGGGAGACCCAGUUGGUGCUAUCUUCAAGUUGUAAGGAUGUUUGUCUGUGGGAUGCUUCUUCAAUCUCUGGAGGUCCCAUCCACACCCUGGAAGGCCGCAAAGCUGCAAAGUUCAGCAAUUCCAGCGACCUAUUUGCAACCCUAACGACAGACAUCGUUUUACCGCAGCAGCGAAGAGAAAUUCUGCUCUAUGAUGUCCAAACCUGCCAAGUAACCUCGACUUUGUCGGAUACGACUCCGAGUUCGACAGGUAGGGCCAAUGUGUGUCCGCCGAUACACUUUAGCCCUUGCGAUACAAUGCUACUUUGGAACGGUCUCUUGUGGGAUCGACGCCAGCAGUCUGAUCCUGUCCAUCGCUUUGAUAAGUUCACUGAUUACGGAGGUGGCGGUUUUCAUCCUGCGGGGAAUGAGGUAUUGAAACUAGAGGUCGUUUGUUUUUCGAUUUAGAUUUCAGAGUGUGCUUUUUAGGUCGAGAUGAUUUGAGUAGGAAAUGAUCACAUUAUUUUUGUUGAGUUUAGAAUAAUGGAAUAAGUUAGAUUUGUAUUACUCAUUUAUAAAAUUAGAUUUUUUUUUUUAAUUUUCAAAACUCUUACUAAUUGCUAUUCAAUGAAACACAAAUUAAAACGACUUGUUAAUUUAUUGCAGUUUGUGUUUCCUAAUUAAUCAGGUGUCAACUAAUGUUGAAUCUUAAUUGUGACAGGUGAUUAUAAACUCAGAGGUGUGGGAUCUGCGGAGGAAGUUCAAGCUUCUACGGAGUGUACCGUCGUUGGAUCAAACGACGAUAACCUUCAACGCACGGGGAGAUGUGAUCUACGCUAUCCUGAGGAGAAACCUGGAGGACGUGAUGUCGGCACUUCACACUCCUCGGCGCGUGAAGCAUCCGCUGUUUCCAGCCUUCAGAACGGUGGACGCCGUCAAUUACUCAGAGAUAGCGACUGUGCCGGUGGACCGAUGUGUUCUCGAUUUUGCAUCGGAGCCGACAGAUUCGUUUCUCGGGUUGAUCACCAUGGAUGAUGACCAAGAGAUGUUCUCGUCGGCUAGAGUUUACGAGAUUGGUAGGCGGAGGCCUACUGAUGACGACUCGGAUCCUGAUGAUGCUGAAAGCGAGGUAGAGGACGAAGACGAAGACGACGAUGAUCCGAUCUUGAGGUCGGAUUUCGGAGGUGAUGGUGAUAGCGAUGAGGAUGGUGACUUGAGCAAUGAUGAUGAUAUUUAUUUGGAUGACAGCGACGAUGAGGUUGAUGGGGGCUUCGUGAUGGACGGUGUGGAGUUUGGUGGCGGAGGUGGAAUGAUGGAGAUGAUGACGGAGGGGGACGGCGAAGAUGACGACGAUGAUGAUGAUGACGACGGCCACAGUCGAGUGUUGGAAUGGGACAGUAGUGGGGAAGAGGACUUCAUGCGGUAAUUAAUUAAUUAAUGGGGUUGUUAUCUCAGAAAUAACCUGUAAUUAUUUAUAUAGAUUUUGGGAUUAAGCUGCAGUUCGAUAUAAUAGUAAUUUCACGAAAAUUAUGAUUUGGUUAACUACAUUAGUUUGUUUGGUUAACACUAACUGCAUCUAAAUUUGGUUAUAUGAUUAAUCACUAACCGCAUUGCAUAACCAUUGUAUGGUUAGUGGUUAACUGCAAAUAAUGAUUGGGCGCAGUUAAUUUUGAGUAAUUUGACUAAAAUUGUGACAGUUAACCACAUUGUUCAAUUCGGUUAACACUAAUCACACCACUUUCAGCCCUACUCAAAUGCAUUUGUCGAUUACUUUUAUAGCAUUGGCAGUGUCUACUGAUUUCAAAUUUGCUUUGUAAACAAACCAGACCAUAUUGAUAGAUGGUUUGAGAUACAUACCACCCGAUAACCGAUUAGUUUGAUACGGUUCUCAACAACACUGGUUAACUCAAAUUAACAAGUUAAAUACAUAUAUACUACUCAACUUCCAUUUUCAGUCAUAUUCGCCGCAGAAUUACAUUUAGUACACGAAAUAAAGCUGAACUAUAACUUUCGUUUCUCCAGUUUAUGGACGGAAUGAUGACGUGGCCUCAAUGGAGGUUACACAGUCAGCAGCUCUCGCCUAAUCAGCUGCCAACUCAUAAUCCUAAUGAUCAACAAACUACCCUCCCUAGUGAGUGACUAGUGAGAAAUAUAUACAUUUUAAGUCACCCUCUCUGGACACCGCAGUCUCCUCGUUGCUGCUUAGAUGCUCCGGAAGCCAUUUGCCGGUGACGUUUCAUAUCAUUCUCAUCUUAUCCUUCUUCAUCCUUUCAUCAUACAUCGGCAACUUAAUUAUCUCGUGGAUUUCCCGCACCAAGAUAUCGUCUGUUAUGUUGUCUUCGAUACUUCUCUUCACCUGUCGAUCGAAACAAGCACAAGUGAAAUGUUUAUAAUGACUUUAGUGUAGGGAAAAACAUCAUACUUAUGAAUUUAAAUACCUUUAUGUAUGUAUUCCACCCGUUUGGUGUGUUUUUAUCGGUGCGAACCGGCAUGAACACCCAGACUUUCGUCUCUAAGUUACACGAACACUCUAUGAUCUUCCCGGAAUACAAGCACGGAUCAUCAUCUGGAGCAUAUCAAACCGCGAAAUUGUAACCGACUGACUGACAAUAUUAUGAGCUGAAUGCAAGAUAACCAAAUUCUAUACCUCGAAAUACCACCGAGCUCCCAUCCGUUAGUUUGAUCUUCUUCGCACCAAGAUACAAUGAUUUUUGACCAUCACGACCAACCUGGAAUUAUGAAUGUAAGGACAUAAUCGAUCACUGCAAUAUUCUUCUAAUCUUCUGUAAUCAUACAUACCUCAAAUAAGAAGUCAACCGAGUUCAUCGCAGCGUACUUCCACUUCAAAAGACCCUCGUUAGCAUCCGGAACGUAAGGAUCGUCCCAUGCAUAAAAUUAGUGCAGUAAUACUAACCAGCAUAUUCAUCUUUAGCAAGCCAUAGCAGAUCUGCCUCAGUUUGUAGAGCUGGUCAAUGGGUAUAUCGUCUCCCAAAACAUCAUCAUUUGUUAACUUGGCAUCCACUUCUCGAUUGUUCUGAAACAUACAUACGUUCGAAGGAGCAGCUGAAACGCCAUCAUCAUCGUCAUCUUCAAGAGAUUUCUUCCAUUCUGGAAUAGGAGGGCAUAUAUUGUCCGGCAUCUUUUCAUGGUAGAAAUCAUAUAGAGCAGCAAUAUAGUCUGGUUUGUAGAUUCCAGGAGGAUGUGCUUCAGAAAAUUUAGUUAUCGCCUGCAUUUGCCGAUAGACUUAACACAUAAUGGAGUGUAAAAAGUGGUAUUAGCUAAGCUAUAAAGCUGAAACAAACCUCUGUGACCGACAUCGACUGUGUACGCAUCAAAAAAUGAAUAAUCAUGUAUCCUGUGCGGUUGUGCCCAUGUGUGCAAUGAACAAGAACACACUUCUUAGAAAGUUUUUGACUCUGCAUCACCUGGAAGAAGAGUAAGCACACAUCAUAAAUAUCAAAGAAAAAACAACGAAUAAUGUAAAGCAUGAAGAACUCUCAACGGAAUCAAAAAAUCAUACUUCAUACACAAAUUGAUUUACAGCCACAUUCUCCGGCACAGCAUCCGUCCCAACAUUGAAUCUAGACAAGAAAACAACAGAACAUGUUUGAGUUGACAGUGAACAAGUGCUGAAAUGCAUAACUUAGAGGCCCUUGUAGAUCGUCAUGCACCUUAAUAUGCUUGAUGCCCUCCUUUUUAAAAUCGUUGGGAGAGUAGUAACGAGUUUGUCAAAUCGAUCACCAAACCAAUCUGCAGAUGAAGUAACACUUUAUAGAAACUUCAAUGGAUUCAAAACAUCACUCACUACAAAAUGUCCUUUAGUGGAACUGACAAUAGAUCAACUAAUGAUUCUGAUAUCACAAACAGGAAUAAAAAGAUUAAAAAUUUGAAGUUGCCGUGUAUCUUGCAGCCCUUACCGUUCUUCCUGCAACUCGUUGUAGAUGAAUCACUUGCGUGAAAGAAUAUCUUCUUUUACCAGGUGGAAUAACCUGGUAGAACAUUUCACCAAGAGGUGCCUUAGAAGGAACAAUUCCGCAUAUCUCCUUACCAGCCGGAGGGCAAUCCAACCAUCCUGACAUCAACAAGGCCACUUAUAAGCGUGCAUAUUCCUUACAACAAUACGACUAGACCAUGAAGAAAUGAAGAAUCUACCAGGAGGUAGUCUGGUUUGAUCGUGAACUGGCUGCCGAGGUGCAGGACGGGGUCUAUCAUCUAAACUACUCUCAGCUCUCAAACUCUUGCGCCUCUCGCCCCGCUCCUAAAUUACACACAAACACAAGAUUCAACAACCAUGAACAGAACGAAAUUCCUACGAAAUCCCUUCUUUGCUAUCUUUCAAGUUGAGAAGUACCCGGUGUGCAAGCUGCACAGAAGUCUCUACUCGUUCCACAUUGGCACAAUAUUCUUCUAUGUGCCUUACAAAAUUAUCUUCCUUGUCUUCAGGCAGCGGUAAAGCAUUCAAGUCCAUUGCAACGACUUAAUCGGUAAAAGUUAGCAAAUUGCUUCCUCCCUAAACCCUAACAGAGGCGAAAACUUGACCAGGAAGUCCGUAACCAGCAAUCGGACCUCAAAAGCAGGAAUUUUACGCUGAGCUACACCGAACUUUGUUUAAAAUUAUUCUGCUUUUGCUUCUCUAUUUCACAGAACACAGUACUCUGCUAAUUAUAAAACUAACGUCGGCCACCUUUUCACGGCGGAGUGGCGGCAGGCUGCUUAUCGAACCGCGCGCGGGAAUCCGUCCGUUGCAGUUUUCUGAUUUCGGAAUUGGAAAUUUGGGGGAAUGAUUGAUUUUUUUGCAAUAUAUAUAAGAAUUCAGAUUGACAUAUGUCCGUCUUGGUCCCUGAUUUGUGGCCUAAUAUCAUUGGAAGGCCUAACCUUUUUGAAACUUCAAAUAUAAUACAGAGCUCGAUAUUGUUAGCGGUUUCAGUCCUUUUCUGUGAAAAAUUUUAAACUUUGGGACCUGCCUAUCAAUUUGGUCGACCCAGACCCUAAUGUCCGGUCAAUUUGGGUUGGUUCACGUGUUUGGGUCGAACCAUUGUACUCCAGAUCCAACCAAAUCAAUAUAAGUGGCACCGAACUAACCGAGUUGGUACAGCUGAAGCAACUUUAGAAACCUUAUUUCAAAAAAUAUUAGGAUGUAAUAUUAAUAUAUAGGUAACCAAUUGGAUUACAAACCAUCUCCACUCAACAACUCAAAAACCCAACCGAAAUCAAAUCAAACCCAAUUUCAAAACCGAACCCAGAACAAAGAUUACAUUCCAGAUUCACAAGGGAGAAAGAAUCAUCAAUUCAUCAUCUACAUCUUCAACAAACCCAUGAAAGAAGCCACCAGAGAAACGCCAACGACAGCGGCCGAAACAGGAACAGAGAACCCAGCACCGGUCACCUGCGACGGCGACGGUUCAGGCGCCAUCAUCUCCUGGCCGGAAACCAUAGCCGCCAUCAAAGCGACCAACACAACCAUGGAGAUAGCAGCUGCCUUGGAAAUUGACGCCAUUGUUGAAAGGGAAGAGGAUGAAUAAAGCUUGGAUUUGAGUUUGUGUGUUUUGAAUUGAUUGAUGAGAAAGGGGAGAAGAAGAACAGAGCUAUUUAUACAGCGGGAAUUAUCAAUUAUGACCGUUCAGCUAACGGCGUGAAGCUUAACAGCUGGUAGUAGGCCAUGGGGGAAACGUGGGGAACAGGCUGUAACGGCGGGUGGAUGGGAUAGCCGUUAGGCUGUAGCCAUUGGAAACGUGACGCGUGGCUGAAACAACGGUCACUUCCGUCUGGAAUGAUCUGUUUGGUUUUUUGUCGGUGUGAGGAAGAAGGUCCCACAUUAUGUCGUCAAAAUAAUUCCACCAUUUGUACAGGUCGUAGUGGUGAUUAUGGUUCGGAGAUGGAAUCGGUGAGACUAUCAUUAUAUUAUUCAAGUUUUAAAAUUAUAAAUAUUCGUAUUUAGUGGUAAUCGUGUAUCCUAAUGUAUUGUGAUUCAUUACUAUUCUAGUCACUAGUACUAUACUAGUAUACUACAUUGUUUCAUUCAACUCAAUUUUCACUUUUCGUAAAAAUGUUGUUUAGAAUCAGCUCUAGAUUCAAGUACUAACUCAAUUGCUAAACAAUUUGAGCUCGAGUUAGAAGUAAAGUACUUUAUUUUACAAUUCAAUAGUUUUCUAAAUCCAUAAAAUAACAAAUUCAAUUAGAUCGAACUUCAAAAUAUUCAUGUGAUCUUAAACAACUUAUUAGUAACCAGAACCAAAUUAAUAACAUUUAAUAUGCACCAACCUCGAAUAUAAUUAUAUGAUGUUUAUACCCCUCAAAAUACCACAAAAUUUAUACACUCUCGAAACCAUUCAUAUCCAAAAGAACCAAACCUAACCAAUGGAAGCCUCCCUGAACCCGCCACUGAUCGCAGAAUCGGUACAUUACUACUACUUACAAUCGCCGAAUCAAUCCACACGAAACAUCAAAUGAAACAAAAAUAAUACAAAGAGGUACACAAAUUGAUGAUGAUGAUUUAUAAGUGGAUCUCCCACCACAAUUUCGAAUUCGAUUCAGUACAAUGAUGAGAGAAGAGGAAUGAGGAGGAGUGAAGAGCAAAUGAAUGCCAGGAAAGCUGAUAGAGGCGAGGAGGAUACAUCCAUGGCUGCUCCGGUGAUCAUUGCCGGUGUAGGAGCGAUGUCCUGAGCCAUUGCUCCAGAAGAAGAGGAAGCCAAAAUGAAUACCACAAAGAAGGCAGCUGCUGCCAUUGCCGCCAUUGAUUUCGCCAUCGAAAAAGAUCUGAUGAAGAGAGGAGAUGUGUCUGAUUGAUUGGUGAUGGAUGAAUUGAGGGAGGCUCUUAUGAUCUGAGGAGGAAUGUGAGGAAGAGGCUACAAAUUUAUAGGCAGCUAGAAAGUAAGUUUCGGGCUGAUCGGAAUCGAAAGUGAUCCGAUUAAUCAAACAAUGACGACACAUUUUGGACCCUUUUUGAGUAAAGUCAUGAAAAUCUGACCAUUCUUAACUCCGGACCGGUGAUUAUUGGUUAACCUAUUAUAGGAGCACAUCUAGAGAGUGG